GUCGGCUAUAGUUAUUUUUUAAAUUUUUUUAUAAGGUUUAGCCGACGAAGUAUAGCAUGUUUCGUCGGCUAUAGUUAUUUUUUUAAUUUUUUUAUAAGGUUUAGCCGACGAAAUAUAGUAAAUUUCGUCGGCAAUAGUUAUUUUUUUAAAUUUUUUAUAAGGUUUAGCCGACGAAAUAUGUCGGCUAUAGUUAUUUUUAAUUAUUUAUUACACACUUUAGCCGACGAAUAUAUUAAUUGUUUCGUCGGCUAAAGUCUGGGAAAAAAACCGACGACAUGUUUUUCGUCGGCUAACUGUAGGACUAUAGCCGACGAAAAAAAAAAUUUCGUCGGCUAAAGUCAUCACCGACGACCUUUCCCGACGACACUAUAGCCGACGAGCCUUCGUCGGCUAAGAUCUUAGCCGACGAAUUAAGAUAACAGGCCGACGAAAAUUUUUCGUCGGCUAAAGUGCUUGUCCUGGUAGUGAUUACAUGGCUGUAUCUUUUGAAACACAAGAGUGACAUUUUUGAUGUGUUUAAAAAAUUUUACAACCUUGUUAGCACUCAAUAUUCUUCCAAAAUCCAAAUUUUGCGAUAUGAUAAUGGCUCUGAAUAUAUGUCUCGUAACAUGUCUCAUUUUUUGAACUCUAAUGGAAUUGUUCAUCAAACAAGUUGUGUUGGCACACCACAACAAAAUGGAAUUGCAGAACGGAAAAAUAGAGACUUGCUUGAGAAAACCAGAGCCAUAAUGUUUCAUGCUUACGUGCCUAAGAAAUUUUGGUCGCAAGCUGUUCUUACUACAACCUAUCUUAUUAAUAGACUCCCAAGUAAAGUCUUGAACUCAAAGUCACCUUAUGUCGGUGAGCCAUGGCUUGGUUGGUUAAGGUGUUUAACUGACAACUUUGAGGUCAAGGGUUCAAAUCUCACGGACAUAUGUAGGGUGUGUGAGUUAUUAAUAAAACGUUUUUUUUUUUAUUAAAAAAAGUCACCUUAUGAAGUUCUGAAGGGCAGGAAGAUUAAGUUAUCACAUUUGAGAGUUUUUGGCUGUGUGUGUUACGUUCAUAUUCAAGCUAUUCAUCGAGGUAAGUUGGAUCCUAGAGCUGAAAAGUGUGUCUUCUUGGGGUACUCUACCUUUCAAAAAAGGUACAAAUGUUACAGUCCAAACACAAGAAAAAUCAUUGUCUCAAGAUGAUCCCUGUCUGAGCUACUAAGCUGUUAUGUGGUGUCUGAUUUGGAGUUGGUUGGUGUUGAUUCAUUGUUUUGGAUUGCUGCUUGUUGAUUUGGACUCGGGGCUGCAAGUAGGAUUUUGGCAGGAAGAAGCUUGGUUGUUUUCGGUGAUAGAGGCAUCUCAACAGUGGCUAAAGUGAGGGAAUCUACUGUUUUAGCUGCUGUGUUGCUACUGGGUUUUUGGAUUCAAGCAGAUUAAAGGUGAGCUUGUGCUUUGUUGGUCUGUGUUGGUGGUGAUUUUGAGAAUAGAAGCUUGGUUGCUAAUCUGAGUGUUUUGUUUUCAUGGAUGUCGAUAACUUAGUGAUUCGGAGUUUUCAGGGAGGUUAUGGCCAUUUUCCGGCAAGUGGCCGGAACCUAGCAGAAUAUUCCGGCAAGUCACCGAAAUCUGGUGAAGGCAAUUAUUCUGGCAGGAAGCGGUGGAGGUAGUGAUUGAUGUUUCCUUUUCGUUUUAUGUCCCUUCGGAAAUAGGAAAGUUUGAGUUGUAAUCGGAAAAAUCACCAAGUUAUGAAAGUUUCUAUUUUAGUAAACUUUCCGUCUUUUUGAAAAUAUCCUAUUUAUGGAAACCCUUUUUGGGUGCCCUUAGCAAAUUUAAUGGGUUUUCCAGAUUAAUGUUUUCCGGAUAUUUGAGUCCUUGAAAUUACAUUAGUUUGUUUAAUCAAAAUCAAGGUUCUCCAAAAUGAUUUAUUUAAUCGACGCCUAAAUGGUAACGAUUAGUAGGGCAUUAGAGUAAUGACCUAAAUUGUUAAGUCGAAGGUUAAACUGGAAAAUAUCGAAACAUCGUUAGUUGGCCAACUCUAAAUCAAUUGGUCAAACUUGAUCAAUUCUAGUCAACUCAGGAAACCUAGUCAAACUAGGAAGUAGUUGAAUCGAUAAUUAUUGGUGUCUAGUUUGACCGAUUUGUUCUAUUAUUUAUCAUCAGACGUGGGAAUUGCCUAGAGAGGAUGAAUAGUUGGAGGCAACGCUUGAGGAGUAUACCGAGCAUUGGAAGGUUUAGGCCUAAUACUGUGAGUGGACUUUUGUUUUAAUUUAAAAGCAUGUGAUGCAUUAUUUUGAUGAUCAGUUAUUCUUCUGCUGGAAUUUAUUGUUUUUUAUGAUAUUUGGCAAUUUUCAUUAUUUUGGAGAGUUAGUUUUCGGUGGAUAUGUAUAUUCGAUAUUUAUGAGAAUAGUAUGUAUAUAAAUGCUAGCUAGCCAUACGUGUUUUUCUGCCAUAAUGAGGUAAAAUUCCAUUAUGGUGUGACGUGAACGUGAGACGUAAGCGUCGUAGCCCUAUAUGAAAGUAGUAAUUCAUAUAAGGGAUAUGCACGUAUAUACACUCGUCUUUUCUACCAUAAUGAGGUAAAAUUUCAUUAUGGUGUGACGUGAGCGUUAGACGCAAGCGUCGUAGCCUUGUAUGAAUUUCUAUUUUUCAUAUAUUUUCAUAGAAUUCAUACAAGGAAUAUGACGAGUGUAAAUACAUACAUAUAUAUAUUUUAGCCUGAGAGGCUCUAUAUUAUAAAGUAGUGGAGACUAGCGAGGCUAGUCACGUUUUUAUCAAUUUUUAAGUUAAAAGCUUUUGGGCUUGUUGCAUGCAGCGUGGCUUCUCUAUGGAAAUCAAAUUGGGAAAACGUAAAUAUUUUCAUUUGUUCAUUUCUUCUAAAUUUAUUUUGUCCACUCACUCUAACGUUUUUCAAAUGCUUCUCCCCUGGGCCCUUCGGUUUUAAAUGCCCAGUUUGCAGGUUAACAUAAUUGAAGUCGGGCGUACAUGGAGUCAAGGCAUAGUCCGUACAUGGGCGUACAUGGAGUCGAGGCAUAUAGCUUCCGCUUAUUUGUUUAUUUCGUUUUCUUUCUUCCUUAUUAGAGUUGCUAUGAACCUAUAGAUGGUAGUUGUGGGUUUAUAUUUAGUGUAGUAAAUAAAUUGGGAGGUGUUGUGAAUUUGGGGAGCAUGCAAGCUCCAGGUGUAUAAGGAUGGAGUUGGAUUUUUUUAGAAGUGUUUGCAUGUAUUUUAGGAAGGGUUGUCCAUUUUCAAGGGAGGUUAUGCCGAAUUUUUCGGUAGCAUCUCCUUUGGAAGUGGUCCCCGCAGGGUUUACUUCGAAUUUCACCUUGAAAUUCGGGGUGGGUCCUGACAAAGGAAGUCAUUGAUUUGUUUGUGCUUCCUAGUCUUGUAGAGCCUACUGACAUCCAGAACUGGUUCUCAAGCUAUGUGUAUGAGUCUCCAUCUUUAGAUACAGCUGAUGGUUUUAGAGAUGUUGUUUGUAGAGACAGAAUAGAUGAGAAGGAUGAGGUUUUGUUUGAAACCAGCAACAAAGAAAAGGGAGAGCGUUUAGAGGGUUUUGGCAAAAAGGAAAAUGAUAAUGAAGAGUUUGAUGUUGAGAAGGUGCAAUCAGAAGAGUUUGCAAAACAUAACACCACUUUCAAACAUAGCAAGAAGCCUGUAAGUGCGGUAGUCUUUCUUUUCCUAAUAGUGUUUUUUGUUAAUCUAUCUUUCUUGUUUGAAUCUAUUAGACACUGGUCCUGUAUUUCAAAUUAUUGAUCACAAUAAUGUCAAUAACAGGUUGACCAAACCGUUGGACUAGAUGAAAAUCUAUCUAGUCAGAGUGAUUUUUGUCUCAAAUAUAAGCCUAAUACGUUGCAAAAUUAUAGUAGUAGUCAACCAAAACAUGCUGAGACAUCAAGCUUCAACAAAGGAGAUUCUCAAUGCAAGGUAGAUCAACAUACCUUCCAUGGUACCAGACAUGUCCAAGAGAAGGAUGAGACAUGUCUACAAAACUUGGUUAAUAGUAGGGGCUGCACUUCACAGGAUAGCUCAGAAGCAAAGGUCCAUGUUGAAGAAUUCUUACUAGAAACCAAUUCAGAGUUAAUUUCAGUCAAUGAAGCAUCAGUAAGCAAAACAACUCAUGGAAGCAAAGAAAGAAAAGAUGAUGGGACAGGAAUAUCAGAAGAUGGUUUCAUUACAACAAGGAAACACAAAUUUACAGCAAGAAAUGAUGAAAACUUUCCAAAAGGACCACCAAGGAGUAAUAGAGGAACAGUUCCAUCAGUACGUGGGAAGGAUGUUGUUAUUGAAAGAAAGACCUUGGCAGACACAACAAACUUUCAUCAUUCUCCGACAACAAUGAUCACCGGAAAAUGGAAGUGUCCUCAGCAGCGUAAACCAAAUUUGGGACCUCCUUUGAAGCAGCUUGGACUUGAGCACUGGAUUUGAAAGUCGUGAAAGACUGAAAGUCUAAAAUAUGGAGAUGUUGGAUGUUGAGAUAGGCCAACAGAACCUAAAAAUUCGAGCUUUGGGGAGUUUGAAGGAUCCUUGAUGUAAAAGAAUAAGGGUUAAGCAAAGCAUUUCAUCAUUCAUUCAUUCUUCACAUUUUGGUGUUUAUAAUAUCAAAUCUCAAACUCUCAAAGACUUAAAAACAUUUACAGAAUAGCAAAUGCCAACCGAUAUGCAGAAGAAGCUUGAUGUGGUUGGUGAUUGUGUUGGUUGUUCAAGUCGGAGGAAGAUUUUGGAAUGGAAAAAGGAAAAAAAGAGGUCGAGGCUGGUGAUGAGUUAUGGAAAGUUGGAAACCCAGGUUCUUACAUUGAACCCGGAGGAAGAAGCCGAAGAACCAUGAACAGCAUUAGAAACCCUAUGUUAGAUGGGUUUGUCUCCCAUACCCAGGGGCGGAUCUAGUACUACACACACUGGGACUCAAGUCCCACCCUAAUUUUUUGAAGAAAAAAAAAAAAAAACAUGUAAUUAUCUCACUAUACUACAUAUAUCAUGUCUAAUUUCAUCCCAAGUCCUACUUCAGUGCCCAAUUUUUUGUGUUUGUUAUAAAAAAGAGUUGUAGUUUUCUAGUUUACUAAAACAGAGAGACUUAUCGUCUUCAUCAGCCUUCCAAAAAGGUUCUUGUAGAGUAAGAUUUAACUAGUUGAGCUGGACUUUACAUGGAUCUAUAUAUUUUGUAUUGCAUUGACAUAUUUAUUUAGCUCUAUUUUGUAUUACAUCUAAAGAGUUUUGUAAAUCUUAUUUUGUAUAAGCUUACAUGCAUCCGAGGGGUAUCGGUAAGGCUCACUACAUUCCCUAACCUUAUCGUAGGUGCAUCUUGCUCUUCGAUAUAUAAAUUACUCUAGCAACGUCUAGUUUUUUGUUUAUAAUGAAAAUUUUAAGUCCCACCUUGAUCUCAAUUCCUGGAUCCGCCCCUACCCAUACCAUAUGGUAUGGCAUACUAGUUGGCGAUAAGAGACUAAGAAGACGAUAAGAGCAACUCCAACAAAGGAAUCAAAUCCUAGUUGGCAGGCCAACAGCUACUUUUGACCACCCAAAAAACUCUCCAACAAAAUAGUCAAUUUCACGUGUAAUUGACAAUAUGGUUUAUAUAGUCAAAUUUGACACAACGAAAAUGUCAUUCAUUAUUUUAUCAUUCUUUCUCUCUCUUCUCUUUCCCCGUUGUUUUCUCUUCUUCCUCUAAGAAAUAGUUUUAUAUGUAUAAUAUUAUGAAAAUAAUAAAAGAGUUGUCAAAUUUAACUCUUUUGUUAGAGAGGAAAUGAGUCAAAAAUGACAUUGGCAACUCACAUGUCAAAUUUUGAAAUUGACAAAAAAAAAUUGACAUGAUUGUUGGAGAUGCUCUAAUAAAUUUAUGAAUCUGGUAGGGUGGCUUAGUCAAUAGUCAGGCAACUUUCUAACCUUGGUUCGAGUCACCCCACACACUAACUACUUUCAAAAUUCCGAUAAAUUUUCUUUUCUCAAAAACUUUUGAAAACAAAAUGCAAUAAUGCAUGCCUCCCUUUACUUUUACAAGCCUUUAUAUAUCCCCUUGUAUUUUUCUCUUGGUAAAUAUCCCCUGUUAAUUUACAAAAAUAUAUUAAUAAUAAUAAAUUAUAGUCAACGAAAAGUGUUAUAAAAUAAAGAAUGAGAUAAAGAGAAAAGGAGAAAAACAAAAUGUAGGAAGAGGAAGAAUUGUAUAUUUCAUUCUCAUUAGACCUCUUUAUAUAAGGAGAGCCCUUCUAGUGAGGACUCUUAAGUUGAGGACUAGUUGAGGACUUUUUGGUUUAUGGUUUAAAAGACUUAUUUUUCGAUCACAUUUUGACAUCUCCUCCGUUCAGAUUUUAGGCUUAUAUAAGUAGAUCAUUUAUACAAAUUUUCAGCUAAAUUAGUGUUCGUUAAGAUAACAAAUUAGAUCAAAUUAAUGGACAAACCAAAUCUGUCAAAUAUGAACCGUUCAAGUUCAUAAUUGAUAAAUCACACUUAUGAAUGCCUUAACAAUUUUCAAUAUAGAUGAAAAUUUGGAUAAAUGAUCUACUUAUAAUUAUAAAUACCUAUAAACUGAACGGUUAAGAUGUGAAUAUAAGAUCGAAAGGUGAGAUAAGUCGAAAAGUCGAAAAGUCCUCACCAAGUCCUCACCAAGUCCUCAACUUAAGGGUCCUCACUAGAAGGGUUUCCUUAUAUAAGAGUAAUGUUUACAUUGUAAGAAUGUAACUAAUGAGUAUUUACGUAGACAACCACAUACAUUAUAAUCUUUACAACAAAAAGAAAGAUCUUAUAACAGUGAAGCUACAAGGUAUUAUACACUUUAAAGAAAACAAAACAAAAAAUAGGUAUUAUACACUUGGGAGUACUAAAUAUUGAAGGAGUAUAAAAUUUGACCGAGAUGCAAAGGGAAAAACACUUUUGUUCUAGUUUGCUAGAGUGUUGAGUUGCUUAGUAUGAGACUACCAUGUCUCUGGUCCCUCUUAAGAGAAGAGAAAAUAAAAUUAAAAAUAUCCAUGUUCAGAGCUCGAGUCAUAACUCUCAUCAGUUUGAGGCCCACGUAUUUGAGAAGUUUCGGGUUUGUGUGUUUGCAGCACUAUCUUAAUUAAAUUAGUAAAUUACAAUAAAGUUAUUAAUUAACUAAAUUUCAGUUUACAAAUACAUCAUUUACAUAUUAUCUUACACAUUUAAGGACAAAAGUUAACAAAUUAGGACAAAUUGAUGUCCACAUAUCAUCUGUCACUAUAAUUUUACCAGAAUACCAUUCACUACAAAUUCUGCUGCUACUAUCGACCAUAGAUGUGCUAUGGGCUACUGUCGACCAGAGAUGUGCUAUGUGCUACUGUCGAUACCGAAGUGCUACUGCUAGUGCUAUUGCAAUUUUUCUGGCAAUUUUGAUGCUACUUUUGGUGCAUUGCUACAUUUUCUGCUACUGACUAUGAUGCUGGGCCACUGCUACUACCGACUAGGACGCUGCCACUAUCCAAGCUGAUGCGAGCAUCAUGCUACUGCCAAAGCUGCUAUUGUCCAAACAAAAGUGCAAAAAAAAAAAACAAAGCUGCUAGCCUGCUACUGUCCAAACAACUUCAACAAAGACCUCCAUCAACCAAAUUCACGAACGACUCCAAGGUGGACACCUGGUGGAUCCGCCACUCACUUGGCACCAGUAGCCGCCAGCCUCGACAGAGCCCUUACUCCCAAAACACUUCACUGUCGCAAAUCUCAAAAACAUAACAAUCUGAACCUAAAAUUGCGAUUGAAUGAUGGAAACCCCAAAUCGAAGAGAAACAAAUCCCUAGAAAUUGCGGAAUUGAUUGAAGGCUGAAGCUUUACCUGAUCAGAUGAAUUCGGGCUUCAGAGAUUGGCCGGACGAUGACGGUGACGAAGAUUAGGGCUGAGAUUUCCUCCACUUCUCUCUCUUGCGUCGUCGUCGGGCAUCGUCAACGUUGAGGUGCCAGGCUUUAGUCGUCACCGUCGAGGAGCCGUUGUUGUCGUCAUCAUUGAGGAGCCGCCAUUGUCGUCGUCAUCGAGGAGCCGCCGUCGUCAUCAUCAUCGAGGAGCUGCCGCCGUCAUCGUAGUCGAAGAGUCACCAUUGUUAACACAGAGGUGUCGAAGUUCCGCUAGGCCUAGUAGAGAGAGAGAGAGAGAGAGAGAGAGAGAGAGGAGAAAUUUUGCAGAGAACCAGAUCGGGGGGGGUAUGAAGAAGAGAAUGGAACGUAAUGUAAUUGUUUUGAAAAAUCUGAGCAUUUUGGUCUUUUACCAUAAAAACUUGGGUCAAGCAUGUUAUAACUUCGUUUUGGGCUUAGACUCUUGUCUUAAUCUGUAGAAGAAAUAUAAAAAGUGAGUUUUUUGUGUUUUUAAAUUUGGUCAUAUGUUACUAUGUAAUUUUCUCUAAUUAAAUUGUCUGUUACAAUUUUUACAAAAUCUAUUCAAACAACUUUUUUUGUUUGUCUUUUGCCUUGUCAAUCUAGACAACUUAAACUUUCCUUUUUUGGUAGAUUAUUAUUCCUAGGUAGAUUCUUAUUCCUUUUUUUGUUAUGUUUCCUGAUCUAGCUGGUUAUAUUUUCAUAGUCUUAGUUGGUUAUAGUCCAUCCAUGUUCAAUACAUUAUAUAAGUACCUCUCGAAGGAGAAGAAUCCCACAAAACUAAACAAGCUAAGAAUCCCACCUUUUUCGCGACCAACCUACAACCAUUAUCUCUUGUUGAAUAAUGGCCUCUGGGUCUCGUGAUACGUUCUCGCCUACUCCUUUAGCUGAGGUCUCGAUUGAGGAACUAAAAGCGAAUAGUUGUUGUAUAUGUGGCGGGAGACUUGUUCCCGAUGAUAAUGCUUCCCCUGACGAGUUUGUUAAGAAUCCGGUCAUUACUCGCUUGCAUUGCUCACACCAUUGUCAUACAUAUUGCCGAACAUGUGAUUGCUGGAUACAUGAUCUAUUCAGCUGCAUAAGUGAUCCAUUAUGUGUCGUUUACUGCAUGGAAGACGAGUCAUCUGGUAGAAGAAUGUGGCUGAAUCGGCACAUCAUGUUUUGUGUUGUUGCUACAAUAAUUAUUGUUUUGUCUCAUAUGUUCAGAGCCAUUAUGGAAACAUAAAUAAGAGGCUAGGCUUACAUAUUGUGCCCUUAUAUCUUGCAAGUUUUUGUUUGAUGAGAUUUUGAUUCCUUCAAUGUUUUCGAGUUUAUGUUUUAUGACUAUGCAAACUUGCUUUUCACUAUUUUUGUGAAUGUGCUUUCAUAUAUAGUUUUAUUAUCAGGUUCUAGAGUGUUUUUAGUUUUUAGAGUACAAACUUUUUAAUAGUGACAAAUUUGCUUUGAUUCUUUGACUAACAUCAGUCAUUCUUCAUGCCUAAUUUUGUGUUAUAUAUCCGUAAAAAUACCAAUUGACUCGAUGAAACGUGCAUUUGCAAACAUGGAAUACCGGUGUAUUGGGAUUUUCGUGUUGUAAAGAGUAUUACUUGUCUCAUUUUUUCGAACAAAAUGAUCAAUGAAAAUUUGCAGCCCCCUAAAACCCUUAGCUGGCGAUAAUACCCUCAUAUUUGCCACGAGUCAUGUUCCUAUUAGACCAUCAGACAGACAAAGUGACACGAGUUCUUCUUUGUACUUCAUCCGAUAAUAUGUAGACGCAACUACUCCACUUUGAGUCGGGGUUGUGUUCUCGUCUUCAACAGCUUUGUUGAAACAAAAAUGGUGGGUGCUUUCAGAGUUCUAAGCAAGUCCCUCAGACACUACAAACCCAAAGCCUCAAUAUUUCCAGACAGUCCACUCACUCCCACACCCAACCAAUGGCUUCACCAAACUCGCCGCACUCUGAUUCUGGAGUCAGCACCCUCUCACUCCGUCAACCUCCACAGGCUCUCCGAUUCCGAUUCCGGUAAGUUCAAUUCCAAAAGCUUAUUUCUUUUUAGCCCUUUGUGUAUUUUUGACAUAUAAACCAGAAACCCAUUUGGGUGUUUUUGGGCUGACAGGAAUCGUUGAAGUUAGUUUGGAGAGACCCCAAGUGAGAAAUGCAAUAGGGAAAGACAUGCUCAAAGGUUUGCAGAACACGCUUGAAGCUAUCAGGAAGGAUUCAUCUGUUAAAGUUUUGUUGCUCUGCAGUAAAGUUCCCAAGGUGUUUUGUGCUGGAGCAGAUUUGAAGGUAAAGCAAUCCAAUUGUAUCUUUCCUGAAAUCAAUGCAUGUAUAUGUAUAUGUAUUUGGAUGUUCAGAUUGAUGUUCUUUCGGUUAAAAUGUGGCUUUCUUGAUUUGCAUUGCAUGAACAAUUUUGAAUUGCGAUUGUUGUAUUACAGAAGAAGGUAGUGCUCACUAGUCAAAUUGUCAUGUGGCUCUUGAUUUGAUUGGCAGGAGCGCAAGAUGAUGACUGCAACUGAGGUUCGUGAUUUCGUGAACAAGCUGCGUGCCACAUUCUCAUUUCUAGAGGUCAGUCUUCGUGUUUAACCGUUGUGGUUUUGUGUAAUUGAAUGGCAUUCCGAAUGUCAAGAAAUGGAAUAUCUGUGUGAAGCGAGUAGUUAGUUUGCAUGUGACAUAGCUAAUAAUUGGUAGUGCUGAAGGGUACCAUUGUUUCCAUCACCUGAGAUUUUCAAGAUUUCCUGUUGCUUUUUUGUCCUAAAAGUUUAACAAAACUAACUCUAAAGUCCUCAUAAGAGUGCCUCUGAGAGAUCUGCCUAAAUUGGUAUUAUGGAGGCUAAAAACUUAAGUCCUAAAGACCAUAGUUUAUAAUACGAACCAUGUCUUAGAUGUCUUGGUGUAAAGCUUUCCUUUUUUUCGUUUUCCUCUAAAUUUUUCUUGUCACCAUCUUAUUAGGUACUUCCCAUUCCUACCAUCGCCGUCAUUGAAGGGGCAGCAUUAGGUGGUGGACUUGAAAUGGCUUUAUCAUGUGAUCUUCGGAUAUGUGGUACUUCCAUUUUAACAGAAAAACCAAUUGUGCCUGUAAAAUAACAGGCUUCAUCAAUGUGUUAUAAUGAUUAGACUCUGAUUGCUUCCACCCUUAUGUUUCAGGAGAAGAUGCAGUAUUGGGAUUGCCAGAAACUGGACUUGCUAUAAUUCCCGGGUAUAUGCUAAAUUUUAGUUGACAUACUAUAGCUCUUGCUGUUCUCUUCAUAGGUUGGUGUUGCACCCUGCAUCUUAUUUGAUUAGCCAUUUCUCUUUCAACUAUAUAUCAGAGAUUUCUUCAGUGGACCAUUUCUAAUAUUUGAGUUUCAACUUCUUAUCCCAGUCAAACUGAUAGUUUGGUCAUACUUAAAAAAGAAAAAAAAAUAGUUGGUGUAAUUCUGAUAGCAUCUUCUUGAACAAAGUACGAUCAACUCAAUUAUAUUUUAUUUGUUUUCUGUCUUAUGCAUUUUUUAAUUAUUUUAGUUUGCCUUUUUCAUAAAUGAUGCAGUGACAGAUCAACCUCUCUUGAUUACAUUCUUUAACAGGGCAGGUGGGACUCAGCGACUUCCUAGACUGGUUGGAAGAUCAAUAGCAAAGGAACUCAUAUUAACUGGGAGGAAGAUUGAUGGCAGAGAAGCAAUGUCAAUGGGUAAUGUCUACUCGGUAGCUCCUUUGGUUUUGUUUCCCCCCUUUCCGGCACUGAAUUUGUACUUCAAUACAGGUCUGGUAAAUUAUUGCGUCCAUGCUGGUGAAGCUCAUCUAAAGGCACUUGAAGUUGCUCGCAAUAUAAAUGACAAGGUAUGUAAUUAUUUUAUGAUGUAGCUCCUCCGUUCUUUUUCUUUUUGUCAACUUCCACAGAGAAUUGGUUUAGUAUGCUCUCAUAGUUUAAUAUAGGAAACUAGUUAUAAUGAAAUUUGACCUUAUAAUGAUAACUAGUUAACUACCGUUCAGAAACUUCUAUCAUAGUGAAUGUAAAUAACCGAAAGUUCUGUGCUUAGGUAAAGACUGAACAGAUACCUCCUAUUUUGGUGCAUACUAUCAAACCCAUGACCGCCCUUCGUAACCCUAACCCUCACCAUACCCUACAAUACUUCUUUUAGCUUUCAUAAUUAAAUCUAUGACCUGUCCCCAACGAAAAAAAAAAAGAAAAAAAAAUCUACUCCAAAAACCAGAAAGAAAAUAUGACUCAACUAAAGCAUCACUCUAAGACUACUUAAAGGACAGUGCAGUUUAUAAAUCACUGUGCAAUCAAAUUUAUGCAUCUAGUUUUAGCAGGGUCCAAUAGCAAUAAGGAUGGCGAAAAGAGCUAUUGACCAGGGACUUGAGGUAGAUAGGGCAUCAGCUCUGGCACUGGAAGAAGAAUGCUAUGAGAAAACCUUGCACACAAAAGAUCGCUUGGAAGCCCUGGCAGCAUUUGCUGAGAAACGGAAGCCGCGGUAUUCUGGAGAAUAAGAUGGCAAAUUUGCUAUAAUCUGUCUUGGGAUGAGUUGGCUGGCAGGAUGGAAAUAAAUUAAAUUAUCAGGCAAUCAGGAAAUAACAGGUUGUAGGGGCGCUAGUUUUAUUUAUCAUCAUAAUGUACGUUUACCUGCAUGGUAAUGUGAGGGGUCAGCGAAAUAGUUGGUGUCUGUUAGGUGUGGAACCUCUUACAUUCAAGAUGUUCGAAUGUGUACUAGUGAAGCAAUAAAAUUGAAUAUUUAAGGCUACUGUCAGGAAUGAUGUUCAGAGUCUUUAAAUUUUCAUGACUCCCCUUGCUUCUGUUUCAAUUCUUCUUGAGAAAGAGCUUAUGUUCUGACUCGAGUACAAAAGAUGCCACAACACGGCCUCACCAAAUAACUAUUUCACUUUUAUAGGGCUCAUGCAGGCAUUCUCUUCAUUAGCAACAAGCAUGAAAACUCUAACAACCAAAAUUGACUUCAAAUCAUUCUCUUCAUCAUGAAAGCAACUUUCUCGUAGAGUUGCUAGAGCUUUCUUAUAUUUAUAUCCAAUCAUCAUGAAGAAUAUUGAUCCAACACCUCAAUUACGGGUGAUCCCAACUCUUAGGACAAUUUAGAGCAUAUGGUUCAACGCUCCUACACAAUAUUUCUCAUUCCCACAACCAUUCAUGUGGCACUAACAGUACCCAACACUGUAUCACAGUGUCUACUGUUAGCAUCCCAUCUGGUCCAUGAGCUUUCUUAGAAUGUAUACAAGGCUGAACAGCUGCUAUUCCCCAAAUCACCUAUUUAGUAGAAAUGAGAUCCAAUACAGUAUGUACUAUAAACGAAACAAAAUAAAACACAAACAUAGUAACCUUAUUUGUACUUUUAUGCCUAUUGUUUUUAACAUAGAAAUCAUGUUUGUUGUUAAGUUGCUUCAUGUGAAAGUAAUUGCCUCUUGUCUGUUUAUUGACCUUCUUCACAUAACUAAUUAUCAUUGUCGAUUCAGUUCUCCCCAUCAGGACAUAAUCACUGUCUCCACUUCCAUAAAAUCCUUGCAUUUCAGGGUGCUGCAUGCUUAUGUCCACAGCAGCAGUUUCCCCUUUUGCUUAUUAGUCAUCAACAAGCAGUUCUUUUACCUGAUAGACAUGAAUGCUAAAUCUUAGUUCAAUACAUCCUACUAAAUCAAGCAGAAAUCUAGUACUCUACAGUUUACAUAUAAAUGAUCAGCCUUUGACUGGAAACAUCAAUUCUCCUUAACUUUAGUUAUUGGCACCUUGAGAUAAAGGACAGACAAAUCACAAUCUCCAACGAAUCCCUCAAACCCGUCAAUUCUACGUAAGUUAUUCCUAUAAAUCUAGAAUCUUCAUGUUCCUAGUGUGGAAAAAGACUCAGACAUCAGCAUGGAACUCGUUGGAGCCUUAUCAUCAUACUACCUGGAUAACCCUGUCUAAACACAAAGUUUUGUGCCCUGAUCACUUUUGGUGUUCCUAUUACCUUUUCAGUCCCUUCAACUUUUGUUACUGGUAAAUUCAUUAAUUGAAGCUUUGUAGACACUUUUCACGUCUCUUUUCUUCAGUUCAAUCUAUUAGAUACAUAUCCAUUAGUGUUCAUUUUUGUGUCUUUAUAACUGUCUUUCCUUCAUGUCAGUGCAUGUUUUUGUUUGAUGGUCUUCCAGCAUCAUUGAUCUCUGAAAAGUUCUAUUUGCUAGGCAGGGAAAUUAGGAAAAACACGUCUAAUCCAGUGGAAAGUAGAACAAUUGUGUUACUAUGCAUUAUGUUUCUUUUCAAACCAUCUGACUUAGGUUGUUAGAGAUAUUUCCAGAAACAAAUAAAUGCCUUUUGCUGAAUGGGAGCGGAGAUUACAUUCCAAAAUUGCAUAACCUUGGAUAAGCACAAAAUAUUAAAACCGAAUUUAAGCGUAUAGAUGUAUUUACCAUAACCAUCGCCGGUGUGGGAUGCACUAUUAAAUGGAGAAUUAAAUGCCGCUUCUUUAUAAUAGACAACAGCCUUUCGUAUUUCACCACAUUCAUCUUUGCCCCUUUGUUAUUCUCUCCAGUUUCCAAUUCCCUGUAGUAUUUCAAACCUCUUUUCCGAUGUCGAUAGAUCUCAGUUCUGACUCAACAAUAGAGAUGGUGGUGCAAGAUCGAAACUUGCCUGUGACCUCUCCAUCUCAUCAAAAUAGACGUGCGGGACGCAGCCAACAAGGUUCUUCCUCCUCUAAACUCAAAGGCUUGGUGCCACUGAAAGGUGGUAAGUGGGGGGCAAGGAUAUCCUAUAACUAUAAGCGAUACAGCCUCGGGACACAUGAAACAGAGAUCGAGGCAGCUAUAGCAUAUGAUAGAGCUGCGCUCAAGAUUCCGAGAGCUCAUUCCCUCAACUUCCACCGGAGUAAUUACACUAUCGAGGAGAGCACAUUCCAAAGUCAGCACUCAAUUGAGGAUAUUCUGAGUAUGUUGCAUGAUAAGACAUACACAUUCAUGCUUAGGAAUUUUAUUUUUCAGUAUUCAUCUAGUGUUAACUAUCAUGCAGAAAUCUUCAUGAAGGAACAGGGGAUUGUGUAUGAAUGUGUCCUUCAGAAGGAACUGACCCUUAUGGAUGUCACUCACAAGUGCUUCCUGGUUCAAGGGGAUUAUGCAUCACUGCAUUUCCCCACAAAAGAACAUGAAUGCCUGAAUAGCACUGCCACUCUCUGGGAUAUUCAUGGCCUCUCAUGGACGUUUGGAUGUUCAUAUUGGCACAUUACCCAGAGUUUUUUUCGAAUAGUGGCUGGGGAGACUUUCUCGAGAAGUAUAACCUGAAAGAGAAAGUUUUGGUAAUAAUUUACCGAUGCUGGUGCGGGAUGCAUUCAUGAGAAAGUUUUACUUAAUCAAUGUGCUGAAAACUGCUGGUGAAAGCUCUGUUGGAGGAAGCUUGAACAAGGAGUUGGAAGCCAAUCGCUCGGAAGAGGAGAAAAAGAGAGGGGUUAAGCUAUUUGGUGUUCAGAUUAGUGGUUAACAAUUAGCUACUUUGGUUCUCUCAGUUCUCUCAAUUAGCUAAUUUAAUUGAGGCUUUUUUAUUUCUUGCUUUCCUUUGGUUCUCUCAGUUGUACACAUUUUUGUAUUUUGAUCAUUUGAAAUUAAGUAGAUGCAUCAUAUCUUGUAUCUCAGCAUUUAUAAUUGGUGAAUAGUUUAAAUUUUAAGGGUGUUUCAUAGAACUUUUGAGUAUGUCUUUUCAAUACUGAUAGUUUUGCAAAAAACUUACUAUGAACUCCAUUUCAGUUGUGUCCGUCAGUAUCUGUGAGUGAUUACUUCUUCUGCUUCAUUUUGUUUUUCUAUUUUUUUUUUUUUUUUUUAAUACCCUCUCUAAGAGAUUAUAGACAUAGGUAAUUCCUAAGACAAGGAAUCAGACAUAGGUAAUAGUCCUGUAUAAGAUGAAACAGUAUUCGUUUGUUAAUAGUUUGUUCAGAGACUAUAUUCUUAGCCGAAACGUGCAGAAGAUGCAAGUUCUCUAUUAAUUCAAGUUUCUCUGAGUCAUAUUCUGUCAGUUGCAGAUGAGCCACUCCAUAUGAACAAUUUAAGAACUAAGAACCAUCGUUUCUAUUUAUUAAGGGGUCACAAGUAUUGAUAUUGAUGAUGUCUAAUUCAAAGCAAGUCGGUCUAUCGGCAGAACUUGUAGAAUAUGCUGCUGAGUGGUCUGAACAAAUACUUUUCUUUCUGUUGAUUUCUGUUAACUAUCAAAGUAACAAUAUCUGAAAUAGGAACAAGAGAAUGCAAGAGCAGACAAAUGGAAGGGAAGGGAAAAACACAUGAAUUUGGUAAUAAAAUUCUGUUUAAUUAGCUACACAGAGCCGAACAAACAUUACAGAUCAAAGUAUGCAUGAUUCUUUUUUCUUCUUCUUGUGGUACAUGCUAUAUGAAUAUAUAUCGUCAAUACCUCAUGAAACCACAAACAUUAUUUGCUUAACCUGAAGAAACUGAAAUUACAAAAACUAAUUAUUAUCAGUGGGGUGCUGGUGCUGCGGUUGGACUUGCAACGGAAUUGUGAUCUGAUAUAGGUUCAGUGACCUUGACAUGAAGCUUUUGUCCUGCUUGGCAGUGGCCUGGUUCCUUGAGAGUCAUAGCAUACCAGUCUGGUUCGAAAUUUCUACCGCAGAUGAAGUAAUAGUCACCAGGUUUGUCAAGAGGGAUAGAAUCAAGUCCGGCAGCAUAGAGUGCUAGAGGAGACUUUGCGUUGCAAGGCUGGUAAUCUUCUCCAUUCACUUCCAUCAAGUUAUGGUACUCCUUAUUGUAAGCGAAGAGUAGAGUAUCUCCGACGUGAAACUCUUUUGUGGAAGCCCACUUCUUGUAAUCACCAAGAAUGCUCCACCCAACUGAGUCGCCCACUUUAUGAACAACUCCACUGUGAGCAGCUUCAGAUGAAGAAGCACCUGAACAAACGCCCAAACAAGCCAUUGCAACCAAGAAAAUCAUUAUGGUGUUUCUCAAGGCCAUGCUGAAACAAAGAAACUAGUAGAGAGAGAGAGAAAGGAUGAAGUUGAUUGUGAACGAUCAAAGAGAGGUGUGCUGGUGAAGAUAUGAAUGAGAAGUGUUGUGGCCAGUUGCAUGUAUAUAUAGUGCGUGCUUUACCCAAAUGGGGACGGAGAAGGUUUCCAAUCCUAUAGCAACAAGGAUAUCCUAAACCAAACAAAAUGAGGAUUACAGAAGAAAAUUCGAUUAUAGAAACAUAGGCUUAGCUCGUACGUCCAUAAAAAAAUGGAAAAGGAUACCAAAACGAAACAAAUCUUGCACACCAAGAAUUUAUAUCCUCAAACUCGUUCCAACUUUUUUUUCUCAUCAAUUUUCUUUCAUCUUCUUUGAGUUCUUUCUGUGGCGGUCGCCACUAUUCUAUCCAACUUGAAGAAUUGGAACGAUUGUCUUGCUGUUAUUGCCCUGGCAGCUAUAUAUUUCAUCAAAGUCGUCUCCUAUUCGCGAACCAAAAUGGAGCCAGGUGCAGUUUUCCGGUGUUAAUCACUUGGUUAUGUAGAACAGUAGAAGCAUUUUGUGGUUCAAAAGGACUCCACCCAACCAAGAUAGUCAUCCAUUGAAAAUGACCAAAUAACAUUUAAAAAACAAUAAAUAAGAAAAGACUAAAUAGAUUCAUAAUAUACACCCAAGAGAUGAGUAUUAUCAGUUUAUCACUAAUGUCACUAAACUAAAUAGUACUCGACACGAGUAUUAUAGACUUUGUUUAAGAGAUUCUGAGUGAGAACAAUAGAAUUUUAAUUGGAUCCACUUCAGUAAUCAUUAUGUGAUUACACGAUAGAUAACAAUGGUCAAGAGAGGAUUGGUGUGUAUUAGUUACUUGAUCAGACUUAGUAGUGGUCAAUACAACCGGCAUAGCUUGGUAGGUAUCUCCUUAUGCUUGUUAAAUCCAAAGUCUCAUAGCGUGGGUUCUGUCAUGCAACUACUUUGUCCUAAAGUUGUAAACUGAGUCCUCAAAAUAGUAAUAUUACUUCUCAAAGUUGUAAUAUGAGUCCUUAAAUAUGUAAAAAAAUUUAAUUACAACAUUAGUCAUCAUUUGUCCUUAAAGUGGUAAAAAGUGUGUUUAAAUUAGUAAUUGAGUCCUCAAAGUGUUAAAAAAAUGUUUAUGCAACUUUGAAGACUUAAUUACCACUUUAAAAACACAUAAGGUAAUUGAGUCCUCAAAGUGAUUAAAAAAAUGUUUAUGCAACUUUAAGAACUCAUGUUACAACUUUGAGGACUCAAUUACCACUUUAAAAAUACAUGAGCACUAAUGUUGUAAUUAAAUUAUUUACAACUUUAAGGACUCAUAUUACAACUUUAAGGACUAAUAUUACUACUUUGAGGACAAAGUUGAUGCAUGACAUGCAUUAACACACCCUAAUCUUACUCGGUCUUUCUAUCCACUGAAAUUGAAUCAACGUAAUUAUAAGUUAAAAUAUAACUGUAUUAUAGAUGAGAUGCCGGACACAGGCAUAAUAUAGUAGUAAACAAACUUUAUAGCAAUGAAAUACACCCUGAAAUACCAACCAAAUGUAAGAAAAUUGUGCCUUUGUCCCUUCGAGUAUAACAAUUGAAUUAUUUUUUAUUUUAUUUUAUUUUUUUUAGAAAUAAAGAUAAAGAUGAGUGCACAAAACGCUAUGGGCCUUGAAACAGCAUCAAUCACACUAGACAGUCGAAAGUUGAUGCCCACUACCCAAAACCUAUAUAUAAACCACAACAAGAGUCUCAGAAUUCCAAAAGCCGAAGGCAGCAGAGAAUAGCAUAUCAGAUCAAAUCCGAGAAAGAGAGAAAGCAAAUGGCUUCUUCGUACAGAACCCAGUCCGCUAAGAGAUGGCUUCCUCUUGAAGCUAAUCCCGAUGUUAUGAACCAGGUACUGAAAUCUCUUAAUCCCUCACAAUCUCCUAUUGUGUUUUCAUUAUGCUAUCUUUGUUUCCUCAUAAAGAUUGAAACUUUUGUAUACCCAAAUCGAAUAGCUUGGGUUUUGUUUGAAUUUUGAUGUGGAUUUUGAGAGUUCUGGUUGUUCUUGAACAUGGAUGAAGGUUUAAGAAGGUUAAUUUUUUGAUGAGAUUAGUUUCGGUGAUUUGGAUUAGUUAAAGGUUUGUUUUGUUGAAUUGGAACUUGAACUUGUGUUGAUGGCAGUAGAGAUGAUAUGGAAACUUUAGCUUUGACCUUUGGUUUGUACUUACCAUUUUUCUAUGGCAGAUACUUCGAUAGUUUCUGUAAGUUUAGUGUAAGAUUUGUAUGAGCUAUGAAAUAAAGGGAGAAAGACUUUUAAUAUUGAAAAUUGAGUAUAGUCGAUCGGAUUAUUGAGAAAGCAAUGAUGUAUUUCAGAGGUUACGUGAGUACCAUGAUCUCUCUACCAUUUCCUUCUCUUCCAUUUUGGACAUUAUGAGUUCAUUAUUUUCAUUACUGUACCGUUCUUUAUCAUAACUUAGGAUGCUUUUUUCUAAAUUUUAUUGGUGAUUUUUCACUGAUUUCAUCUUCAAGAAAACAACCCCCUUUUAAGAAGUGUGCAUCAUAGCGUGCCAGUCUUAAUAGACGUGAUAAUCAAAUUCCAUUUCAGAAGGGAACGUCUUUAUACCUAUAUAUAUUGUUCUUGAUGUUUGAAUGCAGUUCCUUUGGGGACUGGGCCUUCAAGAGGAUGACGCAGAAUGCUAUGACGUUUAUGGGUUGGAUGGAGAACUCUUAGAAAUGGUUCCAAAGCCUGUACUUGCUGUGCUGUUUCUUUAUCCUUUAAACCCUAAGGUUUGUCUUACCCCAGUUUCUAUGAAAAAUAAAUAAAUAAAUAAUAUAAAAUGAACUCUGAAGUUUGUUGCUGGCUAUCAUUAUUCAACUUAAGGUCUUUUCAAUCCUUUGUGUUGUUACACAUUAUGAAAGUAUACUUGUCUCCUGAUUUGUGGAAAGCUUGAAUUCUUUUCAGACUGAAGAAGAGAGAAUGAUGCAGUUAAAUGAAAACCAGGUAAGUGCAAGGAAGUUUAUUUAGUGUUUUGGUUUUGGAGUUAUAUAAUUAUCUUUUGCAUACAAUUCUGGUUGUAGGAAACCAAAGGUAAUGUUUAUUUUAUGAAACAAACCGUGGGCAAUGCUUGUGGAACUAUUGGACUCCUUCAUGCUGUUGGAAACAUCACUUCAGAGAUCAAACUUGGUAAGUUAAUUACAGUUUUUUCUUGUUAUGGAUUAUAAAUAUGCAUGUUAGAUAUGCAUUCUCCAUCAUUGGAGUGUACUCAUUGCACACAAGUAAUUUGAUCACUGUAGUAAAUAGUAGAUCUGUAAGGUUUGAUGAGUGCCUUCUUAUUGCCUACAUAAUCUUGAGAGUUGAAACUAAGCUUAAACUUUGAUGAAUGUUCGGCAUUUUUAACCACGUAUUUGAAGAGAUAACAAGAAUGGAGAGAAAUUUCACUUUGUUAACAAUUUAUUGUGGGUGUUUCUAUGAUUCUGGUGCUCAGUAUGAUAGAGAUUUAGGAAUAUUGUACAUUUAGAGAACAAAGAAGGUUGGUGUCUGCAGCAAAUUGACAGAAAGACUGUAGAACAACAAGAAAGGAGAAGGUACAGGACAUACCAAGGGAAAAUAGACUGUUGAAUCCUAGAAAUAGCAUAAGGCACAUUAAGAUUUUCAAAACUCAUUAAAUGAUAGGAAUUUUGUUACUCAAUAUAAAUAACGGGACUAUUUUUCAAUUAUAUUUUUGAUAGUAUUAGUAUUAUUUUUAUUUCCCUGAAUCUUGUACUACCAUGGACAUUUCAAUUUAGACCCAAAUAGGCCUUAGUAUGUUUGGGCCAAUGGUCCAAAGUGGAAGCUUUCUAGCUGAUCAGUAGCUACUACAUCACAAACUUUCCUGAAACUAGGCAGCUCUAUAUACCAAAACUGUCCAGAACCUAGGUAGUUGUAGAUACUACUUUUUGCGUAAAAUGACACUUGGGGAGGAAAAAGAGGCAGUUCUAGAUACCAACAAUCUCCUGAAACUAGGCAGUUGUAGGUGCCUGUAGCCUAUCUUUUCUUGAAGCUUUCUUCUUAUAGAGAACAUGUUUCCCUGGCAGAGCCAAAAUCAGUGAUUUAAUCUUUUUCUGGAUUAUUGCUCCAUUUCCUUUAGUUUUCAUGACAGUAAUUGAUAUGUCCUUUUUGUCUACAUUUUUGUCUUGUUUCAGUUGAUGGGUCAUACUUGGAUAGAUUUUUCAGAAGUACUGCAAGCAUGGAUCCAUUGCAGGUUCUUUACUCUCCGUAUCAUCUUUUCUGUCCUUUCAGUUUGAUCGUUUGAUAUAUAGCUGUAGUGAUAUUGUUCUUGCCUGACAUUAUUACCCAAUUCCGGUAUGUAGCGUGCAGCAUUCCUUGAGAAUGACAAUGAAAUGGAAGUUGCUCAUUCAGUAGCAGCUACUGCUGGUGACACAGAGGUGAUAUAUUUUAAGUAGCAAAAAUGUUAUGCGAAAUAUCAAUCUUUUCUCUCUCUUUUUUUAUUUUGUUAUUUAUUUUGGGUAUUGAUGGCUUCUGCUCCUCAUGCCAUGCGCCUAUCAUUCUGUCAGGCUUCAGAUGAUGUUGACACUCACUUUAUCUGCUAUGCAUGUGUGGAUGGUACACGUCUCUCUCUCUCUCUCUCUCUCUCUGUAUAUAUAUUCUUUUUUCCUUAGAAAAAGAAGUAUUGUGACAUGUAGGGGAACUAUAUGAGCUUGAUGGGAGGAAGUCUGGUCCAAUCUCUCACGGCCCGUCUUCACCAAACACUCUAUUACAGGUAUUUGAAAAAUCAUUUUGCACUCUGAUUCAAAAAUAAGAGGAAUUGAGAUUCCAAAAUGGCAAAACCUAUACAAAGAUUAAGGAAAGAGCAAGGAGUAGAUAGAUGAAAUUAAACAGUUAGAUUGUUUCUAAACUUCAGGUUUAGUGUAAUCUAUUAUACGGUUAUCGUCCUCUUUUGUUGGAAUCAUUGUACCUUGUAUCUAAAUUUGAAAACAAAUCAAUUUUGCUAAACUUAGGGAGAUUGUGAUUUGAUUUUGAGUGCAAGAAUAGAAGAAAUGUUUGAUAUAGCGCUGCAAGUCUGAACCCACAGGGCAUAGCUCUUUAUGGCAGAGUCAGUUACAGAAUUGGCCUUUGUCUUAAGAGUGUCAAUCUGCUAGUAGGAGCAUGUUUCUUUUCCCUGCUUUUGGAAAAUUCAAUCAAGCAAACUAACUUGCAAAUGCUUGCAUCAUGUCGAUAUUUCUUAGACACACCAUUUCUUGAAAUCAUAUAUUCAAAAUUUAUUGUUUCCACGUCGUUAUGCACACCAUUUCUUGAAAUCAGAUAUCCUAAACCUAUAUAUUGUAUCCAAGUCUUUAUGCACAGUUCUCAGCUCUUCAUUAUAGUGUAUUUUCCUUGAUAUACUUUGUCAUUGACCAUCUGAAUAUCUAAGAACCAUUUAAACUUUUCAUGCAUAACAGGAUGCAGCUAAAGUCAUACAAGGGGUGAUCCAGAAAAAUCCCGAGUCUCUCAACUUCAACGUCAUUGCCAUUUCGAAGAAAUCCGGGUGAUUUUAUUAAGUUGGACGCUUCCAAGCCCCUAAAAAAUGGUUGCAAUUUCAAAGUAGGCAUUUUUAUGCUAGACAAGACCUUUUCCCAGUGAAUGUUUGCUAGCUUCAUCUUCAAGUAUGAGUUGUUUGGAUUUAGUCCAUGGUAAACAAUUCUCAAUCACUAUAACCACUCUUUUGGCAUGGAUGUGUUAGGAGUUUAUGGAUCCCCAUUUUGCUAAACUGAAUGCUAUGUAAAGUUUAUCCUGGUAUGAAGCAAGUAGCACUCAAAAUGUUCUUUGACUUUAUGCAAUCUUCUUGUAGGAUUGGGUUUCCGUGUCCAACUAGAAUUCUUUAUUUUCCCAUUCUUCUUCGUUUGUGUUUCAUACCAUUCUCGUCUUCAUUUCUUUCAUUUGUUGCUCUAGCUGCCAAGUGGGAGAAGAGAUCUACAAUCGCAAACGUGAGUGACGAAACAAAGGAGGGGGGAAGGGCAUGUAAGAGAAGAGUAAGGGAAUUGGAAGGGAACAGGUUUACAUAAAUUUUGCUAAACUAAUAAUCGAUAAUGUAAGUUUCCUUCUUUUUUUCAUCCCUUACUAGCAAGGAUCUUGUAGCAUUAGGGCUGUAAAUAGGCGCUCUAGCAGCUGGUUUUCGACUUGUAUUCGGCUGGUUUUUAACUCAUUCAGCUCAUGUUCGUAUGAUAGCUGAGCUUGAGCUCUAUAUCAAGCAAGCCCAACAAAGAAACGAGCUUGAGCUCAGGUUCUGGAUAGCUUGGUCGUGAUCACGACGAUUCUUUUGUUUCUGCUCUUGCUUCACGUGGGCGUAUUCCUUGCACUCUAAGAAGCUGAGGUGUUUUCAUUAUUAAAGCUAUUCAGAUAGCCAAGUUAAUGGAUUGGCAGCAUCUUUGGGUCGAAACGGAUUCAAGUUGUGUUCAUAAGUACUUUACUUCUCUUUGUUUGAUUUCCUGACGUUUACCUAUUCAAUGGUUCAAUUGAAUGGCUCUCGCCAAACAGUUCUGCAAUACCAUCACACAAUUGAAUGGGGCAAUGCGAAAAGUCGAAGCCUAGGAUUCGUGGUAAUGCGGCGAGUUUUAGGCUCGCCAUGCAACAGCGUGAUUACGGCGGUGUGGGCUCUGAGAGGUUUUGGCUUAUCAAGUGAUGCACGUCGGGGCUUCGACAAUGGCUCCGACCAUGACUAUUCUUGGCUCAGGUGACUGAGGGUGAUGUUUUUGGUUGAGAGUUGGCAAACUAUGCCGGAUUCGGAUGUGCGAUAGAUCAGUGGCAGAUCCAUGAUGCAGAUUUCAUCUAGGCUCACCCUUAUAUGUGAUUUUUUUUUUUUUGUACAAUAUUGUUUCCAUGUCAAAAAGAUAUUUGAAGGAGUAAUAUAUUAUGUCAUUAAAACCAUUUUUCUUAAGAUGGAAAAAAAAAUGGGGGAAGAAAAUAAGAAAGAAAGUAAGAAAUAGUAAUACAAAAUAGGAAAUUAUUGUAUGAAAAAAAAAAUAAGAUAAAAGAAAACAAAGAAGAAAUGUAGAUAGAGGAGGAAGGGGGAAGCAGCAAUUGAACCUAGGCCAUGAUAGGACAAAAGAAAACAUAGGAAAAAAUGUAAAAAAUUGCUGGAAUUAAACCCAGGUCAGAGUGGGAGAUGAAAGUCUUAACUAAGCCAUUUGCCAACUAAACUAACAAUGAUCUUGCUACAAAAUGCACAUGUAGUGGUAUAUGUCCUAAUUUUUUGUUUAGGCUUUAGCCCAUAGAGCCUACUAAGUAGAUCCACCCCUGCGAGAGAUCGAGGGAUCAGCUGCGGUCUGACUGCGUUGAAAGAGGUUGAGGUACCAGCUAUUGAGGUGAUGGAUCUCAGAGUUUACCAACGACGUGUGGGAUCGAAGACUUCACCGUUGGAGGUUGGAUUGACUUCUAACCUUUGGUCUGCAACGACAGUGGAAAUUAUAGUGAUGCUUGGGUGGUGGUGUUUGUCGAUCGAAUCUAGACGUCGAUGAUGAUGGAGGCAGCCUUGGGUUCAACGACGUUGAAGCGUGAUGUUGGGUGCAUGUCUGAGGCUGGUUAGGACAGAGAGUGGUGGCGCUCUUCUAGGCAGGUGUCAACUGUCCCUGUAUUUUCCGACAGGAAACCCUAACAAAAUCCAGGUUGACUGCUGAGAAGGAGUUAACCAUAAUGAGGCCUAGUUGGUUGGCCCGGGUUGACCAGCUUUGGAGGUGGGCUGCUUUUUGUUGGGCUAGACUAUGGCCCAGAAGGAAUAGGGGCAUCUAGGUCUGAUUGGUGCCUGAGGCACCAGCUGGUGAGGGGUCUUCGACUCUAGUGGGUGAGGUAGUGGACUUCGGAAGUGGCCUAAGCCUAGGCAACACUCUUGUGAGUGCCUCUACUUGGGGAUUUUCACCAAGACAUUGAAUAAGCUAGGGAAUGUUUGGUUUUGUUCCAGCUAAUUCCCCGGCAUUGUCAGGAAGCUUCCUGUUAUGCUUAUUUCUGUUGCUUAUUUGGUUUCUUUCAAAUAUUUUUGUUGCAUGUUAAGUUGCUUAUUUCUUUGUUCAUGUUGACAUUAGGUCAUUAAAGAUAUCCUUCUGAUGGCUCACAGAAGGCUCAAUUUUUACAUAGCCCAUUGGUGCGCUAUGCUUAUGUAACAUCGAUAUGUUUUAAUAGAUUGAAACCCACUCUUUUUUAGAAACAAAAACAAAAACUAUUGCGCGUACAUGUUAGUCACAUUUUUAGGGAAGCUAAUACAUCUACUGACCUCUUUGCUAACUAUGAAGCAUCACAUGAGGGAGAGAGUGAGUAACUCCCUUUGCCCUUGUUCUUGGCUACUGAUUAUGGUCGUGACCUUUAAGCUAGGUCAAUGUGUAGGAUCAAUCUAUGGUCUCAGGUUGUUGCAUGUUCUCGUUUGAUAUUUUAUUUAUUUCAUGUUUGUUUGUUCAACUACUCUCUGCAAUGGUUGUUCUAAAUGUUUUUUGAUGUUUCAUUCCUUGUACAUUUGUCGGGAUUGCAUUGGUUUUAUCCUCCAUUCUUUUUGUACUGCAUUAGGAUUUCAUCAAUCGAUAGAGGAUGAUGAGCUAGUCUUCUUCUCGUUUUAGUACAAAAACCUAUUAAAAAUAACUUAUCACAAUAUCAUCUAACCAUAAAGAGUUUUCAACAUAUCCAUGUAGAACAAUUUUCUAAAAUUGGACAAUUCAUGCAACAUUAGAGCUGAUCAACACAACUUUUCAAGUUGAGGCAUACUUGGGAAGACGAUGAAAAUUUUAUUCAACAACAAUAAUAUUGCAUAGUUUUAAGGAAAGAUUUAUGGAUCUCAAUAAAUGGUUGGACUGAGAUACACUAUCAAGUUUGUUCUGACUUUUCUAUUAUUUAAUCUUUUUUAUAUCUUUUUUAGGGAAAUAUCACUUAAUUUGUAACAUAUAAAAUGAUGACAAAACCACACUUUUGCACGCGCACGAGCGUGUGGACAAAGGCUAGUAUAAAUAUCACUUAAUUUGUAACACAUAAAAUGAUGACAAAACCACACUUUUGCACGCGCACGAGCGUGUGGACGAAUGCUAGUAUAAAAAACCGAAACAAAAGAAAUACGAUAAGAAACUUGCAGUAAUUUACAGAAAACCCCAAUAAUACCUUGAAAUUUUCAUCUAUGCCCUUCUUAGGCUUCAAUACUGACAAAAACGAAGAUUUCAUCACACCACACUUAAAUCCAAAAGCCAUCACUCCGGAGACGGUAAAGCCGCCAGUGCAAACGAGAGUAUAGAUGUAGUAGCUGAAGGUGGCAACGCCUAUGUGUUUAAAGGUCAAUACAAGGAUCCUUAGCACUUCUUUCUUCGAUUUAUUGUUGAGAGCGCGAACACAAGUAAUCAACCUUGGGAUUUGAAAAUAGAAGGACAUCGGAAACCCGGCCUCCCUUCCGAUCUUAUCAACGGCAUCAAUGACAACGUCAUGGUUGAUCAUCGAGAAGGUUGCACCACCUAUGAGAAAGAGAAGCUUUGUGGUGCUUCCGCCGGCGGUCUUAUCCUCCGGCACUCUUUGUGUGUGUGUGUAAACACACAUACAUACAUAUAACAAAUUGAUGAUUGUUUUCCUAACAAUGUGGGAGGCUACGAGACAUGGUGGUUUUGUAGAAAUGGUUCAGCAAACUUUACCGCUGUUGAUUUCAUCAUGGCUGCACCAAACUAUAGCUUCAAGAUAACCAACAUUAAGGUGAUGGCUGGAGUAUACAAUGAGUGAAUUAUUUUGGAUUAGAGAAGACAAACUUGAUAAUCAUUACACUAAUUACUUUUGGAAUUUCUUUUAGAAAAUCAACAUCAAGAUGAUGGCUGGAGUAUACAACAUCAAGUGAUUUCAUAUAAGAUUGUAAUAACAGGCAAUAGGAGUAAUGCAACAACUUUUGGAACCUAUUACUCUGCAACUGGACACUGCUGGACCAAAAGGAAGAAUUUUAUGUGGGUCUUUCCAUGGUGUCUACUUUCGCUGCAAGAUUAUCGGAUACCAAGAUACUAUCUACGCAAAGCAAAGUUUACAACUUUUCAUAGAGUGUGAAAUCUUUCACACCAUAUAUUUCAUAUUUUGUGAUGCUCAAGUUAUCUUUCAAUGAUGCAAUGUCUAUGCUCAGAAACCGAUGUCAGGCAAUCUGUAACAAUCACAACUCAAGGUAAAGAGACUUCAAGUCAUCGCUCUGCAAUGGUUUUCCAUAAUUGCACAAUUCGGUUAACAACAUAGUUAAUUAACUCGGGCUUUCGAGUGGAUGGAUACUUGGGAAUAUCAUAGAAAGUUUACUCAACAACAAUCAUAAUGCAGAAUUUUCCUGGAAAGGUUCAUAGAUCUAAAUGGAUGGUUGGACUAGAAUGAAAGAUUGAGCUCGGCCGAAAUCUUCUAUAUUGAGUAGGCCUAUCAAGGACAUGGAGCAAAUACUACUCAUGCAAGACUACAUGCAUGUUAUCUAGAUACACUAUAUGCGAAACAAAAUAUCAAAUUUUUUCGAGUGUGGAAUCUAUUUUUGGUGAUACUUAAUUUAUAUUCAACGAUGCAAUGUGUAUUCUCAGAGACAAAUGAGAGGGAAAUUUAUCACAAUUACAUCUUAAGGAAAAGAGUGUUGGCGUGAGUCGUAUAUUGUAGUUGGGAUUGUGAAUAUUGUGUAUUGUUAAGAAUAUCUUAUCGUAAUUAGUUUCCUAAUAGGACUUGGUGUAUUCUGAUAUACACACACAACACAGACACACACACACACACUCCGUUUACGGAGAAGAUAAAUAUAUGAGAAAUUUUAAAUAUACACCUCUAAUCUCUUAAUACACACCAAUAUUAUUUUAUAUUUCACAUCAUAUUUUAUAUGUAUGUUUAAUUACAAAAACAUCCAUCAAUUAUUAAGGAAAAAAAGAAGAAAAAAAAAAGAAAAAAAAAAACUUUACUCUCCCCUAAAACCUAACUCUUCUCCACUAUUACUAUGCAUCAAAAGAAAAGAAAUAAAAACCUCUUCUCCAAAAUUCAUCACCUGAAUUUCGACUACUGUCGUAAUCACAUGUACUAUUUACCUAUUUAUUUAGUUUUUAUACUAUUGUACUUCUACUAGUUUCUUAACUUUGAAAAAAUUAUGUAUGUUCAAUUUUUUUUCUUCAAAUUCAAGCCGAUUGAUGUCAUAUUGGAGAUUUGAAGUUCGAAUAUAAUAUUACUCUUUUGAUUAUAAAUUAAAAAAUAUCAAGAAAAAAUUUCUACCCCGCCCGAUCAAAAAAAAUCUAACAGAAAAUAAAAGAAAAUACAUAAAGAGAGUUGUGAAAUAGUAAAUAUAUAAUAAUUAUAUUAAAUAACAAAUUAUUAUUAGUUUUAGAUAUUGAGGGUAUUUUAGGCAGUUUGGAAUGUGUAUUUAGUAUAACAUUGAAAUGAAAAACUAGAUGGGUAGUGUAUUAAGUAAAAGGUGUGUAUUAAGAGAUUAGAGAUGUGUAUUUAAAAUUACUCUAAAUAUAUCAGAAAUUCCCAAACACUUUAUCUUUCCUUGUCUGUUUAACUGAGUCUCUUAUGGAUCUAACAAUUGCACAAUCCAAGUAACAUUAGAGCUAAUCAACUUAGGCUUUAAAGUUGAGGCAUACUUGGGAAUAUAAUGAAAGCUUUUUCAACAACAAUAAUUUAGAAAGCUUUCAACCGGGUUUUCCCUUGCGUGGUAGGAGCGCGAUGGAAGAACAAGUUUUUCUCUAUACAAAAAAUUAUGCUGAAAUCUGAAUAUGUUGAUCAAGGACAUGGUACAAACAUUACAAGCAUAAAGAAUUUGAUAGGAUACAAGGUCUUGAAUAACUAAAUUCUUCCAACUUAACAAUGCGUAACCUCAUUUAUGCCGAGACAAUUAUAUAUCAUCUACUGAUAUUCAUAUCAACUAGACUAACUAUCUGCAUUUUAGUUAUUCUAUUAUUUGUUUACGAGCUAAAAACAUAGACAUCACUUAAACUAUCUUCAUUGUCCUAAUAAUCUUCAAUCUCAUUCAGGUGACUGGUUGUCUUUAUUUAUAUAUAUAUAUAUAUAUAUAUAUAUUGACACACACCUAUAGACAUGUAUACAUAAUAACAAUAUUUAGAAGAAACUAUAUAGUGUUGCUAUAUGGUGUAUCAUAUAUAAACAAUAAUUAAUUUAUUAAUAUAAAGUAGAAGUUACUAUAUAGUUUUUUUAUUCAAGCCCAUAAGGCGAAAAAUAUGUUCAUCAUAAGUAUGAUAGAUCGUUACAUACCCUACCGUUGCAAUUUAAGGACAUAGACAUACAAGGAGUUAGUGGUAGUACCCACAGUGAUAUAUAAACAAGGAAAAAUUUUAAGAACAGUACAUAAAAUAUGUUCCACUGAUAAUUAAGGUUAUUGAACUUCCGAAACUAUCACAUAAGUACAUGAACUUAUGAACCAGACACAAUUUAAGUGCAUUGUUAACUACUCCGUGACAAACAAUGUCAUUGUUAAAUAGUAGAAGGGUAAAAUAGUAUUAUCAUACCCAAGCCAUUUUUAUAUCUUUUUCUUCACCAUUUCGAGUCUCCCGGUCCUUCUCUAUCUCCUUACUGUCUAUUUCUCCUUCACACCCAUAUACGGCCGACACACUUGUGCGCUCGUCACGUUCGUUGUCGGUCUCUAUGAUGCAUAACGUUGGUAGCAACACCAAUAAAAAGGCCGAGCCUGCAAAUGGGUCGGUUUCGAAAAGUUAAGCCUUUAGUGAUACGGAGUUUCAUGACGAAUGUUUGCAAAAGUGGGUUUUGGGUUGAUUGAUCUUUCGUUUCAAUCAACAGUUUCAAUGUUGGAUAUAUAUUGGUUUGGUUGAUUGAUUUUUGUGUAUAAAAGGUUAUGGGUUUUUGGUUCAUUUGAUUGAAUAUAUAUUGAAUUUGGUUGAUGUUUCAUCUAUUUUGACGACAGAAAAAGAGGUUCUGGGUAUAAAAAUUGAAGCUCUACAAGAUCUUUAAUUUUCAAAAAUGGUUGAUUGAUUUGUGAUUUUGAGGUUUUUUAUAGGUGAGUCCAUAGGUGGGUUAAAUUCUUCAAUUUCUUCUUCUCUGUUAUGAACGACACAUACACCUUAAAAUCCAUAGGUGGGUAGUUCCCAGCCCCUGCGAGGUUGUUGAUGUUGAGCUCUUAUUCUUUCCAGUGAUUGAAUUUUUGAGCGUAUUUGGAUGUGGAGAUGGCGAUGGGGAUGAGGAAGGGGGAGUGAUGUCCUUGUGUCAUCUUCUUCCAGUUUCAGAAUGGUGUUGUCAAAAUCAAUAGUUGUAUAUUGCAUACCUUAAACGAAGGGGGCAGUACGGCCAUAAUCAUGAAAAAUACCUCUAAACGAAGGGGCUAUAUUUAAUUAUAAUUUCAAGUGUCACAUAUUCGUCUCCCCGAUAUAAAUAUUAAUGUAAGAUACAAAUAUUAACAUAAACUAGCACUAGGAGAAACAAAAUACAAUCUCAUAUUUUGUAAAAGAAGUUUCUAUUCAUACCUCUAAAAAUAUACUUAGAAAAAAAAAAAAAAAAAAAAGGAAGAAGAGAGAGAGAGGUUUAAAUGUCAAUUUAGAGCUAUGAAUAGAAACCCCAUUUUGUAAAUUCACACGUCCCACAGAAAAAUAGAAAAUCAUUGACCCAAAGAGGAGGAAGAGCCCCACCCGAGACCCGAAACCCAAACCCGGAUGACGUCAGCGGACAAUGAAAACAAGAGCCCUAUACAAAAAGCAAGAAUCGGAGAACAUAUAUAUACCCAAUAUCCUCUCCGCCUAAAACCCUUCAACUUUGGUCUCUGAAUCUCCCUUCAUUCUUUGGUUCCAGACCCAAAAACCCUUCUCUGUUUUUGUUUGCUUUUGUCUUGUUUUGUUUUGUUUGUUUUGUCUCAAAUGGAGAUAGAGCAGAAACAAGCCCAGCUGAUCGAUCACUUCGUGAAGCAAGCCUCGACUCUCCAAGGCUCUUCUCUCGCCAGCCUCAUCGUCCAAGUCACCUCUCACAAUUCCCUCUUUGCUUUCUCUGAGAUUCUCGCCGUCCCCAAUGUCCUCCAGGUCAGUGUUUCCUGCAUUCCUCAAUUUCCAGAUUGAUUUUCAUGGUUUUUGUUGAUUUUGCCUGGGACUGUUGUGUUUUUGUUGAUUUUGCCUGGGACUAUUUUGGGUUUGUGAAGUUUUGUGCUUUUUGCUUAAUUUCUGUGGAUUAUGUGCUCUUUGGUAUCUGGGAAUUGAUUUUUUACAUUCUCUGUUGUUGCUUUUGUUUUGCUAAUUGUAAUGUUUGUGGGUUAAUGCGCUGAUGUAGUUUAAGUUCCUGAUAAGCCUAUAAUGCAAUUUAGAAGCUUUGGAAUUCAGCUAGUUUCGUGUCAAGUUUUUUUUUUUUUUUUUGGUUAUUGUCAAUUUGGGUUUGAUUAGCUAGUGUAAUACGAAGUAUUGGCACAUGAUUUGUUUUUUGUUUUUUUUUUUUUUUUUCUCCUUUGUUGACCGUCCGUUUGUUUAUGCACUGAUAUGAUGGUAUUGAUUAUUGAUGAGGUUUGUAGAAUGUGAGUUUGUCGAAAUUGGAUACUCUAAAAAGUGUGCAGAGGAGAUAACUUUUCAGCUAUUGAAUCCCAUGGCACAACUGAAAUUUUGUAGAUACUGACUUUGAUAAGUUGAGUUUAUCUAAGUAGACUUUAUCCUAGUGUAGCUUGCCGUUGUUCAGUAUUAGUUAAUCAGGUACAAAGAGUGGCAAGUAUGAAAUUGAACUUCAACUGUUUUCUCUUUUGGGCUAGUUAUUCAACUUUGUUUACGUGAAGUCUUAAACUGCAAAUCGGGAAAGAAGGGGUAAAAGCGACUUCCCAUUAUAUUUUCCGUCUUAGUUAACUCAAUUAAAUUCCAUUGGAUGAUUCUUGAUUUAACUAAGGAAUCACUUUUUUUUUCUUUUUGUGCUUACACCAUCAUUUGUUUUUAUUUUACCAUAAUAGGCUGGUUUCUAUUCUAAUAAAUUAAUUUGAAUGCAGCUUCAAGGAACCGAAUAUGCUAUAUACAUUGAUAUGCUUCGCCUCUUUGCUCAUGGUACAUGGAGCGAUUAUAAAAGUAAGCAACUUUUCUUUCAACCUCCCCUCCACCAUCUGGAUGAGGAAGUUAUUUCUGUUUUGUUCAUUGUUCUUUGUUCAUUCUUCAAUUGUAUCUUUCGGGUAAUAUCAUGCUUGUUCUUCGUAAGUUAGAGUUUCUACUGUUGCCUAGGUUGUUAUCAUCAUGAUCAUUUACAGGUCUGUGGUAAGCCCUCCUGUUAUACCUAUAUUUCAAACAAGAGCUGCAUAAUAUAUUAAUUUUCUUCAUAAUAUUUGUUCCGAAACAGCACGUUCACAAUAUUUACUAUUAAUCUUCCAGAUGUUUUUUUUUCUUUUCUACAUCAGCAGAAAUUGAAAAAUUGACUUUCAUUUGUAUACUUGUUUUCCAUAACGCAGCUUAAAUUUUCAAUUGAUUGGACUGUUCCAAAUCUAUUAGCGUGACACUGUUCCUUUACCAUCAUUAGACUAUUUAGCUAUAUGAGGAUCUCUUUAGUUCGCUUAUCAGUCAUGUUUAGUGGAAAUUUCAUUGGCUAAUGAUGUUGUCUGUGGCACUUUGUAAUUUCACUUUCUUGUUGUGCAUAUAUAUAUAUAUAUAUAUGAAAUUUACUGAAAUAAUUUAACGGCAGGUAAUGCUAGUCUUCUUCCACCACUAGUCCCAGAUCAAAUUAUCAAGCUGAAGCAACUUACUGUGCUGUCUCUAGCUGAGACGAACAAGGUAUGCUAUUAUUUUUUUGACCAAGCACUAUUUUAUUAUACCUAUAUCGUUUGAGCUUCUCUUUUCAUAGUUCUGAAAUAUAAGUCAGUAUAUGGUUUUACAUGAGUCAUAAUUCAACACAUAAAGCAGCCGAACAGGUAAUGUGACUUUGCUAUAUGCAUAAUUUAUAGGGCUGCCCUUUAUUGAGUUGGUUUAGACUGUUUACUUUAUAGUUUUGUAUUACUUGAAUCAAUUUGCCUAACAGAAUUUACAAUGGCUUGUGUUGCGGUUUUCAUUCUAAUUUUGAAUUUUUCAAAUAAAAAUAUAAGUGAAGAUUGAGUCUCAGAAAAUAGAAUACAAAAGAGAGGGAAAAAAAAAAGGAUAAGGGCAGCUAAAAUUGAAGUUAAUGCCUCCUGCCAAGUUUAGCUUUAUGUGUGCUACACAAAAGAGUGGAUGUCGGUCCCCAAUACCAAUGUAUGUCUCUCUUAAGUAUGAAAAGCGACUAGACAAAUAAAUUAAAACCUGUGGCAUCCAAAGGAGGAGGCCUAGGAUAACCCUGAACAAGAUGGGUAGCCCCUUGUGUGGAACCCCUUGUGUGGAAAAUAAAAAAUCCUCAGAGUUUUCUGGGUGUUCUACUUUAUAUGCAAAAAGGAUGGAAAGGAAAUUAUGGGAACUAUGAUGACCUGUGACCAAGAGUCUUCUUAAUGAGGAGAAAGGGAAAGCAUUUAUACUGUGGGUCCUAUUUCCCCACUAGUUUUUUGGGUACAAAAGUAAAAAUUGGCGAAAAUAAGUAGUUGCCAGUGCUUCUGAUAAUAUUUGGAAGUGAGUUAUGUUAAUAGUUAAUUUUAUCUUCAAAACUCCAGGCAUUGGCGGAGAAUGUGCAUGCAUUUUAAGAUGGUUUUAGCUUUUGAAGGGUAUUCUCUGUUUUAGCUAUUUAAAGGAUGUCUCUUAAUUUAGUUCAUGUCGUUUAAUGGAAUGGUUCCUUUUUCAAUAGUAAAGACUGAUUGUGAUGAACAUCUUGUCCAUCAUACUUGUAGCUAGUCAUCCUUAAUAUUUGGUCUGCUCUAUGUCUCUCUUGAACAUCCAAUCAAGAAAUUUUAUUGGGUUAUGAAUAUUCUCUUGAAAACGAAAUUGUUCUCAGAAGUUUCAGGCUCUUCUUAGAAAACCUUGUGAGCCAACAAUAUGAAAACUAAUGGUAUCUCUAUUUUUUCUUUCCCUGAACUGUCAACCAUAUUUGAUCUGUGUUUACUAAUACAACUAGUUUUCAAUUUCUCUCUUUUUGCCAGGUUCUGUCCUAUGAUCAACUCCUUGAGCAACUUGAUCUUUCAAAUGUACGCGAACUUGAAGACUUUCUUAUCAAUGAAUGCAUGUAUAUGGUAGGUGCCAUUUAUUCAGGUUCAUAUAUAAUAUUUGGUAUCUGUGAUGUGACUUUCUUAGGACCAGUAAACAAAGAGUUGAUAUUUGAGCUUAAUUUUCUAAAUUUGAGAUGACCCUAAACUGACAUUUUGGUAUAUGUGUUUUAUAGGGCAUAAUCAGAGGGAAGUUGGAUCAUUUGAAAAGAUCUGUUGAGGUUGAAUAUCUUGCUUGAUUAUAUUUUGGUUAUAAUUCACAUGUCUUCAACCAGUAUCCAUAACCUUGACAAUCAUUUUAUUUGCAGGUUCAAUUUGCAGCUGGGAGGGAUCUGAAACCUGGCCAGCUUGGGAAUAUAAUAGACACCUUAACGGAUUGGUUUGUAUCCUGAUUUUAGCUACAACGUCCCUUUAUUUUUUGUACUUCAUAUGUUCUUUAUCCUUUUGCUAAGAAAUUCCCAACGGAAAAUAUUUCUUACAGUAGUAAUGUUCAAUAAUCAGGUUAGCCACUACCGACAAUGUACUCGUCACAAUUGAGGAGAAGAUCAAAUGGGCAGAUAAGAAGUGUGAGUUGAAUGCAACACACCAAAAGGAGGUCAAGGACAGAGUGGAAGAAGUGAAGAAGUCUCUUGGUCACGACAGGGUAAGUAGUUGAUCAAAAUCAAACAGCUUGAACAAGAUAAAAGGGGAAACAAUUGAACUUUAUCAUGCAUUCCCAGAUUGUAUCUUUUUCAGUUAUACUGUUUACUUUUGUUUCAGAGGAUCUGUUAACUUGACAGAAAAGAUUAAUUUUAAACGCCUAGGGAGUUCCUGCACAUGUAGGCAUCUUUAUAUCCAUAGUGUAGGGAGUGUCAGCUAUUGAACUUGGCCUGCUGCUGCUGCUGUUUAGCAUUGGAUAUGUCCUUUUGACAUGUUGUUAUUGUAUCGGUUCACUUGAUGUCCUCAAUUGUUUUGCAAUCUCUUUGUGUUUAAUUUGGUGGCUUGCUUUUAGUGGAUAAGUGGUCUACUUUUGUGUUGUACUUCCAUGUGGUUAUAGUUAUGCUUCUCAUAAAAAUUGAAACUGGAUUAAAAAUAAAAAUAAAAAUAAUGUUUGCAUCAUUAAAAAGGAAGAACCUCUAGGCUAGCCUUUCUCGCUCAUUUCACUUCUCGUUUCAAAUAUAGUUGAAAAGCUGUAGUAUUUUCACCUGAAAACUGAUCAUGAGCGAUAUAAGGGAUUAAUUUUCUCUCUUGUGAUACUGAUAUUGUCAAGUUUUACUUACAUGUCAACAGCCGCCCCGUGGAUACCGUGUUGAAGAUUUUAUGCUUGGUGAACAUGGUGGGUUAAUGGACUAUGAAGAAGAUCGCACGCGAAUGAAGAGGUAAUUCAAAUCCCUGUGUUUAAUUAAAUAUUCACCCUUCUUUUUUCUAUGUCGGCAAUCACUUUAAUACCGAUACAACCUAAAUACUAAUAGUGAUGAACUGUCGCCUCUGAAACUUUUCUUCCCUGAACCCUGGAACAGGAACUAUUGGGUUGAAGCAAUUACUAGCUAUUCACCCAGUAGUUAAGGCAAACAUGAUUUCAAUUAAUGAGUAGAUGGUAUUGCCCUGUCAUAUGAAUAACUAUGUGGAGCACUAUCAUCUAUGGUUUGCGCCUAUAUUACAUGAUUCUUGACUCUUAGUGCAUCUGCACCCUAUGGAAGAGCCAAAUAGUGGAUUAUUGAACUUCUGAUUCCUGUAAUUGAAGGCUCAUCUGUUGCUUUCACAUAGAGGAUAUUAGUUCCCGUAUUUAAUCUAGACUGUAGUACAUGUGUCUAACUCAAUAUUCCUGCUGUCUCAUUAAGUUUGUUCUUGCAGAAGAAGGUCGCCAAGGUUUUAAAAGUGCAAGAAAUCCGUUGAUAUCAAUCGGAUGGCGGUCAGAUUUUCUUUUCCAUGGCAUAUUGCAAUCAUAUGCAAAAACUGUCGAAUGAUCUUUUAAUCUUUCAAUUGAACCGUUGGAGAAGAGGUGAGGGUUCCUUUUAGCACAAUGCAUAGUUCAUUAUGGUAGGAUAAUGGUAUAGCAUUGCAUCCCAUGUAUUUAUACCCUCGAUAUCAUAUAACAAAUCCAUCCUGACUUAGUACCUUGUUGAGUUAUGAUAAUUGGUUUUUCAAAUGACGAGUAAAAUUGGCGGUUGGGGUUUGAAAAAGAAAAGGGUGCCAAUAUUAAUCACCUUUCAAAAAUUGGAAUGUAUGAGGUCAGGUUUUUUUAAAUCGUAGUUAUUUUCAGUUGUUGGAAAUGCUAAGAACACGUUGGCCUGUUUCCGUGAAUUUCACAUGUUGAAUACACAAUCGAUCAUGAAGGCACUGUUGUAAGAAUAAACAUCCCCAAAUCUAGCAAGUUAGUAGUUUGCACGACUAGCUCAUUGCAUAUCCCAGAUGGUCAUGCUUCUAUAGUCAUCAUUGAACAAAGAAAUCCUUAAUGAUCUGGAUGUGUGGGAACUAUUCUUAGACAUCAAAUUUUGGACGUCAACUGUAGAUGAGCAUUCAAGACUCCUUGAUUGUUUUUGACAAAAAAAACAAAAGCUUGAAUCAAACACUAAUUGCAAUAUAGACCUCGAAAAUGAAAUCUUUCUUGGGGAGUCUUAGUAGCACUUGAAAAUGAUUUUGAGAAGCACUAAUCAAGUUUGUGUAGUGCUUUGAGAGCUAUUUCUAGACAGAUUUGUAGUUGUGUUGGAAAAAGGAAAUCACAUUGUCCCAAAAGAUGUCAAGAGCCCCAGAAACGUACUGUCUAAUUUCAAACCAUGCGGGUAGCUUUUGGAGGUUUGUGAAGGACUGUAAGGAGAUGAAGAAGAAGACGACUCAUUGAUUACAAGUUUGGAUCCACUGCUGUUCCUAUCAACCUGCCUGCUUGUCUGUAACAACUUUGGAAAAUUUGAAGGAUAGGUCAAAACUGGCUAAUAGUCGAGGUCCAAAUUUUGAAAGUCAAAGAAUGAAAUAAGAUUUUCUGUUGCUUGCAUGACCUUAGUAUUGUCUCUAAGCUUUGCUCUACACACGUGCAUUUCUGGAAAAUGGAGUUGUAUGAGGUUGACGUGAUCCAUGUCAUGCUGCUGCUACUUAUUCUUCUUCUUCUUGCUGCUGCUUUGUCUCUCUGCGACUGCUUAGCUCCUCCCAGUUGCUAAAGCAUCUUUGAAGUUUGAACAUGUCAUUCUCCUUCAACGUUAGUUUGUGUUUAUUGUUUGACCACUUAUCUUUCUCGUUUUGAGUUAUAAUUUGUUGAAAUUAGAGACUCAUGAUUGAGAUGGUACAUUCGAUUAAAAAUCCAUGCUUGGGUUUUACAGUAGAUUGGAAAAUGGCAAAUCAAGAAAGACAUAUAUGUUUGAAGCCCGAUGAUUAUAUAGUUCAAGUCAUGCACUAUCAUAAUCCUUAUUGAUUUUAAAGAAAUGUCCUUUGAUUAUAUAAACGUUGAUCCUUUUAUAUCUUGUUUGGACCUGAAUUUUAACCUCAGGUGUAAAGUAGAUAUGGUGUUUUCCGUCGAAAUGAGAAGUUUAGAACCCUAAAACCUAAAUGAAAGUUUGAUACAAUCACAGUCAUCUCUACCACUAUAAAGCCAGGCCCAUCAAAAGCUUCACCAAACUGUGAACUUCCAUAAUUAUCCUUAAUGAAUCAACUAACACAAAUAAAAAAUAAGGGUUGUUAUAGUAAAAACAAAAUCAAAAUCAAAAUCAAAACAAAUUAAAUAAAUAAAUAAUCAUACAAACUACCGAUUAGUAGGACGAAUAACUGUAUAAUACGAUAAACUUAAUUAACUGCUCACAUUUAUCUUUAGUUGAUCGUGAUUAUGAUUCCGUGCAAAUAUGCACAGGUAAAAAGCUAGUAUUUAAUAAUACAUACGUGUCUCCUAUAGGUUACCCCUUUUUGUUUCAGGAUGUCUAUUCUUGUAGAGUAUUUUCUUCCUUAGCUAGCUAGUCGAAAACAUUGAGUACGUAUACCGCCAUCGAGGCUAAUCUGCAGGUUGAAAAUGUCAAGUUUACUCUCUAUAAUCCAUGAGUUGAAUUGUGUGAAUGUGACUAACUAGCUAGUUGAUUAGCUCAUAUUAUUCAGCGGAUCCAAUUAUAUAUGUCAUUCUCAACUGCGCUCAGUAUAGUUUAUUACUUACACAUUCCAUGGGGGAUCAAAGUUCCUGAAGAAUUAUAAUAACCAAACUGUUCUACUGGGGAAAGUACCUAAGAAUUUUUCUGUGUUCAAAACAUAGGUAGAAAGUUGAUGGAUGCAAAUUUGCUCCCUACCUCAUCCCACCACCUAGUUGAACGCUACAUAUUUUAUCUUUGGGCGAAUUACAUAGAAGUCUACUUUGAGACAUUUUUUCCCACAUAAGUCCACCCUAACAUUUUUACCCACAUAAGUUCACUUAAACCUAAAUAAGGUUUUGGUUUAGGUAUUGAAGUUCAACAUAAUUACAGACUGUCAUCCAACCAAAAAAUUAGAUUUUUUCUCUUACAUUUACAAAAAUGUCAUUAAUGUAAAAAGUCAAUAACUACUCUUCUCUCUAGAAAAGCCUCUGGCAUACCUCCGGCAAGGUCUCCGAUGGACUCCGGCCGACCUCCGGCGAUGUCUCCAGCCGAAUUCCGACAAGGUUUCUGACGGUUACGAAAGCUACUAUCCCUAGCUAGAAAAACUACUACCACCGACUACAAAAACUACUACCAUCGACUAAAAAAGCUACUACCGCCAGCAACAAAAACUAUUAUCCCUAACUACAAAAGCUACUAUCUCUAGCUAGAAAAACUACUACCACCGACUACAAAAGCUACUACCACCAGCAACAAAAGCUACAAAAUCUAUUAUCCAUAUCCCUAGCUACAAAAGCUACUAUCCCUAGCUAGAAAAGCUACUACCACCGACUACAAAAGCUAUUACCGUCAGCAACAAAAACUACUAUCCCUAACUACAAAAACUAUUAUCCCUAGCUAGAAAAGCUACUACCACCGACUAGAAAAACUACUACCACCAGUAACAAAAGCUAUUAUCCUAGCUAGAAAAACUACUACCACGGACUACAAAAGCUAUUACCGCCAGCAGCAAAAACUACUACUAACAACAAAAGCUACUAUCCCUAGCUACAAAAGUUACUACAACCAACAACAAAAUCUACUAUUGCAACAACCAAAAACUACUAUGAAGCAGAACAAAAGCUACUAGUACCGGCAACAAAAGCUACUACCGUAGGCAACAAAAGCUAUGAAACAGAACAAAAUCUACUGUUACCAGCAACAAAAGCUAUUACCUAAGAUUAAAAAAAACAAUGUUUAGAGACUUACUACUAAAAUAAAAAUGCUAAUGCAAUCGAGUGAAUAAAACACAUUCAAUGAUACAGAAAGUACUUGUUUUCUACCAUAAUAUAAUUAUUUACAAAGCUCCUUCCAUAGUUGUAAAAAACUACUGCCAUAGUUCCAGAAUUAUACUACAAUAAUAGCAGAAAGCUACUGGCAGUUUCCAAGAGUGAUAAUUUCUUGGUAAACAAAAGCUUCAAUAUCCAAUUUCACAUGAUUUUCGAAAUCUACUACCACAAUUCCAAAGCUUCUGCAAGAACAAAAACACAACACAAUAUUAGUAUUUGAAAUGAAAAUAGAAGUUAUUGACAUCAUGUUGAAAAAAAUACUAUUAUAGAGUUAGAAAGCUACUAUCAUUGUGUUGAAAAGAUACUACUACACAAUGAGAAAAUUACUGACAUCAUCUUGAAAAUAUACAAACAUAGAAACAAAAAGUACUAUAACUGUGUUGUAAAGAUACUAACACAGACACGAACAUAUACUAUUACGAUAUUCAAAAGAUACUAACAAAAGAUAUAAAACAAUUACUAUCACUAACACAAAAAUAAAAGAAUUUCUAUGACUAUCAGCAAAGCACAGGGUUUUUGAUCAUGAACACACUAGCUUGUUAUUCAUCUUUCAACACAAAUAGUACCGCUGCCUAGAUCAUCUAUUAAGGGAGAAGGAAAGCACAGAGUUGCUUGUUUCAAACUUCGUUCUUUGUAUCACAGAGAAGGUUGAACCAGCUAUUCAAACAGAGCACCAAAAGAAUCAAACAAAAUCUAAGAGCAUGUAGAAUGAGAAAAAUAAACCAACGACUGGCAAAGGUUUAACAGACUAUGAUCUAAGUGAAGUCUAUAGGUAGAGAAGAAGAGAAGUUAGAAGUAAUUGGCUUACAUACCAGUGGAUAUGGAUCGAUGUUAGGAGAGAGACAGACUCCGGCGAUCUGAAAAGCAUCAUCGUCGUCGACAUAAUCAAAGAUGCAAUCGAGCUCGAAGUUGUCGUUGUCGAGGCGCCGUCUACUAAAACUGAGAUGCAGUGGAGGUCGAGCCGGACGAUUACCGGCGAUGGAUCAUCUGAGGGAGAGACCUCCAACGCAGGCAGAUAUGCGAUCGCAUUUAAGAGCAGUUUGGUGACGACCUUGAGGGAGAUGCAGUCGAGGCCAAGAUCGUCGUGCAAGCGUCGUCGACGGUUGAUCCGGAAGUCAUUGUCAAGGCUAGGCGGCGGCAUCGUCGUCGUCGGAGAAGCAAUCGAGGUCCUGCCGGAAUUCGUCUCGAAGCGGCAGCGGCCUUGGAAUCGAAGGAGAGAGAGAGAGAGAGAGAGAGAGAGAGAGAGAGAGAGAGAGAGAGAGAGAGAGAGAGAGAGAGAGAGAGAGAGAGAGAGAGAGAGAGAGAGAGAGAGAGAGAGAGAGAGAGAGAGAGAGNNNNNNNNNNNNNNNNNNNNNNNNNNNNNNNNNNNNNNNNNNNNNNNNNNNNNNNNNNNNNNNNNNNNNNNNNNNNNNNNNNNNNNNNNNNNNNNNNNNNNNNNNNNNNNNNNNNNNNNNNNNNNNNNNNNNNNNNNNNNNNNNNNNNNNNNNNNNNNNNNNNNNNNNNNNNNNNNNNNNNNNNNNNNNNNNNNNNNNNNNNNNNNNNNNNNNNNNNNNNNNNNNNNNNNNNNNNNNNNNNNNNNNNNNNNNNNNNNNNNNNNNNNNNNNNNNNNNNNNNNNNNNNNNNNNNNNNNNNNNNNNNNNNNNNNNNNNNNNNNNNNNNNNNNNNNNNNNNNNNNNNNNNNNNNNNNNNNNNNNNNNNNNNNNNNNNNNNNNNNNNNNNNNNNNNNNNNNNNNNNNNNNNNNNNNNNNNNNNNNNNNNNNNNNNNNNNNNNNNNNNNNNNNNNNNNNNNNNNNNNNNNNNNNNNNNNNNNNNNNNNNNNNNNNNNNNNNNNNNNNNNNNNNNNNNNNNNNNNNNNNNNNNNNNNNNNNNNNNNNNNNNNNNNNNNNNNNNNNNNNNNNNNNNNNNNNNNNNNNNNNNNNNNNNNNNNNNNNNNNNNNNNNNNNNNNNNNNNNNNNNNNNNNNNNNNNNNNNNNNNNNNNNNNNNNNNNNNNNNNNNNNNNNNNNNNNNNNNNNNNNNNNNNNNNNNNNNNNNNNNNNNNNNNNNNNNNNNNNNNNNNNNNNNNNNNNNNNNNNNNNNNNNNNNNNNNNNNNNNNNNNNNNNNNNNNNNNNNNNNNNNNNNNNNNNNNNNNNNNNNNNNNNNNNNNNNNNNNNNNNNNNNNNNNNNNNNNNNNNNNNNNNNNNNNNNNNNNNNNNNNNNNNNNNNNNNNNNNNNNNNNNNNNNNNNNNNNNNNNNNNNNNNNNNNNNNNNNNNNNNNAUCACACUAAUCAUAGUUAACAACAUCCAUUUAUAACAACAAAUUAUAUUAUCUCCUAAAUUUAUUCUUCUUUUUUUUUAGAAUCAUCUCCUAAAUUUGCUCUAAUCACUAUUUUCUUUUUCUUUUUCUAAACAAUUUAACAAAGAGAAAUUUUAAAUACACACCUUUAAUCUCUUAAUACACACCCACACCCCUAUUAUUUUAUAUUUCACAUCAGAUUUUAUAGAUAUGUUUAAUUACAAAAACAUCCAUCAAUUAUUAGGGAAAAAAAAAUUCCUCUUUCUUAAAACCUAACUCUUCUCCACUAUUACUACGCAUUAAAAUAAAAAAAAUAAAAACCUAAUUCAUCCCUGAAUUUCGACUACUGUCAUAAUCACAUGUAUUAUUUACUGAAUUUCGACCACUGUCAUAAUCACAUGUAUUAUUUACUGAUUCAUUUUUGGUUUUUUUUUUUAUCAACUUUUACUUUUUAUUCUUGCAGAACUAAAAACUUAGUUUUUAUGCGAUAUUAUUGUACUUNNNNNNNNNNNNNNNNNNNNNNNNNNNNNNNNNNNNNNNNNNNNNNNNNNNNNNNNNNNNNNNNNNNNNNNNNNNNNNNNNNNNNNNNNNNNNNNNNNNNNNNNNNNNNNNNNNNNNNNNNNNNNNNNNNNNNNNNNNNNNNNNNNNNNNNNNNNNNNNNNNNNNNNNNNNNNNNNNNNNNNNNNNNNNNNNNNNNNNNNNNNNNNNNNNNNNNNNNNNNNNNNNNNNNNNNNNNNNNNNNNNNNNNNNNNNNNNNNNNNNNNNNNNNNNNNNNNNNNNNNNNNNNNNNNNNNNNNNNNNNNNNNNNNNNNNNNNNNNNNNNNNNNNNNNNNNNNNNNNNNNNNNNNNNNNNNNNNNNNNNNNNNNNNNNNNNNNNNNNNNNNNNNNNNNNNNNNNNNNNNNNNNNNNNNNNNNNNNNNNNNNNNNNNNNNNNNNNNNNNNNNNNNNNNNNNNNNNNNNNNNNNNNNNNNNNNNNNNNNNNNNNNNNNNNNNNNNNNNNNNNNNNNNNNNNNNNNNNNNNNNNNNNNNNNNNNNNNNNNNNNNNNNNNNNNNNNNNNNNNNNNNNNNNNNNNNNNNNNNNNNNNNNNNNNNNNNNNNNNNNNNNNNNNNNNNNNNNNNNNNNNNNNNNNNNNNNNNNNNNNNNNNNNNNNNNNNNNNNNNNNNNNNNNNNNNNNNNNNNNNNNNNNNNNNNNNNNNNNNNNNNNNNNNNNNNNNNNNNNNNNNNNNNNNNNNNNNNNNNNNNNNNNNNNNNNNNNNNNNNNNNNNNNNNNNNNNNNNNNNNNNNNNNNNNNNNNNNNNNNNNNNNNNNNNNNNNNNNNNNNNNNNNNNNNNNNNNNNNNNNNNNNNNNNNNNNNNNNNNNNNNNNNNNNNNNNNNNNNNNNNNNNNNNNNNNNNNNNNNNNNNNNNNNNNNNNNNNNNNNNNNNNNNNNNNNNNNNNNNNNNNAAAAGAGAAUACGUAAAGAGAGUUGUGAAAUAAUAAAUAUAUAAUAAUUAUAUUAAAUAACGUAUUAUUAUUAGUUUUAGAUAUUAAGGGUAUUUUAGGCAGUGUAUUUAGUAUAAUAUUGAAAUGAAAAAUAGAUGGGUAGUGUAUUAAGUAAAGGGUGUGUAUUAAGAGAUUAAAUGUGUAUAUUUAAAAUUACUCCACCACAAAAUCUAACAAAUUUAUUAGGACUCCUACUAGUGUUGUUGUUAUCGACUCAGGUCACUGGGUUUCUUUCUUCUCCUCAUACACUCCUUAAUUGGACCUCUCAUAGAUAUAUCGCGAUCCCUUUUUUUUCUCGACUUACCAUCAAUAUCUACCGGAGGUGCAGCAAUGAAAGCAAUAAUAAAUACAGAAGUGUAGAAAGGUGACUAAUUCCGUUUAUUUAGAUAUUUUUGAGUUACUUUAUUGAAUACCAUAAUAUUCAAUUAGCAGCUAAGAAACCUUCAAAAAAAAAAAAGUGAGCUAACCUUCACUUGGACCUUCCAAAAUUUAAUUAGAUCAUUCAAACAUCAAACCAUCUUAAUAUUUAUAAUUAGAAGCAAAUCAUGGUAGUUGUUACGUAGAAAGUGUUGAGAUAUCAAUCCCACAUUGAAAAUAUAGGACAUUGCAUGUGGGUUUAUAAGAGUUUGGGCCUCGACUGAUAAAAAUUUCAAAUGCAAUGUUGGCAUCAUUUGAAACUUUAAAGAACAAAUUGUUGCUUACACCAACACAGUACUACGUCAAGCACUGAAGUUAGACAUUCAUUAAACUUUCAAAAUUAGUAAUGAUCUAGUACUCGUAAAUUUGGAAAACUAUCAACUUUCAGAUGCAAAUUUGCUCCCCACCCAUACUUCCCCACUCUUAUCUCCACCCACCUAGUUGAAUGCCACAUGUCAUCUUUUAAUUACUCUAACCAUGGUUAACAACAUUUAUGUAUAACAAUAUAUUAAUUAUAUUAUCUUUUACUUUAAAUUACUUUUUUUUCUUUUUCUUUUUCUUUUUCUAAACAAAAUAACAAAGCCUAACAAAUUUAGGACUCCUCAAGAUCGAUCAACAAAGAGAUAUAACGUCCGGGUGUUUUUUGAAAGAAUAAUUACCAAAUCGACAUAUUUGAAAAUACCCUCUUAGAUCAUAUAUUAUAGAACAAUCUCACACUUGAAACAAAUAAAUUCAAUUCAAAUAAAUAAGUUCCCCUAAAAAAAAAAAUCAAAUAAAUAAGUUCUUGCAUAUACAUACCCGAAUUUGCAGUAGCAUUCAAAAAAAAAAAAAAAAAUUGGCACUAGCAUUAAUGCUAACAAAAAAUUAGGAGUAGCAUUCAUACGCUAAAAAAAUAAAAUUGAAAAGCGAAUAAGGAGAAGGAAGAAACCCAAUGACCUGAGUCGAUAACAACGACACUAGGAGGAGUCCUAAUGAAUUUGUUAGAUUUUGUUAAAUUGUUUCGAAAAAGAAAAAGAAAAUAGUGAUUAGAGCAAAUUUAGGAGAUGAUUCUACGAAAAAAAAAAAUUUAGGAGAAAAUAUAAUUUGUUGUUAUAAAUGAAUGUUGUUAACUAUGAUUAGUGUGAUUAAAAUAUAUGACAUGUGACAUUCAACUAGGUGGGUAGGAUGAAGGUGGGAAAGUAUGCAUAGGUGGGGAGCAAAUUUGCGUCCGUACUGUAUUUUUACAGCUGAAAUCAUCAAAUGGUGAAUGUCAUUAUAAUAAGCCAUUUGCCAUUCAUGUUUAUCUUGUUGAAAAUGAGGAAGUGAAAGUAGCACACUCCUUUCAUGCUUAAUUUUGUUUCAAACGAGAAAGGACAUAUUUCACUUGCAAAUCUGUUUCUGGAUUCUCUAUGUCUCCAUCUUGUUUAAUGUUUCUCCAAAAACAUGCAAAUUUAGUUUUUGUGCUGUAGUACUUGAGAUUCAAUAGUAUUGGUGAGAUUUGAUUAUUUGAAUUCAUCACUUAUACGAUGUACAACUAAUUGUUUACAACUCAUCCGCUUCACUUCAUCGAAAAAUUCAUCGGCUUCAGAGGCUUAACUCUUUUGAUUGGUUAAUUACUAUAAUAUUGUGUUUCAAAAGAAAUAGCUCUCUCACUUAAUUAAUAAAAGAUCGGUUAUAAUUAGGAGAAAUUCUGAACUGCGGCACUCGCACCACGUCAUUGGUGCAACCAGCCGACUACCCAUUCACAAACCAACACCUGUUUUUUUUCACCACAGGUCUGCUAAAAAAAAGAACAAAAAUACGAUAUCAGAUUUCCUACCUUCUCCAAGCAAACCAAACCUGGUCUUCUCCCUUUGCCCAGUCGUCGUCGUCAAACAACACCACAAACCUGCAUGUUCCGCUGCCAAGCACCACAAGCCCCGCCGUUCCAAGCUUGAUACAACCAUCAUCUAGCCUUGCAUAAACUUGUCGCCGCUGCCGAGCCCUGCAAAACUCUCGUCGCCGACUUGUCGCUACUUAUUAUACGGAAGAGGCCGACGGGCCUCACGGGUCUCACACACACAGGUCCAAUAAUGCCGAUAUUCCCCCACUUUAGUCACCCAGUGGAGAAACAUGUAUGGAGUUUUACACAAAACCUCAUAUCCGUUUCUGGGUAUGGGAUUAUGCGGAAACGGCCGACGGGCCCCACAGGUUUCAUACACACGAGUCUAAUAAUGCUGAUACUCCCCCCACUUUAGUCACUCGGUGGAGAAACGGGUAUGGGGUUUUACACAAAAUACCUCGACAUUAAUGUAUGUGGUACCAUUCCUUAUAACCCAAGGAUGACUCUUUCACGUUUCCGAUGUGAGAUUCCAAAUGACUCAUAUCUAAGUCACAUUUUUCCAAUAAUCUCCACCUUGCGUGAUUCGAGCCAUCUCCAACUAUCCCACGAUCCAAAUUCCAAUAGCUCAAUCUCGAUCACAGCCAUCUGAAUCUUGUGAUCCCAAUCCAAAUGGGAGUUCCACCAAAUUGCAACUCGAUCGUAUGAGACACCAAGUCUCAAACGUCACCUAGGCUCUGAUACCACUUGUUACACGGAAGUAGCCGAUGGGCCCCAUAGGUCUCAUACACACGGGUCCAAUAAUGUCGAUACUAGACCUGGCAAUUUAGCCCGCGGGCCGUGAGCCCGCCCGAAACCCGCCCAUUAAAAACCCUUCCGGACCCGCCCGUUUUACAAAAAGUGUUAAAGAAAACCCGUCUGUCAGUAACCCGCCAAUUCAUGGGUCGUGCGGGCUAAGCCCGUCGGAACCCAUUAAGCAAAAAAAAAAUUCAUAAAAGAAAGAAAAGUUAGAGGUUGAGCUUAAAGAAGAGGAGCUUCGGCGAAACCGAAGCAUCGUCUUGGAAGGUCACUCGGUAGAGCUAUGGAGGAAAGGCGGUGAAGAAAUCGGCCACCGGAGACGACGAGGUUGAGGCGUGACUCGGCAAAGAUCAUCAACAGAAGAAGAAAGAGGCAAAAUCCCAAGAUCUACGUCUAGGUUAUAAUAAUAACUGAAGAAAAGAGAAGAUGUGGUGGGAAGAAGAAUUGGAGGAAGUUUUUGUGGAGGAGAAAGACUCACGUCUGGGUUUAGAAGAUGAGGAUCAGACUCAAAACUCUUGUAACAAAAAAGAAUCAAUUUUUUAUGCACCCAAUAUUCUCUUCAAUCCACCAACCAUGUUUGGAAAAAUAAAAAAUAAAAAUAAAUAAAUCACAUGUUUAGCAGGCUCCAACAGAAACCUGUAAACCCGUCAGGUUCGGUCUGGUUUGACCCGUUAAAAACCCGACCCGUUAAGAACCCACAUGUGACCGCACGAACCAGGCCCGUUGCCAGGCCUAGCCAAUACCCCCCCCACGCAGCGCUGCUAGUCCAGAUGGCCUUCAUUCCAACCCGAAGCUCUGGAUGUCUCUCCGCCACCAUCUAGAUCCCUAAUUUUCGACAACCUUAGGAUUAAGGAUUUCAAUUUGCUCAAGCUAUGUCAAUAUAUAUGUACAUAGUUUGGGUUUGGUUGGUCAGAGAUGACACUUCCGAUUUCUUUUUUUUUUCUUCUUUUUUCAGCAAGGUCAACCUCACCAAUGAUGUGAUGCAAGUGUCGCACCUAAGAAUCUCUAUAAUUGGAUAACUAACAUCUUACACACGACCUAAAGGGCAACAUAUGAUCGUCAUCUAUCUCUUUUCUAGCAAGUAAUACUAGUUAACCCAUUUCCUAUGGAAAAUUAAUCUUCAAUCAGAAGAUAGGUAAUUGGAAGAAAAGUUAUAGAAGAGUACGAAUAUAAAUUGUCAUAUAAAAGUACCGACUUCUUUAUCUCUUUCUUAUUGUAUUUUAUCAUAUUUUUCUUCGUGUUUGGCUUAAAGUUGUGAUUUAAGGUUUAUUAAGAUCAAAUAUAGAUAUACACACUCUAGCUUAAGGGUUACAACUUAAAUGCAAGAGUGUAAAGUUUGUCAUUCAUACAAAAUGUCCAUGUUAAACAUGAUUUCUCAGUUUUAAUUUUUAAAAUCACCGUAUAUCUCAAUCCUCAAAAUUUAAUUCACCAAACUGUAACAAAUUUUGCAAAAUACAAAACCUUACUCUUAAAUCCCCUCUUAUUGUUUGCUUUUUCUUGUUUUCAUUUUGCAAAUUGACAAAAUUUGCUUCUAGAAACAAACCAUCAAAAUCAUGAGAAACCCAAAAGUGAAAAAGCUGAAAAUCCUACAUUUUACAUCUCUCUCGGAUAAUUUACAAAUGUAUUCCUCCGCAAUCGCAAGUACUGCUUCCCAGCUCACACUCCUCACCAUCAAACCACCAAUAACUGCUCGCCACGCGUACACGAAACCCCCACUUGCCCUCCCACUUGUUGUUGCUGCCGCCCAAUCCCAAUCCCACUCCCCAUUUCCAUUCCGGCUUGAACCGCCGCCGCCGCUGCCGCCGCCACCUUCUUCCUCCGCUUCGGAGACCCGCUCUCCGAAGACGAGGCCGGUUCGGGUGACGACCGUUUCGACGUCACCCUAACCGGGUCGGGCUCGCCCGAAUUAACCCGGAGCGGGAAAUUCAAUAACGCUCUCGAGCCGCGCAUUCUAUAAGCGGCUCUAUCAUAAGCCAACGCCGCGUCCUCCGCCGUCUCAAAAGUCCCCAGCCAAACUCUGGCGCCGUUCUUCGCCGGAUCACGGAUCUCCGCCGCGAACUUCCCCCACGGCCGUUGCCUCACUCCCCUGUAAUGCUUCCCCUUCGCCGCCACCACCGCCGGCUUGGCCUGCACCGCCGCGGCCGACUGCUGCGUCACCGCCACCACCGCCGAAUUCGUCUCCGGCGACCUACUCACCACCGCCUCCUCCGGCUCCGACUUCACCUCGUACUCAAACGAGCACGGCUCCGAUUUCACCGCAAACUCAAGCCCGCAACCGUCGGAGCCGAGAGAGGGGACCCACCCGACGCUGACGGCGUCUCUUAGAACGCCGUAGAGCACCAUGUCUUCCGAAUCGUCCUCCUUCAACGGCAGCUCGCCCCAAUUCUCCGUCAAGCACGGGUACAAGCUGCUGAAGCUGGAGCUCCGCGAGAAAAUCGGACCCGCGCCGGAAUUCGUCACCGGAUUACAAUUGUAAUUGUAAUUAAUACUCUCGCCGAGCAAGUGUCGCCGAAUCGAGUCGAGGAGCGUGAAAUCCGCAUCGCUACCGCUUUGUCCGUACAUUUUUGCAGCUCUGAAGCUCUUAGGGUUUUUCUAGAUCGGAGCUUAUAGUAGAAGCUAAGACUGUGUUUGAAGCUGAGGGAGAGAUAAGAAGAAGAGUUUGGUAUGUUUGGAUGACUUGGUUUUAGAUUUCUUCUGUGAAAGGAGGAUGAAAGGCUUAUAUAGGUGAGAAGGUUCAUGCAUUUAAAAAAGGCACUGAUAUUUUUUUUCUUAAACAAUAAAAUAAUUGUUUUUUGUGGUCUAUAUUUUAAUAUAUUUUUGUCUAAGCUGGAGCUUCGAUGAAAGUUCAUGUGAGUGUGCAAAUUGUGUGUGUGGUGGGGGUCACCAUUUUGUAUUAAUCACGUGAGUUAUUAAGUUGUGAGGGAGGCCUGACGUCAGCUUCUUACAGCAGCAAAAAAACUUUGUUGCCGUUUGCCCCAUCUCGAUAUAGUCUGUCGGCAUAUCUAGUAUUAUCCUCGUCCCUUCAUUUAUUUUAUUUUUCUCUCUUGUAUGAUGGUUAGCAAAAACAGUAUUGGUGGUGGUUGUGAGUUCUGAUCUUCCAUAUUUGGAUUUUGUUGACGAUGGAAGUGUGUAGUUAGGUUGGGCUGAGUUUUCUUAGAAGGGUGACUUAGAGAAGUGUUCUGAAAUUCUACAAUCGAACUGUUAAAAAGAGAUUCACACGGUUAUACAUUGAAAUGUUGUAUUAAAAUCUUAUACUCAGUAUUUGCAUAUCACUUUUAAUUGUAAAAAUGUAAAGAAUAUCAACGUGUUUGAUACAUGUGUAUUGAAUUAUUAUGCAAAAUAAUGCACAAUUGAAAUGUCGUAGCACGAUAUUGGUCAAGCAUGACAUAAGUGGAAAAAUUAAAUGUUUGAAACGAUCUAAAAACGUGAAAAACAUAAAACUGGGAUGGGGUCAAGGUGCACAAUCUGGGUUCUAUAGCAAAACCACAUAUUGGGGAUUUUGGGAGGCAAAUCAUUAAUAUGGGUUUCAGUGGUGAUAGAGAGAGUUGCUAAAUUAAGGUUAGGGGGUUGUGACGGGAACAGAGAUGUGUUUCGAUAUGGAGGAAAAAUGGUCAGAAAGGUUAUUUUUAUAAUUUGAUUUUUUUCUUGAUGCCCAAGUCAUCACUUGACAGAGGAAUUAGAUGAAGAACGGAGAUUUGGACACAGUUGAUGAAAAUUAGGAGUCGUUGAGUGUUUUUGAUGAAAUUAAAAGGGUAAACUAAAAUUAAUUCUUAAUAAUAAUUUAUAAUUACAUUAUUCCAUAUAUACUACACCUUUUACAUGGAAAUAGUUUCCUAAACCAAUUGCAUCGAUCAAGACUGGAUUGCUUGUGUUUUGUUUUUUCUAGAGGAGAGAGAGGCUCUCAUUUCUCUUUUCCUUUUCCUCCGUAGUCCUCUACUCUUCCAAACUUUCGUGGUCUCUUCCCGACCCAUUUUCGUGGUCGACCUCUGCCCCGGCGUUGGAAGGCUUGAUUUCCUUUCGCUUUUCGUUCUUUUUCCCAUCACCAAUGCCCAAUUAUUCCUACUCCUUUGAUCUCAGAUAACCUAUCCCUCUCUUUCUCCUCUUUUUCCAAUCUCAAAUUCUUCACAUGGGUGCACAUUUUUCUCAUCAAUCAGUAUUCUCAACGAAAGUUCACCGAUUUGGUACUCCGAAUUCGGUGUUGUAUCAUAUAUCAUACAACGGCAUGCUUGCGAUUUCACAGCUGCCGCUCUCGUUUCCUCUUUCUCUUUUUGGUUUUCUUUGGUUACAGUUCUGUUUGGCAAUUCGUUGCCAGACAUUAUGUUGAUGAUGUUACAUGAUGUUUUGUAUGGUUUUGAGGUUGGGCAAUCACAGUUUGAAUGGGAUUUUGUUUGUUCAAGUCUCUUGGUUGCAGUAGCCGUGACGUCUUUGUGUCACACAAGGAAUCUAUUUGUGGCGUUGUGAGCACAAGCAUUUUCCUUCUCAUGUUCUGCAAUUGAGCUGAACCUGGUGUGGUGUUCUUAUAUUAGGAAGUUUUCGGUGUUCUUGAAGAUUCGGGAGUUCUCAGUAACGUCUCUGUGUCACCGGAAGUUUCAAUACAUGGGGAUGGUCGUGUUGACGUGUGUCGUCCUUCGCUGCCUUGGUUUGUUUGCUGGAUGUUUGGAUAACGAUGGGGUGUUUAUUUAUGUUUCUUUGUUUAUCUUGCUUGCUUUGUCUUUCACCCGGUUUGUGGAUUUUGUAAAUCUUGCUCGUAAAGCUUUCUUCUUUCAAUAAGACUUUGCCUUCCACUGCCAAAAAAAAGAAGAAGACUGGAUUGCUCGUUGAAGUGUGUACAGAAACUUGCUGCCAACCAAGUUAUCGUCAACGAGUCAAUGGUUGAAAAGAGAACAGGAAGAAUAAAGGCAAGUUUCUCUAGCCGGUGAGUAACUUGCAAGAAACGAAGGUAACAAAGAAAACGAGCCGAAAAUGACAUUGUGUUUUGGUCCUUUUGGAAUAUACAGAGAUACAUUGGCCCUGAACACAACUAGUCAAUUUCCUACAUGGAUAAGCCAAGGCUCCACAAAGUCAAUUUUCUCCCCAAGAAAUGAAAUUGGGAGAUGGAGACCCCCGCCUCUUCCAAAUAUUGUUGGAGUGCAUCCCAAAGUAAUCUGCUGCAACGCGCGCACUAAUGUAGCUUUCAUGUUGUUAGUUGGUACCUUUUUUAAUUUUUUUGUUAUUGUGUCAACUUGAACGUACAUAGUUUUAUUGGAUUAUAAUCAGGAUGAUUGAGCAAGCAAAGAGCCACUAGCUAGCUCAUUGAUCAUGCCCCUUGUGCGCAUCCCUUUCUGAAUCAAAUUGAGGCUUGUUCAUUCGGAAUUGUAUAGGAUGGUGAGGUCGAUUGCAGCUGAGGUGUUUUGUGAGGUGUUGGAUCUUGUUUGUGGAGAGGUAUUGGUGGGAGCGUGGAAGCAGUUUUCUGUUUCUUGCUGUGGCCUUGUGGGCGAUGGCCUCUGCAAGUGGUUUGGAUGAUAAGCCCUCAUUAAUGAUCAUGUCCAUCAGAUACCAAACCGGCACCAUCUAACGGCUAAAAGUCAACAUUUGACGUUGAAUCGUUGACCAGAGACCGUUGCGGUCGCAGGAGAGACUCUGACCAGAAGAACAAUUCUCCCCGGCUUUCUAAAAAUAGCAAGCGGGCAAUAAACACCCGCACGGCCGCACGUGCCAACUGCAUCUUUUCAUUCACAAAACGACAAACCCCGAAUUAUUGAUUUUUUUUUUCGACAGUAACCCCGAAUUAUUGUUGAUCGUGGAUGCAUGAAUCUAGAGCGCGACUAGGAAUAUUAAAAAAAUAUUGAUUUCAAACACGUGAUGGAAUUAGGAGGUUGCAUGGUUGGUUCUUGCCACUUGCAAGCAUUGAUGGGGCCGGGCAACAUAGAUUGAUAGGAUUAAUUAGUUGUUUAAUACCGUCAUUACGUUACGGCUAACGACGAUUUGCACUCUGCUAAUUUGUGUUUAUCAGCCAGAAUAAUGUGUAGGGAAUAGGGAUUAAGGUUAAUAUAAAAAAGAAAAAAAGGAGGGAAGAAAAUAAAACUAAUUUUUGGCAACCUGCUUGCUACCAGACUUGGGUCCGGUACAGUAAUAUUAGGGUUUCGGCCCUCAGUAUCUAGUAGCGUCGACGUUUAUAUUAGGGCUGGCAAUUUGGACCAUGGCGAAACCAACCAACCAUGUACCAAACAAAUUGAUAUGUCAAAUAGUUGGUAACUGAGUUUUCGGUACAGUAGUACCGUACCAAGUUUGUGGAGUCGGUUGGUACGUGGUACAAGUUUUACCCAAAAUACAGUAUACCGUGUACCAACCGAGUUAUAUUUAAAAAAUAAAUAAAUUAAAACUACUAAUCAACACCGUUGAUUUGUGGAGAUGAAUCUCCAUCGUUGAUCUAAUUCUAAUGACCUAAUCCUUACAGACUCACAACUCAUUCACUUCACUUCAGCCUCUAGCUCUCCCCUCUCGAUUCUCGCCUCACCUCCCCUCUCUCGCCAUCGACUCAGCAGCACCGGCCUCCACCACCUCGACUCCGCAACACCUUCGCCACUCUACUCCGCAGCACCUCCGCCACCUCGACUCCGCAGCACCUCCGCCACCUCGACUUCGCAACACCUCCGCCACCUUGACUUCGCAGCACCUCCGCCACCUUGACUUCGCAGCACCUCCGCCACCUCGACUUCGCAACACCUUGCCUCUCUCACCGUCGACUCGGCAGCACCUCGACUUCGCAGCAUCAUCUUCUCCAAUCUCUCACUGCUCGCUUGCUCCUCUUCGCUUCAGGACAUCCAGAUCGCCACUGCCGAGCGCAGAGUAAGCUCUUUCUCGAUUCAAAUUUCUUUGUUUCUUUGAUUGGGUUGUUUUGGUUUCCAUCAUUUAGAAAAUUGAACCCAAUUUGUGGAAAUUUAGAAAUGUUUGAUGGGAUUAAAAUAAAGUCUGCAUCUUUAACAUUGUUUUCUAUUUUUGUUUGGGGAUAAUGUAGAUGAAUGACUGAUGAGCUUAGGCUUAAUUUCAGUGUGUUUGGUUUUAAGCCGUAAAGGCCAUUAUGUUGACAAAGGUAUAUUGCAUUUUGAGCCGAAAUCGGCAUAAUGUGGAAUUGUGGACGACUAGAUUUCAGUUAAUUUUGGGUAUCAAAAUAUUGGAAAUUAUAGUCUUGAUGUUUGUGGCAAUUUGUGGUCCUUUGGCAUUGUCAAUUUUGGUAAUCUUGCCUGUUUAUGCAUUUGAAAUUAUAUAAUGCUUGAAAAUGUGAAUGUGUUUGAUAAUUGAUAUAGAGAAAACCCAAAAAAAAGAUUCAAAUGGGCCGGGUCUUUCAGUUUUUUGGGCCACAAUUUAUACUUGGUAGAUGCCCAUUACCAACCGUAUCAACCGAGUACCAAUCGUACCAACGAAGUCGGUAUAUCAACUUCGACGGUUGAUUUUUGUAGAAGAUUUUGCCUACCAAUCAUAACUUGGUUGGUACAUGGUAUUGGUAAAUAGAGUCGAUAUACCUACCAAUGUCAGCCCUAGUUUAUAUGUUGGUCACUUGGUCUAGCUAUAUUAUAGUCGAAACUUAAUUGCAUCCAGGGACGGUGGAUUGAAGAGGGUUGGCUAGGCUGUAGCCCAUCAUUUUUAUAAUAAUAGCCAACCAAGCUCUAGUAAUGGUGAUUUUAUCCCCGGGUUAAUUUUAAAACCUGGCUAGCUCCGUCCUUAAUGCAUCGCAAUUUGUGUUGAUGUAUGGUGUUUUGUUGCAGAUUGAGAAGACCGAGUUAGGUUUCUUUGUUUGAUUUUGGAUAUGGUAGACAAAGGAGGUGAUCUUGCUCGGAUUUAGUGUUUGGUGGAAUUUCGAGGGCUCGAGAAAGGUAAAUGCGCGCUUUACAUGGAUUUAAUGCAUGUGGUUUUUCAUAUGUAUCUUCUAGGCAAUUAAGGGGCGGAGAUGUGGUUUGAGACUUGUUGGUCUGGAUUCGUUGUUCAAAUGAACUUUGCUAAGGCAAACAUUCGGAUCUUUGUACGUACUAUGCUAGCAGUGGCGAACGCAGGUAAGGGCCAGUAAGGGUCGUUGCCCCCACUCAGAUUUUGACAUUUGGCACCUGAAUAUCUUUUUUCUUUUCCCUCUUAACCAUGUUUUAGUACCCCACUUCAUUUUUCUAUAUAUAUACAGGGUUUCUUGGUUAAGGACGUUCUUAUUUAUUUUUACGGUGCGGAUUUCCACUUUAGACUCAUUUUUAAUCAAAUUUUCACAUCUCCACCGUCUAGUCUUUAGAUACUAAUGUAUAAAUCAUCUCUGCAAAAUUUCAGUCAAUUUAGUUAUCAUUAAGGCACUCAUAUUCGAUUAAAACCAAUAGAUGAACAUAAUUCUGUCGAACUUGAACCGUUUAUCCUUUUAUGUUUAUAACAGAAAAACACAGUUUUGAGUGCCUUAAUGAUAAUCAAUUUGGCUAAAAUUUUGUAGAGAUGAUCUAUAUAUUAGUAUCUAAAGACUAGACGGUGGAGAUAUGAAAUUUCAAUCGAAUAGUAAGUCUAAAGUGGAAAUCCGCAUCAUAAGAAUAAAUAAGGACAUCCUUACCUGACAAAGACUAUAUAUAUAUACAUCCUUUCUCAAGUGCGGACGUCCGCACCUGAGUUUUGGUGCGGAUUUCUAUUUUUGCACCACUUCCCGAUCGAAUUUCCUCAAACUUUCUUUUAGACAUAUCUAGAUCAUCUUGUGUAGAUCAUCUCUGCAAAAUUUCAGCCACUUUGGUGAUUGUUAAGGCCCUCAAAAUCGAAAAAUAAAUCUGACGGACUGAAUUCUGUCUGGUUCAUCAUCUCCAUUUGUUUUUCGAUUUUGAGGGCCUUAACGAUCACCAAAUUGGUUGAAAUUUUGCAGAGAUGAUCUACACAAGAUGAUCUAGAUAUGUUUAGAAGGAAGUUUGAGGAAAUUCGAUCGAAAAGUGGUGCAAAAAUAGAAAUCCGCACCGAAACCUUCGGUGCCUGUAUAUAUAUAUACACAGUUCGUCUCUGCUACGGAUUACGGACGUCCGCACCGUAAAAUGGUGCGGAUUUUUGUCCGUUCGCCACCGUACGGCGCCGCGCGAGGGCGCGCCUUCACCCCAACGGACUCCAGCAACUUCCCCGACCACUUUCCAUCCUCGGCGAAUCCACCGAAUCACAGUUUUCGUGCCAGAUCACCCAAAACUUCAAACAAAGUCAAUCUGGCCGGAAAACUAGAAUUCGGCGGACUCACCGGGGAUGGAAAGUGGUCGGGGAAGCUGCUGGAGUCGGCUGAGGUGAAGGCGCGCCCUCGCCGGCGCCGUACGGUGUGCGGACGUUCGCACCUGAGAAAAGUCCUAUAUAUAUAUAUAUCUUUUUAUAUUAUAUGAUUGUAAUUGUUAUAGUUAUGGGAUUAUAUAUGUAGAUGACACCAAAAACCCAAACCUUUUUAUAUUCUCUGUUCUUUUCGUUUUUCAUCCAGAAAUCCUUAAAAUCCCAAGACAUGAUAGUCCAGAAAUCUAUGAAGUCCCUAAAAUCUCUUUGUUUGUCUAAGUUGAAGAGUCGAGCAUGAUAGUCUUUAAUCUUUUUAUGAGAUACAUUUGGAUUAUACUUUAAUGCACUUUACAUCUCCUAUAGAUUUAGAACUCUCCCUUUUUUUCUUUCUUUUUCUUUUAGUUAAAUGAAGUUGUAUAUUUGCUAUUGUUGUUUUGGUGAAAAUCUGUUUAUAACUGAGUCACAUAAAACUUGCCCCUACAAAAAUAUUUUCAUGCACCCGCCACUGUAUGCUAGGGCAAUGGCCAUUUGGCCAAAUAGGUGACAAUGGCAUUGCUGUUUUGAUUGUUUUGGGGCGCCUUACGUAUCGAUUGAGCUGCAAGCUAACAACUAAAUAAAUUCGUUGCAAUUUGAGCUGCUAGCUAGGGAGUGGACGUUUAUCAACCUUCAUUCAUUCGAUUGCAUGCUCCCAAAUACAUGUUUUACUGUUCAUUCAUUCGAUUGCCCGAGAAGGGUAUUGCUUAUAGCAAAUUUGUUUUUUUAAGAGCAAGGUGCUUAUUUUGUUAUUAUAAUUUAUAAAUAUAAACCUUCUUUCAUGAACUCAAGAACCUUUGUAAAGAUUGGCAUUUGUGAAGGGAAUAAUGUACUAGAGAACAGAGCUUACAUUUGGCAUAUGUCUUAAUCUAAAUUCAUAACCAAGUAAUCAUAUGCGCGCUGUAUGCUUACUCUUAAUCUUAUUUAAUUAAUUAUGAACGGAACUUUUUAUUUUGACUGAUGAAAAGUAAUAGUGGAUAUGUGGAUUUUAGUCGUCGAAUUGAAUUCAAAUCAAUUGAGUUUUAAAUACUUAAUGAAUUAUGGAAACUAAUUAUAUUUAAUUAAAAAGAUAUGUCCAUUUGCUGCAAAUUUCAACUUAGUUGGUGAAUUUUAUACAUUGAAUAAUUGAUUUUACACAUUCUGAGUUUGAAUUUGACGAUUGGAUGGUGGUAUGCAAAUAUAAUAGACUCAAUCAAACGUACAGCUUCAACCUUAUAGGCUUUUGUUUAAUCUUAUAAGCCUAAUUAAAUUGAACAUAUACCAUGUUCUUCCUUCAAACCAUCGCCACAUGAUCAUCAUCACUGACUUUCCCAGUUUAGAAAAGCUAAUCAGAUUCUCUACCCGAAUUAUAAAAAAUAAAAAAUAAAAAAUUAAAAAAAUACAUAUAUGAUAUGAGUGACAGACACCAAACCCUAAUAUGAUCGAGCUAGCAAUCGAGUCGUGAAGAAUCUGCAUUGUGAAAAAAGAAAUCUGGGUUCCUCAAAACAAAAUGUUGUCAGCAUUUGCGGCAUAAAAUAAGAGACCCAUUACAAACAUCUAUAUCGAAAGGAUUGGGUUUAGAGUCGAUCUGGAUUAAUAUGAUAUUUGCAAGUUGAUGAGAGAGUCGACUGAGUUAACCAAGUUGAUAAAACAAAGGCAAAUGAUCGAGAUUGAUCGAUAUGUAUAAGAAAAACAUUAUAUAUCAUGCACGCAACAUUUGAUAUUUUGAUUGGUUUGGGUUACAGAUCAGAUUCAUAUCAUUUCGUGGCAGCAUUGUGUGAACUGUGAAGGGGAUAUUUCAAUUGCAUUUGAAUAUUGGAAUACAAGCACGUUUUGGAUUGUACUUAAUAAUUGUGUUUUUUUUUGGUCCAAUACUUAAUAAUUGUGUUUAUGCGGCAGCCUGCAGCUAUUAUUUUGGUUUCAACUUGCAUUUCUUUAACUUAGAAAAACUUUGUUGAUGGACACGCAAGCUCCACAACCAGAUUGAAAGGAUGAUAACUUGGCGGAAUGAAUAUUCAUUGAUACAAAGAAGAUUACAUAUACAAUGAACAAUAAAGACGAACUAGGAAACUAUUCUAUAAUUAUAAACAAUAUCAAGAAACAAAUAUACACGUAUGAACUCGUUCCUAAUAGGGAAGAUAGAUCAGAUUAGCUGACUAUUUUCCUUACAUUGCAGCUUUGAUUUUCCAACAUUUCCCCUCAAGUUAGAGAGUGGAUGUCUUACACUCCCAACUUAUGAAUCAUUGGCAUGAACACCUCCUUUCCUAAAGCUUUGGUUAACACAUCUACUAGUUGAUUCAUAGAACUCACAAAUCUUGUUUCAAUAGAACAUUCUUGAAUCUUGUCCUUUAUAAAUUGACAAUCCAUCUCUAUAUGUCGCGUGCGUUCAUGGAAAACCGGAUUAGCAGCGAUAUGUAAUGCAGCUUUAUUGUCAAAAUAUAACAACGCAGCCUCUUGAUGUAAAAUUCCAAAGUCUCUAAGUAAAUAGCAAAGCCACGUUAAUUCACAACAAGCUCCAAUCAUUGCACGGUAUUCGGCCUCAGCUGAAGAAAGGGAGACUGUUUUCUGACGCUUCGACCUCCAUGAGAUCAAUGAUGGACCCAAGAAUACACAGUACCCCGUAGUAGACCUUCUAGUAAGAGGACAUCCUGCCCAAUCGGAAUCACAGUAAGCUCUCAACCGAAAAUCAUUGUUUGAAGAAAAGAAGAGACCUUGACCAGGGGCGCUUUUCAAAUAGCGUACAACUCGCAAGGCUGCCUCCCAAUGAUCUUUUUGAGGUUGAUGCAUAAAUCUGCUUAAGACAUGAACAACAUAUGUAAUGUGUCACAUCCCGACCCUUAAAUUUUUACCUUAUUUACUAGCUUGGUUAUAAUAAGAAUUUUACCGUCUCCAUCAUUGAGGUUAUGGUUUAAUUGGUCCCUAGAGAGGUUUCGGGGACCGUUAUGCUCGGAGGAUUAUUAGUAGGAGAAAAAUAUGACGACGGUAAAAAUAAUGAAUUUUAGCUAGUAAAAGGUAAUUUUUAUUCGGGUAUUAUUUUUCGGGGUGUUUUAUUUUUGGAGUUGGGUAUAAGUGUGAUGUUGGACCGGUUUGGGUGGAGGCCCAAAACCCAUUUCUCCCUUCUCUCUUUUUUCUUCCCGGUUCUUCCUCUCCCCCGAGUCCACCCGCUGCCCGACUUUCCGGCCGUCCUCCCGCCGUCGUCCGGCCACCAACCGCCGCCACACCGCUCCCGUUCGAUCGGCCUCCGACCCAGCUUCCAUUCUAGGCCGGUGAGAGCCGCCCUAGCUCCGCCGUGAAGGAGUUCUCUCCCCCAAAAGGCUCGGCUGCCUUGGUGGUUCCAUCGCUAGAACUUCCUCCUCUGACCACCAAUCCGGGCAAGCCUUGUACAGUUUUGAAGGUCUCCAACCCAGCUGCCUUGCCCUAAAAGGACUCACUCCGGUUCGCUUCAGGUAAGGAGAAAUUUAAAGUGGAAGUUCUAGGGCGUUUUUGAUGUUUCCGUUCGAUUAACAUAGCUAGGCUUGGAUUUUGGGUUUGUGCUAGUUAGGAAAGUUGUAGAGGGAGUGGAGAGGAAGCUACUGUUAAAAUUUGGUAGGAUUUGGAGGUCGCCGGAGUCGGCCUCCGGCCGCCGCUGCCCGCGGAGCUGGCGGUGCCGCCACCGCUGUUUGGGAGAUUUUUAUGGUUUUAAAUGUGGAAUAUUAAAAGGAGUUUAUUGGUGUGAAUUAUGGAAUUUUUGGAUGAGUUUUGGAUAGGUUUGUGAUUUUCCGAAGUUUGGUAAUUUUGACAGAUUAAUAAGGUAGAAUCCGCCAGUUGGAUUAAAGACGUAUAAUCUGUGGAAGGGUGUAGUUAAGGCUGCUGGUUUUAGUAUUGAGGUGUGGACCGUAUCGAAGUUAGGCAAUGAUGAGCGUGAGUAUGGCUCUCGGUUGAUUUUGCCUAUUUUGUUUAAAUAUUGGAUUUUUAGUUGGGAAAUUAAUUUUACAUUUGGAAACAGGACGUGAGGAGGCUCAAGCAGAAGAGAUCUUGGAUCGACAUCAGACUUAGGCCUAAAGUUGUGAGUGGACUUUUGUUUUAAAAUAUAUGCAUGCGGUGAUUCUAUAUUAAAUAAUUGAUUUUUUAUUGAAUAUCAAUUUGUGGAAUUGUUUAUUUUCUCGAAGUCAUUUUCAGAAGUAAAUGUUCUCAUUUUUAAUGGCUAUCGUGUUAUUUGGAAAGUUACUGAAAAUGAGAUUUUCGGUGGAGUCGUGUGCAUAUUGCUUUUUAUGAUAAUUGACAAUUUUCAUUAUUUUUGGAGAGUUACUGAAAAUGAGAUUUUCGGUGGAUAUGUAUAUGGAUGAUUAUGAGAAUAGUAUGUAUAUAAAGAAAUGCUAGCUAGCUAUACGUGCUUUUCCACCAUACUGAGGUAAAAAUUCUAUUAUUUUGCGACAUGAGCGUUAGACGCAAUUGUCGUAGCCCUAUAUAAAUAUAAAAAAUUAUAUAGGGGAUAUGCGCGUAUAUAUAUAUAUAUUCACCCUCUUUUCCACCAUAAUGAGGUAAAAUGCCAUUAUGGUGCGACGUGAGCGUUAGACGCAAGCGUCGUAGCCUUGUGUGAAUUUUCUAUUUGUCUUUGUUGUUUCAAGAAAAUUCAUACAAGGGAUAUGACGAGUGUAAUACAUUCAUAUUUUAUUUAGCCUGAGAGGCUCUUAUUUUUAUGAGGUGUUGGGGACUAGCGCGGCUAGUCACGUUUUGGUAAUUUUUAAAAGCUUUUGAGCUUGUUGCAUGCCGUUAAUUGUUUUCCACAGAGGUUAAAUCGGGAAAGCAUAAAGAUUUAUUUCUUAUCAAAUUUAUUUUUGUCCACUCACUCUAACGUGUUCAAAUGUUUUCCCUUGGGCCUUUCGUUUUAAAAAUGCCCAGCUUGCAGGUUAGCUUAGUUGAUGUCGGGCGUACAUGGAGAUGUGGCAUAGUCAUCAUAUAUCUUCCGCUUGUUAAUUUAUUUUGUUUCCUUUCUUCCUAUUAGAGUUGUUCUGAACCUAUAAAUGGUUGGAUAUGAGAUUUGUUUAGAUUAGUAAAUUUUGGGUGGUGUUGUGAUUUGGGAAGCACGAAGGCUCCAGGAGUAGAGGAUUAUAGAUGGAUUCUUUUGAAGUGUAUGCAGGUAUUUCUAGGAAAGGUUGUCCAUUUUCAAGUGAUGUUAUGCCGAAUUUUCGGUAAAUUUUCCCUGGAGGUGGUCCCCGCAGGAUUUACUUCGGGUUUCAGGAUGAAAUUCGGGAUGGGUCCUGACAUAAUGUCUGGUCUCGAAACUGUCAGAUAUAUUAAUGUCCCAACUAAUCUCCUGUAUUUUCCCAGAUCUUUCAGUGGUUCACUCUUAUCACAUAAUUUUGAACCACGUUCCAUGGGAGUGUCAAUAGGAGCAGCACCUAAUAACCCUGCAUCCUUGAUAAUAUCCAAAGCAUAUUUACGCUGAGAGAUAUAAAUGUCAUUCCUAGAUGCAGAAAUCUCAAUACCAAGAAAAUACUUCAAGUCACCUAGAACUUUAAGACGAAAAUUAUUAUGCAGGAAUUUCUUGACAUCAGCUAUGCUUUCAGGAUCAUUGCCAAUAAUCAAAAUAUUAUCCAUAUAUAUCAAGAGCACAUUGAAAGACUUGUCUUGCUUUCUGGUGAACAGUGAGUAAUUGGCUUUUGAUUGCACAUACCCAGCUGAACGAAUGGCUUUAGAAAACUUUGCGAACCAUUGACGGGAUGCUUGCUUCAACCCAUAUAAUGACUUAUGUAGGCGACAAACCAACUGUUCCUCCCCCUGUCGUCGAAGACCUAGCGGCAGAGACAUGUAAAUUUCUUCAUCCAGAUCACCAUGGAGCAAAGCAUUAUUGACAUCGAGUUGAUGAAGGGACCAUCCACGGGCAGCUACCAAGGCCAAUAAACAUCGAACAGAGAUUAUUUUGGCAGUGGGAGAAAAAGUAUCUUGAUAAUCAACUCCAUCCAACUGAGUAAAGCCUUUCGCCACCAGUCUCGCCUUAUAUCACUCAAUAGACCCAUCAGACUUGCGCUUUAUCUUGUAAACCCAUCGACAAGCGAUGGAAACUUUGCCGGCUGAAAGGGACGUAAGAGUCCAUGUACCAUUAUCUUGAAGAGCCUCCAAUUCAGAUUGCAUUGCUUGCUGCCAUUGGGGAUUAUUAGCAGCCUCAGAAUAAGAUCGGGGUUCAACAUCAGUGCCUGAUAUGGGCAUCAAAUUUCUAAUACGCAGGAGCAUAACGAUGAUAAGAAACAUAGUUAGCCAGAGGAUAACGUGUACCUUUUGUCGGACCUGGCAUGAGAGAAGGAGAUUGGUCGGAGCAAACAUUAGAGCAGAUGUAAUCUUAAAGCUGUGCCGGUGGAACAGUCGGGCGGCUGGAACGACGAAGAGGAGCAGGUUCAUGGACGAACUGAGGCAAAGGCUGGUCAGGUUGGGUGAGGGGAGGCAGAGCCAGAUUGGGUUCGGCGACCGGAGGCUGAGGCGGAUCAAGUGAAGGCAGAGGCGGGUUGGAUGGUGAUGCCGGCGUCGAAGAAUGUGGUGGAUCUGAAAGUACUGGAGGCGGCAUGAUUGGAUUGGAGUUUUGGUCUAACAGAGAUGGGGGUUUUGGACGACGAGAAUAGGUUCGUAGAGAAGGAGGCGGCAAUUAUGGCGCCGGAGAUGGUGGGGCGAGGUCGUCAGGUGGGGAAGGAGAAGGAGAAGACUCUGUGUUGUCGAUGGAAGAAGAUGAGGGAGAGAGAUGAUGUGGGUCAAAAGUGUAGUCAAUGAGAGUUGGGUCAUAUAUGGAAAAAGGAAUUGGAUUGUGGGAAUGGGCCGAAGAAGGGAUUGUGGGCUUAGCAGCAUAUGCAUAUGGAAAAAUGUUUUCAUGAAAAAAAACAUCCUUGCUUGUAAAAACCUUUUUAGUUGAUAGAUUAUACAAUUUGCAAGCCUUUUGACCAACAGGAUAAUCUAUGAAAAUACAUUCCAUGGCACGAUAAUCAAAUUUGUGUGAAGGAUGAACAUUGGUAGCAUAUGCCAAACAGCCAAAAACACGAAGAUGAUGGUAUGGAGGCGGUUUUGAGUACAAAUGCUCAAACGGAGUUUUAAAAGAAAGGACAGGUGUAGGCAAUCAAUUGAUGAUGUGUACCGCAUGAAGAGCACACUCCCCCCAAAAUUGGUUAGGAAGAUGAGCAUGAAAUUUUAAAGCGCGGGCCACUUGCAAAAUAUGACGAUGUUUAUGUUCCACAACCCCAUUUUGUUGGGGCAUGUAAACACAUGAAUGUUGAAAAACUACAGCAUUGUCAUUGAAAAAAGGUCGAAGUGAAAGAAACUCUCCAUCAUUGUCACUACGAAAAGCUUUUUUGCGAGAUGUGAAUUGGGUGAGAACAUAACUGAAAAAUCGUUUUAAAAUUGGUUGGGCUUCAUCUUUGUGUCUCAUAAUCCAAGUGAAUCUUGUAUAAUCAUCAACGAUAGUAAGAAAGUAAUGAGCCCUAGAAAGAGAAGCAUGUUUAUAGCGACCCCAGAUAUCGCAAUAAAUUAAAUCAAAUGGUUUUUCAGUUGAAAUGGAACUCACACCAAAAGACAAGCAUUAAUAAGCUGAACGAAAAGAUUUAAGAAGUUCUUAGCAAUGAAUUUCAAAGGAAGAUGGAAAACAUGACAUAAACGGUUAUGCCAAAGGUCAGUGGAUAGGGUAGAUGAGGUUGUGAGGUUGCAAGCGGAUUGAUGGUUUGAGAAUGAAUGAGAAUUGGGCAAUGUUUUCUUCGUCGCCAAUGAUGCCAGGUAAUAUAAACCUUCACGCUGUUUACCCAAACCAAUCAUCCUCCCUGUAGCCAGAUCUUGCAAAAUACACCAAUAAGGGAAAAAGGUCACUGAACAAUUCAAGCCUCUCGUUAAUCGACUGACGGACAUAAAUCAACUUUGAAUGUAGGCACACACAACACGUCAUACAAAUAGUACUCAGAAGUUAGAGGCAAAGAACCCUUGGCAACAAUAUUAGCCCUUUCUCCACUAGGCAACAAUACGAAAGGCAAUGAACAAUAUUUGUUCUUGUGUAAUAGUGAGUACUCUUGAGAUGAAGAGAUGUGAUCUGUCGCGCCGUUAUCGAUAAUCUAGUUGCGGGAAGUGACCUUAGAUAAAACUGGUUCUGUUACAGCAACAUUGGCUCUUGAACUAUCAGAUCCUUUGUGAUUCAAAAUAGCCAAAGCAGGUUGACGCAGUUGCUUGGGGAGAGGGAUGCGAAUGAAGAAACCGUUUUGCCGGAUAGGUUGACUUGAUCGAUCAUAUUGGCUGAACACUACCAACAAGGACGGAUGAUCAAUGAAGAAUGAUUUGAAAUCUUUAUUGGCCAUGGAGACAAGAUAAUUGUUGUACGAGAUAUAUAGUACAACAGAUUGAGAUAAAAAAUCGUUGCACGAGAGAUAAGUUGCAACAGCUACAGAGUCAGGAUCUAGUCCUACUUUGACACCAUAAAAGGAUGAUAACUUGGAUGAAAAGAUGAUAACUUGGCGGAAUGAAUAUUCAUUGAUACAAAGAAGAUUACAUAUAUAUACAAUGAACAAUAGAGACUAACUAGGAAACUAUCCUAUAAUUAUGAACAAUAUCAGGAAACAAAUAUACACAUAUGAACUCAUUCCUAAUAGAGAAGAUAGAUCAGAUUAGCUGAAUAUUUUCUUUACAUUGCAGCUUUGACUUUCCAACACAGAUCACCUCUAGCAUCACCGUACCAACUUUCGAAUCUCGCUAACUCGUGUGAAAGACAAACACCUUAACUACAAAGCUGACUGAAAAAUCAGUAACAAAACUAUGUUGAACGAUGUUUGAUUCUUCCAUUUGCAAUACCCUCUUGAAAAAAAAUUAAUAUAUUGGUAAUUUGUAUCAUAUAUAUAAUUUAUCAUGCAAACGUAAGAUCCAUCACAGCAAUGCACAAGAGUAUGGUAAAUAAUAAUACGUGGAGUUGUGGACUACCAACAUAUAUAUAUAUAUAUAUAUAUAUAUAUAUAUACAGUUCUUAUCCAGAACGAAGUUUCUUUCUGAAAUUAAUGUGUGAAGUUCCUUAUUUGACUAACUUUUCGAUCAUAUUUUUACAUCUCCAUCGUUCAGCUUAUUGAUACUAAUGUAUUGAUCAUUCCUUCAAAAUAUCAUUCAAAUUGAUGAUCAUUUGGGUGUUUAUAAUCGUGAUUUACACAAACAGUUCUGGUUAGACAUAUUUACAGUUUGUUCAUUGAUUUAACCUAAUUCGGUACUUAAACGAUCAUCUAUUUGAAUGAAAUUUUGCAGGAAUGAUCUAUACAUUAGUAUCAAUAUCUAUAAGCUGAAUGCUGAACGAUGGAGAUGUAAAAAUAUGAGCGAAAAAUAUGUUAAAUAAGGAACUUCACACUUUAAUUUCAGAGCGAAGCUUCGCUCUAGAUAGGAACUGUGUGUAUAUAUAUAUAUAUAUAUUCAUAGUCCCUACUUUUGCCGCGAUCAAGCACCGACGACGACGCUCUUCUUGCCGGGAAGACAUCAGACCUCGAUCGUGAGCUUCCUCUAGCUGGUGGACUCGCCAAAUGCCAGUAGUCGAGAUUGAUCUUGUCUGAAGUUUUGGGUGGAGGUUGUUACCCAGACCUUCAACUCCGAUCUCCAUGGCCUUCAUCUUCAUGGUAAAGUCGUACGGGAUGCCUCUGGUGUCCGUCCGACAAAAGAAAGGACGUCGUCGAUGCUGGAUGGCUGAGAAGGCAUAGACGUCCGUACUUUUACAGGUUUGUGGACGUUCGCUCUCGAACGGGCCUAUAUAUAUAUAUAUAGAGUUCGGAUCUAGAGAUGACUUCUUUAAACUCUUAAAAAUAAAGAUUGUUUUUAGUUCUAGCAUGUAUUUUGACAAUCAAAGCCGCAAAUUCCUUAGUUACUUAGUUACUUAGUUACUUAGUUACUUACCCAUAUAUGAAUCCUACAAAAAAUUAGCCAGAAUGAAAAACGUUUAACCAUUUGAUUAGCACAAUAUUCAUUUCAAUUUUAUCUAAAGGCCUACAAUUGUUUACAUCAAUUUGAAUGACCAAAUGAUUAUGGAAUUAGUUGAAAUUUUGUAGACAUGUUUCUUGCAUAUGAAUCUGGAGGAUCAACGGUUAAUAUCGUUAAAAGAAGUCAUUUAAAAAUGUAAAUUAGUAGAAAUCUUCAAAUUCUUAAAGUAAGAAGAUCCUCUUUAGAUCCUCCAUAUAUAUAUAUAUAUAUAUAUAUAUAUAUANNNNNNNNNNNNNNNNNNNNCGGCGACAAGUUUCCGGCCAACCUUGAUCAAUCAUGGUGUUUUCCAUCCAGAGCUUCAAUCCGGCCGGAAAACUUGUCGCCGGCCAGUUCUGGAAGGAGAGAAACCGUCCUAGAAGCCUAUGUUGUCGUCCGGGAAGGAGAGAAGCCGUUGCCGGCAUGAGACGGUGGAGAACAGACGACGUCCGUACUUUAAGCCGGAGUGCGGACUUCCGCUUCACAUCCUCUCUGUAUAUAUAUAUAGGGCUUCUCUGCUACGGACGUCCGCACCGUUUUACGGUGCGGAAUUCCGUCCGUUCGCCACCGUACGGCGCCGCGCGAGGGCCCGCCUUCACCCCAGCGAACUCCAGCAGCUUCGCCAACCACUUUCCAUCCCCGGCGAGUCCGUUCUUUUCCAGUUUUCCGACGAGAUCACCCAAAACUUCAAAUAAAGUCGAUCUCGCCGGAAAAACUGGAAUUCAGCGGACUCGCCGGGGAUGGAAAGUGGUCGGGGAAGCUGCUGAAGUCCGCUGGGGUGGAGGCNNNNNNNNNNNNNNNNNNNNNNNNNNNNNNNNNNNNNNNNNNNNNNNNNNNNNNNNNNNNNNNNNNNNNNNNNNNNNNNNNNNNNNNNNNNNNNNNNNNNNNNNNNNNNNNNNNNNNNNNNNNNNNNNNNNNNNNNNNNNNNNNNNNNNNNNNNNNNNNNNNNNNNNNNNNNNNNNNNNNNNNNNNNNNNNNNNNNNNNNNNNNNNNNNNNNNNNNNNNNNNNNNNNNNNNNNNNNNNNNNNNNNNNNNNNNNNNNNNNNNNNNNNNNNNNNNNNNNNNNNNNNNNNNNNNNNNNNNNNNNNNNNNNNNNNNNNNNNNNNNNNNNNNNNNNNNNNNNNNNNNNNNNNNNNNNNNNNNNNNNNNNNNNNNNNNNNNNNNNNNNNNNNNNNNNNNNNNNNNNNNNNNNNNNNNNNNNNNNNNNNNNNNNNNNNNNNNNNNNNNNNNNNNNNNNNNNNNNNNNNNNNNNNNNNNNNNNNNNNNNNNNNNNNNNNNNNNNNNNNNNNNNNNNNNNNNNNNNNNNNNNNNNNNNNNNNNNNNNNNNNNNNNNNNNNNNNNNNNNNNNNNNNNNNNNNNNNNNNNNNNNNNNNNNNNNNNNNNNNNNNNNNNNNNNNNNNNNNNNNNNNNNNNNNNNNNNNNNNNNNNNNNNNNNNNNNNNNNNNNNNNNNNNNNNNNNNNNNNNNNNNNNNNNNNNNNNNNNNNNNNNNNNNNNNNNNNNNNNNNNNNNNNNNNNNNNNNNNNNNNNNNNNNNNNNNNNNNNNNNNNNNNNNNNNNNNNNNNNNNNNNNNNNNNNNNNNNNNNNNNNNNNNNNNNNNNNNNNNNNNNNNNNNNNNNNNNNNNNNNNNNNNNNNNNNNNNNNNNNNNNNNNNNNNNNNNNNNNNNNNNNNNNNNNNNNNNNNNNNNNNNNNNNNNNNNNNNNNNNNNNNNNNNNNNNNNNNNNNNNNNNNNNNNNNNNNNNNNNNNNNNNNNNNNNNNNNNNNNNNNNNNNNNNNNNNNNNNNNNNNNNNNNNNNNNNNNNNNNNNNNNNNNNNNNNNNNNNNNNNNNNNNNACCCUCCGGCGCCGUCGCGGCGCGCCGGAGGGUGGAGAACGGACGGACGUCCACACUUUAAGCUGAGUACGGACAUCAGCUUCACAUCCGGACUGUAUAUAUAUAUAUACACAAGGCCCUUCCAAUGAGGGAUUCUUUUUUUUUGUUUCUUUUCUAAGGAUAGAUCAUUUGACAAACUUUUCGAUCAUAAAAUCAAAUCUCCACCGUUCAGUUAGUUAGGCUAUAUGAGUAGAUCAUUUAUACAAAUUUUGAGAAAAUUUGGUGAUCAUUACGUCAUCCAAAUGAGGGAUUUAUUUUUAAUAAUCUUAAACGGUGUAGGUUUGAUAUAAGUGUUAAGUUUUUUGUUUUAAUCUCAACCAUCCAAACCCAUUAAAAAACAGAUCUAAUGGUGUAGACCUAUCCCUAAAUGUGAUAAAAAAAUAAGGAUCUCUCAUUGGAAUGGCCCUAUAUAUAUAUAUUGUUGGUAGUCUUUCUCUGCUAAUGACAUCCUUAUUUACUUUUACGGUACAAAUUUCUAUUUUAAACUCACUUUUUAUUCGAAUAUUCACAUCUCCACCAUCUAGCCUUUAGAUACUAGUUUAUAGAUUAUCUAUGCAAAUUUUCAACCAAUUUGAUAAUCGUUAAGACACUCAAAACUACGUUUCUAUUAUAAACAUAAAUGAUUCAAGUUCGACAUAAUUCAGUUCGUCAAUUGGUUUAAUUGAGUUUGAGUGACUUAAUAAUAACCAAAUUGGCUGAAAAUUUUCAAAGAUGAUCUAUACGCUAGUACCUAAAGACUAGACGUUAGAGAUGUGAAUAUUCGAACGAAAAUGAGUCUAAAAUAGANNNNNNNNNNNNNNNNNNNNNNNNNNNNNNNNNNNNNNNNNNNNNNNNNNNNNNNNNNNNNNNNNNNNNNNNNNNNNNNNNNNNNNNNNNNNNNNNNNNNNNNNNNNNNNNNNNNNNNNNNNNNNNNNNNNNNNNNNNNNNNNNNNNNNNNNNNNNNNNNNNNNNNNNNNNNNNNNNNNNNNNNNNNNNNNNNNNNNNNNNNNNNNNNNNNNNNNNNNNNNNNNNNNNNNNNNNNNNNNNNNNNNNNNNNNNNNNNNNNNNNNNNNNNNNNNNNNNNNNNNNNNNNNNNNNNNNNNNNNNNNNNNNNNNNNNNNNNNNNNNNNNNNNNNNNNNNNNNNNNNNNNNNNNNNNNNNNNNNNNNNNNNNNNNNNNNNNNNNNNNNNNNNNNNNNNNNNNNNNNNNNNNNNNNNNNNNNNNNNNNNNNNNNNNNNNNNNNNNNNNNNNNNNNNNNNNNNNNNNNNNNNNNNNNNNNNNNNNNNNNNNCCACCCAAUCAUCUCUGUUUCUCUCUCUUCUCUCUCUCUGUUUCUCUCUCUAUCUCUCUCUCUUUUGUAUUGGGUGGUGCUCAUGACCAGCAAAACUUGCUGGUUGGCAAAUCUGCAUCCUAGAAAGGGCUGAAUGAAAUAUAGUCCGAUGUGUUGGGUCUUUCUAUUCUAGGUAACAGUUCUGGACUUUUGGUUACUAAUAUAAGGUUGCUAACUACGUACUCAACUAAUUUGCAUGAAAUUAAGGUUUCUACAUAUCGAUCAGUUAUGGUUACUAAGGUUGCUAAUUACUAACUCGUAUAAAUGCUGGGUUAAGGAUCUCAGUGAUGGAGGUAGUUAUGGUUCUAGGUAAUUUGCAUGAGAUUAGUAAAACGUGAAAUCCAUGCCAGCUUCUGUAAGGUUGCAUGCAGAAAAUGAAAAGUCGACUCUUUGUGAUCCUGAUGUUAGAAGGAUUGUGUUCUUAAGAUGGAGGCAUAUAUAUGACAAAUAUAUAUUGCCUUUAGCGCCAAACAUGCAAAAGAAGAAAGGAGGGCGCUGAUCGAGUCACAGAAUUUGUGAUGACAGGUUUUCAGAGAUGUCUAGCUUACGGAUUUCAUUCCAUCAGAGCGCGCCAAACUUAGGUGGUCUCAAAAGAAACUAGAAAGUGUUCCUGCUUCAGGAAGUAUAAAUGGGCCUGGUUAACAUAUAUAUAGUUAAAGUUCUGCCUUCCCGGAACAGAAGAUCAGAGUUGUAAUUAAUCAAUCAUCACCGGUGUAGGAACAACAGAACAGCCAUCUUUACAAUAAGCUAAUAAAAUGGAUGCCAUAUAUGGCUUAAAAGUCGCAGCAUAUAUCAUAAAUCAUGUUAUUGUUAUGUAAGAAUUCGAAGAGCGAUCAGUUCUACUUCCAAACUGGACUAAUUACUGUUGUGAAGAGCAUGUUAUUAUGUUAAAGUAGCUUCGAUCUCUACUACUUAUAGUACCCCAUGGAUUGAACCCACUUCGUGUGUGUGUGUAUAUAUAUAUAUAUGGCAACUAUAAGAAUUGAGAGAUCAUAUGGAUAUCAAAGUUGUGGACAAAAGCUAAAACCAGAUCUUCCAGAUACUGCUUCAAACGCUUCACCAAAUUGACCCCGUGCACCAACUUCAUUUUGAUCAAGGAACAGAUGAAAGCCAGUGAAAUCAAAGCAUUUGGAAGUCACAAAGAAAAGAAGUGAAGAACGUUUGAUAGUGACACAUAUUUUGUUGACACAAGAGGUGAACAGUAGCUGCAUUUGGACAACGGUACAAUACUACAAUUAGCAAGAUGUUGAAGGGAAGAGAGUUUUAUGACUGAACAUCAGGAAGCAUUGUGACUACUUUGGCGCUGAAAUCUAUACUUAUGUGAUGAUGCAUUGCAAAUUCUUUGGGCUAUAUAUUCAGUGGUUUGAAAUCAUAUAUAUUAGAUGAAGCACUGAGGAAAACUUCCACCUGUGAUGAAGUGAAAGCUGCUUUUCUCAGCUAAUUUAGCAGAAACCACAAUAUAUAUUGUAAAAGAAAUUGAACAUGGGCAUGAUCAAAAGCAACCUGUAUGUCCGAGCUAUAAACGAGCUAUAUAUAGUCUUCAUCCAAAUUACAAGAGUACGUCAGCCUGCAGUACGUAUCAGAAUUAGAAUGGGACAGCCAGACAGGCUUUAUGUUGCUUACUUUGUGCUACAGGUAACCAGCUGAUUCAGUUCAUUGUGUACUCUGCACCGUUCGGCUCUCUGAUUUUAUGCUGCAAUUUUCCUCAUAAAACAUAUAUCAAGCUACUCCUAUCGGACACCACAUGUACAUAAUAUAUGUUGCUGCACUCCCUUAAGCAAGAAACGGUGGAUGCUGCUGAAACAGGACCAUUAGCUUAAGCACACAUAAACAGAAAUCAAAUUGCAUAUUUCCAAACAAUAACAUUGGUGCAUUCCUUAUAAAACUGUAUGGUUUUAAGUCUAAAACUGUUCUUCCCAACUAACUGCAGUUACUGUGAGUAAUCAUAUAGAUGUUCAUUACCAACUUUUCACAUUCAAUCCUUAUCUUUCAUUCGUGUACUCCAAAUUCUUUGCGCAACACUUAAUAAGCUCUAUGUUUUACCAUAUUUCUUCAGAAGAUAUGCCUGUUUAAAUUUGCACCUCUCCAUACCAUACAAUUCAAAAGACACUAUACAAUAAGAAUUAGUCCUCAUCAAUACCAAUUUAGUUGAAAAUUGAAAGUACGAAAUAUUCUAUGUUUUCAAAAGUUUCAACACCAAUAUGUGCUAGUUCAAUAUCAAGCAAACCAAUUUACCCUCGAGGCCUGAAACAGACCAUAGGAAGGUCCGUAAUCAACCCUGGCCUCGACCUUAGGAAGUUCCGAUUAAUUUCUUUCGGAAUUAUUCCAAACAAAAUUGCUUAAUUAAGAUCAGCAAAAGAAGAUCUUCAACCUUGAAAGAUCCCAACCUGCUGUCAUCGACCUUGCAUACGUUUAGAUGUGGAAAAGGGUGCGAAUAUGAUUUAGCAAUCUUAAACACAACAGUCACAACUAUUUUAUUAUUCACAGCUAAACUACAGAAGUUCACAAGAUCGAUCGUUCCUAACUUUGAUAACUUCAAAUUCCCAGGUCAUCAUGAUGAUAACUUUGAUAACCCUUCUAUGGGGUUAUAACCAUAGAGAUUUUAGAAAUCUCAUAUGCACAAGUAACCGCGUACAAGUUCGAACUAUCCAAACCCAAAACCGACUAAUCGGUCAGACUAGAGAGACAAAUUAUAUAUCUUUUACGUACAUUGCUAGGGACCUGGCCGGCGAAGCUAGUCUAAAACUCUAAACAUGCACUUCAACAACUACAGCCUCGCCAGUAGCCGCGUAAGGACCUGUUCAUGUUUGCGUCUUUCUUGUUAGGCAAGGCUAGCUUGGUGCUCUCAAUCCACAUGAGAUUUUUUUUUGUCUAACAUACAGUACAUACACACACAACCCUGCAGUCCAGAAAAAUAGUAUUGAAGUGAUUCAAGACGGCGAAUUAUGAAGAAAAUCUUGAGUUAGGACAACACAAUUAUGUCUCGAGUAUAUGGACCUGUAUGUUUGUAUGGAUAUGCUAAUCUGUACAUGAUUCAGUACGGAGGUUAAUAUUGAAAGAGACUAAGAGUAUCAUCCUCAUCUGCACAGCGCUAAGAUACAAACAGUGUGUGACUGGUUCAAUCACUAUAAAUUGCUCAAUGUUUAGCAUAGUUCCCUUCUUUUAAUUCGGAAAACCCCGUAAAACUCGGUCAUCUCAGAAUCUUAUUACUCUACUACAGCUAACUGGAAAACAAAACCAUGCAAUAUAUAUACUUCGAUUCCAUGGAAUUUUUAAGGGCCAGGUUGGUGAUCACAGACCAACAGUAUCAAACAAGGAGUUUAGCCAACAUAAAAAAAUACCAGUAUUUUAUAAGAAACAUAGCCAGAAUCUAGAUAUAAAUAUUUCUGAUGGCCCCUUUGUGACCAGGCCCUGCUAUUUGUUUUAGCAAACUGGUAAUCUUGGAUUAGCAUGAAUUGUGUUGUUCUUGUUCCUAUCUAUGAUUUGUUAAACCAAAAGGGAUUAAAGACUUGGCAAACUCCAUGGACUUGGUAAAAACCUCCUCUACUACUUCAGUUCCUAAGUGCUGAUUUUGGGAGCAUAUGACUAAUAUAAUUCAUAUGAUUCUAGCUUUUUCUCCAUCUUUUUAUUAAAGUAUUGAGGUGGUUGAGCUUGUCGGGGUCUUUGUAGACUUUGGAUUAUUAGCUCCAAACUGCAGACCUGCAGUGCUUGACUUCUUCUUUCGGUUUCAGCAUUGACCCCAAUGACGUCCCUACAUCAUUAAACCUGUUGAUGAUAGACCUUUAAGAUUGGAUCAGGUCAAAUUAAUUCUGAAGUUUAUGAAUAAUUCUGUCUUGUAUCUACCUGAAGACACACUGCUUUCUACAGUCUUGUUGCUUAAUUUUCUCCAUUUGUUUCUGUUUCUUUUUUUUAGAGUAUCAACGACGGUAUCCUUGAUGAUUUUCUGGGCCAGAGACUAAUCCGUGUCGAUAGAUCAUGUCAAUACGUUUCUUCCCUUUUGGCCACUAAAAAUAAAUUAGGAUUUAACUUCAAUUAGCGUCGGCGGAAUUCGAACCUAAAUAUGGGGUUUCACUCUAAGACUCUUACCAACUCUCGACCACUUGUGGUGGUUUUGUUUUUGUUUCUUUGAGACGAGGUGAGAGCGCCUUACCAGUUACCACCCUAGUUGAUGCAUAUGUUUAUGGAGAUUUAUAGCUCAAAUCUUGCCAGCUUCUACAGUUGAAUAUAUGUGGAUCCGUAACUUAUGCAGUAAUCAUAAACUAUAUAAGGGGAUUUCUAUAUACACUCAAUUUUGAAGAGUAGUUUUAAAUAAAACUCACCUAAUAUUUCUAUUUGAUAGACAUCUAAAUGUAUCAAUUAUGAUACAUUAUGUCUUAUUUUUUCUAAAUUUUACAUAAUUGCCACCAUUCAACUCUAACAUAUAAACAUAAUAAAUAAGCUUAAUUGAUGUUGUCUUAAAUACCUUAAUUAUGAGUUUUUCUUCUAACACUAAAAUUUUUCAAACAAUUUACAAGAAUCAUGCGGGUUUCUUUAUUUUUUAUGAAAAAAUCUUGGUGAAAAGGUGAAAGGAAUUUAUUAUCUAAUCUAUAUAUAAAGUAGAAUAUAAUAUAAAUAAGAUAUCUGAUUAUUAGAGUAAAAAAAAGAAAUUUUGUAGUGUUACUGUAGGACCAUGUGGCUUCUGACGUGGUCCUCCGUUACAUUCAAAUUUUGACAUAUGGAUUUUUAUGAUGAAAAACCAUUUUAGCUAUUUUGUCAAAGACCUUGAUUUUUAAACCCUAAACCCUAUAUCUUAUACCCUAUACCCUAAACCAUAAACCCUAAACCCUAUACCCUAAACCUUAUACCCUAAACCCUACACCCUACACCCUAUACCCUAACCCUAUACCUUAAACCCUAUACCUUAACCUUAUACCCUAAACCCAAUUUUGGGUUUCUUCUUUUUAGGUAUAUAUAUUAUCAGAUCAUACCCUAUUUAAUAGGUACAUUAGAAAUGUAAGUGGUUGAGAGUAAAAUGUUCUCUCGAUCAGGAUUGGAAAUGAUAUAAUAAUAUAUCUAAAAAGAAGAAAAUUAAUCAAAGAACAAAAACGUAUACCUUACAAUUAAACAUUUUCCGACUAUGUAGAGAGGCACCAAAUGUGAGCUUAGGAAUGAAAAGAAUCAUUCUAUUACAAAUGACAUACUUUUGUAUAUAACAUAUAUAUAUACACUUAAGUUAGUAAUAACAAGGUAAGAAAUUAAAGAAUGUAAUUGAUUAUGACAAAGUUAAAUCCAACUAAAUUUUAGCUUAAUAUUUGAGUUCAAAUUGAUGCUAAAAUUGAGAAAGAUACCAAAUUUAGCUUUCUACCGUCUGAAGGGCAAAUCAGAGAAACCGAAAAAUAAAUAAAACUAUUACUUAUAGACAUUUGCUCUAUAUGGCAAGUUUGCUUAUGUGAAUUGGGUAUAAAAUGAAAGAAAAAUAUGUAUGGUUUUAUCUUAAAAGUGGUCUAGUAUUUUGGGUUUUUAUCUAAUUUUCUCCUAAUUUUAUGUAAUUGUAGACAAACUCUAUGAUACACAUUGAUUUGAUUUCCAUGCACGGUGAUGAAAGACAAGCUUUAUGUAAAUGUAGACCAAUUUCUUAGGGAAUAAACUACCUCUUCCCUACUUGAUUGGUAUGGUGGCUCUCCUAAACUUGGAGUUAAUCUACCAGUACUAAAACCUCUUAAUAAUUACCGGUUUAGAAGAAUCUAAAUCUAGUCAUUUUCGAUCAUGAGCUAGUUUAAGCAAAACCGCGAUGUCGAUCCACUACGUGCUAAUCUUAAAAACAACAUCAUCAGUUUCUAGAGACUCAUAGCUAGCUCUAAUGGUGAAAAAUAUUUCUUCUCUAUGCCAGCCGUCUUGAGUUCGAAUAUCUCCAAACCAAUCUCAUUAACAAAAGAAUAGGAAUUAAUCACCAACGAGAGGCCAGGGCUUGAACAGUUCAUCAAGUUCGUGUUGGAUGGGUGUGGUCGGAAUAAAUUGCAGGUUGUAGGGUACUUGUUUGUCAAUUUCUCUAUCCGAUUUAAUUUGUGAAGUCAAUUUCUUUCUCCAGAUAUACAGCUCUGAUUCCAUUGAAAAUGUCGUAUCAUUCAUAUCAUCAGAUGAAGAAAAUUACAUGAAAACGUGUUUGCAUUGAAAUCGUAGCACAUACAACAUCCCCCACUUGAUAUAUGUAAGAACCUUCGGAUCAUUAAUGUGAAAGACAUAUUUCAACCAUAUACGUACCUGUACCUGUAAUGUAACAACCGGAUCGAUAUUAUAGACUUUAUCAACUACACUAGUCAGCACUCUUACAAAUGACUCAACUUCAGAAAGAUCAAAAUCUUCAUUUUCGGUUCUUCAUCAGGUACAGACUCUCUUUCAUUUUGACAAUAAACAUACGUUUUUAUAUAAAAUUAAUAUUUAUACAAGUAGCCGGAGAGUUUUCACUACUCGGCAUGUUCAACAAGAGGUAAAAUGAAUAUAAAAUCUGAUUACCCUGUUGAAACGUUAAUGUAAAAUUAAAGAGUAGUAGAAUGGAAAGGUCAUUCAGUUCAGACAUGACAUGAAAAUAAAGUUAAAUUGUAGGAAGUUCACAAAGUUUAAAUACGCGAUAAAGUAGGAUUCAAGUCAUGACUCUCAUGAGUAAAAUAACUGAAAGAAAGAAUCUUGGAGUUGAAAUCUAAUUGUUUCUGGAACAAAAAAGACAAGGAGAACCAAUCUAGUAUUGCUUGCCUGCACGUAUGUCAAUUUGUGCUUUGUCUAGAAGCUCAAGCUAUCGAAACACGGGAGCUAGCUUGAAAGAAACGUACUUUAGCAUGUAUGAAAUGAUAAGACCCGAUCCAAAGCGCAAGGUUUGAUAUUCUGAUAAAAUGGAAUCUAAAUUAGCUAGCAUCUCUACUUUUAAUCCAAUAAUAAAGGGUAUAUAUAUCGAUCCCAAGUAUUGGAAAUCACACUAAUUUGCUUCUCCACUCUGACUUAAUUUGAUAAAUAAUUUAUGUUAGAUUCGAAUAUCCAAGCUAUUUUCCCAUAGCUCGAGCGCUUUAUAUAUAGACAACUGGAAAAUUUGGUAACUGCCCUUUGAAUGAUAUUCGACAUGUUAGUAAUCCCAGAAAAUGGUAAAUCUAGAUAGACUUGGCUCAAGUCACAACAUAUACCAGCGUCUGUGGAGAGAAGAAGAGAGCAAAAACUGAGAGAGAAUGGUAUGAUACUGAGAUGUAUAUUCUAUUUUUAUUUUACAUGUACUUGAACAAAAAUUACAAUGUUAUGAAUCAAAUUACAACAUUGAGAACAAAUUUUACCAAAUUUAUACUAUUUACAUGAAGUUAUACAAAAUUACAACUAUGAGAACAAUUUGUACAAAAAGUUGUAAAAUGGUUGUACAUUUUAUAAUUACAAUUAUUAGAACAAGAUUACAAACAAUAGGACUCAGCAUUACCACUUUGACUACAAAUAUGUUGUCACAUUUAUAAAUAUAAGUAUCACAUACUAGUAGGUACCAUAGAAUUUCCUAAAAAAUAAUCGAUGAUGGACGAAAACUUUGAGAGAAAAAGAAUGAAGAUCAAACUAAAGAGAAGAUAAUUUCGUCUUGAUAACCAGCUUUUAUAGUUGAAAACCACUCAAUAACUAGAGUCUUGUACGGUUUAAAAUAGUGAUCGAUAUAAGUUCUUGGUAUAUACGAGAUGAAUCGAGAUUUAAAUACAAUUAGUUAAAGUCACUAAUAUAUAUCAACUUUGUUAAUGUUAUUCAAUAUUGCGGGCCUAAUACCCUUAGAAUGAGUAAAAUGUUAAACAGUACAAAUGUACAAUCUUCAAGCUAUGAGCCAAUCAUCCCAACCUCAUAAAGAGGAACUCGGUGACGAACCCUUCUAACCAAAAGCUUCGAAUUCGAUUCACUUUAACAGAAGCGUCCAGGAAGGAAGUACACACCACUCAAAAACCUCAGAACUAGCUAGCUACCUUCUCGAAGAAAACGACAAAAGGGAUUAAGGUCAAUAAGUCUGAUAUGUACCUGACCACCUCAACUGGGCCCGACCACCACUCAAUUGGUUGGUCCAUAGUAAAAAGAGAACCUCUCGCGGAGUUUUGUUUUGUUUUACGUAGAAGCAUAACGGAUAGGGCCAUGUUGGAAAGGAAAGGGUAAUAUUAAGCUCAGGCAGGAGGAUUAGCUAGGAUGCUUCGUCUCUCUCACCCGGCACCAAAGUCUUCGUUUCCAAUUUGUUUUUUCGGUCAAAUCUCUGCAAAACAUUUGUAUAAAUAGACGCUUCUUGUUUCUCCAUUCCCAUUCCACUCCCAGCUUUCCACUCUUUCUUAACAUCUCUCUGAUAUAUUCUCCCUCUCAAUUAACAGAUUUGAAAUCAUUCCCCUGAUCGAUCAUCAUCAAUGGAACCUGCUCUCGACAUGGCUGCCCUCGAUUUCAUCAAGAACCAUCUUCUCGGCGAGUUCUCUCCCAUCUGCAAAAGCUCUGGCUGCUCUGUUGUUACUGAGCUAACAACCACCACCACCACCUCCUCCUCCUCCUCCUCAUCAUCAUCAUCUUCGGAUAUAUCCAGAUCCCAGUCUACUUCUCAAUCUUCCAUCGAAAUCUCUGACUACUUCGACAAUGAACUCUUCGACUUCACCUCCAACAAUAUUCCCAUCCCUGACGACUUCUUCGAGUUCGAAACCAAGCCACAAGUGAUUGACCUCACAACCCCAAAACCAACUGAUCUGACCUCCCAAAUAUCCUUUGAGUUUGACUCCAAGCCUCAGUUUAACAGCUCUGCUAGUUUCUUCGAGUUUCAACCGGAGGUUCAGAUCUUGAACCAAACAGCUCCCAAACCGGUCACUACUUCUGCCCGGAAACCUGCCCUCACCAUCUCUCUCCCCAACAAGACCGAAUGGAUUCAGUUCUCGAAUUCCGACAAGAGUCAAUUAGUGGUCCAGAAAACCGUUCAGAAUGAGGAGAAGAAGAAGCACUACCGCGGCGUCCGACAAAGGCCGUGGGGCAAAUACGCGGCGGAGAUCCGAGACCCGAACCGAAGAGGCUCCCGGGUCUGGCUUGGAACCUUUGACGCAGCCAUCGAGGCCGCCAAGGCUUACGACCGGGCGGCGUUUAAGCUCCGAGGCUCCAAAGCCAUCCUUAACUUCCCUCUAGAAGCCGGGAAAUAUGACACCCCGCAGCCUAAUAAGACGGCGGCCGUGGUUGAGAGAAAACGACGUCGUGAGGAGGAAGUGCAACCGGAAGUACCCGUGGUGGUGAAGAAGGAGAAAGUAACGGUAUCGGAGGAGGCUGUGAGUUAUAUUAAGGAUAUGCCGUUGACACCGUCGAGUUGGACGGCGGCGUUGUGGGACUCCGAUGAGGAUGUGAAAGGGAUCUUCAGUGUUCCGCCGUUGUCGCCGUUAUCUCCCCACCCAGCGAUGGGUUUUUCACAACUUAUGGUCGUAUGAAAAAAAACAGAAAGACUAAUUCCAUUUUUCAUUGGCGCCGAGUUGUUUAAUAGAUUAGGACCUUUUUAAUUCUUUUUAAUUAUCUGAAGAAAAUGGUAUAUAUUGUUCCCGUAUAUAUGUGAUAUAUGUACGUGGGAACUUUUGAUAAUGGAUGAGAAGGAUUGUGUUAAUUUGGUAAACUUUGUAUAUAUUCCCAGUUUCUCAUAGCUUCCAAAGUUUAAUAAUUACGUUUCGGGCACCUAUAUGAACAAUCAUAAUAAAUCUUGGAUAUUUCUUUGUAGAAGAAAGAUAUACCAAUUUGAUAAGUACAUUAGAUUCACCAUUAUGAUUAAUUUUCUACCUAAAAGUGAAAUGCAGGAAAUCAAAACGCUAUAAUUUUAACUACAAUGUGUUACCAAUAUCCUAGAAAGUAAUUAAGAUUUUGGGUUUGGAUGAAGGCCAAUGCUUGGGAAUCACGCUUCCACAGUUAGUUCAUCAAAGCGGUAACAUAAACUACUCACUCAAGAUACUAAUAUCCUCUGUUGGGUGAGAACAUGGUAUGUCAACAAAUCCAAAUUGAGCACUCAACUAUUAUUGUACCAAUGGCUAAUGCACGAUCUCAAUACAAAAACUAAACUAUUAACCAAAAUCUGAGGGUCGACACAUUGGGAGUUUAAGUUGGGAAUAUCUUUACGGAUAUAUGCUUUGGGUAGCUAGUUCAACUUAAUUUCGAAUCAAUUUGAUUUGCUUUUGGUUGACUUCUAAUAUAACGAUUCAUGCAUAAACACUUCCAACAUCAUAUAUAGAGUUUUAUUUUCAAAACCUAAUAGAAUUCAGUGUGGCUUAAUGGCUUUUGUAAUUGGGAAUACCAUUCCAAGGAACAAGAAUGAGAAUAAUUUGAAGGAUCCAGAAAUGUAUGGGACCUAAAGUUUCAGGAUAUGUCCAACCUUUUCUCACUGAUUACUAGCUAGAGUGUAAAUGACUCAUGCAUAUAACAAAUUAAUUGGAGCUAGGCUGCUAAUUCUGGUCAUCAUUUUAAAGUUUUGAUGUGAUGCUUCAACGAUAAAAUCAAGAGCUGAUGCCUUAACUGGCAGUAUUGCAUCUAGUCCUCGUUCGAUGCAUUUGACCAAGCUUAAGCUAGUUAUAUGAUUACGAUGCUCGAUCAUCAAGUACUUAUAGCCUUUUGAGACCGCUACCUUGAGUAGAAAUCGUGUACUACUUCGUCCUGGAUUUUUAUUUUGAAUUAGUUUUAACAAGGAAUGAGCACUGGGGAUAUACAAAGUCAAAACUGCACAUGUCUGUAUAAAACUUUGGAAUUCAUCGCAAGACCGCAACGAUUUGCUUCGAGUACAGUCACAAGGUCAAAUGUAAAUAAAAAUCGAUCACGGAUUAGUAUAUGUUAUGUUAGUGUAACGUGGCAAUAUAGCAGAUGAACAUUCUUAAUCAGUGUUGUCAUGAACUACUGUCAAUGCUUAAUAUUUUUGUGUUGUGUUAAUCUCAUGUAUCAAAUUCAUUUAUAUACAUAACCGGUAACAUAUAGCUGGCUUGUAGAUUCCUAAUAUGACGUAUCAAGUUGAUAGUGAAAGAGAUGGAGAAAACUCUAGAUGCUCGUAAAAAGAUCGGUGAAGUCAACUGUAUACAUAUUACUAAGAUAAAGGUGUGUAAUAUAAAUUGAUCCGGUUAAUUUGAUUGGAUUCAUGUUGCUUGAAUUUGUUUAGAACUCUUAUAGUAGGAUUGAGUACAAUUUGAGACCGUCAUAUUAUUCUUACUCAAUCUAAUGAUUAUAAGAUAUUAAAGUCUUAAAAUAUAUACAAGCAACAUGAAUCCAAACAGAAAAUCAAAUUCAACGUAAAAUACAUAUAUAUAGUUUACGUAUCCCCUGAACAUAUAAAUGUAGGAGCAUUGAUAAUCGAAUUUAUUCCGAGAGCUAGUUUUAGGUUAGCACAAUCGACUGCUCGACCUUGCUUGCUAAUUCGUCAGAAACAAACCUUGCUUCUAAGAAUGCAGGUUGUGCAAGAACAAUGCUCUUUUUGUUCGACCUUAAUUAACCUUUGGUAUUCUUUUGUUUUAUUUUAUCAGAGCUCUGACUUUCUAUAUGUCUGAUCUGUGACUAUUCAAACAAACAAACUCCUCGUGGCUUGCUUGAGGUUGACCCUAGCAUUUGAAUAUGAUGUCGUCGGUCGUCACCAUGAUAGAACCAUUCUCAUGUCGGUUUUUAUUGCUGGACUUUGAAUUCCAAAUUAUUGCAAAAAAAAUUGUCAAAUCUAUCUCAAAAGCUAUACGUGGUGCAUGGCUCGUACGUGGAGGAAGCUCCAGGCUCCAGCUAACAGCGGUCCACGGCGGCUGCUUUUGCUUAUGUACUGACAGCACCGCCGUAGCCACCGACGUCAGGCAGACCAGACCAGGCCACAUAUUGCUCGAUCUGCUGUCGUACGUAGCGAUUCAUCCGCACCGUUUCUCGUUUUUCUGUGCUUGGAGAUUACUGUGUAUUUUACGCUGUCACGAACUGGCAUGGCAGAUGAUAACUCACAAGUCAAACUUAGACGUGAAAACUAAAACUGUUAGAGCUUUCUUGAGAAAUACUCCAAAAUGUAAAAGUCAGAAUUCAGAAACGUAGAUAUGAGUGAGUCUGGAUAUCGGAGUUACUGUGUGGUUGACGAAGUGAAAAUGUUUAAUCAUCGGAGUUAAUUUGGAUGUAAUAUUAUCGGGGCACCGGAAACAGUAGAAAAUCGGGUGGAACGCACGUACUCUCGGCAUACAUUUUCCUUUUCAGAUGACUUUGUUUUAGUAUUCAAAACUACAACUAGGGAUCGAAUACUCAACACAUGUAUAAACUGAAGCUAAAGCGUAUAUAUGUACGUGAUCGACUUAAUAGCAUAAAAAGAUGUUAAAUUCUUAACUGUGGAGCAAUAUAAUUGAUGAUGAUCCCGUGAUUAAUGAUCAUAAAAAUUAAUUAAUGGGUCAAUACCCCGAUGACUGAUUCAUCCUUUUUCUUCUUGUUUGGUUUGGUUUGGUUGCAGGCUUCAAAGUUCAAACAUAUAAUAAACUGCACUCGAUCUUUGUAUUCUAGUCCCCAGUGGGACGUCACUGAUAUGUAUGGCUUGCAUCAAUACAUAUCUCCAUUUUUUUUCUUCUACUUUCUAAUUCGGGAAUUAAUCACAGUACUAGUACUACUCAUGUUUACGGGAAAUUCUAUCUACACAGUUAUUAGUGACGAAAAAAGGAGAUGAAAAGAGUUUUUAUGUAUAAAGCUACACCUAAUUAACUUCUGCAUCAAUAGGACAACACCAGUUAACUUCAACCCCUUAGCCCUUAUAUCCUAAGACCUCGUUUGGUUCGCAGAAAGGAAAAUAGUUACUUUGUCUUUCUCACGGAAGAGAAAGAGAAGAGAAAUUUGUCUUUCUCACGGGAAGGAAAAGAGAAGAGAAAUAAAAUUUUCCGAUGACUUUAUGUUCCGAUGUUUGGUAACACAAGGAAAAUCAUCCAGAAAGUUAAUUAAAAUAAUAAAAUAAUAUAUUGUGAAUAAUAAAUGCAAGGAAAUGAGAUGAGAAAGUGGUUCAUAUGGAAUUAUGGAUUUUGGAAGGAACAAUUUUUCCUCACGUUUUCCCAACCUUUAGGAAAAUAUUUCUUUUCCUUCAGCAUUUCCAAAAGCAGGAAAUGAACAACUUUUAUUUCCUGAUGGUUACUUUCCACGAACCAAACAAGGUCUAAGUUCUAACUAAUUCCUUUUAUUUGUUCUAACUGAUUUUUGAGUGCAAUUAAUCAACACCCCUAUUUUUCUGCAGCAAUAUAUGUGGUGAUUAACACCAGCUAGCGAACUCCAACCUUAUAGCCACCUGGCUUUCAGAUCCGCUCCCCGUUUCCUCAUCUUUUUAUAAUCUGGGAAUCACGGAUAGAGCUCAAACACAUGCAAGGCCAUCAGAAGCUACCGACAUUACACUCAUCAUGAUCAGUUUUAGCCAUCGAAUUUCUUUUGAUAUAUUAUUGUUCACAAUAAUGUAUUCGAUAUAACAUCGAAUACAUUGAUAUGAACAGCCAUCGAAUUUCAUAUUCUAGUUAGGAAUUGUGUUCUGUUGACGACGAUCAGACGUUACUGUAAGUUUAAUCGUACUGGGCUCGCAAGCAUAGACGAAUUGCUGAAACUAUAUAUAUAUCAACGACAGAAUCUUCGACCAGAUACUGAAGUUAAACAUGCAUGAAGAUAUCAAGGCUUGAUUUUUGGAAGAAUAGUAUAUAAUCAGUAACGACUGUUUUUAAGUAAGGAAAUUAACAAAUGCUUCAAUUCAAGUUUACUGAUGAUGAGUUAAUUAUUAAUGAGUCAAAGUCUUUGCAUUGCUAAAUUCCUUGUAUCCCUGAAAAUCUCAUUCUCAGAAAUGACCUAUAUGUGCUCUGUGUUGUUUUAGAUAUGACUCGAUUAGCGAGUGAUUAAUAACUUAAUUUGUUGAACAUGAUAUAUAAUAGUGCUGUCGUGUGGUUGGGGACCGGCCAAUUAAUUUGUUACAAGCUUCACUAAUCAUUUGGCAAAUUGACAUGUGUGCUAAAUGAGCUAUAUUAAAGGAUUAAUCUCUCAAUGAAUCGAAUGCAUAUAAAUCUCUCACAGUCAACCAGUUAGGGAAUAUAUGAUUAAGAUAUAAGAGAGCUAGCUCCUUUGAACAACUUUGCUGAUAUAGUUGAAAAUCAAGGGUACAUACAAUAUUAUGAUACUUUUUUUCUAUUUUUGAUUUGAAACUGGCAGGAUUACAUUGAUUAAUAAUUUUGAAGUAGAGUAGAGAAUGCAUGAGAGAUGACGAUUAACGAAUUAUCUCGUUAAGUAGAAACUUUAACAGAGCAUAUAUAGAUUACUUUUUUGACUCAGCUCAAAGCUUGUUUCAUUCUAUCGAAAAGAAGAAGAUACAUCAUGAAUCGAUCAACUGCCUUGCGUAAAAGAUUGCUUGAAGUUGAUAAAAUCCAUCUUAAAGACGGGUUUCAACUCCAUGAAGUCCUAUAAGUUAAAUUUUAUUCGACUAAUUAAUUUCACACUCUUUUUAGCUUUUCUUUUCAUUUCCUUCCAAUAUCAUGUGCUGGUUAAUGGUUAUCAACUAUUUACAAUGAGAAGUUGCAUUCUUUAUCGAACAAUCUCACACUUAGAUGAUCAAAUCUCACACUUAUCAAGCAAAACUAAUUUGAUGAUCGUUAAGAUACCAAAUUAGAUUAAAGAAUUAAAUUCAUUUUACCCUUCUGAGGUUUUGAGUUGACCUCAUUCAGCUCCCGAUCUCCUAGUUUUGAAAAUUUAUCCCCUCAAGUUUCUAAUUUUCAUCAAUUUAACUUAUUUGCUAAGAUUUUGUCCAAUUUGAAGGUUAAAUGCUAACAUGAAAUCUUAUAAAUUGGGUCAUAAAGUGUGAUUUUUGUCGUUAACCGACUGUUCUAGCCCUAAAAGUGAGCUAUAAAGUCAAAAUUAACAUUCAAUUUUGACGGAUUCUUAGCAAAUAAGCAAAGAUGAUGAAAUUUAUAAACUUAAAGGGGUAAAUUUUUAAAAUUGAGAGGUUGGGGGCUGAAAUGAGGUCAACUCGAAACCUCAUGAGGGUAAAAUGAAUUUAAUCAUAGAUUAAAUCAAUGAACGGACCAUAAAUAUGUCUAACUAGACCUGUAUGUGUAAAUAACGAUUACGAAAACCCAAACGAUCUUCAAAUUUGAUGAAAAUUUGCAUAAGUGAUCUAUGCAUUAGGUUUUACAAACUGAACGGUGGAGAUGUGGAAAUAUGAUCGAAAAAUGAGUCAAAUAAGAAACCUCACACUUUAAUUUCAAAGCGAAGCUUCAUUCUGGAUAAGUAUUAUAUGUGUGUGUCUAUAUAUAUAUAUGUUUUAUUUGAAUAAUGAAAUUGGACAGAUAUUAUGUUGGGCAAUCGAUCAUGCGAAAGAACAUGUCGUGUUUGAGUUAUGGAUGAGUUGACCAAUCUUGCCUCGUCAACCGGGGCCUUUUCUUCCUUAUUUGAUCUUCUUUUUUUGCGGUUAGUCCAACAUUUCCAUUUUAUUCAAUCUGUUAGUCCAACCUUGCCUUACAUAAGCCUACCAUCAUCAAUUAUUGGGAGUGAGAGAGAAUUGUCAAAAGACCACGUUUAUUGGACUCGAUCAUACCCUUAAUUAAUUAUCAGUAAGAAAUUAACCUUAAUUAAUUGAUUUCCUUUCUUCAAGAAAUUAACUUGUUUAUUAGAAAGACUACCAAGAAGGAAGGAAUUCGAAGGAACACUAUAUUCAAAUAUUCAUGUACAUGCAAUAAGAAUACUCAUCAACUUAUUCAUUAAUUGUUGUCAUAAUCACAAGUUUUAUUUAUUUUGUUAAUUUGCCGAAUCAAUAUAUUCAUCAGCUUAAUUAGCUCGUGCGCCUUGAUGUUGAUCAGGAACUCUGAACUCAGCUACCAGCAGCAAUAUUGUAUACCACAAGAAAAGGAUUUUGAUAAAGAUUUAAGCUUAUGAUACUGCUGGACUGAGAUAUCGAUCUAAUGUCAAGACCAAAAGACGAAGAAGAAGAUAGAGAUAUCGAUCUUAUUAUUAAGUAAGAUCCAGACUAGUCAAUCACAGAAGAUAUAUCGAACAUGUGUUUCUACAGAACAAGGAUCGAAUAAAUAACCAAGCGAUGAUCUAGUACGCUAAAGAAUAUGAUCUCUCUAAUUGUGGACGUCUCUUCUGUAAAUGAUAACUUGAGAGUUUGGAUCUAGAUGUUUAACUAUUUUUUCUUUUCUAGGAUUAAUGUAUAUAACUGAGUUUCAUAGCUAGCUAGCCAUUUACACCUAGGUAGACUACCAUUUCCUAAUAAUUAUUGAUUAACAAACUUACGUCUAAGGAAGCACUUAGAAGCUGGCAAUAUAUGCAAGCUAGUGAAGUAUAUUAUGAUGAAAAUAAGUAUUGAUUGUGAUUGAUGUAAGUGCCAAUUAAAUAAGAAGUUCGACAUAUAUAGGCAUGCGCACGUAUAGUACUUGUAGAUAUACAUCUGACUAUAUAUAUAAUUAAAGGAUCAAAAGAUCAAUUCUCUAGGGUUUCAAAGAAAAGUCAGUGAGCUCGUGAAUUUGACUAUUAUGCCAGUAGUGACCUCAUUGGGUUUAUACGUUUUAGAACAAAUCUAGAGCUUAUUGGAGGCGUGCAAAUGAAGGUCAAUACCUAGAGCUGGCACAGUAGCACCUUCACUGAUUCACUCCACUCCGUUCUAUUCUUAUCUGCAGGCUAGGGGAUUAUUUUUUGUAAGUAUAAGGAACUGAAAUCGACAAGUUCAAGAACUAAUAAUGUCAGAUGGGUGAAGCCUCGGGAAGGUAUAUAUGGUGAAGCUGAAUGUUGAUGGUGCCUUGGAUCCUCAGAAUGGAGUUUUUGGUACAUGAGCAGUGUGUCGAAAUGAGAAUGCAUAUUGUUUGUGUUUAGGAGUUUUGGCUUCUCCUGAAGUAGGAUAUCUGAGUCCUAAUGCUGUUAAAACUAUGGCGUUAGUAAAUGGGCUGCAUUUCUGCCUUAGAGAUUGAAGGUGAUGCCUUUGAGUUUGUUUACAGCUCUCGAUAAUGCUGUGGAUGACAUGAGUGAAAGAUCUCAUUAGUCAUUUUGAAUAUUGUAGUUGGAGUUAUAUCCCCAGUUCAAGCAACAGAGCUGCUCAUGCGACAGCAAGAAAAGCUCUCUUGCUCCCUUUUCCUACAUUCUGGUGUCUGUUAGUCCUAGAAUGGCUAGUUCUAGGGCUGGGCACGGGACGGGACGGGAAUGUGUUUUUAAAAAUCUGUCCCGUACGUCCCGAUCCCGAUCGGGAUCGGGACGGGACCGGGACAGGAUCGGGAUCCCGACUAAUUUUUUUUUUUUUUUUCAAGAACAAAUUAAUUGAUUAUCAAACACCACCACAAGUGGAAAAACGGGUUGAGAAACUCCAAGCAUUCAAAUGCUCCACCACAAUUGAUCAGUGUAUGAAAUUUUCGACAUUUUUAUGCUGUUUGGAACAACAUUAAUGAAAUUAAUGGAAAAAAAUAUCCAAAAACACAUAAACAAAAAAAAAGAACAUUGAUGAAAUUAGAAGUACUAAAAUCAACAAGAACAUAGGUGCAUAGGUGCUAAAUUACAUCCCACUUUAAAAGUACUAAACAUCCCACAUUAAAAAUUAACCCUCAAACAAUAACUAAAAAUAUCCAAAAUCACACAAGCAAAAAAAAAGAACAUGAAUGAAAUUAAAAGUAUUAUUUUAGACCAAAUUAAGUGUGGUUGAGUGCAUUGUAACACCAUGCAACCUAAAAAAUCAAGUAUAAAAUGAAUAAAAUCAAGUAUUCUAAUAUUACGGGACGAGACGGGAUUUUUCGGGAUAGUCCCGUCCCGUCCCGUUAUGGUAAUGUUAAAACGGGACGGGACGGGACGGGACGGGAUUGCUAUUUUCAAAACCUAUCUCGUCCCAUCCCGCUAACUUUCGGGACGGGACCGGUACGGGAUCAGGAUUCCGGUACUAAGUGCCCAGCCUUAGCUAGUUCACAUAGUCUCUGAGGAGUCUAGUUAGUUAAGUUUUUCUAAUGGAGUCAGUGGCGUAGGGAGGGUAGGGCGAGAAGGGUCAAUUGACCCUUCUAGCUAUUUGAAUUAAGCAGCCAUUGGUUGAACUAUUUGGUAAUCACAUAUAUAAACUAUAAUUAAUGACCCUCCUCACAUAAGAAAAUCUGUAAAAUUGAAACGGAAGAUGAUCAAAAGUUUUGAUCUUAUGGCCCAUUCACCCCACAAGUCCAGUGUUUGGACGGGUGUCCAUCAUGUUUUAACUUUUUACUGCAUUUUAUUUAUUAAGUGGCCAAUUAAUAAUGAUUCUGUCCCAUAAAUCAACACAGUUAAACAAUAUAUAUUUAGAUUUAUACACCAUUUUUUCACUCAUGGUCUCUAGCAAAUCAAGCCAAAAUUAGAAGAAUGUAAUAUAAAGUAAUAUAUCUAAUAUUUUUUUUUAACAAUGGAUGUAAUUUAUGUUAUUUGAUGAAUUCGAAGUUCAUCUUUGUCCAAAACCCCCACCAAUAACCAAGAUUGAUUGGGUUAAAUAAUUUAUCAAAUGCUGAUUUAGUGUGAAGGAUAUAGGUUGCUUAAGAAGAGUUAAGUUAUGACCCUUCUAAAUAAUAUUUCUGGCUACGCCACUGAAUGGAGUGUGGUACUCUUCUUAAUUUCAUGUUAGGUUUAACAGGGUCACUAUAAACUCUUUUGAUGUAUUCUCCUAUUCAUUGAAAUAAACUGAUUUGAGAAAAAAAAAAUAAUAAGAAGAACUGAAAUCGACAUUAUCCAGUUGCAACCUACACGUACGUAAUCUACAUGUAUAUUAUCUUUAUAUACAAAUUUUAAUUAAAAAAUAAUUGUUUUAGAUUUUAAUUGAAAUCUCUAAAUUCUAAAUUUCUAAUUUGCGUGUCAUCUAAUCGUUCAUUUGAAUGUUUUUAUUUGACCUUCCUUAAGGUCCUCAUUAGAAUCUCUAUAGACUAGCUUAAUUAUUGCUUGAAGAGUCAUGCGUUUGCUUACUAUUGGGCCUUUCGGAUAUGGGCACAUAUUUUAUUUUAUAUCAUCCCAUUUACAUGAAACCAAAAGAAUGGGAUUCAUAUGAAUUACCAUCUUAUACAGAUCCGUAAAGGCUAUAUAUUGGGCCUGGUAGCAUAACAAUAUGUUUCAGAUCGAUUAAUGUUAUUAUGCACUGCUAAUUGCAUGAGUCAAGAUAUUGGUGAAAAUUAAUAGUAUUACCAUGUAAAUUAAGUCGCACACGUUGAUACACCUUGAUUGUUUCAUUCCACCGGUCUAAACAAUGGUGUGAUCUUUGGUAAAGAUAAGGACAGAAUCCUGUGAUUGUAAAUUAAGUGUGAAAAUUACAAAUGUGAUAUAGUCAUGAAGAAAUUGGUAUACACAUGAUGUAGACUAGGUUUCGUAAUUAAAGUUUUGAUUUUCAAAUGUUUCAUUAUUAACCAUGAAAGAUGAAGUUUUUUAACAAUGCAUGUGGAAGAAACACAGAUGUAAAUCUUGAGGUAAACUUGACUGGAAAUAAAUGCUCAUUUGGUAACUACUAGUACCUACGUAUAAAAAGAGUGACAAUUUUGAUCUGGAUCUCCCUCUCUUAUUUCAUACCUGUAACAACCAAAUCAUGUGCGUUUAUUAUCUCUGGAGUAGUUCUUUCAAAUCCAAUGAUCCAAAGUUGCUUAUAUGCGCGCAAAUCAUCAGUUUACAGACCAAGUGACUAACAAAAGUAAAAUUUUAAAUGAGGUGGGUUUAAUUAGAUUCUCAAAGAUGGUCUUCAACAUGUGUCAUUUGAUAUAACCUCACAUCUUCUUGUGCCACAAAAUGUGUCCUUUCGUUAGCUUUUAUGUUCUGUCCGCUUUCUUUUCUUUCUAUAUCCGUUUGUUUUUCGUUAUUUUACCAAUUGAUGAACAUCUAAGUUUCCCCUGUAUGUUUUAGUCUAACUUUUGUUGUUUGUAGAAUUGUACCGUGACCAUGUUGUACACCUUGUCUAUAUAACAUAUUACUAGUACCGGAAAUAAGGAUGAUCGAGAAGGAUAUUUGUGAUAUAGCUUGGACGCUUUCCUUGAAGCCAAAAUUAUCUUCUUGUUCCCAAUAUUACAAUAAAGCUUUCUCCAGCCAAAACUAGUUCAAUCGAAUCUCUCAAAAAUGUGACUCGCGUUGGUUUUUUCUUAUUGUUAACAUAGAAGCAUGCAUAGGCAUGAUUGCAAAGUUAUUCUAUUACAAAUUGUCAUGUAUUUUCUUGUUCUCAUUCUCAUGGUUUCCAAUUUUAUGUUUUGUUCGCAUGUUCAAACCAGAAUAAACCUUGAAACUGUUACCCUUUUGGAUCAUGUAUAAUUUAACUUGUAGCCCAAGUUGGCAUCUCUUUUUUUUUUUGGUUGGCUAAUGGAAGUUAUGGAACAAGGAAUUUGGAGUAAACAACAAAACCAAAAGCAUUUUGAUUGAUUAUUUCUAUGACAAUUAGAGUGUACCAUUGUAUUGUACGUUUUCCUUAUCUCGAAAGGGUGCCAAUUAAGCAAUGCUAAUGUCCAAUUCAAUCCAAUCGUACAGAGCAGUCCCCAUUAGUACAACUGGGAGUUCAUCCCUAGGAUUAGUGCCAUGCAAUCAACUAUGCAAAUACGCAUUACUUGUUCAAACUUUAUAUACAAGUACUGUAUAUUGUGAUUGGAAGUUGGAACAACGCAAUUUUAUUGUGAAAUUAUCCAGGAGUUUUGGGUAAGAUAUGUGGACUCCAUUGCUAUCUAGUUUACUAAUUUUGCUUCUAUAAUUCAUGAAUAAAGAUUGACAUCCAACAUACAAGCUAGAUUCAAGCUUCAUCUUUAGUGGAAAGUGGUCAAGUGAUUACUAAGUGACAUGACAUGCAACACUAUAUCUAUGUGUAGAAACACGUCGUGUAACAAUAAGUUUAAAACACAAAAUAGAGUAAUAUAACCACUUUGCCUUUCUGAGCCCAGAGAUUGAUGGUAUUCAAGAAACCUUGCAACCAGCGGCGUAGGCAAUAUAGGACGAGAGGGUUCAGAUGACCUCUCUCAACUUUGAGAAUUGCUCAUGUGGUUAAGUUUGGGGGCUUCAAUCAAUAUAAAACUAACACUAUUGGCAGAGAUUUGUAUAAAAUUGACCCUUGUGAAAAAAUUAGUCUAUUGUAUUCUAGUAAUCACGUAGUUCAAGAUUGGUGAUGAACCUAUGAUCAACAAAUGUAAUAUGAAGUUUGUAUAUAUUUAUUUUUCUCUAACAAAAUAAUCUGUUUGCUACAUAUAGAUUCAAGCAAGAAAAAAGAAAAAAGAAGGAAACUUUUUCAAUCGAUUAACACAUUGGACUACUAUUAGUUUUUUUGUCUUCUUAUUUCUUACAGGGCAUCUAAAUUUUUUAUCCGGAUAGAUCAAUUCAAUGUAAUAUAUUUUUCAUUAAAAUUAAAGCUAUUAUUGUUAACAUUUUAACAAAUUUUUUUUUAAGCAUUAAUUUUGAUAAUUCUUUAACAUAUAUGUAAAUUAUGGCUAUAUAUAAAUAUUGACCCUGUGCAUGUUUCGACGAUAAAAAACAAAAAAAAUUGUACAGUGUGAUCCAGAAACAGAAACGACUUGCGUCAGACCCAAAUAAGAAACCCGCAUUGAUCCGGUAUCCAAAUCCCACGACUCCAAAUUCAGUUGCAGGAAGAAAGAAGUAAAAAUCAGGUCUAGGGUUUUCAGUCAAAACAAAAAAGAAGUAAAAAAAACCAGUAUGGUAGUUGUGUACUUGUAUGUAGUAAUUUUCUGCAAUUUGAAUCGAGUAUUGGAUAGAGACUGCGCGCCGUGAAGUCGACAUUAGUGUUAUUAUCAAAGAUAACUCCAACCUUCCAAGGAAGAAGUACCGAGAGGACGUAACCCGUUAAACCCAAGAGAAUGUCAAUCCGUACGGCUCUGCCAAUUUGUCAGCAUCUCCAAUCCAAUCAUCACUCAUCAUCAGACGUCGAUUUCUCGUAUCUUUGGAAACAGCAGCUGAGUUGUUUGAGCAGCUAUGUUGAUGCUGGCGACGUUGUUUCAGAUGCUGAAUCUUUGUCUCGUUGUUUCAAAGGCCUCCUCGUCUGGUCUCUCACUGCUGGCAUAUUGUUUUUUCAUCUCCAAUGUCUUAUAUGGUGGAGGCCUGGCUUGCAUGGCUCUUAUAUAUUCCAUUUCGAUCUCUUUGUUUCUCCAAGUACUCUCUACUCUCUCCCUCGUUUUCGGCGUCUGGCUUGUAAGGGUCUUGGUGUUUGGUGGCUAUCUCAAGUGGGCUGUGCAGUCUGCUUGAGUGUUCUGGCGGAUACGGUAUAUUUUCGCAUUUUAAUCAUCUUUCUGAUGACUGUGUUUGUGUUGCCACCAACUGUUUGAAUCAAGUUCUCUGAGAGUUUAUGCUUAACUUGUUUUGUUUACGUUUUAGUCUUCCAUGUUUAUUAUUACGCUUUGACAACUGAGAUUGGAUUUGAGAUUUGUUAACACUUAUCAGUGAGGUGCAUUAGAGAUUUGAUCUCCAUGGUUAUAUCACUUAUAUGCAUAUUAAUUAGUUCACUCACAUAGUGAUGAAACUAGAGGAUUAUUUCUGAUAGAUUGAUGCUGCAUUUUCUAAAUAACAAAAAGCCUGAUUUCUCAUAUUUUGAGAUUGAUAUAAGAAGCAAUGGUCUCAAGAAGUUUGAGGAAUCAUAUAUGACCAACCCUUUUUAGACGUGUGUGAAUUUGCUGUUUUGAAAUAUUUUUUGCAACACAACAUCCUUUAAUGACUAUUUUCUGAUUCUGCAGGUUCUCUAUCCUUGUGUUUCUCGUUGAGGCUAAGACUGUAUGGCCGACAUGGAUACAUCAAUUGCCCUUCAGCCUAUUACGCAGGAAGCUGUUGAUCUGGUGCAUGUUCUUGAUCUCUUUUCAUUGUGUUAAACCAUAGUGGCCCGAAUCUUAUGUUGAUCUUAAAAUAACAAUUAAACGAGUGAGCAAGAUAGUACCUAUGUGCUUCUCGUAUAUGAGAUCAUUUCAAAUACCUCUUGGAACAAAAGCAUUUGUGUGGUUUAGAAUGUAUAGUCCAAAUUAUCCAAUAUAUAACUUUCUGUAGUUGUUGAUAAAAGGAGCAAUGUUUACUUUGUUGCAAACCAGGGAGUGAUAACUACUUUUCUCAGUUGCCUGUAUCUAGUUCUGAAUCUAAUAUGUGGAAUUGGGAGUCUGCUCUAAUCCAUUUUAUUUCAAAGGCCGCUACCUUAUCUACACUUGAAUAUGCUGGCAGGAGAACAUCCCUGUAGAGGAAGUUUUUGAACACUUGAAAUGUACAGAAGAGGGUCUAAGUUCUGUCGAGGUGCAAAAGCGUCUGGAGGUUUUUGGUUACAACAAACUUCAGGAGAAAAAGGUUUCAAUGAACUGGUUUCAGCUUGUGAUCUGUUAUUUCAAUGGGAUUCCACCUUUUUUUUAAUAACUGUUUUUGGCUAUGCAGGAAAGUAAAAUACUCAAAUUUUUGGGGUUUAUGUGGAACCCUUUGUCGUGGGUUAUGGAAGCAGCUGCACUGAUGUCAAUAACUCUCGCAUAUGGAGGCGUAAGUGACUAGAAGUGCACCUUUUAAAUUGUUCAGAGAAAACUAGGUUCUGGACUGACUUCUCAGAAUAAUUUUCUUUCAGGGAAAGAAAAGAGAUGUUGAGGAUUUCUGCGGAAUCCUUGCGCUACUUAUUAUCAAUUCAACAAUAAGCUUUUUUGAGGAAAACAAUGCUGGAAAUGCAGCCGCAGCUCUUAUGGCACGGCUUGCUCCAAAAGCCAAGGUUACCUCACAUUUUGAUGAAUUUUAUUCCUUUUCUUUACCAACCACUUGAUUACAUUUUCUUUCUUCGGCACUUGGAGAUUGUUUUGUGGUGUUCCAUGUGAAAUUGGCAUUUCAUCGAUUCUCUAACAGGUUUUACGUGAUGGGAAAUGGAAUGAGGAAGAUGCAUCUGUGCUGGUUCCUGGAGAUAUUAUCAGUAUCAAAUUAGGAGAUAUAAUUCCUGCCGAUGCUCGCCUGCUUCAAGGAGAUCCUUUGAAAAUCGACCAGGUAGCUAAUUGAUAUUGUAUUGGGUCACAAAUCAUGUCUUAUACAGGAGAUCGUUUAUAUGAAGGUGUAUCAAAAUGUUAAUAUGAUAAGAUGCACCACUUUAUCAUAGUGUUCUGUUAUUUCAGGCUCAGUUCCAGGACUCCUUUUUUUUUUGUUUAAAGAAAAAUAUUAAUUGUGUUUUCUUUUUCAGUCUGCUCUUACAGGCGAGUCUCUCCCAGUAACUAAGCAUGCAGGUGCUGGAGUUUACUCUGGCUCAACAUGUAAACAAGGUGAAAUUGAAGCGGUUGUCAUUGCAACUGGAGUACAUACCUUCUUUGGAAAAGCUGCUCAUCUUGUGGAAAACACAACACAUGUUGGGCACUUUCAGAAGGUUCGUUUCAGAAACCUUCUUUCCUUCAUCGAGUCAAAUCAUGUUCAUGUUGGUAGACUGUGAAGCCAAUGAGCAUGUUUCAUAUGAUAAGCUUCUGCAUAUAGGGAUCAGAAGCAGAACUAAUUUUAGUUUGUUGUAUCUUGAGUGUGAGAAUUUGCUCAUGGUUUUUGAAUAACCAUAUGGACUACUUGUUUCAGGUCUUAACAGCCAUUGGAAACUUUUGCAUCUGCUCAAUUGCUAUAGGAAUUGUGAUUGAACUAAUUGUCCUAGUUCGUCAAGGAAGAAAUUAUCGUACUAAAAUAGAUAACCUUCUUGUCCUACUUAUUGGUGGCAUCCCAAUUGCUAUGCCAACCGUUCUCUCUGUCACCAUGGCCAUUGGCUCUCAUCGUUUGUCUCAGCAGGUAUAAGAAGCUUCGUUUAACUUCAAAAGAUGAAAUUUCAGCUCUGAUUUAGCUCUCUUUAAGUCUUUAUUACGGAAUUUAAAGUGGGAGCUGAUUUAAGUUUUCUUUCAGGGUGCAAUCACUAAGAGAAUGACAGCCAUUGAAGAAAUGGCUGGGAUGGAUGUGCUCUGCAGUGAUAAAACAGGAACUUUAACUCUCAACAAGUUAACAGUGGACAAGAAUUUGAUAGAGGUGAUACUUUUUCUAUCCUAUUUUAUGAACUUCAACUCUCAAUACAUUACCUGUUCGCUGGAGCUGCCUUCUUGUAGCCAUAUGCUUCCAGAUUAAUUGUCCAGCUGCUUAGGUUGUUUGCACACAAAAAAAGAUGAAAUCUUAUUGCAUUUUCUUCAGAUAUAAAUUUUGGAAAGCAUAUUGGGUCUUUUUUAAUGUUUGACUUCCACUUCAUUUGCAGGUUUUUGCUAAAGGUGUUGAAAAAGACACGGUUGUGUUGAUGGCUGCAAGAGCUUCAAGGUUGGAAAAUCAAGAUGCCAUUGAUGCAGCAAUUGUUUCCAUGCUUGCUGAUUCUAAGGAGGUAGUAGACCAUAUAAACUGAAACUGUUAAUGCACUUCUUACAGGCUUGUAAAAUUGACUUUUUUGGAGAAGCUGCGCAAGAAAAUGUCAAUGUAGUGAUUUUUUCUUCCUUAAAUGCUUCAUUGAGCUGAUUUUUUCUUGUUUCUCAAUUGCAAGGCACGAGCCGGAAUUACAGAAGUUCACUUCCUUCCUUUCAAUCCAACUGAUAAGAGGACAGCACUUACUUACCUUGACAAAGCUGGUAAAAUGCACAGAGUGAGCAAAGGUGCACCAGAGCAGGUACUUAACAUAUCAAUUCCAAAUAUUGAUUUCGUAGUUACAAAAAAACCAUCUAACCUUCCAAACCCUUCUAUGUGUAACUUGGUAGAUACUCAAUUUGGCGGGGAACAAAUCAGAUAUUGAAAAGAGAGUACACACAGUAAUUGACAAAUUUGCAGAACGUGGUCUUCGAUCUCUUGCUGUUGCACGACAGGUAACCAAGAUUUAAUCAUGUACGUGAUAAUAGAUUUCUCUUCCUCUGAUGCUAAUGAUUGAUGAUUUCUGUAAUUUACAGGAAGUACCUGCUGGAACAAAAGACAGUCCUGGUGGACCUUGGGAGUUUAUUGGUCUUCUCCCUUUGUUUGAUCCACCACGUCACGACAGUGCUGAAACUAUUAGAAGAGCUCUAGAUCUUGGUGUGAGUGUAAAGAUGAUUACAGGUAUUUAAAAAUGACCUUUGUUCUUCUUUCAAUUCAAUGAGGACUACUCAGUGUAAUACAACUAAUUCACUUGUCUAGACUGUUGAUGCAACUUCUUAUAUUCUUACUGAUUCCACUCCAGCCAUUUAACUAGUUUUAAUUUUCCAAACUUUCUUUUGACUGCUCUAUUUGUUUUACUUCCGCCAGGCGAUCAACUUGCAAUUGCUAAAGAGACAGGUAGACGACUUGGGAUGGGCUCAAACAUGUAUCCAUCAUCUUCAUUGCUUGGCGAAAAUAAGAAUGGCUUAGAUGCAAGUCUACAAAUUGAUGAACUCAUUGAGAAUGCUGAUGGUUUUGCUGGUGUCUUUCCAGGUAAUAUUGGUUACAAACUUGUGUUACAGUUUGUUGACAUACUUUGCAUUGCUUCUAUUUGAUUGGAUGCUUCAUUUCAGAGCAUAAAUAUGAGAUCGUUCAGCGAUUACAAGUUAAGAAGCACAUAGUUGGAAUGACCGGUGAUGGAGUUAAUGAUGCACCUGCCUUGAAGAAAGCAGACAUAGGUAUUGCUGUGGCAGACGCCACAGAUGCUGCUCGUAGUGCGUCUGAUAUAGUACUGACAGAACCUGGAUUGAGUGUUAUUAUUAGUGCUGUUCUGACAAGCCGUGCAAUUUUUCAAAGAAUGAAGAACUACACAGUGAGGGGAUUCUCUCUUCUCCUUGUUUUAGAAAUUGGACCAGCCUGGUCAUAACUCUUGAGAUCUGUUUAUCCUAAUUGCUUUCGUUCUGGUUUAAUUUUUCAGAUAUACGCAGUGUCUAUAACCAUACGUAUUGUGGUAAGUAUCUUGUAACACACCCCUGUACUAAUGUAGCAUACAAACAAACAGAAUUCUUAGUUCUCAUUUUUACUGCGUUUGUAUGACAGCUCGGUUUCUUGUUGCUAACUGCAUUCUGGAAAUUUGAUUUCCCUCCUUUUAUGGUUCUCAUCAUAGCCAUUCUUAAUGAUGGUGAGCAUUAUUAACCUUUGAAGUUCUUUUACCAUUGUCUGUAAUCCUAUGGAUAUAAAGUCUCAUUUUUCUUUUACUCUUUUCAUUUAUUCCACUCCUUACUUCUGAAAGUAAAUCUGAACGUUGAACUAUUUAAUUUCCAGGUACCAUUAUGACAAUAUCCAAAGACAAGGUUAAGCCAUCUCCAGUCCCUGACAGUUGGAAGCUCAGUGAAAUAUUUGCAACUGGGAUUGUCUUGGGGAGUUACCUUGCCGUGACCACAGCUAUAUUUUUCUAUCUCAUUUACGAAACCCACUUCUUCCCGGUAAUUAUGCCUUCCUGUGUUUUCAUUGACAAAUGCUUAUUUUGAUAGGCCUAGAUAUAAUUGUGAGCCCUCGUAUUCUAUGCUUAUGGCAAUGGAGAAGUUAUUAAGAUCUCUCUCUGUCUCUUAGAGAAAAUUCCAUCUCGACCUGGACUUCAAGCACCUCGUUGAUCUUAAUGAUUCGAGUUAUACAAAGACACUGAAUGGCCAGCUAGCAUCUGUUGUGUACCUUCAAGUUAGCACCAUCAGUCAGGCUCUAAUUUUUGUAACUCGCUCAAGAGGUUGGUCAUUCAUGGAAAGACCUGGUCUUCUUCUUGUUGGUGCUUUCAUAAUUGCUCAAAUGGUAAUGAUCUCAUUCCCUUUUUGAAGAACUUUCAAUAGAUAAUUAUUAGAUGAUAAUAUGUGGGAUGAAAUCAUGCUUUCACAUUCUUCAGAAUGCUUCAUAUUCAUGAAAUGCUUCAUGCUCACAGGUUGCAACACUAAUAACUGCCAAGGCAUCAUGGGGUUGGGCUCAAAUUCAUAGUGUUGGCUGGGGUUGGACUGGAGCUGUUUGGGUGUACAACAUUAUAAUCUAUAUGCUUCUUGACCCUAUCAAGUUUUUCGUGCGAUAUGCACUCAGUGGGAGGGCCUGGAGUUUGGUACUGAACAAAAGGGUGAGUUAAUUUAACCCUUCCAUAUUGUGCAUUUGAUUGAAUGGAAGUAUGUUCUUGAUUUGAUAAGCUCCUACAAUUAGUCUGUCUAAGAGUGUACUUCCACACACAUCUAUGUUUCUACAGACGGCUUUCACCACCCAAAAGGACUUUGGUAGGGAAGCUCGUGAGGCUGCAUGGGCAACAGAACAGCGCACCCUUCAUGGCCUCCCAACUAUUGACACAAAUAUCUUCCAUGAGAGGCACACAUUCAGGGACGUUAGCAUGAUGGCAGAAGAAGCCCGACGACGCGCAGAGAUUGCAAGGUUGGUCUGUUUUUCAAGUUUGGACAUUGCUAAUAGUUCAAGUUUUCUUCAAGCUAGCAACAACAUAUAUAUGCAUAAUAACCUUGCUCAUGUUUUCUGCUGUUAUUGUUGCAAUGCAGACUAAGGGAGCUUCACACUCUCAAAGGAAAGGUGGAGUCCUAUGCAAAGUUAAGGGGUUUGGACAUUGAAGUGAACCCACAUUACACAGUCUAAACUCAUUUUCCACUUCAACUGCAGCUUCCCUCAUUUUGUUCCCCUUUGAUAUUACCCCCUUUUUUUUUUUUUUUUUUUUUCCCUCUUUCUUAAUUUGUUGUUAAUUUUUCCAUGUAUGAGUUUGACGGCACAUGAAGCUUGAUGAUUCCAAAUAAUUUAAUUAAUAAAAGCUUGUCCUAUCAUGAUCAUCCAUUUUUCACAACUCCAUAAAUCACUUGUUGCAUAUAGAAAUAUGCAUCAUUUGACGAGAAGACUUGACUAGUGUAAUACGCAUUUGGUUUGGAAUAGUCAUGGAGCAGAUAUUUCUUCACACAUAGAUUACAUACUACCAUUGUACUAAAUUGUUUUGAAGCUCUUCUCCUAAUGGAGAUUAUUGUUCCAAUGUCAUAUAUCUCAUUGUUUAUUAUGUGUUGAUAGUGUUGGUGACUAAGAUGACAUUGUUUUUAUCACAAAAACAGCAAAACUAGAAGUGAAGGAAUCUCAUUAUUUACUAGAUUAGAAAAUGUUUCAACAAGUAUUCAAGUAUUCUUUCUAAUGAUUUGGACCAUCCCUAACAUAUAUGCAUCACAAUGCCAGCCAACAUAAUGGCCACAAAAGAGUCCCUAUCCAUCUCAACACUCAUUCCACCACAACCACUAAAAUUAUAGCAAACAUAAUAGAUGUUUUUUAUUAAUAUCUUGAGGGAUAUUGUGUUCCUUGUAAGCCAUCACUAUGUUCAAAUUAUCAACAUUACCUAAAAUCUAACUUUGUCUAAUUGGUGACAGAAAGAUGCAUACCAACCUACAGUGUUAGCUAAUAGAUUGGCCUUUGAUCCUCCUCCAAUCUAUCUAACUGAAAAAGGAAAAAAAAAAAAAAAAACUCCCCAACAUGUCCAUGCAAUUCACAUGUGUGGUAAUACAGUUCAACACCAGGUCUGAACUGGAAAAUAAUUCUGUCACAAUUACAAGGAAUGAAAUAACCAUCAGGUGCCAGAAAUUCUUGUUUUUUUUUUUUUUUUUUUUUUUAUCAAUCAAAUAACUCACAUGCAAUAACUAGUCUAUUAUGAAUCAAACUCACGACCUCCCAUUUAUAUAAGGGAGACUGAUGCCACUAUACCAAAUGAUGAUGAGCGAAAUUCUGUUCUUUUAGUCAAAUUUGUGUUAUAUUAUUACAAAAAGAUCGGAUAUAAGUUUAGUUGACAACUCAUCUAACAUCAAAUGUGAAACCACGAAACAAGAAGCACAUACCAAGAGACUGUUACUAGGUUGUUCAAGGCUAGUGCAAAAAACCAACUCCUGAUCAGAGAAAGGCAGAAAGCUUAGAACUUUUGUCUAAGCUUAUAAACCCUCAAAUUGAUUUAACAUUGGAAUAGUUUCACAUUGCCGACCAAGAUGAGUAUGAAAUGGUUUCUUUCAGUUCAUGGAGGACGUGUGAGACUGUGACCCUCAUUUGCAACUGCAUUCUUCAACCGUUGAGUCAGAACUGGACUAUAUAUGUCUCUUUCCCACAUUACCAAAUUUCCCACCUUUUUGGUAAGUUUACCAAUCCUUCCCUCAUCAUCUCCUUUCCCAUUUCAUAUAAUAAAGCUUCGAAUUCUCUCUUUUGUUUGAAAUCAAUUAUAUCUUUGCAAAUAUCAAUUAGGCCGUUUUGUCUAUAUCUGAACUGCACCCCACGCAUUUCACACCACAAAUCAAACAAACAUCCCCACAUGAAAAAUCUUGAUUUCCAGAUAAGAUGCAUGCCUUAAACAUGGAUUUAAUGGCUGUCCUCACUUGGGUUUGUACUUAACUUUCUCCUUCUGCAUUUCCAUCUCUCUUUUAACGCCUUCUCUGACUUUCUGCUCUCAAAUUCCAACUCAUUGUAUAAAUUGUAGUCACUUAAUUCCCUCGUUUUCUUCACACCCCACUUCCAAAACUGCUUCGUUAAACCUGGCCUUACAUGCUUGGCUCUACAUGUUUAGUUGUUUAUGUAACUCACAACCAGCUUGCUUAAUCUGCAAGCUAGCUUCCAAGUUUUAGAUCAUUCUGAGCGGUGAAUCCCAUGGUGGUUUCUUGUUUCUGAGCAUUAUGUGUGAUUAGAAUGUGGAUUUUUAGGGAAUGUUAUAUUAAGUAGUGGAUUUCAUUCGAUGGUACAGCUGUGGUGUUGUAUAAAAUAAUUGGGAUUUUGGAUAAUGUCUGUAAUGGAGAUGAGCUUGUUUCAACCGAAGUCUAUGUCUGCUUCUGAGAUGGCUCAGGUGGGGAGGAUGUACUCGAAUUCGUUUUCAAGUUUCAGGUACUUACCGGCUGGUGUCAAAGUAUCUCCACAGUUCUGUUCUUGCAUAGGUAAUUGAUUUUACAAUCUUAUAUUUGUUUUUUUAUUUUAUAUUUUCUUUUUGUUAUGUCCUGCUUUGACUAGUAUUGGUUGAUCAAGUAAAAUGGCAAGUCUUAAUGAGUUUGCAUCUAAUUUUGCUAUGUUAAGAACCUAAUAAGUUCAGCAUUUGAAAUAUGGAUCAGUUUAUAUCAUAGAGCAAAAACCUUAGUUGAUUAUUAUCUGCAUUUUGUGGGACAAAUUAAUACUAGUAUGUAAUUCCGUUUCCUCAUUAAGUGUAUUGAGGUGAUAAUCAUGGAUGUCAUUUAUCUUUAGUGUACUAUGGAAGUUAGAUCCUAGUGGGAUUUGAGACUUUGAGGUAAAUAGGUAAUGGAGGUUAUGGACUGAUUUCUUCUGUGUUUUCGGUUUCUUUUCCAGGGAAUCCUCUGAAGGCUUCUUCCUUUUCUCAUCCUUCUAGUUCAAACAAUAGAUAUCUCUCAACAAACGCCAUUGGUAGUGUCGGAGGGGAUAAACUUGCAGCUGAAACUUCCUUAUUUCAAAUAUUUGGAACAAAUGGUGCAAGAUCAAAUUUGUUUCCUAGAGACAUUAGAGUACUCGAUGCCUUUGAUGAUGAGUAUGGGGGAGUUAUCGUUGAUCCAGAACGAUUACCAGAAAAUUCAGAUGCCUUUGCUUACAUCCUCAACUCCUCCCUUUCUCAUUGGAAAGUGAAUGUAUAUCUCUUCCUAUACGAACUUUUAGUCACUUAGCUAAAGAGCUCUGAUUCUCUGAUCCUCCUUAGACAUAGUUGAAACACAUGUAGCCUCUACUUAGUUUUGUAUAUUCUGAAAUCAACAUCUAUUCUUUGCCUAUUUGCAUAUAAAGAGACAUGACAUAAACUCUUCAAGCUUCGAGCUUGUUGAAACAUGUUUAGGAAUUAUUAUAUCCUUGUUCUGCAUAGAGGAUACUGGCCUAAACCUAAACAUGAACAGUUCCAUUCGGUUUCAGGGAAAGAAGGGAAUUUGGCUUAAGCUGCCAGUAGAACGCGCUGAACUUGUUCCAGUUGCAAUUAAGGUAACUUCUCUACACAUGACUUCAAGCAAUGAAACUAUGCUUUCUUGAGAUGCUGAUCACUUUAAAUUCAAGUUUUGAUCUGCUUCUUUCCCUACUGCACAACAAUUUCAGUUCGAGUAUAAAGAAAAGAAUGUCCUAGCAUCAGAGUAAAUGCCAGCUAUCCUUUCUUUUAUAUAUCGAAAUUAUGUACUGAAAGUGUUGAAGUCUGUAUCUGAGAUAAGUUCUUUGGUUUCAGGAAGGUUUCCAGUACCACCAUGCAGAACGAGGAUAUGUGAUGUUGACAUACUGGAUUCCAGAAGGACCUUGCAUGCUUCCGGCUAAUGCUUCACAUCAAGUAGGGGUUGGGGGAUUUGUCAUCAAUGACAAUAAUGAGGUAUAGUUGCUUAUGUUCUGAUUCUUGCAUUAUUGUCACUUUCUUGAUUAACAAAUAUCAUUUUCGGUUUGAAAGGAGCCUAAAUUCUUAUCGCUGCAAUUAGUUAUGCAUUGUUCAACUGGCCAAGAAUUUCUGAAUUUCUGAUACUAGUAGGAGUAGUAAGUAGCAAACCUAUAAAUAAUUCUGUCGGUAAGUAAACAGCCAAAUGGGCACAAGGAUAUAUAACAAAGAUUGUGUUAUCCUGUUUGCUGUGAGACUAAGUUGUGAAAAUAAAAAGGCAAGCACUGAAAGUAAAAGAUAUAACACCAGUACGUUUUUUAUAUGCAGAAACCCUACAACCAAGGAGAAAAACUGCGUGCCUCUAACUCUUGAGAAAUAAACUAUUUCACUGUUGUAAAAACACUUUUUACAAGACUCACACCUAGCCAUACUGCCUAGUCUAACUACUAUCACUCAACUGAACUUGCUCUCUUGUCACUCAAGUGUUUUACACAUAGCACGAAUCUAAGCUUCUAUACAGAAUUCAACUAACAUCUUUAGCUAAUUAUCAAAGACAGCUUCGACGGGGUUGUUGCAUCACCCAGACAGAUCUCAAGGUAUGCAAAUGCACAAUGAUAUGAGUUGAAAAGGUUUUGGUGCUCAGCUCUAAGAUUUAUAAUCACAGGGAAGACUUAGAGAUAAAUGAGCAGUUAGCAAAAUGCUAGACUCAAUGGAAGAAAACAAACAAGACUAUUUUCAACAACCAAAGAGCAAGAGAGGUCUUGCUCUCUAUUUAUAGGCAAAGUGCACAACUAUGAGGAAGCAAACACGUUUGCCACAUCAGCAAGGUUCUUUUGGACUCUAACUGCUUAUCUGAAAUACUAGGACAGAUAGGACCCUAGGGAUCCCUCCACUCACAAAACAAAAGCUGAGAAUAGACUUUCCUAAGAAAGACUAAAGCCAAAAGGAUAAGACAAAAUGUUUUGGGAAAACUAGAUCAGAUUUAGUCAAGCAUAAAGACUCUACAAAACCACUUUACCUAAGAGGACACUUAGGAUAGCUAAUAGCUUGGGUGGUGCAUUACAUGGGUAGCUGCUGACUUGGUUUGUGUAACACAAAACCUAGCUGGUUACCCAAGGCUCAAGUUAUGUGGUCACGCGUUGGUUUGACACACCACCCUAGACUAACUUGGAGCUCAAGUAUGAAUAGACUAAUGUUUUGCUAAAAAGUAUUUGAAAUUCAAACACUUAAAAACUUAAGCAAAUACAUUUGAAUAUGCACAUGGUCAGACCCAGUAGAUAGAACAGAUACAACAGGGGUAUCCGUAUAUUCGGGAUGGCAAGCACGGCUGCCAUCUUUAGUGAAUGAAAGUGAUGCACAUGCAUGAACUACCUGAUGCACAUGAGAUCUGUCAGGUUCUUCAUUCUUCACUUGAGCAGUUCUUGCUACCAAGCUACAACAUGUAGCAUGUAUCCUUGUGUUUUGAUCAUAAAGGGAUAGCCAACAAUUCUUGUACCAACAGAUUCUAUUUAGGAAAACCUUUUAAAUUGCUUGUUCAGAAUCAAUUACUAAUGAACAGAUGACUGAUUGCAGGUUCUUGUCGUACAAGAGAAACAUUGUUCUCCUUCCUGUGUUGGUUUCUGGAAGAUACCAACUGGCUUCAUCCUUGAGGUACUUUAUCCAACUUUAAACCUUGAAAACAAUUUUUUAAGUUCCACUUUGUUCUGCUUGGAGUUAUCUGAUGUUUUCUUUCGUAUCAGUCAGAGGAGAUUUUCACAGGAGCUGUGAGAGAAGUUAAGGAGGAAACUGGGGUAAGAAUGUGUACUAAGUAUCAUUUGUAGCAUCUAUUUGUACUAGUGUACUAUUGCAAUGCAGAAUUUAACUUUACCAAUCAAGCUCUUCAUCUAAUAGUUUCAUCUGCAUUCUAUUUUGUUUCAGAUUGACACGGAGUUUGUGGAAGUUAUAGCAUUCAGGUAAUAACCACAAAUAUGUAAUUGUUAUUCUUUUAGAGACAUGUGGUUGAAGAUGAUCAUUCUAGGAUUUAAGUUUUUUAGUGUUAUAUGCAAGAAUCGUUGCUAUACAGAAUGCUGCAUGUGUUUCUAAACAGAAAGCAUUCAUGAAGUGAAAGAGUCGAAACCAAUGCACUAUAACGAUUCCUAUAAAUACUGAUGUUCUCUAUAAAUUGCCAGUAUCUGAUAUUUUCUGUUCUGUAACUUCAUCUACAGGCAUGCUCACAAUGUAGCUUUUGAAAAGUCUGAUUUGUUCUUUAUCUGCAUGCUGAAACCACUAUCCUCUCAGAUUAUAGUUGAUGAUCUUGAAAUUGAAGCAGCCAAGGUAAGAACCUCCACUAAAACAGAAAUCCAAGCCUACUACUGUCUACAAUUGUUGCUUAUUACCAACUACCAUAUCUUACCUUUUUGUUCUGCAAGAAAGUAAUGCAAAUCUGCAAAAUUUGAUAAUGCACGCAAUUUGAGGCAAUAAGCUAUUUGCUAAUAUGCACCACUCGGAAAAUUGGAUUAGUUGACUUGAAGCAUAUAUGCUAUAUAUUGUGCAGUGGAUGCCCCUGGCUGAGUUUGUGGAACAACCACUAGUAAAAGAAGAUUGCAUGUUCAAGAGAGUGAUUUCUAUAUGCAUUGCGCGGCUAGGAAAACGUUACUGCGGUUUAUCUUCUCAUCAAGUGGUCUCCAAGUUUGAUGGCAGGUUGUCAUCCUUGUACUAUAACGUCGUCGAUACACAAGAUUUCAACUGUUCAGAUUGUUGAAGCUGUAGACUCACUGCCCAGAAACAUUUCUGCAUGUUCACUCAUCUCUUGAUGACUUGACGUAUACAUAUAGUUGUCACAAGAGCCAACUAUUUGGGGCUUCACUCCUGGAAAUUGUUUAAAGCAAAGGUUAUAGUGAUGUAACUCAUGUUUAACAUGUAACUACAAUAUUUAUGUAAAUAUGUCUUCUGAUAUAAACGGGCCGCAUGGUAACAACAAUGCAUCAUUCUCUCUUAUUUUCGUUUAUAAGGCUCAAGGCUGUUGUAAUUUGUACAUAUGUUGUCGACACAUUUUGUGAUGGAGAUGUUACUUACAAUAUUGUUAAAGGAUUGAAAUUUACACGUCUCUAUUUAUAAUAAUUCAUACUCAUCAUUUCAUCUUAUAGUAACUUUAAUUGUGUUUACUUAUAUGUGUUUUAUUUUUUGUGAAAUCUUUAACUAUAAAAGAAAAAUGAGAGAAAAUAAAAAUAUAGAUUGUAAAACAGAAAAUGCAAAUUUCACUCAUGUGUAAAAAAUGAAUGCUCGUGAGUUGUAACUGAGUUAAACAUAGAAACUUUAAGUUUUAUAACCGGUGAUUGUGAACAUUUCCUUAUCGAAACAUAUAAAAAGGCUAGACAAUCCCAUAUGUGAUAUGAGUCACAGGGUCAUACACAUCAUUAUUUUGUCUUGCAAUUAGGUGACAUAAUAUAAAAUAUCAUGACCCUUGAUAUGACAUUACUAUAUCACAUUGUUAUACUUGCUUGUCAAGGACUACAAUCCUAGUUGAUUUCUUCUUUCUGCUGCAACAAAGGCAUCCCUAACAUUUGUACACCAUGUUCACGGAAAGGUAGCUGACUCUAGCUAAACUUUGGAUUCAGGUUCUCUACUUAGAUUUAAGUUGUUUGGAUUUGUUUGAAUGUCUAAUAACUAUUAGUUGGAGUAAAUAUGACAUAAAAAUAACAUGGUAGUCAUAGAUUGUACUCAAUCUAAUGGUUAGAAGUCAUCCAAGCAAAUCCAAGCAACAUAAAUCCAAGUAGAGAAGCCAAAUUCAGCUUCGUCCUUUUUCAAGAAUGAAGUUGAAGAGAAUCCGAGUGCAACUUCACACUAGCCAACGCAUAACCUUCACUUGAUUCGGAAUUAACCUUACAGAAACUUCUUACACGACCUAAAUUCAUAUGAUCAAAGAAGAAGCCCUGAGCAUGGAGAAAAGAAAAGUUAAAAACAUUUACUUUAACUUUAACUUUAAAUCCAAAAAUAUUUACAAAGAUUUAUACAAGUUACCAGACACCAGAAAAAUAAAAAAUCUAUACAAGUUAGCCAUAAGGCAAGUUUAGUGAUAUACCAUAAGAACCGAAGGCACUGUCCAAAAGCCCCCAUUAAGGGAACCUUCUUUGCCAUUUUAGCUUUCAAAUUUGAAAACCCAUAUAAAUAAUCCAAUCCAAAUUUCCCAAAUUCUCUUCGAAUUUCAAAACCCAGUGUACCCAAUCUUCAAUCCGCUGAGGUUUCAAUCGAAGAUGAUCAGCUUGUGAUUGUUUUUGCAGAAACCCAAAUUGGGAAAUUAGGGUUUUAGCGACUCGAUCCCAAUGCGGUUGUUCCCUUUGAACUCGACCCCGAGCUCGAGCUCCAGCUCCACCGUAGAGAAGGAGCAGACUGAUCGGAAAAGGACUCGCGCCCUUUUGUACCUCAAUGUCUACGACCUCACCCCUGUAAAUAACUACCUUUACUGGUUCGGAUUCGGGGUCUUUCACUCCGGCAUCGAAGGUAAUCAGAAAAAUUAGGGUUCUUACUUAUUCAGUUUUGGAUUUUGAUUUGAAAUUUUGAGAAUUUUGAUGGUUAUGUUGUUGGGUUGAGUUAGACUGUUGUGAUUCUAUAGUGUGUUGAUUGCUGUAGUGAUGUUUGUAAAGAAAGAGUGAGAGUGCGCGAAAAGAUCGAAAAUCAGUGGUUUGUCUUUGAUUUGUGUUGAUAUAAAAUGCAGCUUUGGUUCGGGUUCAUCGGGAGCAAGAACUUCUUGCUGUCAAAUUAGGAAGUUUUUUAGUUUGAAAUGCGGUAUGUUGUUUUGUUCAUGGGUUGAGAUAGUUAUGUGGGGAAGUGAGCUUGGUGGGAAAUUUUGAUGGUUGUUAGAUUAUGAUCUGCAGACUUGCGUGGUGUAUAAUCGAAGUCAAUGUGACAAUUAAAUUAUAUUCCUUGCAUGCAUGGAGUCUCUUCUAGUGGCCGGUUUAGUCACUUGUUUAUUAGCAAGCUAUUAGGAAUGUAGUUCAGUCUAACAACAAUCAAAUCUGCACCAAAUAUUGUAAUGUUUUUCAAAACUAAGUUUUCUUAAUUCAUCAACAUGAAGAAUAGAAUCAGCAUUCAUAAUGAAGAACUUAUCAGCUCUAAAACAAACAUCAAUACAGCUUGCACAAGCUUUAAGGACUCUUAAGAAGUUUCUGUUUUAUCAUAUCAUCUGAACGUGCCGUUGCAUGCAUAGAUAUAUAGAUAGGUAGUAGUAGUCCAAAUAUAUUCUAGCAAAGAGUUUGAAACUUUGUUAAACUAAAAUGAUAAGGAUAGUUUGAGGUUCUGUCAGAGGAAUGAUAAUUUGGCAUGAGGAGAUUUGAAAUUGGGCAAGCUCUUUAGUAGAAUCUAGUAGAUUAUGUAUCGUUUUUGAAGCAUCAAAGUACUUGGACAUGUACUUUUUUUGAAGCAUCAGCUUAAGUACAGGGUUAUUGUAAAUAUGUCAUAAAAAGCUGAUAGUUAUCUAUGCUACUUUGGCAGAACGUUUUGUAAAAGUGGAGCACAUCAAUAUUAAAUGGUGCUAUAGAAAUGUUGGAGAUUGCACUAAUAUUUUGGUUUAACAGAAUUCCUUACAUUUAUGGUUGUUUGUUUUGCCAUUUAUUUAUUUAAUACAUGAGUGUUUGACGGGGUGGCACCCCUCUGCAGCCUUCUUAUGAUUAUCCUUCGAAAGCAUGAUAUAGUUCUACCUGUUCUUAUAAACAGUGCAUGGCUUGGAGUAUGGCUUUGGAGCCCAUGAGUAUCCCAGCAGUGGAGUUUUUGAGGUGGAACCAAGGAGUUGUCCUGGCUUCAUAUUCAGAAAGUCACUCCUACUGGGCAGCACUGAUAUGUCUCGUACAGAAUUUCGGUCAUUUAUGGAGCACCUUUCUGGAAAGUAUCAUGGUGAUACCUAUCAUUUAAUUGCCAAGAAUUGCAACCAUUUCACUGAUGAAGUCUGUUUGCGGCUAACCGGAAAACCUAUCCCUGGAUGGGUUAAUCGGUUGGCACGAGUAGGUGAGAGUAAAAAUCCUCUACUUCAGUAUCCACAGGGACCUAAGAAGUUGUUGUUUUUUUUUUUUAAGGUUGAGAGAGGGAAGGAGGGGGGUUCUAGACUGUAGAAAUGACAUGGACAUAUCCUUGUUUCUGAUUACAAGUUCCUUUAGUUUGGAAUUUGGAUAUUAUGUUAUUAACUUGGUUACGUCUGAUCCGUAGACUCCAUACUGUAGGUAGGUCCAAUCAUUAUGGAAAUGGAUUGUAAUGGUCUCUGGGGGUCAUCUAUAAUGGUUGCUAGCACUUAACAUUGUUGAUAUUAAUUAUCUGGACCAGAUUUAAUGGGCUUUUCCAAUACUGAGUAGAGAAUCUUCUCAAGUUUCAGGUUCUUUCUGUAAUUGUCUUCUGCCAGAAAACAUUCAAUUAUCAGCAGUCAGACAUCUUCCUGAUCAUCCGCCAUAUUCUGGUAUGUUUCUAGUGGAUAAACCAUGUUUCUAAAAAAUUUUGAAUCAUGGUAUUGCAUACUUCAUAGUACACAUGACAGGCAUGACAAAGAAUAUAUAUGAAUAUGAUCUUCCUAAUUAUAUCACAUAUUAGUGAGCUUAUAUUGCAGACCAGGAAAAUAAAUUGACACAGUUUUCUUCAUAGUACACAUGAAUUGGCAUGCAAUGUGAUCAUAGCUGUGAUGCGAAGAGAGGGAGUUGGUGUAAUGGAGGAAGAUGAGAAUAAACAGGAAACAUAGAAGUAAGUAGGGUAGCCAUGUCUUCUUCAGUGUAUUGUCAGGAUUAGUUGGGGUCUUUUGAACAUUUCACACACAAACAUGCAUAAUCAACAAUGAAGAAAAACUCGGUGAUUUAUAUGGACCUGAGUUCUAUAUCAGUUGGCCCACACAUAAUUCUAAAAUUUUACUUCUUAAUUCCCUCUACCAAAACUACCUCAGUUAAACAAACCAAUAUAUCCCGAUAUAGUCGCUCUUUAUGUUUACAAUUCCUCUCAAGACCCAUAACUUUGUUCAAGCUCACUCCCUCAGUACUUUGCAGUCUGCACUCAUCAGAGUACUUUACGAUAUAAUAUAGAUUUAUAAUUUAUCUUAGAUGACUUGAUAAAUUCCAUUGCGUUUGUAGUUCGAUUAUUGAAUGUUUUUUGAGAUGCCCCAUUACUGAACGGACAUGAAAUGGAACAUAUUAGUUGACAAGCAUGGAACAUGCAGAAGUUUUUGAUUGCCAGAUUAGGUGCAUUACCAUUUGGCAGUGUUUGUAGACAAAUAUUAUCAAUAAAUUUCAUAUUUUCAUUUGCCAAACGUUUCAAAAUACACUAAGAAGUUGCGACUUCUUAUGAACUGCACGGCUGCAGGUAGCGGAGAGUUUACAGUAGGAGAGAUGAAGUAAAGAGAAAGUUGGGGGGGGGAAUAGAGUGUCAGUUUCAUGAGCUGGAUUUUGUUUUAUUCUAUUGAAAGGGACCUGGAUUUUAUUUGUUUAUAGUUGUCAUUUUACAAAAGUGUAAUAUAGGUAUUAGAAUUUGCAUUUAACAGGGAACUAAGGUUUGGAGUCAAAUUAGGAUCACCCAAAUGUCUCUAAUAAUCAUAAAGCCUAAUUUGGUUAUCAAAAGUUACACACAAAGUGGUCCAUAUGCCACUAACCUAGAGUUGUCCUGCUACAUUAAUAUGUAUGUGAAUCUGGUGGGGAGUCAUUUGAAACACCAGAUUGAUCUCAAACUUAAUGGCAUAUUAGCUUUUGUUUGAAACUUGAUAUACUAACGUAUUGUUAGAAAGUUAAGGUGGUUAAAUGUUCAGUGCUAUUUGUUGGAUCUUGAGAACAGAAUUGCAUGCAGGCGGACAUCGGCUAUGUGUGACUAUACAUCUAUUGUGAAAUCUAUAAUUAUAUUUCUUUUUUGGUGAAAUCAUCUAUGUUUGUAUGUGUUUUGGUGCUUUACAUGUGUUUCUUAUAUGUUAUAAUUUUCCUUUAUUUUUAUGUCAAUACAGAAGAAGAAGAAGAUGAUGAUGGAUCAGAGUCAAUUGCUUCAUCUGGAACAGGAAGUGAUGAGGAUUCAAAUCAUCACCUGUUGGCUGCACCAAUUGGUGAUGUAGCUUUCGUGAAGGAAACACCAGUGAGGUUAGCGAGGGAGCUCAUGUAACUCCCAUCAUUAUUUGUGUGGAAAUGUGUCUCUAUGUGUGUUCCCUUGUACGUUUCUGAUUGUACCACUAUAUAUGUUUCAGCUAUUUUAGCAAUCCCAAUGUCAGGGAUAGUUCCUUGAUUCUUCUUAAAGAAAGGUCAGAGUUUCCUUGAUGGUGCUCAAGAUUUGUCUGCUGCCUGUAUUGUUCGGAAAUAUAUGUGAAUGCUCCAACUUAAAUCCAAACGACAGAUAAAUAUGCAGUUGUUACAUGAUCAUUCUUUACAUAAUAGAUGUUGCAGAUCCCUGACAGUUUCUUGCAAUGGCCUUGUUUUUUCUCUUAAUUACUUGAUAGUUCUUAGAUCACUAAAUAUGAUACUUGUUUGGAAAAGCAGGGAGAAACAUUUUUGUUUAGUGAAUAGUUUUCUAAGGAGAAGUACUACCGUAUUCUAAAUUCAUAAAUAGUAUUAUUUCUCAUACAUCGAAUGAUUUGUUUGAGUAUUUGAACAAAAUGAAGUACCCGAAACAUGAGCAUUCAUGGUAUCUGUUAUUUCAUGAAAGAGUUCUGAAGCAUCCUUGCAGGGUUUACAAUGUGAAUGAAGCUAAAGCAUUCUUCUUCCAUUUAGGAGAUGGGACAUUUCAGAGUUUCUCUAAUGAUGCUCGGCGAGGAUACUUCAAGUAUGGGACUCAUAAACAGGGGUGGAAACAAAGAUGGAGUUGGAUAAAAGGUAAUGAUCAAGUCUUGGGAAGAUUUUAUUGGAUAUCAGGAGAAAGAAUAGUUCAAUGGCCAGUAAUUUUCAGUGUUAUUUUGCACAUUUGCACUCUCUUGAUAUCAAUGUUUGAAAAAUCACGAGGUCUUAUAGGGGAAAAGACAAACAAGUUAGCACCUCGUUCAGAAAUAUUGAAAUACCUGUUUACAUAUUGAUUCAAUGCCAUGAAACUUGUUAAAUAUGAAUAGCUUAAAGACAUGCUAAUUGCCUGAUUGAGCUUUAAUUAACAUGUUGCUGCAGCAUUAACAUGAUAUAUAAAGGCCUCCUUCGAGACCCCUUUCCUUUCCCAAGCAACACAAGCGGCAUUUCCAGCUUAAUUUUAUACACUUUCACGAAGAAUUUAAGGCCAAUUGGUGGCUUAUAGUUUUUCUUGUACGUUCAUAGACUAGGCUCCGGCCAGCUCCUACCAUGAUCGCCAUCUUCAUCGUCCUCAUCUUUUUCCUGAUCAGGCUACACCCAAGACCCAUUGCCGCUUUGAACGAGAGACUUGUGCUUCUCUCUCCACCCCUUAGCAACCAGAUUAUAUUCAUCAUUCAGACCAUCAAAUUCAGACUCAGUGUAUAUGUUAACCAGCUUAAUGUCCCGGCUAAAUUCAGACCCUAUUCUUCAAAUCGUCAUCCUAGACUUUAAAACCAGUUUAGGGUUGUCUGGAUUAAUUUUUUACAUGCCCAAUAUCAUCAACACCAAGUUACCUAAUGUGUUAUUGUCCGAAACGACCAAAAAAAAAGUGUUAUUCUCCAACAUUAUAUAAGUUUGGGUACCUCUCCUCAACCCGGCAAAUCAGCUGGUUAUGGACCAGCAGAAAGGCAAAUCGUGCAGCAGACCACGUCGUUGUCCUUGCCUUAUCGGAUUCUUGCCCCUCAGAUUGGGUGUCGAACCCUCCUUCCUCCUUGAUGAAUAUUCUGGUGUACGAUGGACUGCCGUGUCCUCGUAAGCAGUCUGCCCCUGUUUUUCUUUAUUUUGUUUUUGUCUUUUUCUUUCGAGAAAUUUUAAAUACACACCCCUAAUCUCUUAAUACACACUUUUAUUAUUUUAUGUUUCUAUUGAGAUUUUAUAGAUAAGCUAAAAGACCAAAACAAACAUCUAUUAUUAAAAAAAAAAAUUCACUCUAGAAGUAUUCUUUUCAAUCUUCUACCCUAAAAUCGUCGAAAACACGUAUUCUCCCCUAACCCCAACUCUUUUCCACAAUUCAUUUGGGUUGUCUUUUUUUAUUUUAUAUUUUAUUUUAUCUGUAUCAGCUUUAUUUUGAUCUUGCAUAUCAUAUUGUCAUGUACUACAUCUUUAUCAUGACAUGUUUUAUCAAAUAACUAGCUAGCUAUGUUUAGUAGCUACGUACUUUACUUCUACAGUUCUACUAGCUUGUGAAUUUUGAAAACUUGUAUUGGUGAUUUGGAGUUGGGAUAUAACAAUAAUCAUUUGAUUAUACAUUGAACGAUGAUAGCCAAAAACUUCUAGCAAAAAUUAGACGAAAUAAUAUGUAAAAAAAGGCACCAAAUAGUACAUAUAUUAAUUAUAUUAAAUAAUAGAAUAUUUCAUAAAUUAAGGGUAUUUUAGACAGUUUGGGAUGUGUAUUAAGUAUAAUACUGAAAUGAAAAACUUGAUAGGUGGUGUAUUAAGCAAGGUGUGUGUAUUAAGAUAUUAGGGGUGUGUAUUUAAAAUUUCUCUUUUCUUUCUCUUUGUUGUUUCCUCUCGCCAAAAAAAAAAAACAUUAUAUAAGUUUGUGUUCCUUAUAUUUUGACUGGGUGGGAGGGAAGACGUGGUAGAGAAGGAAGAAGAUUGAAGACACGUUCCAUCUUUGUAUUCACCAUACUUCAAACGUAAAUUCUUUCCUACGGAUCCAAGCAAUCGAGAUAAAAUCAACCUUACCAUCAUGAAGCAUGCCAGCAUGGUAUAUGACAUGUAAUCCAUAUAUAUGCCGUGUGGAAUUCAAAGACGAAUACAGUGAAUAUAUAUCAAGGACUGUAAUCUACAUAUACGAAGUUGAGACGUAUAUGACCUGAAAUCUAUAUAUACGAAGUUGUGAAUUACCAAGUUGAUUAGGUUGUACUGGCCGUAAUCUUGUCCACUGAUCAAAAUUCAAAAACUAAUCGCCAUCUGCCCAUCUCAUUAAAACUGGUUCUUUUCAAAAUUCAGUUUUAGGCAAUGAUGCAAGUCUUGAAACCUGGUGCAGAUAGUGACAGAACGCUGCGAUUUCACAAAAAAAAAAGACUGACAGAACGCUGCAUUUGUUUUGAUUUCGUGAUGAACAAAUUUACUUACCAAGUUACCAUACACAUCAAGAAACUUAUGCAUCAUUUCCAAACUUAACCUUCACGUUAUCGUACGUAUUCAAAAGAACGAAAAUAAUGCAUGAAGCACCAUGCAUGGCACUAUAAAUACAAGAGCUGGGAGGCCAUAAGAAACUCACUUCUUUCGAGCUAGCUUUUGUUUACUCAAGCAAGAAAACUUACGGUGAUGGCUAGCUUUGCAACAAACUGGAAGGAUCUCAGCGGCGAGAACGAGUGGGAGGGUCUUCUCGACCCUCUUGACAUCAAUCUCCGCCGCUAUAUCAUUCACUACGGUGAAAGGUCUGGAUCGAUAGCUACCGUGGUGACCGAGCAGAAGUCGAAAAACUACGGACUUCCUCGAUACGCAAAGGGACAUUUGUUCCAAAAGGUGGGUUUGGAGAAUGGUAAUCCAUACAAGUACGUGGUGAAAAAUUAUUUUUAUGCAGCUCAUGUGGAACUUUCCCCCAAGAAAUCAAACUUUGUUGGUUUUGUUGCGGUGACAACUGAUGAAGGAACAAAGCUGCUAGGCAGGAGGGAUGUCUUGAUUUCUUGGAGAGGAACCCAGUUGAAACAUGAAUGGCUUGUUGGCAUCAAGAUCAAUUUAGUCCCAGCUGCUCACAUUCUGGGAGAGCAGAAUGAUCCUAAGGUGCACCAUGGUUGGCUUUCGUAUUACACUGAUAUCGACCCUGCGUCCUCACACAAUCGACUUACUAAUUCCAGAGAUCAGGUAUUCUAAUUUUUUCUCCUUUAGUAUGAUACUGAAGUAACUGAUAAAUGUUUAACUAGCUAAGCCAUAAGGUCCACACUCCGCAAUAUGAUUAUAAGUUUAUAACUGCACUAAAUGUCUAAGGCUCUAAGCUCAUCAGAUUCGAUACUUUUAUUUCUAUGUCUCAGGCUCUGGCUGCUCUUAAAGAAGUACUCAAUGAAUACAAGGGUGAAGAAAUCAGCAUUACAGUCACUGGUCACAGCAUGGGUGCUGCUAUGGCAACUUUAAAGGCAACUGAUAUUGUUCGCAACGGAUACAACAUACUGCUGGAAGAUCAACCAAAUAAGGUCAUUCCUGUCACAGCCUUUGUGUUUGCUUGCCCUCGUGUUGGAAACGAGGGUUUUGGAAAUGUAUUUUCCGGUCUUGAAAAUCUUCACGUCUUGCGUGUAACAAAUGACCAAGAUAUAGUCCCUAAACAACCAGAAACGGCCGACUAUGUUCAUGUUGGAAAAGAGCUGAGAUUCGACUCUGUCAAGUCGCCGUUCAUGAAAGUUAUUCCUGAUGUUGUGAUCAAAGAAAAAGUAGGCAUUUUGCACGAUCUGGAGGUUUACUUGCAUGGAGUUGCAGGAACUCACGGGAUUAAUAGUUCUGAUUUCAAACUGGAAGUUGAUCGUGAUCUCUCACUGGUAAACAAGUAUAUUGAUGGCGUGAAGGAUGAAUAUAAUAUAGUUGCAGAGUGGUGGACCGAGAAGAACAAGUCUAUGAUCCAAACGAGUGAUGGCUUUUGGGUGUUGGAUGAUCACGAGAAAGAUGAGAGCGAGUCAUGAGACUAGUUAGGCUAGUCUAUGAUCCAAAUAAAGGUUAAAGCUCAUUCGUAAUUCAAAUAAGGUUUCCUUCCAUUUCUGUAAUAUCAAGUCAACCCAGUAAACAUGUAGUUACUCAACAGUUAUAAAACAGUUACGUAAGUAGUUACAUAGUUAGUAAACAGUAAACUAACUAGUUAAUAUCUACUCAACAGUUAUAAAACAGUUACGUAAGUAGUUACAUACAUAAUUACUAAACAGUAAACUAACUAGUUAACAUCUUGCAAUAACACAUACCGACGACUCAUUCAUGUAAACAUUUGUCACAUGUGGGUCCACAUAUAUCUGUGUGUAUUUUUUUUUUUUUGGAAGAACAGCCGGUGCGGCUGCCCUUAAAUCUUGAUUAAUGAAACCAUAGAAUACAAAAAAGGAGGGGGGGGGGGGGGGGGGGACAUAGAGCCUAAACCCUAAAUUAUAAAGAGUAACGUAUUCUAACAUGCACCAAUUAGUAAAUAGUGUAUCAUUGACAACUCUAUUUGCUUUGACAAAGCGGUGACAUAACGGAAAGAUAACUGUACUAAGGCAUGACGACUAAUAGUGCAACUUUCCUACUAUGUUGCCACACGGAAUCAUAUUCGGCGACCCUAUGUUUCAUCUUGCCACUAGGAGGUUGCGACCAUUUGACAAUAUCUGUGUGUAUAAGUUCUAAUAGAUUUUGGCUUCUUACUGCAGUUUUCUUGUGUUUGUUAGCCAAUUUUCCCUUAUAGCAUUCCACACAUUCAUUUAGAUCAUUAAAGUUAAGUUCAUGUAAAGUCUUAUUUUUGAUUAGUGUUUUAAGCCUGUCCUUAGAAAUAUGCUCUAAUCUUCUAUGCCAUAAAAUUACAGACUUAUCAUUAUGAAGUGAUCUUUUAACACUAACAGUAGUGUUAUUCUUAAGUGUGUGCUUUUAUUAUUUUCAAUUAACAUAAUAUCUGAUUUUGCAACAGAACAAUUUAAUUGUAAAUAAUCAUUAACAAAAACACCACAUCCAAGAUAAUUUGAACCUCGAGUGUUUUUUUAAUCCAUCAUGAUCAAUGAUUAGUUUGCAUCGCAACUUAACUAGCAAAGAAACUGAAAGCAGAUUCCUUUUAAGGGAAGGAAUAAAGAAAACAUUCUCUAGAAAAAGACUUUUAUUUGAACCUAUAUCCAACUGAAGUGAGCCAAUGGCUUUAACAACCACCUUCAUGCCAAUUGCCACGCAGAUUGUAUUCUCAUGCCUCUGAGGUGCCCUCCUGCUUAGCAAACCCUGCAUUGAGUUGGUUAUAUGAAUUGGUGAGCCUGAAUCCAACUAAAAUGAGUUUGCUUUCACAUUUAUGAAGUUUACUUCCAGAGCAAAUGCAGUGUUAUCAAACAAUGAAUCAGAAUAAUAACUAAAAAGAUUACUGAAAUCAAUCAAGGAGUUAUAGACCUCACCUUUCUUCAACAUCCACUUUUUGAAGCCGUCAGUUCUUCUUGAUAUGGUCAACCUUUUUGUAGAAAAACAUUUCACUUUCUGCAAUUUUUCGGCAACAGGAGCUGUGUGGUGGAACCAGAGCUGGAAAUUGACUUCAUGGAUGCUAUAAGGCAGAAGUUCAAGGAGUGCAGCAAGGCUGAGGGGGCAAGACUGUCAAGGAAGCUAUAUGAGCUGAAAUUUAACGGCACUGGGAACAUCAGGACUCACCUGAUGCAGCUUGAGGAAAUCAACAAUAAGCUGAGGGACCUACAGAUGGUGCAUCAUUGACCCCAUUCGUAGGUCCCUCAGCUUAUUGUUGAUUUCCUCGAGCUGCAUCAGGUGAGUCCUGAUGUUCCCAGUGCUAUUAAAAUUCAGCUCAUGUAGCUUCCUUGACAGUCUUGCCCCCUCAGCCUUGCUGCACUCCUUAAACUUCUGCCUUAUAGCACCCAUGAAGUCAAUUGCCAGCUCCGGUUCCACCACACAGCUCCUGACAGUAUCUGAGAUGGUCCCUCUGAUAACAUUCUUUGCCAUCCGAUUGGCUUUCCACUAAUCAUUGUAGUAUUUCCUCUCCUCAGCAUUGUUGUCCUCAUCAAGCUGAUCUUCAUUAAGGCACAUGUCCAUGUUCAGAUUCAUGGACAUGUAGAAUUCGACUUGAUUGCGCCAUUUCUGAAAGUUCAGUCCUGUGAGCGUGGAUCUGUCCUAGUGUCACCACCUCAAUUCCUAAAAUGAUUAAAAUCAAUGCAAAUGAGUUUCAAAAUUCAUGAAUAUAUCUAUUUGAAUAUGUGUGUAGUACUGAAGUAUAUAUUUCAGUCUACAUAGUUAAACAUGUAAGUUCAGCUACUGAAACACAUCUUAAAGUCCCAUAAAGUUCAUACCAAAUAAUACUUUUGUACCAUAAAAUCUGAUAUCUAAAUUUAUAAAUGUAUCACCAAGAUCAUAAAGUUCAUACCAGAUAAUACUUUUGUAGCAUAAAAUCUGAUAUCUAAAUUUAUAAAUGUAUCACCAAGAUCAUGUAAUCUCAUACAUAUAUUGAAAACAGUCAAUAUCUUUGGACAAAGAAAAGUCUGAACAUAUCAGAAACAAGAAAACAUGUCAUGUAAAACACUGUUACUUGAAUCCAAAUUGUACCAGAAAAUAUCUCCUUGGAGACCGGAAGACAAUACAAUUUAUAAACAACAACACAAGUUUUGAUUCUUAUUCAGUUCUCCAUAUAUGAUAGUAAAGGUUACUUUGUGCAGCAGAAUUAAUACCACAUCUAGAGUUUUAUGAAUCUUUGAAGUUUAAAUUUAAGUUUCAGUCUUCAAGAAACACAAAAACUUCAUAUAUGAACACAGUAAUAAGAUCAUAGACUAAAAUUUUGGGAGUUUUAUUCAUUCAUCUAUUCUGCACCUGUGUUCAUAUGCAUUAUGCAGUGAAUAUAUUAAGCAAUUGAUCAGAUUUGCAUGUAAGAUUAAAUUUUGAUUUCAGUUGAGUUCUUACCAUGAUCGAUAUAUACAUAUGGACACACGAAUUCAAAAUCAUAACCAUAGCGUUUCAAUUUCGUAUUCCCCAAAAUUCAAUCAUAAAAUCAAUGAAAUUCAUAUCAAGUCUUAUUCAUACUAGCUAGUUGAUCGUUUUGCAUAAUAGAUCUGAAUUAAACUCUCAAUUCAUGUGAAUUAAAUUCUAACUAUGAUUGAUGUAUACAUACAGAUAUACGAAUUCAAAAUCAUCCCCACAGUAUCCGAAUUUCGUAUUUCUAUUCUCAAUCACAGAAUUGAUGAAUUUUAUAAGAACUGAGAUUUGGUUUCUUACCUUGGCGUCUGCAUCACUCAUCUGCAAUCAAAAAUUAGCGGAAGCAAAAUGAAAACGCACAGCCAACAAGUCCUAAUAUGAUUCUAAGUUUUCUGGGUUUGAAUCCCAACUGAGGUGAUUACCCUCAUAUGCCAUAACUCGAUCUCUGCGAUACAAAUAAAGAAAACGUCAGGUUGCUUUGUUUUAAGUCGGGUUUCAAAAACGAGUUCCUAAUGGACUCCAGUUUUAGGCUAAAGCUGUAGGCCCAAAACCAAGAACAAUGAAUUUUCUGUAUUGUUUUUACUGAUCGAAAACUUAAAUCGAUUUGUGAAAUUGUGAAGAGGCUCUGAUACCAUCUAUUAUUCUUGAAACUGAAUUGCAUAAUAACUCAAGUCAAGAUUGUUUCACAAUAAAUACAUACACAAUAUUGUAGAAACAUGAAACCAAUAGCUUAAAGAGUUUCCUAGUUGCAAUAGGUGAUUACCAUAAGGGCCGGUGUCAAUUGGGAUUCCAUUCACAUUGGUCAUCCUUCUCAGCAACACGGCAACACAAACUGCAAUCUCACAAAACACAGAACUAAGGAAAAUCUUCUAUGCUAUCUACUUGUUUCUUCAUAGAAUGGGACUGCUAUUUCUAUAUGAAAAACAUAGUUAGCAUAUGGACUUUCUACUGGUAUAUAUAGAGGCCUAAAAACACAACUCGUGCUCAUCCUAUAAGGAGUCCGAGUUUUACUUAAUGUUUAUUAGAUACAAGUCUUUAGGUUUAUCUCAAGAACUCAAUGUUGAUCAGGUUAAUCAACUCGAUAAGUCUCCAACUUCUAAUGAGAGACAUACACCUCAAUAGAUAACAAGAUAGAGUUUUAUAUUUAUAUUUGUACUGAUUUUAUUCAAUUUGAUUCAAAACUAUUUUAUGCAGACAAAGAUAAAUACAGUGUCCUAUAUUAUUUUCCAACAUGUAAAAAAUAAAUUGGGAAUGAAAACUUACGGACAAGGAUGAAGACGCAUCCUCCUGUUCUCUUUUUGAUCUGGGCAGUUGAGUUUUUUAUAAUUCGAAGGCUUCAAUUGAGGUACUUUCCAACCUGCUUAGCCCAGGCAUACUUAUUGAGGGGAACCUAUUCAGCGCACCCGGGUGCGCGGUGUACCCGGAAAAAAAUAAUAACGUGGCAGUAAUUGAUAGACGGUGAUGAUGGGUUCCGUUAUACGAGGACAGGGUUAAAACAUUAUUUACCAUUCUCUCUCCACACAGCAUACCUCCCUCUCUAGCUGAAAAAUUCGCCGCAUACCUCCUCUCUCCACACAGCAUACCUCCCUCUCUCAUAUUCUUCUUCUCCACACAACAUACCUCCCUCCCUCUACCUCUCUCAUAUGCUAUUCCCGUUCAUAGAAGUCGUGUUUCAUGUUGAGAGACGAAGUCGCCCGAAGAAGAGGACCGGGUUAUUGAAGAUGCAGCACAAUUGUUGAUUUUGGGCGAUUAGCGAGUGUGUUUCGGAUCUGGUCUUGCAAUAUGAAGGUAAUAGUUGUAUAUGUUUGUAUGGGUAAUUUGGUACGGGUGAGGGAGGAAGUAAGCUGAUUAAGUCGCUGUUCAAUUUCAAUUUCAGGUUAUCGCUAAACGGAGAAGGUUGGAGGCCGGAAAAGCGGUGAGUCCUUGUGACCUGAUGUAUUUAUGAAAUUUGAAUAGUGGGCUGAACUGCAAUGGUAUAGUUAAUGACCUUUUUGCAGGGAGAAGAUGUUGUGAUUAAAACCGCCUGUUACCCAAAGGAUUUCAAAUUAACUUGUGAAGCCCUAUCAAGUAGUAAGAGAAAUGCUGUGGUGCAAAUGGGAUUCGGCCCAUUAAUGGAGAUGGGAUGCAUAAAACUGAACCGGGACUUAUGUCAAAUGGUUGUCGACAACUUGGAUGUGCAACAGGGGAGAUGCUCUAUUCAGAUUCAGGGGAGAUAUUUGUCCAUAAAUGCCACUGUAUUCGAACGUGUGAUGGGGGUUAGGAACACCGGGACACGAGUUGAGUUGGGGUGUGUCGAUGUUGAUGACAUGAAGGAGCUGGGAAGGAAGUUGUGUGGUGGGAAUGAAGAUAUAAGUAUAGACAGUAUGAAACAAAUCAUUGUUGCAAGGGAGGAGGCGGAUGAUGUUUUCAAAAGUUUCUUUGUAAUGUAUACUCUAGUUGUACUGUUGUGCCCCAGCACCCCUUACAUGGUUGACAUGAGGUUCCUUGUUGCAUUGAGUGACGCCUCAUCCAUUGGUAGCAAGAAUUGGGCAUCAUUGUGUUUCAGACAUCUAUUAGAUGGUGUUGUUGCCUAUAAGAAUAACCGGACUGGUUACAUGAGUGGAUGCAUGGUGUUUUUACAAUUAUUUUAUUUUGAUGCAGUUGGAUAUAGCUCGUCUAUUGUUUGUAAAUCAGUUCUCCCAGUUGUUGCAUGGACGUCAAAAAAGUGUAAGCAAAUGACAGAAUGGGUAAUUGGAGAAGGGGGCUUCCACUCCACAUUUGUUAAUGUUGGCAAUAUUGUAGCCGCUGAAUUUGGUGGAAGUGAAGCAGCAGUGGUUUUUUCCAAUUCUGUUGAUGUGACUGUGUCGGAUGNNNNNNNNNNNNNNNNNNNNNNNNNNNNNNNNNNNNNNNNNNNNNNNNNNNNNNNNNNNNNNNNNNNNNNNNNNNNNNNNNNNNNNNNNNNNNNNNNNNNNNNNNNNNNNNNNNNNNNNNNNNNNNNNNNNNNNNNNNNNNNNNNNNNNNNNNNNNNNNNNNNNNNNNNNNNNNNNNNNNNNNNNNNNNNNNNNNNNNNNNNNNNNNNNNNNNNNNNNNNNNNNNNNNNNNNNNNNNNNNNNNNNNNNNNNNNNNNNNNNNNNNNNNNNNNNNNNNNNNNNNNNNNNNNNNNNNNNNNNNNNNNNNNNNNNNNNNNNNNNNNNNNNNNNNNNNNNNNNNNNNNNNNNNNNNNNNNNNNNNNNNNNNNNNNNNNNNNNNNNNNNNNNNNNNNNNNNNNNNNNNNNNNNNCAACGAUUGUCCGUCUCCCUGAUGCUUUGUUCUUACUUCAGAGCUGCUCAACCGGUUUAUUCGUCAAAACACAAAUCUCCCCCACUCUACAACUCCAUAUCUUCCAAUCGGUUUAGCACCAACACCAAUCGCUGCUCAGUCUUCAAUGCUUUGAAAGUUUAGACGAUCUGAUGAAACUUGGAACCAAACGGUUUAGCACCAACACCAAUCGGCUGCUCAAUCUUUAGCGCUGUUUAGACGAUCUGAUGAAACAUGGAAGAAAGAGGGGCUGCUGCUCGAAAUAAGAGGGCUCAGUCUCCCUUAACCUUUUUUACUCUUUUUCACCCCCUGUAUUUUUACCCAAACAAACCCUAACAACCACUUAACGAUGUCAACAACUGACUUCUCCGCGUGUCAGAAUCUGACGGUGAAGAACCCGGGUGCGCGGCGCACCCGGGUGCGCUGUAUAAUUUUGCCUUAUUCAGUCCUUCUAUGUCCUCCACUGCAUUUAUAUAUUCCCAACCAAUCGAUCCUCCUCCGUUGGGUACCAAGAAGGCAAGAAGUACUUUUAUCAAAAUAUCCAGUAUCAGUAGCCUUGAAACGUUCCUAUUCCUUCUCUCUCUCUCUCNNNNNNNNNNNNNNNNNNNNNNNNNNNNNNNNNNNNNNNNNNNNNNNNNNNNNNNNNNNNNNNNNNNNNNNNNNNNNNNNNNNNNNNNNNNNNNNNNNNNNNNNNNNNNNNNNNNNNNNNNNNNNNNNNNNNNNNNNNNNNNNNNNNNNNNNNNNNNNNNNNNNNNNNNNNNNNNNNNNNNNNNNNNNNNNNNNNNNNNNNNNNNNNNNNNNNNNNNNNNNNNNNNNNNNNNNNNNNNNNNNNNNNNNNNNNNNNNNNNNNNNNNNNNNNNNNNNNNNNNNNNNNNNNNNNNNNNNNNNNNNNNNNNNNNNNNNNNNNNNNNNNNNNNNNNNNNNNNNNNNNNNNNNNNNNNNNNNNNNNNNNNNNNNNNNNNNNNNNNNNNNNNNNNNNNNNNNNNNNNNNNNNNNNNNNNNNNNNNNNNNNNNNNNNNNNNNNNNNNNNNNNNNNNNNNNNNNNNNNNNNNNNNNNNNNNNNNNNNNNNNNNNNNNNNNNNNNNNNNNNNNNNNNNNNNNNNNNNNNNNNNNNNNNNNNNNNNNNNNNNNNNNNNNNNNNNNNNNNNNNNNNNNNNNNNNNNNNNNNNNNNNNNNNNNNNNNNNNNNNNNNNNNNNNNNNNNNNNNNNNNNNNNNNNNNNNNNNNNNNNNNNNNNNNNNNNNNNNNNNNNNNNNNNNNNNNNNNNNNNNNNNNNNNNNNNNNNNNNNNNNNNNNNNNNNNNNNNNNNNNNNNNNNNNNNNNNNNNNNNNNNNNNNNNNNNNNNNNNNNNNNNNNNNNNNNNNNNNNNNNNNNNNNNNNNNNNNNNNNNNNNNNNNNNNNNNNNNNNNNNNNNNNNNNNNNNNNNNNNNNNNNNNNNNNNNNNNNNNNNNNNNNNNNNNNNNNNNNNNNNNNNNNNNNNNNNNNNNNNNNNNNNNNNNNNNNNNNNNNNNNNNNNNNNNNNNNNNNNNNNNNNNNNNNNNNNNNNNNNNNNNNNNNNNNNNNNNNNNNNNNNNNNNNNNNNNNNNNNNNNNNNNNNNNNNNNNNNNNNNNNNNNNNNNNNNNNNNNNNNNNNNNNNNNNNNNNNNNNNNNNNNNNNNNNNNNNNNNNNNNNNNNNNNNNNNNNNNNNNNNNNNNNNNNNNNNNNNNNNNNNNNNNNNNNNNNNNNNNNNNNNNNNNNNNNNNAUAUAUAUAUAUAUAUAUUUUCAUUAUUUUGUUGGACACCUUCUAACUUUAUCAAAAUGUCUAGUAUUAGAGAACUUCCAAUCUCAUGUUGUUUCAAUCUUCUAUAGCUCGAUCAACAUGUUUGAAGUCUUUUCAUAUUGUACUUACGAGGAGGUUUCAUAAGACUGAUGUGCAAUAUUUGCAUUAAUUCAUUCCCAAUUCAAUUUAAACGUUGUGUGAUAGCUAGGGGUCAGUGUUGGAACCUCUACUAUUUCACCUUUAGUCCGUACUCAUAUGAAGGUUCUAGAUGGGGUUGAAUAGGCCCUUACAACUUUUUCGCUCUAUCCCGCACACAAGGAUAAUAAAAAUUAGACUAUCUUGUUUGUUGUGAGACUAAUUAGUUGUAAAAGUAAAUAUGCAAAUACUGUAAAUGGUGAGUCUGACGGCGCUACGGGUUGGGUGAUGCUUGCUAGGGUUUCCUCCAAAGCCACAUUGUUUGGGCUUAGUUGGGCUGCAGUUGUCCUCUAAUGGGCCUUGGUGGAGUGAGGUUUUUUUUUUGGUGCUAUUGAAUAAGUUAGUUAUCAAAAUAAAGGAGGUUUUUCUAGAACUUUGUUAGGUUUGCUUCCGCUACAAAAUACGUAUAUCGUAGACACAUCACUUCACGCAAUUCAUCACAUCGCACAAUCCCUUCUUAUUGGAUAUCCUUCAAUUUAGUGAUCCCCACGGGAACCUAAUGACCUUCAAGUCCUAUACCUCUGCGUGUCACAUCCUUACUUCGGCAUAACCAAUCAAGAAGUUCACAUGUUCCAUGACUAGUCAAACAAUGGAUCCAACACAUAAUAAUAUAUAAACUCCACAUAUUUCGCAAAUCGACAUGCUUCACUAUAAAAAUAGAGAGAUAUUCGUAAAUAGACAAAAUCAUGAUUUUCGACUACUUUGAUAACAAAUAAGAAUAUUUGAAACAUAUUACACAAAUCCACUCACCUCGUCAAUACGAAUCCCUACCAAGAACAUCGAUCGUAAACCGAGCCUCCUAAAACAAGCCAUCUAGAAAUCACAGUUGAAUCUAAGCCCAAACUUCUAGGAUAAAAAGAGGAUAUCGGGACAAACCCGUAACACUUCACAGAUUCGGAAUCGGAAUUACGAAUCAAAAGUUAUGAUCCUAAGUCGUAAAUCUAGAGUGAAAAAGAAAAGAGGAGAGAGAGAGUAAGAAUGUGCAAACAGCUGAUCAUCAGCUAUAUAUAGAAGAGUGAAGCCGACAUUACCAAGUCGGUCAAGUGGGGUUUAGUCACGGAAAAAGACACUUGUCAUCAUCUAAUUGGUUAGAUGACAUCACAUUUCUCCCACCAAGUGACACGUUUUGGAUGACUAAGGAAAAUGAUCUGAAAUGUUGGUCAGCUUUUCUUGGUCACUAAGUAAGCCUUUGGACCAAUAAAAAGCUGCCACGUCAACAGUUCAUAACGAAACUUUGAAAAGUCGUUAAAAAUAGCUCGGGACUCCGAAAAAUUUACCAAAAAAUACGACGAACUCGUGGCGACCUCUACUUUCUAUUUCUAAGAAGAAAAAAAAUCAAUUUUGAGAAAUUUUGAAAAUCAGGAUGUUAUAAAGAAUUAAAGUGGGAAGGACAUCGGCUACCUCAAAGGUUAUCUUCUUGGGAGGCAAGUUUGGUCUCCCAUCCUGGGCACUAGAAGGCUUGGAUUUGGAAGGCUUAGAAAGACUUGUUAAAGUGAGAACAGUGCUACUAACUCAAAUGAAACAAUUUGGAUUUGAAUGACUUAAUUAUCUUAUUCAACAAUCUUGGCUUUAAAUAGCCUUACAUCUGAAACUGAACUCCUACAUAUCUGCUAUUGUAUAGCAGCACAACUAACCAACUUGAACGAAACAACCCUAUUAAACAGACUCCUAAAGUCUAGGGUUUAUUGACUAAUGACCAAGUAAACAAGGACUCAGUAAACCCUAAGCCCUGAAAAUACGAAACCAACUCCUUCAUUCCCUCCCUUAAACUAACCUGAGUUAACAGUCAGUUUACUUGAUGCUGCACAAACACCGAGUUUAGCUCGAAGCUUUUGAAAACAAUCCAGCUUUAAAGGCUUUGUAAGAAUAUCAGCAAUCUGUUCUCCUGUUCCACAAUGUUCCAAUACGAUCACUCCAUCUUUAACCAAGUCUCUCAAAAAAUGGAAACGCACAUCAAUAUGCUUGCAUCUUCCAUGCAACACAGGAUUUCUUGACAACUUGAUUGUUGAAGCAUUGUCACACAGAAGUGUUGUGCCUCCAUCCAGCUUGUAUCCUAGCUCCUCUAGGACUCUUCUCAUCCAAAUAGCCUGACAUGCACAUGAUGCAGCUACAAUGUAUUCAGCCUCUGUUGUUGAUAAAGUAACAAUGGCUUGUUUAUUUGAUGACCAAGCUACUGCUCCAUUGCUCAGCAAAAACAAAUAACCAGAAGUGCUCUUUCUUCUAUCAACAUCACCUGCAUAAUCACUAUCAGUAUAAACUCUCAAUCCUACAGCCCCAUCACUUGCAUCUUCCCCAAAAACCUUCUGUCCUUCAGUUUCACUUCGACUAUACCAUAUGCCGUAGUCCAGUGUUCCUUUCAAAUACCUCAAAACUCUCUUGGCUGCCUUGAUGUGCAUUUGUGUAGGUAUGGACAUGAAACGACUUAACAAGCUAACCACAAACUGCAAAUCUGGUCUAGUAGAAGUAAGAUACAUCAAGCUUCCGACCAAUUGCUUGUAGAGUGUCUCAUCCAUCCUUUCGCCUUCUUCAUCACUGCUCAAUUUACUGCUUGGAACAAUCGAAUUAUGAACUGGAUUACAUUCUUCCAUUCCAAUGCUUCGUAAAACCUCCACUGCAUACUUGUACUGACAAAUAUGAAUUCCAUCUUGCUUCUACAUUACUUCUAUACUAAGAAAGAAUCUCAUCUUUCCUAGAUUAGUCAUAUCAAACUCCUUUUGCAUUGAGCUCUUAAAAUCUUCCAUCAUUAAAGAAUCAUUACCAUCAUAUAUAAGAUCAUCGACAUAAACACUGAUAAUGAGAACUUUACCUCCACUGCCUCUCUUGAUAAACAAAGUCUGCUCAUUCUGUCUGAAAACCUUCAUUGACAAAGUAAGACUCAAUACGACUAAACCAAGCUCUAGGUGCUUGUUUUAGUCCAUAUAAAGCCUUAUGAAGCUUGUGCACCUUGUGUUCACUGCCUUUGAUCACAUAGCCCUUAGGUUGUUCAACAUAAACAUCUUCCUGCAAUGCUCCAUGUAAGAAGGCCGAUUUAACAUCAAGCUGAAACAUCUUCCAGUCAUUUUGAGCAGCUUUAGCUAUGACCAUUCUCAUAGUAUCCAUCCGAGCCACUGGAGCAAACACUUCUGUAAAAUCUAUCCCAUGCUCCUGGGAGUAACUUUUUGCCACCAAACGAGCUUUAAGCUUGUCUACUUCUCCACGUUCAUUGAGCUUUGUUUUAUAAAUCCAUUUGACACCAAUGCAUCUAGCUCCCUUUGGUAACUCAGUAAGCUUCCAAGUCAGGUUCCUUUCAAUUGCUCUUAUUUCAUCAUCCAUGGCUUGUUUCCAUUCCUCACUCUUCUUUGCCUCUUCAAAGGUUGAAGGAUCACAAUUGUCCAGUUCCACCAUAUUGAGCUUCAUCACGUUUGCCUCCUCUUCAAUUAGUUCUGAAAGCUCCACUCCGGUAAGGUAGUCAUUAAGAUAAGGCGGCGGCCUUCGUACUUGUCCCUCCCUUGCUCCUGCAACAUUAGUUCCAUUGCCUAUGUUUCCUCUUAACAACCUUUCUUCUCUCUCUUGUGCUCACUACUGUUUUCUCUCAAAUCCCCUUCUACUCUCACUCUUUUGUUUCCCUGUGUUUCAUCAUCAUUCCCAUUCUCACUCUCAUCAUCUCCCUCUUCACUGUUUUCAUUAUCACUCCAAACCAAUUCUUCCCCAAUAUCAUAAUUGUCUCCCCAAUCCUAACUUUUUUCUUCCUAAACACCACAUCUCUACUCACUAUCCCUUGUUUGUUCUUCGGAUCAAAUAAUUUGUAAGCUUUAGACUCCGUACUCACCCCUAUAAGAACACAAGGAAAGCUUUUGUCAUCAAGUUUACCUCUCUUAGCUUCUGGUAUGUGAACAUGACCUAUGCAGCCCCAAACUCGAAAGUAUUCCACAGAAGGCUUGACUCCAUUCCAUGCCUCCCUUGGUGUUACAUCCUUGACAGCUAAGGUAGGGCAUAUGUUCAAGACAUAAAACGUCCACUUCACAGCCUCAGGCCAGAAACUUUUAGGAACUUUCUUUGCUGACAACAUGGAUCUCACCAUAUUCAUGACUGUCCGAUUCUUGCCUUCAGUGACACCGUUUUGCUGUGGUGUGUAGGCAGUUGUAAGUUGUCUCUGGAUUCCAUGCUCUUUGCAAAAAUCUUUGAAAGCAUUAGAGUUGAAUUCUCCUCCUCUAUCUGUUCUAUAGCACUUAAUCAGCUUCCCUGUUUCUUUCUCGACAAGACUCUUGAACAACUUGAAACAACGUAGGGCUUCUAACUUCUCAACAAGUAAAUACACCCAUGCUUUACGACUGAAAUCAUCUAUAAAGCAUAAAGUAUACCUUUUACCACUGUUAGAAGCAGGCUUGAUCGGACCACAGAUGUCUGAGUGAAUAAGCUCCAAGACUUCUUUUGCUCUCCACGAACUCUGCUUAGGAAUUGCAUUCCUGUGUUGCUUGCCAACCAAGCAAUCUGUGCAGGUGAUGUUUGAUGCUUCAAACUAAGGUAAGCCACAUACCAUCUUCUUAUCUUGCAGUGUCUUCAAACCUUUAUAGCUUAGAUCGAUGACCAUAUCGUUCAUGCCAAAGCUGUGACAAGUUCAUGGAACUCGUAUGCAAGCAGCUGACAGGUUGCAUACUCAAGGAGCAUUGAACUUGUGUUAUCAAUACAAACAUCAUGUUAGCACUCAUCACACUUUGAACUAGUAAACCUCUUUCUGGAUGAAAGAUUUUACACACUCCAUCUUGAAUCAGAAUGGCCAAACCCUUUUCUUGAAGUUGCCCUAUGCUCAAAAGAUUAUUCUUGAGUUCGGGUACGUAGUACACAUCACUGAUCACAAAAGCAGCUCCCUUCAUAGUCAGUCUGACACUCCCCUUUCCGGCUACUUGCAUUCUGGUAUUGUUUCCAAGCUUAACUGAAUGAUUGAACUUAUCAUUUAAGCUAGAAAACAUACUCUUGUCACCACACAUGUGAUUAGAACAUCCUGAGUCCAAGAACCAGACAUCACCCCUUUCUGCUUCACAUUCUUCCACCAAAGACAUCAACAGUAGCUCUUCAGUUUCAUCUAGUUCAGCAUAGUUAGCUUCCUUGUUCCACUUUGAACAUUCAUAAUGAAAAUGACCGAGAUUAUGACAUUUGAAGCAUUCCACAACAGCUUUGUUGAACAUCUGUCUGCCUCGGCCUCGUCCUCUUCCUCUCAUGUUUGCUCUUCCACGGCCUCUUACUCUAAAUCUGUCUUUAUGACUCACUUUCAAAGCUUGAUCUUCUCCUCUGUCAUGCCUCUGAAACUUCUGCUCAUGAACUACAAGUGAGCUUUGUAGUUCAUCAAUUGAGAUGGACCCAGUGUUCUUGGAUUCUUCUAUGGAUAUCACAACGUAUGUGAAUCUUUCUGUGAGAGUCUUGAGAACCUUUUCCACCACCUUUGACUCCGGCAUCUCCUCUCCAUUGCUUCUCAUCUUGUUCGUUAUUGCCAUAACUCGAACAAAAUAAUCCGAGAUGCUUUCACUAUUCUUCAUCUCCAGUACUAAAAUCCCUCCUUAAUUUUUGAAGGAUUGAUUUCUUGACACGAUCAUUCCCUCCAAACUUGCUCUUCAUGGACUCCCACACAAUCUUAGCUGUGCGACGUCUGUCAAGUAUCUGCUCAAAGGUCACUCGAUCAAUUGCUUGAAAGAGAUACCUCUUAACUUUAUGAUCUUUGGCUCUUGCAUCUUCGAGCUGCUCCCUCUGUGCCUCAGUGAGCAGUGCUCUAGCAGUUGGCUCUUCAAAGCCAUUCUCCACCAAGCUCCAUAGCCCUUUUGAUCUCUACAGAUUCUCCAUCAACUCACUCCAAUGAUCAUAGUAGUGACCAUCGAAGAGUGGAACUUUCAUCUUCUCUUCACUCAUCUUUCUGUGUAUCACUCAAGAACGCUACUGCUUCUUUUUCUCAGGCCCAGUGGGGGCUCUGAUACCAGAUUGUUAAAGUGAGAACAGUGCUACGAACUCAAAUGAACAAUUUGGAUUUGAAUGACUUAAUUAUCUUAUUCAACAAUCUUGGCUUUAAAUAACCUUACAUCUGAAACUGAACUCCUACAUAUCUGCUAUUGUAUAGCAGCACAACUAACCAACUUGAACGAAACAACCCUAUUAAACAGACUCCUAAAGUCUAGGGUUUAUUGACUAAUGACCAAGUAAACAAGGACUCAGUAAACCCUGAGCCUGAAAAUACGAAACCAACUCUUUCAAGACUCAGUGACUCUUUGGACCCAGAUUUGGAGGAACCAGCAAGGGCCUUGCUAGAGCUCCGAGUGGUCUUUCGAGAAGGCUCUGUGAAUUCAAGGUCAGAGCUAGAGGAACCCGAGAGCUCGAUUGGAACGGUCUCUUCAUCAACGCAAAAAUCCAACCUUUCAAGAAAAAAAAUAGUUGAAAUCCAAAUCAAAACUAUAAACGUUCAAAUCACAUAAAUAACUCUGAAGUACAUAGAGAAUUGAAAUAAUUAUCCAAUGAAGAAGAUGCAGAAGUUUAAAUAAGAUUACCUAUCCCGCUACCCGGAAGAUACUUAUCCAAUUUGUUUAUACAAAAAAAUGACUGUUGUAUGUUGUAAACACAUGGAAACAAGAUCUGAUAGAAAUGGAUUUGAGGCAGAUUGAGGAAGAUUCAUCCCUCCUUUGACAUAAGUUUUCAUUCUAUAGCUAGAUCUCAUAUCCUGCUUGCUUCUUGGUUUAGAGUUUAAGAUUGAUAAAUAUUAAAGGGAGCUGGGAGCACUCAUAUACUGCGCACUUGUAUCUACAUGUAUAUAUAGUACUCAAUUAGGUUUGUGCCAUAAAUGGUCAAUGUCCAAAUUACCUAUUAGUUCAAAGACCGAAGUAAAUUUUUUUUUUUUUUUCUGAAGAAAUUUUCUAUUUUAAGAAUCAGAAAAUGAAUGAGUAAAAUACGCCAGCGCAAGCAAGCGGCGUUUAAACUGAGGGGCACAAUUGUAACUUUUAAUGAGUUGUCAAAAUCAAUUUUGACUGAGAUAAAUUGAAGGACAUAAAUCUUAAAUCAAUUUACUGGGCCUUAGACUCUGAUCCAAUGAGCACAGAGAUAGAAGUAGAAGAAGCGGCAUGCAUUGGGUACCAAAAGAGAGAGUUAAAUCGCCAACCUUGAAGAACUAGCCGAGGACCCGAGAAGAUUUUGAUGGUCUUGGUUGCUGCUUUGGCUGAUGUGGAAAAACUAAACACAAAACUUACGGAAGCUUUUCUGAUAUUUCUUCUUGGUAAGUAAUAAGGUUAUAACACUAAACUAUAUAUAGGAUAGGUUGAGUGAGAAACACACUUCAUCAUCCAUACUUCUCUUACAAGCACAUGCCUAGCCCUUGACUAAAGAAUUAAGGCAACACAACAAGCAACACAGACAUUACCUAACACUCUAUCAACUGACAAGAGAACAUAUACAAGUAAGGUAAAAUGUACAAGUAACAAUAAACAAUAAUAGGUAAGCAUGUAAGGAGACCACAACAGCCAUGUGGCCUCUGGAUCCAAGAGACCACAACACCCAUGUAUCCUUUGGAUACAACCAUACUUACAUACCACAACCAUACCUCCAAUAUUCCUCGAAUAACUUGCAUACCACAGCCAUAUCUCCAAUAUUCCUCCAAUAGCUGACGACGGUAGAGGAAUGUUUUCUGACGAGUGUGCCAUUUCUGGGUUGCUUAGUUUUCGGUUUUCUGGAUUAUUCUAGCUGAUGACAAUGGUUCAAAUUGGGAAUUAAGGGCAAAGAGAGGAGGAAUUGGGUAGGAUCCUAAAUGAACGGGAUGAUAAAGGGGUUGCGUUCUAGCUAGGUUAUAGGAGAAUUCUCUUUUCUUCGACUUCUUCUAUUAAUUAUACACUUGGGGUUGGGACUUCUCUUUUGUUUCUAUAUAUGUGCCACCGCACUCUCUAGUCUCUAUUGUUGCCAUCACAUGUGUCACACCCCAAUUUUCGAAAAGGAUAAAUUUUCGAAAAUUUGGGCAUGAUAUAACUUAAAAUCUUAUUAUCCCAAAAUCUGCUCAACAACUUCCAAACUAUAAACAAACACUAGAAAUAUAAAUGUCAACAAACUCAACAACUGAGUUAAACAUUAUAUCUCCUUAAAUACAUCAACUUCAAAAGUCUAGUAAAAUAACAUCGCUCACAUGAGCUUAAAAACAACUUAUCAAAAUAUACAAAAUAAAAGCACAUUGUCUAAAACCCAGCUCCUAAGCCACCGCCUCAACCCUGCUGAUUAUCACCUGCAGGUCUAACCCCUACACCAAAAAAUACGUGCACCGGGUUGUAAACAACAAACCCGGUAAGCUGAAAAGCCCGUAUGAGUAACUCUAAAAAAAAUAUAUAUAUUUCAACCCAACAUCAUACAAAAUAAAACCGGAAAUUCCUGCUUAGCACUUAGUUCAGGAAUUGCCUCAACAAUAAAAUUCAAAGAGAGAAAUUGAGAAAACAUAACAAUUCACAAAACAAUCAAUCAUAAGAGAAUCCUACAAAUAAAGAUAGUUCAGGAAAUUCCACUCAAAAUUCACAUAAUAAGAAUUGAAGAAUCUCCUGCAUUAAGCAUAGUUCAGGAGAUACUCAAAAUAAAUUAAAUGACAACAAUUAAGAACAAAGUUAAAACCACAUUUUCAACACUUUCACAAAUAACAUGUACCCAUGAGUCCCAGAUAUUAAAAAAUACCUCUCAUGACCUACAACAACAAUUUGUGCACCCAUGGGUCCCAGAUACCAUAAGGUAUCUCCCAUGACCUACACCGACAGACGGACUAGAGCUCUAUUCCUAACCGUAACCAAUCACCCGGCCAAAGGCUUGGAACCCAGUUUGACUGUCCAAUAUCACAUCACAAAAUAAUAAUAGCGUCAUAACUGUAACCAAUCACCCGACUAAAGGCUUGGAACUCAGUUUGACUAUCUACACAACAAUUCUCAAAAAGAGUAGAAUCAUCAUAACCGCAACCAAUCACUCGAUUAAGGGCUUGGAACCCAGUUUGACUGUCCACUUGUUUUAUCUCACCUAUGAGCCGUUGGCGAUCAAGCUUAUUUAUUUUUAAAAACAAACAAUAGCAUAUUCUUUAAUUCAACAUUAUCAACAACACAAAAAGCACAUCAUAAAAAUUAUAUCCCUCCACAUAGAUAUAUUUAUAUGCACAAGACAUGGUUAUUCCCACAAGAAUAACUUAUCAACAACCAAAAAUACUAUAAUUUUAUGAACCUUAAAAUUAAUCAUAUACUUGGAAAACUUGUUUUAUCUUACCUAUGAGCCGUUGGCGAUCAAGCUCAUUUAUUUUAAAACAACCAAAAGAAAUAAAAUAUUUUAAAUUAAAAACAUCAACAAAAUCAUCAUCAUUUUAUCAACAAAAACCUUAUCAUCAUUACUAUCAACAUCAUAAUAAUCAUUAUCAACAACACAAUAAUUAUCACCAUCAUCAUCCUCAUCAUUCAAAAUCACCAUCAUAAUUAAUAUCAAAAUCAACAUCCAAAAUAAAAAGGUCACAAGUGGACCUUGGUGAGAUUUUACUCACCUAAAUAGCCCGUUGCGUUUCCGUAAAACACAAGAGCAAGCCAACUCCCAAUUUCACAAAUCAUCUAAAAUAACACACAUAUUAACCUUAGUAACAAACACAACAAGGAUCAAAGUACUCUUAACUUAAAGGUUGCCCCCAAGAAGGGCAAUCCUUCCUCCAAGACCUCCCAAGGUCAUUGAACACUCAACAACAACCAAACUACCUUCAAGAUCAAACUUUCUAAGUUUCCGAUCUAAUGAACACCAAUAAACUUAAGUCCUAACAUGCCAACCUUGCUUAAAAUCUAGCCAUACUACCACUCAACAAGCUCACAGCAGCAAGGACUAGCUAACCACAGGAAACUAAGGCGGCCACUCAGCCGGACGCGCAGCCACAGGCGGCGGCGAGUGGGCCCCACGCGCCACCCCAAACUUCCGAAUUAGGAGAAACUUACAACAGCAAAGUUGAAGCUUGAAGCAAGGGGAACAACUUUCAUACCUGAGACUUCGACCAAAAAUGGCCGAAACCGACCGGAAACUGCCCCGAAAACAGCAGCCACAAUCAAACCCCAAAACCUGCAAAUCCGGCACCCAAACUUGAUUUCUAGGUCACUAAAGAGGCAUGAACAUCCUUAGAAGAGAGAGGGAAGUAAGACUCACCUAUACUUGGCCGGAAACGGCGUCGAAAUCGCCGGUUUUCCGACGGGACAGCAGCAGCUCCGCCGCUUCGUGGCGGCUUCCAGGCGGCCGGACAGCGGCCGGAACUGCUCCAGAAAUGGAGAGGACAGCUGUGGGGUCGAACGGAACCGGCGGCGUCCGGUUUGGUGGCCUGAGGAGGGAGAACUCGGUUGAAGAAGGUGAAGGCUCGGGGAGCUCGGGGAAGAGUAGAGAGGGAAGAGAGAAAACUGAAAUUAGGGCUUCUAAUUAACACUCCCACACAAUUUUCUACUUAUACUCUUUCCAAACCCGGAAACAAACUUCCUCUGACCAUAACUUUCUCAUACGACAUCCGUUUCAAGCGUGCCGCAUGUCUACGAACUCGUAUCGAUAAACUCUACAACUUUCAUGAAGGAAGUUUUUGAAGAUAACUUAUGGAAAAUAAAGUCAACUUUUGGUCUUUUAAAAGUCAGCCAAAAAGUCAACCGAAUAAAAAUAAAAGAAACUAGCAUCUAAAAAUUCCGGGGUAUUACAACAUGGUACAUGAAGUUUGAAGCACUUAAUUAGUGCUGAGUUAUGACAAUGCUUUUCUCUACAUCAUUAUGAAAGUAGAACAUUGAAGAAAAAAAAAAGGUUAUGUCAAACAACGAUAAGCGUGGCCCAUGGAUCAUCUUUGGACUGAUACUGUCACAACUUAACAACCUUUAAGGUGUUGGGUUUUAUUCACAAAAUGCCUGAGUACAUUUUAGAAUAAUGCACCCACUUAUAAGUUAUAUUUUAUUUGUUACUUUUCCAAUGUGAGAUCUCUCAUCUCCAACACCCUUUCACGUGCAGCCUAACUUUUAGAUGUGCACGUGAAACUGAUUAACAAACUGAACUUGGACUCCAUGACAAUAGAAAGAACCCCAAACACAAAAGAACCCCAAACUCGAAAAAACCAAAUCAGGGCCAUAACUCCUGAAAGAACCACCUGGGCAGAUUUGAAUGUGACAAACAUGCCCGUGGAUCAUUUUUGUACCUAUACAAAAAUACUGUCCCAACUUAACCACCUUUAAAGUGAUAGGUUUUAAUCACAAAAGACAUCGGUACAAUUAGAAAUGAUCCACCUACUUAUAAGUUAUAUUUUAUUUAGGAUUAAAUUCAGUUUGCCCCCUCGUACUUUAGGUCAAUAAUCAGUUUGGUCUCAUAUCUUUUUUUUUAAUAACGUUGGUCCUUGAAGUUCUAUUUCACAUCAGUUUAGUCUAAUUUUUGAAUUGUCCUCCUUACCAUGACGUCAUGCGCUAAGUUGUCCGCGACACAAGGGCUCAAUUUUUGACUUAAAAGGGAAAAAUAGUCAUUUUAUCAUAUACCAAAAUGAAAAGAAUAACAUACAGUUCAUCAUCAAUCCUUCAACUCUCUCCGUUUUUGGAAUUUAAGCAACAUAAUAACUUAACUCUGUUCCAAUGCUACUGCCAAGCUCAACCAAACCCAGAAAAUCCCAACUCCUCCAUUCUUAAUUAAACCACCCUGCACAAUAAUAAUUGAACACUACCAAAAUCCCAGAACCCCCACCGCCGCUGUGAACAGCGUCACUCACGGCAGUCCUCCUCUGCCUAAAACCCAAAUUCUCCCAAACAUCACCAAACUCAAUUCCAAUUAUAUACAGAGGUAGAGCUCGAAGAGAAGAUCAAGGAUCAUACCUCAAUUGCCUUCGACGGUGGCCGGAAAACACAUAAACUCACCGAAAAACUGCUUGAGCUUCAAUUAAUCGAUUCUUAGUCAUGGAGGCUCCUCUGAAGAAAUCGAGACCACAUACAGAACGGGGACGGUGAGACUAAGCUAUCCACACUAGUCACGCUUGCCGCCGUGACCGGAAUCGGAAACCCGAUCGGAGAGGCAGUCACCUUCUCUCCUCCGAUUCUCUUUCAGCAGCGCUCCUACAUGAAAUCUAACACAAUAGAGACGUCGAGGACGGUGAGAAGAAGCCCUGGCCACCGAUGGGACGCCGAGAGACGACCGGACCUGGAAUCGGAAACCCGAUCGGAGAGGCAGUCACCUUCUCUCCUCCGAUUCUCUUUCAGCAGCGCUCCUCCAUGAAAUCUGACACAACAGAGACGUCGGGGACGGCGAGAAGAAGCCUGGCCACCGAUGGGACACCGAGAGACGACCGGACGACGGAAGGGAGUGCUGAGCUCCGUCGCAGCUCGAGACGGGGUCUGGGACUCCGACCUCUAUAUACUCCUCGUUAUAUUGAUAAGGGCAAUAUAUGAUAAAAUGACUAUUUUGCCCUUUUAAGUCAUAAACUUGGCCCUUGUGUCGCGGACAACUCAGCACAUGACGUCAUGGUAAGGAGGACAAUUCAAAAAUUGGACUAAACUAAUGUGAAUUAGAACUUCAAGGACCAACGUUAUUAAAAAAAAAAUAUGGGACCAAACUGAUUAUUGACCUAAAGUACGAGGGGACAAACUGAAUUUAAUCCUUUUAUUUAUUACUUUUCCAAUGUGAGAUUUCUCAUCUCUAACAAGUUAAAUUUUCUAAUUAGCAUUUUUUGGUAUGAAUGUUUGGUCUGAUUGUUUGGGCGUUGAAUAGUGGAAGAUCUUAAACUCAUGAGUAUGCAUGGUUGAUCAGGAGUUCUCCAAACAUAUAUGAUAUACAGAUCCAUCUAUCGCCGUCUGAGGAACUUGUCUGAAAGUAACAUAUAUAUCAACCAAAAUAGAGGUCGAAAACUGAACUGAAAUAUCAAUCAGAACCAAACAGUUUGUUGGUAGUGUUGGCAUUGCUACACAAACAUUGUUUUGAGUUGAUGAGUGAACAACAACCUCUGGCUUUACGUUUACUAAAUUUCAUCCUCCAGUAGUACGCUCAGGACCGCAAUUGUGCCCGUGCAAUCCCUGCUUGCACAUUCCAGUAUUUACACAAUUCAACCAGCAAUUAAAAAUCACCUACACGAUCCAACCAAAAGUACUGAAAAGCCAAAAACCUAGCAACACAUGAGAUCAGAAAUCAUCUUCACAACCUGUAGAAUUCUAGAAGAAAAACAAAGACCAAAUAAUUUCACGUUUAACUUGCUUUCAGAUUCGCAUACUCGUCAAUAAUUCCUCGUUGUCCUUGUGAUCAAUAAUAAUAUUGAAAAUUCAAUAAGGGCAUGAUCUUCGAUAGUGGCAGCCUGGCAAAUCGAUAAACAUGCAUAUAUAGUCCAUCAAUCUAAUAUAAUCAAUCUCCAACAUACAUUCAUGGUGCAAUUUCUUAUGGCAUAUAAUGAUAUAAAUUAAAGAAUUAAAUUCAUUUUACCCCCUUGUGGUUUGGGGGUGACUUCAUGUUAGUCCCUACAUUUUUAUUUUCAUCAGUUUACCCAUUGAACUCUUCAAUUUCUGUCUGCGGUGCCCAAAUUCUCAUAUUCCGUUUAAAUUGACAUUUAAUUAUCAGCAGUUAAGGUUCGAUUUGGACAUAUAAGGUCCGAUUUGCCUAAAUUCUAGAUACUGACCUCACAGUUAAGGUUAAAAUUAUCAGCAGUUAACGUCCGAUUUGGACAUAAUAUAGGACAUUUGGUCACGCUUGAGAAAAAUUCAAAAGUUUGAGGGGUAAACUGAUGAAAUUAAAAGUAUAGAGAUUAACAUGAAGUUACUCCCAAACCUCAUGGGGUAAACUGAAUUUAAUUCUAAAUUAAAUACAUGAGCUUGGAUGAGGGAAAGCACACCCAUCAAUAUUUCCAUAUCCUCCUUUCAGACUAGUUAGCUCUAGCUAUAGUACUUAAGAGUUAAGAGAGCAGUUACAACUAAGAACUUAAGGCGAUCAUGGGUAGCAUAGCAACAAGGUGGAAGGCUCUGAGCGGCCAGGACGAGUGGGAGGGUCUAUUAAACCCUCUCGACAUCGAUCUCCGCCGCUAUAUCAUUCACUACGGGGAAAGGGCUGGAGCGAUAGCCGUGGUGAACGAGCCAAAAUCGAAGAACUACAGACUUCCACGAUACGCGAAGGAAAAUUUGUUCUCAAAUAUGGGAUUGGAGAGUGGCAAUCCAUACAAGUACAUGGUGAAUAAAUAUUUGUAUGCAGCCCAUAUGACAUUUUCGUUACAGAAAUCAAACUUUCUGGGUUAUGUUGCGGUGACAACAGAUGAAGGAGCCAAAGUGUUGGGGAGGAGGGAUAUUUUGAUUUCUUGGAGAGGAACCCAAUUGGUACAUGAGUGGGAUGUCGACAAGGAGACCGAUUUAGUCUCAGCUUCUCACAUUCUGGGAGAGGAGAAUGAUCCUCUGGUGCACCAGGGUUGGCUUUCCUAUUACACUAAUAUUGACCUUCUGUCCCCGCACAAUCAACUUUCUAGUUGCAGAGAUCAGGUAUUUUUCUUUAUUUCUCUUUGAAUUCAUCAAAAAUUGACACAAUCAGAUCGGAUUAAGCUAGCUAGUCCGCACCAUGUUAAUUUUUCAUACAUUAAUCUGGAUAAGCUAGCUCCAUGCCAGUAGUAUAAAAUGUUUUGACACAUAUAUAUACUAUAUAUCUAUGAACGAGCCAGCUAGCUAGGACUAAUUAGAGAAGUCUUGUUAAGUAAUUAACACAGUAACGUCAUAUGACAUAUAUACAAGUACAAAUGUGCUUAACGUAGAAUUACAUAUCCUAACAACUAAAAAGUUUUACAUUAAUUUCUUUUUGACUUCUCAGGCUGUAGCUGCACUUAAAGAAAUACUAGAUGAAUACAAGGAUGAAGAAAUCAGCAUUACCAUCACUGGUCACAGCAUGGGUGCUGCCAUGGCAAUUUUAAACGCAGCCGAUAUUGUUCAUAACGGAUACAAUAAACUGGCAUGUCAACCAAACAAGCUCAUUCCUGUCACAGCCAUUGUGUUUGCUUGCCCCCGUCUCGGAAACAAGGGUUUCGAAAAUGUAUUUUCCGGUCUCGAAAAUCUUCACGUCUUGCGUAUAACAAAUGACCAAGAUAUAGUCCCUAACUUACCAGAUCUGGAGGAUUAUGCUCAUGUUGGAAAAGAGUUGAGAAUCGACACUCUCAAGUCGCCGUUCUUGAAAGUAAUUCCUGAUACUCUUGUCACAGAAAGAAUUGGUAAUUUGCACAACCUGGAGGUUUACUUGCAUGGAGUUGCAGGGACACAAGGAGUCAAAAGUUCUGGUUUCAAGAUGGAAGUUGAUCGUGAUCUCGCGCUGGUAAACAAGCAUAUUGAUGGGUUGAAGGAUGAACAUAAUGUAGUUGCUCAGUGGUGGACGGAGAAGAAUAAGUCUAUGAUCCAAAAGGAUGAUGGAUCUUGGGUGUUGGAUGAUCACGAGGAAGAUGCGACUAUAUGUUUAGUCUAGGAAUCCAGUUUUAAAUAAAGCUCAUUCGGAUAAGGUAUAUAUCCUACCUCUGGUUAAUUUGGUUUGUUGCUCGGGAAGGGGGCUGGAACCUCCGUUCUCAUCAUGUUGUUUCAUUCUUGUACUUGUUUAAUUCAGCCCUAUCAGCAUGUACUUAAGUCUUUCUAUAUUGUACUUGUGACCAAUGGCGGAUCUAGGAUUUUAAAUUGGGGUGGGCUGAAAUUUUUUUUCCAAGUUAUCUAAUUUUUUUUUCUUUUAAAUUUUACAUAUCACAACUUAUAUUAAAAACAUAUUAAAUAAUCAUGUAAUUAAAUAAUCAUUACGAAAUCAACAUUAUAACAUUUCAUAGAAGUUCGAUAACAAAAGUUAAAAACAAAAAAACAUACCUACUCAAAUUGAACCAUACGGUCUUGCAUAGAAGCAAAAUCUUUAAUUAUUGAAUCAGCAUCAUAAUUCUCGGCCAACUCCUUUUCAAUGUGCACAAUCAUGUUAUCAGCCAAAAAAUCAUUCUCCAUCUUGUUGCACAAUANNNNNNNNNNNNNNNNNNNNAAUUUCUUUUAAUAAAAUAAACAAUAUAUAUUUAAUGAGAAAAAAAGAAAAUUAUCAUAUGGACUAAGUACAAUUACAUAUGGGCUAAGUAUAAAACUUGGGGUGGGCUAGUUUUCAAAAUAUAUUUUUUUGAACUAUAAUUAUGCUACAAAGUAAUGUUUUUUCAAAAUCUGGGGUGUGCUGUAGCACACCGUAGCCCAUAUGAAGGUACGCCUUUGCUUGUGACUUGUGAGGAGGAUUUGUGCGUUGUUUGGGAUAUAUAGGGGUCCAUUUUGGGAUACCUCCCCACCCAAAUUUUUGAGUAUCACUAGCUUCCCCCUCAAGUUAUUAUUUCCAGCUUACUUGUUGAAUUAAUUGUUCAGCUAGCUACUGAUGAGAACAUAUAUAUUAGAAAUGAUGAGACAAGUAUACAGAACUCAUUCUAUUUCAGGUGUUGACUCAUCGAGAUAUACCUAACUUGACGAAUCUACAACAAUAAAAUGCAUCAGACUGAUCAGAGUAGAGCAAACAACAUAGCAUUAUAUCACUGAAAAAGCAACACACAAGAGGUACUGAAACAAUCAGUUACUUGGAUGACAUCCAAGACUGUUAUGACAAAGAAGCUGGUCAAAGAGAUGCCCUAGGUUCGUAAGUAAAUACAAAUAUCUUAUAUCAGGUUUGGAUCAUAUGGAACUCCAGUCGAUGGUAACCAUUGGUCUCCAUUGAUGAAGGUACGGACUGUGAAGUUGGAUGCCUCAGAGCUGUUCAAGACCCUAUACCCUAUCCAAUCAACUCUGCCUGCAGUGUUUGCUCCUGGUCCUUGAUUGGCAUACUCAGCAUCAAUGUUGCCAGAAACGGGGGACGUUCCGGUACGGGAACGCCGUACGGAUACGCGGUACGUUAGUCUUUAAGAUACGCGGUACGCUAGGAUAUAUUAGCUAAUUUUAAUUAAAACAAAUUAAUAAAAAUAAGAUUAUAGAAACAAAAUAAAUUGAAACCCAUACCAUAAAUUUACCAUAAAUUUAUAUACCAAAAUAUCGAUCCCUUAUUGAUUCACUAGAUAAACCACAUAACUCAUGAAAGACAAACAAGUAAAUUAAUAGAUAAAAUAAUAAGAAAAACUGUAUUUAUUUUUUUUUUAAUUAUUUUCUGGAUAAAGAUCAGUUUAUAUUGAGAUGAUCAUGUCUUGAUUUGAUUAUGUGGAUCUUCACACCAACACCGGCAUCAAAGAAUCGAAGAUCACGUUUCAAACAAGUCCAACAACCUCCACCUUCACGUUUCAAUCAAUUACCCGCAACUCCCAUCUCCUCCUGCUAAUUCUCCACCUGCUCCUUGUGAAUUUUGCACACAAAUCCUCACUGAGGCAUUAAAACAAACACUUUCUGGGCGCUAGGCAAAGGCAUUUCCCUCUCAAAUCGGGAUCGCUCAACACAGCGAUCGGGAUCGCGAACGCCCCGCGAUUGGGUUCGUGCGUUCCGGAACGCGGGUCGCCGGCAACAUGAGCGUUUCCGGUAACUCUGCUCAGCAUAGAAGGCCGUCUUCGAUCUUCCAUCCCAAUCCAACCAUCCCUUUGGAUGUAUGAAGUUUUCUAGGAAGCUUUGCAUCACGAUUGUUCUUGAUUAAGCUCUCCACGGCCUUCCCAAGUAUCCAUCAACUGGAAAGCCAGAGGUAAUCAACUCUGAGGUUGCCCGAAACGUGCAGUUUUGGAAAACUGUUCCUGUGGAAUCACUUGAACUCUCUCUGCCCUGAGCCGUGAUUGUUAUGGACUGCCCUUUCACCGGUUUCCUAGCAUACACAUUACAUCCUUGAAAGAAGACCUGAGAAUUACCGAAUAUGAAAUCUACGGUGCCAUAGAUUUCACACCCUUUGAAAAACUGUACUCCUUCCUUAGCGUAAAGAGUAUCUUGAUAAUCGCUUAUCUUGCAGCGGAAGUAAACACUAUUGUAAGACUCACUUAGAAGUGACACUGCUUGUCCCCCUUCGGGACCAGCAGUGUUUUCAAGUGUGAGGUCUUGUGCUAUGAAGCCAUAACCUUGUAUUCCUGAUUGACAAUGAUUGAUUAAAAGGAAAUAUAUAUGUGGUACUUUGUUUCAUGUAGAUAUUGGUUAUUAGUAGGCUUACCAAUCGUUGCAGAGUAAUAGGUCCCGAAACCGGUUGCAUUACUCCUGUUGCCUGUGAUUAUAGUCUUGUCAAUUCCCUCUCCAAUGAUGGUCAAAUUAGUCUUCUCUGCUUCAACAACAAUAUACUCAUCGUAUACACCAGCCAUCACCUUGAUGUUGAUUCUCUUCAGACUAUUGUUUGGUGCAGCCUUGAUGGCAUCACCAAUUGUUGUGAAGUUUGCUGGUCCAUUUUUUGCCACCACCAUGUCAAAUCCAAUUUCUUCUUGUCCAACAGCCUGAUAUAGGACGAGAUUUUAGUCAAAUUCAGCAAAGAAUUUCAAAACGAAAGAAGCGUUGUCACAUUAAGAAGAAUGAUUUGAAUAUUGGAAAUUGGUAUUCAAAUAGACUUUUUAAUGAUGAAAUUAAUCGUAAAUUACUCUUUUGGUUAUAUCAGGAUUCUCAAACAAAAAGAAAGAUUCUGGAUUUUGUAUCGGAUUGGAGCAGAUUUUGGCCAGAACGUCCGUUUGGAACAUAUGAUACCUUUCCGGAAUGGGAACGACGAGAUCUACACGAGUCACUUUUGUGAGCACUACUAGGAAAUCGAUCAAUAGGCACAAAUCAAUGGGCACAGACGAGGUUGUCCGUACCCUUAUAGACAUAAAAGGGACAGAUAUGAGAUGUUCGUUCCCAAAUUUCCCCAAAAUUUCUUACCACGCGCCUAUACACAAAUUGACCACGGAUGUCCGUCCCUAGAGUGACAAUUUAGCCACAGAUUUCACAAACCAUCCCCAUCCACGACCUUAUCUAUCAUAAACAAAUAAUAUACAAAUUUUAAGAAGACAUUUUCACCGUCCGUUCCAAAAUUUGAGAGAACAUGGCGAUAGACAUUUUGCCAUCCGUCCCCAAAUUAUGAGCAAAAUGCUGACAUCUGCUGAAGCAACAUGACCGUCCCAUAAGAUGUGUAAUUAAAAUAAUUUUUCAACCUGUCUGUGGCCAUUCGGUUCUCUACCUCUUACACUCAUCUUAUCUCUUUUAAUUUUCAGUUUUGAAAAUUGAAACCCAAACCUUAUCUCUUUUCUUCCUCUUCCUCUUCCUUUACCAGCUCCUUCAGCGGAGAACGAGAGAGAGAGACUAGAGUCAAAACCCCAGCCCGCCGCAGCCGGUCUCUGCCACCAUCCUCGGCAGCUGAGUUUCCGCCACCGUCCGGCGACAUCUCGACCUCCCACCACACUAUAACAUGUUAUGGCCGCCCUCGCCUCUGAUCUCGAUCGAAAAGAGUGCCAGAUGAUGCACCUCUCUGUCCACGCAGGUGCUCCGCCCGCCGCCGUAGACGAUUUCCUCUCUGAGGAGUCCCACAACGUCUCCCUCAACGGCGAUUUCAGCAUCCAGGUCCCUUUUCUUCAAUCCCCCUCAAUUUCAAUUUCAUCUUUUACUUGUGAUUUUUGCGUAUCUUUCAUUUCUAAAUUGCAAGAUUGGUUCUUUAUGAAAGAUUAGAUUAGGUGCUUCUUGAAUCUUUGGCUCUUGUUAUGGUAGUAAGCGGCAUUUCUUGGAUUAUAAGCACAAACAUGUUUUUGGUAGAGCUGAUAGUAAUGGUUAACUACGACUAGCACUAAUCGAGUGGUUUUGAUAGGACCUUUUCCGAUAUAUUAACUAGCACUAGUAGAAGACUUUGAGAUUUAUGCAGGAUAUAUAAGAAGAGUAGGCGUUGCUGCAUUAUUUAUAUAUCUAAUGAUUUGUAUAUGUUUAAGCUAUUAAUCUGUAAUAUGAACUUGAUAUUUUCUUAUUAAUCUGUAAUAUGAACCAGAUUUUUUUUUAUGUAUACUGCAGGAGCAGUGUAUGAAUUAUUGAAGCAUUACGGUUGUAGGUAAAAGAACAUAAGCGAUUUUAUCAUGAACAACUUGAGGUAUGCAUUUGGAAGCUGUGCACCAUUUUAUGUCUGUAUACAAAUGCAUGUGAACUGUUUAUAUGUUUAAAUCUACAUUUUGUAUCUCUGUGCAAUAGUUCAAGUACUUUGAAUUAUUUUAUUGAAAAUAUAUGGCUAAAGUCUUGUUGUUCUUAGCUUAAUCAUCAUACAAGUACUGCUUUCAUUUCUAAAGGCUUGUAAACUUUCUUCAUUGAUGUUCUUAUAUGCAUCAUGUUUACAUUUAAACCUCAAUGUAUGUUGUGUGGUAAUACCUAAGCACAUUAUUUGGAUAAAUAUUAACCCGACUAAUAGUAGUCUAAUAGGAAUGGAAAUCAGUUUAUACUUGCACAUUAAUCAUCAUAUACCAAGAAACUUCUUAAAGAACAAAGUUUCUGUCUACAUUAUUGUUUGUUCAUUUUAGUUUGCAGCUACUAUAGAUCAUCUCUCUUAUAUCUGAUGAUGCCUGUACUUAGUAUGUGAUUACCAUAUGCUACAAAACUUAUAUUUUGCCUCUCAGGCAAUAUUCAUGACAAUCGUGUUAUAGAUGCUUGUCUCCAACUUUGUUAAUCACUAGUCUUUCCUGUUAUUUGUAUCAAGUGGUGACUAAAGAUGUUGAAGAUGAGGCCAAGUAUGUAUGUCUAGUGUCUUCCAAUGUUACUUCUAGAAUUGAGUGGUGGUUUUUGUUUAUGGAGUUCGGAAGCAAUUCACUAAACACUCUCUUACUUGGUUUAAUUUCCUUCUUUAAGAAGAAAGGAUGAGCUUUGGAGGCCUAGAGUUCAGUACUACAGUUCAACAGAGAAGGAGAGGAAACUCCUCCUGCAUAGCUAUUGUUUCGGCAAUAGAGAAAGGUAGUAAACCUACUGUGUUGGCGUUUGGUUUUGGUUUAGUGAAGGCUUGUGUGUUGGUAAUUGUUUUAGGAGGUGGUUGAAGUUAUUAGUUAUUGUUUUGGUAUGUUGAAUUGGUGUCAAAUGUUUGGAUUGGAUUAAUUUUUUAAAAAGUGGAUUGGACUUAUUUGUAUUAAGUGGUGCCCUCCUAGACAUUACAAAUUUUGUGCUAUACAGAGAUUUAUAGUAAUGGUUGUUAUCUUAUGUAGUUGUUUUGUAAUGCUUUACAGGUGUUGGAAACAUUUCUUAAAGACGACUUUAUAUCUCAAUCAAGGAUUAAUUCAGAGGUCGGUACUUUGAUCUGCAUUAAAGUUGUAGUUGUAGGUGUAUGUCAGUAAUUUGUGUUCCAUUUCAUGAAUAAGAUACAUAUUAAUUUUGUUUAUAUACACAUGUGGGGAAUUAUAAUUUAGCUUGUUAUUCAACUUUGUUCACAGUACAUUUCUCUUUAUUUUCUUACAUAUAUAUGUGAAUGUGAUAAGGAACACAUGUUCUGACAAUACUCUAAAUUAAUCUGAGUUAUUUAUUGGGUGGAAAUGUUGUAAUUGCAGCUAUUUGCAGAUGGUGUCAUCCAAUUUGAGUAUGGCAUUAAUCCAACACAGAAGCUCAAGUUUGGUUCAAUGGUAUGUUGUCAAGAAUAUUUAUGUAGUUGUGCAAGGAAAGUUUCUUUCAUUUCUUUAUAUUGUCAAUUAACAAGGUAUAUGUAAAUUUUACAUGUUUGAUCGAUGCAAGUCUGCCCCAUAGGUUUGUCUCGUUAGUCUGAUCGAUGCAAGUCUGCCCCAUAAGUUUCUUUCAUUUCUUUAUAUUGUCAAUUAACAAGGUAUAUGUAAAUUUUACAUGUUUGAUCGAUGCAAGUCUGCCCCAUAGGUUUGUCUCAUUAGUCUGAUGCUUGAUUCAGUACCAUUUAUAUAGGACAGAGUUAGUUUUAAUAGAUUCAGUUAAGGUUGUAGAGCAUAUACUAUCUAUGAAUUAUCUAACUCUGAAUCUUGUUGGGUUGUUUGAUUGUCUAGGAUGUUAUUGGCCCAAGGACAAAGAUUGUAAGAGAUGGCGAAGAAUGGAAUCUCAUUGAGCUUUGAUAGAGAAGUGUAGUAUAGUUUGAUUGUAUUUUAUAGCCUUUUAUAGUUUUGGAUAUUAUUAUUACAAGUUGUUGAGUAAUUACCAUAAAUGAGAAAUAUAUGGUGAAGCUGAUUGUCCAAAACCAGAACUGUAAAUCCAAUACCAGAAUGGGAAGCCAAGUCGAGCCGUAUGUGCUAGCUAAUGGCUUUUAUAUUUUUUUUAUUAAAUUUGCCCAAGUUGGGCACGGAUGAAUAUACGGUGUAUCAAGUUUCAUCGCUCAAAACUAUACGGAUGAAUAACAACAGAUCAGAUUAUUAUACUAUAUAAAAAACAGGGAGCAUUGUUACUGUCAGAAAGGGAAAAAGACAGUGCGUGAGUUAUGGUGCUCAGGGUGGGACGGACAGAGAUAUCCGUCCCCUAAUGGUAAAAAACCAAUUUGGAGAUGGUACAUGGGGAUACAGGUAGAAAAUUCGUCCCCAUCAGUCAAUAAGCAUAGAUUCUGUGCCCAAUGACCCCUAAUAGGGACGGAAAACGCCUGUGCCUAUUGAUCGAUUUCCUAGUAGUGGAGCCCCGUCAGAUUUAGGCUAAAAGAUGUCGGUUUGAUAUUCUGAUUCGACAUUUAGUAUUAUUAUAGGAUUUCAAGUUUUAAUAGGUUUUGUUAUUUCCUAGUUCUAUUUUAAAUAGGAUUUAGUCAGGAGUUAGAGCAUAUAUAAAAGCACCCUCUAUGUUGUAUUAGAUUCAACUAUUAUUCAAUCAAUCAAUCAAACUUAAGAGUUUUCUCUUAUUUCUGGGUUUAUUCCAGAGUUUUAUCUAUGAGUUUACGCUUGUAAGCUCUCCAUUGUUUUUAGGGUUUAACGCUUGUUAGCCCAUCUUAUUUCCCGCUGCGUUAGCCUAAUUAGCCUCCCACAUUGCUGGGAUAACCAUCAUCAGUAUGAUGAUCAUUUGUUGUUGUUUCAUUGUCAUCUGUGUGUUUCCUGAGCAAACAUAUAUAUAAAGGUAACAAAAUUAGAUGAUGUACAUGAAGUGUUCUUAGUUAACAAUAGUAAGUAUUCAGUGCAAACAUAUAUAUAAAGGUAACAAAAUUAGAUGAUGUACAUGCAUGAAGUGUUCUUAGUUAACAAUAGUAAGUAUUCAGUUAGGCAAAAGGAAGGAAGAGUACUAGAGCCUGAUCUAAUUGGAAACCCAAUGUGAAUUGAAAUAAAGCCUACAUAAGUGAAACAGAACAAAUUCUAAGACUGGUCAUUCUUGAUCUGCACACUUUUUCAUAUCAUGGAGGAAGACUAGAGUGUUGGCGUGAGUCAUAUCAUAUAAUAUUAGGAUUGUGAAUAUUGUGUUAUUAUUAGGAAUAUCUUGUCAUAGUUAGUUUCCUAAUAGGUUUUGAUAUCUCUUGUAUAUAUACUCCAUUCUUGGAGAAUGUUAAUAUAUUGCAAUAUUCAUAAUUUCUUGGUUCUUUUUGACUUGGCAUCAGAGCAUAAUCAAGAUCCAUCGGACUUGGUUGUUUUUGUUCCGCUGCGAAUUUGGUUCUUUUGGUCAUUGAAGUUUUUUUUCCUGUCUUUUCGGUUGUUGAGAUCGUCGAAUUUUUUUUUCUGUGUUUUUUGGUCGUUGAGUUUGGUGUUUUUCAGUUGUGAAGAUAGCUUUGUUAAAUUGGUUUGGAGGUAUCGAGAUCAAGCUUUGUAUAAUUGGUGGAGGUGCAAGCUUGUUUAAUUGAUUGAGGUGUUUGUUGAUUGGUAAAGUUGUCAACGUCUGGAGAAAAAACGUUGAGCAGGCCUUGUAUUGUGUGAGGUGAACUUGUGUGAUUGGAUUGGCUAAAGCAGUUCAGUGUCCAGGAACUUGGACNNNNNNNNNNNNNNNNNNNNNNNNNNNNNNNNNNNNNNNNNNNNNNNNNNNNNNNNNNNNNNNNNNNNNNNNNNNNNNNNNNNNNNNNNNNNNNNNNNNNNNNNNNNNNNNNNNNNNNNNNNNNNNNNNNNNNNNNNNNNNNNNNNNNNNNNNNNNNNNNNNNNNNNNNNNNNNNNNNNNNNNNNNNNNNNNNNNNNNNNNNNNNNNNNNNNNNNNNNNNNNNNNNNNNNNNNNNNNNNNNNNNNNNNNNNNNNNNNNNNNNNNNNNNNNNNNNNNNNNNNNNNNNNNNNNNNNNNNNNNNNNNNNNNNNNNNNNNNNNNNNNNNNNNNNNNNNNNNNNNNNNNNNNNNNNNNNNNNNNNNNNNNNNNNNNNNNNNNNNNNNNNNNNNNNNNNNNNNNNNNNNNNNNNNNNNNNNNNNNNNNNNNNNNNNNNNNNNNNNNNNNNNNNNNNNNNNNNNNNNNNNNNNNNNNNNNNNNNNNNNNNNNNNNNNNNNNNNNNNNNNNNNNNNNNNNNNNNNNNNNNNNNNNNNNNNNNNNNNNNNNNNNNNNNNNNNNNNNNNNNNNNNNNNNNNNNNNNNNNNNNNNNNNNNNNNNNNNNNNNNNNNNNNNNNNNNNNNNNNNNNNNNNNNNNNNNNNNNNNNNNNNNNNNNNNNNNNNNNNNNNNNNNNNNNNNNNNNNNNNNNNNNNNNNNNNNNNNNNNGUUCAAGUUACACCAUCCAUUGUAUUGCAUGAUGUGCUUUAUGUGCCCUCAUUAUCUCAUCAUCUUCUGUCUGUCUCCCAAUUGAGUUCACAAAAUAAGUGUUCUGUAACUUUUUACCCAAUGUAUGUUGUGUUUCAGAAUUUGUGUUCCAGGGUGAUCAUUGGCAAGGGAGACCUGAGGGGGAGACUGUUUCACUUGGAUUGUAUGUACGCCGAGCCAGCACAAGCACCAAAGCAACCUUUGGCCUUGACAUUGAAUUCUGAUCGAUUAAGUGAGCUAUGGUUGUGACAUAGACGGUUGGGCCACCCAUCCUUUGGAGUUAUGAAGAAGUCUAUGCCCUCAUUGUUUAUGGGGAUUAGUGAGUCUACCUUACACUGUGAAACUUGUGCUUUGGCUAAAAGUCAUAGGUCUAGUUAUCCUUUGACUUUUCAUUCGAGUACUAUGCCUUUUGAAUUAAUUCAUUCGGAUUUAUGGGGUCCUUCCAAAAAUUCCACUCUUUCUGGAAUGCGUUACUUUGUGUUAUUCAUUGAUGAUUUUACUCCUUUGUCUUGGGUGGUGUUGCUUAAGUCCAAAGAUUCUGUUUUUUCUACCUUCACAGUCUUCCAUACUCUUAUUCGUACCCAGUAUGAUGCACGUGUUAAAAUCUUUCGUUCAGAUAAUGGAGGUGAGUUUGUCAAUCAUUCCUUCUGUGAGUAUUUCCAAAACCAUGGCAUCAUACAUCAAACUUCGUGUCCACAAACACCUGAACAAAAUGGGAUAUCUGAACGGAAAAAUCGUCAUCUCUUGGACAUGGCACGGUCUCUCCUCUUAAGUGCUAACAUGCCUAAGUAUCUUUGGGGAGAAGUCGUAUUGUGUGCGUCUCAUCUCAUCAAUCGUCUCCCGUCAGCUCCUCUUCAAGGUCGUGUUCCUUUCAAUGUCUUGUCUCAGUAUGUUCCUAUUCCGUCAUCAAAUUCUCUUCCUGCUCGUGUCUUUGGUUGUGUUGCUUAUGUCCACUUGUAUAAAAAUCAAAGAUCAAAAUUAGAUGCUAGAGCCCUUAAGUGUGUAUUUGUGGGGUAUGGUUCCCAUCAGAAAGGCUACAAGUGUUAUCAUCCACGUCCCAAAGAUUUUAUAUCACCAUGGAUGUUACCUUCAAUGAAGAUGCAUGUAUUUUUUGCCUCCUGCAACUCCUCGUNNNNNNNNNNNNNNNNNNNNNNNNNNNNNNNNNNNNNNNNNNNNNNNNNNNNNNNNNNNNNNNNNNNNNNNNNNNNNNNNNNNNNNNNNNNNNNNNNNNNNNNNNNNNNNNNNNNNNNNNNNNNNNNNNNNNNNNNNNNNNNNNNNNNNNNNNNNNNNNNNNNNNNNNNNNNNNNNNNNNNNNNNNNNNNNNNNNNNNNNNNNNNNNNNNNNNNNNNNNNNNNNNNNNNNNNNNNNNNNNNNNNNNNNNNNNNNNNNNNNNNNNNNNNNNNNNNNNNNNNNNNNNNNNNNNNNNNNNNNNNNNNNNNNNNNNNNNNNNNNNNNNNNNNNNNNNNNNNNNNNNNNNNNNUUCUCUAUUAUGGAUUCUCAGUUUCUGAGAUCUUCUAUUCUGGGAAUGAUAUAUGAAGCACUAGCUAAUUUCAGAAGCACUUACAAAUACUCAAACAGAUCAAGUUGAAUUCUAAAAAAAAAAGUGAAAUAAAACAUUUGAGCUCAGUUAGUAAUUAAAAAUGAUGCUUAAUUACCUUCUUUUUGUCUCUGAAAUAUUUCUUGUGUGAGGCCAAGAACAGCUUCUCUUACAAACUGCUGAAUGCUAGCUCUAAUUUUCUCCUACAACCUCAAUGGAAACUAUAUAUAGUUCUUGAUUUACAGCCUCAUUCAUUUCUACCAUUUGAUAGUCCUAGCUAGCACAUAUGAUCUAUAUCUCUUUUUGUUUUUCAAUAACAUGCUGCAUAUCCAUUUUUGUUUUUCAAUUUAUAAUAAUGCAUACUACAUAUACAUGGAGAUAUAUGCAGGUCUUCAAGAAACCAUGGGAAAAUAGGUCAAUAGUGGGAUCCAACACAUGGUAGAAUGCCAUAUCUGGUUAUAGUCAGUUUCAUUUCAUACCACAUUGUUUCCUAAAGUUCAAUUAACAAUGUACAAGCCUUGGAUUUAUGUUAACUAAUGACUUUUGGCACUUAUAUUCUGUUUCAUCUUACUGGCCCAAAUUUUAUUUCUUGUUUGGGUACAUAACUUGUACUCUUGCUUUCAUUUUCUUUGUUUGUGACUAGCUAGAUGCAAAUUAAAGACCUAGAAAAAGUUAAAUCUUUGAGAAAAAUCAGAGAAUCUAAAUGCAACACGUUAAUCCCUAACUUGAUAAUGAUCCUUAGAUGUGUAUGUGUCCGGGGGUGUGUGUGGGGGAUGGAAGGUAAACAAAUGAACUCAGAAAGGGCCACAUUUCAGUUUCAUCAGUAAUGACUUUUUACCACAACGUAAAAAUAGGAUAAGCAUUCUCAGGCAAAGCUUCCCAACGAAAUGAUGAUAUGCAUCAGGUGAAAUCCCGGAAACAUACAAGACAAGAAAAUGACUUCUGAUCUGAACCAUGUCCCAGGUAUUGUUCAAGGUUUUCCCAUGCCAUAUCCACUUGUACUUGUAUACCAUAACAAUGAUCAAGGUUUGUCCAUGAUAUCUUUUCUAGCAGUACUUGCUAUAUAGAAUGUCUUCAUAUGUAAAACACACGCACAAACCUGAAAAUGUAAAACAAUGUCUUCAGAUGUACGUACUACGUGUUCUCAAGAGUUCGGUUUAUCGAUCAAUUCCUUUACCUCCAAGGCGAGGUGAGAAUUAUAAUAGCAUGCAUGUUUUCCAACUACGGGAAGAUCCAGAACCACAAAAGAAUUGAACGACUGUAUAUACACAAUCAAGUACCUUGGUAAACUGACAAACCAGAGCCAUACUCCUACUUACCAAAAAGGAAAACUAGUGCUGGAGUAUACUCUUCCUGUACGUACGUAGACCAUAUAUGAAAGUGAAGACGGACAGAUAAAGAAUCAUUGUUAGACUCGUACGCAUAUAAAUGUAUAAGCACGUACUGUUAGAGAGAAUAACUCAGUAUAUAGCUAAAGUUUAGCAUCAGUUUUGAUUUCAUUGUAUAAAUGCAGAAAAUCCAAUCUCACCUGUUGAUAUCACACUCAUCACCAAUAGAUCCUCCUCCAUUUAAUUAUUUAUGCAAUACAUCACAGCUCGAUCAAGUCAAAACCAAAAUGGUAAAAGUGAUGGCAAAUCAUAAACACAAUUAAGCUAGUGUACGUACGUAAACUGAUGAAGAAUGAAUUGAAACCUAUACAGUGUACUUUAAAAUAGCAAAUUGACUAAUUUAAAACCCAAUAGGAAGCUAAUUGACUUAUUUUGAGUACCUAGCUAGGAUUGCAAAGUGAAACUUAUGUUAGCCUAUUGAUUAGCCAUUAAGCCAAAGAAAGGCACCGGACCAUACAUCAUCGCAUUAAGUGAUGAGUCGUUAAGAUCAUCUUCCAUCAUAGGCUAAAAAGCCAAAUUUAGCCUAUAGUUACUCCCACCAUAAGCCAAAUUAUAAUUCUCAAGGACAAAAAAUUUAGCUUGAGCUAUUUUGUAAGCCAAAUUUGGCUUAUGGGUUUGAUAGGCUAAAACUAAGUAUUAUUUUAUUUAACUUUAAAUAUUGUUCUUCUAAUUUACACUAGCAUCUAAAUUAAAAAUUUGUUAAUAACAAAAUUUUAUAUCAUCGCGAUGAUCUUUCAUAUGAGCCCCAUAUUGAAUAUAUUAUAUAAAAUAUUUUUAAUGGCUAAUUAUUGAAUUAAACAAAUAUAUAACAAAAGAAAAAAAAAUGGCUUUACCUUAGGAUUUGGCUUAUGGUGGGAGUGCUUCGUAAGUUAAAAUACUCUUAAUUUGGCCAAGGAUUUAGCUUAUGGUGGGAGAAUUUGGUAAGCUAAAAAAAGAUUUUAUAGAAUACUUUUGUUUUGUAAGCUAAAUUUGGCUUAAUGGAUUGACGCCCCUCGAUUAUAAAAAAACAAUAUCUGAAUGAGAAAUUAGCACUCCAAAAAAUUUUCCAACACAAACACUAACGCGGAGAAAAAAGAAGAAAAAGAAAAAGAUUAAUAGUUUAUUCUGUAAUAUACCCAUACGGUGCCAAAUAAGGAAUUAAGGAUGAUCAGUUCGAUCUUUGCAUAAUGCAUACCUCUUAAAAAAAAAAAAAAAAACGAAAAAAACAAAGGGAUCCGGAGUAGCAUAAUGUGUUCAACCAAGAAUUUGAAUCAUCUCCAUUGCCAGUCUUGUUGAGUUGGUUACUUGACUGUUUCUAUCCUUCAACAGCGUUCCUGUACCGGCGUCAUUACAGGUACUCGCAUCGUCAGCUACAGUCAAAACAAUAUCAUGUGCAUUGCGAUAAUCACCUGAGUUUAAGAAGUUGAUGGUGUCGCCGACGCGGUGGAGUCCCAAAGCAUAUUGAUCAACGCAAAGUCUAAGGCCACCUUUUACAGAUGGAUUCUUUUCCUCCUUAAAUAACUUCUCUGAUAGGGCAAGUGUGUCUUUCACGUACGCUUGCAAGUAUUCGACCGCUAUCUGAACCAGCCCUUUCACAUCUGCAGUAGCACUACGAGGACUAGAUCUUAAAACUGAGACACAAAGUUUGGCGUAAGAUGUUUUGUUACAUGUAUCUUCUAUUAGAUCAGCAUAAGCAAACUUUGGGGACUGAUCCCAGCUGAUGAUAAGCACGAGUAAUACUAUUCCAGACCAGUUGAGUAAAUUCAUCUUCAUCUUCAUGAUAUAAUGAGAUGAUGAGAGAACGUACGUGAAAGCUUGUAGACGAUGAGAGAUUGAGAACUUUAGCCGAGAGAAGUGCCAUAUAUAUAUACUGGACCUAAGGGCCGAAAAGACAAAUUUGACUAUGCAAAUAUAAAAAUUUAGGUAAUGUCCGUUUAAGUAGCUUGGGCGCCCCAUUAGGAAAACUCUGGAGAUUUUCUUCCCAAUUAGGGUUUUCAUCUUUAAGGCCCCAUUUGGUUGACUGAAAUGUGAUAAAGGAAAAUGAAUUGUAGCCAUUUUUGAUUCAUUUUCCUUUCACGGAUGGAAUAGAAUAAUUAGAAUUGAUGUACCAUUUCCAUUUGUAAUGUUUGGAAGAAUCCAAAACUUGAGAUUAAGAAAUAGUUUGAAAUAAUUAAUUUGUUAAUGACUUUCCGAUAAUAUUCAAUCAAAUUAAAGAGAAUCCCUAUAUUUAUAGAAUUCUCAAAAUUUGUAUAUUCAUGAAAAAAUCUCUAAAAUUUAUAAUGUUUGCCUUUUAGAAUGAGAUCAUUUUCUUUCCUUUUUUUUUAAAAAAGAAGGAGAAGAAAAAACGUCCAAAAUGGAGAAAUUAAAACAUUUAAUAUGAGAUUUGCUUUGAUUUGAAUAAUUACCUAAUAUAUUUAUAUGAUUCAUUAAGUCAUACAGAAAAACAUUUAAUUUUAUAACUGAUGUGCACAUACAUUAAUUUCAUGGGGGCGGAUCCAUGACAUAUAAGAUUAUAAUCAAAAUUAUAAUCAGAAUAUCAUCCAUUAGAUCUAAUAAAAACUAACGGUUUAGAUUAGUCAUAAAACUAUUUUUUUUUCUUUUCUUGUCUUUUUCUUUAAUUCAAUUUAGGAAAUCUAUCUAAAUAAAAUUUCAUGAUUACAAUUCUCCAUUUGGAAUAUAAUUAAGAGGAAAUAAUUGGUUUCCUAUUAAAACUCAUUUAUUAAAGAGGAAAGAAAACAAAUUAAGUCUCAUAGACAUGCUUAUUUCAGCUUCUUGUUGUUUUUUUUUUUUUAUUCAAAAUCAAAAGCUUCUGGUUAUUCAUAGCACAAGAUGAUCUGAGUACUUCCAUAUAUAACCUGAUCAUAAGUUUUCCAAUGUGUUAUGGCAGACAUCAUCUGGAUAAUUUUUUUUUCUUUGAAGAAGAAGAAGUAGAUGAUGAUGGUACUUUCUAGUAAAUGAGUUUUAAAUCAAAUGGAAACCAUUACAUUCCUGUUAAUUGUAUUCCAAAAUGAGAGUAGGUAAUCAUCAAUAUUCAUUAUGUUUUUAAUAGAUAGAUUUCAUUAAUUAAUUUAAAGAAAAAGAAAAGAACAAAAAUUGAUUUUAAUUUUUAUGAUUAAUCUCAACCGUUAGUUGUUAUUAGAUCUAAUGAUUGAUAUUCUGGUUCUAAUUUUGAUUAUAAUUUUGUAUGUCACGGAUCUGUCCCUAAUUUCAUCCCCAUCUAUGUUUAAUCACUGUGUGUGUUGUUUGGGAUUAGGGGUGUAUGUUGUAAACAUUUCACCUUUAAUCCCAACUCAUAGACUGGAAUAUAUAGAUAUCGAUCUCAAUUACCAACAUAGGGGUGGUGGCGCAGUUGGCUAGCGCGUAGGUCUCAUAGCUUAAAACAGUGAGUUAUCCUGAGGUCGAGAGUUCGAGCCUCUCUCACCCCAAUUUUUGUUGUCGUUGUUGUUCAAUUUUUUCCCAUGGACUUGAACAAGCACAACUCCGAUUUAACAGUACUGAUGCUCUUGAAUCUUGAUUUUUGAAGGUGCACCGGACUACCGGAGUCAUGACAGAACUCACAGAAGCAUGCAUCAAACGUUGACAACGGAGACGCCUUCAUCGACUAGAUGAAAUUAAGAAACCGUCAACUUCCUCUAUAUGUAACCUUUAUAAGUACGUACGCAUGUGAAGAAGUUUUUGUAUGCAACAAUGUUCCGGUCAUCCAGUGGAGUUGCAGGAAAUCGAUGGGGAAAUUGGCUUUAAAUUGGAGGUUGGUCGUGAUCAUGCAUUAGUGAACAAAUAUAAACGACGAAACAUAAUGUGUUUGUAAUUGGUGGGACAUGCAGAUCGAUCAUGAGAUGAUCAACAAGGUAUAUAUAUCUCAAUAGAUAAUGGCUCUUGGGUAAGAUAUAUUACUAGCAAAAUAUGUCGCUUUGCUGCAACCUAUGGGCGCUCUUUUUGGGCUUUCUAGGUACGUUUAGGGUUUCAAAACAACAUUUUAAUUUUUAUCUUCAACAUUUUAGGUUUUCUAAUUAGAUUUGGAUUUGGAUCCAUUGGCCUUAAGGAUUGGAAGUUCUAUUUUCUGGUAUUUAAGCACUCGUAGUCUUAUGCGGCUCCUGCUAAACAUCUUACACAUUCUAAACUUGCUGGUGAAUUCCAGUUUUCGUAGGGUUCAUAGCUUUGAUCGAUCCCAGGUUACUUUCCGACUGUGCGCCACAGUCUUGCAGUGUUAGCUAGCUUAUUGCGUUUGUACGUGCUUUCUGUUCACAACAACGAUGAUGAUACACAAACAUAUCGAGUUUGAAAGAGAUUGGGAAUCGAUAACGAAGGGGAUAACAAAGCUGAAACAGAUGAAUGACGAAGGAUCAGAGCCUCAACUCACAGCAGAACACUACAUGACGCUGUACACGGUUGUCUAUAACAUGUGUACGCAUAAGUGCGACUUGUCGAGACCAUGUAAUCAGUAUGCAUCUCAACAGCUCUAUCAAAAAUUCAAGGAAACAUGUGAAGAAUUUUACAGAGAGAUGAAUGUAGAACACCAUGUUUCAAUGAAUCAGUCUGAAGAUUUUAUUUUGCAGGAUGUUAUCAAAAGAUGGCGAAGCUAUAAAGUUAUAGCUCAGCGGUUGCUACUUAUCUUUCAGUAUCUUGAUCGCUACUUCGUAAAGAGUAGGUCACUUCCUAAGCUAAACGAAGUAGUUGAACAUUACAACUUUAGUGAUUUGGUUUAUGGGAAGGUAAGUUCUUAUGCCCCCAGAGAUGCUAUAAUUAGUCUUAUUGAUAAAGAGCGAAAGGGAGAGAAGAUUAAUAAAGAGCUAGUAAAGAAUGUGAUAAGUAUAUUUGUGGAAAUUGGAAUUGAACAAAUGGAUGUUUAUGAAAAGGACUUUGAAGCAUCCAUGCUAAAAGCUACCGGAGAAUACUAUUCUCGUCUAGCAUUGAGUUGGAGUUUAAAGGACUAUUCUGAUACAGAUUAUGUGUUGAAGGUUGAGGAAUGCUUGCGAUUAGAGAGAGAUAUGGCUUCACAUUACUUGCAUCCGAGUAGUGAGCAGAAGCUGGUGUUGAAAGUGCAACAUGAGCUGUUUAAACCUCUUGCUGAAAAGUUCAAACAGAAAGUUAUUAGUGAGGGUAAAAUUUUGGUUCAAGAUGCUGUAGAAAACAAUGCUAAAUCUUCCAAAGGGGCUGGAAUGCCGGAACAUGUCCUUGUCAGAAAUUUAAUCAAGCUGCAUGAUAAAUCUAUGGCGUAUAUCAAUGACUGCUUCAAAAACUACUGCCCCUUCCACAAGGCUUUGAAGGAAGCCUUUAUGGUAUUUUGCAAUAAAUCAGUUGGAGGAAGCUCAAGUGCGGAACUACUUGCACAAUUCUGUGACAAUCUCCUAAAAAAGGGAGGGAGUUUGAUGAGUGACCAGGAAAUAGAACAAACCCUUGAGAAGGUUGUUAAGAUGUUACUUCCUUAUCUUAGUGACAAAGACCUUUUUGCAGAAUUCUACAGGAAAAGACUUGCUCAUCGUCUCUUGUUUGAUCGUUGUCGUAGCAAGGACCAUGAAGUGAGAGUUUUGAUACAGAUGAAACAACAAUUUGGUGCACCUUUCACCUCAAAGAUGGAGUGUAUGGUCACGGAUUUGACAUUGUCCGAGGACAUUCAGAUGAGGUUUCAGGAACAUCUACAGAGUAAUAGUCCUAAUGUAAAUCAUCUGGGGAUGGAGUUGACAGUGACUGUUCUUACUAAUGGUUUCUGGCCAAGUUAUAAAUCAUCUGAUGUUUAUCUUCCUGAAGAGAUGGUGAGAUGUGUUGAAGUUUUCAAAGGGUUCUAUGAAACAAACACGAAGCACAGAAAGCUUACAUGGGUUUACUCAUUGGGAUCGUGCAACGUUGUAGGGAAGUUUGAGGCAAAACAAGUUGAAUUGGUUCUCCAAACCUAUCAGGCUGCUCUACUUCUACUCUUCAAUACUGCAGAUAAAUUGAGCUAUUCAGAAAUAGCAACUCGGUUAAACCUUAACCAUGAGGACUUGGUUAGAAUUCUUCAUUCACUUUCAUGUGCUCAGUACAAGAUUCUUAGUAAGACUCCAGAUACAAAGACCAUCUCACCGAAUGACGACUUCGAGUUCAAUUCCAAGUUCACACACAGAAUAAGAAAGAUCAAGAUCCCUCUCCCACCAGCGGUGGCGGAAGAAAGAAAAGAAGUAACCAGCAAUGUCAGCAAAGACAGGAAAUACGCUAUUGAUGCUGCAAUUGUCCGAAUUAUGAAGAGCCGGAAAGUUUUGGAUUAUCAACAAUUGGUAGCAGACUGUGUUGAGCGGUUGAAACAUAUAUUCAAGCCAGACAUUAGGCUAAGGAAAAAUUACUGGUCACUCCAUUAACUUUCAUGCACUCAACAGUUUACUCCAUUAACUUUCAAUUUCAAUCGAUUACUCCAUUAAUUAUCCAAUGUCACACAAUUAGGUCCAUCCGUUAAGUGGCCGUCCAAAUCAGUGGUUAAGUUGCUGAGUGGACAUAUUUUUCAACUGAAAAUUCCAUUUAACACUCCACCUCUCUCUCUCUCUCUCUCUCUCUCUCUCUACUAACUAANNNNNNNNNNNNNNNNNNNNCCUCCUCUCUCUCUCUCUCUCUCUCUCUCACAUUUAAAACCCAUCAGCCAGCCAUGGCUUCCCACUUUUCUCUCUCAACCGUUUCUCUCAUCACCCUCCUCUUCCUCGCCGGACGCCGCCUCAUCCAUCACCAUCAACGUCACCUAUUCAGCCUCCACCAUCGCCACCUGCCCCACCCCUCCGCUACCGGAGUGCGUGGCCUCGACAAUCACUUCUCUCAGCCUCACCGCCCUCCGCCUUGACGUCUCUGACCCCAACCUCGUCUGCGCCUUCCUCUACUCCAACACCACCCUCCUCCUCACCAUCCCCAACGCACUAGUGUCCCACCUCUGGCCGCCAACCGCACCAACGCCCUCUAGUGGCUCACCGUUCAACACUUCCAAUUCCCAAAUCUGAAAUUUUAGGGAUUGAAAUCCCCAAUUCCCAAAUAUGUUUCCAAUCAAACAAAUGGCUUCAAUUUCAUAUAGAGGAAGGGGAGGUGAGCGAGAAGAGGUUGUUGGCUGGGGAUUCGAAGUGGUUGAGAUUUCAAGUCUAGCACGGGUUUGAAGCAGAAAACGGAAGGGCUUCAUGGAUGGUGUUGUUUAGGGUUUGGUUAGCGGUGAAGGGAGAAGAUUGUUGUGAGGGUUUGAGUUAUGGGCUUCGGGAGAGAGAUGCGAGGUAGGUGGGUUUGAGUUUUUGGGGUCGGGAGAGAGAUGCCGAGGAGCUGCAGGGUGAGCUACUGGUGGUGUGGUUGGUUGCUGGUGGUCUAGUUGCGGUGUGUUUGAUUACGGUGUUGAUGUGGUUGGUUGCUGGUGGUGUGGUUGGUUGACUGCUGGUAUUGUUGUUGCGGUGUUGUUGAAGGUCCAACUGGUGAUGUGGUUGCGGAGGAGGUGGCCGGAGGAGGAGAGAGAAGAGAUUAAGGAGGGAGGGAGGGAGGGUGUUAAAUGGAAUUUCCAGUUGAAAAAUAUGUCCAGUCAGCAACUUAACCACUGAUUUGGACGGCCACUUAACGGAUGGACCUAAUUGUGUGACAUUGGAUAGUUAAUGGAGUAAUCGAUUGAAAUUGAAAGUUAAUGGAGUAAACUGUCAAGCGCAUGAAAGUUAAUGGAGUGACCAGUAAUUAAUUCUUAGGCUAAUUAUGAUGCGAAUUGAAGAUCUUAUAAGUCGUGAUUACUUGGAGAGGGACAAGGAAAACUUGAACUUAUUGAAGUAUCUUGUGUGAUUAUUCAAGUAGUGUUAGUUUUUUUUUUUUGAGAAAAUAGACAAUUUCAUUAACUUGUCAACGGUCCAAGCAGACGCUUACAUCAAUUUGCCUACUCACGACCAAUAGGCAACAAACACUAACAAAGAGACAGAUAGCCCUCAUUACAAAUGCGCUUAGUUAAGCCUAUCACACAUACUUCCAACUAUUCCUAUCUAAAUUCCAUGUAGCGGUAAUUCCCGUCGCCUACGAACCUCAAUUGAUGUACAACAAAGUAAAACCGCACGAAAUCUAAACAAGAAUAGUCUUCCAUUAGAUGUUUAGGUAAAAGAAACAAGGAAAUUAAACUACAUCCUUGCCCUUAUUAUUAGAGCUUGCCUUUCCCCAAUCAUAACUCGAGAAUGUCAUGUGAGACGGAGCAAACAAAUUCUGGGAAAGCUUUGGCUCAGGUCCACCAAAAACCAUGCAUAAAGGAAUAAACCCAAACCUAGACCCAAAAGCCCAGAUCCAAGCCCAUAGCUUAGCAGUACCAAUCAUUUCUCUCCUCCAGGCCAACAACACCGCUCUUGCCAGCCACCAUUUGCGAACCUCCAAUCACCAUGAUUUUUAGUCAUCAAUAAGUCCAAACAGCGCCAACGAACCAGAUGAGAGCCCUAAAAGCGCCGUUUUGCAGCCUUUCAGUCCAAGUGGUCCCGUUGGACAGAAAAAGCAGUCCUACCAAUAGCUGAAGCUAGAGGCGACGAAACUGGUUGAGGUAGCAUCAAUAGCGGCCAUAGAGAAAGUGAUAUAGGUAGGCUGGGUUGAAAAGUAGAGAUUUGUGUAUUUUUGGUGUGAAACAGAUGUAAUACUCCGGACCUAAUUUUACCUAUUUACCGGGUGUUUCUACGAAUUACUGAGAAAUUUAACCACGCUCGGUAACCUAGUAAGUUAACACUCGAGUUCAUUUUUGAGUUUUUCUAAAAUUGUUAAAUUCUUCUUUUAAGGCCCCGAGGUCGUAGUACGCGACAACACGAGUUCACCGAUGCCUUCAAAUUAUUUGUCUGAGCUUCGAGCUAUUUUCUACGAUUUAUUAAAGGCUAGGUUUGGUAAAAGAAAUUAAUUUUCUGAAAUUAAAAAAUAGCUUAUUUAAUCUAAGCCAUCAGAUCAAUUAGAGUUUUGAUCUUGGCAGUCAAUUCAAGUAUAAAGGGAAGAGUGGUGUUGACUUCGAUCAAAAGCCACAUUGGGUGUUGACCCGAGCUUCGCUCUCUCUCUCUCUCUCUCUCCUCUCUCCCUCUUUUCUCCGUCGUCUUAGCGCCGAAACGACGCCGUCUGGCCACCCCUGGCGACGAGACCACCACUAAUCCCUUCCUCUCCUUCUUCUCUACAAAACUCAGUUCAUAGAUCAUCACUUGCAACUCAAUUCGGUGGUGAUCGAUUGAAGGGAAGCUCGAUUGUGUUCACCGGUUUCCAGCGAGUUCAUUAGACACCGAUGGUAUGUCUCGGUUCACCUUUCUCUUCUCUUCAUCUAUGUGCCUUUGUUUCUUAAGAUCAAGCUCCCUUUUCUACCUUUUAUGGGCUUUCUCGGCGAGUCUCCGACGAAGGGUUUCCAGCGCUUUCUCCUUCUUGUUGGCGUCGCAUUGAACACUUGGAGACCCAGAUGAUCAUGUUGAAGACCAAGGGUACUGCUGCUGUGGUGUUAGAGGCGUUGGUGAGUUUGUGUGUUGUUGAAGACCAUGGUUUGCAGAGGCUAUAUAGGCUGAGAGUGAACUUAGUCCGGUGAGGGUUAUAGCAAGGUGAAGAAUCUCUAUGUUUCUGCUCGGUUUGAUGUUUGAAAUGCUAUUGUGUUUUGUGGUAUGGUGGAUUGGUGAUUGAUCUUGGGUUUUUGUUGCUUGUUGUCGAGAACUUGGUGAUAUAGAGUUUACGGGGAGGCUAUGGCGAAAUUCCGGCAAGUCACAGGAAUCUGGUGGAAUAUUCCGGCAAGAGAUCGGGCGUACAUGGAGUCAAGGCAUAGUCCAUUAUAUAGCUUCCGCUUAUUUGUAUAUUUUUGUCUCUUUCCUUUAAUAUUAGAGUUGCUCUGAACCUAUGAAUAUUGGUUGUGAGUUUUUUUUUUUUUAGUAAAUAAAUUAGGAGGUGUUGUGAAUUUGGGGAGCACGAAGGCUCCAAGAGUAUAAUGUUGGAAUUAGAUUUUUAGAAGUGUUUGCAGGUAUUUUUAGGAAGGAUUGUUUAUUUUCAAGGGAGGUUAUGCCGAAUUUACGGUAACAUCUCUUUUAGAGGUGGUCUCCGCAGGGUUUACUUCGAAUUUCAGGGGGAAAUUCGGGGUGGGUCCUAACAACAGAGGUCGUGGCGCUAGGGUUUUGGGUGAAACUAGGUGAGCAGAGGCUCCUGGCUUCUCGGAGCAAAACCGAGUCUUUUUAGCUUUUGCUGUAUUCAAGUAGUAUUAGUUUAGCUAAUUAAAGCAGACGAAACAAUGAUUUUCAUUAGUUCUGUUUUUUUUUUUCUAUUGUUUAAAUCAGUAUGGGUGCGUCUAUUGUUACCCCACAAACCACUUUGCUCACCCCACACGUUAUUGAUUUAUUGAAAUACCAAAAUAGCCUGAUAUAAAAUUACAGCAAGGGACAAUAAGUUGUUACAAAUUACAAUUUUUUUCUUUUUCUUUUUUAUCUUUUUGUUUUGGAUGAACACAAAUUUUAUAACUCUAACUCAUAUUUAUCAUAUUCGGUCGUGAGUCUGAAGACACAAGCAUUUAACCUGAAGAUGAGGUAAAUUGUUUUGUAUUUUUUUUUAUGAUUCGUCUAUCCCUUUACUCAUUAUUUUCCAUAUCGACUUUGUAUGUAAAUUCUCAUGGACAACUAUAUAUUGUACCGUAUUUAUGAACAACGGAUAAAUCAGUUCAAGAAACUUAGAAGUAUGGAAGACGUUGCUACUAGAGAUAUAUUUACAUACAUUGUGCAUCUUGAUAUCGACUGAUACCAUUGAGUUGUUAAAUUUGAGAGUUUUUUCUUGUUAUUAAUUUGGAUUUAUACUUUCAAGUGAAUUUUUGACCACUUGGUGAUUUUACUUACCUUGAGCAAAUGUGAAUUUCACAAAAUAUAUAUGAAGAGAAUGUAAGGUGAACAAAUAAUGUAUGGUGAACAAAGUAGAAUUAAGAAAAUGGUUUUUUAGGUAUUGUUAAUGGGUGAACAAAGUAGACUUACAAUUAAAAUUAUAUGAAUGAGGUGUGUAGAGAAUGUGAGGUGAGCAAAGUGGUUUGUGGGGUGGCAAUAGACGCACCCAAUCAGUAUUCAGUUCAUAUAUACUUUGUGUCUAUUGUGGUUUAAAGUUUCAACUACGUACUUCACUUCUGGAAUGCUUUUUUGGCUUAAAAAAAAGUACUCGAAUAUACUAGGUAGAGUGAUCUAUUCUCUAUCACAAGUUUCUAUGAGAAACAAGAAUUACAUAUAUGGUUAUUACCUGAAUGCUAUAACUAGAUGCACGAAGUUUGUAUCAAUCUGUACAAAAAUGCAGAGGACUUGUUUGAGACUUGGCCAGAAUAGUCUUGGACUACAUGUGUCAUAAGAAGAUCAUCAAGUAGCUAGGAGGAGCCAGCAUACAAUUGUUUUUAAUUUUCUAGUUAAUGAAAAUUAACUAAAAAUUAAGCGUCUCCCCUUUCAAAAUAGAAGACUAGUCUAGAGCUAACUGACCCCGUAAGAGCAAGUUCACCCGUUGGGUUAGGUUCACAGUGACCUGGGCAACAGUUUCCACCCGUCAGAAAUGUGAGAUUGUUGUCACGUGACAAUGACUGUUUAUUGAUUUUUUUUUUAAAUGUUUUUAAGUGUAAAUAAUAGUUUUAGUAGUAAAUAAAUAAUAAUCAAAUAAACAAUAUGACUUAUAUAAAUUAACGAAUUUAUUCCACGAAAGAUUAGCUAUCAAAGAUAUAUAUUCUUUUGAGUGGGAUGUGAAAAAAGGGUAGGUAUCUAUAUAGAAGUUUAGAAGAAAAAAAAAUGUAGCCCAAGCCCAUGCACAUGGCUUGCGUCAGCCACGAGGAGAACCUGUCAGACGCGAAAGAGAAACGCGUCUCCUACACGAACCAAUCAGCAUCAAGACAACAUGUGUGCUCGUCUGUUUUUCGUCGCAACAUGGACCAUCCAACAUGUGUCGCCUGCACAUGGGUGGGUUUCUUAUAUUUUAUUGCAAUGCCUCUCUAAUCAUGGCCAUUGGUUUCGUUUGGAAUAUCAAUCAAACGGCUGGGAAGUAAUAGCUAUUUGGUUUUAAUUUUUUUUAAGACAAAAAUCUGACCUUUUUUUUUCUUUCCUUUUCUAUUAUUCAGCUUAAUAGCCAUUGAGAUUGGAUGGAAAUGGUGAGCAACAUCAGAUUUUUGUCUUAAAAGAAAUUCAAACCUAAUAGUAAUAGCUAUUAUUUCCUAGCCGUUUGAUUGAUAUUCCAAACGAAACCAACAGCCAUGAUUAGAGAGGCAUUGCAAUACAAUAUUAGAAAUCCACCCAUGUGCAGACGACACGUGUUGGAUGGUCCAUGUCACGACGAAAAAUUGACGAGCACGCAUGUUGUCUUAAUGUUGAUUGGUUCGUGUAGGAGAUGUGUUUCUCCUUCGCGUCUGACAGGUUCUCCUCGUGGCUGACGCAAGCCACGUGCAUGGGCUUGGGCUGAUGUGGCUCAAUCUCGCCUGGGUUGAUAUACUUCUCUCACCUGAGCUAGAUUGCUCCCCAACAAUGAGCUAGAUUGCUCCCUAACAAUCUAACCUGGGUUGGAUUGGGGAGAUAACUCAUUUAUGGGUGGAACGUGUGUUUUUUCUCUUGGGUUGGAUUGCUUAUGUGUCAACUAACCCAAGUUGAAUUUUUUUCAAUUGGUGGACUUGCUCUAAAUAUUCUACAUAGGGGAUCCGUAAACCUCGGUUCUUUCUAGGGUUUUCAGAAAGGGGUUUUGGUUCCGUUCGACGGCGCGUCCGAUGACGUUGUCGUCGGACGGGAGGCGGGCCCGGCGAGUUAGUGGUCGUAUUGUGUAGGUUGUAGGAGGUGGUCUGAGAGGCGGGGGCAAUUCAGGGGACCGACACUAUGAUGGGUUCUAGUAUUUUUUUUAGUUUGUUGCUUGGUUGCUCCCGCAAGGAUGGAUGGACGUUGGUCAUGUAAGGCAGAUGAAUCGUGGUGGUGGACUGAAGAGACGGUGAGGCAUGAAGGGUAGAAGGCGGCAGCGAUGACCCAAUCAGAUCUUUUCCCAAUCUCGUUCUGGUCUUCACGCCAAAUUCUGUUUGUAGAUUAUGGGAGGAGGCGGAGUACAUGGCGGUCGGUGGGGAUGCAGUCAGUGAAGCCUUGCUGGCGUGCGGCGGCUGCUUGUUGGCGGCGGAGCGACGAAUUGGUGCCGGAAGAUGUUGGAUCCUCUGGGCCGAGUUCUUUGUUGGCCUGCUAAUUGAGGGCCAUGGUUCAGGGGGGCAUGGGCUCAUUUUGGGCCUAGGCUGUGGAUGUUGUUUUGUUGGUUUUUUGUUGUCCCUCUUGUUUGAUCAAGGAUUUAGGUGUCUGGUAGGUUUGGUGUCGUUGGUCGGGUCGCGGGGCGUGCCAUGAUUAUGGUAUCGUUUCUAGGGACUAUAUGUUUUAACGUCGAUUAUCUCUUGUUUGUCAAUGUAAUAGGGAGGUUACUUGUGCAUAUAUACUGUCAACUUUAGCAUAUAGUGUUUGAAAUUGUUGUUUCUUCUUGAGGUUUUCUGUAAGGAUGUAUCAAGGAUUUUGGAAUAGGUUAAGAUUACAGUUAAACCUUUAUUGGUUCUUGUCCACUGUAAUCGUUAGUGUUUUAGGAUAUGGAGAAGAGUGAGGAAUUUAUGUCUACCACCAAUAUCUCUUAUGGUUGUAAUCUUGGAUUUAUUAUAUAAAGUUACUUUUCUCAAAAAAAAAAAAAAAAUAGAAGACUAGUAUCACUCUUAUUUAUCGUAACAAAAUUUUAUGUUAUCCCGCGUUUUCACAAUGUAACAUAUUUUUUUUCGAAAAAUAAACAAAUUAUCAAAAUAUACAACUACAAGAGUUCGAGUAUCACAAAAUUCUUUCACGAAGUUCGAAAUCCAAAAUGAUUUAGAUUUGGUGAUAAUUCACAAACAACCUCUCUAUCAACAGUAGUUUAAAUUUUGAAAUCAUCUCAAAUCAAUUUUGUUAUCUUAUCUUCCCAAAGAGAUGAAAACAUGUAGCCCUAAGCCAGAACGUACAGACUUAAAACAAAAACAAAAAGCAAAAGACAACUUGGGACAGAUGAAUUUGCAAAUACCGAGUGGGUCCCUACGUUUUCGUUUCUAAAAUCUCUAUCGUUGUAAUCGCAGUCAUUUCUCUAGUGUGUACAAAGAGAAGCAGAGUGAUGUAGUUCCCAGAUUCUAUGGUGUCUCUGAUCUCCGGUGCUCAAAUACUCAGGUAUGCUUUUGUCAAAUCAAUCUUUGUUGUUCUUCAUCUUCAUCGGAUGCUUAAUUUACAACAAUUGCAAUAUUCUUUCUUCUGGGUAUCAACUAAUUUGGAUGAAAUUGUAUGUUUUUCCUUUGAAAUUAAACUGUUUAGUUGUGCAAGGUUAUUCAUUUGAUCUGUUGGGUUUAAGGGUUUAUUUUCUUGUUUUGCUGAAAUUGUUGAGGCUAUUGUUUACAGUUCAUAUAGAUGGUAAUGAAUUCAAAUUGUGUUGAAUUGAUAACUGAUAGCAGGGUUUGAGUGGUCAUGAUUUAGACGUGUUAGUAUAAACCUGGUUGAGGGAUAGAACUUUUGAGAUGAGAAAAGAGUGUUUGGGUGAAAAAGGAGAAGGGGUUUUGACUGCAGUGAAAUUGUUGGUGUGGAAACUGGGAUUAUGGUGGGAGGAGUGAUGGUUGAAAUUGAAUGGUAUAGGAAUGAGUGAAAGGAGUAAUAGUGUGGGAAUGGUUGAGAGUGAAGGGGGUAAUCGGGGCGGUAAUAUUGUGCAUGCAGAGUGUUUGGGUAUGGGUUUUAUUGGUAAUAGUUUGAGGUGGUGAAGUGUGACCGGUGCUGGUGAGGUUACAAGGAGAUGACAAUGCUGGUGGGAAUAGGCAAAGAAUCUGUCCAUGACUGGUUCUCUGGAGAUCAUUCAUGAGUUGAUAUAGGUCUGAACUUCUUGAUGCUGGCACAAUAUAAGGAAGGAUUACAUGAACAGGAAAUCAAAAGUAGGAAAUUUAUUUUAUUUUGUUAUAUUCAAACCAUCCCCGCACCCCCCCCCCCCCCCCCCCAAAAAAAAAACACAGGAGAAUUCCUGACAUUUUAGAUAGCAGUCCAGCAGUAGCCUAGUUCUAUUUUAUUUACCAAAAUAAACCUCAAUUGGAUUUAUUUUAAUUUACCUUAAGGAUCAUUUCUGAAACGAUGAGUCAAAUUGAGAUAUUGUUAAUCACUUCAUCAUAGUAUAAUGUCAGUUUAUCAGACAAAUUCUUUCUGGAUGUGCUGUAUGUGUCUGACUUUACAGUGACGGUUCUCAGUAAUAGAGAUGCGCGACUCUGAUAAUUGAACUCUGCGGAGCAGUCUUGUUGUGGAAGUCCACAAGUUUACUCAAUUUCCCAGAUGUCCACUAGGAAACUUGAUUAUAUACAUUGAUGCACACACACCAGAUAUAUUACGAUAUGCAACUCUAAUAUAAACAUGGACUCAAGUCAAUUCUCUAAAUCAUUGGAUUUCUUAUACAUGCCAAGAUGAUGUCCAUAAUGAUAUACUAACUAUUUACAAUUACAUCAUUUGUGUCUGUUUUAUAUUCUUUGCAUAAAUGUAUAUCAUCAAAAAUACAAAUUUGUACAUUUUCUUAUUUGAUUUUGUUAUAGCUGCAGGAUAUUGAAUUCACAACAAUGAGUCGCAAAGUCAUAAAUUUCAGUGAUGGAUGGGACUAUGUUAAAAUGGGGAUCGCAAAGCUAAGGCUGGUGGCAGGAGGAUCAGAGCGUCCUUUCACAGCAGAAGAAUAUAUGUUGCUGCACACAACUAUCUUCAACAUGUGUACCCAAAAGCCCCCCUAUGAUUAUUCUAAAGAGCUUUUUAGAAAAUAUCAGAAGACAUGUCAUGAAUAUUACAGGAAAACUUCUGAAGAGUUUGAUACUUCAACAGAUCAACCUGAUGAGCUUAUUUUGCGGCAGCUUGUCAAAAUUUGGGAACAUCACAAACUUAUGGUCUUUUGGCUGCCAGGAAUCUUUGCUUAUCUUGAUCGGUACUUUAUCCCCCGAGAGAAGCUUCCUACGCUAAAUGAAUUAGUUGCAGAUGACCGCUUUCAUGAUUUGGUUUAUCGGAGGAUAAAUGCUAAGGUCAGAGAUGCUAUAGUUCAUCUCAUUGAUAAAGAGCGCAGUGGAGAGGAAAUUGAUAGAGCAGCAGUGAAGAAAGCAGUGGAUGUAAUUGUUGAAAUUGGAAAGGGAACAGUGAAUGCUGUUGAAAGAGACUUUGAAUCAGACUUGCUGAGAAAUGCUGGUGAGUAUUAUUCCUGUAAAGCAUCAAGUUGGAUAUUGGAGGUAAAAUCUGAUACAGAUUAUAUGUCGAAGGCUGAGGAGUGUUUGCGGAUAGAGAGGGAUAGGGCUUCACAUUGCUUCCAUGCAAGUACUGAGCAUAAGCUGGUCCAAAAAGUGCAACAUGAGCUCUUUGAACCUCUCGCUAGUAUAUUUAAACAGAAAGUUAUUGCUGAGGGUGCAACGUUGUUUCAAGAUGCUGCAAAAGACGGGGAUUCUUCAGAUGGAGCUGGCCUGCCCGAACAGGUCCUUGUCAGAAAUUUAAUUAAGCUGCAUGAUAAGCAUAUGGCAUAUGUCAAUCAUUGCUUCAAAAACUACUAUCUCUUCCGCAAGGCUUUGAAGGAGGCUUUUGAGAUAUUUUGCAACAGAGCUGUUGCUGGAAUUUCAAGUGCUGAAUUACUUGCUGCAUUCUGUGAUAAUCUUCUUAAAAGCAGAUGGAAUGAGACAGUGAUAGGUGAGCAGGAAAUAGAAGAAACUCUUCAAAAGGUUGUCAGUACGGUGCUUCCAUAUCUGAGUGACAAAGACCUUUUUGCAGAAUUCUACAGGAAAAGACUAGCUCGUCGUCUCUUGUUUGAUCAUUGUCUUAGCAAGGACCACGAGGAGAGAAUUCUGACACAGAUGAAACGACAAUGUGGUGCCCCUUUCACCUCAAAGAUGGAGGGAAUGGUCAUGGAUUUGACAUUGUCUGAGGACAUUCAGAUGAGGUUUCAGGAAUAUCUGCAGAGUAAUCCAAAUGUAAAUAAUUUGGAGAUGGAUUUGACAGUGACUGUUCUUACAACUGGUUUCUGGCCAAGUUAUAAAUCAUUUGGUGACAAUAUUCCUGAAGAAAUGGUGAGAUGUGUUGAAGUUUUCAAAGGAUUCUAUGAAGCAAAAACGAAGCACAGAAAGCUUACGUGGGUUUACUCAUUGGGAUCAUGCAACAUUGUUGGGAAGUUUGAGCCAAAACAAGUUGAAUUGGUUGUAUCAACCUAUCAGGCUGCUCUCCUCCUACUUUUCAAUCCUUCAGAUAAAUUGAGCUAUUCAGAAAUAGCAACUCGGUUAAACCUUAACCAUGACGAUUUGGUUAGAAUUCUUCAUUCACUCUCAUGUGCUCGGUACAAGAUUCUUAUCAAGAAUCCAAAUACAAAGACUAUCUCGCCAAAUGACGACUUUGAGUUCAAUUCUGAAUUCACGCAUAGAAUGAGAAAAAUCAAGAUUCCUCUCCCACGAGUGGUGGAAGAAAGGAAAGAAGUAAUAGGUAAUGUAAACAAUGAUAGACGAUAUGCUAUUGAUGCUGCAAUCGUGCGCAUUAUGAAGCGACAAAAGGUUUUGGGUCAUCAACAAUUAGUUACAGAGUGUGUUGAGCUGUUGAGACAUACAUUCAAGCCUGACAUCAAAGCAAUCAAGAAGCGCAUCGAAGACCUUGUCAACCGUGACUACUUGGAGAGGGAUAAGAUAAAUGCAACAGUAUAUAGGUAUAUUUUGUGAUGCAAGUACUGUUGUAGUGUUCAUAUAUCUGUGGAUAUGCUGCAAGUAUAAAUCAUUUGUUGUACUUGGUGCUGCUUUUGGAAUGUUAUCGUAUGUAUGUGGCUUAAAUGUUUACGAAUUUUUGCUCUAUGAAAGCUAGCCCAGUUUCUUCUGCAUUUAUCUUAGAGGUGAUGGAAAUGGAGAAAAAGUUGAACUCUUCCCUUUGCUUCGAAGGUGUUUUUUUUUUUACAGGUUUUGUUGCUAUUUCAUGGAACUAAGUAUAUUUAUCAAGUGGUACGAGUUUCCUAGGACUUUGACUUGGUAGUGAACCAGGUCCUUCAAUCCACCGUCUGGCAUGUUUAGUCCCCAUACCUUUAAUUUAUCUGAGUGUUGCUCUUACGUUGGCAAAUCUGGCAAGCUAGGAAUGCGUUUUGGAAUGAUAUUAUGCUUUCCUGCACCACCCUCCACGCCAGUACUGGAAAAGUGGAAUUCAAGCCAACGGUAACCACCAGAUGAUGAUUCUCUGCGUAAUGCCGUAAACCAGGACCAUGAGUCCAUGAUGCUGCUAUUGGUCUCGGGUACAUUUAGCAGCACCUCUGAGCAGUACCGUUAGCCCAAAUGCAAGCCUGCCAGCUCAGCUAGAGGCUGAGGCGGCAUAUUUUGAAUUUAAACUAUUAAAAACGAACUUGGCUUAUUUGCUUAGAUUCAUGUUGUUUUGAUUUGCUUGGAUGUCUUAUAAGUUAUAACCAUUAGAUUGAGUAAAUCUAAUGAUUAUACUUGCAACAUAUCAUUACUCAAUCUAAUGAUUAUAAGACAUCCGUUAAAAAUAAUGAAAGGUUGGCAAUAAAUGGCGCGAGAUUUAUUUCCUCUUUUUUUUUUUAGUUGGAGAUUUAUUUCCUUUUCUAUUUGGGUCUAUUUUGCCGAAUUACUUAUUCUUUUCGGCAUUCCUUAUGUGCCCCUAUUAAAUAUAUUUUGUUCAUAAAUGUCAAGAAUUAUGAAAAUAACAAAGUAACAAUUAUUUUUCAGUAAUUUAAUAUGGCAUUAAUAUGUUACUAAUCUCAAAAGUAUUUCUAAAUAUAUUCUGAUUUAUGACGUCAGAUAAAUAUUGUAAAGUGUAAGAAUUUGUUUGAAUGCUUGUAUAUAUAUUGCUCAUUUUUUUUUCAUUUUUUAAAAAGUUUUUUUAUUAAAUAAUUUACACACCGUUACAUAUGUCAAUAGUGUUUAAACCCAUGACCUCAAGCUAUUUUUUGUUAUAUACAAGUUUGCUCAUAUGUUUUAAGGGACAAUGGAGGUAGAUGCAUCUCAGCCGCAUAUGUCACAUUCAAAUAGACUUAACAACUGAAUGACCAAGAUGUAAUCAAAAUGGAUAAAACGAAAAAAAAAAAUAACCACAAUAGAAGAGCCCUACACAUAAAUAAGUAGCGUCCACUUAAUCACCGGACCAGAAGAUAUAAAUUCAAUGGUAGAAACUAGAGACUAAAAAAGUUUUAAAAGUUUUAAGAUUUUCUUUUUUGAUCACCUUUAAAUUUAAAACAAACUAAUAAUAUCAUGGUCACUGUGACGAGUAUAAAAUUCAUAUUCAUAUAAGGUCCUUGAAAUGGACUAAAGUUUGAAAAAUUCAUAAUAGGGGCCAAUUGAGGUAGAACCCUAAAAGAAUCAGAAACGUAACGAUCUUUUUAAGCAGUCAAACUGGUAGAAUCUAUGUGUAAUGAAGAAUUAUUGAAGAUGAUCAAGCGUAAUUUCUAAUUCUCUAUUCUAUUCGAACAGUGAGUUCUCUUAAAUAAUAUAAUUUAGAUUACGACUUAGUUUCUUUUUAUGGGGGUUUGGGGGGUCAAUCCAUUAAAACAUAGCAAAUAAUAUUUAAACAUAACUCACCUCGAUAAGCUACGACAAAACUGAGCUAUUCGAAGAAAGCGGAAACUGACAUAAAGUCAAAAUAGAACAAUGAAAAACUACCUUACAUGCAACGAAAGCUUUAUAACAACAAAGGAAACCUUAGGGCAGUUUCCUGACCAUGCUAGGAAAGGAACUAGACUGGAACCAAGCACUCUCCUAACUAUAUCCUGACUUACAAUAACCUACGAGGACCAUCACUCGAAGGCACUCCUAUUAGCGCUACCCAUACCUUAGUUAUGUAAGAGUCAUUCUAUUUACUAUUUGGAAAUAUUUAGGUGCUACCAAAGCGUCAUUUCUUUUCUCCUUCAAAAGAAGGUAAGAAACUUGAGCCUUGGUCCCUUGGAGUAUCACUAGCGUUCUAUUUGGAUCAGCUGAGAAUGAGAGUUGAUCGAGGUUUUGUUCUUUAGGUUGUUGUUUUUAUUUUUGUGUAUCGAAAAAAAAAAACCCUGAGCUUUGGAAAAUGCAAAGGAACUGUAAGAACGACACGUAUUCGCAAAACUACCAAUAUAAAGCGAAACAGGCUGUCGUUAGAUACACGUCCCUUUCCUCAUUUCCAAAAUCCGGGUCACAGAAUCAAUGGUUAGUCUCACUCCCAGCUACUCAAGUCGCCGCAGCCAGAAAGCCACAGUAUAGCCCCAAAGGGCUCUAUCAGGUAUAUAUGCUUUGUUUGAUCAAAUAUAUGUAGUUUUGCUUUCAUGUUCCAUGAUCAUGAUCAUAGUUAUUUGCUUUUACGAGAAUGAGAGCUCUACCUUUUGUUGUUUGAAAUUUUGAUAUAUCAGUGCAUGUCUUUAAGAAAUUCAUGUUUAGUCCCUGAAUCAUAGACAUGUGCAUGUCAGAUUUGAAUUAUCUUUUAUGUUCUCUGUUUUUGUCUUUUUGAUUUGGAGGAAAUAUGUGUUGCAUUGUUUGUGAAGGCCAUUAUUUGUUUGAUUCGUUGUUGCGAGUAGGGUUUAUUUUCUUUUUGAUAACAUGGGGUGGAUUGGUGAUUAGUGGCAUGAGUUUUGAGUGAGUGAUCAAGCUUUUGUAUUAGUCAAUCAGAAAUGGAAGAAGGGUCAUGCAUACUCGGGUCAGUUUUUGGAAAAAGAGAGUGGCUCAGAUGUGGAUUUGGGAGUUUUGUGUUUCUGUGUUUGGAACGAUGGGCAUGCUUUUUGUUCAGAGAAUGUGGUGGGCAUAGUCGAGAUUAUGCCCGCCCAAUUAUUCAUUGGGGCGACAAUUUAUGCAUGGCUGAUAGCCUUUUUUUGUGAGGAUUUCACUGAGUCACUGGUUGGAUAUUACACACACUAUAACAAAAGCUCCCAAAGCAUAAUUCUGCUUUUGCAUAUACAGCCUAAACAGAAACAGAUCCCUAGCAAAUACUACCCAUUCAAGAAUUGCUGGCAGACUUAAUCAAGGACUACCACAUGGCUGAGUAGCCUUAGUAAUCUGGAAAGCGGUUUAUUGGUAGGAUUGGAGCAGUCAGAGGUGGUGAUGGGGUUGUGGGGACUGAUGGUAGUGAGGAUAUGACAGUGGCAAAGGCAAACUUCUGCCAUCCAGUUGAACUUGUUUUUCAGGUCUUUGGAACAGUAACGUCAUAUUGAAGCUGGCAAUUUAAGGACAGAAUACAAGAAAAGGAAAUAAAUGCACGAAAUACACUUUUAAUUCAUUUCAUUCAUGCCUCUAGGUACACUUUAAUGCAGUACAAACUCCCUAACACAAGCGUACACGCGUGCAAACACAGAGUUUACAUGCACACCAGUAGUGUGAAGAAUAUGCAACCUUUCCAAUAAUUGCUCCUGAAAAUUUAGUCAGUGGAUAUAUAUAAGCAUAUUUAAAAUAAUCAUCUGGUGGAGUAAUGACUAUAUAUAGUCCUUCAUAUCAGCUUUGUGAUGUUUAUGGAGCUCUAGCUCCUUAUGUGUAGACAACAGAAUGAGUAUGAAAUUUAUCUCAUGUGUGAGCCCAUGUUAGAUGAUCUUUGAUGGUUGGAAAUGAUUCUAUAUACAGAACGUUUGGAUCUGCUUUAUAAGAAUCUGAACCCCCUACCCCAAGCCUGCACACUAAUGAUCAAAACUACAAACAUGUUAGGUAUCCUUUAAGGAUCGAUCAUUUCUAAAAAAAUAUCAAUUAAUCCCAGAUAUUACUCAUUCCUUCAUUUCAGUUUGUUGGACAAACUUUCUGCUUUGGCUGAUAUCAAUAGUAUACAUAGAUAUUUCUAUAACAAUCUGUAUCUAAUUAUUAGUAGUAUACAUAGAUAUUUCUAUAACGAUCUGUAUCUAAUUAUCAGUAUGGACUCGAGUUAUUAGCUUCUCUACAUCAUGAUAUAUAUUUUUAGAUGCCUUGAUAUAUGACCAGAUCGAAUGUUACCUUAACUUUGUAAAGUUAAUAUUUCUCAUUUUGGUUAUAUUUCUGUUUAUUAAUUUGUUCGAGUCAUAACAAUGUUGAUACUUAUACCUGCUUAAUUAUAAUUGUAGAAUACAGUAUGUUUCUAUUUGCAAUAAUGGAUAGGCCAACAAUAUCUGGGUUCGAUGAUGGAUGGAGACAGAUUGAGGAGGGAAUUUCAGAGCUAAUAAUGAUUGCGGAAGGAACAGAUCGGGACAUAACAGGUGUAGAAUACAUAAGGCUUCGUGCACUGGUCCAUGCCAUGUGUUUUCCGAAGUUCCCUUAUGAUUAUAAAGAACAGCUUUGUAACAAAUAUGGAAAUAUGGGUGAAGAAUGCAGGGAGAGAUGUGAAAAGUACAGUGUGCCAACUAAUCCGGAUGAUGAGUUUAUGUUGCGGGACUUUGUCCAUAGAUGGGCACAUUGUAAAAUUGUGGUUGAAAUAGUGCCGCAACUCUUUGGUUAUCUUCAUUGCCUCCACAUACCUGAUAGGUCACUUCCUAAAAUGAAUGAAAUUGUCGGACCUAACUGCUUCCAUGAUUUGGUUGAUCAGAAAGCAAAUAUUCAGGUGAGAGUUGCUGUAAUCAAUCUUAUUCAUAAAGAACGUGAUGGAGAGAAAGUUGACAGAAAACUAUUGAAGAAGGUGAUGGAUAUAUACAUUGAAAUGGUAAUGAGAACAUCGGACACUUAUGAACAGGACUUUGAAGCACACAUGCUAAGAGAUACAGGUGAAUACUAUUCUCGUAAAGCAUCUAGUUGGAUUUUGACAGAUUCAUAUGAAGAUUAUAUGUGGAAGGCGGAGAGAUGCUUGACAAAGGAGAGGGAACGAGUUUCUCAUUACAUCCAUGUAAGCAGUGAGCACAAGCUGUUGCAAAUAGUGCAACAAGUGUGGUUUGAUCCUCUUGCUGAUGUAUUUAAACAGCAAGUGGCUAUAGAAUGUAGAAAUUUGGUACACCUGGUUGAAGAUGCUGCAGAAAACCAGGCUUCUUCUUCUAAUGGAGCAGGCAUGCUGGAACAGGUCAUUUUCAGGAAGUUAAAUGAGGUGCAGGUUAAGUAUGUGAAAUAUGUCAAUGAUUGCUUCAAGAACUACUUUCACUUUCACAGGGCUCUGAAUGAGGCUUUUGAGCAAUUCUGCGACAGAGCUUUCUCUGGAUGUCUUUGUUUUCUUAGAGAGGAUAUGGUGGAGGAUCUUUCACUGAUAUAUAGACUUUUCCAUAAAGUACCUGGAGGCCUGGAAUCUAUAGCUAAUGCAUUCAAAUAUAUAGUUUGUUACUGCUGAAGGUACAGCCUUGGUUAAACAGGCUGCUAAUAUUGCAAAUAACCAGGCUUUAAAUGGAUCAGGCAUGCAGGAACAGGUUCUUAUUAGACAAUUACUUGAGCUGCAAGCUUUGAAAAUGGGAUAUAUCUGGGGCUUCUUUAUGAGUCACUCCCUUUUUCACAAAGCUCUUCAUGAGGCUUUUGAGGUAUUCUGCAAUAUAAGUGCUGAAGUACUAGCUGUGUUCUGUGAUAAUAUCCUGAAAGGCAAUGGGAUUGACAAACUGUGUGGUGAUCAGGACAUAGAAGAAAUUCUUGACCAAGUUGUUACGGUGUUGCUUCGCUAUGUCAGUGACAGAGACCUCUUUGCAGAGUUCUACAGGAAACAACUUGCUCGCCGUCUAUUGUCUUAUCAGAGCGCCAACAAGGAUCUGGAAAGUAGUAUAUUAACAACAAUGAAGCAGGAAUAUGGGGGGCAGUUCACCUCAAAGAUGAUGUCAUUUUAUCUCGGGAAUGUGAGACAAUAUUCAAGGAAUAUCUUCGCAGUAAUCCAGAUGCAAAUCCGGGGAUGGAUGUGACAGUCACUAUUCUUACAACUGGUUUCUGGCCAAGUUAUAAGUCAUUUGUUAACCUUCCUGCAGAGAUGGUGAAGUGUGUUGAAGUUUUCAGAGGAUUCUAUGCUUCAAAAACUGAACACAGAAAACUUUCAUGGGUUCACUCACUGGGCACAUGCAACAUCAUUGGGAAGUUUGAGCCAAAAGCAAUUGAAUUAGUUGUGUCAACCCAGCGGGCGGCUCUUUUGCUACUAUUCAAUACUGCUGAUACUUUGAGCUGUUCAGAAAUCGCAACUCAGUUAAAUCUUAAUCAUGAUGACUUGGUCAGAGUCCUUCAUUCUCUGUCGUGUACCAAGUACAAGAUCCUCAUCAAGAAUUCAUAUACAAUGACAAUCUCGGCACAUGACACAUUUGAGUUCAAUUCUAAAUUCACACACACAAUGAGGAGAAUUAAGAUUCCUCUCCCGUCAGUAGUGGAUGAAACAAAGGAGGUAAAAGAUGGUGUUAACAAGGACAGGGGAUAUGCUAUUGAUGCUGCAAUCGUGUUGAUUAUGAAGGAGCAGAAAGUUUUGAGUCAUCAGCAAUUGGUCCUGGAGUGUGUUGAGCAGCUGAGACAGUAUUUCAAGCCUAACAUCAAAGCCAUUAAGGAGCGCAUUCAAGAUCUCAUCGAUCGGGAGUACCUGGAAAGGGACCAGGGAAAAUAUAGGUACCUUGCAUGAUUCUAUCAUAUACUACUCUUUUAGGAAGUUUCCUUUUCUAUCCAUUUUUUCUGCAAUAAUUCACCAAAAGAGUGAGUUUGAAAUAAAGAACAUUUAUAUUUAACAUUUGUUUCCGAGGUUUUAUCAUGAUGGAACAUUCAUGAAGAACAUUAAGGUUUUGUGGCCUUCUAUUUCCAUCAAGUGACUUCAUUGAUUAGGUCUUUGAAGUGACUCCAUUGAUUAGGAUUUCUGGCCGUUACUACAUUAGUUCAAUUGCUUUCAUGCAUGCCUUCUUCCAAACCCACUUAUGAUGGAACAGUCUAGCCUAUUUUCUUGUUCUUAUCCUUCAUUCCUUCUCGUAUAAGGUAUAGUUCGUCUUGUUAUAUUCAAUAACAUGACAGACUACUGAGACUAGUGCUUAGCUGUGAUUGAGCAGACUUUUAUUACUUUGAAUAUUGGCCAUGUACAGAAAUUGAAUAUUGGCUUAAAUUGAGGAACAGCUUACUUAAGAAGAUGAACUGAUUGAUGUGCAUACAGUUGGAUCAACAAACACAAAAGUGAAACAAACAACACUCGGCCAAAACUGGCCUAAACCCCAAAACAAUUGGUAACCCUUACAAGUUUUAACUACUUCUGCUCCUCCAUUAUUCGCGUUACCUUGCCCAGGGCCACAGUAUUUCCUGAUGCUCUCAAAGAAACGCUUCCUAGAGCUCUACACUUGGAGUACUCUACCACACAAACUGGCUUCUCCAGAAAUACCUCUACAACAGCUACCUGCUUUGCCAGAAGACAGCGAGGAGAUUUUUUUUGCCACUUUUAAAGUCUUCGGAUCAAGUAAUGCUGCUAUUUUCACGACUUUUGCUGCCUCUUUCGCAUGGUGUAUCUGAAACUCCAGCUGAGAGUCAACCAACAAAGGCUGUGCCCCGUCCAAAAGUUGCACAUUCAAUUCCAAAUGUCUCGCAAAUGCAACCGGAACAUCAGGGCCACAGAGCACGCCUCCUGCCAUCACUUGACGAUCAGUAAUCCCUUGGAGAGUUACAGCCAAAUUGUCACCAGCUGUGGCAGUUGAGCAUGACUGAGAACCGUCACGUUCCAAAGACCGGACAGUCCGUAAUUCUCCAGAAGGCAUGACCCGAACCUGAAGUCCAUUUUGAAGAGUUCCAGCUUGCAAUUUACCACAAGCAGAAACCUGCCCUCUGGAAGAUUUAAUGACAUCACAUAUAGGCAUCAGCAGUGACUUCUCAGACUCUCUCUUAGGAGGUUGAAAGGAAUCAAUUGCCUCCAACAAGCAAGGUCCGCUAUACCAAGACAACAAACGUUCAUUACCAGGAGCUGACACCAUGUUCUGAUUCUCCAUGGCACUCAAUGGAACCCAACACACUGCAGACUCCUCGAAACGACAGGAACGUGAGAGGUAUGUUCCUAGUGUGUGUUUGAUCUCAUCAAAUCUUUCCUUGGAGUAGCCAACAACAUCCAUCUUGUUAACAGCAACUACAAUCUGCUUAACGCCAAAGCUUUUGAUUAUCUGUGCAUGCUCCUUAGUCUGUCCUCCCUUCAUACCAGCUUCAAAUGCACCAUGCGAACCAUCAACAACAAGUAUUGCAGCAUCGGCUUGUGUGGCACCGGAGAUCAUGUUCGGAACAAAGUCUCUAUGGCCAGGAGAGUCCAGAACAACAACCUUGUACUUUUUGGAGUCAAAAUAUGCAACAGCCACACUCAUAGUUAUUCCUCUUUCUCUUCCUUCUGCGCUCUCGUCCAAUGCCCACGCAUAGGCAAAAGAACCCUUUCCCUGUGACUUCGCCUCUUUUUCAUUUUUGUGCAUUUCUUUUUUGGAUAUUCGUCCUAAUAGAUGAAGCAAUCUACCUGAAAUUGUGGAUUUUCCCGAAUCCACAUGUCCAACCAUCGCCAGAUUCAGUUGAUGACUCAUGGUUGGUUCUUUUCCUGGUGGAGAGAUAAAGCACUGUUGUUGAAGAAUAUUGGGUUAUUUUCUUAAGCUAUGAAAAUGGAACGGCAAGUCCCUGGCCUUUAAUUUAUACUCAACGUCCUCCUUCCUAUUCAUAUUCCUAUUCUAAAUGGGAAUACAAAAGGGAAGGAAGCGGUCUCCUUAUCCCUACUGGAUUUAGAAAUACACAAAGAAGCUGUGGGAAACGGUCUCCUUAUUCCUAUUGGGAUUUAGAAAUACACAAAGAAAGCGGUGUCCUUAGUCCAAUAGGAUAGAAUAAGAGACGGGAACUCUUUGACUUAUUUCCCUAUAAGAAAACGGAAAUUGAUCGAUUGGCCUUCAAAGUGCAGACUCUCUAUAUAUACCGCAAGAAAUAUAGGAUCCUCUCCCGGGGAAAUAAGUGUUUAUUGACCGCAGGAGUUGUCGUUUGAUUCUGUUAGAUUGGGAGGAGAGCAACUUCAUUACACUAGUGGGUCUGAGAUGGAUGCAUUGAUGACUGCAAAUGCUGGUAUCGGUGGGAGUGGCGGCAAUGAGAUAAUGAUUCCUCAAAUCAAUGAUUCAGUAGUGGAUAAUCCAAAGCAAGGCCUGAACCAGGUCAUUAACUCUUAUUGAGAAGACUUUAGGGCUCAUUCACCAGCUCUACCUUACUGUGUCGUCGUUUAACGCUGGCUCGGAGCACCCCUUCCAGCACCUAAAUGCUCUUGUUACGGAGCUUGACAAUAUGGCCAAGUUGUCUGACAAGUGCACUAUUCAGGUUCCUGCAGAGGUUUUUAAUUUGAUUGACGAUGGAAAGAAUCCUGAUGAAUUUACAAGAGAUGUCAUAAGCAGUUGUAUUGUGAAAAAUCAGAUCACUAAAGGCAAAAGUGAUGCCUUCAAGAGUUUGCGCAAACAUCUUCUGGACCAACUUGAACAUGCAUUUCCUGAUGAAGUUGAAUCAUACAGAGACAUACGUGCUGCUCACUACUAGAAAAAGUAUCCAUCAUCGUUGCGCUUUUGCUGCUGAAACGAAACGGCUUGCCUGCAAGCACAAAGCAAAUUAUUUCCAAUUGCAAUGGAGAUGCAUGUGCAGGUCAAUCCGGAGUUUUAACUGUCUAAUUCAUUUUGUAGCAUGUUCUUAGAUCCAUGUCUUACCAUGUGUUGAUGUGCAAAUACUCUAAGUGAUUUAAAACUUAAUGAUUUCGGUAACAUAUUCCUAGUUUCGUGUUAAAGUGAUGUUUUUUGUAUAAACCCGUAGGCUAAGCAUGAACAUAAUAGAACAUAAACAUACACGUAAGGACACAACUUUUAUAGUGGUUCACUAUGUCAUCGGAGGGCAUGAUUACAUCCACUUGAAUCUACUAUCAUGAGGCCUAAAUGCCUUUGGUGUACAAGUGUGGAGUUGAGAUCUUUUCUACAUAUGGGAAAUCUUCCUUUUAUAGCUAAGGAAGGUCCCCUCACAUUUCAUGUUUCCAAUGUGGGAUCAACUACAGUCUACACAUAUCUCUUAUUAUGGUGUCUUCUUGUGGAGCUUGGAGGAGCAUCUUCCCAAUAUGAUAAUGAUGAUCCGUCACCAUAACGAGGUAGCCCGAAUAUCGGUCUACCGGAUGUAUGCCCUUUUCAACAGCUUCCCUACAAUUUAUCUAUUAUAGGGAAGCAAAAAGUAGAGCUAUAAGUAAUUUUUCAUCUCCAACUCUAAAAUUUUAGAGUUUGUUGCAAAUAUGAGGAAUUUGGUCUCAUCACAUCCCUCAUUUGGAGAAAAUUUUAAGGAAUCUGAAAGGAACUUAGUAUUGAAAUUUGUAUUUAGUUUUUAAGUAAAUUGGUUCUUAAUUUGUUUUUGUUUUGUUUUGAUUCGGGACUUGAAUCAAUUAAAUGCAGACUUCAUUAGAAAAAAUAAGUUAAGUGCACACAGUGUGCUAUAUACAGGGGCGGAACCACGUUCAGGCCCGACCCCCCCCCCCCCCCCCCCCAAAGUUUCUACAGUUCUCUCAAUUUAGUGUGUUGCAACUGAUCAAAUCUAUCUGAUAUCAGUUCAUUUCUGUAUCUGAACCCCCCUCAACCAAUCUUAUACUACCACGUUUCCCACUUGAUAGGUAAGAGAACCAAAAAGAAAAGAUCAAACAUGGCUACUAUUUUAUAUUAAUUAAUAUUUUAUUAUAGUGAAGUGAUAAUCACAAAUAUUUAACAGAUGUUAGGGAGAUAUUGUAAUAUCCCACAUCGGUCAAACGGAGAGGGGUUAUGUGUUGUAUAUGUACAUGCCCACCUCCAAUUUAACACAAGGCCUUUUGGUGGCUCAGCGGCUUCGGAGGGGAUGGGUACUCCGAGGUUAAGCAUGUUGAUGCUAGAGCAAUUCCAAGAUGGGUGACCUACUAGGAAGCUGCUCCUGAGCUGCCGGAAACAAAACCGUGAGGGCCGGUGGGCCCAAAGCGGACAAUAUCGUGUCACGGCGGAAUGGGUCCUGGGGUGUUACAAAUGGUAUCAGAGCCACUCUGCCGUGUGGUGCGAGUGUGCCAACGAGGGCGUCGGACUCCCAAGGGGGGUGGAUUCUAAUAUCCCACAUCGGCCAAACGGAGAGGGGUUAUGUGCUGUAUAUGUACAUGCCCACCUCCAAUCUAACACAAGGCUUUUUGGUGGUUCAGCGGCUUUGGAGGGGAUGGAUACUCCGAGGUUAAGCAUAUUCAUGCUAGAGAAAUCCUAGGAUGGGUGACCUACUGGGAAGCUGCUCCUGAGCUACCGGAAACAAAACCGUGAGGGCCGGUGGGCCCAAAACGGACAAUAUCGUGUUACGGCGGAAUGAGUCCUGGGGUGUUACAGAUAUAUUGAUUUUGAAUUUUUUGGAGUAAAAACUUUCCUUCAAUUUUGUGCCUCUGCAUAUCUGAUCUCCAUCGCGUAUGGACUAAAAUGGUACAAAGCUAGCUAAAGUAUCACAAUGUCUUUCACGUCGAUAAAAAAUUAUGGUUCCGUUUUAGAGUCUAAAUUAUUGCUAACAUCAACUUUUUAUAUGAUUACUGUCGUUAUUGAAAUCAAAAAAAAUUUAAUAACGAGCUUGUCGAUAACAAAUUAAUGAUGUACACAUUGUGUUAUAUGCAUUUAACAUAUAGCUAACUAAAAUAAAUUUAAAUCUAGUCCUCUGAUCUAUUAUCAAACUUGGACCCCCCCUAAGUGAAAAUCCUGGCUCCGCCCUUGGCUAUAUACCCGAAGUCCUAAAUUGUAUGCGGCUUGACUCCUUUUCAACGGCUUCCUUACAAUUUCUCUAUUAUAAGGAAGUAAAAGUUAAAGCUAUAAACAAUUUUUCAUUUUAGAGUUCCUUAUAAUAUGAGAAAUUUAGUUUUCAUUUUCUCUCUCAUAGCAUUCCCCAUUUGGAGAAAAUUGUAGGAAAACUUAAAAAAACUUAGUAUCGAAAUUUGUAUUUAGUUUUCAAGUAAAUGGGCUAUUUGUUUUUGUUUUGUUUUGAUUUGAGACUUGAAUCAGUUAAAUGCACACUUUGUAUAACGUUGUUUACAAUAUCGUUGUAAAUAUUCUCAAUAUCGUUGCCUAACACAAGAUCUUUUUCCGUUUGAGAGAUAAUGAUGCAAUCCACGUUCAACUUGAAUUGAAUCGCUCUUUGAUUCCAUCACUAUUUUCACUACUAAAGCCAAACGCUCAUGUUUCACCAAAUUUUUGGAUAGCCCAAAACACCUUUUAGUCUAGAAAAAAAUUAAUCUCAUAAUAAAAUUAUUCACAUUGUUCUUUUUCUUAAAUAAAUAGUAAGAAAAUGUUAAUCCAUUUGAAUGAAUAAUAUCUGGAAAGUAACCUACAGUAAAAAAAAAAAAAAAGAACAUAAAAACAAAAUAGAAACCACAUAGAAAAUACCAAUAGUCACUGUCUCACUUCUUCGUCUCCAAAACCCUUAAAACAGGUGACCCUUAAACACGUAGGUCACCCUUCUCUCUCUCUCUACCUCAACCUAACGUAACGUACGACCUCCUCUCUCUCUCUCUCUCUCUCUCUCUCUCUCUCUCGCCUGCAAUUAACCUAGGGCUUCGCUACGAUUCGAAGUUCGCAACCACAACAACUCCAAUUUCGUAAAGGUAAAUUUCCGUCUUCCAUUUCUUCGUCUUUCAUUUCCUUCAUCACAAACCGACUCUCUGAAUCCAUUACCUUCUCGCCGAUUUUAGAUUCGAAUACGCAUAGUUUUACUGCUGUAUGCGUUUUGAUCUUGUUGAUUAUUUACUGAAGAAUUUUCAUUGCAGUCAAAACUAUUUAGGUUUUUUUUUUGGGGGAAAUUGAAGCACUAUGAUUUAUGUGGUGGAUUUCGACGAAUUUAACAUGUUGGCGUUGAAAUUCUGUUCCAGUUGGAGGCUGUUGAGUAUUUGUGACGAUGCCGAUGGAGUACAAACAUAUAGAGUUUAAUGAAGGAUGGGAGUUUAUCCAGGAGGGGAUUAGGAAGCUCAAGAGGAUUGUGGAGGGAUCACCGGAGCCUGAUUUCAACUCCGAAGAGAGAAUGACGCUUUACAAUACUAUCUACAACAUGUGUACUCAGAGACCGCCUUUUGAUUACUCGCAAAGACUUUAUGACAAGUAUGGGGAGACUUUUGAGGAGUACAUUACUUCCGCGGUGUUACCUUCUCUAAGAGAGGGGCAGGAUGAGGUUGUUAUGUUGCAGGUGCUUGUUAGAAGUUGGGAGAAGCAUAAGGUUUUGGAGAUGUGGCUGUCACGCUUUUUUCAUUAUCUUGAUCGGUACUUUAUUCCUCGGAGGGCGCUCCGCAGGUUGAGUGAUGUUGGAAGGAACUGCUUCCGGGAUUUGGUCUGUCGGGAUUUGGGUGCUAAUGUGAGAAAUGCUGUGCUUGGGCUUAUUCAUAAGGAACGUGAGGGAGAGGAGAUUGACAGAGAGAUGUUGAAGAAAGUGAUUGAUGUAUUUGUUGAGAUUGGCAAGGGGCAAAUGGAUGUUUACAUAGAGGAUCUUGAAGCUUGCUUGCUGAAAGAUACCGGGGAAUACUACUCUCGAAAAGCAUCUAGUUGGAUUUCGGAGGAAUAUUCUUAUGCAGAUUACAUGGUGAAAGCUGAGGAGUGCUUGAGAAAGGAGAGGGAAAGUGCUUCUCAUUAUCUGCCUCCAAGCAGUGAGCAGAAGUUGGUGCGCACGGUGCAACAUGAGUUGUUUGAACCUCUUGCCGAUGUACUAGUCAGACAGAAAGUUACUGCUGAAUUGGCACCCUUGUUUCAACAUGUUGAAGAUGCUGCAACAAAACAAGCUUCUUCUGUUGGAGCUGGGAUGCCGGCCCAGGUUCUUAUCACAGAUUUAGUUGAGCUACAUGUCAAGUAUACAGCAUAUGUCAAUGACUGCUUUAGAAACUACUAUCAUUUUCACAAGGCUCUGAAUGAGGCUUUUGAGGUAUUUUGCAAUAAAGCUGUUGCUGGCAGUUCAUGUGCUGAAUCGCUUGCUGCGUUCUGUGAUGAUCUUCUGAAAAAGGGUGGUGGUGAGAAAUUGAGUGGUGUUCAGGGCAUAGAAGAAACACUUGAGAAGGCUAUUAAAACAUUGCUUCCUUACAUCAGUGACAAGGAUCAUUUUGCAGAAUUCUACAGGAAAAGACUUGCUCGCCGUCUGCUGUUUGAUCGGAGUGCCAACAAGGACCAUGAAAAGAGCAUCAUAACGAAGAUGAAACAGCAGUGUGGUGGACAGUUCACUUCAAAGAUGGAGGGAAUGGUCACAGAUUGGACCUUGGCGCGAGAAACUCAGAACAGCUUUGAGGAAUAUCUACAUUGUAAUCCGAAUAUAAAUCCUGGAAUGGAUUUGGCAGUCACUGUCCUUACAACCGGUUCUUGGCCAAGUUAUGAAUCUUUUAAUCUGAACCUUCCUUCAGAGAUGAGGAAGUCUGUUGAAAUAUUCAAGGGAUACUAUGAAACUAAAACGAAACACAGAAAACUUACAUGGGUUUAUUCAUUGGGUAGUUGCCACAUUAUCGGCAAGUUUGAGCCAAAACCAAUUGAAUUGGUUGUGUCAACCUAUCAAGCAGCUCUCUUGCUACUCUUCAAUACAGCAGAUAGAUUGAGCUAUUCAGAAAUCUCAUGUCAGUUAAACCUUCCUGAGAAUGCUUUGGUCAGAAUUCUUCAUUCACUGUCAUGCAGCAAGUACAAGAUCCUCGUUAAGGAGCCAAAUACAAAGAUUAUCUCCCCAAAUGACACAUUUGAGUUCAACUCUAUGUUCACUGACAGGAUGAUAAGAAUUAAGAUUCCUCUCCCACCCGUAGAUCAUGAAAGGAAGGAGGUAAUGAAAGACGUGGAUAAAGAUAGACGAUAUGCUAUUGAUGCUGCAAUUGUGAGGAUUAUGAAGAGUCGUAAGGUGUUUGGUCAUCAAGAAUUAGUUAUAGAAUGUGUUGAGCAGUUGAGACAUAUGUUCAAGCCUGACAUCAAAACAAUUAAGAAGCGCAUUGAAGAUCUUAUCAUACGUGACUACUUGGAGAGAGACAAGGAGAACCAAAAAGUAUAUAGGUAUGUUGUGUGAGUCAAGUGUUGGAGUUUUCUUAAUAUCUGGAGAUAUGUUGUAGGUAUAUGAACAUGACUUAUAGUUUAUAUUGAUAUUAGAUUAUUGUCAACUGUGGCAGCUUUGUGUAGACUGUAGGAUAUGAACUAUGGCUUUAAUGUAGUUUUUAGAGAAUCUAGGACUUUGAAGGUAGACGGGAUGUGUUCAGUUUACCAUUCAAGCCAGUUUUGUCCAAUUCCAAUCGUUAUGACAUGAACUUAGUCUUGAGUGGUUCCAUCAUUGUACAGUUUGUACUGAUGAAGUAGAGUUAUAAUCUUAGGCUCUUUUAGUUUACUGAAAUGGGUUGCAUUGUUCAUGUUAUUUACCUGUCCUUUCUUCUGAUCAGAGCCAUGUUUCUCAUUAUAAGUAAUAAUAUAAAAUGUUGAUAUUUAUUGUCCAUUUGCUUCCUAACGACUUGUAUACCUCUGAGCUGCUGUUGAUACUAAACUGGGAACAGCUUAACUGCUUUUAGCUUUCAACCUUGUUGCCUUUCCAUUUGUUGGAUAUCCUGUUAUUUCUACUGAAGGAACUGCAUAUUUGGAAAUGAGACUUUCCAUUCCAUUCCUUUCUUAAGCUCCAUUAUUCUCACCAGUUUGUUUAAACCUUUCCGUGUGCUGAGCUGUUCUGAUGGACUUCCCUUGUACGAUUUUCUUUUGUUAUUUUCCUUUUCUUGAAUUAAUUAGUUAUCUUUGUCAGAAGGACUAGUUUUUUUCUGAGAUUUCUGAGACAUGGUAUAUCUUAUUUUGUUCCAUUGCUUUCAGUUUUGGCUCCUCUGAUUUGAUUUUUGGGCUGUUUACUUAUCCCUUGCUGUAUUUUGGGUGGCUUUGUCUUUCUACACCUUUUUUUUCUUUUUUGAAGUAAACCUUUUUUUAUUUAUUUAUUUGCAUAGUAAAAAUAGUUCGGAUACUCUUUGCUAUUGAUUUGAUGCUCUCAUGAUUGAUCAUAUAGAAGCUGUAGGUAUGAUCGUACUUAGUUUGCAAAACAUUUAGUGAUCGGAAAAAUUCAGAGAUACCAAUCAAAAACUCUGCAAGUCUAUAUCACAAAAAGCAGGGCAUUAUGAGUACAUAAUCCAAACUCUAUUAGUUACUUAUUCGAGCGGCAUCAUCCUUUCACGCAAGCAUUAGGCAUUUAGCUCGAGGAAAGGCAUAUUGGUGAGACCGUGAGAACCAGCCAUUACAGGUCAUUGAACUUGAUGAAGAAGAGGAGGCCAAGAUGGCACAAUUGCAGUUGCUACCCAAAAUCUCCUGGGGAAAUUUGCAGAAACAAAAGUUUGAGAAUGUGACCACUUGGUAAGAGUCUAAAAUGAGUGAAAACCCUAAAAGUCAACGUGUGGCAAUUAGCACCUAAAACAGAAAGCAAUCUUUUUUCCUUGCAUCUCAAUCGUUAAAAUCAUAGUCCUUGUUGGAUGAUAACAAGUUACCGAUUGAGUAAAAACAUCAAGGUUGUUUUCCAGGACUCAUCUGCCAUUCAGAGCAAAUGAUUUUGAUUCUUCUAUUUUGUUCAAGGAAACUUUACUAAGAGUAAUAGCUAGGUUUACUUUGGUUUUCAAGUGAUUGAGGUGUAUCAAGUAGGGUAGGUAUACAAGCAAAUUUGGAGGUGCAACUACAACGUCUCAUCUUCUUAUGUGAUUAGAAGACUUAGUUGGGUUUGAUUCUGAAGAUUGUCGAGCCUUCUAAGUUUCAGACCCUUAGAAAAGUACAGUAAAUAACGAUGAGUGAUUAGCUCUUGAUGUAUACUCGAAUAUCAUCCGAUUGGUAAUUUAUUCAACAGACCAUGUUUAAUCCAAGCUACAUAUAUAGAUACCAGAUGGAAAAGAGCACAGCCAUACAUACAUAUAUUAUACUCCUCCUUUUAUUUAAACUGGCGGUGUCUUCGAUCUGUUUGCUGAUUUUCUAUUCAAAGCUCAUUACCAUGCCAAAAUCAGCGUGGAUGCAAAAUGAGAUGAGCACCAUACUGAGGCUGAAGACUUGGAAUUGCGUGAGGAGCAUGAGCAUAGGAUGGAGAAAGCUCAAAGGUGAAGUGCUGUAAUAUCACUGCUACCACCAGUUUUGCUUCAAUCAUAGCAAAGUUUUGACCUAUGCAAACCCUAGGACCAGCUCCGAAAGGGAAGUAUGAAAGUUGGCCCUUUGUAACCUUUGAAACUCCUUCUGCAAAUCUCUCUGGCUUGAACUCCUUUGCAUCAUCUCCCCACAAUUCUUCGUCAUGCUGAACAAGGAGUAUAGGAAUCGUGAUUUCGACUCCGGCUGGUAUGGUUUUUUCUCCAAGUUGCGUUUCCUUGUAAGUGUUUCGAGUCAUUGUGACUGCCGAUGGGUAUAACCGGAGAACUUCACGUAAUAUCAUGGUCACCUGCAUCAUUUUAGAAUCUUAAGAAUUUCAACAAAUUAAGUACGUAAUUACCAACCAGUUAAUCCUACAGAAGUAUGAAACUAAUUUGUCAUGAGAUUCAAAAGACGGCAGUGGAAUCGGUGGCAGCUGAGAAGCUAUGCCCUUUACCUCUAUAUUGUUGAGAAAUAAAAGAGAACAAACCUAACCCCGUACCUGUUGGAAAAAUCAGAAUAAGCUAGCAGGGUGCCUCCAACAAAAACGGGCACUAUGCCACUAUUAAGUAUAGACUACUCCCUCAUAAUGUGAGGAAAUUUAGACUUCAAGAAUCACUUCAUGCAAAGGUUGAGUAUAGUUUAUUUAGGACACACAUUCAGAACCUUACAUAUCGAUCAAUUGCACCAAUAAGUUUUUAAACAAGUUAACCAAUUCAAAUGAUCUCCAUUUCUUGCCCUAAAAGAAUCACUUCAUUAUUUUAGGGCAAGAAAUGGACAUUAACUGAACACGAAAAAGAAAGUCAAGAAAUCAAACUAAUAUUUUCCUGACGAGUAUGUAUUCCAUCUAAUCGAAGCAGACUUAUAUCAUAUAUAUACUUACAAUUUUUAGGCGAUUUAACCCAUCAAAGUCUGGUUUGUUGCUUCCAAAGACUUGCAGAACCUCUUCUCGCGCAAGAGUUUGCCAAUUCUGAUAUUGACUUAGUAAAACCAUUGUCCAAACAAGCAGCACCGUGAUUGUCUCUUGCCCAGUGAAGUAAAACAGCUUACAGUUCUCGAUAACGUCUUCGGUACUCAUACCAAAGUUUUUGUUGUUCCCAUGUUCAUGAAUUACCUUGAGAUUGGAUUCCAGAAGAAUACUUAGUAGGUCGUCUUUACAGGGUUCACCAGCCUUAAUGGCCUUUUCUCUAUUAUGUAUAAUCCCCUUGAGUGAACCUUUUAUUUCUUUAUUAACCUCCCUCAUCCUCUUGUUUGUCUUAGUUGGUAUAAACCUGCAGAAUAACAGUAGUUAAUCCAAACAUUUUGUGAAGGUACAAAAAGAAGACAAGCUAGAACUUGAAAGAGGGAAACAAAAGUAGUAUUGCGUGCAUUUUAGAAAUUGAAAGAAAUGAAAGUUGAUUUUGUAAGUUAAUAAUAAUCCCCUAAUCUCUCUUCUUUCAAUUCUUCUACAUGAUUCACUAUUUGCUAAGUUUUUAUUUCUUAAACUAGGAAUUAAACACAAGCAAGAACAUAAAACAUUGCAUCUAGCUAGUUCAACAUUUGUAGUUGAGAUUUAUAAUUUGUACCUAGUCAUAUCAAUUUAAUUACAAGAUUGAUCUAGCUAGGUACAAACUGCAAUGGACUGUUACCUCCAUCCUGGAAUGUUAACACCACUUUGUAAAGCAUUUGUUGUAAGUACUGCCUGCUCUUUCAGGAGUUGAAAUAUUAUCUUGCCCUCUUCAUAGCUACUUCCAAAUGAUGUUCGAGAAAUAACAUCGUCCGAUAAACUUUGGAGACUAGGCCAAACAUCCAACUCACAUGAACCCUCUUUGUACACAAAGCUUUUCCAUUCAUUAAUCAUCUCAUCACAACUUUGUUGAAUUGCUGGUAACAUAGACUGCAUGUAACAGAAAAGGCAAACCCAGAAACUAUCAAAAUUAUAUGUUGAUCAAACAUAUACAAUAAACCAGAAUGGGGUGGUAAUAAGAGUAAUGUAAUACCUUUAGUUUAUCUAAAUGAAAAGCUGGAUUGAUAAUCUUCUUGUGUCUAGCCCAUUCCUCUCCUUCAAGAGUUGCAAAUCCUGCUGCUAGCAACUUUUUAUAAAUGGGUGCUAGCUUCGGAAAUUCCUCAUAUUUGGUUAAGAUUUCUUUAACAUCUUCAGGAUUAAUAAUGUUCACUUUUGGUUUGGGACCAAACCAAGUGAAAGAAUUCUUACCUGCAUUGUUAUAUAUGUUGACCUUUUAAUCAUUAAUCUUCACUUAAUCAGUUUUUCAGAAGAGAAAUAAAAAUUAACUGUCUAAAAAAUUCUGGCUAUUAGCAGAGAUCAAUCACUAUAAUUCCCUGUGAUAAUGAAUCAAAUCAAUCACUAUAAUUCCCUGCGAUAAUGAAUCAAAUUAACAUAAAAUGAUUGUAUAUACUUGUUCCUUAUAAUAAUAUAUAUUAAAAGAAAAGAAACUUAUAAAUAUAUAUGUAAAAAGGAAAAUCAUAACGAAAAUUGACCAUGGAUGUUGACAGUUCGAUGCACAAAUGGGAUGACUCUUGGGGAAAUAUCAUGACAGUGUUUCAUUGGCUUAGAUUUUGCUUCUCUCAACAUCGCAUAGCUGUCCUUGACGUCUCCAUAGAAAAGCUUGUAGGAAUUUCCCUGAAACCCUUGUUGCCUCAGCAAUCUUUCUAGUAUCUUUGGCCUCAGCCACACCCAGUUGAGUACACUCCAUGAACAACUCAGUAAGCCAAGAACAACAAUGCUCAGUGCAACACCAGCCACUGAAACUUCCAUUGCUGAUCGGAACCAGAGAGAUCGAAUAAACUGGGGAGAUUUUGGAACGAGGAAAAAUGCAGGUUUGCUUUGAUGGUUUGGUUCUCUUUUUCUCCGGGUGAGCGUUUUCUUUUGGGAAGCAAUGUCACCCCUUCACAAUUCUCACGACUCUGAUUUGUCGCCACCCUAAUUUGUAUAUAUUUCAAUAGAAGCCCUUCUAGUGAUGACCCUUAAGUUGAGGACUUGAUGAGGACAAAUCAGAGUCGUGAGAAUUGUGAAGGGGGUGACAAUUUAAGGGUCCUCACUAAAAGUCCUCAUCAUAUUUCAAUACUCAAUAGUCAAUAAUCUGCAUACGGGAAGCUCAUAAAUAUAAAAAUUUAUCUAUAUAUAUAGUGAAGCAAUUCAUCUCUUCUACAAGUAAAUUAAUCUAACAUGCCUUAUAUAUCCUUUCAAAAAAUAAAAUCUAACAUACCAUAUAAAGGAAAAGUGGGAAGAAAAAAGAAAUGUCAUUAUUAAGGACAUAACAUCCACGCAAUGUGUAUAUAGAAAACCGAUCUGUAUGUAUGGUGAUUUUUAUAUAUGAAUGAUUAUGAAUUGGUUAAGAUUAUACCGUGUACUUACAUCUUUGUAAAUACGAGAAUAUAUAUAUAUAGAGAUUUUCUCAGCUGCGGACGUCCGCAUCGAUUUUUUGGUGCGGAUUUCUAUUUUUGCACCACUUCCCGAUCGAAUUUUCUCAAAUUUCCUUCUAGACAUAUCUAGAUCAUCUUGUGUAGAUCAUCUCUGCAAAAUUUCAACCAAUUUGGUGAUCGUUAAAGUCUUCAAAAUCGAAAAACAAAUCUGAUGGACUGAAUUCUGUCCGGUUUAGGUAUAUAACAGAAAAACACAAGUUUGAGGGCUUUAACUAUCACCAAAUUGGCUGAAAAUUUGCAGAGAUGAUCUACACAAGAUGAUCUAGAUAGGUCUAGAAGGAAAUUUGAGGAAAUUCGAUCGGGAANNNNNNNNNNNNNNNNNNNNAUAUAUAUAUAUAUAUAUAUAUAUAUAUAUAUAUAUGAGGUCGAUAAGUUUCACACUAAGGUAAUUACUGAACUAUAUACUUGACAUCAUCAACCUUACUAUAAUCAUGUAUGCCUUUCAUUGCACUGAAAUAAGAGGAAAUGAUAAAUUGUUUUUACAACAUAUGGCGCUCAUGCAAUCUGUACUGAGCUGUGCCUCGCUCCCCAUUUUGGGCAUCCAUUUGGUAUUUUGGAUUUUUUGUACACCUGCAAUAAUCUACCCAGGUCAGCAAGUAGUUUGCAACUUUGCAUAUACACAUAAACGCAUCCACCUGCCAACUACUUUGCCACUUUGCACUCAUGCAGUUCAUGUAAAAAUUUGAGAUGAGCCGUGGUCUGGUUGGUUAAGGUGUUAACUAACAACUUUGAGGUCAUGAGUUUAAAUCUUAUUGACAUAUGUAGGGUGUGUGAGUUAUUUAAUAAAAAGUUUAAAAAAAAUAAAAAAUAAAAAAUCUUUGCACUCAUGCAGUUCAUGUAAAAAUUUAGGGAGUCUUUUGUGGGCUCUCGAGUCAUUGGAUUAGUGUUACAGCCCAAGCUAUGCGAGAGAAAGAUCUUGUAAAUGACAAUUUUGCAACUAAUGUGUGGCACUAUUAUGGCUUUCAUAUUACCCAACAGACAGACAAUCCUCUUUCUUUUAUUGGAUUUUACAUAAUACUAGUGAUUAUACUGUAUUUUCAAAAAUUAUGAUUAUUUUGUUAUCAACUUAUCAUAUAUGGCGUAUGGCGGGCAAGAAAUGAUCUGAUUUUUCAUAACACUGAAAAAUAUUAGAAUUAAAUUCAGUUUACCUCAUUGUGGUUUAGAGGUGAAUUUAUGUUAGUUCCUAAACUUUCAAUUUCAUCAAAUUACCCUCCGAGCUCUUAUUUUUCUGGUAAUUUAGCUUCUCAACCCCCAAAACGUCAUCAAAUUUCAACGUUCUAAUUGAACGGAGCAUGAGUGAUAGGAGACGGCAGACAGAAACACAAGAACUCGAGGAGUAAUCUGAUCAAAUUGAAAGUUUAGGGACUAACAUGAAUUCACUUUUAAAGCACAAUGAGAUAAACUGAAUUUAAUUCAAAAUAUUAAUUGCUACAUGAGUUGCUUUCAAAGCUACUUCAAUCAGGGACGGAACAUAGUGGAGAGAUUUUUUUUGUUCUUCACAAUAGUUUGAGGUAGGGUUUUAUAAAAUAAACAUGUAUAUAAGCACUAGCCCAUAUAAAAAGUUGAAGAAGUCUAACAGCCUAAGUAUUAACAUUAAAUUACAAGAUUCAUGUUUGGAAUAUAAUAAAAAAAUCUACCCAAAUCUACUCCUUAACUUUUAAAGGGCACCUCCACAUAUCUUUUUAGUAAAAAGAUAUAAUCAUUCGCCUUCAUCAACUCUAAAUAUAACAUGUUCACCAACGAAAAAAAAAAGUAGUCUCCCCUGUUCGAAAAAAAUCUCCAAGUCUCCAUCACUCGUUACUGAAAAGUUUGAAUUUUCAUAUGUACAUUUUUGAAUUUACACAAGCAUUAUUUGCAAAAAAUUCUACAAAAGCAUUAUUUUCAUACAUUUUGAAUUUUUUUAUCAAAAAAAAGUUUAGCCCAGAUAGUUUUGUAAUCUUGGUUCCGUCCCUGACUUCAAUGGUUCACAAUUAUGUUUAUUCUUCAUCUUCUUCUCCUACAAGUAGCACACAUACCGUUAUAAAAUGGACACCGCCUCGUCCUCAAAUUUUAAAAAACUUAACUUUGAUGGCUCACUGUUUAAUAAUGCUCAACCUUCCGCAAGUUUUAUAAUUUGAAAUGAUCAAGGUUGUUUUGUUGUUGACACCGCAAAGUUACUAGGUCACUCAAUGUCCUUGUUGCUAAAGCCUUUGGCCUUAGAGAGUAAAGAUGGGUUACAAGCUGCUUUGAUCCACAACAUUAUUGAUGUCAAAGUAAAGAGAGACUCAAAGCUUAUGAUAGAUUCGAUCAAUGGCAAAAUUCAAGUUCCUUGGUGUAUCAGUAUCUUAGUUUAUCAUGAUGUCAGAACAUUGUCUACUAAAUUCUAAUCUGCAUAAUUUAUCCAUGGUUUGAGAGAGGCAAACUUUGACGCGGAUGCCUUGGCUUCUCUUGCCAUCACAUUAUUACUAGUGGUUCUUGAACUACUACUCUGCCAAAUGCGUUUUGAUCAUGGAGGUUUUUCUAUGUAUUUUCUAAACUAGUGAUUUGAAUAGAGUACUACAUUAUCAAAAAAAAAAAAAAAAAAGAAUUAGAGGACUUCCUGCAUUUUGAUUGGUUAAUGGUGGGUCUCAAAUGCCAACCAAAGCUUUCAAUUUUUCUAGGUCCCUGCUUCUUCCACAAGUCUUUAACUAACUGGAUAUCAACAAACAAUUAAUCGAAAUAAAAACUGGGAAUCAACCCACAUAAACACUCUUUGAUUACACAAACUCUGUUUAAACUUGUCUUUACUCUUCUUAUCCUGUUCUUGAAAACGAAAGACAACGAAUCCAUCUACGUCUUGGAGAGACAGAGGCUUCAUAGCCUCUGAUUGGAUCUCCCCCACUUGGACACUUGAAGUCUACCUGGGUGUGCUUGACUGACUUUUCCUUAUGAGCAUUCCAUAUCAUCUCCUCGUGAGCAUUAUAUAUUAUCAAUUAUCUCUGUGUUAAUUUGAACCUUCCACUCCUCAUUGCCUGUGCAGCUCUUCAUCUUCCUCAUCCUCUUCAGUUCCAUUUCUUUCUUGAUACAAAUGGCCUCCAAUGAAAAUCGCUCAACAAGGCAACAAAGGGACUGUCGUGUCAAACGUAAAUGCCAUCUUCUUUUAUUUUCUCUUGUUUCAAAUUCAUUUACAUAAUGUUGAGUAUUGCAUGUCAAGAAACCAUGCUCCCUCUCCUUACCGCAUUUUUGUUGUAGCUGGAAAAUAUGGAACAAAUCUAUCAACAUCGACAGAUGGCGAAUUCAUCCAGUUUGAUGAAGGAUGGGAGUUUCUGCAGAAGGGGAUCACAAAGCUGAAGAGGAUCCUAGAAGGACUACCAGAAACUCAGUUCACCUCAGAGGAAUAUAUGAAGCUCUACUCCACUGUUUACAAAAUGUGUACUCAGGAUCCCCUUGAUGAUUACUCUCAGCAACUUUAUGACAAAUAUCGGGAGACAUUUGAGGUUUACAUUAUUUCAACAGUGCUGCCAGCUCUAAGAGAAAAGCCUGAAGAGUCGAUGCUGCAGGAACUUGUCAAAAGAUGGAAAAAUCAUAAAAUUAUGGUAUGGUGGCUGUCACGCUUCUAUCACUUUAUUGAUUGCUACUUCAUCGCAAGGAGGUCACUUCCCACCCUAAAUGAAGUUGCACUUAAAUCCUUCCGGGAUUUGGUUUAUUGUGAGGUGAAUGCUAAUGCCAGAGUUGCUUUGAUUGAUCUGAUUCACAAAGAACGCGAAGGAGGGCAGAUCGACAGAGAGCUAGUGAAGAAUGUGGUAGAACUGUUGGUUGAAAUCGGAAAUGGGAAAAUGGAUGCUUACGAGAAGGACUUGGAAGCUCACAUACUGGAAAACACUAGCGAUUACUAUUCUCUUAAAGCAUCAAGUUGGAUUAUAGAGUAUUCUUCUCCAGAUUACAUGUUGAAGGUCGACGAAUGCUUGAGAAUGGAGAGGGAGAGAGUUGCUCAUUACCUGCAUUCAAGCAGUGAGCAGAAGCUGGUGAACAAAGUUAAAGAUGAGUUGUUGGUGGUUUAUGCAAACAAUGACAUAAAGUAAUGAUGGAGAUUGGAGACAUUUCUGUCCCAUUUGCUUUCCAAGUGUGUUAUUGGCAGCUAUAUAAUAUUUGGUGUUUAAAAUGUACCUAGUAGAUAAUUACAUGGAAUUUGAAGGCAUUACAAUUUACAAGUCAACAGACUUAAGCCAAGAAAACAAAAUAAAGUGAGAGAAAUGAUGAAUUAUGGACCCUUUAAUGCCGUAUUGGAGAGGUAAGGGAAGCAGAGAAGGUGCCCAUAGACACCAGUCUACAAGAAAACCCAUUUUCCUAACAGAAAAAUCAACCCCUAUAUACACUCUAGCCAAAAGUCUGUUAAAGCUCAAGUCAUCCCCAUUUCUUUAUAGACUACUUUAUAUACACCAGGAAUUGUUUAAUCUUUCUCUCAAUUUCUUCUGGUUCUAGGCGGCCAAAGCUCAAGUCUUUUCUCGCCAAAAAAUCGCCAAAAAAAAAAAAGCUCAAGUCUUUUCGGUCUUCCCCACUUGGAGUCUUCUUGUGUAUCCUAGACUUAUUCCUAGUUCUGCUCUUUCCUUGCAUCACAUUUUUUCCUUAUAUAACAACCAGAGGAAACCCCUUGCAGUUGUGUUUCUCAUUACCAAGCUAUGCAUUCCUUCAUCUUCUUCAUUCUCUUCUUUCCUUCCAUCUUUCUUGAGACAGAAGCCUCCAGUGAAAUCUGUGAAACAAAGAAGUGCGCUGUUGGAGCUCCUGAGAUUCGGUUUCCUUUCCGAGUAAAAAGCCAGCAGCCCCAACACUGUGGUCACUGUGGUUUUGAUCUUGACUGCAGCAACAACAGAACCACAAUCCACAUCCCAUCUUAUGGUGACUUGGUCGUGAAAUCUAUCUCCUACGAUAGCAAGAUACUUGAGCUUCUUGACCCCAAGAACUGUGUCCAUGGAGUCUUUCUUAAUCUUAAUCUCUCCCUUACACCACUUCAAUACUACUAUGUCAUGAAAGAGUACUCGUAUCUCAAUUGUUCAGUUAGGCUACCAAGAUCUUUCACAGAAGUUCCCUGCUUGAGUGGCUCUAGCUACCAUGUGUACACUGUUGAGCCUACUUUUGCUGUACCAAAUUCUUGCAGGGUAGUGAAAACUGUUCCUAUUCCUUUUGAGUAUAGUCCCUAUCUGGCUGAUAAUAGCUUCGGUCUGGGAUUAACCUGGAACAUACUUGGCCAUGAAGAUUCUCAUGAAGCAAAAGUAGGCUCAUUGCAGACUGAAACAGAACAAGAAACUGAUUGCUUCACAAUGGCACAUGUUAAAGGUAAAUUCUAUCUUCCUUUUGCUUUUGCCUUUUCAGUUCCCUCACAACUCUUUAGGAAAUUAGUCUUCUACUUACAUAUUAUGGAGGAAACUAAAGUGGAAACAAAAGGAAUAUUGUUCAACUUCCAAGAUCAGAAACCAUUAGAUACUUUCGAGGGAGAGACUAUGAUAUCUUAGGACUUAAGUAUUCACUUUUCAUGAAGGCAUUAACACAUAAAACCAAAAACAAAUCAUGACAUAUAGUAAGCAAAAUAUUAGCCAACUUGUAGCAGAAUCAAUGACAAUAUGCAUAUGCACAUAUGAUGAACUGAAAUAUACAAUAAACACUUGCAGCACUUCAAUAUAAUGGAAACUGCUACUGGAUAGUGAAUGUUGGUUAAUGUAUCGGAAAUGAAAUAUUAAAGGAUAUCAUGUCAGCAACUAUUUUCUCAUUAAUUAGUCUUUUGUUAAUCUUAUGUAUAAUAAACAAAAAAGAGAAAUGUUGUACUAGGGAAGAAUCUGAUAGAAGAUUCCAAAGAUUGUAGAAUUCUAUCCUACCCUUUAUUACUAUAAUGUCAAGAAAUCAUUUUAUGUUACUGUCAAGUUGUUUAAUUGACAAAAUAGACUUUGACUAACUGGUCAGUCAUCCAUAAGAACCGAAGGAAACUUUGGUUCUAGUCACCGUGUGCCCCUCCUGACCUUUCUAACCAUCUUCCUAGCAACUCAACAAGGAACUUUUGCCAGUGUUCUAUACUAUUCAAUGAAUUUGCAGUUUUGCAUUGAAAUGGUUUCUAAUACUUGUGGCUUGAUCUGUGCAGUGUGUGUUGCAAUUCUUAUUUUCGUGGCGGCAGCAGUUAUUAUAAGAGUAAACAUGAAUCAGUCCAUAAAACGACAUAAUCAGAAACAAGUGGAAAAUCAAAUUCAGGUUGAGGAACUGCUGGGAGAGUACAAAGCCAACAAGACUGGAAGAUAUCAUGAAGCUGAUCUUAAGCAAAGCAACAGCCAGUGUGAAACAGUUAUGGACAUUAAAAUCAUGAAGACUCAGAAAGUGCAAGUAUGAUAUUUAAAGCCAAAAAAGAUGUCCCCCAUGUUAAGAUGCAGUUCUGAUGUUGCUGGUAUACACCAGUUCCGAUGAUGCAGUCCUAUGUAAAGAAUAUAAGGCCUAUACACAACAGGCACUAAUCUCUAUUAUGCUUUUUACGGCUACUAAAAUUUCAAGUAUGUAAUAGGAGUAGAGAUUUCAGUACCCUACAGUUUUACCUUUUGAUGUUGCUACUGGUGAAUAACCAUCCACUGUUGAAGUAGUGAGGUUUUUGUACUUUACAUACAUCGAUAAAGCCGGUUUCGUUUUAUUACCACAUGAUUUUAUUCCAGCACGCUUUGCUCUGCAAUUAGAGUAAGCAUCACCUAAUUGGAAACUAUAACUGUGUUAUGAGAAAACAAUGAACUCAGAUACGAUGUUAUAAACAUAAUGCAAAUGGGUGAAAAAAGAAAAAAAAAUUAUGAGAUAGAGAGGUUGUUUAUUUUCUACUACUAGCAAUGAGCUUAUCUUCAAUGAACACAAACCAAAGCAGAAAUGGUUUGAUAAGCCCCAUUGCCCCUCCUCAGAUAAAAAAAAGUAUGAUCCUUUUCUUCAAUUCAUCUUCCCUGCAUGACAAGAAACUGCACUUAAGGGGAUCCGAAAUCCAAAUUAUUGGUUCCCAUUUCAGUUAGGGGCCAACAGCUCUAACUGUGGUCACUAGGGCCAUCAUAUAUGAUAUAAAACUGCUUGAUCAAGCUCCUUGAUCCACAGAAUUAUGUUAUGAAGUCCCCAAUACUAGUAUGUUGAGAAAAACUAUUAUCUCAACUGUCAUGGACUUUACUCCCAUUGUACAAUUGCACAGACUCCUAUUUAGGUCAUCAAAUUGCUGCCUAACAUUUGUAUCUCAUUAAAUCACACUGCAUUAAAUAACUAAAACAUCAUGUUAUCAUGAUGCCACACCCAGACAUUUAGCAGAGUUCAUUCAUUCAACUCUUCUCAGAUUUGAAGACACAAUAAGAGGGUCAUUACUUCUGCAGAUGUUGCAGCCAUUCUUUCCUUGUCAUCAUCAUCACCAUAUCUUCUACAUCUUUUCCUUCAAUCUUACAAUUUUAUGGAAACAAAAGAUUCUUCAUUUGGUAAUUUUGGAUUCCAAUAAUUCCAGUAGACCUGAACUGGAAGACAUGCCCUCAGUGGAUACUUAAUCAAAACUACAUUGGAACAGAAUCUGUUUCUCAACUCAUUCACUUGCCCUCUAAAACUCCUACGUUAUUACAAUAGCAUUAAAUUUGCAAUACCUUGUACCCCAAACCAAAGAUCAAAACAACCCCUAUAAUGUUGGAACUGCUUACAAACUCCCUGCUACUCAAAACCUUGAAGCACACAACACAUGUCCAUGCCGAAAAAUGAGAAAUCCAAAGAUCAAUCUACAACUAAAAUGAAGUAAACAUUAACCAACCAGAGAAACACCCAAAAUCUGCAUCUGGGUCUAUAAUUCUCUCCCAGCACUCCCUAAUUCAAUAAACAUUUGUAUACUUUAACUUUCAAUUUAAGCAAGAAAACAAGGGCCUUAAUUUGUGAUGUUCCCACACACAUGAACCUAAGGAUAUUAUCCAACAAGUUAUUUUUUUUUUUUUUUUUUUAAGAGACUAAUGAAAUAUCACACUGGAAGUUUGCCACUAAAUAUCCCUAUGCAGUGUCAACUAACCCAAAAAAAAUGACCAUCCAAAUCUAUUCUAGUAAUCAUAACUGAGCUAGCAUUGGAACCCAUGGAGGCAGAACGGAAAGCACUGACAGUAAGGGAGAGGGCCGGUAUACCUGGAAGGGAGAAAGAAAGAAGAAGCCUAGAGAUGGAGGGGUUGAGUUAUUGAGAGUUCUGAUGUUAAUGAUACAAAGCCUAUUUAGUUAUAUAACAGCAAUUGGUCUAAAAGGGUCCUUUGGCUACCAAAAUUUCAGUGAUGUGCUUAAGAUAGAGAAUUUUGACAGACUGAAUAUGUUUACCUGUUAGUUGCUGGUUUUGAAAUAACCAUCCACGUUUGAAAAUCCACCACUUCAUUUGUCUGGAAAUAGUCGUAGUGGUCUGCAAAGGCAUAUCUUACAAGAAUCAGAAAUACUUGAGUUACUACUUAAUACCAAUCAGCGACUCAAGAGUUAUAGCACUAUAAUCUAUAGCAGGAUACAAAUCAGUGAAAAUCAUGAGAGAGAAAGAGAAAGAGAGAGAGAGAGAGAGAGAGAGAGAGAGAGAGAGAGAGAGAUGUGUACAAUUUCUAGCAGUGUACUAUCUAUUCCCAUCACAGCAAAGCACAGUCAGUUUGAUAAGCACAUGCAAUUCUGGCCCUCCUUAAAUAAAAUCAUUGUCUGCAGUUCCAGCUUCCUUGAUGGCCUUUACAGGGAACAGCAUAAUACCAAAUUGCAGAAAUGAGGCUCCCAAUUUGGGAUUUCAUUUCCAAGUAAGAGGCCAAUAUCCCCACUGCAAAAACAACACUUCUAUAAUACUUCUGAUCAUAUGGUGUCACCUGGUCAUAUAACCAAAUCUUAUCGAAAACUUAAGCACAGUGAAGUCCACAAUAUAACUAUGUUGUGUAAUAGUACCAGCUCUGUCGUUUGGCUAACUACAGCAUUCUUACAUAGUAAGAUUGACUAGAUUCAUACUACAGCUCCUGAUUUCUCAUUCUGAAGAUGCAAGAUCAUGGCCAUUGCUUCCUCAGGUGCAAAUGCUCCAUCAGCAUUUAGAUGUUCGAAUCAAUGGACCCGAAUAGCAAGACAGGACAUUUUGAGCGCAUACAACACCCAAAAUAACAUUUUGAACAACCCUCAGUCCCCCAUUACGCAAUUCACUUGCUUUCCCUGUAAACUCACAUGAAAAUCAACAAGCAAAUUAGUGCGAAUCAGCCAAACCAAUCUGACAACCUCUUUGUUUAACACUAAAUCAUCUGCAUUAACGUUUGGAACCAUUCAAGACCCUAAAUUUUGAGCACACACUACACCUAAACCACAUUUUGAAGAAAACCCCAUUUACUCAUCACUUGCUUUGCUUAUAAAGACAAACAUGACAAGUUUAUAUAUAUUAUAAGACAAAGUACAGUAAUUGGAAACAACCAAACACCAAAAUCCCACAUCCAAACUCACUGCUAAAAACCCACUCAAGCUCAAUACCCAGAAACAAUAUGCAAAAGAAUCCUAUACAAUUGAACACAGCAAACGACAACCAACAAGCAAAAACGACAUACAAUCUGGACCUGGGUAAAUAACCUAAUCCAAUACAAACCAACAAAACAAGGACCCUUCUAUGAAAUUCCCCAAUAGAGAAAGAAGAAAAGGAUUCACCUUUACAUGUUCAGAAAUCAGAACCACAAAGCCUCCUGAUUUCCACAGUAGGAACUUACCCAGAGUGACCCACUUGGGAGAUAUUUCAAGUGAAAAACAAAGCGUUGAAAACAAGGGAGGUAAAGUUGUUUUCUUUUGUGAUGAGAGAAGGGUAGACUGGGUAGUAGUGAAAAAAAGGGUAUAAAAUACAAAAAAAGAAAAAGGGUGGUACUUAUAUCUGAAUUGAUCGAUUGGGUUAGGGUAUUGGACACCAUUCUCAAUUGGGUUUCUAUUGCAGUUCUGACUGAGAGCUCUUUCUAUCUUCUCCUUCCUUUAUGUCUCAUCUGGGAUCAACCUGGGUCACAGUUCAUCACACCCAUAAUACAGAACAGAAGAGAUAAUGCUUCUUCUUCUUCUUCUUCUUCUUCUUCUUCUUCACCAGAGCAAUUGUGAAAGGUGAGGUCUUUACUUUCAUCUUUAUCAUUUUCAUUUUCUUUUGAGUUGGGUAUUGAAAUGAAUCAGAUACCCAAUUAAUCUAUCUCUGUAAAACUAAAAACUGAGGAGAAUUUCAUGAGGUUGGCAGAGUUAGGAAUCUCAAGGUACUCUAAAGAAAUGAGAUUUUGGUGUUACUUUUUUGGUCUAUACAUAUUGUUUUUAUAGAAUUGAUAGAAAUAAGGAAACUGCCAUGAUAGUAACUUUAGUGUUAAUCAAGAAAGUACAGAACUUUGAAUGAUGUAGCUGUAGAUAUGGUUAUGGGCUGUGCUUGUUAUAUGAGUAGUCAAUUUCAUUGAGCAUAAUCAAAACGUUGAAAUUUUGAUGAGGAACUGGCAUUUCAAAUGCAUUGGAUUAGUUUACAACAAAACCGUCAUAGUUAUUAUCAGUAGAUGAUGAAGUGGCUGCCCAAUUUAAGACUAUUGUCGCCAUAUAUAGGGGAUUACGUAGACAGAUCUUCCUUUGUGAGACCCUUUGCUGCUCUGGAGCCGAUUAUGUCCAUUUCAUUGAUGGGUUGCUGCUGUGAUGUUUAAAAGAGGCUCGCCUCUUGACAUGUACUCUCUGCAUACUAUUUGGCUUUUCAUUUCCUUUAUGUGAAACUAUAAAUAGCCAUGAAUAUUAAAACAUCAAAAAUGAAAGAAUGUUUGACUGUAUAGACAACUUGUAAAAGAAUUUUUACCUAUAUAGACAUAUCUUUUGUAUGUAGUUAAUCAAAGGUUCGUGCUCUGAUCAGGAUUUUGAUGUACAGAGUUUGAAGACAGAAGAUUUCUCAAACUAUGGCGAGGGACUCAGGUAAUUCCUUAGUAAUAUCAUCUUGUAUUGAGUAUAUGAGUUCCAUGAAAAACAAGGUGAUAUAGUGUACGACUUGCUUUAAUAAAUCUUACAACUCAGAAAAGAAUAGAUGGUAGAAAUUGAGCGCUUAUGUUAACAAAACUAUUCUUAACUGAACUUGUUAUCUUAUGUGUUAUCAUUCUAGUUGCAGGGUAUGGAAUAUUUGUGACCACAAAAACCGAACUCGAAGUUAUCGAGUGGGAUCAAGGAUGGGACUAUAUGCAAAAGGGGUUCACAAAGCUGAAGAGAAUUCUAGAAGGAUUGUCCGAGUCUCAGUUUACAUCAGAAGAAAAUAUGAUGCUUUACACAACUAUCUAUAACAUGUGUACUCAAAAGCCCCCAUAUGAUUAUUCUUGGCAACUUUAUGACAAGUACGGGGAAGUAUUGGAUGAAUACAUUACUUCAGCGGUCUUGCCCUCUUUAAGAAACAAGCAUGAUGAGUUUCUGCUGCUGGAGUUUGCUAAAAGAUGGGAGACUCAUAAGGUUAUGGUGAAGUGGCUAUCAUUCUUUUUUAAUUAUCUUGACCGUUUCUUUGUAUGUCGAAGAUCACUGCCAAAGCUAAGGGAAGUUGGACUUGCCCGCUUCCGUGAAUUGGUUUAUCGGGCUGUGAAGGCUAAUGUGAGAGCUGCUGUUAUUGCUAUUAUUAAUAAAGAACGUGAGGGGGAGCAGAUUGACAUAGCACUAUUGAAGAAUGUGGUAAAUAUAUUUGUUGAAAUGGGAAUGGGACAAACUGAUGCUUAUGUAGUAGACUUUGAAGCUCACAUGCUAGAAGCUACAUCUGAGUACUAUUCUCGAAAGGCAUCAAGUUGGAUUUUGGAGGAUUCGUGUCCAGAUUACAUUUUUAAGGCAGAGGAAUGCUUGAGAAGGGAGAGAGAGAGAGUAUCUCAUUACCUGCAUUCGAGUAGUGAGCAGAAGCUGAUGGAGAAAGUGCAAUUCGAGUUGUUAGUGGUUUAUUCAGGUCCACUGCUUGAAAAGGACCUUUCUGGAUUUCAUGCUUUGCUUAGAGAUGAUCAGGUGGAGGAUCUUUCGAGGCUGUAUAGACUUUAUAAUAAGAUUCCACAUGGCUUGGAUCCGAUUGCCAAGUUAUUUAGAGAGCAUGUUACCGCGGAAGGUAUAACCUUGGUCCAACAAACAGAAAAUGCUGCAAAUGACCACUCUUCAAAUGGAUCUGGAAUGCAGGAACAAGUUCUUGUCAAAGAAAUAGCCGAGCUGCAUGAUAAGUAUAUGGCAUACGUCAGUGAUUGCUUUAUGAACCACUCUUCCCUUCGUGUGGCUAUUAAAGAAGCUUUUGAGGCAAUUUGCAAUAAAACUGUUGCAGGCAGUUCUUGUGCUGAAUUACUUGUAGCACUAUGUGAUAAUAUCCUCAAAACAGGUGGCCGUGAGAAAUCGGGUGAUGAGGCUAUAGAAGAAACUCUUGAGAAGGUUGUUAAGCUGCUUCCUUAUAUCAGUGACAAAAACCUUUUCUCAGAAUUCUACAGGAAAAAACUUGCUCGUCGGCUGAUUUUUAAUCAGAGUUUGAAUGAGGACCUUGAAAAGAGUACUUUAGCAAAGCUGAAGCAGCAAUGUGGUGGACAGUUUACCUCCAAGAUGGAGGGGAUGGUCACUGAUUUGACAUUGGCUCGGGAGAAUCGGACUGGCUUUGAGGAAUACCUUCACAGUAAUCCAAAUGUGAAUCCUGGGAUGGAUUUGACAGUCACUGUUCUUACGACUGGCUUCUGGCCAAGUUAUAAAUCUUUUGAUCUUAACCUUCCUGUAGAACUUGUCAAGUGUGUCGAAGUUUUCAAGGGAUUCUAUGAAACCAAAACAAAAAACAGAAAACUCACCUGGAUUUACUCAUUGGGCACUUGCAACAUCAUCGGGAAGUUUGAGCCAAAAGUGAUUGAAUUGGUUGUAUCCACCUACCAGGCUGCUCUCCUGCUGUUGUUCAAUACUGCGGAUAGAUGGAGCUAUUCAGAAAUAUCCACGCAGUUGAACCUUAACCAUGACGACUUGGUUAGAAUUCUUCAUUCUCUGUCAUGUGCCAAGUACAAGAUCCUUGUUAAGGAGCCAAAUACAAACACUAUUUUGCCAAGUGACACCUUUGAGUUCAACUCUAAGUUCACACACAAAAUGAGAAGAAUUAAGAUUCCUCUCCCACCGGUGGAUGAAACAAAGGAGGUAAUUGAAGAUGUUGACAAAGAUAAGCGAUAUGCCAUUGAUGCUGCUGUUGUGCGGAUAAUGAAGAGUCGUAAAGCUUUGCGUCAUCAUGAAUUAGUUGUGGAGUGCGUAGAGCAGUUGGGACAUAUGUUCAAGCCUGAUGUCCGAGCAAUUAAGAAGCGGAUUGAAGAUCUCAUCACCCGCGACUACCUGGAGAGGGACAAGGAAAAUCUUAAGAUGAUCAGGUAUCUUGCAUAAUUCAAGUGCUGGAUUCCUCACUCAUAUAACUUUGGAUAGAGAGUGGAACAUGAAUAUAUGUAAUUAUAGUUUCUUUGAAUGUUAGAAUUGCUGUGAAGUAUGUGUAUUAGAAAUUAUGACUUCACAGGGGGAGAGUGGACUUUUUUCUUUCAGUUACCUAUUACAGCCAGUUUUGUAACAUUUGCCGAGGAGAUUUACAUGAAAUGUGAGAGAAUGUCGUCUGAUUUUUAAUUUCUAUUGUUCCUUGUUCUUUUAUUUGAAUCUACAGAUGUCAUGACAUAUUCUAGAAGAGUAGAAGACAUACAUUUUUAUAACCCAUGUAUGUGUAUGUAUGCUCUCUGAUUUCAUCUUUAUUUGUUGUCUGAGGCAUUAUGUUUAUAUGGCGAUUCAAGAUAUCUUCAUGUAAUGCCUUGAUGUCCAACGUUAUCAGCUGAAACUCGAGCAGAGAAUGGAAAGAACCAGCUCCAGAUAAACUAGGAGAUGGUCCUUGCUCCUCAGAGCUUGAUCUUAGCUAAGAGGCCGAGAAAGAUAUACAAAACCUAAACCAUAUAUAAAGUUACACAAUGCAAGGAAGUCAAUAACCAUGUUCUUACUCUGUUUUUGAAGACCAGCUUAAAAUUUUAAAAAAAUAAACAACCUCAGUACAAUGUAAACCAGAGAAACAAGGUACGCCCUUUACUAAACUAACUAGCCAGCUUGAAAUGUUGUACCCUACUAAACUAACACGAAUUGUUCUGUGAUUAUUAAUCAUAAAAUAUACUGUUACAAAUCCAUUUUCACUACAUAUGUAUUCAGAUCUUUCUAUAUCAAAAUACAUACAUACACCAGUUGCAUUACUUGGAGAAAGAAAAAACAAAAGGACAACAAUACUAACGAUCAUUAAAAGUACUCCGUGCACCCGCUUUCAUUAGAGUCAGUACUGAAAACUUGAACCAACACAUCAGGAGCUGCCCCAGUUGCCAAGGUUAGCUCGGGGCUCGGCAUCAAUUUCGUAAACUGGCUCUUGUUCUGGUCUGGAUCAGAAGCCUUAUUAUUGGAACAUCCACUUAAGUCAGAACCCCUAUUGAUCUCGGAACAUUCACUUAAUAAUUUCAUAUAUUUCAGCUUCUUCUUCUUCCUCUCUGUAUUAGAAGCCUUAUGCUCUGGACAUUCACUUGAUUUUGUAGAUUUCUGCUUCUUCUGUUCUAAUUCAGAAGCCUUAUUCUCUGAACAAUCACUUAACUUCGUAGAGUACUUUCUCUUCUUCUCCGUCUUGUCUGCAUCAGCAGCCUUAUUUUCUGGACAUUCACUGAACUUCUGUGAGUACUUUCUCUUCUUCUGCUUCUUCUGGUCCGCAUCAGAAGCCUCAUUAUUGACUUUUGAACAUCCACUUAAGUUCAUAAACUUGCGCUUCUUCUGCUUCUUCUUAUUCUCUGAACCUGAACCUGGAACUGGACUAGUCCCAUCCCCCAUUGGCAUGAAGUCGUACACUUUAAUUGUUUGAUCAUCAGUAGCUGGAGGUGCCCAGCUGAUUGGUUCUGGUGACAGCACCACAUCAUUGUCAGCGGCAUACUUCAGCUCAUCGAGCUCUGCUUGGCGAAUUAAACGGAUCAAACGCUCACUUUUUUCUUUGCGGUGAGCAGUUUGGUGCCCUCCUAAGGCCUGAGUGCUUGAGAAAGCCCUAGAACAAAGACGACAUGUGUAAAGAUUAAAGCUGAAAGACUCAAUGCUCCGUCUCAUGGGUGCAGCUAUCAAUGGGUCUCCCAUGUUUGGGUUGCAUAAAAUCUCAGCAGAGGUCAUAUGGACGGUCUGGAACUAAAAAGGAGAAAUGAAAGCAAAAGAGGAGGAGGAGAGACCUCUGGAGCAACUUGUAGUUUGGGGACAACAAAGUGGAUACUACGCUUUUAUAGAUUACUAAUCCUAAUUCACAUGGGACAAGCAAAUCUUAAACAAGUAGACGCGCGUGUUAAGACUAGCUAGCCUAACUAGGAAUCCUAACUAGCUAAGGAAUUGGAAUAGGGAACCAAAAUAUAUUAGUUAAUUAUUAGCUGAGCUUAGAAGAGAAGGAUCCAGGAACAGGAAGCGCCAGGAAGUUGAAGAAGCAGCCGCGCCGCUGGUCAUCCUCCUCCGGUGGCAAGAUCUGCCGCGGGGCGAUCCGAGAAGUAGGAUGAUUAUUGUGCCCCCCGAAGAUUAUAUGCCUCCUCCUGGGAAAGGGAAAGAGGAUUACAUCAGAAUGGGAAACCAAAUGAGUGAGGGAUAGGGAAAUCACAAGAACCACCGUUGGCUAAUUACAUCAGAAUGAGUGAGUUUCUCCUGGCCUAGUCCAGAUUGGCACCGGACUUUUGAGUGCCCAAACCAGCUGACUCCUGAGCUAAAGGAAAGGCUAAAAGAAUCAAGAAGCAAGUUGGGAAAUAGUAGGGCAUAUUAACCAUUGAAUCUAUGGAUCGUUGUUUGAUCAACAAAGUAGAAUCUUGCUAGUUCGGGUUUACUUGACACAUGAAGUCAUAAAUAUAUAUUUCUCCAUUACAAUGUUGGACAAAGGCCCUCGAUCAGUACUCAAAAUACUCAUUGCGAUUCAAAGUCAUUGCUAUUUGCUAAUGACUAUAAAACCUUAUCGAGAGGCCUAGCUUGGUUCCAAUUUUUCUCAUCAAACUGUCAUGUAUGUACCAAAUACAAUAUCUUAAUUUGAAGCCAAUUAUAUACAGCAAUCUGCAUGUGUUAAAUUGCUAAAUUGACUUCAAAGAAAUGCAAUCACACUAUUGAAACGAAGUUAUAUAUAAUACCCACCCGUGGGAGCCCUAUGACCUGAGGGUUUAAGAACGUGUUAAAUGCACUUCACCAAAAUGAACAAACCAAGAUAACCACACCUUAUCGAGUAAAACUCACUCGCUCUCUAAUCACACCUUAUUGAAUAAAGACUCACUCGCCUCUAAUCAUUUUAAUGUUCCGCUUGGAGAUUGGGGCGGAGAUGGAGGUCUAGCCCCAAUAGAGAUGGAUGACCUCAGUAUAUUUUGAUUGGGGAUGGGGGUGGAGAAUGACCCCGGAUGGUAUUGUGAUCCCAUCCCCUACCCGCCCUAUUGUCUCCUCCCUACCUAAACCAGUGAUCACAGUAGACAAGAACCAAUAGGAUUCAAAUGUAACAUAACCUAUUUCAGAAACUUGGAUCGAUACAUCAUUAUUACAGUCAACCUUAAGAAACUGCUAGCAUAUUUGUAAAGGCAACCUCUCUAUUACAUUAACAAACGUACAAGAAAACAUUGAUGUUAAGAUAGUUCCUGGAAAUGACACCAUAACCAUAACACAACAACUAACGAUACCACAACUAACCAAAACCCUAGUCGCUCGCUCAAAGAGCUAAGAGGGAAGACAAACCCAACAAAACCAAAAGAAAACUAAAAAAGAAAAAAGAAAAUAAAUAAGACACCCGACCUUAGCCAAACUAGAGCCCAGGACCAAUCUCCAACUAAUGGACCAUAGACCCACAAGCGAGACCUAUAGAGGUCGGAUCCAAGCAACCGCAACCACUCGGGGUUGCAGGCAGCAAUCAUUCCCAUGAAAGACCAAAUCACAAGCCGGGGCAAACACCUACACAAUUCUCAAAAAAGUAUUUAUAUCAGCUUCCGCAUUUUAACCAGUUUUGUUCACGUAGAUGGCUGUAUCAAGUAAUAGGGUGAGAUUUCAUAUUAGUUGUUCGGUUUAAUUGCAUCUUAGUGUGUACAACAAUUUUCGCCACUAUAAUGAGAAAGGAUAAAUUUUUUCAUUUUUCUUUUUCAUCCAACCAUAACCCCAAAAGCUUACGUGGCAUCAUCCUAUCUCUUCCGCCAUCAUCCGACGGCCAAAAUACAAUCCUGGUGUAACCGGCACCAACAAAACCAAGCAGAUUAUCUGAUCCAAAGCAAUAUGACACUGCCCAUUUGACCAUUUCCCAUUGGUGACUUUUAUGGUUGAGCAAUUAAAUUUCAAUGGGUUACUUAGACAAACAAUGAAGAAGCAAACCUGAUAUCCUCAAUAAAUUCUGAGCAGCGCAACAGUCCAAUUAACCAGUCCGCGGUGGCUCAACCCAUACGUGCCCCCGUGUUUUCUGCUUCGUCUCCACCAAUCCCACACCGCCAAUUGUCACUUUCACUAUCAAGAUCGUUUCUUUAUUGUAAAUACUUCAAUUCUUGCACACAGUGAUUGGUGUAGAGAAAGAUCAAGAAUUUUUCAGAGAUAGCUAACACUUAACACUACCCAAUACGAUCAUGAAGUUUGAUUCAUUGUCUUCCAUUGGCUUCUUCUUCAUCUUGGCUUUUGCAUUCAUACCAUGUUCAGUUUCAGUGCCCUUCAUAGUACUCCAUGGUAAUUUUGCGGUUUAUUAGCUGAAAGAUUCACUUUUUUUGUUUAAGUAUCUGUUUCUGUAUCUGGGUUUAGCUUAUAUAAUCUGGGUUCUUGAUGUUAUUAUGUUUUCUGUAUGAUUCUACAACUGUUGAUUAAUGUUUGGUAUAGCAGCUUCUUGUGGUUGUUGGUGUGAUUUGCUGUAUUAGAGAGGUUUGAGAACUAAUAGGAACUUGAUCAUUAUUAGUUUGAUGUGGUAUUGAAGGAGUUCAUGUAGACACUAAUGUAUAUAUUGUAGUAUGUCUAUACAUUUAACAUGUGUUAAUCUAAUUAUCAAGAGAUUUCAUGAAAUUCUUUUCUGCAAACUCGAAUUUUUGUCUGUUGCGAAAGAAUUAUUUUGUUAAAUAAAUGAGUUGAUUUGUCAAACCGGCAUAUGAAGAUGAUCAAGCUUAUUAUUUUAUCAAGUACUACAUGCUUCUAAUUUGGAGGAGCACUUGAGAUCUGGAUUGGUUUUUGUGUCUUUUCUGUGUAUUAGUAAUCAAUGUGAAGCAUGAUCACUAAGACGGAUGAUUUUGUGAUGAACUUUGAAUUUAUAGAAUCAAUGUGAAGUUUUAUUGCAAGAUAAUUUCAGUUGGAAAAAGCUGACAUGGUGCUGAAUUUUGAGAUUUAAACUGUUAAAGAGAGGAAAACCAACAGCAGCAUGGAUGUUCUCAUAUGCUGUUGCAUUCCUCGACAUGCAGCAUCUGACUGCAGCUGACUGUUUUAUUCACCGGGAUACUUUUGCACCAAGAUCCGUUAACCUGCUCUUCCCAAAUAAAGAAAAAAAAGAGAUCCAUUAGUCUGCAUAACUGUUUUGAGAUUGUAGGGUAUAAUGUAUAUCUUAAAAACUUGAGUGCUUUCCAAUCUUCUCCCUCCCCCUCUCCCUCUCAUAUCCUGAUUCUGAUAGUUUACAUUCUUGUAAUAGGUGUUAAUUUUUAUCAAAAUACCAAUUUAACUGAUAAGUUCUAUAACAUUUCUUUUUUCUCUGCUCCACUUCUGAUGCUUUAUCAUGACAGGCAUUGGAGAUCAGUGUGCUAAUAGAGGAGUUAAACAGUUUACGGAGCAACUGAGGGACUUUUCAGGUGCUGAAGGAUAUUGCAUGUAAGUACAUUCUUUCAUCAAAUCUAUUUAUCUCCUAUUCUCCUGAUUGUUCCAAGUUAUAUUCUGCAAGAGAUAGUUUCUAGCAGUUCAAGCAUCACUUUGCUUUUCACAAUAACAUGCUCUGAUUCAAUUCUGAUCUUGCUUUGCUCAUUAUACAGUUAAAUCUAAAUGAUUACUGAAAUAUACAAUACCAAUAUUGCAACUUUAACUUUUAUAGAAAAGGAUGAAAAAAUAUGAGUAAUGUGGUCAUUGAAGUCUCUUGAUUAGAUGUGUUUGUCUUUCUUAGUGCUUUUCUGGGCAUCAUUUACAUAUCAGUUUAGUUAUUAUACUUUUACUGAUGUUGCUUGGUUUUACCACCUUCCUGCAGAGAAGUUGGGGCUGGAACAUGGGAUUCCUGGUUUGUGCCUCUCGAGGAACAGGUAACGGCAAACAAAGCUUUUCAUCUUUGGGAUGAUAUUUUUAUCUACAUUUUCUGAUUUGAACUUUUUACCCAUGUUUGCAGACCAGAAUUGUGUGUGAGAAGGUAGUAAGCUCUCUCAGUUACCAUAUAUAGCUCCGGGAUUUGGAAGCUUCUGUCAUUUUAACAAUGAUUGCUAUUAUAACCAUAGGUUAAAGAAAUGGAAGAACUCAGACAAGGUUACAACAUUGUUGGUCUCUCCCAGGUAAUUGUUAUCAUCGGCUCUUUCUGGUAACUCAUAUUUUGAUACAGUAUGCUCCAGGUCUUCGACAUGUUGAUUGAUAUGCAAUACGUUUGGAAUAAAAUUAAAACCUUAAGACUAUAUCCAAUAUGCAAUGCGGACUCUCUUUCAUUGCUCAGAGUUAGGUAGGCUCAUGUGUUCUAAUAAAAAAGUGUUGUCUUGAGUACCCAAAAGAUCGAAAGGAAGGAAGAAAAAAAAGAAAGAACGAAAGUGUUUCGGUCCACUGUAUGGGUCUUAUCAAGUCACAUGAUUAUGUGAAGUCCAAGAUAGUCGAGAUUGGUCGUUUCUCAUAGAUUCUUUUUGAAUUUGACAGGGGAAUUUGAUAGGCCGAGGUGUUGUAGAAUUCUGCAACAAUGGACCUCUGGUAAGACAUGGUCCAAGCUUCAAACAACUCUACGAAUUCCAACUUUUUAUUUCGUUCAGCUAACUACAUGGAUUGCUAUUGUAGUUUUGGUUGAACCUUAGCUGCUGUACACUCAUUGAGCUACAUCCUUUAAAACUUAUCAUCCUUUAAUUUAUCUGAUAAUGCACAUGAAAUGGUAUUCAUAAGUUUGUUGAGAUUUGUUCAGUUUCCAGCGUUAUUAUAGCUUGUAGGAUUUAUCUAUGGGUCUUAAAAAGAAAAGAAAAAACGUCUGAGUCAACGAAUGUCGUAGCCUUUUCUUUCUCAUUGUUAUAAUUUCUUGGAUUUUAAUUUUUUUUGCCGAAGUUUAUGUGCAUGAUAGCUGAAUGGUCUUUAAUGGUUGCACAAUUGAAAAGGUUUGGCUGAAUCAAUUUAAGAGAUAAUUGCAUUUUGGUAUACAUGUGCAUACUUACCAUUUGAACAUGAGAAGUUUUACUUUUUCUAUUUCUUGGAGCAGGUUAAAAACUUUGUGUCUUUAGGAGGGCCUCAUGCGGGUAUUGCUUCUGUGCCGCUCUGUGGUGUAAGUAUUGCACUAUCACUGUGGCUCUCAAGUCAUUAUGUAAAUGAAUGCAUUUAACUCGCUGAAAUAUCAUCUGGUUAAAAGACUACCUAUGAACUACAAUUGGACUGACUUAGAGUGUCAAGAUUCACAUGGUACCAUUAUGGUAUAUGAGCUUGAUAUUUUCUUACCUGGGGAUUUGGGACAAGCUUAUGGGUGUUACAUUGUAAACCUGGUUCAACAUUUAUGAAGAAAUUUGUGCUUGUAAUACAAAUGUGGAUCAGCACUGUCUGCAACACGCCGUGCUUGCAUAACAUAACAGAAUACUUUGAAAAAUUGUAUGAUUGUCCACUCAAGGGUAGCACCUCCAGAAAAUAUUUCCACCAAUCAUACUGAAGGUGCCAACCUUUCAAGUGAUGUCUAUGUAGUAUUUUCACUUUAUAUGUAUUACUCAUUCCUCAAAUCAUUAUGGCCAUAUAAUAAAACACAGAUAAAUUCCUGCUGAAUAACCCUGAAAUUCUGACAUCUCUGACCUUUCUGAUAUGUCACUUUGCCAACUUGCUAUUUUACUUGAACUCAUUUUGUGCCUCUGCAGUCUGGCAUAUUUUGCAUUAUUGUGAACAAGCUAAUCAAAGGGGAGAUCUAUAGUGAUUAUAUCCAAGUAUGCACCUGCUGAUUCUUUCAUCUUUAGCCUGGUGUCAAUUUAAAUUCUAUUUGAGUAUAUUUUUGGUGAGGCAUGACCUUUUUGAAUAUUGAUUUGAUUAUGCAGGCUCACUUGGCUCCCAGUGGUUAUAUUAAAUUGCCCAAUGUGAGUAGCUAACUUAGUUGGAGAACUAAAGAUAUUUAGUGAGGCUUUUUACAGCAAUAUUCCUAAUAGAUAGAAGUAACCUUGCAAUCAUAAGCUAACUAAAAUUAUUACAGCCUGCUUAUUUGCUUCCUUCCCUCUUGUUAUUGACUUACUAUUAACUUGAAUAAUUUGUUUCUAAUCACUGAAUGAUCACGGGAUAUAGUACACUUGAUGAAACAGCACUUACAAAACUCAUGUUUUUAAUUUUCAUAUAAAGCUAGUUACAUAGGCAUUCAUAUUCUGUUACACUUUCCAUAAUUAACUCAGUUUUCUUAUGAUGAUGGUUGAGUGAAUGACCUAAGCAUCUGACUCACCAAUGUGUGUUUCCAGGCUAUGACUGAUUAUUUAGGGAGGUGUAGGUUUCUUCCAAAACUCAACAAUGAACUCCCUGAUGAGAGAAACUCUACUUACAAGGAAAGAUUUAGUAGCUUAGAAAACCUUGUGCUUAUUAUGGUAAGUUGGAAAAUAUAAAAUAUGUACAUAUUUAUAUAACAUUAGUUAAUACUGAAAUCUCUUGUUAGAUUUCAAUUGACAUUUACGUUAACUAAAGAAUAUCGUAUCAUCUUUCUAUUGUCCACAGUUUGAGCAAGACAAUGUUUUGGUACCGAGAGAAACCUCAUGGUUUGGAUAUUACCAAGAUGGUGCCUUCAACUCAAUUGUAGGUCCACAGCAGGUAACAUAGAGUUGAUGUCGUUGGCGUGAGUUAUUGAAUUCUCUUAUUGGGAAUUAACCUUGUGGUGAGAGAAAAAGUAACAAUCGGAUUUUUUCAAGAACUAUUCAUGGCUAUACAAUAUGUCAAUACCCUUUAAGUAGCCACAGAAAAUCAAAGUGUUUUUCCAAUAUUUUGAUUUGUUUUUUCACUUUGAUCUAAAUUUCUCAUCCUUACGCAGACUGAUCUGUACACUGAAGACUGGAUUGGCUUGAGAACGCUGGAUGAAGCUGGAAGGGUCAAAUACGUUAGUGUUUCAGGAGGUCAUCUUGGAAUUUCCGAAAGUGAUAUAAAGAAGCAUGUGGUGCCUUACUUGGUAAGUUUAACAUCGCCAGCAAAUGGAAACGAGGUCAAUGGACCUCAGCAUGGAGUUGUGAAUUAAUGAGGGGGUCAUUAUCCCCAGUUUCAUGAAAGCAUCCGCUGAGCUGGUUCUGUUGAUUUGAUCUGUAUAUGCAAUCGACUGAAACCAAUUGGUGAACUGAACUAUCAAUCAAAAUUGUAUUGUGGUUGAUGGGGCUACUAUGUACAGGAAAUACAAAUUAGUGUUCGACACAAAUGACUAAGGCUCACUUACAAAUCAAUUGUGCCAAGACAUUAGUAAUGAAAUAUUUCCACUAUUCAGUACAAACCAUGCUACCUUUUUAUAUGGUGAUCAAGAAAGUAGACUGAGCAGACUUGCUUUCAUGCAUGAUCGUGGCAAGUGUUUCUCGAGGAAAUCCUGGUGACCGACCAGGAUUUACACAUGCAUGUGCUUGUAAAGACACCAACAGACUAUUAUCAGUCUUUCAGAGGGAAUCCCAGAUGGGAGUCGACAGUUCUCAAAAUCAUAAGACUAAUCUGAAUUAAAACUGGAAACUGCAAUCUUAAAAGAAAGUAAGAAACAGAAGAUGGUGAUAAAGCUCAACUUUCAUUCGAUUACCAACUCAAUUUACAGGACGGAGAAAAAAACAGAGUUUAUUGCAGAGCCUAACAUAGAGUUAUUUCCAUUUUUUCUGUACGACAGGAAAUUAUAAAAACACUUGGCAAAUAUUUUAUGUAUUUACGGUUUACUGAGGUUUUCCUCAGUAAACUUGUAUGUCCACACUAAUGCCUCCAAGAUGAUCAGUUGUAAUCGAGCAGCUGCUUUCUCUGCCCAACUUCUCUGCUGAAAUCCGCUUUUGGGCAUGGCAACGGAGCCAUAGGCAUGAAAUCCUUGUGAGAGCUGCCUGACCAGCUACACGAACCCGAUAGACCACACUUAAGUCGGCCCAUAUCUCAUUUCCUACAACACCAGACUGAAGAGUCGCAUCAUAUCCUUCAAGAUCUGAUUCGGUCACCACUACUACAGAGCUCUCAUCGAAUGCAAGCAGAUCAUGCGAGGUAACUGAACUUAGGGGAUCCAAUAUCAGAUUUGUCAAGUUGCUGUAAACCACAGCUUUCUUCACCAUGAAAUAGUAGUACUCCUGAACAGCCUGCAUAACAACAAUCAAAGAAGAGUCAGGAGGUACAAUAAAAACAUUUCAUAUGUCAAUAUAAAUCCAUGUUAGUACACUUCUCUCAACCUCACCGACAACGCAAUGUCUCCAAUACAGAGCAAUAAUUCUAGAUAUCCACAUGGUCAUAUUAGCUAAAAAUCUAAAUAGAGCAGAUACAAAAGGCCAAUUCACACCCAGAAAUGAACCGAACAGUUGUUUCCAUUUUAUAAUAAUCACCCACAAAUACCAAAGAAUUAAAAAAUAAAAAUAAAAAAUAAAAAUAAACAAAAAAGAAGACGAGCAUUGCCGCAGAGUAAUAACAACAUAAAAUGCAUGUUCCAAAAACCAAAACAGGAAGAGCAUGCUCAGACAGUGAGCGCACAAAUCAUAUACGUUACCUGCCACUGAGCAGAGGCCAAAAGCACACGUGGCCGAAUCGACUUAAGAUAUUCAUAGGCAGAAUCAGGGGUCAUCCGCUUGUGAUGGACCUAUAAAACAAUGAAACAUCAGAAAGCCGGCAAUCUUAAAUUAAUUUGUUUUACUAUUUCUGAAGUACACUAACCAAGUAGCAGAUAACAAUGGUUGUACUGCGGCCCCGUCCAGCUUUACAGUGAACAUAUGUUGUCGUCCCAUUUGAAGCAUUUUCUUCACAACAAAAAAAAAAGGAGAAAUAUAUCAUCAGAUUAUAGUCCAGGAAAGUCUGCAUACAGAUUAAAAUAACAAACCAAAUAUAAGCAGAAGUACCACAAGCCCUAAGCCCUUUUUAACUAGAGAUAAAACAUUAAGUACUGCUUCGAAGCCAAUCAAAUAAUUGUAUGCCCCUUGAAUAUGAAAUUGCAGCAAGCUAGUCCAUAUGCCUCCGCCAUUGCAAAAAAAGGUUAUUGAAUAGGAACAUCCAAGUUGCAAGAAUGCUUACCAUUAAUGAAGUUUACAGCACGACAGAUAUCAUUCAGUGAUGGGGCAAAACAGUAGUCUCUUGUAGGGAUCACCAGAUGGCUAAUGCCAUUGGACUGCAAAAAUAUUUAAAUACAAAGUUAAAAAUAUGGAGGUGCCCAGCAAACAUAUUGGAAUGUAUGUAAAACAAAGGAAUCACAUACCUGAUAAAGAGAUGUUGGAACCAAAGUCUCGUAUGGCUCAUUAAGAGUGAUGACUCCACGAACUCCGACCUCCUUCAAGCGAGGCACGUCAGUAGGGAAUGGAACUGCACCUAACAAUACAAACUGAAAAUACAAAUGUUAGAAAUUAAACAAAAUCUAUACAGUCUAACAGUUCAAGCACAUAAAAUCAAACUAAAUAAACGCUGCAAGUCUAGUACAAAAAAACACCACUAUAAUCAACGAAACACCUCAUCAGUCACACAAAUCACUCAACAGAAAUAGCAACGCGCAUUGUUCACAAUCAGAUAAAUAUAUUUGUAUGCAAUCAAAUAAAGAUCACAUAAAAUAAGUGCAUCUCCAGUUACAUGUCCAAGUGACAAAAAAGCCAAAGAAAUUCAUAAUAACAUCAGCUAAACUCACAAUCAGAGAAAUAUAUUCAUAUGUAAUCAAAUCAAAACCAUAAUUCAAAUCAAACCAUACACGAAAACUACUAGAAAGAGCAAAUUGUUACCUCAUCGACCUUAUCCCACCAGCGAAACUCAGCCUGAAGCUUAUUCCGAAUGACAUUGUACAGCAGAGUCGGGUAAAACAGCGCACGAGCCCCUGCGCCGAUCAACACCCGUUUCGCAUCCGAUCCUACAACACCCCCACUACCACUCCCACGCCCUAACUCCACUUCUUCUCCGCCUCCGCCUCCACCUUCCCCUCCUUUCAAUUCCUCAAUAUACAUAGCCUCAAGUCAAACCCUAACCAGAUCACUCCAAACCAACACCACAAUCUCCACAAAAACCCUAACUUUUCACACUAUUUACACACAACCACACCAGAUCACACAAUAUCUAGCAUCGAAAUUUCAAAACCCUAAGAUCUUCACCAAAUCACAGAAUCAAGAGAGAAAGCCUGUAACGUCUACAAGAGCGAGAGAGAUGAAGAAGAUUCGAAUUGAAGAGAGAGAAAUUGUAAGCCCUGGAGGAACUCGCGACCAUAUUUCGCGAAAACAGGGACGAUCGGACGGCGGAGACGCGGCGGAGAUGCGAUCGGGGAUCGUGAAAUUCGGGGGAUCGGAAAAGAGGGAUUGGAAAUUGAAGGGGGAAUAUGGGGAAACCCUAACCCUAAAGAAAAUCGGGAAUUGCUUUGCUUGGGAGGAGAGGAGAGGAUAGCACGAGAAUCUAGUUCCACCUUUUUUGGCUCAACAAACAAACUCUCUUCUUCUUCAUAAACCAAACCAAUUAGGAGAGAGAGAGAAAGAGAGAUAGAGUCACGGGGGGUGACAUAGAGUAAGGUAUGAAGGGUUGACACGUGGAAAUUAUAUGAGGGAAAAAAAUUCUUUAUUUUAUUUUAUGUGGAGUUUUGGAGAUUUGGAGGCAAAGGUGGGUUUUUGCCGACAAUGCUUAGGAUAUUGGAUAAUACAAAUUAUAAUGAGAGAAAAAUUCUUAAAUCUUAAUAGUUAAUUUAGUCUAGCAUUCUAUCCACACAAAAAAUCUUAAUAUUGUCUAAUUUUUCAGAAUUCUUUUAAUAAAGGUGCUUUACCCGGUAAAUUUCUAAAUAAACCCAACACUUCAACUUUUGUCACACUUUUUUCUGUUUUGCCUUUAAGUCUAUUUACACCCAGCAUCUAUUUCAAAACGUUAAACCCAGCUCCUCCGAUUGUACGUCUGAGUUGUGUUUCAGUAUCAAUACAAACAUCAAGAGCAAUAAUUUAUCAACUCUGUUUAUUUUUUGCAAACAAUCUCUGAUGUUCUAUGCCACACAAUUAUAGUCAAGCUCUCUCUCUCUCUCUCUCUCUCUGACCACUGUUUCUACUUCUCUCUCACUCAUCUCCUCCACUCUCUCUCCCAAGCUUCCCUCCUCAACCCGUUUAUCAUCUACUCAUUUCCAACUGAGGACAAGAUUCCAAACCAAAAAAACUGUCAUUUUGACCUCCUCCUCUAACGUCGUCGAUGAGGACAACAAGGUAUUUCCCACGCGGAACCGAGCGAGCGCAGAACAGCCGACGUGCUUCUCCACCCGACGUCGUUGGACCUUACGGCAUUGACGAUCUCGGCGAGGAGGCCUUUAACUCCCCUUUUAAAUUCAUCUUUUUAUACAAACAAGAGUAAAAUGGGUAAUAAAAUCAAUGCUGGGUACGUUUAGCAAUUUGCUAGGUACAUUUAGCAACACUCUUAAUAAAUUCUAUAUCCAGUUAGGCCGGGUUCUAAACCCUUUUGAAUAAAAAUAGGAGGAGAUAUUCUUUGAAAUUACCAAACAAUAUGAAUGAAUGAUUCUUCAUAAAUGAAAUUCUCAAACAUUUCAUAAGUGUCUUUGUUUCUUGUCAAACAUUUUAGAAGUGUCUAGCGAUAACCGAUAAGACAAUCUUUUUCUUCCUAGGUAUGGGAGAGGUCCUCUAAUGACUAGUUCUAGUGGUGUGUGGGUGGUAUCUUGAAUGUCAAAUUUCCUUCUUUUUUUAAUAAUAGGAAGCCUUGACUUUAAAUUAUUUAUAGAAGCUUUUACAAAAAAAAAAAUUAGUACAAGAAAAUAUUGUAAGAUUAGGUAGACAAUGAAGCUCUUACCAAGAUUGAAAGCAGCUGAAUUAGUUUUAUAUACUUGCAAGCAAAGUGAAAAUUCAUUCUGAAUGGCAAUUUAAGUUGCUUAAGGAAAUAAAGUGGCAAGGAGCUUUGUCAAAUUGGAGUUCUUUCAGCCUAAUAGACCUUGCCUCUUAUGGGUUACUUAACAACAGCCACACCAAAAGAGAACUGGAGUCCUUCUCAGUCCAAACAGAGGACAGCAUAUAAGAAGAGCAAUAUUCUCAUCCUCAGUUUAGUUUUGGGUCAUGAGACUGAUCUUGGUGCUCAAUAUGUUGGCUUCUCCUCCAUGGGCAUGCCCCUUUUGGAUGCUGCUGGUUGUCCGAAGUUUCGAGGACUGUAGCAUAUUCCAUUUUUGGCCUAAUGACCUCCUACUGUACCAACAACCAACGAGGAAAAACCAACAACAACAACAGCAACAACUGGAGUUGGUGGUUUUCAGUUGAGAAUUAAAAUAUUAGUUGGAGUCUUAUCCUACCCACCAAGAGCCUACCAAGCCCUUUGAAGAAGGAAAGAGGCCUACCCUCUUGGGUAAAUCCAGAUGAAGGAAGAGUGCAAAAGUAUGAUGAAGAUGGAGAAUAUAAAUGCAGAUAUAGAUGCUGAACUAAAGGACCACGAAAGAAGCAGGCUUUGAUGCCAAUUCUAGAACAAACAAAAGCACAUUAUGUUAAGUUCUCGGUGUGAAUGAAAAUCAUAUAAUCAUCCUCACCAUCCAUAACAACUAGGACAAAAAUGUAGGUCCACACUGAUGUCUAAAAUUAUACAAGAUCCAAAUACUGUAUGCCUCACUAAGAUGAACAAACUGGAAAUUUCCAUGACAAAGCCACCGGCCCCUAGUAAGCUAAGACAUCAUAGAUGUACUUUUGUAGGAAACUAAAUGUAUGAAAGUUUCACUACAAGUCAACAUCACAACCGUCCAUUUUAUCACAGCCAGAGCUUUCUGGUGUCUGACUAGGCUAAAGGGGAGUUCCUGUAUUGAUUGCUUUAUAUUCUAUAUAUCUACCCUAACUUGCUCCAUUCAUUUUCAGUGCCAUAUAUGUGAUUUCAGAAGCAUGGAAAGUGUCAACUAGCAAGACUAGUUUCUACCAGUAAAGUGGUACAAGAUCUAUCAUCACACAUUAUCUGAGUAAUAACAAAAUUAUGGAUGCUUCAUUUUGAAAGAUUUUCAUUUAUUUAUUUCUAACAGACAAGAUAGGCAGCGGACUUCGAUAUGAGUUUCAUCAAAUGAUGAUGAAGGCAACUAAUAGAUUUCAGAUACAGUUAAUAUUGAUCAUCCAAUGACCAUAAUAAAGUUCAUGUGAUAAUCUUAAUCAACAGUAAGGCAAUGAGCCCCAGUAGCUAACAAGAGAAGCUUUUGGUUGAUGAGGUGCACCUGGAUAUGAUGAACCUUCAAGUACUGCUGUUGGUGCUUGCUAUCAAAUUAAGGUGCAGCUUGCUUCCUGUUGUAACCCACCAACUUUAUGAUGAACUCCACAUACUCAGAAUAACUACCUCACUGAUUGCCACUUCAUGACACAGAAUCUUUUAUCAAGAGUACUUCUUAAUCUGGCCGUCAGAUAUUCCUAGAUAACUUCUUGGACUUCAAAUUCAGACCCUCUCAGGUUCUUUUAAGGUUUCCAAACAGAUCCGGUCUACAAUGUAAAAGUUUGUCUGCAUAGAAACAAGGUGUCAGAAUGAGUGAAAGAUGCUUAUGGUUGAACCUUAACAGGAAAUCCUGUGACACCUCGCUAAAUUUACUGAUGAGAAAUUAAGCAGCAGAUGACAUAGGGUCAACUAUAUGAAAUAUAAACCGGGUGGACUUCUUCAUUUUUAAAGUGAACAAUGACAACGGCUACAUGAUAUUGUACCAUGCUAACGGUGUUUUGUUAUCUCUAUGAUUUUAAUUUCAAAAUUCCAAUUACAUAAAGAGGGAUGAAAAAGAGGAGGAGCAGAAUACUAGAAUCUAAUUUUGGCAGGAGAAGCAGCACCAAGUGCAGUAAGCUCCGAAACAGUUCCCAUAAAUGGUGUUCUUUCAUCAAUCAGUUGGCUGUUAAGCUUUGGAAGAAGAUUAGAUUCCCCCAAAUACUUUUUACUUGAGCAUAUUCAUCAUAUGAUAACAGAGAUAUGACCGAACUAUGACCAAAAAUAAUUAAUUAAUGGGAAAAAUAGAAGAAUUGGAAAAAUAAUGAAUGGGUACCCAUAGAGCUCAGCUUUCCCACUUGACACCAAUAUAUAAAACUUCAGAAAUAGGUAAAAAUAUAUGGUGAUUUGAGCAUCCAAUGAGAACCCAGUGGACAAUGGCUAAAGAGACCCCCAAGUCUUUUUGUAAGAACGACUUUACAUUACAUUACGGGAUAUACUCUCAAGACUCAACAAUACAUACAGGAACACUACCAACAACAAACAGAAAACGCUAUGAAUUGAUGAAUGCUAACAGAUUUCCUCACUUAAUCAAAUUGUCUGCAAUAUGGCUAACAGACCAAAGUAGAAGUGCAUGCCUUUCCUUCAUUAUUUAGCUAGUAUACAGAUGACUAUACCAAUUCAAUAAGCUACUUCAAAGUCGGUCAAUCUUUUAUAAUUAUGUCAUCUUAACCAGACCCAGUAGGUCUAACAGGGAGAGAGAAAACUUAUGUACAUGAAGUCAGUACUAGAAAGCCAUUAAGACAUUCCGUACAAAGAGGCAGAAAAGCAUAUAGGCACAAGGUCACCCACGAAGAGAAAAAAAUGCAAGUGUUUAGAUAAUUAAAAGGAUAACCCUGAGAGAGAGAGAGAGAGAGAGAGAGAGAGAGAGAGAGAGAGAGAGAGAAAACAAGAACAACAACCAACAGAAACCGCAACAUACAAUCACAGACCACCAAGAAAUGAGACUGCCAUUAUCUAUGCUAGCAAAGAACAUGUGUUCUUACAUACACGGUAUGAGGAAUAUAAAAGAUACAGUUGCAUGACUUGCAUCUAGAUAUCACCAGUCACAAUGCCAACUCCACUCCCUUGCAUCAACACACAAACUGAAAGCAAAUAAUGAACCAAAAAAAGUAAAGUUUACUUGUUUAAAAGCAAAUAUGACCUGUGGACUGAUAACCCUAUAACUUACAAGCAGUAUUCAUUAUGCCAUUGAAAUAGCUUUCGGGUAAUAAGUAAAUUAAUUUAGAAUAAAAAAAACUCAAAUGAAAUCAUUGUUUACCAGGAUCUGCCUUUAUUUACUUCCACCUCCACGAAAAUGGUUUUUAUGCCAGAUUGGAACAAGUACUCAUCUGUUGCAAAUACUACCAACUCAACUCAAGUAUUGAGAAGUCUUUGAGCUGAAGAACAUGAGUGGAUUUAUUAACAAACAAGAGCCAAGGCGACCUGAACAUUGUAUUUUCUUCAAUGUCACCUUCAAUUCCUUGUCAAUUGUUUAACUAACUCUUCGUCUCCAGAUUUCACCAGGACCUCAGAUAUAAUAUCAACAUAUGGACCUUUUAGUUUAAUUCCUUUACUGAGCAUUACCCUUGCAAGCUCUGCAGCCUCCACCAAGUGUCUUUGCUGACAAAGCCCCAACAAAAGAAUAGAAUAAGUAUCAGAUUCAAUAGAAGAUAAGCAUUCCAUCUUCUCAAGUUCACCAAAUAAGCAAUAUGCGUCCACCAUACGUCCCUCCAAACAACAUUUUUUUAACAUAAUGGUACACACCAAACUGUUCGGUUUAACCCCACUAUUAAGCAUCAUCCUAAGGACUUUCUCUGCCUCUUCAGGUCUUCCAACUCUUUCCAAAGACACAACAAAAGUACUGUAGCAAUCAGUUUUUGUAACACUUCCACUUUUAACAACUCUAUCAACCAACUUAUAAGCGUGCUCAACUUGAUCCUCCUUAACAAGACCUGUGAUCAAAGUACUAACCGUGACGCGAUUUGGUAAACAACCACGAGCUUCCAUCCGGUCCAAAACAAGCAAUGCCUCCACUGACCGAUGCUUGUUACAAAGACACUGAAUCACAGUCGUAUAUGUUACUACAUUAGGACCACAAUCCCCACCUUCCUUCUCCAUCUCCUCCAACAACGUCAAGGCUCUCUCCAUAUCCCCAAACCUACAGAAUCCAUCAAGAAGCGCCGAGUACACCACAACAUUCGGCACACAACCAUUUUCCUUCAUAAACAUAAACAGUCCACAUGCAUCAUCCAACCGACCCACAUUACAGAACCCUUUAAUCAUCACCAUAUACGUGAUCAAAUCCGGAUAAAGCUCCACCUCACUCAUCUCCUUCACCAAACUCUCAGCCAUAUCCAUAUCACCCUUCUCACAAAACUGCCUGAUAACAACAUUAUACACCACAUUAUCCCCUCGCAACCCGAACUCCGGCAUUUUCCUCAGAACCCUCAAAGCCUCAUCAGCAAGCUUAGCUUCUUUACACACAUUAAACAAAACUUUAAACAUCUUAACACUAACAGAGCAACCUUCAGCACUAUAAGCCUCCAAAACAUCAAAAAUCAAACUUGGGUAUUCCCUAAUCUUAUACAAGUCACAAGCUUUACUAAACAUAAAGUAGCUAUGCCUAUAACUGGAGUGAACCCCAGCCCAUAUGAAAAAUCUAAGACCCAAUUGGGAUUGGGUGGGAUAGCAUCUCUGUAAGACCUGACUUACACAUUUGGCGUCCAAAUUGAGCCUCAUUGAGUCUAGGGUUUUCUCAAUUUUGCCGCCAUUUCUGUGGAGGUGAUUCAAGACCGUCUCUGCUGACGUGGCAGUAGAGAAGCGAGAGAUUGAGAGGUUGUGAUUUUGGAGGCGAAUUGAGGAAGAGAGGAAUCGAGAGAUUGAAGAAAGGGUCGUCAUUUGGAGGAAAGUUCAGGGCUUUGGUUAAACCCUUGAAUCUGAAAAUGGAGAAGAAGCUUUCUACAGAGACGUUGGGCUUGAAACGGGUGUCGGGUCGGAUCAGGUUAAGCUCUACUGGACCCGGAAGGAGAAUGAUUUGUGUUUGGAAAUGAUUUGGGUUUAGACAAAGAAAAUAUUUGUGACACUAUAUUAUACAUCUAGAAACAGUUGUGUUCCUUGAUUUUUAAAUUUAACUGGUAUACGCCUAUAUUCUCAAUUCUCGACAUUUUUGUCUAUUUUAUCAAUUGACCAUCAAAAAAUUCCGGUAAAUUACUAAAAUGACCAAAAGACACCUAGUGCAAAUCAUUUUUUUAAUUCUCUCUUAUUGAAGGUCGACCCGAACUUCUUCCCAGUCGUCGACCUCCGCCUAUUCACCCAAUGCGACCUCCUUCAGCUCACCAGCCUCUGCCUUCGCCCCGCUCACAUCAAAUUCUUGGUUUGAUUUGGCCGAAUUUCUCACGGUGGUCUGUCGGACCGGCAACAGCGACACCUAGCUUGAGGCGUUGGUUGCGAAGGUGUGUCAGUAGGUUGGCGCCUCUAUUUGUGGCGGUGACAUGUAAGAAGACCAUGGCUUAUAUUUAAACUUAUUUGGUUAUUUUAAUUUCAAAUGCAGUGUAUUUUCAUGUGAACUCAAUAAAUGAUUUGUCACAAAUUCAACAGUGUAUACCUUAGAUGUCGUGAAAGUCAAAGUGUGUGUGUGUGCGUGUCAGAAGUUGUUUUAAUUUACUUCGCUACGUAUAUUUUUUUGAAGUUUUAAAUUGUAAUCCAUUGGUUGUAUCGCCCAAAAUUUUAUAAAUAGAUAACCGAGCCAUUCACUUUCAUAUCUUCUGCUUGCUAGUGAUAGAUCUAUUUUUUAAAUUAUUGAGAGCCAAUUUCUCAAAAGUAAGCCAUUAAGGGAUGAGGGAAGGGAGAAGGAGGAGGAAAGGGGAAGGUGAUGGAGAUCUUGAGAAACACUUACAGUUACUCAAAGAAUUUCAUUUUACCAUAAAAAUGAGUGGCAUGGGAAAAAUUGAACCGAGAGGAUUUGCUGCAUUGCAUCUUCCAAGGUAAGUUUUUUAAUUUGUUAAGCUUUCUUGUUUUUCAUGAAUGUGUAAUGAUUAACUUUUGACUCCCUUAAAACGUUUGCCAACCUCAGAUAUGAUUCACCCAAGGAAAAACACAUUGACUGCAGUGAUAUUCUGGUAUACAUCAAGUUCCAUAUCAUUUAUACAAGUCAUACAUUUUGAAGUAAAUUUCAUGUUAAGCUACAAAUCGAUCAAAUAUAUACAUACAUCUGAUCUAUCUACAUAAUAUCAGUAUGAAAAUAUUGAUUUAUAUAGGGUUGUGAAAUUCACACACCCUUUUUCCUUUUUUGGUAACUUAGAUUUUAUCUUUUAGUGACUUAAACUUUGUCUUUUUAUAAAUGUGUUAAUUAAAAAAAAAUGGUGUGUUGAUUUUAAUUUGGGGUGUGUGAAUUUCACAUCCCUUUAAAGGGAUAAGGUUCUCAAGUGAUUUAGUGUCAAAUGACUAAGUUAUGACUAUUAUGUUUCAUUGCAGCCCUACAAAAGCAGCCUCGGGUUCUUCCUCUAUAAACGCAUGCAAGUUUUCUUGUUAAAAAAAAAACGCUUACAAGUUUUCAAGGUGUCAGACAUGUAACCGCCGAGUAAUGCACCCAUGCUUAAAACUCAUCUUUAACUUAAUGUAGCUCAUCACUCAUGUAAUACAUAGAUUAAUGUAAGACUCAUGCAGUACAUAGAUUUGGUCUACCAUUGGAAAGAUUUAUGGAUGUAUGGUUUGAUGCCAUCUUUCUUGCAGAACCUUGACACUGAAAAAAAUUGUUCUCCCACCACGAAAUCUUCUAACACUGGCUGGAUUUGAAGAGUCUAUAAAGAACUGGGCACAACUAGAGUCAAUGACUAUGCCACUUGCUUUCUUUGAGUUUGAAACGGUGAAGUUUGAUCGGAGCUCACUGUAAGAAUUUCUCUAAGCUCAAAGUUUUUGGCCCCUUAAUGGUGCACUUUGCAAAGGCCAUUGCUGCCAAUAUCCCGAACUUAAAGGUUCAAGUCUCCAGGGCAGCUUGGUGGAGAAGGAAGCCUUGGUUUACAAUACUUUACCUACUAAACAACAUGAAAAAAUUUGGAAGUGUUGAACUUGUGUCACUGCCGCAUCGUGGAUGAAGGUGUUCCAGGACCAGGCUAUAUAUAUGCGUAUGCAGCACAUGAACUUAAUUGUCAUGUCUAUCAUGGAAAGGGCCUCGGGGAUGAAGAACUUUCUAGUUUGUAACUCAAGGUUGUUCAACAUUGGAAUAUGGCGAAGGGACAUGGUGAUGAGUACGCUUGCAGCAUAUUGAUAUGGAGAAGAACCAUCUGCUGGGGAAUCAUUCUUGUAUGUCGAAUUGAACAUUGUUAGUAUGAGAAAUUUCACAGCUGCGCUUGUGGAAUGGUUUAAAUUUCCGGCACUACUACAAUAUUGAGCAAAGGUGUGGUCUUUAGAGAUGUUGCAUUUCUCCGUAAGGAUAACAAUUGAGGGUAUUAGUGGGUAUUGGUGGAGUGUUAGGGGAAAAUGCCACACAUAUGGGAAUUGCAAUACUCCUAAUGGCCACACUAGGUGUGUGGUCUUUACUCAAUAAUGUAAGUAGGUGUGUGGUCUUUGCUCAAUAAUGUAGUAGUGCGGUUCAUGCUACUUAAUUAGUUUUUGAUGGUUCAGUUAAGAACUUCUUCUAUGAAGCCUUUGUUUAUUGUAUUAAGAACUUCUAUGAAGCCUUUAAUUAUGUAGGUCAUUAAUCGAGUUGAAAUGAAUUAGCAAGUCCAUUAGCUGUUGUGUUAAGAACGUCUAUGUUUUUAUUCUAACUUUUACUACUAUCAACUUCUAAGUUUCCUUUCUUUUUGUCAUCAAUCAGAAUUCUACGUUUUCGUUCCUUGGAAUAUAUGCAAGUGCAUAUAACUUUGCUCCUUGAGGUUACAGGGCAUUGAUUAUUAAGUUUUUGUUCCUUGGAAUAUAUGCAAGUGCAUAUAACUUUGCUCCUUGAGGUUACAGGGCAUUGAUUAUUAGCUGGGAAGAUGUAUAUAUUGGCAAGAUUACUUUGAACAAGUAUAUUGGUUUCUAUUCUUAAGCCGGGUGCUGGGGAAUAGGUUUACUUAACUUCUCCAUAUAUUUUAUAAAGGUUUCCAAUUGAGAGUUUAUGUUUGUUUCUUUUUAGUCUCAUCGAUCAAUGUAACAUCAUCACAUGUUGAUGUUGCGGUAGUCGAUCAAUGUUGAGAUAUAAAUUCCACAUCAGGAAUAUGGGAUCUUGUCUGUCGGUUUAUAAGGAUUUGGGUCACUCCAUCUAUUGUCAUUUAGUUUUGGAUGUAAACCUCAGACUACUUUAUCAUUGUAUCAAAGCGGGUUACCCACGUUCACGUGUGAAGCCUAAAUGGUCACACGAACUUCACGUCACCCCAAAUGUUGUCCACGUGUUAGACUUGAAAAUUCGCCACACGUGUGGGGCGUGUUGAGAUAUAAAUCACACAUCGGGAAUAUGAGACUUUGCUUGUCGGUUUAUAAGGGUUUUUGUCACUUCAUCCAUUGUCAAUUGGUUUUGGAUGUGAACCCCAGACUACUUUAUCAAUCAACACUUGGUUUGUGCAUAAAUCAUGAUACACCCCGAACCUAGUAAGUAAUUUUAAUAUUGUGAUUUCCAGUUUAUUGGUAGCUAAUCAAUUCGGAAAUUCAUUAUGCUAUCCUUAAUAGAGGUGGUUUAGUCGAGUUCAUAGAUUUUUAGUUACCCGAAUAAGAGUUCGUAGGUAAAGGUUCUAGCUAAACAAUAAGGCUUCUUAUAUGUGGGUUGGGGUAUUUUAAGUGAGGCCCGGUUAUGUUAGGGAAUAAAGAAAAAAAAAGAAGAAGAAGGAGUCAACCACUCCCUCCACUCUCUCUCCCCGACCCCGACUCCGACCCCGCCCUAUUCUCCUUGGCGGAGCGCAGCCAUCCGGCCACAGCAGACCCCCGCGUCGGUUCCAUUCGGCAGCUGGGACGUCGCUCGUCCUUCCUGGGUUGGUAGCCGGCCUCAUCUCGCCGGCAGCGGCUCACGGUGGCACUGUGAAGGCCGUUGGUUUUGUAAGCCGGAACUUUCUUCUCCGGCCACCGAUUCAAGGUAUCUUUGGGGGGUUUUGUAGCUCUUUGAUUAGUCUUUCAACCACCCAAAAGAGGUAGAACGAUUUGGAGUAUAGGGCAAAUCAGAGCUCUUGAGUUCUUGAGUUUAUAAUGAGUUUUCCGGCCAAAUCUUUGAGCUCUAGAGUUUGUGUUAGUCAUGAUUGUUGUUAUGCUUGAUGAGAGGAAGAGUUUGAUGUAUGCCUUGUUAAUUUUGGUUGAAGUUGAUUUAGUGGUGGUGGUUGACCGCCACUGCCGGCGGUUGACCGCCACUGCCGGCGGUUGACCGCCACUGCCGGCGGUUGACCGCCACUGCCGGCGGUUGACCGCCACAGCCGGUGACUGCUGCCGGUUUUGGUGGUGGUUUUGAGUAAUUUUGGAUGAUUUCUACAAGGGAUAAAUGUUGUUGUACUGUAUGGUGAUUUUUGGUGAAGAGUGCUUGGAAAUUGGGAUAGUUUUGAUGGCUCCAUGGGUGAGAGAUGAGUGGUAUUGAAGUGUUGGAAAUUUUGGUGAGUGUUAGUAGGAAUUUAGGGAAGUUUAAGUUGAUUUUGGUGAAAGAGUAGAGGUGAGCCCCAUCCUUGGGAAUUUCCAUAUUUGUGCUUAAGUGUUAGAACGUUGAGGAAAAAUUGGAGAAGGUUAGUAAAAAUGGUUGGGGUUCUCCUUAGUUUUUGGAGAGUGUAGAGUGAGGGUAGAUGACAUUGCCCUAUUUUGUUACUUUGAUAUUCUUGUAUUAUUUUUGUCUCGGACCUUAAAUCUCGUUUUGUACAGGACGAGAGGAGACACCACGUGAGGAGGGCUCUGACCGACGUCAGGCUUAGCCGCCUAUACUGUGAGUGGACAUUUUAUUUUUAAAAGAGUAUGCAUGCAUGAUUUGUUUAGAAAAUCAUCACUAAUUUUCUGAAUUGACAUUAUUAUUUCUUCUAUGAAGGGAGCUUGAAAAUGAUUUGAGUUAUUCUAUUUUAAGCAUGUUAACGUGUGAGACACGUUGAAUUUAAUUAACUAUAUUGCUCUUAGAAUUUUUCCAAGUACGGUUGGGAAUCGUACUUAUAUUUUAUUUAUGAGUUUCGAGGAAACUCAUAUGAUUUAUAUUUUCCUUAUGCCAUAUUCUUGGAAUAUAUAUGAUGUCAAUGCUAGCAUGUCGUUCCACCUUUCGAGGUGAUGUGACACCCACGUUUCAAGUGGGGUCACGCAAGCCCUUUCCACCCUAGUGGUGAUGUGAUGUUGCCGGCGGCAUCACGCAAGCCCUGUGCCCUAUCCGUCAACUUGACGUGAAGGUACAGGGAGUAUGGGAGUACUAUGCCUGGGAGGCAACCGAGUCUGGGAGACUCAUUUAUAUGGCCAUAUAGAAUAUUCUAUUUGAGUUGUUAAAUUGACUAGCGGGGCUAGUCCAUUAUUUUUUGGAAGUUUUUUUUUUAUACGAGAAUCUAUUUAUUUUUCUUAUUGUUUUACGACUAGCGGGGCUAGUGGGAAUUUUGGUUGAGCUUAUAAUAUCUACAUGCAUGAAAAUUCUUUGUUUCCGUAUAAAUGGAAAAGCAUAUAAAAUUUUGAAUUAGUAUCAUUAUGCUCUUGGUUACUUAUUUAAUUAGUUUUUUUUUCGUCCACUCACGCUAACGUUUUUAAAUGCUUUUCCCUGGGCCCUUUGUUUUCAAAUGCCCAGAUUGCAGAGCUCCUGUUCGGUUUCCCUAGGAAUUGAGGCAUAGUUUUCCCGCUGCUCCUUGCUGAUCGUAGGUUACCUGUUAAUCUAUGUGUAGUUGUUUUAUUUUCCUCCCUUAGUGCUCUGAGAACUAUAGGAUGAUGUAAAUUAAGUUGAAGUGUUUUUCUUUAGGACUAUGUCUCAAGUAGAGAGUUUAAUCUUGGUUGAUGUUCAUGUUAAUUAAUGUAGUUGAGAAUUUGGUUUGGUUGUUAAGUACUGUUAUGCCUUUGGUUCUUGUUAUGGGGAGUGAAGGACUCCUGGAGUGGUGGUUGACGAUUAUAGUUGAAGUGUUCAGUUUCAUUACAGGAUGGGUUGUCCAUUUUUAGGGGAGGUUAUACCGAAAUUUCGGUAUAAUCUCUUUUAAGAAUGGACCCCGCAAGACUUGCCUGUUUUAGCUGGGUGUUUUCAGGGUGGGUCUUGUCAAAUCAUCUAGAAUCAUGGUCGUCUUUAAAGGUUCUCAAGGCACUGCACACCAGCAUGUUUGCUAAUGCUGAACUUAUAAAUAUAUGAAACUUGUUUUUUUUUUUUAGAAUGAAAUUGUUUCUGCAUAAUCCCGGGGACUAUGUAGAAUCAUGGUGGAACACGGACAACAGACAAUCAUGGGCAAGAGACAAGGACAUAUAUUGGUUCACCAUGCCAUCGGAGGACAUGGUUACGUCCACUUUACAAUCAACUAUCCAUUAGAUCAUUUCUACAUAUGGGAAGCCUUCCUUUUAUAACUAAGGAAGGUUCCCUCCUUUUACAUAUUUCCAAUGUGGGACAAACUAUACAUAUAUCUUUUUAUGAUGCCUUCUUGUGGAGCAUGACUGGUCUAUGGGCGAGGAAGGUAGUUCUCAACUACCGACUACAAGUCCUCCCAAGUUCCCGUUCAAGACAUGUCUUGAGUGGGGACUUGAUAUAUAAAAUGCCCAUAGACUAGUCAUUUAUCAACGGGCACCCGGUCCCAGUCCCCCCCAAGUCCGUACUCAAAAGGUGUGUUGAACGGGUCUUGCGUGUUCCGGGUCUUGCUUGUUCCGGGUCUUGCUUUUCUUGAUAUUCACUGUGAUCAUUAAGUCCGCCGAUAAGAUAAAAAAAAAUAUAAAAAAAAAAUGCCCAAUGAACAAAUGUCCCUCCCGACCCCCGGCUUCCAAACUUACUAUGUCGGGCGAGGUGUUUUCACGUUUCCAAUGGCAAGGUACUGUUGGUUCCCAUUUUACGACCAUACGGGUGUUAUAUUUUUCCAUGGACAAAGGUAGCGAGCCCUUUCCAUAUCUGGUAUUACUACUCAAGUGACGGGGUGUUAACGCCGUCUGUGGUUUAUCAAGCCACUUGCUCCGUUUUUAAAGGGAUGAUAUAAAACUUAUGUCUUUCGGUCGAUCACUUAUGCCUCUCGCUUGAUAUUACUCAGGAUUUUCAUGACUUAUGCCUCUCGGUCGAUCGCCUAUCCCGCUUCAUAUUACUCGGGAUUUUAAUGACUUAUGCCUCUCGGUCGAUCGUCUAUCCCGCUUCAUAUUACUCGGGAUUUUAAUGACUUAUGUCUUUCGGUCAAUCGCCUAUCCCGCUUGAUAUUACUCGGGAUUUUAAUGGCUUAUGCCUUUCUCGGUGGAAUACCAGCUGAGAAGAUAUCAUGCAUACGUGAAGCAUGCUUUGAGUUUCAUAAAAGGCAAUCAAAUGAGAGACUUACCUGUGAAAAUAGCUGUCGAAUGGAUGCACAUAGGAGGUAUAGUAUCAUGAGCAUUUUCAUCUUAGCACUCCCAGAGGAUGAGACCUUCUUUGGCCGGUGUUUUAUAUAUAGGCCAAGGUCGGGUUGUCACUAAGAUCUUCCAUGCAUUUUUCUUUCUUUAUCUUUUUCUUUUUUGUCUUCCCUUGACUUUUUCUUUUUUUUUUUUGGCCACCGAGACCCGCUGCUUGCAGAUUAGACUUAGGCACUGAGCCUUCCCCUUUCGAUACCCGGAGACUAAGGUAAUGGAGCCCUGACUUGCACAUGGGGUCAAUUCUCUACCUUCUUCAAUUUCUUUUCUGCUUCCCGUGGCUGAAUAUGCUCAGACGGGAACCCCGGGAUUACGAGAUUAUCCGAGUUCUCGGUACUUUAGUGUGGUUUUGAGGUGUGUCCAUCGAGCUUAAACCAUGCAAGUCUCGCUAUAUACCAGAGACUCUCUUCACUUCUUUCGACUUUUUAUACUGGGGGAGCUCUGUCAGGGAGUUUGACCAUCGGGUGCCGGAGAUAUAACUUGAAUCCAGUGAAAGGAUGAACUCAACGAGUCUUGUAUAUAUGCUACAGAGGAAGAUCCUUGUCAACACUCAUCCAUGCAUUUCCUCUGAUGAACGUAAUUACCCUAAGGCUGCAUGAAUUCCUAGUGAUUUCAAAUUCAAUCAAUUGACUUUUUUCUUUUCAUGACCCGCUGGUGCUUCUUGAUUCAUUCAUGGAGACUUGUACUCUAUUUAACUCGCUUAGUGUUCUCUGAUCCCUUUAGACUGUUCUGCUUUAAUCAUGGUGCCAUCAUGUGUUAUGCCAAUAAUAUACCCGGUCGAGUGAUCAUGAUUUCCCGGAAGAGAAGGUGAGGUGUUACCACUGCUAAAAUUGAUUCUAUAAUGGACUUACCACUGCUCAUAUGAUCAAAUAGAAUGGUCCCCGGGAUGAAGUUGAUCGAAACCUGGAGAGGUGGUGUUGCUGCCGGAUGGGUGUCCAUAGCAAUUUUUCAGUGGGCACCCAACCGAACACAUCUGCAGUUGAAUGAUGCCAGCAGAUCGAGUGACCCACUCCAAGUCGAUCAAGGCCGAUCACAGUCCCUCGGUCAGGUCUGAUCCCAACUCCCACAUUAACUCCCUCUCCUGAUGAAUUCGACCAAUUGGGAACAUAAGCUUGCUUUGCCUGAACAUGGACUCUGCUAUCCCGGAGGCAAAGAAACUGUUGAUUGCUUAUUUCGAUAUCGAGUCUGGCACCGAACUCGACUGUGAUAAAGUGGGCUUCCGGCGAAUCCGUUUGCCCCUGACUGAUGAACUUGACCCGAUGGAGCUCAUGAGGCCGGUCCCGAGCGGUGUCGAAGAUCCCGGUGAGUUACAGUUGGCUGCACACCCGCACCUUGAUGAAAUCGUGAUCGAGAUCAUCGACUACCAUUGAGACAGGAAGGUCCCGGAUGCUAGCUGCCGAUCGGGAACCCGGGCGGGUCACUCCUUGGACUGUGCGGACAAAGGUCCGGGAUGGGUCUUACGGCUACCAGCAGAGAUCUCUGGCGAUUUGGAACAAACCGGAGGCCGCCACUGGGAAAAGAACCCUUGGGUCUCGCUGAAUCAUCUCCGGGACGGUGGUUGGAGUUUGUUGUUCGGCCUUGGCAACAUCCCGAUGAUAAAAGGACCCGGGCGGGUCAUGCCAUCCCUCUUGGUGGCAUGGGCCUGCAUAUGGCCUCCUGAUGGGUUGGGCCCGAGAUGACUCAGGCCUGCAUGAGCUUACUGGCAGAGCAACAAGACUUUUUGUAACGUUUCCCACAGACGGAGCCAAAUGUUUCUGCAUAAUCCCGGGGACUAUGUAAAAUCAUGGUGGAACACGGACAACAGACAAUCAUGAGCAAGAGACAAGGACAUAUAGUGGUUCACCAUGCCAUCGGAGGACAUGGCUACGUCCACUUUACAAUCAACUAUCAUGUCCAAUAGGCCUUUGGGAUCGGGAGAGAGAGAUUCAAUCCUCUAUCCAUCAGAUCAUUUCUACAUAUGGGAAGCCUUCCUUUUAUAACUAAGGAAGGUUCCCUCCUUUUAUAUAUUUCCAAUGUGGGACAAACUAUACAUAUAUCUUUUUAUGAUGCCUUCUUGUGAAGCAUGACUAGUCUAUGGGCGGGGAAGGUAGUUCUCAACUACCUACUACAGAGAAAUAUAUGAAACUUGUUUCAAAUAGAAAGGUAUCUGAACUUGAUAGAUAAAGUUUUAUGCCAGUCUCUACUACUACUUCUAACAAGCAACAGUACUCUUGCUAACUCAUAAAGCCUCCUCCGAGCAUAUUAGGCACUUGUUGUGGUUGCGGGAGCUGUGGUUGCUUUUGUUGCUGGAGCUGAGCUGUGGUUGCAAUUGUUACUCCUGUAGCUGCGGCUGCUGUUCCUGCAUCUAUUGUAGUUGCAGCUGCUGUUGCUGCAUUUGUUGAAGCUGAAGCUGCUAUUGCUGCAUGUGUUAUUAGCUAUGGUUGUUGUUAUUGCAUUUGUUGCUGACCACGUAUGUGUGACUUAAACAGAUCCAUAUCCUGAACCGAUGGUAGAUUUAUCUUUUUAGUAAGAAAUGAAGACAAAGUUACUAUGAAUCAAAUCUACGAAAGCAAAUAUAGAGAUCCAAAUUUGACAAACUAGAGAUAUCACUAGCUAAGAGAGGGUAUCCAAAUUCAGAAACAAAAUAACUAAGAGAAGAACAUUAUUUUGAGGGGAAAAUGGAGUCGAGCUCCUUUGAUUUUCAUCAUACGACCGUACUAGGUCAAGCUUGGAGGUUGUCCUAGAACAACUCCAUUUACAAGUUGAAGCUCAUAUGCAUGCACAUAUGCAUGUCUACAAUUCAAAAGAAAACUACAAAUACUGAAGAAAGAAAAAAGAUUAAUGUUUAAAAAAGAACUUAUUAAGGCCUAGAAAGCAUGUAACCUACAACAUCAAAUCAAAGUACCCCAACUUAAUGCAUCGAGACUGCUUAAAGACCAUUUCGGUAUACCUUUCCAACAAAAAGGGGGGUAGACUUCAAUUUGGAGAUGUAGGGGUCUUGUCACACAGUCCCAACAUGAAAACUAAAUCACAACCCAACAGAGCCUAAAAGGAGAAGAAGAUGCAAUGGGCUGAAGGUAAAAGCCCAUCCCACAUACACACUUCCACUAUCGGUCCCAAUUGUAUCGGAUCAGGCUGUACUGUCGGAAUUGCUGCCUCCGCCUAUUCAAUCAGACGGCCUCCCUAACAUCGCCAUCCCUUCCAGAAACGGCAGAGUACCCCUGUGACCAAAGAUUAGGGCCGAAAACCGCCUCCUAAGUCUCUACUUCUACCGUAGCCACUUCACCAUUAACGUCGGCCUUAAGAAAGUCGCGCCGCCUCCAAACAAUCAGCAGAAGCUUGAUACUGGCUCGCCUAAAAAGAUGAUCGUCUGUGAAAGGUUGCCAACGAGAACCAAAGCCAAAUAGCGCCGCCGUCAAGCUUUAGAUCCACGUCCCUCACCCACCGCAGUCGAAGAUAAAGACCAACAGAAAAGAGAACCAGGAGCCUUCGUCCCUCUCCUCCUAGAUCGUGAGGCCAGACGACAUCCCUAGUGGCUGGGAGCGUAUCAGAAAAGCUGCCGCCGCCUUGCUCUCAAAACCCCUAGAACCUUACAGGUUUCGGUCUUUUUCCGGUGUAUAUAAGAUAAGAACAUUAUUUCAAUCCAAUGGUAUUCGAGUUUUCGCAUUAUUUUUUCAGAAUCCGAUCCGAACCGAACUUCCUUAAACGGAUCGAAUCCACGAAAGGUUGUUUUUUAUUAAAAUAUUUCACCUGAACUCAUAUAAAUAUUUAUUAUAUUUACGUUACAUUUACUCAAAGAAUUUCAUUCUACCGUAGAAAUGAGUGGCAUGGGAAAAAUUGAACCGAGAGGAUUUGCUGCAUUGCAUCUUCCAAGAUAAGUUUUUUAAUUCGUUAAGCUUUCUUGUUUUUCAUGAAUGUCUAGUGAUUAACUUUAGGAGUAAUUAUUCUCUGUACCCGGAACACCACGUGGCACUGCCAGCUGUUGUACCCAGCCAAUCAUAUAACUCAUAUUCAUGUGGGGACCAGCACGGGAUGAAAAAAAAAGAGGAAAAGUAAUUAAAUACACCAAUCAGAAAUAAAAAUAAAACACGUGGACCAAUUAGAUUAAAAGGAAACAUAAAACAUGUGGUGUUCCGGGUACAAUUAAUAAUUUCCCUAACUUUAGACUCCUUUUACAACGUUUGCCAACCUCAGAUCUGAUUCACCCAAUACUUGGACUGCAGAGAUAUUAUGGUAUGUAUCAAGUUCCAUAUCAUUUAUACAAGUCAUACAUUUUGAAAUAAAUUACAUGUUAAGUUUCAUAUUGAUCACUAUAUACAUAUAUUUGGUUCAGUUAAGGAAUAAGAAGGAAAGGCUGAUGGACAUUAAUUGAACGAUAUUCUCAUGUCAUGCACAAGCUCUACGGUCAGUAAAGACUGAAGACAUGAAAUUUUGUAGCUCCUCUGAUCAGUCAAAUGGAAUUUUGGCGUGGUUCAGAUACUAGUUGUGUACUUGUGUUGUGAUGUAGAGAACGACUAUUGUUAAUAAUACUCGGUAAAGAUGUUUGAUUUUGUUAUCGAUCUCAAACACAAUUUUGUAGGUUCGUAUAAAAUAUAGGUGUUUAAGAUCAAUAUUGGUCCCGUUUUGUUUUAGGCUAGAGAAAAGGAAUCAGAUCCACCCCUCUCCGGAUCGUUAAUUUCCUCCUCACGUAUACUUUUGGACACAAAUUAAUGUGAAAAAAGAAGGAUACCUUAUUGCUCAUCUUCAUCAUUCUUCAUCGUAAGACGAGGAUUAUCUUCUUAAUCCUUCUUUUGCCUUUUCUCAAAAGCUGUCUAACGCCUAACGCCCUAACUACAUGUGUGAUUAUUUCGAUAGGCACUACUAUUUACAUGCAAGCUUUUUUGGUCUCUGCUGAUUCAAGAUGAGACUCAAAAUAUAUAUCAAUACUACGUCGACGCCAAACGAAAUGAACAUAUAUGUGCAAGUUUAUUAUUAGACUAAUCAUGGAACCAUAUUCAGACUUAUCAAUAUCAAAGUAUCUUUGUCUGUUAACCACUUAACCAUUACGAUCGAGUUAGGGAAUUCUAGAAAUGACUAUAGCUAUCUUAUAGAAGAAAUACUUCGAAAUAUGAAAAUGUGAGCAAGUCAUUGGCUUCAACAGCCUUGUGAUCUUGGUCGUCAUAAACGAAAAGAAGCAGCUUCAACACGAUGUGGUGUUUACCUACGUGCCUUUCAGGCUAAGAGAAAUCCAACUAGCUAGGUGUUCAUAUAUAAAUAUAACAUAUGAAGCACGCAUAAGAUCCAGUACUUUCCAAGUCUAUCAAGUUAUAAGAACAGAUUCUCAAUAUCUUCCGCCUAUAUGUUUCAUGGAAAUCACCAUCUGAUUAUCACAAUUAGAGUUUAACAUAUUAAUACCCAACCGAUCAACUGCGUGUCUUUUAAGAGCAUCCAGAUUUUACAUCAUCCUGAUUCCCAAGUACAGUAUUGCUAGCUAGCAUCUGAAGAAUUGAGAAGCAAAAUAGACAAGAAAAGAAAAGCAUUUCCCCCCAUAAGAAGAAUGCAAAAUCAUAAAAUUCCACUAUCUAUUUUAGUUUUCUUUCUCUGGAUGAAUUAAAAUUAUACCACCUCCACAAAAAAGCUUAGCGUAGGCAUUCCAAAAGAAGAAUCCAGACCACAGCCACGCAACCUAUUUGCCCCUUCCAAUUUGCCCCGAUCGAUCCCUCCCCAAAAUGCCCCAUACAGUUCUCUUUUCUCUGAUGAGUUUAACAAACCAUAAUAUUACUCGCAGUGCUUAACUUUCCACUUCAUUCCUUUUUAUCCGAUGCUGCUUAUAUGUAAAGCCGAAAGGAACCAGUCUGUGAUGUGAAAAGUUUGGAUUUCCAGCCGAGCAAAACCUUAUCUUGAAUACUUAUUCAUACUCAGAUCUGCCUUUGUAUUUUCUCCAAGAUCACAUUCACGUCACUCUUGCGAUAACCUGACUCGGUUAUUUUGGACCCUUUUUUUUCUUUGUUAAUUGUGGAGAAUUUAUACUACACAGUCACUGUUUUUUUCCUUACACAUGCAGAAGCUGUAGUCGGCAGCUUUGUUUCACUCGAUGACUCGGGAUUUUCUCUAUCUAUGAGUGAGACGAAGUUCAUGUCAUAUUGGUCGAUCUUUUGCCCUAGUAAUUACAAUUUUUUUUUUAUCUGUUUAAGGUGAUUUGUAGAACGUUUUGUGCUUAUCGCCAUGAAAAUCAUAAAACCAAGCCAUCUGAACUGCAUGUUGGGCAACUUUUGUAGAAGAAAUGUCGAGCGCUGAUGAUGAUCCUCUUCAUGGAUAUCGAAUGUGUAUCGUAUCGAAAAUACUCUUCUUCUUCUUUUGUGUAAAAAGAAGUAUAAAUUUAGUUCCAUCUUCCAAGCACACACUACUACAUUGCAAAUACUUCAUUUAGUUUGUUAUACUACAAUUUUUUUAACAGGGAUAUGUUCCUCAAUUUGCCUAAACUAUAAGAAGAAAACCUCAAUUAUCACUUUUCCUUGGGCAUCGCAUGUGAGCUUCUUCAGCAAAACUGGGACAAGACUGCUUUUCUAGACCUAUAUUCAACAAAAUGUGGUGGAUUCCAAGUAGUCUGAGUGGUAUUAUGUUCUCACAACAGUCCAUUACCGACCAUUAGAAUGUUUAAGAAGCAUCUUUGAUUUUUAAGUAAAAGGAAUAGUAGGUUUCCAGAAUAGCCAAUAAGUUUGACUCAUUUGUAAGGUGGAUGAUGCUUCUUGAAGUUCUUGAACCAUUUUUAGCUAGCUAUCUUAGUUGUUCACCAUUUUAGAAUUCAGCAUAUAACCCUUUUCUCCAAUUACUGAGUAAAUUCACAAAUCAAAAGAGAAAAAGCAUUUUGAAUAUGAAGAAAUUAAGUGAAGGAAAGGCUAUAUAUGUAAUUGGAAAGAGAUAGAGGUUAAAAAGCUAAAGCCUGCAAAAUUGCUUCUCACACAUCUCCAAAACUUUCCCCUCCACUGUCUCUACUUUCCUCUCUCUCUCUCUCCACUUAUCCUUAAUCCUUAAGUCUUCCUUACCUUCUUCCUCAUCUUCUUCUUCCUGAAAUUCUGCUGAAGCAAUAAGGGUUUCAUUCUCUUCAUGUGUUCUUCAAUGGCAGAGCUAGAAUCAGAGUCAUACACCAAACCCCAAAAGGUGGUGUCAUCAGAUCAAAACCAUGAAAACCAAAGUAAGUUCUACAAUCAUUUUCUGUACAAGAUUGCUCUAGUUGUAGUUUUCUUCGUUAUUCUCCCACUUUUCCCAUCACAAGCUCCUGAGUUCAUAAACCAAAGUCUUAUCACCAGAAGCUGGGAGCUUCUUCAUCUCCUCCUAGUUGGUAUAGCUGUGUCUUAUGGCUUAUUUAGCAGACUAAACGAAAAAGUAGAGAAAGAAAACAACACCAAAUUCGACAAUGCUCACUCCUAUGUGUCUAGAAUUCUUCAGGUGCCCUCAGUUUUUGAUGAUGAGGCAGAAACCUCACCUGGACUUGAUGAAAGCAAGGUCCAGGCAUGGAGUAGUCAGUAUUUUAGAAAUGAACCUGUGGUGGUUGUGGCUCAAGAACACUCUGUUCUUGAUGAACAUAGGGAUAGCAGUUCAAUACAUGGUGAAAAGCCAUUGCUUUUGCCUGUUAGGAGCCUAAAACAACGUGUUCCUGACCAGGAGACGAUAGAAUCUGUUGAUGAAUCUAGUGUUACUUCUGGUGGGGCUCUGAGUAGGUCUAAUUCUAGGUCUGGUUCAAGAAGGUUUUCGAGCAGAUCAAUUAAGGCUAGAGCUGGUGAAACUGGGGGUCUAGAUCAUCAAGAAUUGGAGGAGAAGUUGAAGGAGAGUGUUGUGCUUCCUUCUCCAAUACCGUGGCGAUCAAGAUCAGGAAGGUUGGAAGUGAGGGAGGAUCUUGUUAGUAGUACUCCAAUGGAGGAAGCUGAGUUUAACCGCCUAGAUCCUCGGGGAGUUUCGAGGUCCCAAAGCUCUCAUUCAUCUCGAUCCGAUUCAGUGUCUUCAUCACCAAAGCUGUCUCCUUCAACAUCACUUUCGUCUCCAAAGAAGUUAUCUCCUGCACCCUCAUUGUCAUCAGAAGCUCAAGCCAAGAGUGUUGAGGAUGGGGGGAGGAAGAGGAGCUUUUACAAGAGUUCUAUUCCCCCACCUCCUCCACCCCCACCGAUGUUUUAUAAAUCAUCAUCAUUGAGGCCAAGCAGUGAUGAGGUUUCUUAUGAGAAAGAUUUGAGAAGAAGCUUCACUAGUGAAGCAAAGAACUUGAAUAGGAGCAAUGGAGAAUUUAUGAUGGGCAGAGUUAAUUCAGGGCUUGAAACAAAGCAUAGGCUGAGCCAUGUUGAUGGCAUUUCAAUGGCAAAGUCUGUCAGAACAACCAGAGCUGGAGAACCAGGAUAUGUAAACGGGAAGGUGGAGCAAAGCGCUAAGGAAGUUGAAGCAAAUGUGGUGGAGGAUGUAACAAGAAAGAGGGUGGGGUUCAAUGAAUCUUCAUUCUGGACUGAGAAGCUGAGCCAUGAAAGCAGCAUCCCCAACAACCCCAAGUCAUCGGCUUUUGAAGAAUUCUCUGAGGAAGAUGAGAAGGAAGAUCUUUUCGACAAGGUGGUUAUGGAAUCAGAUGAAGAAACCGAAAGCGAGGGUGAUGACACUGAAGGAGAUUUUGCUCCUAAAGACAUUGGAGGGAGCCCAAAGCCAAGUCCAAGGCCCUAUCAACCUGCUUCUGGCAAUGCAAGUGACGGAGGGCCUGAUGUGGAUAAGAAGGCAGAUGAGUUCAUAGCUAAAUUCAGGGAGCAGAUUCGGCUUCAGAGAAUAGAUUCGAUCAAGAAAUCGAGUGCUCAGAUUAGUAAAAACUUGUCCAGGUAAAAUGUGAAGAUAUUUCAGCCCCAUUAAUGUUAAAACAGGAAGGAUUGUAAACUUGUUUUACUUUCUUGGUUUUAUGUUCAAAUUGACUUGAUAUAUUAUAGCUUUUGGUUCAAAACUUCAAAUUAUGAUCAUGAUAUAAAUAGAAUUAUAUGUUCUUGUUAAUAAGACUUUACCUUCAAUUUCUGCUACCUAGUCAUGUUCCGUGUGGAUUUUGAAUCAAAUUAAAGCAACCACCGUAAAUCCAAGUUCAGGAAAGCCGCAUCUCAUUUAACAGCAAUAUGAUUGAGCUCAAAUCGUUUCAAUGCAAUGUGUUUUUGUAUGAUCCCCUGUUAUAGGACUUUACGUGUCAUGCAUUUUAUUGGCUAGAACUAUUGGACAAACACAAAGCAAAGUAUCGGUCACUGAAGCUUUCUUCAAUCCAAACUCAUUUCAAGUCUGCUUUUCAUCUCAUUCCGAAUAAAACCACUACUUCUUUGGAGGCACUCGAGUAAUUGAAAUUCUUGCACUUAGAACUAAAACCAUCACUGGAGAUUGUUUGCCCAAAAAAUCGUCUCGGCCGAGAUGAUGGCCAAGGGACUUGAGGUUUUGAUCUGACUUAUUCCAAGUGAUUGUAGGUCGAGGAAGAAACUGUCUCGGCCUUUAGGUUCUCUUGUCUUUGUUGCAAGGACUUUUGACGUUUUCACCGAAUUGGUUAUAUUUUUUGUUUUGUUUUUUGAUAUAGAUUUGCAAGAAGUAAACUGCGAAAAAAGCAAGAAUUUAAAGACGAAAAUUUAAAUGGCACGAAACAUAAAUUGCAUGAAACUAAAUUGCAGUGUAGAAACAAAGAAGAAAAUUAGACUAGAGCAAAGAUAACAAGAUCGAUGUUGUAGAGAAUUUGUAGAGAAUUGGUGUAUUGUAUUGAGUUGAGUUGUGCUGGUCAAUCACCGUUUACAAUGACUUUGAGGGUCGUAUUUAUACAAGUACAAACACACAUUUAAGGAAAUAAGAUACAAUUAAAUCUUUGAAUUUCAAUCUUAAUGACCGAAAAAAAUAUGUUCCAUAUUGCUCAUUUCUUAAUUGCGCCAUAUUUACUUUCUUUCUUAGGGCACCAUUAGAAUCGAUUUGCUCUUAAUUGUGCAAUAUCAUCUUUAAUGCCUUCAAACUCAUUUAAAUCUCAGAAAUAAUUAUCGCCGUUAUUUCUUUCCUCUUGCAGCUUCGUUGGAAUUGAUUUGCUAAUUAUAUUGAAAUAUCACUCUUUAAUGCUUUCAAUUAGCCAUAAAUGUUAAUUUGUUGUCGUAUAUCGUCAUUGCUUCAAUAUUUGGUUUGUAUUGGUGUUAAUAUCUAAUAAUGAAUCUUGGCAAAUCUCAAAAACAACGAUGAUAAUUAUACAAAAUAAUCGCGAUAAUUAUCAUUAAAUGUUAUAAUCUUUCUCGCAACCAACGGCUUCGGCCUAUUAGCCCGACGUGUAAAAAAUAGGUGCAAAGUGCAAACAGAGAUAUCCACAUAAUCAAAAAUUCAAAAUUAAACGUAUGGACUAAAGGUACAGAUGCUGGCAACAAGUCCAGUACAAGUUGAAAAAAAAUAUACGGAAAACUAUUAGAAGUCCAACUAAACAAGCAGAGAAAUAGCUAUACUUCAGGUAGCUAGAGAUCAUACAUAGUGAAUGCAUAUAGAUUGGUCAGGUGAAUCAGAAGAUCAAAUCAUAUUAUGACCCUAUUAGAAAAUUAGAGUCUCUCCUUCAUUUGUGUUUCCAGUCCUUUUGCAGAUUACACUAUAAAUGAUAGCCAUGGUAACAGAGAAGAGAACUAAGCUAGGGUUUUACAGAAACAAAGAAAAGAGAGAGUGUUUCAGAGAGAAGAUCAGAACCAAAUCUUUCAUUCGUGAAAAAUGAAAAGCUUGCUUACAAAGAAAAGAGAGAGAUCAGUUUAUAUACAAUGUGUGGCUCUAACAGCUUAACAGAAAUUACAGCCACUACCAGAAGAAAGGCUUUAGCCGACGAAAAUAAAAAAACCAGGACCGACGAACUUUUUUUUCGCGGCUAAAGUCCACUUUUAGCCGACGAAUUUUUUUUUCGUCGGCUAAUUUAAAAUUUUCGUCGGCUAUGGUCAACUUUAGCCCGACGAAAGUUAAUAUUUUCAUCGGCUGAAUAAUUUUUUUCGCGGCUAUAGUCUGUGAACNNNNNNNNNNNNNNNNNNNNNNNNNNNNNNNNNNNNNNNNNNNNNNNNNNNNNNNNNNNNNNNNNNNNNNNNNNNNNNNNNNNNNNNNNNNNNNNNNNNNNNNNNNNNNNNNNNNNNNNNNNNNNNNNNNNNNNNNNNNNNNNNNNNNNNNNNNNNNNNNNNNNNNNNNNNNNNNNNNNNNNNNNNNNNNNNNNNNNNNNNNNNNNNNNNNNNNNNNNNNNNNNNNNNNNNNNNNNNNNNNNNNNNNNNNNNNNNNNNNNNNNNNNNNNNNNNNNNNNNNNNNNNNNNNNNNNNNNNNNNNNNNNNNNNNNNNNNNNNNNNNNNNNNNNNNNNNNNNNNNNNNNNNNNNNNNNNNNNNNNNNNNNNNNNNNNNNNNNNNNNNNNNNNNNNNNNNNNNNNNNNNNNNNNNNNNNNNNNNNNNNNNNNNNNNNNNNNNNNNNNNNNNNNNNNNNNNNNNNNNNNNNNNNNNNNNNNNNNNNNNNNNNNNNNNNNNNNNNNNNNNNNNNNNNNNNNNNNNNNNNNNNNNNNNNNNNNNNNNNNNNNNNNNNNNNNNNNNNNNNNNNNNNNNNNNNNNNNNNNNNNNNNNNNNNNNNNNNNNNNNNNNNNNNNNNNNNNNNNNNNNNNNNNNNNNNNNNNNNNNNNNNNNNNNNNNNNNNNNNNNNNNNNNNNNNNNNNNNNNNNNNNNNNNNNNNNNNNNNNNNNNNNNNNNNNNNNNNNNNNNNNNNNNNNNNNNNNNNNNNNNNNNNNNNNNNNNNNNNNNNNNNNNNNNNNNNNNNNNNNNNNNNNNNNNNNNNNNNNNNNNNNNNNNNNNNNNNNNNNNNNNNNNNNNNNNNNNNNNNNNNNNNNNNNNNNNNNNNNNNNNNNNNNNNNNNNNNNNNNNNNNNNNNNNNNNNNNNNNNNNNNNNNNNNNNNNNNNNNNNNNNNNNNNNNNNNNNNNNNNNNNNNNNNNNNNNNNNNNNNNNNNNNNNNNNNNNNNNNNNNNNNNNNNNNNNNNNNNNNNNNNNNNNNNNNNNNNNNNNNNNNNNNNNNNNNNNNNNNNNNNNNNNNNNNNNNNNNNNNNNNNNNNNNNNNNNNNNNNNNNNNNNNNNNNNNNNNNNNNNNNNNNNNNNNNNNNNNNNNNNNNNNNNNNNNNNNNNNNNNNNNNNNNNNNNNNNNNNNNNNNNNNNNNNNNNNNNNNNNNNNNNNNNNNNNNNNNNNNNNNNNNNNNNNNNNNNNNNNNNNNNNNNNNNNNNNNNNNNNNNNNNNNNNNNNNNNNNNNNNNNNNNNNNNNNNNNNNNNNNNNNNNNNNNNNNNNNNNNNNNNNNNNNNNNNNNNNNNNNNNNNNNNNNNNNNNNNNNNNNNNNNNNNNNNNNNNNNNNNNNNNNNNNNNNNNNNNNNNNNNNNNNNNNNNNNNNNNNNNNNNNNNNNNNNNNNNNNNNNNNNNNNNNNNNNNNNNNNNNNNNNNNNNNNNNNNNNNNNNNNNNNNNNNNNNNNNNNNNNNNNNNNNNNNNNNNNNNNNNNNNNNNNNNNNNNNNNNNNNNNNNNNNNNNNNNNNNNNNNNNNNNNNNNNNNNNNNNNNNNNNNNNNNNNNNNNNNNNNNNNNNNNNNNNNNNNNNNNNNNNNNNNNNNNNNNNNNNNNNNNNNNNNNNNNNNNNNNNNNNNNNNNNNNNNNNNNNNNNNNNNNNNNNNNNNNNNNNNNNNNNNNNNNNNNNNNNNNNNNNNNNNNNNNNNNNNNNNNNNNNNNNNNNNNNNNNNNNNNNNNNNNNNNNNNNNNNNNNNNNNNNNNNNNNNNNNNNNNNNNNNNNNNNNNNNNNNNNNNNNNNNNNNNNNNNNNNNNNNNNNNNNNNNNNNNNNNNNNNNNNNNNNNNNNNNNNNNNNNNNNNNNNNNNNNNNNNNNNNNNNNNNNNNNNNNNNNNNNNNNNNNNNNNNNNNNNNNNNNNNNNNNNNNNNNNNNNNNNNNNNNNNNNNNNNNNNNNNNNNNNNNNNNNNNNNNNNNNNNNNNNNNNNNNNNNNNNNNNNNNNNNNNNNNNNNNNNNNNNNNNNNNNNNNNNNNNNNNNNNNNNNNNNNNNNNNNNNNNNNNNNNNNNNNNNNNNNNNNNNNNNNNNNNNNNNNNNNNNNNNNNNNNNNNNNNNNNNNNNNNNNNNNNNNNNNNNNNNNNNNNNNNNNNNNNNNNNNNNNNNNNNNNNNNNNNNNNNNNNNNNNNNNNNNNNNNNNNNNNNNNNNNNNNNNNNNNNNNNNNNNNNNNNNNNNNNNNNNNNNNNNNNNNNNNNNNNNNNNNNNNNNNNNNNNNNNNNNNNNNNNNNNNNNNNNNNNNNNNNNNNNNNNNNNNNNNNNNNNNNNNNNNNNNNNNNNNNNNNNNNNNNNNNNNNNNNNNNNNNNNNNNNNNNNNNNNNNNNNNNNNNNNNNNNNNNNNNNNNNNNNNNNNNNNNNNNNNNNNNNNNNNNNNNNNNNNNNNNNNNNNNNNNNNNNNNNNNNNNNNNNNNNNNNNNNNNNNNNNNNNNNNNNNNNNNNNNNNNNNNNNNNNNNNNNNNNNNNNNNNNNNNNNNNNNNNNNNNNNNNNNNNNNNNNNNNNNNNNNNNNNNNNNNNNNNNNNNNNNNNNNNNNNNNNNNNNNNNNNNNNNNNNNNNNNNNNNNNNNNNNNNNNNNNNNNNNNNNNNNNNNNNNNNNNNNNNNNNNNNNNNNNNNNNNNNNNNNNNNNNNNNNNNNNNNNNNNNNNNNNNNNNNNNNNNNNNNNNNNNNNNNNNNNNNNNNNNNNNNNNNNNNNNNNNNNNNNNNNNNNNNNNNNNNNNNNNNNNNNNNNNNNNNNNNNNNNNNNNNNNNNNNNNNNNNNNNNNNNNNNNNNNNNNNNNNNNNNNNNNNNNNNNNNNNNNNNNNNNNNNNNNNNNNNNNNNNNNNNNNNNNNNNNNNNNNNNNNNNNNNNNNNNNNNNNNNNNNNNNNNNNNNNNNNNNNNNNNNNNNNNNNNNNNNNNNNNNNNNNNNNNNNNNNNNNNNNNNNNNNNNNNNNNNNNNNNNNNNNNNNNNNNNNNNNNNNNNNNNNNNNNNNNNNNNNNNNNNNNNNNNNNNNNNNNNNNNNNNNNNNNNNNNNNNNNNNNNNNNNNNNNNNNNNNNNNNNNNNNNNNNNNNNNNNNNNNNNNNNNNNNNNNNNNNNNNNNNNNNNNNNNNNNNNNNNNNNNNNNNNNNNNNNNNNNNNNNNNNNNNNNNNNNNNNNNNNNNNNNNNNNNNNNNNNNNNNNNNNNNNNNNNNNNNNNNNNNNNNNNNNNNNNNNNNNNNNNNNNNNNNNNNNNNNNNNNNNNNNNNNNNNNNNNNNNNNNNNNNNNNNNNNNNNNNNNNNNNNNNNNNNNNNNNNNNNNNNNNNNNNNNNNNNNNNNNNNNNNNNNNNNNNNNNNNNNNNNNNNNNNNNNNNNNNNNNNNNNNNNNNNNNNNNNNNNNNNNNNNNNNNNNNNNNNNNNNNNNNNNNNNNNNNNNNNNNNNNNNNNNNNNNNNNNNNNNNNNNNNNNNNNNNNNNNNNNNNNNNNNNNNNNNNNNNNNNNNNNNNNNNNNNNNNNNNNNNNNNNNNNNNNNNNNNNNNNNNNNNNNNNNNNNNNNNNNNNNNNNNNNNNNNNNNNNNNNNNNNNNNNNNNNNNNNNNNNNNNNNNNNNNNNNNNNNNNNNNNNNNNNNNNNNNNNNNNNNNNNNNNNNNNNNNNNNNNNNNNNNNNNNNNNNNNNNNNNNNNNNNNNNNNNNNNNNNNNNNNNNNNNNNNNNNNNNNNNNNNNNNNNNNNNNNNNNNNNNNNNNNNNNNNNNNNNNNNNNNNNNNNNNNNNNNNNNNNNNNNNNNNNNNNNNNNNNNNNNNNNNNNNNNNNNNNNNNNNNNNNNNNNNNNNNNNNNNNNNNNNNNNNNNNNNNNNNNNNNNNNNNNNNNNNNNNNNNNNNNNNNNNNNNNNNNNNNNNNNNNNNNNNNNNNNNNNNNNNNNNNNNNNNNNNNNNNNNNNNNNNNNNNNNNNNNNNNNNNNNNNNNNNNNNNNNNNNNNNNNNNNNNNNNNNNNNNNNNNNNNNNNNNNNNNNNNNNNNNNNNNNNNNNNNNNNNNNNNNNNNNNNNNNNNNNNNNNNNNNNNNNNNNNNNNNNNNNNNNNNNNNNNNNNNNNNNNNNNNNNNNNNNNNNNNNNNNNNNNNNNNNNNNNNNNNNNNNNNNNNNNNNNNNNNNNNNNNNNNNNNNNNNNNNNNNNNNNNNNNNNNNNNNNNNNNNNNNNNNNNNNNNNNNNNNNNNNNNNNNNNNNNNNNNNNNNNNNNNNNNNNNNNNNNNNNNNNNNNNNNNNNNNNNNNNNNNNNNNNNNNNNNNNNNNNNNNNNNNNNNNNNNNNNNNNNNNNNNNNNNNNNNNNNNNNNNNNNNNNNNNNNNNNNNNNNNNNNNNNNNNNNNNNNNNNNNNNNNNNNNNNNNNNNNNNNNNNNNNNNNNNNNNNNNNNNNNNNNNNNNNNNNNNNNNNNNNNNNNNNNNNNNNNNNNNNNNNNNNNNNNNNNNNNNNNNNNNNNNNNNNNNNNNNNNNNNNNNNNNNNNNNNNNNNNNNNNNNNNNNNNNNNNNNNNNNNNNNNNNNNNNNNNNNNNNNNNNNNNNNNNNNNNNNNNNNNNNNNNNNNNNNNNNNNNNNNNNNNNNNNNNNNNNNNNNNNNNNNNNNNNNNNNNNNNNNNNNNNNNNNNNNNNNNNNNNNNNNNNNNNNNNNNNNNNNNNNNNNNNNNNNNNNNNNNNNNNNNNNNNNNNNNNNNNNNNNNNNNNNNNNNNNNNNNNNNNNNNNNNNNNNNNNNNNNNNNNNNNNNNNNNNNNNNNNNNNNNNNNNNNNNNNNNNNNNNNNNNNNNNNNNNNNNNNNNNNNNNNNNNNNNNNNNNNNNNNNNNNNNNNNNNNNNNNNNNNNNNNNNNNNNNNNNNNNNNNNNNNNNNNNNNNNNNNNNNNNNNNNNNNNNNNNNNNNNNNNNNNNNNNNNNNNNNNNNNNNNNNNNNNNNNNNNNNNNNNNNNNNNNNNNNNNNNNNNNNNNNNNNNNNNNNNNNNNNNNNNNNNNNNNNNNNNNNNNNNNNNNNNNNNNNNNNNNNNNNNNNNNNNNNNNNNNNNNNNNNNNNNNNNNNNNNNNNNNNNNNNNNNNNNNNNNNNNNNNNNNNNNNNNNNNNNNNNNNNNNNNNNNNNNNNNNNNNNNNNNNNNNNNNNNNNNNNNNNNNNNNNNNNNNNNNNNNNNNNNNNNNNNNNNNNNNNNNNNNNNNNNNNNNNNNNNNNNNNNNNNNNNNNNNNNNNNNNNNNNNNNNNNNNNNNNNNNNNNNNNNNNNNNNNNNNNNNNNNNNNNNNNNNNNNNNNNNNNNNNNNNNNNNNNNNNNNNNNNNNNNNNNNNNNNNNNNNNNNNNNNNNNNNNNNNNNNNNNNNNNNNNNNNNNNNNNNNNNNNNNNNNNNNNNNCUACGUUGCAUGGAAUCAGAAGCGGAAGCGUGGAAGCAAAGCGUUUGGAAACGCGGAAGCGUUUGGAAACGCGGAAGCGUUUUUUUUCAAAAAUACUUGGAAGCGGAAGCGUUUUGGAAGCGUUGAAUAAAAUAAUAAUAUUACUAGCUUUCUAAAUCUUCUUAUUUAUUGUUAAUAAUAAAUACAAAUUAAUGAAACAGUUUGCAACCUCCUAAUUAUUUAAUUGUUUAGCCUCUUUAUCUACUACUAAGAUAACUAUUAAUCCCAUAAUAACUAUGUUUUUUCCAUCCAAAAGUUCCAAACACCAUUCUUUUUAAAAAAAAUAAAAACGCAACUAUAGCACGUGGGUGUGCAAAUCAAGAGAGUGGAAGCCAUCCAUCUUCUUCAUUCUGGCUGCUUCUCUCUUCAGCAUCUCUUUUCUCUUUAUUCUCUGAUUCUCCAGUUCUCCCUCACCUUCUACGUCUCUCUCUAUCUCCUUCUAGAUUCAUAUUUGUUUUGUCUCUCCUUCCUCGAUCAAGGGGUCGUCAAGGAGAGGACGGGAUUGAUCAUUGAUUGCAUAAGAGAUUGAAAGAAGAUCAACGCGUCGCUAACCCUCAGUGCCCGUCCGCGCUUCCAAAUUGAUGUCGUGCGCUUCCAUAUCGAAAUCGGACGCUUCCGCCGCGCUUCAAAAACCUCAUUCUCCCGGAAUCGCGCUUCCGGACGCUUCCUAGCGCUUCCGCUUCGGAAGCGUGAAGCGUCCCUUUCGUGCUUCGUAGGUUAUAAGUAGGAUACAAAGUAAGAAAACUCUACUAUUUUACUAAGAAACAGAAUUUAAAUAACACUUAAAGCUAUUUAAAGAGCUACUUAAAAGUAACUAAAUCAGCUGCUAGAGAAACUGAUUUAAAACUAAGUUCCUAUUUCAGCUUUAGUGGUAAAAACAGUGUACAGGAUGCUGUCUUUGGCUUCAAUUUCCACAUACUCUACUUUAACCAAAAUUACUGAACCCAAGCCUAUUUUAAAGAUGAUAUUACAGGCUUUAAAUACAUAGUUUAAGUUUUGAAAACAAAGCCCUAGAUAGAAAGUUACGGUCUUGCAAAGUUGGAGUAAAAAUCUGAAAACCUAGAAAUUCCAGUUUUUGCUGAGUCUGCUACUGUUUUUGGCAAGCUAAUUAUCAUACCAAAUGGUAACAAAAACCUGUGAAUUUAACACAUACAAUGAUGGAUAUACAAGGUUUACAAAGCUACUUUCGGAUUUCAAAAAAAAGGCCUGAGCUGAAAGAUAUCAUGCCUCAAAGUAGGCAAGAAAAUCAGCUUUCUGCAGAAUUCUGGAAAUUUACAGCAAGAAUAAAACUUGGUUCUUGGAGCUUUAAUUCAACUUUUGAAGUAGCAAACCAAGUUCUAAAGCUUCAGAAUGGAAAGGAACAGAUUUACAGAACAUUAGAACGAUUUUAAACAUUUUAAGGAACCAACGGUUGAAACAAAAGGAUCCAAAAUUUGAUUUGGACACCCAAACUCAAGAAUCAUAUUCUUGAGCUUCAACCACAAUGAUUCCAAACAAUAACAUCCUUUUCGAAUUCAAUUUUGCUGUCUAAACAAGUCUGAGAAUUCGAAAUUUCUAACCAUAAACAAACAAAAGAAUCAUACUAAACUCAGAACAAGAAAACAAGAAUCAUAGCAAUCCAUAAACAAAACUAUGAAACUGAAAUUGAAAUUGCUAGAAGAUGAAAUGGGUUUUACCUUAGAAAAACGAAUUGAAAAGGUUUCCUUUCUCACUCCACAACUCUCCCAAAAUCUAUCCUCUCCAGAAACUUUGUACUAGUUUUGUCGAAGGUUUUAGCCGACUCUCCCGAUCCAUUCUAAUCUUCUACAGCCUAGACUCCUAGACCUCCAGCUAGCCCCUACUCCUAUAAGCUUAGACUUGUACUCUUGAGACACCUCCUGCUUGCUAAAAUGGUGGAGCAAAUAAUAGCAAAAAGAAAAGGAAGAGAGAGUCUGCAGUGUAAUGCAGCUCAGGUUUUUUUUUUUUUUUUUAACAAAACAAAAGUAAAAUACCCCAAAAACUUGAUAAAGCAUAGAUUAGUACUAAGUAAACUAAAUUAGCUACUUCAAGAUGUUACAGUUUUUCCUAGUGUGUCUAUGUGAGUUUGGGCAUGUUUAGGCUUGGGCAACUUUCAAGUUCAGAACUGCUAGUAGCUUAGUUUGGGCUCUCCUUGUGGUGUGGGCUUGGUUGGACUAAGUCUAUGUGGCCUAAAGUAAGGCCUAAUUAUAAAUCAAGGGCAGUAUUGACGUUUCACUUUGUUGGUAUAUUUUAUUCCAGCUUCUGCAUAGAUCAAGUUUGCUAAAAUAAAGGUGUUAUAAAUAGUUUUGAGAAGGUGUUAUAAUUUGAUUAUUAGGAUCCUAGUUACAACUAGGUGUUUUAGUAGUCAUGGCUUAGUUUGGUAUUGCUGUGAGAAUACUUAAUUUUUAAAAAACUCAGUUUUAAAAAUGGAACCCCUAAUUUAUUUUCAAAAAUCGUGGUUAUUUAAACUAAAAAGAGCAAGACGUAGAUGAGCAAGGGAAAUUUGGAGAGCGCAAUCUCACUUUAGUUGACACUAAUAAUUGAGAUUCUUCUUUGGUAGAAUCUAGUGUUCAACAAUCCAAGUUUUGUUGGGGUGAUUUGAAAAAUGAAGAACCACGUGGUCAUCAUACAUAUACCCAUACUGAUAGAAUGAGUCAUAUGAGUUCCUGGUUUUAUGAGGGUGAAGCGCUUACAGAUAUGAAUAUUCUCAAGUCUUUCCAAACCAAAUCCUUACCUUGCGUGUGAUCGUGCUUCUGUUGUGCGUCUUGAUAUGUGAUGUAAUUGGCUCUGUCGUUGUUUAUAUUUUGGUUGCCAUGUUUUGUUGUUUCUUUUAAGUGUUUUGGCUUAAUGUAUCCCCCUUAGAUUCUAUCCUUUUUAUUUAAUAAAUUUUUGAUUGCCAAAAAAAAUUUAUACUUCAGCUAGCUAAUCUAACAUACCUUGUAUAAAAGAAACCAUAGGUUACUUUUACAAUAAGUUAUGUUUAAGAACUAAGAUAUGAUAUUACGUAAACCUAGAGGAAGCUGUGAAAAAACGUAGAGGUUGAGAGCAAAAGUCAAGUCUACAUCCCUGUCCGGUGGCGUGUCCUCUCGCGGUCGUCGGACAGGCCUCGUUGGCCCCGUGUGGGUUCAGAAUAAGCCACAAUCCCCUAUUGAGAUCUUUAUUCGUGUUGGGGAGUUGUGGGUGGUGGUUUACAGGGUGAGGAAGGGUGAAGGCAUGGCCACGCUUAGGAGCUGAUCUUCUCAUGUUUAAACUGACGGCACGGCUAGGAUCGAAUCAGGUCCAGAUUUUCUAGAUUUUGUAUGGAGGUGAGGCUGCUAAGCAAGGGUUGCGCUCAUCCAUGGCGCAAGGAGAAGGCGGUCGUCUGGCGAGGUAGGCAGGGACGUGGGUGGUGAGACAUCAGCAGUGACCGGCGCUAGGAUCAAUCAGGUUCGGCGGGCACAGUGCUUUUUCUCUGAUUCUCCUAUGGAGGCUAGGGUUGGAGCUCAGGUUUUGGGCUUAGGCUUUGGGCCCCAUUUGGGCUGGUUUGUUUUCAAGUUUUAGUUAUUUGGUUCUUUAGUUGUAAUUUAUUUUAUGCUUUCAAUAAGUUCGGAUCUUUAUUUGGUCCAUACAAGUGGGCUAUGUCUCGGCUUGCAUGUAUUGCGUACCAUGUUUGCCCUAGGAAGGCGGCGAGUUCCUUGCUUCGUCAAAUGUUUGCAACCUCUUCCUAGUGGUAAGAAGAAACUCAAUGUCACUAGUGUAAAAUAGUAUGAAAGCUGAUAGACAUAGCAACUUAUGGCUCUGCAUGACCAUUGUCUUUUCGGUAUGUCGCCAAAAACUGUAAAGCAAUUGGAGUAGCCAAUAAUGCACACCUUGCUAAAUGGUGUUUGUUAGCAAGCAUAAGAUUGAAAACUCAUGUUAUUAUUUUGGAAUGUGUAGGCAAUAUGGGGUUUAGACUUUAUGAUGUCCGCCAUCGAAAGGGCAUACUUUCCCUGAAUUUGUGCACGUGUGGGCUAGCCUAAAUCUUGGACAACCCAUGAGGAAACUCAACUAAACAAAAGGUUUUUCAAUAGAAAUAUCUCAUAUCUUCCCAAACACUCGUUCUCCUUUUCAUCUAUGCCCCCCACCCCAGCGCGCGCCUGCCCGCUUUUCAUUGUAUUUUGCGGUUUCGUUAAUGGUUAAGGCAUGAGGCGGUCCUUUAGCUCCUAUUAAAAAUAAAUAAAUAAAUAACCGUAGGUUUUUCUGUUCUCCAAAUUGAUUAAUGCUAUCAAGUCUAGUUUCGUUUGUUUUGCUAUUCUUAGUUGGAUUACCUUCCUAAUCCUGACUGGAUUUGAUUCAAUCCAUGUGUUGCCUAUAAAUACAACCAAUAUGAAGAGGGACUCAAACCAAGUUCAUUUUAAUCAAUUGAUCUGAAAAUAUACAACAACAUUGCCUUCUUCCUCGCUAGCUCUUAAGAAUGUCUCAUGAAUACGCCUACCUCUUCAAGUACAUCAUCAUCGGCGACACAGCUGUAGGGAAAUCGUGCCUGCUCUUGGAAUUCAUCGAAAAGAAGUUUCGGCCUGUGUACGAUGCCACCAUUGGUGUUGAGUUUGGCACUCGCAUCAUCACUGUUGAGGGUAAACCGAUGAAGCUCCAGCUGUGGGACACUGCUGGAGCAGAACGUUUUCAAUCCAUCACUAGAACUUACUACAGAGGAGCAGCUGGAGCACUUCUGGUUUUCGACGUAACCAGGAGGGAGACCUUUAAUAAUCUCACGAAAUGGCUACAUGAUGCACGGGAGUAUGCCGAUCGGAACCUCACAAUCAUGCUCAUAGGGAACAAAUGUGACCUUGGUAGUAAAAGGGUUGUCCAGACUGAGGAAGGCGAGCAAUUCGCAGAGCAGAAUGGACUUUUAUACUUGGAAACAUCUACAAGAACUGGUGGUAACGUUGAGGAGGCUUUCACGAAAACUACUGAAAAGAUUCUUCAAAAUAUAAAUGAAGGCACGAUCGAUAUGUCGACUGGGGCACCUGGAAUCAAGAUUGGAUAUGGACUACCACCCCCAGGUGCAGCAGGUGAUGUUGCUCAAAGGGGAGGAUGUUGCAGCUAAUUAGAAUUAAAAAAUAGACGUGCUCAUUCCUUUUUCUAGUCAUCUAGCGACAUGCUGAAGUAUACUUCUAGGUUUAUAGUAUUGUUUGAAUUAUGUAUCCUUAUAAUUUUAUUUUUCAAAAUAAAAACAUUACAUAUUUUGAAGAGAAAUGGUUACAGAUUUUUCAUUGCUUAGUUUCCUCAUAAUGUGAUGCGUCCGUUUUUGUAUUAUAGUUGUUUCCCACAAAAACCAAAACAAUUGAAACGAGGAAGUGAACGUACUCUCUCUAACUCUCUUCAUUAGAAAAAGAACAUAGCUAGUGUCAAAAUUUCAUGCAUGCAUGCAAACUGCAAAUUGAUUUUACUUGCGUACAAUGAUCAACAUAUAUUGACUACUGAUCGACUACAUUAUUGUGAUAAUUAAAAAAUCGUAUACGAAAAAAUAGCUACUGUGAUAACUAAAUUAAGGAUACAAUAUUAUUUUUUUUGGGUGUUUUUUUAUGUUAUUGUUAAUUUGUCAAAAUUUCAAGCAUUUUUUAGAGGGAGUCGGGGUUUUUUUGCAGGCUAUUUCUAAUGUUGGUCAUUCAAGGAAUGUACGUAACAAAUAACUUGAACAAAUAUAUGAUUUGCAUGCCUUUUGUUGCUGCUGCUAAUGCUUAUUACUUCCAUGUAUUGGGGCCAAAAAAAGAUAUUAGGUCUUCACAUACGUGCAAAUCUAUCGAACCAAUUACCUACAUCAAAAAUUGGGUAACAAUCUAAGCCCCGCAUAGGAGUCUUGAUCAUUGGAUCAGGAAAUUCUAAUAGUGAAGUUAACCGGACUAAUGCAUGGUACAAACCAAAGUCAUCGAGAUAGGAUGACAACCCUGCCCAACAUGCAAGACCUUGUCUAAUAAGGAGAAACCAAAAUACGCAUCAUAAUUGAAUUAUGUUAUUUAGUCUUAUUCGAACAGGUUUGCUAUUCCUAGUUUAAUCAUCACUGGGAUUUGAUUCAAGAUUCAUCUAUAAAACAUCCAAGAUGAUGAAAAAUAAAUUCAUAGAAUCGUAACUACAAAAACGCAGAAGACAACAUAAUGUUGUACCACUACCUCUUCAAGUACAUCAUCGUCGGGGACACAGCUGUAGGGAAAUCAUGCAUGUUCUUGCAAUUCACGAACAAGAACUUCCAGGUUGCGCAUGAUGUCACCAUCGGUGUCGAGUUCGGCACUCGAAUCGUCACCGUUGAGGAUCGUCCCAUUAAGAUUCAGAUAUGGGACACCGCCGGCCAAGAGGCUUUUAGGUCCAUCACUACCUCUUACUACAGAGGAUCAGCUGCAGCCUGCAGCACUGCUAGUUUACGACGUAACCAGGAGGGAGACGUUUAAACAUAUUGCAAGCUGGCUAGAGGAUGCCAGGCAGCAUGGAAACCCUAAGAUGACAUUCAUGCUCAUCGGAAACAUGUGCGAUCUCAAAGAUCAAAGGGUUGUCAGCAAAGAGGAAGGGCAGCAGUUUGCGAAGGAGAACGGGCUUUUGUUCAUGGAGACAUCUGUAAAAACUGCUCAGAAUAUUGAGGAGGCCUUCAUAAAAACUGCUGCAAAGAUUGUUCAAAAUAUCAAUGAAGGCGUUUUUGAAGUAUCAACGGAGUCAUCAUCAGCUGGGAUCACAGUUGGAUAUGGACUCCCCUUAGGCUUAUCAAGCUCGAGAGGUGGAUGUUGCAGGUAUUAGAGUAGAAAUACAUUAGGUACUGCUUGUUCCUUUAAUUCUGGUCAUUUGCAGGAUCACUUCAUAACUGUGAUACCUAUCUUCAUAUUGUCACUAAAUAUAAAUGUUUUUUUUUGUUCCUCAUAUAUAUUCAUAUAAUCAAAAUAGUCAAUUUGUACAAAGUUGAUUGGGCAUUAGAUUGAUCAAUCAAAUGCACUGCAACAACAAGAACAACUUCACAAAAUUCACAAAAUCUAUUACAUUCGCUCAAGCUAGCAAUGUCAGAUUAAUAUUAAAGGUUGUUUUCAUUAGCAGCAAAACACGAGAAAAUAAACAUGUUUUGGCAAUUCAACCAAUAUAGUUUUUCAUGUGUACAAUAACACUGAUGAACUAUAUGGAGCUAUAUAUAGCCAAAAUUCAAAGAUAUGGUAGAUUAUGACGGUUAACUUUUGUAAAUUCUAGAUCUCAAACUAAAUUAGAGUAAAAACAUUUAAACAAAUACUCUUCUAAUUUUCCCCAAUAUCUCAUCUCAAAUCACAUCGUAUAACACGUACUGAAACCUAUCAUAUUACGAAUGACUCUUAUUAGUAGCCAAACUAAAACAUAUAAAACUGUAGAGUCCUUAUAUUGUAACCUUAAACUUAAAAGUCAUUAGAUCGCUUCACAAAUAAUAUAGAUACAAUUGUAUAAAAGUAAGAACGAAAAGUAAACGAUAAAUGGAUCAUAGUAAUGUAAUAUAGUUAGAAAUCAUUAUAUUACUUACUUAUUAAUAUAUUGAUUUAUUGCAACGAAAUCUUUCUUUCAUAAUUAGAUUUCGAGUUACCUGUUUUUUUGUUCCUUUCUUCUUCCUCAUUUCGGAUCGGAAAUUUAAAGAAUUGAAUGAAUCAAAAACUAAAGGAGGCUCAUGGCCAAGGGUAAAGAUGUCCGAGUAAUGGUGAUUUUGGAAUGUACCAGUUGUGUUCGAAAUCGUCUUAAUAAGGAAUCAACGGGCAUUUAGACUUGAUGGCCACUCGAUCCGGCCUAAGUCUUCUGCACUGCAUCUCAUUGUAGUAUUCUUUGAAUGGGGCAAGAACCGUAUUUUCAAAACAAUGAGAGAGUGCAGGGACCUAAGCUUUUAUAGAGAAUUAGAUAUUCUGUAACCUCCCAUAAAGGUAACAUUUUAAGUCCAAAUCCCUAAUUAUAGUUGCAUACCUUAUUAGACAAACUUGACAAAUCAAGUCAUAUUAGAUUCCUCCUUUAUUUACUCUGAUAUACCGUAAAUAAAGCAUUCCGGAUUAAAGUCUCAUAAUUCUCCAAUUACUUGUUCUGCAUAUAUUGAUAAGUUGUCGAUACUAGAUGUAAACUAAUGAUAAAGUCCAAUUUAGUCUUACAUAUAUAAAUAUCAAAAAAUCACAAUAGUUGUUCUUUAAUUACAUACAUGCAACUCAUAUGUAGCAGGGUCACUUUGUUAUGCUACGGUGUACCCUGCAUUCAUAAUCUCCUGCACAUGUUUUUUAUUCACUGCUCAAAAUCUUGAAUACAGAAAAACACUUAUGGAUAUGCUCUUUAUACCCAAAAUUGUAACGGAAGAAUGCAGCCAAUUCACACAUUCAACUGAUUCAAGGUAGCUUUUCAAUACAAUUUGGACAUCUCCCCAAACAUGCUGCUUAUUAUCACAAUAUAUACUUCUAUAAAUAUUAUUGACCAAAGAUUGCUUGACUUUCCUCCACAAGCAAAUGGCCGAUAGUACUGAUCCUCUUCCUCAGGGAUACCAGAUGAGGGAACCCGGGAUAUCAUUCUAAGGUUGCAGUACAGAUUUCAGGUUAACACGAAAACGAAUGCAUGCAGGUUCAAAUUGGUGUAGUUAAGUGAUAAAGGUCUCGCUCUUCUCAACUUAUUUAAGCAUUAUAACUCGAUCAUAAAAAAUAAAAAUAAAAAAAUUAUAACUCAAUCAUGCAGACAUGUACAAUGUUUUUCAUUGCGCACACCAAUUCUGGAGACUGAUUUUGAUCAUGUGUACAAUGUACACACUGCUCACAAAACCAGAGUACAGUAGCAAGAAGAUAAUAGUUGUCACCUGUUUGAAAAUAAGAAUUGUUCAAUGGCCAAAAAAACAUCGUCACAGUUGCUCUAACCUAUGUUGCACGGACACUUUACACUCCUGGAGGAGUGUCGGAGUGUCCGUCACACCUGAUACGGCGACACGUCUCCGACACGGUCCGACACACCAUGUGGUGUGUCGGAAAAUGUUGACUUUUCCGACAUGUCCCAACACAUUAUGUCAUCAAAUAUAUAUAUANNNNNNNNNNNNNNNNNNNNNNNNNNNNNNNNNNNNNNNNNNNNNNNNNNNNNNNNNNNNNNNNNNNNNNNNNNNNNNNNNNNNNNNNNNNNNNNNNNNNNNNNNNNNNNNNNNNNNNNNNNNNNNNNNNNNNNNNNNNNNNNNNNNNNNNNNNNNNNNNNNNNNNNNNNNNNNNNNNNNNNNNNNNNNNNNNNNNNNNNNNNNNNNNNNNNNNNNNNNNNNNNNNNNNNNNNNNNNNNNNNNNNNNNNNNNNNNNNNNNNNNNNNNNNNNNNNNNNNNNNNNNNNNNNNNNNNNNNNNNNNNNNNNNNNNNNNNNNNNNNNNNNNNNNNNNNNNNNNNNNNNNNNNNNNNNNNNNNNNNNNNNNNNNNNNNNNNNNNNNNNNNNNNNNNNNNNNNNNNNNNNNNNNNNNNNNNNNNNNNNNNNNNNNNNNNNNNNNNNNNNNNNNNNNNNNNNNNNNNNNNNNNNNNNNNNNNNNNNNNNNNNNNNNNNNNNNNNNNNNNNNNNNNNNNNNNNNNNNNNNNNNNNNNNNNNNNNNNNNNNNNNNNNNNNNNNNNNNNNNNNNNNNNNNNNCUUCCAAUGAGGGAUCCCUUUUUUUGUUUAUUUAUAAGGAUAAGGUAUUUGACGAACUUCCCAAUCACAAAAUCACAUCUCUACCGUUCAAUUUGUAAGACUAUAUGAGUAUAUCACUUCCACAAGUUUUCAGAAGAUUUGGUGAUUGUUAAGUCGUCCAAAACUUUGAUUUAUUUUUAAUAAAGUUGAACGGUUUAGGUUUGUCAAAAAGUGUUGAAUUUAUUAUUUAAUCUUAGCCAUUCAAGAUCAUUAAAAAACAGAUCUAAUGGUGAGUUGUUAUCCCUAGAAAUAAACAAAAAAAUGGAUCUCUCAUUGGAAGGGCCCUGAUAUAUAUAUAUAUAUACACACAUACGAUCGUUAUCAGGUGCGGACGUCCGCACGGCUCUUAAAGUGCGGACGUCCCUCCUUUCACCACCGUACGGCACCGGCGAGGGCGCGCCUCUACCCCAGCGGACUCCAGCAGCUUCCCCGACCAUUUUCCAUCCCCGGCGAGUCCGCCGAAUUCCAGUUUUCCCGAAGCUCAAAUGAUCUUCAAAUUUGAUGAAACUUUGCAAGAAUGACCUACACACUGUGUUUUAGACAUUAUAUAGUUGAGAUGUGGAAAUAAGACCUGAAAGUGAGCGAAAUAAAGAGUCCUGCACUUUAAUUUCAAAACGGGAUCCCACUCUGGAAGGGGACUCUGUGUGUGUGUGUGUGUGUGUGUGUAUAUAUAUAAUAAAAUAUAAAAAUAGAUGGAUUAUGGAAUGAUUGAAAUUUUCUUGUUUAUUAGGUGUUAGAAGGCUGUUGUGUACUUGUGUUACUAAGUUGUUGUCUAGUUUUUUUUACAACUUGUGUAUGCCCAUUUGAUUCUCUUUAAUGACUUGCAUUUGAUUAUCUUUAAUGUUAUUUUAAUAUGUUUAUGCAAUACGUACACACCCAUAAACAUGCCUAAAAUAUUUGAUGUGAAACAUAAAUUAAUACGAGUGUGUAUUAAGAUAUUAGAGAUGUGUAUUUAAACUUACUCUUAUGCAAUGGAUUGAACUUAGACAAAAAAGAAAGAAGAAAAAAUUGAAUUUGGAACAUGAUUUUGGUAAUGUAAUAAACUUAUUUCAUAUUUAGUAUAUUUUUUAUGUAUUAAAAAUACAUAAAUAUUAUUCUAUUUGCCGUGUCCAAGCCGUGUCAGAAACUCAAUUUUUGAGUUUUACUGUGUUGGGUCGCCGUGUCCGUGCAACAUAGGCUCUAACAAAUACUUAUGACAGACUGCGUGAUAUAUAUACAUAAGAAAGAAAAUUAGAAUCCAUGCAGAAAGAAAGAAAAACCACUUCGUAAAAUACUGCAAACCUAUAUCUUUUAGUUUUCAACUCUCAGUUAGCAAAACAUUUUUGAAUUUGCAAAAGAAGCGUACGCACUACUAAUAAUCUAGGCCAAUCCUUGUAAGGAGUAAUCAAUCUCCACUGGCACAGCCCUUGCAGCCACAGUGGACGCAUUCUAUGACUUUCUCCUCUCUUAGAUGCUUGGGCACUCGGCAGACGCAGGUAGUCGCAAAAUUAUGAUCCCCAGGUUGCAUGCACCCUAAACAGCAGAGGCGUUCGUAACCAGGCUUCUUCCACUUUGCAAUUAGCUUGCUGUCUGCGUGACGUUGGUCCAAGCAGAAUUCAUACAAUUCCUUGGGUAUUUCUUUUCUCCGAUGGUAAAGAUCAAAAAUGUAGCGGCUCUUUUGAUGUGUUAUUUUGAAAAUAGGCCAUAAAGUCUCACAUAUUCUCUUACCAUCAUGGGUGUCAUUAUCAGCUUCUUUCAUCUUUGCUUCUAGCUCAUGAAGAGUAGGCUCAAUCAGUUCCCAGCCUUCUGGGUGCUUGAUUCGGUUAGUCUUUACCUUGGGCAUUUUCUACUUGGUGGCGUUGCAGAACUUGCUCCGGGUUUAUAAAAGAACUUGGUCUAUGACUCUAUGCACAUAAACACAACCAACAUAAAUAUAACUUGAGACUUAUGAUGAGUACAGGGACUUAUGCUCAUGUAAUUAUAGAGUUCAACUAGGCUUUGCCCAUAAAAGAUUUACUAAAGAUAUGAGAUCAUAUCGAAUAUAUUAUGGAUUCCUUAAUCAACAUGUAAACUAUAUGUUAUCUACAUAUUACAUAUAUUACAUUCUUUAUACAACUUAUAAUACUUUGAUUAAGUUUAAUCAAUUGCUUAAACUAUAAGUCACAUAAUAUUGUUAAACUCCAAUAUAAUCCUUCAUAGCUAGCUCUGUGCCCAAGGCAGAUAUUCCUUGAUUGAGUUUUUACAUUGUACAUGUGUGUAGUCCUCGGAGAGUCGGACAUGCUUGAUAAUUGGUAUGAAGUAACAAGUAUAAAUGCAUGGAAUCGAGUAGAACUUUGAUCAAGCAUCCAUACAAUUAUAACUUCAUCCUCAUCUAUGAGAUUGUCUGUGCAUGUUCACAAACAUUAAUAUGCUGGAUUAAAUGAGAUAGCAGCAUUCCCAACCUGGUCAAGUCGAUCGUCAGCCACUCAGCCUUUGAGGAAUGUCUGGAGGAAGGAGAGAAAAAACAUCUUUUCAACCAUGAACCAAGUAGGUAUGGAAUCGGCGGAAAUUCUUCACCGCACCUGGUUCAAGUGAACCAAUAAUCACUGACCAAUCACAAUCAUUUAUUUAAUCCACUAAACUAUUUAACACUAAUAUCGAUCUUAACACCAUUAAAAAAUUAAGAUAGAAAACACAAUUAACAUGGUAAAAACACUUAAAAGCUAAGGUAAAUGUAAAACUAGGUAAACACUAGUUCCAGUCUCUCCUCCCCUCUCCGCCGCUCACUUUCUCUCUUCCGUCCCUUUCCCCCUCUCUUUCCACGUCCACCUUGUCACCCCUCCUUCCCUUCCUCCUCCGCCAAUCUCCUCUCCUCCUUCAUCUCCGCCACUCGGGCCGCCGUUCACUUCCACAUGAUCGCCCCCGUCGACGCCGCCGACUCUCACCGAUUGGCCAUCAAGCAACCCCUACACUCGAGGUCACUCACUCCUCUCUAAAACUCUCGGCUCCGAGCUCGCUAAUCAAACUGUGAAGCCGCCAGUCUCGAAUACGCAUGUGGUGGCUGCAGAAAGCGAUGAGGAGGAUUAGAUGUUGGUGAGUUUGAACGUUGAGCAGAGGAGGGAUGAAUAAGAAGAAUGAAUUCCAGUUCUUUGUUUUCUAAAGGAAGAUGAAGGAAAGAUGGUAUGUUAUGUAUCUGACUGGGUUUUGGGGAAGAAGUGGUUUUGGAGAAAGGAUUGGGUUUUGGCUGCAUUUAGUGUUCUUUGAAGAUUGAAGAGAGUUUUCUGGGUUUUUGAAUUUUAAGUUUUUUUACUGCAUUUUGAUUUUUUAAGUCAUUAACGGCGUUUGUUGAAUCCGUUAGCACAUAUGACCGGUUCAAGUGCACCGUGGUGUACUGAAUCCGCUCCGUGCCAGAGGAACUUGUUCAAUAAAUAUAGAAGGCAAAUGAUUGAUACCCCUAAGUAAUUCAAAUUUUACUUAGGUUAGAUUUAUUCCUUGCUGGUAAAUUUAUCUGGGUUUGAUUUCAUUGAUUCAGUGUGUUCUGUAAAUACCUCAAACAUAAACAUAAACUGAUAUAUAUAUGGGAAGCGCUGGACUACGCCGUAGUACUGUACGCCAUUGUGGUCGCGAGACGCGUGGCGUCUUCUCAUAGGCAGGGAGGAAAUUUGAGGGACAGCGUUGGAAUUUCUUAGAUGACGACCAUUUCCCUCUUUGUUGACGGCGUCUGGGUAAAAGCUAGGGGCCAUUCUGUAACACCGACGACGGGGUGAAAAUGGGGGUUAAUACGACGCUGCAUGGAGAUCAGCCACGUCUCCGCCACGGAGAGGGCGAAUUAUUGGCAAGCAAAAUUGGGGUCGUCCACAAGUUCGAAAUCGAAAUAGGCGGAGCUGGAUGAAAGUUUGAAACCGAUUAACUGAACAAGGGUUCAAGCUAGAGUAGAGCGUUGUGCGUGAUUUCGACAUUGAAAUAAGCGUUUUGGCUCACUAGUUUGAAGUCGAUGAAUUGAUCAAUGGGUUGAAGCUGUAAAUUGCAUUCAACCAGAUAGCAUUCCUCCGGAGGUAUGGUUUAUGUUCAUGUUUUUUAGAUUUGAUUAACAGCCGUCUCGAAUUCAUGAGUCAAGAACAGAUGUUUCUUUUUCAUAUCGUUCUGCAUGUGUCUAGUUUUUUAUCAUCUUUGCACUUGUCAAUUAUGUGAAUGUUUAGUUUAGAGAGAAUCGAACCCUAGAGUUUUUGAUAUCAGCUGUGAUGUUCACUCCUUGAUCUAGACUCAUAGAUGUAAAUCCACUAACAUUAUUGAAAUAACAAGCUGCCUAUCCAGAUGUUAAUCCCACAAAGUUUUCUGAGAUAACCAGAUCUCAGUUCAUCCAUUUCCAUUGGUAGCUACAUUGCGCACUAGUUCUAGUUUUAUUCAUGGGCAACAGUCAUAAAAGAUUUAGAUGGUGAGCUCUGUACUAUUUAGGCGUUGGGCCAUUGCUUGUACGCAUGAUUAUCAUUUUCACCCAUGAUCAUAGUAACUAGAACCUUGCACAUCUUCAAUUAGAGGAAAACUAAUGCAAUUGUCUUGUUCCAGUAUCAAUCGAAGAUUAUUGUAAUACUUCAUAUCUGUAAUCUGCUCUUUUGGUUAUGUCUCUGAAACUUCAGUGUUCUUUCUGUAAUCUGCUCUUUUGCUGUUAUGGUGCUGAUGAUAUCUGUGAAGGUAUUAUUACUCGUAUGGAGUUGAUUUUGUCAGAAAAAUUGCGAAAAUUUGUGUGGAAAUGGUUUUGAUUUCGGUUUGAAUAUGUGUUUCUUUUGGAAUAAUACUUGUAGGACAUGAUGGUUUUUGGAGAAGGAGAGUGAAGAGUUGUUUUUUCUACCGAAUGAGGUUUGUUUUUGAACUUGUUUAUGGUCACUGUUUGAUCGCUGAAGUUCAUCUUUCUUUGGAGGUUUAUGUUUGGAUUGUUUUUUCUGGUUUGAUGUAAAUGUUGUUGUUGUUCAACUCUUGUGAUUGCAGAUUGGGAGUAGGUUCUGUGGCUUGGGGGAUAUCACAACCAGACUUGACUGUUCUCUAUCUAUUGUUGACAAAGUUAUAGAAAGGUUGGAAACUCUUAUGAACUUAUGACAGAACUUGAUCUAUCUUUCUUUUUAAAUGGAUACCAUAUCAGCCAGUGAGUCCCUGAACUCUAAAAAACGAAGCAUAAUGAUUUCGAACCAUUUCAUAUUAGAAAUGAGAGUUUUGAUUUAAAUUGGUAGUAACUUUGCAAUACAAUAGGAGGGGAUAUGUCUUUUCUUGAGUAUUAUGUGCAUGUAAGCAAUUCAAUGUAUUCCUCCCUACACUCCGGUAGCUGUGUUCUUGGUUUCUGGUAAUAUUUAUUAAUCAUUUUCCAAAUUUUCAUGUUCAUUGAUUGUAAAAUAUCCCUCUGGUAUCUUUCUGUGAUAGCCAUGCUGAUGGAAUCAACAACUGUUUCUGUUAAUUAUAAAAGUUGGAUGUUCUUCAAAGACUAAAGUGUCUGUAUGUGGGUGUGUUGUAGAUAUUAUCCAACGUUGAAGAUGGGCCAGACUCUUGCCUCUCUCGUCACAUUCUUGUGGUGGAUUCUUCCUUGCUAACUUGCACCUUAUACUGUCAAUAUUUUUAUACAUAUUACAUCUGCUAAGUAAAUUUUGCAUACCAAAAUCUGUAAUCAACUAUCAGCAUCGGCUACUGGUUUUGAUUACUCAAAUUUAGGUUUUUUUGAUGAAAUUAAUAAUUUAGGUUCUGUUGUCCAGGAAUUGUCUAAAAUUUGUCUGAAAAAUGGGGUCAUAUUCUGUAGUUUUGUACUGUUAUAUUGUCUCUGGAUUUUUUCUAUAUCAGGGACUAUUUUGUUUUGACUGUGUCGAGUAAUAAUUGAUUUAAAUUGAAGUGGAUAGCCAAUGUGGUGGAUGAAAAUGGAACUAUCUGGUGCUCUUAAACUGAUUUAAAAUACUGCGUGCUGAACACUGUUGUAGUUUUUUUGAUGGCUAGGCCAAAAGCUUUAGGAGUAAUGUGUGUUGGAUAUGAGUGCUUUUUUGGAUAUUAUGGAAGUUAUUAUCCUAUACAUUUCUCAAAAACUGGUGCUUUUACAUUUGAUGCUGCUUAAAUGUGCUCAACUUCGUUAUAGAUGUCUUAAGGCUGCCUAUAUAUAUAUAUAUAGGCAGCCUUAAGAGUUGAGUGCAUCUGUGAUCAAAGAUUUCAGAUAUUAAGGAUAUUCCUUGGCGGAGGUUUAUAACCUGAGUAGAGAUAUCUCAACCAAGUUAGCAACAUUUAGUACUGAAAAUAUGAAACUGCUGCAUAUUAGUUUGGUGUGUUUUCAGGGCUUGUAACAUAGAGCAGAAAUUCCUCUAGAUUUGUGUAAUGAACUUAGUGAACUUGAGCCUACCACCAUUCAAGUCUUUUACCUCUUAAUAUUGGAAAGCAUUUGUGGUUUUUGGCCUUCUUUUUAUUGGUACUUAUUUUCAAGUUCAGGACCAGUGUUUUCUCACUAAUAGACCUUUGGUAUGUGUAGGAUGUAAAGUUUCCCAUAUGUAUCAGCUACAAAUGAAGAUUACAUUCUCUGUUAUGAACUUAUGAACAUGUUCCUUCAGGAAAUUUAUUGGUGAAUGUACAUAUAUUCUGUUUUACUGGCUGCGUAGUGUUUUAAAUGUGCAAAUGAGUGUGUUGUGAAAUUAUAGACUUGUCUUCUUAAAUGCAUUAGGUAAAGUUCCAUUCCCUAGGUUUACUUUUUCAUGCUAUACAUUUUAAUUUUAGAAAACUUGUACUGAUAUCUCUUCANNNNNNNNNNNNNNNNNNNNNNNNNNNNNNNNNNNNNNNNNNNNNNNNNNNNNNNNNNNNNNNNNNNNNNNNNNNNNNNNNNNNNNNNNNNNNNNNNNNNGUGUGUGUGUGUGUGUGUAUAUAUAUAUAUAUAUAUAUAUAUAUAUGUAUGGCCUCUACCUAGGUAAAACACAUUUGUUAGAAAUUGUAGAGAAUCAGAGGAUGCAGUAUUGUUCAUUUGUACUUCAUCAAUUAAUCAACAUUAGAAACCCAAGGAUCAUUUGUAACAAUCAAGCAUGAAACAAGUACACGAGUACACAAAAAGAUUCAUCAUUUGCUUCAUUUUAAUUUAUUUAAAUAAGUAAUAUACCGAGUGCAUGCUUUACAACAGAUAUGAUAUUACAUGGUAGAUAUGAAAAUUCAAGUUGUUUUAUGUAAAUGUAGCCGUAAAUAGGCUUAGUAGUGGCGAGGAGGUGGAGGGGACUUGAAGUAGUGUGGGGGAGGAGAGUGAGUAGGGGGAGGAGGAGACUUGAGGAGAUAAGGAGGAGGAGGUGAAGGAGAUGAUGGAGGGGGAGACUUGUAGACAUAUGGAGGUGGUGGUGACGGGGAAGGUGGAGGUGGGGACUUGUAGUGAUAUGGAGGUGGAGGUGAGGGUGAGGGUGGUGGUGGUGACUUAUAAAUGUAGGGUGGAGGAGGUGAUGGGGAAGGAGGAGGCGGGGACUUGUAGACGUAUGGAGGUGGUGGUGAUGGAGAUGGAGGAGGUGGAGGCUUCUAAAUGUAAGGAGGAAAAGGUGAUGGAGAUGGUGAUGGAGAUGGUGUUGGAGAUGGUGUUAGAGACGGUGAUGGAGAGGGUGAUGGAGAUGGUGUUGGAGAUGGUGAUGGAGAUGGUGGAGAUGGUGUUGGAGUUGGUGAUGGAGAUGGUGUUGGAGAUGGUGAUGGAGAUGGUGGAGAUGGUGUUGGAGAUGGUGAUGGAGAUGGUGUUGGAGAUGGUGAUGGAGAUGGUGGUGGUGGUGACUUGUAAGGAGGUGGAGGUGAGGGUGAGGGUGGCGGGGGAGACUUGUAGUGAUACGGAGGAUGUAUCACAUGCUUGGGUGGUGGCGGAGGUGGUGACUUGGGAUGUGGCCAAUAUGGUGAUGACUUGGGCGGUGGUGGAGGUGGUGACUUAGGCGGUGGUGGAGGUGGUGAAAACUUGGGCAGUGGCCAAGGUAGUGGCCAAUAUGGUGAUGACUUGGGCGGUGGUGGAGGUGGUGACUUAGGCGGUGGUGGAGGUGGUGACUUAGGCGGUGGUGGAGGUGGUGAAAACUUGGGCAGUGGCCAAGGUAGUGGCCAAUAUGGUGGUGACUUGGGCGGCGGCGGAGGUGGUGACUUGGGCGGUGGCGGAGGUGGUGAUGACUUGUAAGGAGGUGGAGGGUGGCCAGCAUGAAGAAGAGGUAUGUUGGAAAUAGGAGGUUGGUAUAUGGGAAGAAUGGCAUGAACACUAGUAGUAGUUAAGAAGCAGAAUGCCAAACAAUAAAACAUGGUAAUGAUGAGCGAAAAAGGCCUUGGCUUUCCCAAGGCUCCCAUUUCUGCUCUUCGUACAACUAGCUUGUUUGUAGUGAGUGGUAGUAGUAGAUGUGAUUUCUAAGCUUGAUAGCUAACCCUUUUAUAGUAAUUUUUGUACUCGUUUUGGGACGUGACAUGGUUUAUUUUUUUCAGGAUAACAGGUUGAAAGUCUACUGUUAAUAAUGACUUGAUCCAAAUUAAUGAAACUUGGAGAUUUUAAAAAUAAUGCCAAUGAAUGAAAGUCUACUGUUCCUGUGGAUUAGUGAGGUUUGUAUUUCAAGUCUCUCGUAUGCAUGGAGGCCAUGAUGUGAUUCGUGUUAGGCAUGAUAAGUUAAUUCAUACGUGUUAGGCAUGGUAAGUUAAUUCGUGUUAGGCACGAGUAGAAUUUGGUUUUGCAUGGUAGGCAAGUUAAUAAUUCGUGUUAGGCAGCUGGAAAAAUCUCUCUCUCUCUCUCUCUCUUCUUCUUCUUCUUCUUCUCUCACUCUAUGAAAUUAUGUACUUAUUUACAAAUUCAUAAACCCAAAAAUCACAUAAUGAAUUAGUCCAAAAACAAACAACACCUAGAAAUCGUAUUUCUUUGAAAUCAAAUUCAUUUGAUAGCUAAAUUAAAAGCUAUUUAUUUUCCUUAUUCUCCUGCAAAUUUGUUGAUUGUAAUAUAGAGAAAUAAGGGUCUCCCGCACAGGAUUAAAUUAAACUAAAAGCUUCAACAAAUGUCACAAAACGUGACUGCAGCUCCUAUUGAACAGCAGUCGAAAAAUAAAAGAAAAACCUAACCUAUAAUGCUCAGAAAAACACGAAAAUUUGCAGAGAUGUACUAGACACAUAGAGCGUCUAGCACACAAAAUGUGAGAUGAUUUGGAGUUGAUUUGAUAGGGAAAUAAAAUAUGGGAAGAUGACAGACAAGAUAAGAAAACUGAAAACUGAUUUCAAAUUGGUUGAGAAUCAAGAUAAUGAGACUAGCUAAGGAGGAAGUAUCCACCCCCGACAAUCACACAUAACACACUUUGUCCAAUUUGUGACCAACUAACUCAAUUGAAGAUGCUCUCGAUACGCUUGAGCACAAUCUAUUACUCUUUCUUACUUUAUACAUUAGGCAGGAAGUGCUUUACACCUAAACUAUUCUCAAACAUUGUAACAUAAAGGUACUUUUAUUAGGUUAAACAAGCAGAGAUCAAUAAACUUGAAAAGAGUUUGAGCAAUCACUAGGCGUCGCAAUAAACUUAGUGCCUUGCUAAACCUAGGGUUUCGUCUACUCGCUAAUGAAAACUACCGAUUACUUCUUGACAAUUUGAGGGAUCCGAUAUUGACCCAAACAUCAAAUAAUCAAAGUAUUAAAACCCUAGCAUGUAUAUACUAAGUAGGUCUUCAAAGCACACACACAAAGAAUUCAUCGAUGAACAAUUGGUAGACAAAACCUCAAUGUCAUUAAUUGCAAAAACAAAUUGAAAAUCAAAGCAUGCAUGUUAUGAAUCAUGUCUACUAUGAAUUUAGUUGCACAUAAUGAAAAUUGAAAACACAAAAGAGUUCAUGGAAGAGGAAUCCAACAAUGACCAAGAUUGGGAAAUCCCUGAGAAGAGAUAGAUCUUUUUCCGUCUGAUUAUCUCAUUCUUUUUCUUCCCGAGUUCUUCUUCGCCUUCCAAGUAUUGUGUAUCAGAUGAUAUUAGGGUUAGAGAACCCUCAAUUUUUGUCCAUGGGCUUGCCGAUAUGGUUUGAGCCUUAAAAUUGAAGUUUCGGUCAAAAUCAUAAAUUCGGGCAGACUGACCUUCGACCACUGAAAUGAUCAUAUAACUUCUUCUUCAAAAUAGGUAUUGACGAUCAAUAAAUUUUUUUUGGAAUGUAGACUCUUGUAGCUUUUUAUUGAUAUAUAACUCAUUAUCUGGAUCGUUGUGAGCUGAUCAUAAUCCUUUAUCGAAUUUAGCUGAUAAUUUCUAGCCGAUCUUCAUAAUUUUUUCCUUGCACGACAUGAAUUCUUUUUCCUUCAAGAUUUCUUCUCUUUUGAUAUAUAACUCAUUAUCUGGAUCGUUGUGAGCUGAUCACAAUCCUCUGUCGAAUUUAGCUGAUAAUUUAUGGUCGAUCUUCAUAAUUCUUUCCUUGCACGACAUGGAUUCUUUUUCCUUCAAAAUUUCUCCUCUUUUGCUUCAUAUUCCUUUCUUUGCUCCGGAACACCUAAUAAACAUAAAAAUAACUAAAUCAAAUGGAAAAUAUGAUAAACUAACAACGUAAAUAGGGGAAUUAACCAUCAUAUCAUCACAUAUUUAUGCUCCUAUCAAAGACCCCUAUACUUAAGCUUUGCUAGUCCCUAGCUGUUGUAUAUAGAUAUACCGCAAGCAUAAACAAUGACCCCGUAGACUGUUUUCCGGCCACGAAGGGCCCAGCCCCCGACAUACUUCCGGUAGACCAACAUCCAAGCUACCUCGCCAUGGUGAAAGAUAAUCGGUACCACGUCGAGAAGGUGUUCCUCCAAGCUCCACAAGAAGACACCUCGAUAAUAGUUAUGUGCACUUUGUUCCACAUUGGUAAUAUGUAAUAUGAGGGAACAUUCCUUAGCUAUAAAAGGAAGGUUCCCAUAUGUUGAAAAGGGCUGGCUGAAUAUCCCUCUCCUGAUCCCUACUUACUCCAUCUUGGAGAGCUCUUGUAACACCAAAGGGCCUAUUGGCCAUGAUAGUAGAAUUUUAAGUGGACGUAGCCAUGUCCUCCGAUGACAUGGUGAACCACUAUAUGUCCUUGUGUCUCUUGUACAUGAUUAUCUGUUCAACCGUGAUUCUACAUAGUCUCCGGGAUUAUGCAAAAACACUAGCAAACACAAAUACUAACUAAACAAAAGACACCACCCUAAUGUCUUCCAAACAUCUCAGAGAACUUAUAACGCCUACAAUGGUCAACAAAAAUUCAAGCUAUCAUGUAUUAAAACUCUCAAUUUCACUUAAAGUUAAUUUAUUUUAACAACCAUGAUGCUCAAAUCAUUAUGCAAGGAUGAUCAAACCAAUGCAGCAAGUAAGAACCAACUUAUUCAUGGGUCAACAAGUACUAACUCAAUUCAAAUAUUUCCAACUAAAGAUAUGACAACACUAGGUCGAGUAAGAUGUACUCUUAUUAUGAAUGUUUAAUUAGAUCGGUCAAAAAUGAAAUUAAAAUAAAGGAAUUUAGGGUCUCGAGACUUCAUUUGAACUUUCUAUACGGCGAUUUGAGCACUUACACAUUAAUGGUGUAAGUGCACUUGGUGCGUAGAAUCCGCUCCACAAAUUAUCACCGUUAUCAUCCUCACAAACAGACUACUCAUUGCUCUUCCACAACUACUUUAAAAUGUCACCCACCUCCUCCUAAUUUUCUAAAACUCAACUUUGAUGGUUCCGUAAUCAACAACUCUGUAGCUUCUGGUUUUGUUUUUUGUAACUCAGAAGGUUAACCUCUUCUAGCGUCUACAAAGAGAACAAGGUCAGUUAGACAUUCUUACAGCAUAAGCAGGGCCGGUCCUGUGUAAAAUGAGGCCCUGUGCGAAAUUUUGAAUGUGGCAUUUUUGUUUUUGUUUUUAAAUGUUGCCUUAUUUAUAAAAUUUUGAUCCCAAACAUAUACAUAAACCAAUAUUAAAACCUAUAAUCUCUCACUGAAGUAUAAGACAUAAUAUAUUCCUAANNNNNNNNNNNNNNNNNNNNNNNNNNNNNNNNNNNNNNNNNNNNNNNNNNNNNNNNNNNNNNNNNNNNNNNNNNNNNNNNNNNNNNNNNNNNNNNNNNNNNNNNNNNNNNNNNNNNNNNNNNNNNNNNNNNNNNNNNNNNNNNNNNNNNNNNNNNNNNNNNNNNNNNNNNNNNNNNNNNNNNNNNNNNNNNNNNNNNNNNNNNNNNNNNNNNNNNNNNNNNNNNNNNNNNNNNNNNNNNNNNNNNNNNNNNNNNNNNNNNNNNNNNNNNNNNNNNNNNNNNNNNNNNNNNNNNNNNNNNNNNNNNNNNNNNNNNNNNNNNNNNNNNNNNNNNNNNNNNNNNNNNNNNNNNNNNNNNNNNNNNNNNNNNNNNNNNNNNNNNNNNNNNNNNNNNNNNNNNNNNNNNNNNNNNNNNNNNNNNNNNNNCUCUCUCUCUCUCUCUCUCUCUCUCUCUCUCUCUCUCUCUCUCUCUCUCUCUCUCUCUCUCUCUCUCUCUCUCUCUCUCUCUCUCUCUCUCUCUCUCUCUCUCUCUCUCAGAAAUCUACCGCAAAUGCCAACUGGUUGCACCGAUGGCGUACUCCUCCAUCAUUAAACCAACAGCGUACGUACUCUUCUUAUUCAUCUUCAUUGGACGUCGUAGGCAACUGAUCAGAUUGGUGGUGGAUUAUUAGAAAACGAUUGAGCGGCGAUCUGAUUCAACGACUUGGUUGUGGAACCCGAUCGCCGUCGUAGUCUUCGAUCCAAAAGGAAUAAGGAGUGAGUGGCUGCUACUAUUCGUUUUUUUUUUUUCUUCAGAUAUGCUCCAUGUCCCAUUUCCAAAUUAGAAUUGGGUCUAUUUGAUUUGAUUCAAUAAUGAUCAUGAUUUUGUUUGGGAAACUUGUAUUGAUUUUAGGCAAAUUGGUAUAUUUGUUUCAAAAGAUUUGAUUAUCUUUUUUUGGGUUUUUAAGCACAAUGGAAGUUAUGCACAUAAGGUGUGAUGAAAGUCCUCAAUAAGGUUGUUGGUAUACGAGAAAUUUUGAAGAAUGACCAUCUUUUGGCAUUGAAAUUGAUUUUUAACCAUACUUUUCUAAAUUAAUGAAAAAUAACCAUAUUAAGGGAUGAAAAGUCAUAACUUUCCUCAUCUUGUUUAACAAGAAAAAAAAUUGCGACCAACAACCUAUUAUUUUUUCAGGCAACUGUACAUGCUUCUCCGGUCCAUCUUGAUGAUUGAUGAACCAAAUUUAAAGCACCGUUUUUAUUCAUUGUUUCAGGCAACGGUACAUGCUCGAAGAAAGGACGAUUAAUUAAUUAAUUAAUUAGCAGCAUAGAGCUUUUUGCUUUCAUAUCAUAUUAAUCGUUAUUUUUCUCUUUACUUUUUUCAAACCUUCUUCUUGUUGAGUUUACUCUCAUGAUUCAUCGACUGCUUGCAAUCAAUUCACUUGGAAGAUAGAAGCAUUUCAGAAUGCCCAAUGGGGAGUGUCGCUGCAUAUAAUAUUCAAGUACUUGACCAGUGGGGAGUUUGGAGUUUAGAUUUUCCUGCUCUUCUGGCCUCUGCGUUCUUCAUUGUGACUGCUUUCCACCUCUGAUCCACCAAUUUCCUAAUUAAUAAUUUCUAUCUUGCUCCUUAUCAAGAUCAUCCUCUAACCUCUUAUCCAUUCUCUUUCAUCAACCUCUUUUGGACUCUAUCAUCUUCAGCUUCUCCUAUUCGCUCAAUUAAGCUCGCCAGAGUCCUGUCAUUCCCUUUGCUUCUCCUUCUCUCUUCUAUGUUCUUUUUGGGCUUUCAUCUCCGCCUUCUUCACUUCCACCAUUGUUGCUUUAACACUCUCUUUUGGGCACUCUUCAAUAGUACUCUUGUCGAGCAAUCCGAAGAUUUGGAUUCUCUUUUCUCAUAUUCUCCGCCCUCCGGUUCUGUUUAGGAGGGUUUCACGGUGGAACAUAAUUAGAGAUAUGAUAAGGACAGUAAGGACUUUUCAUCCCUCAGUAUGGUUAUUUUUCAUUAGUUUGAAAAAUUGUGGUUAAAAAUCAAUUUCAAUGCCAAAAGAUGGUUAUUCUUCAAAAUUUCUCCUUUUACAUGUUAAUCAUCUAAUUGCUACUAGUUCGGUAAUCAUGAUGUCGGAAUAAAUUCAUUUUUACACAUUAGAAUAACAAUUUAUAGACAAGAUGAUAAGAUGAAGUUUAUAUUAAUAUGUGUUAAUUAAGCUAUUGUUAAUUGAUUUCGCUAAAUAUCUGCUAUUGUAUUUUCUGACAGUUGAUACUACAACACUAACUGAGUCACUAAAAGCUUGCUACUGUUUUACUGGUAAUACCUUGUUACUACAUUUUGGAAAUAGUUGCUAGUCUUGCUACCAACUAAUUAAGCCACUAAAAACAUGAUGCUGCAUUUUUUUUAAAAAUAAUUGUUACUACAUUAGCUGAGUCACUAAAAACUUGCUACUACAUUUACUGGAAAUAGCUUUGCUACUGCAUUUACUGGAAGUAGUUGCUACUAUAUCAGCUGAGCCAUUGAAAACAUGCUACUAUAUUUAUUGGAAAUAGCUGUUACUACAUUUAUUGAAAGUAACUGCUACUACACUAGCUGAACCACUAAAAACCUGUUAUUAUUGUACGUACUGAAAAUAGCUGCUGCUAUAUUUGCUGAGCCACUGAAAACCUGCUACUGCACUUACUGAAACUGCUACUACACUAGUUAAACAACUAAAACCCUGCUACUAUAUCUAUUGGAAGUGUAGAUAUCUGUUGGAAGUGUAGCUUUCUAGCAAAACAUGUUAUUAUAUUAGCUGAGCCAGUAUAAACCUACUACUAUUUCUAGUGGGAUGUUAACCCCUGCUACUACUUUCUAAUGGGAUGUUAACCCCUUCUACUAAUUUCUACUGGAAUGUUAACCCCUGCUAUUACUUUUACUGGACUUAACUGCUACUGCUACUGCUACUGGGAUGUUAACCCCUGCUUCUACUGGGAUGUUAACCUCUUCUACUACUUCUAUUGGGAUGUUAACCUCUUCUACUGGAAUUAACUGCUAUUACACCAAGUUAUUGAAAAUAUGCUACUGUAUUCCAUUUACUGAAAAAUCUCAAAAAGAGAGACUUUUCUCUUCUAAAAGUAUAUUUAAUUAGUGUACAGUUAGUUUGGUAAAUUAAACCAUGACACAUGGCAUGCAGAGAAAAGAUUGUCCUUAAUUGUUAAAAACUGUCCUUAUUUGUUUAACAACAACACAAGUGAAUUUAUUUGUGUUUCAAAUCAUUUUAAAGGAUUUAUAUGUGAUUUGUUUAAAAGAAAAACACAUAAAAAAUAUAAAAAGGGAGGAAAAGGUAGUAAAAAAAAAAAGUAGACCGUAGGGCCUCGAACUGGGGUGGAUGAUAACCAACUUAAGGGACUUAGCCAACAAUGCAACAAGUGCACUUGUUAAGUUUUCAGAAUAUUUGAUAUUUAUAACAUAUCUGUAUGAUAAUUUUUUUUUCGGAGGCCCCCGAAAAUUAAAGGCGUUGUGUGACCGCACACAUGGCACAGCUCAAAGGCUGCCCUUGAGCAUAAGCCUUGGCACUUAGUGCUGGUCUCAUUGCAGCUUGGUACCACGACUUUACAAAUUUCAUAGUGGAAGGAGACUCCAAGAUCGCAUCAACAAUCAAAUCUAGGACUGGAACCGGUACGGUUACCAACUUUUUUUGCCGAUACUGUGUACCAACCGACAUUUGAUUGGUAGCUAAAAUCUGCUACCAAUACCAACCGCCAAUGUCAGAAUACCAACUUCUCGGUAUCCUGAAAUUCGGUUGGUACUGGUUGGUAACCGAGAAAUACCGUAUGACGACGAAAUCCCUAAUUUCUAAAAAAUUGGGGAAGAGAAAGACGAAGACAAACAACAAUUGAGUACCUGCAAUUUUGACGAGGAAUAAGCAAAUCUGGAAUUGAGUACCUGAAUUACCUUCAAUUUUCAUCAACCCCAUCUUGGUUGCAUCAAAUCGAUUGAGGAAUUGUAGAGAUCGGAUCUCGACAGCUUCGGUGAUGAUGUCAGCAAAGGAGACGGAGGGGAGAGAGAGAAAGGGUGGGCUUUGAUAGACUGAAACUGGAAAUAAGGGUGAUGGUGGUCCGAAUUUCAUUGAAAAAGAAAGAUUUGUGGGUGAUUGAAAUGGAGCAGAGGAGAGAAGAAGAAAGAAUGGCGAAGAGAAAAAAAGAAGGAUGGUGAGAAUCUAUUUAAUGUGUUAAGUUGUUUUUACUUUUGACUUUUGACUCAGUAAAACAAUAAAUUUAGCUUUUGCAUAUAUAUUAGUAAGAAGAGCAUAUGCUCUAAUGGUUGGAGGCUAGUCUCUCCAACUAUGAGGUGUUGGGUUCGAGCCCUAACUUUGGCAAAGUGUUAUAUAUUUUGCAUUUGGAGGUGUAUACCGAUGGUAUACGUAUAUCUCGGUUGAUAUGGUAUAUUGAUGGUAUACAAAAUCAUGUAUCGUAAUCGAGCCGAGAUACGUACUUGAUACGGCUGAGCCGAAUCGAGACUCUCGGCUACCGACUGUUAUUGGCUCGACUCGAACUCGGUUGGCUGGUUUGGCUCGGCUCAAAUUGCCAGCCCUAAUCAAAUCUAAUGUCCAUGACGAAUCCAGACAAUAGUGCAAGACACAUACGAAGAUUCAUUCCAAUCUUACAUAUCUCCACCUUCCAACACAUUAAGGGCGUGUUUGGUUCACGGAAUUGAAGGGAAAGGAAAGCAAUUCUUUGGAUUUUCCUUUCUAAAGGGAAAUUGCAGUUUCCUGUCGCUUUUCCUUUCCAGUGUUUAGAGAGGUCAGGAAUAUAAUCAGAUAGAUCGGUGCCUCUAUCUCAUUGACUCCCUUAACAACCACCACAAUCUGAUUCUAGGCAAACCAGACUCAAGUUGAGAGACUCCACUAUAGCACAAGCCUUCCUAACAGCAAUAGCCUCCAUCACAGAGGCUGAUUGAACUGACUGCACAUAGCCAGAAGAACCUGCAAGAACAAGUCCAGCCGAAUCUGGAACCAACAAUCCCCAACUACCAGCUCCAUUUUUAAACACAGCAUCAAUAUUAAACUUAAUACCAAUCACAAGGGGUUGUCAAACCCACACAGAUGGAAUUGCUUUACUCUGUUUUGGCUUGGUUGCUUUGAAGGCAGUAUAAUAAGAAUUCAAUUGAAAGAGAACCUGAGGGACUGAGAGGGCUUUGAGCAGGGACAAUUAUUUAGUAAAAAAAACUCACAUUAAUUGCAGGAGUUGGAACGGAAAGUGAAUCCUUGGGGUUGUUGGAGGGAAGCAGAUUCCAUGCAAUUUUCCUUCUCUCCAGGAACCACUUUUCUUUCCCAUCAACUUUCUUUGGUUUCCAAACACAGGAAAGUAAAGACUUUCCUUUCCCUAUGCAUUGAUUCCAUGAAACAAACAUGGCCUAAAAGGGAACAAAUUUGUUGUUGAUGAAAUCGCGAAGUUGGGAGUUCGGACACUCCACUGAUGUACAAGCUUGGCAUGCCUCACUGCCUCUCUCAGCUAGUGUAGUAGUGCAAUUAGUUCAACUUUGUAUAGAACCCAGGGACAUGCCAAUUACUUAACCAUGGGUGGGCACUGGGCCUUGAACGUACACCAUCAACGGUGGAUAGUAUAAAACAACAUACACAUGGAACAUGUUGGAAGAAAAAUUUUCGUAAUGUUCAGUUCAACAUCUCAAUAUCUUCCUCUCUAAACCAUCACCAGAGUCGCCUACAUUUCCUAUCAUGAUAUCUCCCCAGAGUUUCCUAGCCCAAGUUCUAAAAACACAAAAGCAGCCCCAUAGUAACAUGAAUCAUGCUGAAGCUCUCUAAACUGCUUACAAUAAGUGACUGGAACCCAGCAGAUUGAGCAGAAUCAACACCUUAAUUUCACCCUAAACAAAUAACUACAAGUUAAUUCUGUCUUUAUCUACUUUGCUUCCACCAUCUGCAAACCAGCAUAGCAGCUAACAUACCACCAGUGAGCACAGAGAGAACUAUAGACCAAUCCGGAGCCACCUCUUCUUCCUCUAUUGUUGGCAUUGCGGAUCGGCACAAGGGACACGAGUUACUCGUCUCAAACCAAUUGACAAUGCAAUCUCUAUGAUAAACAUGUUCGCAGGGCAAGUGAGUAAUCAUCAGUUGCUGCUCAUGAAUGCCUUCGUCUACACACGCAUUGUGAUCAAAGGGCUCUGUACAAAAAACACAUGCUUCUUCUCUAGCAGUAUCUUCGAAACUAUCAAGCCUCACUUUCUCUAGCCAUUCUAGACCAACGAGGAUCUUGGGUUUUAUCAUCCUGAGAGUAUUAUCCAUCAGGACACAAAUCAUAGGCCGCCUAGGGACGUCGGCCGCCUCGACCCCCAGAAAUAUUUGAUCAAUAAUAGUUGGCUGCAUAGCUUCUGGGACGUCCAUGCUGGUAAGAAUCUCACCCCAUAUUUCUCUAUGCUUUUGCCUUGCGGAUGAUUCCAAAAACCAAGGUAGUUCAACCGGAAUUGUUUUGCGUGCUACAAGAUAUCAAAAGUAAUAGCUGAAGGAUCAUUAGAAGGACAGCUUCCAGUAACCUUGAAGUGCAAUAUGACGAUCAAAAGCGCGUUGAUUGGGAGUCUAUAGCGUUUAGGGUUUAGUGAAUAGGGUUGAAAAAUAUCAGUUGUAAAUUCUUGUAGAAUGUCAUUGGACAAGCUUGAAGAAUUGACAUAGUGAAUAGGGAGCAUUAGUAACUUGUAGUAGUUGCAAAGAUAUACGAGUACUGAGAAGAACAAUGCAACAGACGUCAAGAACAAUGUUACACAAACCAAGACUUUUGCCUCUUGAGGUUCAAUUUAUAGGCCGACUUAUAAUCCAAACUUAUAUCUCUAUUUAUAUGCUCACAAUUAGUCGGACUUAUAAUAGUAUUCAAAAUCAUAGAAAGCUAAAAAACUCUAAAAAUCCUAGAUACACUACAAUUACUUACCCAAAGCCUAAAGAAUCGAAAACAGACUAAAGUCACUAAACCCCACCGAACCCCAUAUAUAAUGAACCAACGUACAACACAUGAAUUUUAGCAUUUAAGUCUAACGACGCAUUCAACAUCAGAAGAAAAGAGAGAAAGAAACUUUGUAUUGAUUCUUGGACUGUUUAAGUCUUGAUGCGCCGGAUGCAUGUGUAGGUAACAAAAGGCAAAACUCCAAAAUCCGAAGAACAUGGAAGUUCUUCCCCAUAUAAUGAAUAGGAUAAGCAGUUCUCGGUCAUUAUCUCAAAAUACUGCUGUGUAAUUAUACAACGAUCUGUACUUGGUGAGGAUAUCCACCCGGUAACAAAACACUCUACUGGUUUGCUUUAAUUUCAUCAACAAUAGGUUCUUAUGAGCAUUUCACUAUGAGCCUAUCAGCAGUGGGAACGAGUGGCUACGUCUGCGAAUGCAUAUGUUCAAACAAGUACAUGUAUACGUUGGUAGGAAAAGAGUAGCAACUCCAUAAUCUGCAUUACACAAAACUUUUAUCUUAAAGAAAGGAAGACUCUGAUACAUUACCAUUAUUAAAUUUGUUGCAGUCCGGUUAGUCGCUCUCACGCGAGUGAAUAAUUCCCAACAGAUGAUGAAAGGGAUCGACAAUGUGAUCGACGCUCAUCAAAUGCUGGAAAUUGCUCACGCUGCGUGAGUGCUACUAAGUUAGCAUGUUCUUUCUCAGAAAACAACAAUCAACUUGUUCUAUUUUGUAUAGAACCCAGGGACACAUAUAACUACUUAAGCAUGGGUGGGCAUUGGGAUUUUCCUCAUCAUCAAUGGUGGAUAUUAAUCAUAUUAUAAGACAAUAUACAUGUUGGAAGAAAAUUUUCCAUAAUGUUCAACAUCUCAAUAUCUUCCUCUCUAAACCAGCACCAAAGUUCCCUACAUUAGACAAAAGCAGCAGCAAAGUAAAAUGGAUCAUACUGAAGCUCUCUAAAGUCUAAACCACUUACCAGUAGCUAGUGACGGGAAUCAGCAGCAGAAUCAACAACGUUUUAUUAAACUUGCAUUUGGGGAUAUAUUUACUUGAACUGAACAGCUUAGCGAAAUGUCACUGAAGGGGACGAGCCCAAGGGUAUCUGAGCAGCCAUCAAACGUGGGGUUCUUGAACGCAGUGAAUAAGAGUUGCUGCUUCUCACUGGUAACUUUACAUGUGUUGCCUUUUGGCGCUUGUUAUUCGAUUGAUGAAGGGGAAGAAGCUCACUGGGUCCAAGUGGACUCUCUGGAGUUUGAUACUUUCUCUUCUUUUCCAAUAGCUCCCAUAACAGCUGCUCAUCUUUGGCUUGAUCUUUCUCCAUGCCUAAAAUCUUCACAUAGAGAAAAACAAGAGAGCAUAGUAGUAUCAGCUUCCAAAAAGUACAUUAUAUCACACUGUCUAAAUGAAGUAAGGAAAACUCUGAAUUUCAUCAAAUUAGCUGAAAUCUUCUAACGUAGUUUGGACUAUACUUGUAUUGGUUUCUAGGAAUUGUUACAGUAAGAAGAUAGUCAGUGAUCUGAUUAGACUUUCUAACUUAAUAGAUUUGGUAGCUUUAUCCAGCUCUGGGAAACACUUGAAGCAUUUCUUCAACAAAAGCAUAAUGUAAUGUCGAAUUAAGUGACUCGAUCAAGCCAAUGAAGCAUUUCAUUCUCAUUCACUAUGUUACCUAAAUUAUAUCUCCCAAUGAAUCUGUCACAACUUCAUAUUUGCAUCAAGUAAAAUCAUCAAUCAAAGCAGGACAAAGGGGUGUCAUACCUUAUGUGAAGCAAAGCCUUUGGUUACUUUGGUAGAUGCUUUACUAGCCUCUGGCAAUAACUUGAAGCAUUCCUUCAAUCUCCUCACAUAUUCCUCUGAUUCCCUAAGCCUCCUCAUAGCCUCAGCUCUACUCUCUUCAGCCGCCGUGGCCUUACUCCUCGCCGCCUCCAACUCCGCCUUUGAAUCCCCUGCCGCCCUGGCCAUCUCCUUCACCAAUCCCACUAACCCCAAACAAGCCCCAUUUCUCAAAUCAGCCUUAACCCCCUCCACAUACUUCACCAUCGGCUCACACAUCUUCUCCGCCAAAUCCUCCACCAGGCCCUCCACGUCAGCCUCCACCGACUCCAACACCGCACUCACUUCGUUGAAAAUCUCCCGGAGGAGGUUCACCACCGCCACCUGGUCAACGCGGUCAACGGUGGAUAAGUAAGCGACGGCUCUCUGGAAGAAUCUGCGGAGGGAAUGGCGGCGAUUGGCUAGGGUUUGGACCAUGCGGCUCUGGCCGUUGUUCACCUGGGACUCGAUUUGCUUCAGAAUCCGGACGAGCUGAAUCAGCUGAUCCUUUUGCUUCUCGAUUACCAUUUCGCCGGCCACCGCCGCCUUGGCGGCGUAGAUCUCUAUCUUCGCACACUGGCGGUUCCGAUCGGACUGACCCGACCGACCCGAGGGUCCGGAUCCCGAUCCGAAACUCUACGAAAAGAUUUUAUAUGUUAAAAAAAAAUUGAAAGGAAAACCUAGAAAAUUGCUUGUGAAUCAAAACCUGAUGCUGAGAACGCAAAUCGGAGUCGGUUUGGAUGAUGAAGGAGGUGAAGCGGCCCUCCGUCGCCAUCUCCACCGUCUUGAGACCUACGAGCUUCAUCAGCGGAAUCGCCAGAGACGCGAAGACGUCUUCGGCCUCCAUGAUUUACAGAAGAACAGGUCGAUUAGUUUUCAGUGAUUUGAAUUUGAAUUGGUACAAAAUCGAAGAGAGUAAAAGAGGAAUUAGGUACUUGGAGAAGGCCGAUUUGGAUCUGAGAUUUCAGUUGGUGGAAAGCGUUCUUCACUUGUUCGUGGCCGCGGAAGACUCUGAGGAGCUUUGAUCGGAGCUCCGCCGCUGGCGACGUCUCAUAUGAUCUCCCGAGGCUCCCCAUUUUUCUGGCGGGAGUUUCAUCACACAGUGCCAGAGUGGGUUUCUAUAAGCUUUUCGUAUUUAAGCAACGGUUUUCAUUUGGCCCCAAAUUUUGGUUUCUUCGAAACGACAGUCGUUUUAUCAUUGUUUGAAAUGAGCGAGAACGUCACCGUGUAUAGACCCAGACCCAAUUGCUCAAAGUUAAGAACUUAACCAAAAAAAAAAAAACUUAAGAUGCUAUAAAACCAUAGAUUAAUCCAAAGUUUCUCUCUUGAUUAUCAUCUGAACCUCCUACAAAGCUAAGGUAAUGGUUCUUCAAAGUUCAAACCGUAUUUUAUUAACUAUGUAUGCUAAUUUUUCGAUGAGUUUUUAUCCUAGAUGCAAAAUAAAAAUAGAUAUGUAUGUACGAAACAACAUAUAUUUUUAAGCAAAAGGCGAAUAGAUCUACUUUUGUUAUGAUGUAACUUAUAUUUUGUGUUAACAAAGCUAUAUGAGGUAAUCAUUUAACAGUGUUUUGUUAACCAUGUAUGUAUGACUAAUAUUCGUUGAGCGUUAUUCAUAAUAGUAAAAGUAUACAUGUACAUAACAAUGUCUAAAACACGUACGUAUAUUUUUGUCACAUCACAUGUUUGAGUAACUUAGUAUUAACAAGUUUGUGAAAAAAGCUGAUGCUCAAUAAUAUGAAUGUGUAUCUGAGUGGGUGUAAAUAAGAUUGAGUAGCAUCAAUAAUAUCAAUGGAUAGCUAAUUCGAUUUCUUGAUAAAUAGGAAUCGACCAAUAUUUGAUCAAAUGUACGCGUAUGCAUACUUCAUAUUUCUUUUAUAAAAACUUAGUGUAUAUAUAGUGAACCCUGAAUCGAGUUUCUUAAUUAAAUGGAUGUAAAACAUGCAUGCGAACCUAGAUAAUUAUGCAAUAGUCUUACUGGAAGUCUGGAAUGACUCAAAAGUAAAGAAAUUAUGGUAAUAGCUAAUAGUACUUGAACAGAUUAUGGUAGAUUAGUACUUGAACAGUUACCAUAGCUAAUAGUAGGCAGAGUACGUUGUAGACCUUAAACAUCCAUCGACUAGUACUUGUUCGAUUCUAGCUUACAGUUACACAUAAAAUUCACGGGUAAAUUUCCCCAAACCCUCUCCCUCUGUACCUCUCUUUCAGUAGGGAAGCGGAUCAGCAGUACCGCUUCCACCUGAGGCGGAGCUAGAGGCAGCGGCAUUGUUGCGUUCGGCGUGACAAAGCUGACGAAGUUUGGUAGGAACAUACCAAACAGAUAGUCGAGGAUGUGCACUGAAAAUGGCGUCAAUGUCCCAACCUUGGCCUGCAGCUAUUUCCACAACAGGCCUGUAGCACGCCUGCCUCCAUGCCCCGAUGUUCUCUCCUCGCAGCUUGCACUCACGCCUCAGCGCAAUUGAACGCUCCUCGUCCAGACAAUGCAGCGCGUAGCAGUGAACGUAGUGCCGCAUUUUCGGCUUGUUGAUGUAGUUCGCUCCUUCCUCUUUCGCAUAUCUAAACACCUGGUUUGUGACCUGUAGAUCAAGAUUUAUAGUGCAAGAAAUUAAUUCAAUUAUGGUAUAGACUAUGAACCAGAGCUGGCUUGAUAUAUGUGUUUCAACUUUCAAGUAGCAAAUUAGCAAAUUUAGGAAUGUAUUAUAAUUGUUCAUUUGCCUUUUUCAGUCUUCAAAUCAAUACAUUACUGCUGCGUAUGAACAUCUAUACCAAUCACAUCCUCUAAUCAAUUGAGGGGUUAAAUCAGUGUCAUAUUUAUGAUUACUUAUUAAUUACAGCUUCGUGUUUAAAGUUCAUAUUACAUCAGGGGAUCAAUCAUCAAUAGAGAAUAUAGAGUAACAUUACCUCAUCCUACAUAUCAAAGGUUGAAAACUGGCCAAUUACUUUGGUGUCAUGAGGAACAGCUGGUUAAUUGGUACGAACUGGGAUGGGUCUGCUGCAGCUACUAUUGAUUGAUUGAAAUAAUUCAUAUCGGGUAAAUUUGUCAAAUCAAAAUUAUUACCGUCAUGGGAAUUCCCUUUUGAGCGAAUAGUAGUUUACCUCCUUGUUACUACUCAUUACAAUGAUUAACUACUGUUUUACCCACAGUAGCAUAGCAGGAGAAUUAAUGCAUGUGUAGGGUUUUAAGUUUUAACCAUCACGUACCUUGGUGGGACAUUUUUCACCGCGCUCCUUGGCAAUGUUCUGGACCUGGGUCAGAAACUGAUGGCACUGCUCGUAGAGAUGGAAGAGGUAAUCCAGUCCGUUCUUUUUGCCACGUGCCACCUCCCCAGCCUCCGUGACGACGAAGGGGUGCUCCCUCUGUCUCUCUCUCCCACUACCCCUCAUACCUAAUGCCCUACCCGGGCGCUCCCCUCCUCCUCCAUUGAUUCUGUCAUCGUUCUCUUCAUCCUCAUCAUCAUCAAUACCCUCGUUACUACUUCUAUGCCCACCACCUCUCCUAAUCCUCCUCAGCUUCUUCCGCCUCUCCGCCGCCGUACCCCCUUCCCAUGCUGCUCCUCCGCCACUCCCCACCAUCUCCCUCUCUUGUUGCACUGGCUCCUCCGACAGCCCUGUCCAACCAUCCCAUCACAUGCAUCAAUAUCAUAUUAAUGGAUCGAACACACAUAUACUCAAAUAGACAUGUAGAUAUACACCUUUUAUUUCCCAGUAAACAAUAUUCUGUAAUCAUUAGACGCUAAUAAGGGAAAUACUUCUGUGCAAAGAUUAGGUCUAGCCUGUUAAAUUCUCACUAAUUACCAAACAAAGCAAAAGAAAAAGGUAAGAAGUCAGAUCGAUACAUAUACGAGUACUCAUGUGUUUGCUAGGAAAUUAACCUUCUUGUGAGAGAGCAUCCAUAGCGUUGGUGUCACCGGAGAGAGCGUGGCGCCGCCGCGAGUCCUCCUCCUCAAGUCGUCUCUUCUCAGCUCGGAUGGCAGACUUGACGCCGUACCUCUCCCCGACGAGUAGCUCCACCCGGAAAAACUGACACACGCUGUUCAUCAUGUCGUCAAGCUCCUCAUCCCUCAUGUCCAAAAGCGUGCUCACAGUGAACCCGAGCUCCGCUAUCCUUGCCGCCGUGUAGUACCUCACUCCAUAAGCCCGGAACAUCUCCUCCAGCCCCCCAGUCUCCCUCGGCGCCCGCACCGAGUAACCAGCGGCUGCGGCAGCCGCGGCGACUUGUUGGGGAGCAACUGCGGCCGCGGCCGCCGCCUCGAGCUGAAGCCGGUUCGGCGGAACAGCCAUGCCACGGAGGUCCCACUUGAACAAACUCGCAGUGAACGCAUUUGGAUCCAUGAAGCUCAGCUCAGCUCACCCUAACUCUGUUUAGUGUUGUUCUAUCUCUCACUGUGUCAGUGUUUAGUCGUAGCUGAACACUCACCUAUUUUGUGGUUGGGGAGAGCUGUAGCUGUUCCGGCCUAUAAAGACAACUAUUUGACCUUUUUUCCCCAAACUACCCCUGCAUUUGAUUGUUCCCGAGGAGGGAACUAUACCCAAACUGGGGAUGGAUCCAAACCAAACCAAGUUAUUGCAGAAUGUGAUCCCGCUCGAUAAGUAAAUUUCAAUUUAUUUUUUUUUACCUACGAGUUUUACUUAGUUUUUUAAUGUCUAACCCCAAAGCCUGUGCAAUUCUCUGAAAUUGCUAACUUUCUUGCCAGAUUUCCACGCACUUCUAAAUCCCUAGGUUUUGCAUGCAGUAUUAUUAACAACGUGAUCGAACAGCAAUUUUGAUUGGUUGAAAUCACUCAAACCUACAUUUUUUUUUACUGUAGCAAGUAAAACCCCAAUUUAAUUUAGUAAAACAAUUGACUACCUAGCUAGGGCUAAGAACACAAUGUCAACAUUACUGGGCAAAACAAGACUCCCAGUAGACUUGCCCUUCGGAGUUCGGACCUCCCCGAAAGUUUGCAAUAUUUGCAAGUAUUGGCAUAAUGGAAUUCCAGGACUGAGAUUGGUGUUGGGGUAAUAGAUGGUAAUUUUCGUCCUUCCGUCGAUCACUAUCCAUCAUAAUGAACCCUGUUGCUUUUCAAGGACAAAGGACACUGAGACCUGGAGAGAGCCCAUAUCUUGUGUAAGAUUUUCUGAAUCUCAAAUCUGAAACUCUACCCGAAGACGACAAGCAUGCAAGGGCCUUUUCGUAGUUUCAUGAGGGAGAGUAAAUACAUAGUUACUGUUCCUUGGCAACGUAAACAUGGCAGAGAGCCUGGGUACUAGGGUCAGUCGUCUCGAUCAGAAAGGCUGUUUCUCUUUCUGUACUUGCAAAGAUGAAAACUGAGAUAUCGCCGGGUGGCAGCGAUCGCCUGUAGCGGCGGCAUACAUGUUCCCGUCCGGGGAUCCAACAGGUGGCCGCAGACGAGCACCACGCGGCGGGCGGAGGAGAGGAGAUGGGGAUCGGGUGGUGGGCCAUGAAUGAUGGGACGUGAUGGGGGAGGUGCAGGAAGAUUUGGAAUUUGGCGCACUUUGUUUUGGAGCUUCGACUUUCUCUUCUUUUGAGACGAGGAUGGAAAUUAUUAAUUAAUAUUUGGUCAACAAGACGGUUUUUUUUGAGGUAGGGACCAAUGGGUGGUCGACACGUCGUGUACCUUGUUCUGGGUUGGGGAUGACUCGUCGGGGCUCAGGGCAGAGUCUGGACUCUGGAGCACUGGCUUUUACGUUGAAUGGUUUUACACUUUUACUUUGAGCUAUGCUCUUCCUUUUACCUUGUCGUUUCAGUGCUUUCUCGACCUGGGAAUUACUUCUCUCUCACCUAUAAAGUGUACUUUUUACUAUGGGCACAGUGAUGGGCAUAGUACGUGGUGGUUACUUGGGAGCAGAAUUAGUUGGGGGAGCAAUGUGUGCUUGUGUUACUAUUCAUUAUGGUUAUCUAUGAUUCUAUGGCAAUCUGACUUGGAGUAGUUCACGUAAGAUGAACCCCUGCGAGGUAGUCAGGCAGAUGAUGAUUGAAUUGAAUCGAUCUUCCAUGUGGUGAAGUGGUCGAGUGAGGUAAUUUGGUUCCACAUGGUCGAAUAACAAAGAUAUAGUCAUGUAUAGGUUAUUGCGAAGAUAUAUUACAAAUGGCCGCACAUACUAAAUGAUGAACAUAGUUGAGGGGGUACCCUAUAGUUGAUUCAUUACUAUGCAAAUUGAUAUGUCGACAAAAUAUAUAUAAGAAGAUAAAUUAAGUAUACGUCAAGUUAUAAUCAAGCUAAAAGUAUUUGCAGCAGUAUUGCUAAAUUAAAUUUUUUUUAAAAAUUUAUCAACUUUUCAGAUGAAUAAAAACUUUAACAGGAUACCUAAAUAAGAAAUCAGACUGGUUGAGUCUUCUUCGUCUUCACACAACCUAAGCUUAUCUUAUAGUUGCGAUUUAUUUCUCUUUCACUUCACAAAAACAACUUCACAGUAUACGGGCCGGGUGAUGGAUACUCGGGACUCCGACCCACUGUAAUCAAAAUCAAAAGCAAUUUUAGAAGCUGGCUAUGGCGACACGGAGGUCUUGACAGAUGACGAGGAUGAUACAUAGCCGAGUAAAAGGGGCGAAGAAGCUUCUAAACCCCUCCGCUGACUCACGCACCGUCAUCAACUCGCCGACGCCGCAGCUGAAGAACCUCCCCUUCACCUCCUUCAACGGCGCCCAAGCAUCUCGAGAUAAAGGUAAUAAGCUAACCCAUCAACCCACUCUGCUCUUACCUCACACACACGUUUCAUGAAACUCGGCAUCAAAUUAUGAAUGUUUAUAUUUCUCAAUUCUUUCAGAACACCAAAAACUCCACCAUGUUCUUAAAUCCUGCAAACUCCACUUGGAUUCCGCAACUGCAAUCCAAACCCACGCUAGAAUCGUUACACGUGGAUACGGCACAUACCCUUCUCUCCUUGCUUCCCUUUUAGCUGUUUAUAAGCGUUGUGGUUGUGUCACUCUUGCUACGCAACUUGUGGAUCAAAUUGUCAAUUCUGCUUGUGGUGUCAACUAUUUUAAUCUCGUUAUCGAAAGUUUAAUGAGGAAUGGGGAAUGUGACAUUGCGAAAAGAGUGUUCCGAAAAGUCCCCAACCCGGAUUUAGUUACUUGGAACACUGUUAUUGGAGGUUGUGUUCGGAAUGAGCGUUUUCAGGAGGCUUUGGGAGUGUUCCGGAAGCUGGUGAGGUCCGGUUUGGAGCCGGAUGGGUUCACAUUUUCGUCUGUUAUCACUGCGUGUGCGCGGCUUGGGGCGCUGCAUAAUGCGCAGAGGGUGCAUUGUCUGAUGAUGAAGAAGAGAAUCGAGAUGAAUUUUAUACUGAGUGCGGCUCUUAUAGAUAUGUACUCAAAGUGUGGUAGAGUGCAGACUGCUAGAGAGAUUUUUGGUAAUGUGCGGCAUGAUGAUGUCUCGGUUUGGAAUGCGAUGAUUAAUGGAUUGGCGAUUCACGGGCUUGCUUUGGAAGCAAUAGAGAUGUUCUCGAAGAUGGAGAUUGAUUAUGUGUUGCCUGAUUCAAUAACUUUUGUUGCCAUUAUGAAAGCGUGUGGUCAUUGUAACUUGGUGGAAGAGGGUCGCAAGUACUUUGAUUUGAUGACAAGUCGGUACUCAAUUCAGCCAGAAAUUGAGCAUUAUGGAGCCAUGGUUGAUCUCUUGGGUAGAGCGGGGCUUCUUGAAGAGGCUUAUGCAACUAUAAAGGCCAUGGCAGUGGAGCCGGAUGUUGUUAUAUGGAGGGCACUUCUCAGUGCAUGCAGGACUCAUAGAAAUCCAGAACUUGGAGAAGUUGCCAUUGCCAAUAUGUCCCGUCCCAGGAGCGGGGAUUAUGUGUUGCUUUCAAAUACCUAUUGCUCUAUAAAGAAGUGGGACAGUGCAGAGAGAGUGCGAGAAAUGAUGAAGAAAAAAAGAGUUCGUAAAAAUCAAGGGAAGAGUUGGCUUGAGUUGGAAGGUGUGAUCCACCAAUUCAGGGCUGGUGAUCAGACACACCCUGAAAUGAAAUCAAUAUAUAGAGUGUUGGAAGCAUUGAUCAAGAGGACCAAGUCGGAGGGCUUUGUGCCUGUGACAGAGUUGGUUUUGAUGGAUGUAUCUGAAGAGGAAAAAGAGGGAAAUUUAAAUUCUCAUAGUGAAAAGUUGGCGUUGGCCUAUGGGAUCCUGAAAACAAGUCCUGGAACAGAAAUCAGGAUCUCAAAAAACCUUCGGAUCUGUCACGACUGUCAUUGCUGGAUAAAGUUGGUUUCAAGACUACUCAAUAGAGUUAUAAUUGUGAGGGAUAGGAUUCGUUUUCACCACUUUGAAGGUGGUAUGUGUUUGUGUGGAGACUAUUGGUAGCCAAUACCAUCAAUAUCUGGUAUGACUUGUCAACGAAGUGAUUACUGUAUGAGCUGUUUUGUAGAAAUCUAGAAGCACUUGAAGGAUAACCAAGAACCUAUGUGAUACUGAAUAAUCUUCGAUUCCUAUACCCCGUCAUACCCCAUCAGGGUAACACUGGGAGAGAGCCAUCAUGGUCCAGAUAUUUAAACUUGGUCAACUGCUAACAAACUGACUAGAGGUGAACUACUUUGAAAUUUAAAGUUACUGUUAAGCAGUAAGCACCAUAUGCAAUGGUCGACCUACAGCAGAUCGAGGCUCAUAAGUACUGGUACUGUUACAAUCAGUCACAAGUAUGGUUUUAACGCUAGUAUUGAAACAACACUUUUUCACCCUGAGAUGGCAUUUACAUGUUUCUUUCCAUAUGUGAAGCUUAAAUCAAACACAUGUGGUCCAUAAAACAAUGUAGGCAAAUUACAUGCAUUCAUAGUAUGAGUAAGGGGUCUUAUCCAUUAUUUUGAAAUACUUAAUCAUAUCAAUCCAUGCAAUAAAAAGAUUUAUGGAGAAAGAUGAACUUUUUCUCAUGACUUGUUUGCUUUUUUCUUUGCCAUGGUAAUCAGUUUGCACAAUCUAAAUAGGAACCAGUGGUAGUUUGCCUCCAUAUAUUUCAGGAAGUUGGCUUUCGUCAAUCUCUUCAAGCAGAGUUGAUUUCAGCAUUUUGUUCUCAACAAAUACUAUCUGCAGAAGAAUGAACAAAAUCAAGUAUAUAUAAGCCUGAAGUUGUAUACCAGCGUCAAGUGUCAGUGCUGCUUAUACUGAUAAUGUUGCAUGGCAAAACAGCGCAGGAAAGUUAAAAACAUCUUCACAUGUAGAAAUUCAGAAACUUACCUUCUCCUUAGUUUUGUUGUCAAUGAAAGGGCAAACGAUUUUCCAUGCUGUCAUAAACACGAAAGGCACAUGAACAAUGAACAUCUUCCCUAGUCUUUCUGGAUAAUAGUCCUGCAAUUAUCAGUAUAACUGUUAUGCAUUUAGGAGAUUUUUCUAAUGUUUAGUUUCUGAUAAGGGCACCAUCCUUUAUUUUUUAUGCUUCUCAAGUUUGUUUGUUUGUUUGUUUGUUUUUUAGCUUUUUUCUGUAUGAUUUAAGAAAGUUAAACUUCUCAGUUUGGUUAUUUGGUUGAUAUGUUGUCCAGAUUUUUUACAUAUCUGAGUAAUCUGUUUGUUUUACUUUGUUGUACAGAUAAAUGAUAUGUAGUAUAGUGGAGCAGAGACCUGCAAAAUGGAGAGAGCUCCUAGGUAUGCUCGGAUAUCACUGUUUGAAUAUCCCCAACCUUCCAGAUCACCUAUGAAGAUAAACUUCUCCUGUCCUGGUGGCAUCCUGAAACAUCAAGUUCAAAUCAUCAAAAAUUACAGUUUUGGAAUCUACGGACUACUGCUAUGGUACUGUAUCCUCAUGAUCCAAAACUAAAUUUCUGUGUUACAUCUUAAUUCUUGAUGCACAAUGGUAUGUUAAAUCCCCUUGGAAAAUAAAGAAGUUACCUUGCACAUAACUUGUCGAAAGCAUAGACUACAUAACCUGUACAUACAAGAAUACACUGUCUGAGUGGAAAUGUAAAUCUUAUUUUGAGAUUGGAUGUUGCAAGCAUCCACUGAUUUUGCAGUGAGAGAUUUGUAAAGUUAUUGCAAGGCUUCUAUUUGUUUCUCAUGAUAAAAUUAUAGAUAUUUGUUAGAAUCAUAGACCAAGCCAGUAUAUCUACUCAGUUUCUUUUGAGCCAUAGGUUAUAAGUGUUUCAUGUGAAAGAUAUCCAGAUGUAAAAACAUACGCUUAAACUCCUUCAGGCCCCCUUUGACUUGAAAGUGUCUAGCACCUAGUAGAACUGCUAUUGGACAUCCCCUCUUGUCUGAACCUUGUGAAAACAGCUUGUUCUGUGCAAUUUGAUUGGGUACUUCUGAAGCAGAAAUUGAACCAUUAGGAGCAAAUGAUUGUCUCCAUUUCAAGUAUUUCAGGAACAUGUCUGAUGCCUGCUCCACAUCUAAAACACGAGCACGUAGGAACCUUCUUAACAUCAGAUCAUCCACUUCCUGCACACAAAUUACAUUUACACAUUUCACAAUUUAACAACCUGCUAAUCAAGACUUUGUUGCAGAUUGAGCUUUUCCUCGGCAGAACAUAAGAUCAGAUGUAAAACAUACUGGGCUGACAUGAGCACAAGCAGGUAAUUUUCAUUAUUGGUUACAGAUCAAUAAAGUUUACCUGAAAACGAUCCUUGUAUACUUUGAUAUAGUUUCAUUUAUAUUCACUAGCUUUAUCUGUAUUAACUAUAAUUUUGUGUUCACUUGUAUAUAGCAAUCACCUUGGAGAAGGCAUCUUUCCUUUCAACAAAUACUCUCAUCUGACGAAUUCUUCUCAUCUCCUCCGUCUCUUGGGUGCUGCUUUUCAUCUCAUUACUUGUAGUUGUAUGUAACCUUGCUACCGCUUGUUCUGCUUCAUCUUUCAUGGUUUUGUUGGACUCCAACUCAGGUAUUAUAUCAGAAUCCAUGGUCUUUUUUCCCUCUCUUUCUCCCUUACUCUCUCUGAUAAAAAUGAAAACUAAGACCUGGACAGUGCUUAAAUGCUAGUUGCCGUUGAGGAUGAAUAAUGAAAUUAUCGUACAUUAUGACCUCAAAAUAGAAAAAAGAGGCUUUGAAAUGUAACCAAGAACUGUGUUAGGUGGUUCUAAACAAUUUCAGCUCCUUAGAACUUUAUUCUAUCUUUGGAAAUGUUAUUAAUGCUGAAGGCAGCCAUUUGGGUCCAAUAUUAAAGCCUCCACUUAAAUGCUAACAACUGACAAGUCAUAAGAAAUACGGACUUGAUGCCUUUGCUGGGUAUCUCCACUGUGUUUUUGCUUGAGUUUUAGUUUUAGCCGUCUUUAUAUAUCUAGAGGUGUGAGCAAAAGAACCGGCGAAUUCAGUACGCUAAGUUGGAGCAUAUCGGAAAAAUCAUUUCCUAUAACUAGAAGAAUCUUUGUUUAUUUAUUUUUAUUCUGAAUUAUGAAGUUGCUGUAACUGUAAUAUAAUCACCAUGAGGCAAUGCAUGAUAUACCUCUCCCACACGGAAUUGAAUUAAUUUGGGUUGAUAGAAAUAGGGUCAUGCAAUAUAUAUGCUGGCUUUAAUAAAGCGGUCAAAUGUAGGGUUUGUAAUAUUUGCUAUUACCAGAGAUAAUAAACUACUGCAUCUGAUAUUCCAUAUGCCUAUUACCAGAGUUAAUAAACUACUGCAUCUGAUAUUCCACAUGCAUAUUAUUUCAGGAACACAACAGAUUGGUGAGAUGCAUGACCUGGGCAAGACAUCACUUUUGAAGACAAAUCAAAGCUUUUAUUAGUUACACCAACACACAAGUUCACAUGUGCACAUCUAUGACACACCAUAUCACACUACAGUUAAAUGUUAUAUCAGUAGUUGCAAUUUUCAAUAUUACAAUUUCUCAUAACCCCAUUGACCCCAAAAGUCAUAAACAGAAGAUCAAGUAAAAACCUAGUGAUUGUAUGUGAUUCAGAAAGAUAUGAUAUGUAAUCAUGUUUAGUACCUUGGAGGAAGGAUCCUGGGCUUCAACAAAAGCUCUCAUGAGACGAGUUUUGGUCAGCUCCACCAAUUCACUGCUGUUUUUCAUGUAAUCAUCUCUCUCUACUACUGCUGCAUCUUUGGAAGUUUCUUCUUCCUUAGACUCUAUUUUCUUACAGUCCUUCAUACUCAUCUCUCUCUCUCUCUCUCUCUCUCUCUCUCUCUCUCUCUCUCUCGCAGAGACAAUGGCAGAAUGUAUAAGAUCUCUGAUAAAUAGAGAUGAAGCUGGAAGAGAGCUCAGGAAUGCUGAUGGAGAAAUAGAGAACUGCAGAUUGAAUAGGACUUUUCUAGAAAGGCAUAAGUCUUCUGUGGCCACCUUUUCCCGCUCAAUUAAAUUCUUCUGUCCGUUUGCUCCCCCAUCAAUUUCAACUCUAAAGGAGUCGAGGAGCUUCAUUAAUGGCAUGUAUCCAUCUAUCCAUCCCAAGCUGUACACAUGCAUAAGAAAAUAGCAAAGCUACAAGUUAUAUCAUAUAGUUCUUUCUGUGAGCACCAUAUGAUAUGGUGUCAAUCGUAUAAAUGAAGCACAAUGCAAUCUGCGGCUAGGAGUAAAAUUUCGGUGAUUGCGGAAAUAUCGACUCUCCAAAAAAUAGAAAUUUCGUUGAAAAUUUCGGAGAAAUAUCGAUAGUAAUAAAAUAUUAAGAAAAUUUAUGGAAAUUUGAAGAAGAACAAGAAAAUUUUCAAUAAAACUUUGAGAGAUGUUUGUUUUGUCAAUUAUCUACUACAUUUAAAAAGAAAAUCUUGACAAAACAUUAAUCUAUAAUGAGUUCUAGUAAUUUAAGGUGAAUAAGUAAAUGCUGAAUCGUUGAUAAAUCUUAAAAAUUUACUUAAAUUUUAAAAUUUAAUUUAUUUUUAUGGCUUGAAACUAAAAAAAGGGCUAGACCAUCAUACCUUAUAUAUGUAUAUGAUACAUGCAUUGCAUAUGGAAAGUGUAGGGAAAAAAAAAAGGAAUAGCAAGUCGGUUAUUAAUUUCCAUCAAAGUUUUCAGAUUCGAAGGUAAUAUAUAUUAUAAAGAAGCAGACAAACACCAUAAGCUCGCUUAGCACUGUUGGCUAAGUCGUUUGAGAGCAAAUUGGCCAAGCGAGGUUCAAAACCCGCUGCACCCAAUUUCUGGCGUUUUGAGUUGAUUUUUGGUCAAAAAUCAAUCACUUUGAUGACAUGGUGAUAUUUUCGUGAGAUUUCGAAUAUUUUGGCGAAAUAUUAAAAAAUAUUGAAAAUAUCAGAUAAUAAACUAUUAGAGGGUGAAAGACAUAUUGUGAUAUGAGAAAAACGAAAAUAUCGGCCAUUUUUUCUUCCUUGAUCUGCGGACGGGUACGCGGUACCCUAGUCUUUAAGGUAGGGUACGCGGUAUGCUGAGCUAUGUUUGCAGAGUUUGAUUAAAAUAAAUUAAUAAAAAUUCUAAAUGCUAAUUCUAAAUGAUUUUAAUUUUACUUAAAUUACCUUUAUUAACAUACUAUAUCAACCACAGUCACGUCAAUUACUAUAUAGAAUUUUGAUUUUCCUUUUAAUUCUUUUAUAGAGAGAUUGUCCCGUGAUUAUGUAGUAAUCAAAAGACCAAAUGUGCAAAUCACGUUUUGAAUAUUUGUUCCUCCAAUCCUCGCUUCAUUCAGCCACCGAAGUUGAAUCCCAAAAAUGCUCGCUAUCGGGAACCUUCAUAAAGGAGUUGAGACACAUCAUCACCACCUUGGGAAUUUGGGUUUCAGAGAUUUUGAUUUUCCGGAAGCCGAAGAAAUCAGAGGUUGGAUGGAUCUUGAGACUUGAAUUCAUGACCCGCUCCUUGCCAAUAAUUGGGAAUGCUCAAAAUGGCGAUCUGGAAUGCGGGUUGCCGGUAGGAGGAGCGAAUCCGGCAACACUGGUUAUAGCUUUGCUAUUUUCUUGGGUCCUUCUUUCUUCUCAAGAUUGCAUUGUGCUUCAUGUAUAUGAUUGACACCAUAUCUUAUAGUGCUCUUCUGGCUUUUUCUUCCAUUGUUUCCUUUAUUGGUAGGAUGUAUGGAAUUCUGGUAAGUAUGUUAUAUGGAAAUAUAGUGGGUUCUGGUUAGGGUUGGCAUUUUGUCCUGAGACAAACCAGCCAGUCAAGAUUUGAGCUGAGCCAACGAUGUCGGUAGCCGACUUGUCGGUAGAGAGGAGCCUCGGCUCGGUUAUGGUACACAAUUUUGUAUAUCAACGGUAUACCGUACCAACUGAGAUAUACGUAUACCAGCUAAUAUACGUAGACUUGAGACUCGAACCCAUCACCUCGUGGAUGUAGAGGCUCAUGUCCAACCACUAGCUCUUCUUAAUAAUAUAUAUGCAAAAACUAUAUUUAUUAUCUUACAGAACUCAUAAAGUCAAAAUAAGAACUUAACAAACCUAUUUCAAAGCCUCAGAUGCUUUUCCUUCUUCAUUCCUAGCCUAUCUUUCUUUCGUUUCGUUCCCAAAUUAAGGAUUUAGGGCAACUCAAUUGCAUUCGAAUUCUAGUUCCACAGUCUUCAUAUUCUUCCUCUUCUUUCUUUGUUCCUUGAACUAAUCUCCAAUCUCAAACAGAUUUCACCAAUCACCCACUUCCUUCUAUCUGUUCUCCAUGGAGAAGAGGAAUAGAGGAUGACAGAGGAGGCUUAUAAGGCUUACUAGGAUGCUUUGAAGCUCCAGUCGUGAUUCGUCGUCGAGACGGAGGCGUUACACCACCUUGGUUCGCCGUCACGACUGAGGAGCUGAACAAGUUUGAUAGAUUUUUUUUUUUUUUUUUUCGUUUUUGAUUUGUGGGUUAUUAGAGUGAGAGUUGUUUGAUGGGUACUUUGAUUUGAAGUAGAGAUGGUGCUUUGAUUUGAAGUGAUGAGUCAAGUAUGGUGCUUUGAUCUGAAGCAGAGUGACAACGAUAUGAAAUCGGUAUCUACCGAUUACCAACCGUUGUAUGCCGAAAGUCUCGGUUACCGAGAAGUCGGCACACUAACUUCGAGGGCCGAUUUUGGUAGUACGUUUCUCUUACCGAGCAAGAGUCGGUCGGUAGAUGGUUCAGACAGAUUUUUCUGGUAACCGUACCAGAUCCACCCUAGUUCUGGUAAGAAUUUGUCGACUACCAGAGUCAUGAGUAAGGGUGAGCAGCGAGUCAAUGUCAUGAGUAAUGACUGUGGGUUAUUAGCGAGUCAUUGGUACUAUGUACAGUCACUCUCAUCUGUCCAAUUCAUCACAAAUAUGUGUUACUUUGCUUUCAAACAAAAAAAGAAAUAAGUGUUACAAUCCAUUUGCCAAAUUAUUGAAAAAGACUGAAAUCAGUAAAUGAAGAAAGAAAUGAAGACUUAGACAAAACUGAAGACAUGAAAGAAAAUACAAAAAAAUGUGAUAAAAUCUAGUUCCCAAAUAAUUCUUAACUUAUUUAGGAAGAAAAUAAUAUUUUUUCUAGCAUUGAGAUUUGUAGCUACUUUUACCGUUACCUUUAAGUUUUAACUAACUACUAAAUCUAACACCAUGACCAUGUGAUUUUGUAAUAAUGAUAGAAGCUACAAGCAUAAAGAUCAGUACACUCAUUGACUAACAUAAGUAAUAAGUUCAUAAGAGAACCCAAGCAAAGGAAACUAACUUUAUACUCAAAUUCCUAAGAAAUAGAAUACUAGUUGCCUAAGACCUCAAUUAAUGUACAACUAGUUGUCCAAUAAUCAAGCACUUGAGCUUAUUUUCAGUUCUCAGACUAGCCAACCCAAAGACUACGUAUAUCGUAUCCAUGUCCUUGAAAUUAGGGUUAGUCGUCGCACUAACAACAACGGUCACCGAGAUCAUGUUGAGUGCCACCACACAAUCCCUAGUGGCAAUGUGCAACACCUUUGUCGAGGAGCUGACGUCCAAUAGGACCACCCAAAAUGAACCACCGAUCGCCAAAGCUAAUCAAAAUCAGAUUGACGAGGAGAACCUUAGUUCGGGGUUGAUUGGUCUUAUUUAAAUUUCACAAAUUGCGCAAAAAAAAAAAUUCUACAAAAUAAAUAAUCAUAAGACGGUAUGUGGAGUCUCUCUCCACAAACGAAAUAAUUUUUAUCUACUGUUGUUAAAUUUAACCACUUAUUGCAAGAAUAUACAAAUAUUCUUAACUAAGAUUUUUUUUUUCUUUUUCUAUUUUGUUUUUGAAGGAGGAUCGGUGCGGCUACCUCAAACCUUGAUUACUAAAACUAUAUAAUACAAAGAGAGGACAUAAACCUUAACCCUAAAUUACAAUAUGCAAUGUACUGUCAUUUAAGUAGAAUAAUCAAUCUUCAUUUUGUGGGAGGGAUUUUAGAAAUGUCAUAAGUAGAAAAAUGUCAUUAAAUGUAUUUGCAAACAAAUCUAGCAAGAAUUAGUCAACUCCCAAGCCUUUUGACUUCUGAAUUCUGAUGCUGUAAAUUUCACCACAAUUUACAUUGAAAUCUAACGAGAAAUUAAUUCAAUGUUUUCAUCAGCUGCCUAUCUAUUCAUUGGCUAAUUUGGUUCCCAGUUUCCCACUCUUUGGUAUCUAUUGACCCCAACUUAAAUUACCUGGCAUCUAUAAAAAUAUUUAAAUUAUUUAGUUUUCCUAAUCAGAAAGAUUUACAAAUUGUGAAAACCAGACAGUUGGGAAAGGCUUGGUCUUUGCUGUUGAAGACUGAGACGGACUUGGAAUCAAACCCACCGUCGUGAUUGAAUCGAUUCUCUGUUUAUUUUAACCCAUUUUAAUUUCUCAGUCAAUUUCAUUUCAGCUGCUCAAAGUUUGAAAGCAAUUUCUCACCCAAUCGUCUUUGACGUCCCAACUGUCACCUUCACCAGAUUGCAAAGAACCCAUCUUUCUCAUUUGACUUGAAUCUCCAGCUCCAUUUCUGUCUUGGGAUACUUAUUUUUUAGCUGAAGAAAAACUGGGAUCGGGGAAAUAUGAGAUUUUGGAAGUGGGUUUUUGCUGGGCUUGUUUGUGCUGCUUUGGUUCUGGAGAUUGGUUAUGGGGAGCAAGCUCGAACUGAGAGGAUUUCAGGUAUGGGGAAACUGUAAAGACUUCAUUUUUAGAUGAUUCUGUUUCUGGGUUUUUACUGUUUUGAUGUAUUUAUGGAAAUUUGUGUUGCCAUAUUGGGUUUGAUUGCUUGAAGAUUGGGUGCUUUUGGGAUCUUCAUAGGUUUUGGGAUCUGCUAUCUUAAUUAGUUCAAUUGGACAUAUGUUGUUGGAUGUUAAUUUAGCUCUUAAUGUUAUCUAUUCUUCUUAGUUUUUAUUUUGAUAAUAACUAUGUUAGUCUGGGAAAUGAUUGGUAUUUAGUUCACAGAGUGAACAGAGUGAUGCUUGGUGUUUCCAUAUACUAAAAAGCUUGAUAUUUGAUGCUAGAAUGGUCUAAUGGCUGAGGACCAUCUGUAGUAAUGCUGGUUUACUUGAAUGGAAUUGGAGCUCCAGAAAGCUAGCAAAUGCAGAAUGCCAUUGUUUAGUGUUCUUAGAUUUUGGUUGACAUUAGAACAUAGUCAAAGACAUGAAUGCUGCUCUUGGAUUUAAAUUCAGUUAUACUAGGCGUUAGUUUUCUAAUGGUUAAGGACAUAACUGUAGUAAUGUUGGUAAUUUUAGAAGUAGUUGGAGCGCCCUUGUGACUAGGUCCUUCUUUAUGCUUUUGAGUGGGACUUGCGUUUUUGAAAUCUUUGGAUUUUGUAUAGAUUCAGAAGCUACUGAAAAUUCAAUUGUCAGUGAACUCAUGUAUGCUUUGUUUGUACUCAAUGUAGGUAGUGCUGGUGAUGUCUUAGACGAUGAUCCAGUGGGAAGGUUGAAAGUUUUUGUUUAUGAGCUUCCAAGCAAAUACAAUAAGAAGAUUCUGCAGAGGGACCCGAGAUGCCUUAACCAUAUGUUUGCCGCUGAGAUCUACAUGCAUCGUUUUCUCCUAUCUAGCCCUGUCCGAACCCUUAAUCCUGAGGAGGCUGAUUGGUUUUAUACUCCGGUUUACACCACUUGUGAUCUGACUCCAAAUGGCCUUCCUUUGCCUUUCAAGUCACCACGGAUGAUGAGAAGUGCAAUACAACUUAUUUCUUCAAAUUGGCCUUAUUGGAACCACACUGAAGGGGCUGAUCACUUUUUUGUUGUGCCUCAUGACUUUGCAGCAUGCUUUCAUUAUCAGGUAUGGAGCUUGGUUUACCUUUUACUUCAUCUCUCAAACUUUCUGAUAGUGACAAAUUGCAUGUUUGCACCAUUCGGCCUAGUCUUAUUAGGUUGUUCCUCAUAAUAACCUGUAGAGCUUCAUGCUUUCCUGAUGUGCAUGUGCCCCAUUAUGUAAUGUUAUGGUGUAUUUUUUAAGCAUGUCAGAUUUCUCAAUCAUCCAUGUAUGAUGAUCGCUUAUAUUAUUUCAGGAAGAGAAGGCAAUUGAAAGAGGUAUUCUCCCCUUGCUCCAACGUGCAACCUUGGUUCAGACUUUUGGGCAACGGAAUCAUGUUUGCUUGAAAGAGGGCUCAAUUACUGUUCCUCCUUAUGCCCCUCCGCAGAAAAUGCAAACCCACUUAAUUCCGGAGAAAACUCCGAGAUCCAUUUUUGUUUACUUCCGAGGAUUAUUUUAUGAUGUAGGAAAUGACCCAGAAGGUGGCUACUAUGCAAGGUAAUUAUUAUAAACCUUAUACAUUGAAAUUAAAGCUGAGGAAGGGCUACAGCAUUUGAGGCUCAAAAUGCACCUCUUCUUUUCAGUGGUCAAAAAUGGAUGGAGUCAAAUGUUUGAUUACAUAAGUCGUUUAUCAGUUUAAAACAUUUAAGACGGUACAAACUUCUAAUAGCUAUUUAAAAGAAGAAGUCAACAAAUACACAAUUUUUAUAGUAAAGGCACUUCUUUCUUCUAUUGCUAUGUGCUGUAGAUAAUGAGAAGUUUUGGCUUCCUUGGUUUGGUUGAUUUCUCUUAUGAUUCCAAGACAGGAGAUAUCUUGGUCUAAUUUUGUUCUUCGAAUUUGUAGAGGUGCAAGAGCAGCAGUGUGGGAGAACUUCAAAGACAAUCCGCUUUUUGACAUUUCCACAGAGCAUCCCACCACAUACUAUGAGGACAUGCAACGUGCAGUCUUUUGUUUAUGCCCACUUGGCUGGGCUCCUUGGAGCCCAAGAUUGGUUGAAGCAGUGAUUUUCGGUUGCAUUCCUGUUAUCAUAGCAGAUGACAUUGUUCUACCCUUUGCUGAUGCAAUUCCAUGGGAAGAAAUUGGCGUGUUUAUAGAUGAGAAAGAUGUUCCCAACUUGGACACGAUACUCACUUCAAUCCCACCGGAACUGAUACUGAGGAAGCAGAGAUUACUUGCUAACCCUUCAAUGAAGCAAGCUAUGUUGUUCCCACAACCAGCUGAACCAGGUGAUGCUUUUCAUCAAGUUCUCAAUGGACUAGCACGAAAGUUGCCUCAUGACCCUAGUGUUUACUUGAAGCCAGGUCAGAAGAUCCUAAACUGGACUGCAGGUCCAGUUGGUGACCUCAAGCCUUGGUAACAGCCUUUGGGGUCUGUGCAACCCAACCCCCAUAUUUUACAGUUGUAGUGUUGUUGUUGUAGUCCUGAGAUUGAGAUGCUGUAAAUUUAGAUCUUGUCAAAAAUGUAUCAGGUUACACAUUCUUUUGUACCUUAACUCACCUUGUUAUUAUUCAUCUGAGAAAGGCAGAAAGCAGCAAAUCCAGCGAUGGUGAUUGUUCCAUUUACUAUGAAGUGACUUCUGAAUCCUGAAUCUAGUUAUCAGUUCACUGCUCACCUAUAGUUGGAAUAUGGAGCUGUAUGUAUGCACAACUGCACUAGUUGCAUUUGAGGGCCUUGAUUAGUGGCCAUGAAAAUUAGAUAGAAAAUUUUUCGAAAAGAAAGGAAGACUCCAGAGGUUGCUGAAGUGUGUGUGACUUGUGGGGAAAAUGGAGGCCACGCGCCCUAUGAUAGACUCUCACAAUCCUAACAUACCUUUUUGGCUCACCUCUUAUCUCCUCAUAUCUUCCUCACAUUCAUUCCUAGUACUACUACUGUUCACACACAUCUUCUGCAAACUAGAAGAUGGCCCUGCAACUGCAGGCACCCUCUACCAGAACUCAUCUAGCUUCACCAUCCCCAUUAGCUCCCAAAGGCAAUGCCGGUCUACGGCAACCUUCGGAUCGUUUUGCUCUAAGAUCCUCAUUCUUCUCUUCAUCAGUUAGCCUAUUGCUUCCUCCUAAGCAGCAGAAGCCCCUUGCUAAGGCUGCACCAAAGUUUUCCAUGAGAGUUGCCUCCAAGGAAGCUUAUAUUUGUCGCGAUUGCGGGUACCAUUUCUUCCUGUCUUGUUUCACUUGUUUGUUUUGCUUCUCUUGAGUUGGUUGAGGACAUUGAUGAAUAAGAUUGAAUCAACCGACAGUUAUAAUGUUAAAUGAUGCAGGUAUAUAUACAAUGAGAGAACUCCUUUUGCAAAGUUACCUGACAAUUACUACUGUCCUGGUAAUCACUUCUCUUGCAUAACUUUAUGUCGUGAUGAAGUUGACAGUAUUCAUACACACAUAAUGUGUUUAGUUAACAUGGUGUGGUCUAGGCAAUAGAAACUUAUCCAACAAGAAUCUCUUCCUGCAUUGAAGUUAUGAUUUUGUUUUCGAUUCUUGAUAUGAUUAGCAACUAAUUCAUGUACCUUUACCAUGAAUGUAAUAUGUGGUAUGCAGUUUGUGGUGCUCCCAAAAGAAGGUUUAGGGUAUACCAGCCUCCAGUGACCAAAGACGCCAACAACAAAGAUGUUCGAAAGCAACGAAAAGCACAGUUGAAGAGAGACGAAGCGAUUGGGUAAGCAUGAUCAUGUUCCUUCUGUUUUCAGUUCAGAAAAUACAAUGCUUUUAUUCCUUGUGAUGAAUUGGAAACUUACCAAAUGGUGCUUUAUAUGAAACAGGAAGGCACUACCUAUUGCUAUUGCAGUUGGAGUUGUGGCACUAGCUGGAUUAUACUUCUACCUGAACAACAGCAUUCAGGGGUAGAUAAUACCAUAGUUGCAGCUAUGUAUCUAAAUUGGACACGAUAUCUUGUAUAAUUUAAUUGUACUUGUAGAACAAUAUUUUGAUUCAAUUGAGUUCUUUCCACACUUGCAAUCCAAUGCACAAAAUUAAGCACUUGUUUUUAACACCAUUACACCUAUAUGAUAGUGUUCAAUAGCAUACUAAAUUGAAAGAGUCCCUUGCAUUCUUACAAUGCCGUUUGUAUGUACAGCACGGUAAACCAGCACUUCCAUAGUAUUGAAGUGCUGGAUUAGUUGACGCAGUGCUACACAGCAAAUAGAAAGUUGUAGCAAGUAGCAACCUCGCAGAUCGCUCAGCGCUAGUCAUGUAAAAUGACUACUACUACUUCAGUACAUGGAAAGAUGUUUGUAUGCAUCAAAUCUGUUUGAAGUUUUACUUGGGAUAAAAGAAACGAGUCCUAACGAAGGAAUGAGCAUUAUCUUUCAGCAGAAUGUUGAACACCAUUUGUCCAAAGUGGCUUGCUCAUGAUAAAAGACUACGAGUUGCAUCCCAAAUGACACUAUAACAAGAAGUUCAAUUGACUACACAAAUGGAAAGCCAAAGGUAAUCCCAAAGAAACAAUCGGUUAUGUUGCAGGGGGAAGACGAGAAGGAAAGAUAGUGAAUAUCCAAUCUAGUAAGGUGAAAAUCAAAUAAAAGUUCAAUCUCAUUACUAAGUACUAACAGUUGACGAUUUAUUUCCUGAACAUUAUAGAGUCUGCACGUACUGGACUUCCGCAGACCAGCAGGCAGAUAGUCUUGCGUGCAAGUUAGUAUGAAAUCAGAUGAUAUGAACUAUGAAGAACAAAAAAGCAUGAGCAAGGAUGAUAACUAACAGAGAAAAACAGAUUAAUAAAGGUAAACUUAACAUUUACAUAUGAUGGUUAUAAAAUACCAUGAUCAUUCUUGCAAGACAAAUGAGCCCUCUAUUCUUUUUUCGAUAGACUGCUGAAUAGGAAAGUUUAAAGAAGAAAACAUGUCAUUGGUACUCGAGGCAGGUGCGGGCUUGAAUUCAUAAGGACCUUCCUUUGGUCCCCAAACCUGUAACAGCACAAGAUUUGGAUUGGUGCCCAGGAAAACUACCACAAUUUACAACAUCAAAUAUAAGGUGAUUAUACAGAUUUGAGUAGAAAAACUGACUUGAUUUCCUUCAUCGUUGUAUCCCCUAUCCCAAGAAUGUAUCUCAUUGUUUUUGAGAAUUGCAAGUUCUGAAGUACAGUAUGAUGCUCCAUUCUGUCACAAAGAGCAAAAUGAUGUCAAGGAAAUGCACUAAUUCGAUUCAUUGCAAAUGAAACUUGACAUAUCCAUGGCCACAAAGUAAGGUUCUCAUGUAUCAGCACAACAGUAAAGGGGAAGGAGAAGAGACAACUAAAUGCAAGGAAUUACCCAUAAAUUAGGGAAACUGGCAGGUGGAGUUGACCCUUCAUAUAAGCAGCGUUUUCCACGCUCACAGCGUUUAAGAUGCACUGUUGUCAAAUGCUCUGCAAUGUCCUGCACACAGAUAAUACAAUUUAGAUAGAAACUUCGAUUUUCUCAAAUAGUUUAAAGAUAGACAACGUGAAACCCAACAAAUGCAAAAACUUCAAAGCAUAAACAUAUCUUCAAAUUUCUAUUCACAAACUUGGACCUGAAACCAUACAAGCAAGGGUUGCACAGGGUCAAAACUAACAUCAAUCUUCCCAAAAUGCAACAUGCACAUACAAUUCAUCCCUGUGAAAUUCUUCAGUUUUCAGUUGAUAUAUCUUAGUCUAGAUUUUGAACUCAGACCACCAUCUACAACUUCAAGGUAGAAUAGUAUCUAUCAUGUUGAAGUGAGCAAGUACAAAUCAUCUCAACACAUUUUAGUAGUUCCUACUUCCUAUACCUGUACUUUAAACCACAUUUGUAAGCCAUAAUAAUAUGUACUUAAACCAGAUAACUCAAGAAGUAAAGUGACUAUGAUGUGACUAAAUACUCACCCCAAUAACUUCUUCAGGCAGAGGACGCUGGUCCUUUGAGCGAUCACAAAAAUUCUUGUACUCCUCUGCAUCUCUAAUUGCAUAUGAGCUUACCUGCUCAUAGGUGAGAGUUCAAAAUAUUAACAUAACUCAAAUCCCAAGAACAAUACAUCAAAUGAUCAGAGGCAUAUCAAAUCUUUCAUAGGCUCACCUCAACAUCACACUUCAACUCUUUCGGGCACGGCUUCACCAUAUAAAAUCUCUGCAGACAAAAAAGAAAGAAACUUUAAAAUAAGAAAACACAAAAAGCUUGAACCUUUGAACAUUAGCUUCACCUCUCAAGGCUCAAUUCACACUCACCUGCCUAAAGGGCUUCUGGGGACUCCUCCAAAAAGCCUAACAAACAACCCAAAAUAAAGCUCAUCAUUCAUCACAUAUCAAAGUACUGAACUUUACACACAACAAAACAAUGCUUACUUGCUCAAAAUACAACACUUUAGACCCAUCCACCAUCUCAGCUGCUGGGCAGCUACUCAGUCUGCAAAACCAAACUCCACCAUCAUCAAACCAAAACCAAAACGCCGCCGUUUUGAUACAAACUAAACAAAGUGAAAUGAAGCAGAAGCAGAGCCGUUUGAUUAUUUACCUGAUGUUGAAGUAGUGGUCAGGAUCCCGGGCGGCUUGGUCCUUGGAGAACUUCUCGCCGGAGAGGGAGCGGGUGACGUGGCGGGCGUGGUCCCACCGGGUUGUGGACUUUGUCAGUCGCUUCAGUAAUAAAGCUCCGCCGAUCAACACCAGCGUCUUCACCACCACGCCACGCGCCACGCUGCUCCAUCCUCCUCCCGAAGACGACGACGACGAGUCGUCGGAGCCACUCCCGCUGCCCGACUCCGACCCGAUACCCAUUUCAGUUAAAUUUUCACUUCGAUACUACUCUGCCACCGCUACUUGCAUUUCGAUUUUCUGAUGACGAUUUGAGUUGGGUUUUGGGUUUGUGUUUCUUUUUCUGCGGAAGAAAUACAAGAUUGGAAGCUUUCGAACGUCACCGUUACCAUUUCUAUUUCAAAUUUGGGCUGUGUAAAGGCCCAAUGUGUAUUUUGGUCACAAUGCAAUAUUUUAAUUUUGAGUCGCAUGCAUUCUAUCAUGCUUCGGAGCAUGUGAUGUACCGAGUUUUAAUCAAUUUAUACGAUCAAAACAGAAAGCAAAUAAGGAGCACUCUUAGUUUUCUUUAUGUAGUAGGAGUUGGUAACUUUUUGAUGUGGCUAAAUCAGAAAAUUAGGAGAAGCAAGAACCAUUUUACUAGAGCACAAAAGCUGUCCAAACAUGCCAAAGGAUCCAAUACUGCUGCUCUCAUCAGCCUCGCAGCAGAUUCACUUGGAUGUAAUUAGAACACAUGAUUUGUAGAGAAGAAAUCUGCUUACAUUUUGGUCGAGAUUUAAAAGGAAUUUAGUCUUGCAGUUCAAAUGCGUCGAUACAAACUCAAAUGUAUACUUCUGUACCUCUAGAGGAUAAUGUAUGUUCAAAGAAUAGGUCAUCUCUAGCUCAAACUUGGGGCGUGUAUUUUCUGCUUCAGGACACAAACAAAUCCCCGACAAUGGCGCUAGGUGCUUUGUCGCCUUCCCAUUGAACAUGAUCCUCUACCGGGGUUUUCACAUACCUUUGACUACCAAUGUAUUCUUCUUCUCAACAACCUUGUCACCCUUAAAUCGUCUCAGCAGUGGUGCCUGUGGCCCUUGGUCUUACCAGUACGACAGUACCCUUGCACUUGGUGUUUUAGGAGUUGGGAGUUGGGACUCUGCUCUAUCUGAACUUACACCAACUCAAUACUAGCUAGUUUGCUAACAUAAUAUGUUUGACAAUCCAUCAAUGGAUGCAUUAGAUAAAGUUACACGUCCAAAAAUAUGCAAAUGUUGUUGGUUUUGGAUUGCAACUUCGGUUAGUACAAUACGAACACCAAGAAUCAUUUCACUACAACUAAAAAGCUACUCAAAACAUGUCCAAAGUACCCUGUCUGAUAUGUUCAUUCAGAAAUCAGUAUCACAUCUCCAUUGCAACAUCAAGCAUCCAAUACUCUUCUCACUAGCCUCCCAUGAGAAUAAUCACUUGCCGUAGCUUCAGUCAGGGAGCUCUUUUUCCUUUCCAACUUAACAGCCUCCCCAAAACAGUAAACAGGAGCAUUCCACUCUUUGUCCUCAAGUUGUGCUCCCACCUCAAAUGUCAUCACAUGAGCACUCAUCCCUGCAUGGCCCAACAAACCAUUACUAUUGGCAAAUGAACUACAAAAAAAUCACCCUAUACCCCCAAAUGCUCUCAGAUUCACCCAACCUAAAAACACAUGUUCUCUGGUCAUAUUAUCAAUCUAGCAUUACACAUGUACACGCUUAAACAAUAAUUUACCAAAUCAAUGACCCUGAUUGUCGAGCCUGAUUACCAAAUCAAUGACCCUGAUUUCUGUUAAUAGUCCAAUUGUCCUAGACUAUAAAUCCGAGAACAAUCCAAUUUGCUAACCAAGUGUAUAACAUUUCUGAAUCAAUGGCCAAGACUAUCAAAUCCCACAUCAGACAUUAGAACAAGGGUGACCUAACUAAUCCAGACUAUCAAUUUGACAAGAAAAUUUACAAACCAACCUAAUCUCAAGACGUAAAGAACAAUCACAAUGUGCAGUAAAGAGGGUGGGACAAAGUUGCAUACCUGUGUAGAAGAGCCAGUGAACAGGUCUCUUAGUAACAACAUCCUCAUAGUACCAAAUGAAGUCAACCUUCUCCCAAACAUUGCAGAGGAAGCCAUCCACAUGGCGCUGACCCAGAUAAGUUGCACCUUCAAGCCAGUUAGGCCGGAGAAUGCCCACCUCAAAAUGCAAGACCCUGCAUUCCCGGUCGGAGUCCAAAGUGUAGAUGAAGGAGGUUCCGUUGUCCCACUCCAAGUCGUACUUGAGCUUUCCUAGUUGGUUCUGGAUUAUGUUGAAGUUCCGACCGUUGGGCCAGUCGUACCACAGGUCCAACAUUUGGAGAGCUCCGCUGUUGUUCAUGAAAAGAACUGAGUGGAAUUGGUGGGGCCAUGUCGCCGGAGUCGGGUCAUCGGAAGUUGAGAUGUUGAAGGAGGAGAUAACCAAGAGGAGGAAACACAAGGAGAUAGGUGUGGUUGCUGCAAAGGCCAUUUUUGAUGAGUUCUUUUUGCUUGAGAGAGAAAACGAUGAGGGCUGUGAGGUUGGAAUUGGAUCGUGUUAUAUACCUCUCGAAUGUUGUCCCCACCAUUCCACCAAAAUAUGGAAAUCUAAUCUUGGUUGAAGUUUGGACUUUGGAUAAGAAAUUUUCACUGCCCACAAAUUCCAACAAGAACUUGAAGAGGGGACCUGGUUUUCUUAAGGACAGGGUUACACAAGCACACAGUUUAACUUAAGCUUAUGGUUAUUUCUUCCAGAUUAGAAUACCAAACUACCAAAAUAAUCCAUUUCUCAUCCUGUUUCCUCAUCAUCUUCCAGAAAAUCGAGAAUAUCAUUUUGUUUCAUUAUAUGAUAAGUAUGCAGAUACAAACUGAGAUAAAGCACUCUUUUAACAUAUUACAUUAUGACAUGAGAAACAAGGGUGGUACACCAGAAAACAUGAACCAGAGGAGACGGUCCCAGCAAUGCAUCUUGGUUUUAUUAAUCUAAUAAGCACUUUUCUUCGCUAACUCGUUAAAAUCAAACAACCCUCAUGAAUUUUGUAGGAAAUGACAGAACUACUGGUUCCCGGUUAUAGGGCCGCCCUUAUAUUUCUUUAUAUCAUCCCAUCCUCUGACCCAUGGGUUCCCGGGUGUUGCUCGUGUCUCCGGAGCUGCAUAGCUGUCCAGGUUUUUGGUAACCUUGUUCCGCACUGCAGUGAAAACCUACACACAAAUGAUUUGAGUUGAUGGAAUUGAUAGAGAAGAAAGCAAUGAAUUUGAAGAGCAAUUUUUCAUAUUUCUAGAUCAGCUCACCGGAUUAGUUAUGAGUGCCUGGGGAGGUUGCUCCUGGCCACUUAACCACUUCCAGAGAUCAGGGUUUUCCUGUAGAAAAGACCAACACAUAAAUACUAGCUCCCACUUCAUCUAAAGACGAGAACUUGGAUAUAUCUAUGCAAGAGCUACUGAUGCAGUUUGUCUCCCAGAGUUACUGAUGCAGUGUAAUAAUAUCUGAGUACCUUUAUAGGAUAUAUCAUGUGUUUCCACAUACAAGUGAAAAAUUGCAAUAGCACAGUAACCAUCUCAAUAUUCAAAUACUCAGAACCUCUGCUAUAGUUGAAUCCAUUUGAGGAUGAAAAUAGAACAGUUUAUAACAUGGUGUGUUUCUGAUAAUACAAUUUUAUGUUUUGAUGCCAAGUUCUAUUGUAUUGAUCGUAUAGCUUAAAACUAUGCAAUCCAAUGAAUGCAUAACAUGAAUACCUAUUUACACUAGCAUCAGAAACUGAGUAAGAAAUACUAAACAAGUAAAAAGGCUACACUCUGGAUGUGCAGCUAGAUCAAAAUGCAUCUGGUCAAGGGGUCACCCUACUCUCAAAGGCACUAAAUUCUUUUGAGAAAUAAUUCAGUUAAAUGCUCAGGAUGAUUAUCCUACACUAAAGACGAAAGAUUUUCAGAAAAUUACUAACAUCUGCUGGGAAGCACCAUGAGAUGUUCUAUAGAAUGCAAUCCUUUUAGAUAGUCAAAAACAACAUACUAACAUCAACUGAUUAGGAUUUUCCAGCUACAAAGAUUACUUAAUAUAUUCCAUAUAUAUCAGGAAACUUGAUAACUUCAAUUCCAAUGAACAAAUUAGAAUGCAGCACAACACUAAUAUUACAAUUAAGUGAAUUAACAAUACACAGCAUAAACUAAAAAGCAACUGAAACCCCUCCAAAAGUAAGCAAAUUAGGUAUGAGUUGAACAAAGUAAACUCACCACGUCAAGAACAUCCACAAGAGCUUUAAUUCCACUUUCAUCCAUGGAAUGAAUAUGAUCCUCCACCCACUUACCCAGAACCAAAUCCAAUUCCAAGAACCCUCUCUGUUUACUCCUGUACAAUAAUCUGUGCCAAACCCAAAAACCCAUGUUUGUUUCAGAAUCAAACAAGCAACUUCCAAAACCAUUGAAGCAAAGACACAGAGACUCACCUAUUACAUAAACGCCGCUUGCUCUCCUCGUUAGAGAGGUCGAUAUUGAGAUUGCUGGAGUUAUCGGUGGAAUAAGAUCGCUGAACUAAGCCACUACUAUAUUGAGGCCUGGAAAAUCAAAGAAACCAACCAAACAAUCAAAGCUUGAGUCUUUGUGUAUAUGUAACAAUGAAAGCUUGUAUCUUUGUAUAUAUAAAAGAAUGAAUGAAUGAAUACCUGAGAAGGGUCUGAGUGGGUGAGAUGGAAUUGCUGGAUUUGAGAGCUCGGUGAGCGCUGAUCAAAGCUCUUCUCAAGCUUGCCAUGUUUUCUCUGUUUGAUUCACGAAGGCAGAGAGAAAGGAAGAGAGAAACUAUAUGUAUGGUGGGUUUAAUGACCAACAACGAAGGACGUCUGCCCCAAAAGAUUCAACUUCUUCUUAUGCCAUCGUGGUCUUUCUUCGUCCAAAUUUUGGUUUUCAUUUUUUGGUUUAAGGUGCCUAAUUUAACAUGUGUUGCUAUAGAUCGAAGAUAGCUCUUUUAUUCUAGUUUUAUUCUAGCGAGGACUCUUAAAUUGAGGACCAGUUAAGAACUUUUCAGUUUAUAGUUUAAAAAACCCAUUUUUCGAUCAUAUUUUGACAUCUUAUCCGUUCAGUUUUUAGGUUUAUAUAAGUAGAUCAUUUAUACAAAUUUUCAGCUAAAUUGGUGUUCGUUAAGAUAACAAACUAAAUCAAAUUAAUGGACGAAUCAAAUCUGUCAAAUAUGAACCGUUUAAGUUCAUAAUUGAUAAAUCACACUUACGAAUGCCUUAACAAUUUUCAAUAUAGCUGAAAAUUUGAAGAAAUGAUCUACUUAUAAAUACCUACACACUAAACGGUCAAGAUGUGGAUAUAAGAUCGAAAUGUGGGAUAAGCCGAGAAGUCUUUAACAAGUCCUCAACUUAGAGGUCCUCACUAGAAGGGCUCCAUAGAUUGAUUGUUGUAAUGCUGCGUUUCAUUGGUUUUGCUAUUUUAGCCUAAUGUAUGUCAGGUUCGUCAAUCUAACUUUGUAUUAGAGAUUCAGAGGUGCUUGUAACACUUCCCUCCUAUGUGAAGGAAUUUGAGGGCUUGUUAUUUUGUUAAAUCAUUUUUCUCUAGUUUGGUUGCAUCAGCGUAGUGUGUGGUGAUUUGUAAAGCUUAUUCAUAUUUCAAUUUUCAAAUAGUAGGUUCAACAAUCUACGGCGGUCCAAAAUCAAUUUAUCUCGAUGGUUGUCCCAAACAUUGCAAAUGGUGAUGUUGCACGUACUGGUGCAGAAAAACUUAGUGAAGUAGCAUUUGGACUUCUGUUGCAAGUAAUCAGAAAAAAGUUUUGGCGCGUAUGAACUCGGGGCAACAGCUGACUAUCAAAAGUUUCAAGUUUAAUAUGAACCUCUUUUUUUCAGAAGAAGUUUAAUAUGAACCUAAGCCUUAUUUGCACAUGAAAUGUAAUACAGUUCUGAUUACAUUCCAAGAAAUAAACACCGUCCGAGUUUGUUGCAUUUCCCUGUACUCCAUUAUAUACAUAUAUACUUGUAAACUGUAAUAGUGAUAUAGCCAAAAGAUAGUACUCCAUCAUCAAUACCAUGCAAUUCAAAUGAUCUUGGGAGCAACAAAUACUGCAUACAUCAUCUAGCAGGAUAGAAUCAACCAAACUAACAACUAGAGCAUGAAGUGUUCAAAUGCACCAAGAAAAAUCACUUGCAUUGAUAGUGUGAGACAAAAUAAAGGAAACAGAGACAUAACUAUCACUAAGACUCCAGAACUUGAUCUAAUCUUGCAUAAAAGGACUUGAACAAAAUGGUGCUUAAAGAAUUCUGAUUUCUAAUGUUACAAAAACGAGUGACAUACCUAUGCUGAUACAAUUUUCAUCAGAGGAUCUAUCUUUUUUGUCUCCGUCCUACAAUGGAAGUUGCUGACUAUCUUCAUCAACGGUGCCAAGGUAUUCCUUCACGGCAUAAUGCAGCGCUAGAGACUUGUUUUACAAUAGAAAUUUUAGUUUCAUUUUAGUUGUGGUGGAUACUCAGUCCAGAAUACACCAUGAACUAUUUCACAAACUGACAAACUCUGUCAGUCUUCAGCCAGAUGACCUCAAAACUUAAUCUCACGUCUCUCAGCAAAAAAUUUCCCCGUUAUUGCCUGAUCUGGAAGCAAAGCCAACCAAACUGCAGUGUCAGCUCCUUCUUCAGCUGAUAUGUUCCCAGCAUAGCCCGUCAUAGCAGUCUUUACCCAACCUGGGCAAUAACAGUUGAUAAAGAUCUUCUGACCUUCUGGUCUAUCAGAGAGUAUCUUUGCCAUUAGCUUGGUGUAAGUAUUGACAGCAAGUUUUGAUACCGAGUAGUCAGUAAACGUUUGGGGCCAACCACCUGAUUCCCAUGUGCCCUCUUCUACUUGUUUUAGAAAACUGUCUACUGCUCCAUCAAUAAUUUCCUCUGUGAGCGUUUCCACAUUGGAAAGUUGUUCUCUCAAAUUCAGAUCUUCAAUUCUCUGUCAAUUAAAGCAUAAAUCAGUUUGACAUAGAUCAAAUUUACUGCGGGCUAGCAGCAUGGUCGUGGAUGGUUGAUACAAUUUACCAAUGAUGUUAGCCUUUAAUCAUAUAAUCAAUCUAUAUGCAUAGUCUAAAGAAUCUGAAUUGAAAAGAUAAGUAGAGGUGACCAAAAAAAAAUAGUUCAUCUGUAAUUAAAAUGCAGUAAAUAAAGGUUGUUUAGUCGGAUAAGAAAAAUAAGGCGGCUGGACAGCUAGUGAGAUUCUCAUAGGAGCUUAAUCUAGAAGCAACAGUCCUGACCCCAUAUUGACUUAUUAUAUGUCCCAUGAUUUCCCAGCGAAGUCUUCCUUCUAGGAAGGCAUAUACUUAUCUGGACCUAAGUGUCACUUUGAACUCUAUCUAAGUUUCAGCUGACACAACUAAUGAUUUCUUUCCUCCCAAUCUUACUGAACAGGGUUAGUGAUCUAUUCAUCCCACCAACUCCAAGUAUAUACACAAAAGGAUGGAUUCAUAUGACUACAAAAGUACAAAUGCAAUGCUACUAUGCCAGAUAAAAAAGCAUAAUCUAAUGAGACUCAAUAAACAGAUAGGGAAACAAUUCUUUAACUCACAUUUCGUUUGCCAUUUAGUCUACCCAAUCUCGAGCUCACAUUAACAAUACGACCCCCGGCAGAUGAAUGCUUCAUCAAGGGGAUCAACGCUUGGAUCAUGUUCUUGGUGCCAUAAUAAUUCGUAGUGCACACUUGCGCUGCAUGCUCCACAGAAUUAUCAGACCCCUGAUUGAAAUUAACAGCUGCAUUAUUCACCUGCAACAUCAAACCAAUCCCCAAAAACAUCAUAAUCCUAAAUAACUCAUCCAAAACAACUCCAUACACACAAACACACUUCAUAUUCGCAAACCCAAUCUCCGAAAACUCACCAGAAUAUCCAAACCACCAUAGUUUUCCACCAACCAGUCACAAAACUCUUUGAUGGAAACUUGGUCCAACACAUCCAGCUGAUGAAAAUACACAUUUAGACCCCCUUCCUGUAACACCUUAGCAGCUUCACAUCCCACCUCAGGGUCUCGGGACGUGAGUAUCACAGUCAAUCCAUGCGCCGCAAGUUGCCUAGUGAUUUCAAAUCCAAUGCCCCUAUUGCCUCCGGUCACCACCGCAAUGGUUUCAGCCGACCACCACCUAUACAAAAUGCAUAUAUCAAAUAAUGGGUCACACUCAAACACACCCAAAUGCAUGAAUCCAAAUUGGGUUUCUGGGUUUGCUUCAAAUUCAAACAUACAUCAAGAAAAUUAAAGUUGGAUGAAUAAAAAAUGUGACCUUUGGUGAUCGGAAUAAGGGAUGGUUCUGAGAAGAGAGAUCUCCUGGCGUCGCUUUUCUCUUCUCUCUUUGGCCUUUUCGGUCUUUUCAGUCUUCCCCAUGAUUUCUUCUGCAAAUUUGGAAUCAAAGUUUGAGUCUUUGAUGAUUUUGAGGAGGAAGAAGAAGCAGAGCUGCAGAAACAGAGUUCUAGGAUUGAUUAAGGAUUUCUAUGACAUCCUCCGUGGCCCUAGGAACAAAUGGGACCCAGAACACGCCACGUGGCUGCCUCUGCUGGUCAAGUGCCAUGUUUCUCUUUGGUCAAAAAUAAAAAACCCUAAUUAUAUCCACAGUUGUUUAAAGCCAUAGAUUACUUGUUGAGCAAAUUGUAUAGUUACACUGACUCGAUCGAGGGUCUAACAAUGUGAAGUAAAAGCUCAUUGUACUUUCCGGUUAUUUUCCGGUUAUAUAGUUGUUCCGUAAACAUUCCAUGAUAUAUGUAUAAAAGACAUAACAAAAAUCAUCGCUUCUUAUCGUCUAUUUUACAAGUUUUAAGUUCGCUAAUGAUGUCAUUAAAAGUGUUGUUAAGUGCUCGGAAACCUUGGCGCCUUCUUUCAUCUUCAAACAACACAACCCCUUCUCAAAAGUGGAAAUUAUCUUGUAGUAUAUAUGUUAUCAUUCAAGUGAACAAUGUAGAAAAUAACGUAGAGAAUGGAAGUUUGUGGCUGGUCCAAAUAGCAUUGGCAUUAAGCCCAAUUUAGAAAUGAGAACUGAAUUGAGAAUGAAGUAUUUAAUUAGUUAUUAGUCUUUGUAAAUUGUACAUGAUGUUAAAAGUUAUAACAAGUAGAGAUAUUAGAAGUUAUCCCAUCUCUAUAUAUCAUGCUAGCCUUCGUUAUCUAAAAAUCCUUAACCCUUCUACUACCUAUCGCCACAUUUUAGAAUUUGGUAUUACAAAGUUUACUGAGGUAUAUGCGGUUUAUGAAAAGUUAUGCCACGAAAUGACUUCGUCUCUUAAGUCUGUGAUCCUAGUAAUGUAUUACCAUGAUAUAUGCGGUUUAUGAAAAUUUAUGAGAAUUUGGUAUUACUGAGGUAUUACCAUGAUAAAUCCACUGUAUAGCCGAGUCCCAAAGUCGAUUUCAAAUACUGAACAAAUUCCUCCAAUUUAGAAUCUGCACACGAAAGGAUGAAUAUCAACCUAGAAUCUAACAACCCUAAAUUGAGGCUUAAUAUGUGGAUAAAUAUCAUAAUUGAUCACCUGGAAUUUCAUCGUCCUCAGUACUCUCCUCACCAUCUGAUUCAUCUAUGGCUAUCUCUGGCUCCGCCGGUCAGGCUGAGGACUCUAGCGUCUUUGUCCAAUGGUUUCAAAAACCUAAGUAGAUUACGCUAUAUUGUUUUUUUUUUUUUUUUAUUUUAGAAGAGAGUAGAUUUCGGUUUUCGGAGUGGGCGGUUUUAUUAGAGACUUCCGGUGCUCUACCACGGGAUUUAACCAAUUGGUAUGCUAAGUUUAUCGAGAUGUAUCACAUACAUAAGCAGACUUUGUAUCCAAACUUGUAUACAGUGUAUCAAAAUGUAUAAUAUCAAUUUUUGUCUAAAUUUUUAGAAUUUAAUGCGCUUGGUAAAUUGAAGAAAAUCAGCUUUAAUUGAAACAGGCAAUGUGAGAGAUGAACCAAAGGUCCGAAGCUGCUUGGUCCUAAUGAUGAAGAGGCAAUUCUUUUGAAUUCUAAAAAAAUAUAUCAAUUUAUGAGAAGGAAAACGGGGUUAUAGGCAUGAUAAUAUUCCCCAAUCCUCUUCAAAAUGAAAUCCCGUGGCCUCCUCAUUCCUGUUCCCCAAUUGUUCCCUAUGCAAACUUGCAAAGUUUUAAACUGUUAAACAAGAUACAAGAAUAGGACCCUCAAGUAGUCUCCACAUUUUGAAUUUGAUAUUUAUCAAUACAUAAACAGUCUAAACACAUAAAUUAAAGUUCACAAAUUCAAACCCAUCCAUACUUUCUAACACUAAAAAAUAUACAAAGCCUCAGAAGCUUCUUCAUCAGUCCAUCUCUAGGCCUUAAGCUGGACCGGAAACCGAAAUAUGCAUGAACCUCAGGAUCAAUGGGACACAGUUUCACCAACCAACCCGCAUCGAAAUAGCCGUAGGCAUCCUCAAACAAAAACACUGUAACACAAAAUGUCUGAGUACCUCUACUCCUCUAACUCCCAUGACAGCAAUAAAAUCCAGCUGUUGCACAGUUAAAAUCAGAAAAUUAAUACUUCUUAAUAAGAAUGCCACAAAAGAAAUAUGUAAACCUUCAGAAUAACCAAUGAACAGUCCGUACACUUAUGAAGUACUCCAACUUCAGUUGAGAUGAAAUUUCCUGCAUCCCAGUAAGAAAUUGUUAUAAAGAGACUAAAAAUGUCAUCUACUGGUGCUUCGCUUCAUUUUGAAUGAAGAUCCUUAAAAACAAACUUUAAAUCAAGUUUAUGCGCACCUUUAUGCCGAGCUCAAUACGUGGCCACACCACUUUAGCAAAAUCCUCCUGUACAUGGUCAAAAUCAGAAAAGCCGUAAGUGACCACUUGCCAUUUUUUUCCCAUAACUUCAAAGAUUCUAAUGUUAUACAUAUCAAUCUACAGUCUCAUCUACAUGUUAGAUGGCAAUUACCGAUGAACAAUAAAUUAAAACAACAAAACAUAGAAUUAAAUUAUGCAAUAACCCACCUCAGUGAUCCCAGCAUUUGAACAGAAUUUACCAUAUCUAUACCCCGUGGGGAUGAAGUCAUAAUGUAGACCGCCAUUCACUGCUUCUAUUGCCUGAAGCAAAAUCAUUGCGCACUCGUCAAAUCAAAAGGCUCAGACAGACAUGCUAAAAAAACAGUUAAAUUGAAAAAGUUCUUUCAUAAGUGUUACAUCUUAAACAACAGAUAAACAAAAUUGACCCACAGCUUUCAAGAAAGAUUAUAUACUCUGCCCUGAAAUUAUACGUCUAUGGGAUCACAAGCCUUGCAUAAAAAUACAGAUUACAAUGAAAGAACCAAAGUAAACACCCUAUUAUACCUAAGCUACUUAUCAAAUCAUUUGAAGUUAAAGAUUAGGUCCGAUCAUUAGUUUAAUAUAAAAAAACAAAAGGAUAUUGCACUGUACCUUAAAAGGCUUAACAUCAGUUGACAGAAGUUUGAGGAAAUCCCAAAUCUUGCUGCUAAUAUCUGGAUCCCCAGUGUUUGUAGUUUUGGAGACCAUCAUGUAACAGUACUCGACCUGAAAAUAAUUUGAGAUGCAUCCAAUCACACAAUGUGAUAUAUAGACCACCCAGAUUUCAAAACAUUUUCAUAAACCACAUUUAUCAUGGAAUACCGCACUGAAAAGUUGGCAAGAAAAGCCAUGCUUCUUUAAGUACGCUUCCACACUCUUGAAAUCAUUUCUCAACUGAGUCACUGCACAAAAUAAUUUAAAUGCUUAUAGGUGACCAAACAUGCUUCUUUAAGUAUAUUCGGUUGCAGAACUAUGGAACAUUGUAAGUAGAUAUGAUACUUCAUACACUAAAAAAAAGUAGGUUUUCAAUAACUUAAUUCAAUAACAGAGAUGUACAUGAAAACCCGCUUGCCUUCCAAACUUACUUGAUACUACUAAGUAGACUCAAACAUAAAGAAGCAUAAGUACAGGAAUAAGGUACCUUGUUUUCCAUAAAAGAAGGUACAGAAAGAGGAGAGUUCAGGCAUGAUCCUCAUCGCUGACGCAGAAUUUUCCAUCUCCACAUGCUGUUUAUGUGGGUCUUCAAUACUUAUACCUUGUGAUAAAAGGUUAUAAUUGCUGGCAGCGGUCCCAGGACAAACAUUAUACAGAAUGCAAUGUUGCACCAACUGCUUGACCAAUUCUACUGAGUCUUUCCCCACAGCAGCUACAGUGUUAUCCUAUUAAAUUACAGCAAAAUUACAUUUAUAGCUAGCACAAAACAAUGGAGCAAUAUAUUGCAAAGGAACAACUUACGUUAAGAAAUACAUUACACUCCACCGUUUCAGCAAGUAUCUGCAUCCAUAUUAGUGUCAAAAGUUAGACGGGAUCAUCUAGCAGAUUUGCGUAAAAAACUACACCCGUAAAAAAAAAAACCAUAAAAAUACAAAAUGCAUCAACUCAGUAAAAAGCACCUCUAGGGAGUGGCGAAUACAUUCCCAUCGUUGAUUGUAUUCCUCCUGCAGCAAAUAGAAGAGAUCAGAUAGAGGCAAGUAAGUCAGCUUCAGCACAUCUAAGAAAUUUAGAUUUCUCCAGCACAAAAAAGUACACAUCCACAUAAACGAUAGGCAACAAUAACAAGUUAGAUUUGUUUUGAUGAACUGAAAGACGCCUGCUUCAAAGUGAUGCAAUACCCACCUCCUUGAUUCCGUAUAAUGAAGAUAGUCCACCUUCUUGAAUCCCAAUUUUGAUUAAGCAAGUUUGCAUGCCAUUCAAUAAUUCUAUUGCCUGAAACCAGAAUGCAAUUCACUCAAAUAAAAGACGACAAAUAUUAUGAAAUUGUAGAAGUUAAGAAAGGGAGCACCACUGUCAUAUCUUAAUUGAACAUAUGUCUAAUCUGAGGUUUUAUUUAUUAUUUGCAUUAACACAGCCUAAAGGAAAUGAGCUUACAUUGACUGAGCAAAAAACAAUACCUUACACUCAGAAACUAAUUUGCAUUAACAGCCUAAAAGAACUUACAUUGAAUAAGCAAAAACUUCAGAAACUAGAACAAACAAUUUGUACACAUAAAAUAGAUCAUUAGUCAUUUGAUACGAAGAAAAGAUCAAAGGAUCAGCCAUUGUACCAUAGAUGCUGGAACAUGAGUUGUUGACAAAAGUUCAAAGAGCUGCCAAGCCUUGUUAAUGAUAUCUGGCUCCUUGGUACCUCUGGUGGUUGACAAUAUCAAGGAAUUCUCAUCCUGACCAAACAAUUGUAUAUAUCAUUAAAACCAAAAUCAUAUGAAACACAGUGGCCUAGUCUAGUAAACAUUUAGUAAAUCAAUAUAAUUGGUAACUUGUAAACACAGCAGUUUUCCAAAAAAAAAAAAAAACAACACACACACACAACAGUUAUCGUAGACAUUGAGCAUGACGUACCAGAGUAUAUGAAAUGCCAUACUUCCUUAGGGAAGACCCAAGCUUUGGCAAAGAUUUCUGCAACUUCAAUACUGAAGAGAACAGUGCAAAUGUACGAACAAGUUCCUUUACUCAGUAACUACCCCUUUGCCACUCUGUUAGUGCUAAUUGGGUCUAUUUCAUUUCUAAUUUACAACUAAAUCUAGCCAUGGAUAAGUGAACUAUCUUCAAUGGAAAAAGACUCCAGAUGGCAGUGUUCUUUUUCUUUUCUACCAUAAUCAACCAAAUUUUUUUAUAGCAAAGCAUGCCACCUAAAAUAUUCUCUCAAAUUUACUGACAAAACACACUUAUGAGGUUAUGAAAAUUUAACCACCACAAAACUAGAUAGCUUAAUAUAAAUUAAUAUUCAGCAAGAAAAAAAAAGUUCUGAUAAAAAUCAAAAUAUCGCGACAAGUGUUUAGUUUCCUUUGGAGCUAAAAAAAAAAAAAAGCAAAUAGGACAGCAUACAAAAAGAUACAAUUCAUUAAGCAAUGCAAGGUGACUGUCAAACCAAUAUCUCUAUAUCUAAAGUCCAUGCAAGCAUUAUUUACAAGAUAUACUGAUCACUGAUCAAGAAUAAUCAUUAGGUUUGGAAACCAAAUUUGAAUGGGUACCUAUUGAGGAUAAUAAGAACUGCUGAGCAGCCAACAACAAAGGGAAGUACAAAAAGAAAAGAAAAAGAGUAUGCCACCUCGAUUUUCAUGGAGUGACGCAUAUAGCGAGCAUACUUCAAGCAUUCUAUCUUCGUUCAACAAAGGGCCACACUUAAAGGAGUGUGUGUGCUUGGCAUGUGGUUCAUCCAUCGAUUCGUGCAUUACUUUCGUUUCAAACCUCCUGAUAGAGGUCGAAAGACACACAUUAUUGGUUAUACAGUCUUCCACGACGGUCUUCAGCAGAGAAAGUUUUUCAAAUGAGCUACCCACAGCAGCACAGCAGUAAAAGUGUUUUCCUAUCAUUUAUAGGCAAAGUCAAAAGCAUUAAAUUCAUAACUCUCAAAUAGGGUGGGCGUGGGAAAGACGAGAAAAACAAGUUUACAUGAACCAUCAAAAUAACAAUAUUGCUAGAAAACUUACGUCAAGAAAGAUAUGACAACAUGCCACUUUUGAAAGUGCCUGCAUCCCAAUUCAAUUGUGAGUAACUUAAGAAAUUCAACGAAAAAAAAAAAAAUUAAAGAGGUGUAGCUACAAUCCAAAGGGAAAAAGUAGAUCAGAUUAUACACCUUUAGUGAGCAGAAGAGACAUUCCCAACGUUUAAGAUAAUCAUCCUGCACACAAAAGUAGAUGUCAAAUGAGCAGAAAAGUGUGGUUCUGCAUAUCUGCAGCAUUACAAUGUAAGAGGGCUUGGGUCUGACUCCUGUUUGAGUAUCUAGAUAGCAGAUGGCAAAGCUAGAGAUGCUGGAUCGUUUAUUUGUUUACAGUGCAAACUAAAAGGUCCAGCAUCACUCCUACAGAGAACGUAAAUGGUUAUAGUCAAAGUUUGCCCAACAUCUACCUUCUUGAUCCCAAAAUUUGAGCAAAUCCCACCGUUCUGAAAUCCUAUGUUGAUGAUCUCCUGUUGCCUAACGUCUUUGAAUAUUUCAAAUGCCUGAAAUCAAAACAAUGUUAAGUCAAACAGAAAAGUAAUAACAUGAUCUCACUUGAAAUCACUUCCACUGAAAAAGAAAUGGCAUUAUUAUUAACUCGAGUCAAAUUAAAGGUAGAAAAUUGGAGCUGAGCAUUCAUAAGAAGUAAAUGCUCAAACAGGUAUAUACGACUGCCUCGGCCAACAACCAAUAUUAUUUGUGUGCUAACAAAUGACGGACUAGUACAUAUAUAUGCAACUAUUACAAACCAUCUGAACUUACUAAAAAUUGCAUUUUCUAUUGAAUAAGAUCACAUAUGAAAAGAUCUUAAGUUUGUACCAUAUAUAGCGGAACAGGAGUCGUGGACAACAGUUCAAGGAGAUUCCAAGCCUUUCCAACCAUACAUGGAUCCUUAAGCGAUGUGGUUGUCGAGACUUGCAUGCUACAUUUGGCAAGAUUCAGAUCACAUGAAAUGGAGUCGCGAUAUAAGGUUAAUUCAAUUUCCUGCCAUGAGUCUUUCAUCUUUUUUGCUGAAAAAAAGAAGAAAAAAAAAAACAAUGGAGAGGCUCACAGGUGAAAUUGAGUCAUUUCAAGUAACACAAAUUAUAGUGAUAAAGAAUGCUGAAUGCACGGCACCUCGUUCUUCUGGCAAGGGCACAUCGUAAGUGAUGAAAUGAGGAACCCCAUUUUUGUCCUAGGCAGGACCAGGCAUCAACUUACGUGAUGGUUGAUCGAAUGUGAUGGUUCGUGCAGCCUGACAAUAAUUCAAAAGACAACAGUGUCAUGUGUUCAUUGAUUCAUUCUUCGAUUAUUUUCUGAAUUAUUUAUUCAAUUCACUGAACUAGUUAAUACUAGUGAUAUUGUGAAAACUCUUGCAUCAUCCAUCAUUUGAGGUAAACUACCAACUUUCAGAAAUAUCUAACUAAAAGCUUCAGUGUAAAAUCAUAACAUACCAUAUCCAGUGUGACUGUAUAGCCAAUUCCCAAAGUCGAUUUCAAUUGCUGAACAAAUCCCUCCACUUCAGAAUCUGCACAUGAAAGGAUAAAUAUCAAACUAGAAUCGAAGAACCCUAAAUGAUGAUAAAAUAUAAUAAUUAAUCACCUGGAAUUUGAUCGGGGAUGGGAAAAACAUCCUCAGUACUCAUAUAGUCUGGCUCCGCCGGAGAAGGACUACUGGCUGAACCGUGCAUAUCGAAAUCCUUUGGGGGCUACUGCCUAUUGCCUAUACACCUAUCGUCUCUGUUGUGGUUGUUGUUCGAAUUCGAAACCCUAACUCUCGAUUAUAAGAUAUAUACUCUCUCUCUAUUUGUGCCUCCUUUUAUUACUUUGUCGGCCUUUAAAGUGAGGCUCACGAUAGUAAAACCAUGUCGUUGUUUGGGUACACACCAGUUAAACUCUUUUAGAUUUGUAUUUGCUGGGUACACUGGGACAUACCAAGGGUUCAAAUAUCAACACCCAUAAACACAUGCCUUGGUUCAUGUGUAUUCCUUUUCUUUGUACAAACAUACAUGCAUACCAGAGGAUUGUAGGUAUGCAGAUCUCCCUUGAUGGAGACUUUGUUAUUUCUCACUUGAGUUUUUGACUUUUGAAAGCUUCAGUCAAACCUGAAGGGCAAGUUUGGCGGUGAGAGUUCUGUUCUCAAUCAUAUCUUCCAGAGUCUCAGUCAGACACUUUCCGACCCCCGAGCUUUUGUAAAGGGUUGCCAAUUGCCAUGUUCUUUUAUCUUUGUGGUAAGAAUGAAUUAUGGGAGAGAUUGUGAGAGAGACCAGGGAAUGAGGCAGAGCUACAGACCGAAGAAGGGGGGGGCUGGGCUGUGUAUAUAAGCAAUCCAACCAUGGCUGCUGCUUUCUCUCUCUACUCCUCCUUCUCCCUUCCUCCAAAUUUAGCUAAACUUAGCUGCGGUGUUAGCUUUUCUCGAAAUCCAAUUCCAUUUGAUCCCAUUAGACAGAGGCAAAAGAUGAGAAACCUUGUCUAGCAUUGAAGAGAAUUUCCAGCUUGGAGUGAAAGAGGGGCAGUUAAGAGGUCUAAUCACAUCUUGCAAUCGGGAAAAAAAAAUUCACUUUCCAGAACAAUAUUUGUAAUUUAUCAGAUGGGCACAAGUUGAAGCCUCUCACCACAGCAUUUGCCUCCGGACUCCAAAGCUGAAUUGUGACAGCCAAAUAAGCUAGCACCAGCUACAGACAGCCCAUCUAAUCUAUAGUUUCUGACAACCACCUAUUCCACUACUCCAGUUACCCUAAACCUUGUACUUCAUCAGAGUAAUGAAGAAGAAGUCCACUCUGAAAAACUUCUGUGGAUGGGGAUAACUUUGAUUGCCUUCUUCAUCAGUCCAUCUCUACGCUACCAGGCCUCAAGCAUGGCCUAGAGACUCAAAUGCACGAACCACAGGAUCAAUAGGAGGCACAUUAAUUCUUGCCUUUUUUCCCACGCCAAAAUUUCAUCACUGGAAAAGGUCUCAAACGAAAGGACCGAUACACAAACCCUCUGAACGCCCGUAGUUCCCCAGGUCCGAAGACAGCAAUAAAGCCAGGCUGUUGCACAGAGAUUAAAAAUUCAUGGAAUUAGUUUUUCAGCAAAGAAUGCCAAAAAUCAUGUAAACCUUCAGAAUGAUCAGGAACAGCAUUACUUACCAUUAUAAUGAACUCGCAAUUCAGAUAAGACGCAACACUCUGCAGGCCAGUAAGAAAUUGUUAUAGAGAGACUAAACAAUGUAAUCUUUUGGUUCUUUACUUCAUUCCGAAGGAAGAUCAGUAAAAAAAAAAAAUUAAAUCAAGUUUAUGCGCACCUCUGAACCCCUCUGAAUAUGUGGCCACACCACUUCUGCAUAUUGCUCCUGCACACGGUCAAAAUUAGAAAAACCUUCAGUGAGUCCUUGCCAUUUCUUCCCAUAACUUCAAAGAUUUUAAUGUUACAUAUCAACCUACAGACUUAUCAAAACAUAAGUCUACAAGUUAGAUGGCAGAUGCCUACAAUAAACAAUAAAAUAAAAUAACAAAACUUAGAGUACAAUUAUGCAAUAACCAACCUCAGUGACCCCAAACUUUGAACAUAACGUGCCAUAUUCAUACCCCGUCGGGAUGAAGUCAUAAUGCAUAGAACCAUUCAGAACUUCUAUUGCCUGAAUCAGAAUCAUUGCACACUCAAAUCAGAAAAAUCUCAGACACACGUGCUAUAACAAAAAUCAAUGUAAUUGGAAAAGUAUUUUCAAAAGGAUUACAUCUUAAACAGAAGAUAAAAAAAAAAUUCCCUGAAAUUAUACAUCUAUAGGAUCACUAGCCUUGCAUUAAAAUAGAGAUUACAUUGAAAGAACCAAAGUAAACACCUUAUUACACCUAUGCGACUAAUAAAAUCAUCUGAAGUUAAAGAAUAUGUUAGAUCAGUAGUUUCAUAAUAAAUUGGACACUGUACCGUAGAAGGCUCAAGAUCAAUUGACAAAAGUUUAAGGAAAUCCCAAAUCUUGUUGGUAAUAUCUGGACCCCCAGUGUUUGUAGUUCUGGAGACUAUCAUGGAACAGUAAUUGCCCUGACAAUAAUAUCAUGAUACAUUGAAUCACAUAGUUAGAUAUAGACCACUCAGAGUCCAAAACAUUUUUAUAAACCGCACUUAUAAUGGCAUACCUCAGUAAUUAGUUUGCAACAAAAGCCAUGCUUCUUUAAGCACUCUUCCACAAUCUUCCAAUCGUUUUCCACCUGAGUUCCUGCACAAAAUAAUAUAAAUGUUCAGAGGUGAGCAAACAGUGUUCUAUUUCAUACCAGCUUGCCUUCCAAACUCUUAACUUACAUUACUCAGUAGACUCAAAAAUAAAGAAACAAAAGCACAGGAAUAAGGUACCUUGUUCCAUUUUAAAGUAGGUAUAGAGAGAGGUGAGUUCAGGCCUGACCCUCAUCGCUGACCCAGAAUUUUCCGUUUCCAUGUGCUGUACAUGGGGGUCCUCGGUACUUAUAAAGCCUCUUGAUAACCAGUUAUGAUCCCUAGCAACGGUCCCAGGACACACAUUAUGAAUAAUGCAAUUUUUCACAGGCUGCUUGAUCAUUCCUACUGAGGUUUCUCCCACAGCAGCAAAAGUGUUAUCCUAUUCAUUUACGGCAAAAAUAUAAAAUAUUUUAUUCAUAGUCAUCACUAAACAAAGGACAAAGGAGGAACUAUAUAUUGUAAAGAAACAAUAACUUACGUUCAGAAAUAAACUACACUCCACUGUUUCAGCAACUAUCUGCAUCCAUUUUAUAGUGUCAAAUAGUUAGAGAAAAACAUCUAGCUGAUUUAAGUAAGAAACUACACCAGUCAAAAUACAAAAAUGCAUCAACUCAUAACAAGCACCUGUAGGGAGUGGCGAAGACAUUCCCAUCGUUCACUGUAGUCCUCCUGCACCAAAUAGAAGAGAUCAGAUAAAUGACAAAAAAAAAAAAAAAAGUCAGCUUCAGCACAUCGAAAGAACUUCCAAAUAAUCCCAACACAUUCCAAACCUCUUAUGAUGUUUAAGUUUAUAAGUCCAGCACAACAAAGUACUCCCUUCCAAUAAAUUAUAGGCAACAAUAACAAGUUACAUUUGUAUUAAUAAAAACUGACAGACGCCUGCCUCAAAUUGAUACAACUAAUACCCACCUCCUUGAUCCCAUAUAAUGAGCAUAGUCCACCUUCUUGAUUCCCAAUUUUUAUGAGGCAAGUUUGCAUGCAAUCCAAUACUUCUAUUGCCUGAAAUCAGAAUGUGAAUCACUCAAACAAAAGACAAUAACUUUUACAAAAUUGCAGAAAUUAAAAAAGGGAGCACUACUGUCAUAUCUUAAUUAAACAUAUAUCUAAUCUGAGAUUUUCUUCAUUAUUUGCAUUAACACAGCCUAAAAGGAAGGAGCUUACAUUGACUGAGCAAAAAUUAAUACCUUACCCUCAGAAACUUGAACAAACAAUUUUGAACUCGUAGAAUAAAGAAUUAAAUUCAGUUUACCCCCAUGAAGUUUGGGAGUAACUUCAUGUUAAUCCCUAUACUUUCAAUUUCAUCAGUUUACCCCUCAAACUUUUGAAUUUUCCUCAAGCCUAACCAAAUGUUCUAUAUUCUGUCCAAAUCGGACGUUAACUGCUGAUAAUUUUAACCUUAACUGUGAGGCCAGUAUCUAGAAUUUGGGCAAAUCGGACCUUAUAUGUCCAAAUCAGACCUUAACUGCUGAUAAUUAAAGGUAAAUUCAAACGGAAUAUGAGAAUUUGGGCACGGUAGACAGAAAUUGAAGAGUUCAAGGGGUAAACUGAUGAAAAUAAAAGUGUAGGGACUAACAUGAAGUCACCCCCAAACCACAAGGGGGUAAACUGAAUUUAAUUCUAGAAUAAAUCACUAGUCAUUGAUUAGAAGAAAUGAACAAUGGAUCUGCCAUUUUACCAUAGAUGCUGGAACAUGAGUUGUUGACAAAAGUUCAAGGAGCUGCCAAGCCUUGUCAAUGAUAUCUGGAUUCUUGGUACCUCUGGUUGUUGACAAUACCAUGGAAUUCUUAUCCUGACCAAAAAAUUAUACAUAUAUAUUAAAACCACAAUUAUAUGAAAUUGUGAAAUAUGAAUUACAGCUGCCUAGUCUAGUACAGAUUUCGUAAAUGAUUAUAAUUGGCAACUUGUAAACACGACAUAAUAGUAGACAUUUAUCAUGACGUACCAGAGUAUAUGAAAUGCCAUAUUUCUUUAGGGAAGGCUCAAGCUUUGGCAAAGAUUCCUGCAACUUCAAUACUGAAGAAAACAGUGCAAAUGGUUAUCAAAGAAUAAGUAAGAAUAAGUUCCUUUACUCACUAACUAGCCUUCUACCACUCACUCUGUUGGAGGUAGUUGGGUCUAUUUCAUUUCUACUUUAAGGAAAAAGACUCUGUGCAGUGUUCUUUUCUUUUCUCCCAUAAUCACCCUAACGUUUUUUAAAGCAAGCAUGCCACCACCCUAAUAUAUUCUCUCAACUUAACUGUCAAGCAAAUACCUAUAUAUCUAAAGUCCAUAUAUGCGAGCAAUUUUAACAAGUUAUACUGAUCACCGACAAAAAUGAAUAAUAGGUUUGAAAACCAAACUUGAAUCAGUACCUAUUGAAAUUAAGACUGCUGAGCAGACAACAAAGGAACGUACAAAAAGAAAGAAAAAAAGAGUUCAGCACCUUGUUUCUCAUGGAGUAACGUAUAUAGCGAGCAGACUUCAGGCAUUCCAUCUUUCUUCGACACAGAACCAGACUUCAAGAAUUCCGUGUGUUUGGAAUGUGGAUCAUCCAUCGAUUCAUAGGUCAUAGGACACACAUUCCUGGUUAUACAGUCUUCUACAACAGCCUUCAGCUGAGAAAUUCUUUCAACGCAGUAGUCACAACAGUGAAAGUGUUUUCCUAUCAUUUAUACGCAAAGUCAAAAUCAUUAAAAUCAUAACUCUCACUUAGGGUGGACAAGGGAAAGACGAGAAAAAAGAAAUUUAAACGUACCAUCAAAAUAAUAAUAUUGCUAGAAAACUUACGUCAAGAAAGAUAUGGCAGCAUGUCGCCUUUGACAGUGCCUGCAUCCCAUUUCAAUUGUGAGAAACUUGAGAGAUUUGGCAAGAAAAAAAUAAGACAUGUAGUUUCUAUCCAAAGGAAAGGCUGUAUAAAUUUGGUUGAACCCUCAUCCAUUUAAUGUUCUAUAAUGGAUAUAUAUUAGAGUAACAUCAUUAAACAUCAGUUAGAUCACAUUAUACACCUUUAGCGAGCAGAAGAGACAUUCCCAUCGUUUAAGAUAAUCAUCCUGCACACAAAAGUAGAUGUCAAAUAAGCAGAAAAGUAUGGUUCUGCAUAUCUGCAGCAUUACAAUGUAAGAGGUCUUGGGUCUGACUCCUCUUUGAGUAGCCAUAUAGCAGAUGCCAAAGCUAGCAGAUGCUGGAUCUUUUAUUUGUUGCACAUUACAGUGCAAAAUAAAAGGUCCAGCAUCAGUACCACAGAGUAUGCUACAAAGAAAACGUACAUGAUAAGAGUCUGUCCAACAUCUACCUUCUUGAUCCCAAAAUUUGAGCAAAUCCCACCCUGCUGAAAGCCUAUAUUGAUGGUUUCCUCUUGCCUAACAUUUUGGAAUAUUUCUAACGCCUGGAAUCAAAACAUUGUUAAGUCAAAUCAGAAUAUUGAAAACUUGCUCCCGCUUGAAAUCAAUUCCACUGUGGCAGUAUAACUAACUUAAGUGAAGAAGUAAAUAAUUGACAACCUAUAUCAUUUGCGUGCUGUAACAAAUGACGGUAUACCUAUGCAACUAUUACAAAUCAUCUGAACUUGCAGAAAAAUGCAUUGUCUAUAAGACAAGCUCACAUGAUAAAAGAUCUUAAGUUUGUACCAUAUAUGGUGGAACAAGGCUCGUGGACAACAGUUUAAGGAGAUGCCAAGCCUUUUCAAUCAUACAGGGAUCCUUAAGCGAUGGGGUUGUCAAGACACACAUGCAACAGUUGGCAAGAUCCAGAACACAUGAAAUGGACUUGCGACGUAAGAUUAAUUCAACCUCAGGCCAUGCGUCUUUCAACUUUGUUGCUGAAAAAAAAAAAUGGAGAGGCUCACAGGUGAACUUGAUAUAGUACGUAACACGCAUUAUAGUAAGAACGAAUGGUGAGAGUAAGUAAGCAAGGCACCUCGUUCUUCAGGGAAGGACUCAGUGAAAGUGGUGAGUUCAAGAAAGCCAUAUUUGUUCAACACAGGACCAGGAAUAAUCAGCUUCCGUGGUUGGCGAGAGAAUGCGAUAGUUCGAGAAGCCUGACAAUAAUUAGAAAGACAACAAAUGUCACGCUAUGUGUUCAUUGAUUCAUUCUUCAUUCUUCUGAAUUCUUUACUCAAUUUGGACAUAAUACUAAUGAAAAUGUUGAUACUACACUAGCAAAAAGCUGCUCAAUCUUUCGGAUUAAAAAGAAUUAUUAUUGUAAAAUCAUAACAUACCCGAUCCAGUGUGACUGUAUAGCAACGUCCCACAGUCGAUUUCAUUUGCAGAACAAAGUCCUCCAAUUUAGAAUCUGCACAUAAAAAGGAUGAAUAUCAAACUAGAAUUUAACAACCCUAAAUUGAGGCUUAAUAUGAUGAUGAAAUAUUAUAAUUAAUCACCUGGAAUUCCAUCGGGGAUGGGUAACACAGCCUCGCAAUCUGAUUUAUCUGUCUGCAUAUGAUCGUCUAUGUGCAUAUGAUCGAAACCCGGAGGAGGAGGACUACUGGCCGAGGACUCCAUCGUCUCUCUGUUGUUCGAAUCGAAACCCUAAGUAGAUUAUGGAAUAUAUAAAUUCUUUUUGGGUAAAAGCCCAGAAGUAGAUUUCGGAGUUGGACUAGUCUUUAACGAGUGGCGCUUUUAAUAGAGACUUCCCGCGCUCUCUACGACUCUACCGUUAACCAAUUUGUAUGUAUGUAUGCAUACAUAAGCAGACUACAGUCCCGUUUGGGAUUUGCUUUGUUUAUCCAACUUGUAUACAAAGUUUAUCGAAAUGUUGGUCUAAAUUUUUAGAUUUUAACUGGACAAACCGACACAGGUGAGAACACCUGGGCAUUCCCAUAUACGUAUACAAAUUUUAAAGUCAUGCAAGGAAGCUUAGGAGGCCGCAAGGACCGUAGUUGUCAGGCAGUAAUAGAAGCAGUCCAGUUACCUGGAAUUUCAUCUGGGCUUGAAGGGCAUUAGAGCGCUAGCCAUCCUUCAUGGCCCUUGUUUAUGUUUCAGUUUGAAACCCUAAAACACAAGCUAGCCAUUCGAGAUCGAUUUCGCCUAUUCCUUUCUGAAUCAGAAACCCUGUAUGGCGAAGGAGAUGUUGAACAAUAUGUGCGCUUCCUCUGAUAACUAGGCAUGACAGAAGGCGAAAAGCAAAGAAUAUAUGGGAAACGCAAAUGGGUCUUGAAUUUCGAAUAGGCACGAGUUGCCAAAGGGUUUGAGCUGUUGGAUUCUACGGUUCCUCAUCUUGAGUAUUGCAAACGUUUUAUUUACCCAUCUUAAGUAUUUACUGACUUUGCCAUUAGGCUUCAUCUUAUAGCAUCCAAAUUGAACUUUCACGGUUUCAACAGUGUUCAAUCUUAAGACUUGCUGCCUAAGAGCAUCUUCAAUGGAUGAGGCAAUUUUUUUGCCAAAUUUGACUAGGCAAAAAUAAUGUUUGCAAAUUUGACUAAUCUCGUCUCCAUUGGAGAUAUCAAAUUUUGAAUAUUUACCAUGUAUUAAACAAUCAUUUAAACCUAUAAAUAAGUAAAAACACAUGGAAACUCUUCAACACUGAACAACAAUACUUGCUGGACAAAUUACAUUUGCUCAACAAAUACUACUCCAACAUACAUUUGCCGGGCAGAUUACCACUUAGAGCAAGUCCAAGAGCUUAUUUAUAUUUUCUACAUAAUAGGGAAGCAAAACUUAAAAUCUCUAAAAAUUUUGUAUACCAAAUCCAACAGUUUCCUUAUUUUAAAGAUUCAAAUAUUUAUUGCAACAAAAAUCCUCAUUUAUUACAAUAUAAUAAUAAGUAUAAAAAUAUAAAAGCUUAUUUUUUUAGAAUAAAUUAUGUUUUCUUUCUUAUCUUUGAGCCUUAAAGAAUGUGCAACAUUCAAUUCUUCUUUCCCUAAAUAUUUUUAGAGAAUCUGUAAAUAUAGAGAAGCAAAACUUCUCUUUCAUCUCUUUCCCUAUUUUAGAGAAUAAGAUAGGGAAGCUGUUGGAGUGAAAAAUGACCCCAUAUUCCCCAAAAUAGAGAAAAUCAAACAAUUUAGAGAAUCUGUUGGACUUGCUUUUACUUGGGAAACACAACUGAAAACUGAAAACUUGGCACAAAGACACAAAGGCCAGAAGCUUGCAACAAUAAAAUGAUAGGGAAAGCAACAUAGCUACUACAAACUAGAGAAAAACAAUGUAAAACUAAAGAAACACUAGGUGCAAGCAAAGAGAGGCCACAAGAUCCCCAUUCAGACCUUGACUAUUCUUUCUAGCCUCAGCCACGUAAUGGAGUAAUUCCACAAUUCUUGCCGACAAAAGAAAUACACACAACAUUAUUUUUAUGGACCAUGUAGCAAAUCCCUACUAAAAUCAUUUCCAUUUUCACAAAGAUGAAAACUUCUAAAAAUUGUGUCUUAAACAAAGAUGAAGAAACCUAGCGCUCUGCUAGGGUUUGGGUGCGUUGCUUCUCUCAAGAUCGACAUCUCCUGCAUCUCUUCCUUAGGAGGAAAAUCGUUAGGCUAUGGCCUAUUGCUCUGGUGCCUAGUGGGUUUUCUCCUCUCAUUCGGGAGGUUAGGAACGACAAUGGUGGGAGAUCUCUCGACAACGGGGGUUGGCAGAGAUUUUGUUAGGGACACGGGUUGCGACAUGGAAACUUAUGAUAUGCCGGUCGGAAUUGGAGACACAUCUCAGGCUAGGGCUACGAUAGUGAAAUGGAAGUCGGGUCUUUUCAUAACAGGGUUAUGGUAGUGGUGGCUUAUGGGAGCUGCGAAGCAAUACAUGCAUGUAUUGGAAAGAGGAAGAUUCACCCACCUUGGGUGGUUCAGACCUAGUCUAAAGCGAAUUUCGCUUUGGGAUUAAGAAUAGGUAGUCAUGAAGCGACGGUCUUGGCCGGAACAGGGAUGGCGCAAACCCGGUUACGUAGGGUGGCUGAUGGUGACGACAACCAGCUUCUCUCCCCAUGCAUGUCUAGGGAUGGGCUGCUUUUUUGGCCUAUUGUUGUUUUUUGGAUCUUGAGGCCCAAAAUAAGAUUUGGUGGACCAACUGCAAACCUAAGGAGUUUUGGGUUUCAUCUGGCAGGUGAAGAUAUUUGGGCUUUGGAAGAGUUCGCAGCAAACUCCAACCUGGAUAGGAAAGAGUUAGUUUUGUUUUAAUUUGUUCUAAGGCUGGGGACAAGUCUCUAGUUAGAUGGUCGUAGCUCUAUGAGUCUUCUAUAGAUGUUUAAUUUUUUCUUGUACAACAAUUGCGUGAUUGGCAAGGGAUGAAUUAGGCGUGAAAAGUCGUAGGAGGCGAGCUUGAUCGUAAGAGUAGAGGCUUGCUUAACAUGUUUUUUUCUAGUAUCUUUAUUUGUUGCUUAGGUGGCAAGAUAGACUUUAGCUUUUUAGAUAUUGAUAUAAUGAUAUGAACUAUUUUUCCAAAAAGUAAAAGAUGAAAAACUUCUAAAAUUCAUCACAAACACAUGUAAAGUUGCCACAAGAUUAUAUUUGAUACUAGAUCUAACAACUCUCGUAUGAUGAGGAAUUGACAAGAUUCCAAAAAUCUAGAUGAAUCGGAUAAUUUAAGAUUCAUGUCCAUGAUAUUCAAGAACAAAAUAAAGAAGGAUGAUGGCAAUGAGAUUUGUUAUGUUUUUUUUUCAAUGAGAUUUGCUCUGGGUUUAGAAUGUGGAAGAGAUAAACAAGACAAAGAGAGACAAUAGAAAAAAGGAUGAUGGAAGAGGAAGAGAUAUGAGGCUUUGCUCUGGGUUUUCUACUCGAUGAGUUUUUUGGGUUGUGGAACUGAUGAAAAGUUAUCGAGAGAGAGAAACGCAAUGAAGAGAGAGAGAGAGAGAGAGAGAGAGCAAUUGACAAAAUUAAAAAAAGAAAUGGCAGUCUUGUUCAGCAAUGUCAAAUUUGACAUGGACUCCUCAAUGCCACUUAGACGUGUAAAUGGCUACUUGGAUGGAAGUUGUUCAUCGUGCCAAAUAAGAGCCGUAGAGCUGAGUUGGCAACAAUAACUCAUCAGAUGGAGUUGCUCUAAAAGGAUCACAAAUUCGCAAUUGUGUUGUGCCAUCAAAACCAAAUUAAGAAGGCCAAAGCCUUUCCUUCUUCAUGUGCUUAAUGUGUAGAUCUCUAUUUUAUAAAAAAAUAAAAAAUAAAAAGUGUAGAUCUCUACUUUCCACAUAUUGAAACUACUACAACAUAUCACGUUUCUAGAAAACAUAAAUGAUAACAGUAAUACUUUAGAGAACCAGGAGAGUGGACAUAAAUAGAAAUCAUCUUGCUCAUUAAAGUAUGCAACACUCAUGGUUUAGCCAACAACUCAGUCUAAAAACAAAUAAACCACUUCAGUUGGUUGAUUCACAGUGUGAUCUCCUAUAAAAUAAGUGUAAUAAUUGUAAUCUUCUGCAUUCGACCACGAGGGUUGUAAUCAAGUGUGAUCUCUUAUAAAAUAAGAUAAAACAUCAGUUAAUUCUCGGUCUAUAAAAACAAGUGAAAUCAAAUAAUUUCUAAGAAAAAUAUACCUUCCAUGCCUCUAUGUCCUUGAAGGCAAAAAACAUAAUUCAUGCUACAUUCGUCAACAACGGCAUCUGACUUGAAAGAUGCACAAUAUAUAGAUUGCGCAGAAGUAGUGGGAUUGCAACUAUGAUUGAUAAACCUAGUUACGUCCCCAUGCUUAAGUGCAUCAACAUUGUAUACAAUAUCCCUCGAGACAUCCGUCUCCCUCCCACCAACACCAACUCCUCACCAUAACUCCCCAUCACAUCAUCACUCCUGACAACCUAACAAACAAAACUUCCAUGUUUAAACACUGAAUUAAAAAAGUUCAAUUGCAACACAUUCUAAAAAAAAAAAACUUUUAUGCAUAAACACACUGAAUUAAAAAAGUUCAAAAUUGCAAACCUCUGCUCUCUACUUCAUACUAUGAAUCAGAAGUCAUUGUUACAAAGUUCAAAACUAUGAACACACCUAAAAUUUCCGAAAUCAUAUCAACUGAUUUUCUAAAUAAGAAACACAAUAAACAACACUACAAAACUAAUAGACUAUAACAACAUUUGUAGGUUCAUAAAAAUAAUAGACUAUACCAAUUUUUCAUGAUAUUAAGAGUAUCUACAAUUUCAAACAACGAAUCAAAGUCAUUGUUACAAAAUUCAAAACUAUAAACACACCUAAAAAUUUCCUAAAUCAUAUCAAACUGAUUUUUAAAAUGAAAAAUAUAACAAACAACACAUACUACAACAAAACUAAUAGGAAAAAACAAUAUCCACAGUUUUAUAACACAAAAUUGUCAACGACACUACAUAAAAGCUAAUAGACUAUAGUCACUAUAUCAAUUUUUCAUGACUAAGAGUAUCCAUAGUUUUAGACAACGAAUCAUAAUUCAUUGUUAGAAAGUUCAAAACUAUGAACACAUCAAAAAAUUUCUUAAAUCAUAUCAACUGAUUUUCAAAAUGAGAAACAAAAUAAACAACACUACAACAAAACUAAUUAGAAAAAAAUAUAUAUAUCCAGAGUUUUAUAACACAAAAUUGUCAGCAACACUACAGAAAAGCUAAUAGACUAUACCAAUUUGUCAUGAAUAUGAGAAUCCACAGUUUCAUACAUGCCUCAGUUGAUUGAGACAUGAAAUGUCGAAAAUAUAUUCCGACUUCUGCUCAGAGUGCUCCACUCUCCUCAAAUCACCCAAGUACUCACCGAUGCGGGCUCUUCGAGGAAUCUGUUUCGCUAAUCUCACGCCAAAGCCCUUGUCUUUACCGGUGUUAAACACUUCAAGCUGAAAACCUCCAUGUUGGGAAAAACGCAUAAUGCAACUGUUAUCGCACUUGCAGUUGUGACACUCAAAUAUCAUAUGUCGGUAAAAGAAUAGUCUUUAAAAGAUAUCACAUUCAAAAUAUACAUCAUAGUAACACAAAGGUUAAACACCACAAAAUAAUAAAUACAUAUACAAUUUUUAUUAUAGACCCAAUUUGAGAUUGAACCACAUACGAAACUGAAACUUGAGGAGGUUUAGCCAAAAACCAUAAAGAUCAAUAGUGGAAAUUAACUAAUAUUGGAAAGAAAGUUGUAUAUCUAAAUUAAGUUAAUUAACAAGAGUUAGAUGACGAAAACACGGAAGAAUCCACCUUCAACCAUACAUGCUUCCAACUAGUUCAAUAGCCCUUAUGACUGGCAUGACCUUUCCAGCCACCGAACUAGGGAUAUCAAGAUUAAACAUAACCUCUGACACGACAUUUCCACUAUUGCAGAAUAGUGCAUACCUUAAACGUUUGUUGCAAUAACUCCCCUCCGGCAUAAUUGUCUUUAAAGCUUCAGCCAUAGUGACAGGCAUACCAACCUCAUUUCCUAUAGUAGACUUUAGCCAAGUUUUUUUAAAUAGCGUAGAGGGGUUUGAAGACUCACCAGGGCAGUGAAUACGAAACAACAACUUCUAUGUCUCAUUUUGCUUACACGAUAAAAGAAAUUGCUUCAAUAUUUAUAUGUAAAAAAUAAAAAUAAAAUUAUUAAAACUUACUCCCGGAGCUCAAUAAUAAGAGGCAUCAAAAGGUUCUAAUUGAGUGGAUAAGAAUGAUAGCGAAACUUAUAAUGAGAACCUCAUGACAUUGAUUUUGUUUUCCCAAUUUUUUCGUGUAUUUUGGUCCUAUCCUUUCUUGUAGUUCUUAAAAAAUAUAGUUCAAGGCCUUAAAAAAAUAUAGUUCAAGGCCUUAUGAAUAUAUACUCAUACAAAAAAAAAAAAAAAAAAAAAACCAACUAAUAUUUCUCACUCACCCGCCAUCCACAUAUGGGAGACGUUCAUUGUAGGCCAAACAACUACAUUUCUUCCCAUAGACAAGCCCACACCGACAAUAAUCAUAGUUUGGGAAAACUAUGUCUUUAAAUGGACCAUUGAAUGGGAUCUUUGAAGGCUCAAGAAGACCGUCAGCAAUAUCCUCACACAAUAAUGUCCCCCUGAAAUAUUGAACAAAAUUUUCAAAACCUAUAUCAAAACUAGCCACUAAACUUUACAGCUAAAGACAAAGAAAAAAAAGAAGAACAAUUUAGCCGAAAGAUAUCCGGUUUUCUCCUUGUUCUCCUUUCGGUCAUUACUCUCCGUUUGGUUGUUGGUUCGCUAGAAACGAGGCUGGGCUGGCCCCUGGCCAAGGUGAGGGAACACAAACGUCUUGACUCAACACCGAUUGUUGAAGUACUUGUAUCGAGGCCUGUUACAUAAAACUAUCCAUAUAUUAACUAGAUGUAUAACCGUUGACACACAAAAUUGAAGUGACUCAUUCACCCUACAAAUCCAUAAUGAAAUAUUAAUCUUGAAAAUACCAUAUCAGAAUCAUAUAAGGCCAAUUACCACAUACUGGAUCACCUAUUAUUGCCAACAUAACCAUAAAAGAAGCAUGACCAAAGUGAGAGCACAAACUUUUUGGUUCAAAACUUGAUUUGAACAGGACAAAUAGUCGUGUGAAGAACCUCGAUUGGUCUAUAGGCCUUAAUAACAUUUUGAUUUGUCCAUUUUCUAAAUGUUUUGUGUUUUGCCCUCUAACUAUGCUUUCACUUGUCCAUAAGAAGCGGAUUCCACACACCAAGAUACGUACACUUACACCAUUAAUGUGCAAGUCACCCGAUUGGAGAUGCGAAGAUAGAAUGAAGACUAUAAAACCCUUAAUUUCUUCAUCUGACCUUUUCAUUUUUGAUUCGACCUCGGAUCUUCACCUCUUAUGUUUGAAACACUUGGACUAGUUUUUGAGUUUCAUUUUUAUUAACAACGUUCGUAUAUAUACAUAACAGUGUCACGUGGAUGGCUGGAUCAAAUAAAAAGCUAAAAGUGCAUAUUAGGUGUUCGGUUCACUUGCACUCGUAACUUCUCGGCCCUUGGACUAUAGACUAAAAUGUCCAUAUUGUCCACCUCCAGAGAAGGACUACUUCCUUCACCCAUCAUCGUUGUUGUGAUUGCUCUAAAGAAGAUACAGUUCCAAUGUUGUCGCACCUUGCUCCUCUUAUCACCUGAAAAACUCUAGAGCACAAUCUCCGACUGGCCGUUCUAAUGUACGUAUACCCUAAAAUGAGAUGACAAAUUGAAGCCACAAAGAACGACUUACCAUCAAAUCUGGUCUUAUUCCUCGCAUGUCAUACAAACCAUAAGAUCGAUGUAAAACAGAUCAACCAAAACUCUUUUGUGAAAUAAAUCCACAAUUGUAUGGGGAGUAACCCCCGGAUCAAAAAGAGAUAAGAAAUAAGACUAUAUAGUAGCUGUAAAGGGACAAUGCAAGAAAAUAUGUUGCAAGGUUGACUCAGUACAUGCACCACAAAGCUCAUAUCUUGAAACCCAAGCCACUCCUCGACGUUGUAGAAGUUCAUCACAAAUUAUUCUGUCUUUCAAAACCUUCCAAGCAUGUAGAGACAUUCUAGGCAAAAUAAAUUUAGACCAUAAAAACUUACCCCAAGACAUGGAGGGAGAUGGAUGCAGUAGAAAUUAAUAAGCAUACUUUGCUGUCAAAUCUCCUGUAAGCAAGGGCAUCUAAAUAAGAGUGUUCUCGACUUGUUCAAUUAAAAGUUUAAAACUAAACAUGGUAGAAAUUAGAAAGUGCUAGGCAAAUCAUUCAUUACGACACAAAAGCUCUGUAUUAUCUUGCUUAGUUAAUUUAAUUUGAUGCAAUGCGUCAUGGUUGAGGCCAGAGACUUUUUUUUUUUCUUUUUUUUCAGACCAAAUGAGGCCAAAGACUUGGCCUUAUUAAAUUUUACUCUUCUUUGAUCUGUUAUGAUUAUUUUUGUCCGAGUCUUUGCCUAUGUUACAAUAUCAAGGUGAAAGUGGAUUGGUGGGUACUCUUCUUUAAUCUUGAUUUUUUGCCUCCAUGCUUACACGACACGCCAUCGAUAUCUCUAAACGUCAUCACUUUCUUCCUCUGUCACUCUCAGUAGUUCGUUUCUAUCUCCAAGCUCCAGCAUUUUUUUUUUUUAACUGAUGCUCCAGCAUUUUCUUAAAAGGUUGAACGGCUGCAUAAUCUUCCAGUGUUAUAUAUAUAUUGUUUGAUUAACCGGAGCGGAUUUUACACCAAUGUACACUUACACAAUUAAUGUAUGAUUUGUGCAACGGCUGUAAAAUCUUCCAGUGUUAUAAAUAGUGGCGGAGCCAGAAUUUACAACCUGAGGGGGUCUGGAUAUAACAUACAAAAUUAUAUGUUAAAAUUUAAUAAGAACUCACCUAAUUAAAAAUGUUGUGUUUUUUUCCUUGUUGAAGAUGUUCUUAUUCAUUGAGAGCAUACCUUUAUUUUAUGCAUCUUCUAAUCUUAUACAAAACAAUGAAAAUGUACAGAUGAGAAAAUAGUAGUUUAUUAAUUUGUUACUUCACUUUUUAUCUUUAGUAAAUUCAUUAAUUUACUAUUUGCUAAAUAAAAGUGAUCAAUUGUUUUAUCUAUUUUGAUUGCUAAGAUAUAAAGAUAUAAAGACUCGUCAAUUUAAUAAUUUUCUUUCUUAAUAUGAGUUUAUCUUUCUUGAUUUGUCCAAAACUAAUUAGUUUGUGAAAUUUUAAGAGGGGUUUAGUGAUAGAUUAAUGAGAGUUUUAAGCCUACAUUUAAUACUAGCUAGCUAAAUUAAGACAAAAACUUAAAUGUUCUAAAAUCUUACCGCCGGUCGGGGGGGGGGGGGGCGGGUUAUAAAUAUACCGUUUGAUUAACCGGAGCGGAUUUUACGCAGCAAUGUACACUUACACAAUUAAUGUAUGAUUUGUGCACUUACAUAAUUAAUGUAUGAUUUCUCAAAUCAUCGUAUGAAAAGAUCGAAUCAAGAUUAGUGACCCUAAAUUUUUUUAUUUUAUUUUCAUUUUCUAUCUGGAUUAAAUUAAGUGUCCAUAAUAAUAGUACAUCUUAUUUGACCUCAGGUCCUAUCAUCUCAUGUAUUAGAAACAUUUACAUAUUAUUUAUUUAGAUUUUAAUUUUAUUAACGGUAUUAGAACAUAUGUAUAAUAAUAAUAAUAACCGGAUCAAACUAUUUCAUAUCAGCUGCUCUGCUUCACUUGCACAAUUGGUGCGCGUAGAAUAAUUUUGGUUGAUCAACACCCAGAAGAUUAAAACUUUGACCCUCUCCAGCUAUCAUCGAAUCCCUCCUGCUCUGCCGGCUGCUCAGCCACUUGGGUAUGCUACUAUCAUAGUACUAUGCUCUGGCUUUUCAGCCUCCUUUAAAUUUUGUUCAUGGUUUUGGUUUUACUAUGAUUAUGAGCUUGAGUUCGUUAUUUCAUUGGAUUAAUGUUUAUUGAUUCUUAUACAACCCUUCUGCAAAACCUGAGCAACGAUCCCAUAACUGUUUUGUAGUUUCCUGAGUUCUGAGAAGAUAUCAACUUUGCUUAUGAUUUGAAGUGUAAAAAACUUGGGACUUUGUUUGAAGAGAGCUUUAUCUUGAUAUUGGCAGAAACAAAAUGGUACCUUCUUGUCAGAGUUUGGUGCUUUUGUUAGCUGUGCUAGUACUGGGAUUAAGCUUACCAUGUUCAGAUGCUAUUCGGAUCAAUAAGGUUAAGACCACGACUAGCGUUUAUCUCUCCCCUAAGUUUGUGUUGGAACCAGGGUCAGUUGCAGACAAGUAUUUUUAUAACAUUCAAUUCCCAAGAGGUCAUAUUGCUAUGAAGUAUUUCAAUGCUGAAGUGGUUGAUGAAGAAGGGAAUCCUGUUCCUCUUCAUGAGACUUAUCUGCAUCAUUGGGUUAUUGAAAGAUAUUACGCCGAGACUAGUUAUGUGGAACCGGUGCUGAGUGGUUUUGAGGAUAUUAAAGAUCCAGAGUUUAAGAUUGUGAGGAAUAGUGGAUUGUGCCAGAAUGAUGCUCUUGGACAGUACUAUGGACUCGGGUCAGAAACACGGAAAACAGACACACAUGUACCGGAUCCUUUUGGAAUAGAGAUUGGCAACCCUGCAGAUAUUCCUGCUGGAUAUGAGGAGAGAUGGAUGCUCAAUGUUCAUGCUAUUGAUACUCGGGGUGCAGUGGAUAAGUUGGGAUGCACUGAAUGCAGGUGUGAUCUGUAUAAUGUGACAAAAGACGGAAAAGGCCAGCCUUUGAGGCCAGGGUACACAGGGGGUUUGUACUGCUGUUAUGAUGGUACACACUGCAGCGUAAAACAAGGCAAUAAUGGUGUCAAGAGAAGCCUCUACUUGAGAUACACUGUGAAGUGGGUUGAUUGGUCUGAUUCUAUUGUGCCUGUCAAGAUUUAUAUCUUUGAUGUCACUGAUAGACCAGAUCAUUCAGCAGGACCCUCUCCUAAACAUGAUUGCCGGGUAAGUGAACUUAACUCAUUGCAUAACAAGUUGCAACAUUGGUCUCAGUAGUGUUGAUAGGUUAUCACUAUGCUGCCUGCUCUAUUUUUCUUUUAAUGAGUUAUUUUCCUUUUAUGCUAAGGUGUCUGGCUUUUUAUUUUACAGGUCGAAUAUAAUGUUGAGCCUUGCAGUACUGUUGAUGCUGUAAAUGAUCGGUGCUUUCACAAUCAACAGGCAGUAAUCACUUUGCCAACUGGUGGUUAUAUCAUCUAUGGUGUAGCGCAUCAGCACACCGGGGGGCUCGGCGCAACUCUAUAUAGAGAGGUGCUUUUUUUACUUCUAGGCUGUAUACUAGUUUCUUACUGCCAUAUGCUAGAACUCAAGUACAAUAAUCUCAUUCAAUUCAUGUGCUUAUCAUGUAUAUAUCUGAAUUGGCAACACCUGCAAGCGCAUGGUAAAUCACCUUUCUUAGUUUCUAUAGAGUUUUUCUAAAACAACAUGUAACAGUUUGCCAACAUUUCUAUGUAGUUUAGUAACUGAAAAACUUUAAAAGACUUUGAUAACAGGAUCAUUCUGGAAGCCUAUUUGUUUGAUAACCAGGCAAAUACUGCUUAGAAUACCUGAUUACAAAUACUGCUGAGUAUACCUGAACAUUGAUUGUUGUAAUACCUGAACAUUGAGUAUACCUGAACAUUUAUAAGGAAGUCUAGUUAUCCGUAAGUUAUUAUUGGCUUGGAGCUUGUUGGAUAUUUAGCACUAAACGUCUAAUCUAAAAAGCUGGUGUAUGCUUCUAUCAGCUAGAAAAAGUUCAAUCCUGUUUGUUGCAAAUCUGUGCUAUUCAUCUCGUAUCUUUUAGCACUGCGUGACUGCAUGUUGAUCACACCCUAUAGUAAUAGUAGUUAAGACUGUACAUGGCAUCUCAGUAUGAAUUGGACUGUUUUUUGUAUCUGCUAUUUGGCCUUUACAUGAAAGGUUGCUCUUUAUAUUUGUAUUGUGUGUAACUGAUCUGCUUGUUUGUGAUGAUGUUAGGACGGUCGGGUUCUAUGUUCAUCAAUACCAAUUUAUGGACAAAGCGAGGACGUUGGAGAUGAGGCUGGUUACAUUGUAGGAAUGUCAACUUGCUAUCCACAUCCGGGCUCCAUCAAAAUAAAUGAUGGGGAGACUCUGGUUGUGGGAUCUAAUUACAGCAGCUCACAGCGGCACACAGGAGUCAUGGGCCUCUUCUACAUUUUGGUUGCGGAGCACCUUCUAAAGUCCUCCUUGCUUAGCUUGGACUCUUCACUUUGAGUAAGAUGUUGCUAAACAUUAAGGCACUGAAUCCAAGUCUACAGGAUCAGUUUUUGUACAUAACUAUCAUCUUGUAUAGACAAACUUUGGCUAUUGUCUUUAUAAAGAACACUGUAGUCUACUACUGUACAAAUCUGUGAGGUUGUUUAUCAAAUAUUUGGUAUUUUAGUUGUAAUACAUUGGGAAACAAUUUUCCUCUAUCGAGAUACGAUAUGCUUAAUUAACUAGAAUUAACACGAAUAAUCUGGUGUUCUAUGUUAAUUUACUUUGCAAGCAAAAACGAAAAUACUUGAGGAGCAGCAUUUGAGUUGGUCCAGGAGCAUCUUAUUGCCUCCAAAUUGAGCUUGGUUUGUUGCAUUCAAGGUUUCACAGUGUUCAGUCGUGAGACUUGCUGCCUAAGUAUCAGAAUGGAAGAAAUUGACCAUUUCAAGAACCUGAAAUAAAUAAAAAAGAUAUGAUGGUUCAGACAAAUAGAGACUCAAUUAUUCAUGAUAGGAUCUUUGAUAUGUGUCUCUCAAUAAUAUAAAUUUUGUCUUUGAAGAAUGAGUUUUGGGAAGUAUUCAUUUGCUAGAGUCCAAGUUAAUGUCUGAACACAGACGGCCUUGGAGGCGCAUGGCCAGACAAAGAAAGCCAUACUCAUCUCUAAGAAACAGACCAAACACACCGUCGUUUUCAGAAUCCAAUUUAAAAGUUAAACAUGGUGGAAAUCCGAAACUACUUGGCAAAUGUUAAAUUAGGAAACAAAGUCAGUAUUGUCUGGCUUAGUUAAUUUUGAUGCAAUGCGUCAUGGCUGAGGCCACAUAUUUAACCCUAGUCAAUUAACUUUUCUGUCAUGUUACCUUGUGAAAGUGGUGGGUAUUAAUAUUUGCCUCCAUGGCUUCUUACACGACAGCCAUAUAAAUCUACAAAUCGUCAUCACUUUCGUAAGCUGUCACUCUCAGUAGUUCGUUUCCAUUUUUGCUCCUGCAAUUUCUAAAAAGAUUAAACGGCUGCAGAAUCUUCUAUUGUUAUUUAUACCUUUCGAUAAGUCAGAAGAUCAGAACUUUGACCCUUUCUAGCUAUCAUCGAACCCAAUCCUCUCUUGCUCUGGCUGCUGCUGCUGAGGCACUUGGGUAUGUUCUGUUCAUGGUUUUGGUUUGUUGGUCUGGUUUUACUAUGAUUUUGAGUAUGAUGUUAUUUUACCAGAUUGUUUAUUGAUUCUUAUAACCUUUUGCGAAAUCUGAGUAGCAAUCCUGUAACUGUUCUGUAGUUUGUUGAUUUCUAACAACCCGUUUGCAAUAUCUGAAUAGCAAUCCUGUAACUGAUUAUAGUUUACUGAUUCCUGUAUGGCCUAUUUGGAACAUCUGAAUAGCAACCCUUAACUGUUAUGAUUGAGGAAUACAAACUUUUCAUGGCCCCCAUGUCAGUAAUUCUAGUUAGAAAGUAUGAAAGAGACCAACUUUGUUUAUGAUUUCAUUGAUUUGGGGUGUAAAACUUGGGAUUUUGUUUAACUUGAGCUUUAUCUUGAUAUUGGCAGAAAGAAAAUGGGACCUUCUUGUCAAAGUUUGGUGCUUUUGUUAGCUGUGCUAGUACUGGGAUUAAGCUUACCAUGUUCAGAUGCUAUUCGGAUCAAUAAGGUUAAGACCAGGACUAACGUUUAUCUCUCCCCUAAGCUUGUGUUGGAACCAGGGUCAGUUGCAGACAAGUAUUUCUACAACAUUAACUUCCCAAAAGGUCAUAUUGCUAUAAAGUAUUUCAAUGCUGAGGUGAUCGAUGAAGAAGGGAAUCCUAUUCCUCUUCACGAGACUUAUCUGCAUCAUUGGGUUCUUGCAAGAUAUUAUGCUCGGACAAGUUAUCUGGAACCAGAGCAGAUUGGUUUCGAUCAUAUUGAAAAUUCAGAUUUUCAGUUAGUGAGAAACAGUGGUUUGUGCCAGAAUAAUGUUCUUGGACAGUACUAUGGACUCGGGUCAGAAACACGAAAGACAGACACACAUGUACCUGAUCCUUUUGGAAUAGAGAUUGGCAACCCUGCAGAGAUUCCGGCUGGGUAUGAGGAGAGAUGGAUGCUCAAUGUUCAUGCUAUUGAUACUCGGGGAGCAGUGGAUAGGUUGGGAUGCACUGAAUGCAGGUGUGAUCUGUAUAAUGUGACAAAAGAUGGACGAGGCCAGCCGUUGAGGCCAGGGUACACAGGGGGUUUGCACUGCUGUUAUGAUGGUACACAGUGCAGUGUAAAACAAGGCUAUAAUGGUGUCAAGAGAAGCCUCUACUUGAGAUACACUGUGAAGUGGGUUGAUUGGUCUGAUUCUAUCGUGCCUGUCAAGAUUUAUAUCUUUGAUGCCACCGAUAGAACGGAUCAAUCAGCAGGAUCCUCUCUUAAACAUGAUUGCCGGGUAAGUGAACUUGACUCAUUGCAUAACAUGUUGCAAUAUUGGUCUCUGUAGUGUUGAUCGUUUAUCCUGCCUGCUCUAUUUUUCUUUAAUGAAUUUAAUUCCUUUUAUGCUAAACUGUCUGGCUUUUGAUUGUACAGGUCGAAUAUAAUGUUGAGCCUUGCAGUACUGUCGAUGCGGUAAAUGAUCAGUGUUUUCACAAUCAACAGGCAGUGAUUACUAUGCCAACUGGUGGUUAUAUUGUCUAUGGUGUAGCCCAUCAGCACACUGGGGGGCUUGGCGCAACUCUAUAUAGAGAGGUGCUUUUCUGAUACUCAUAGCGAUCUUUGUUUGAAUUGUUUCUGCUUGGCUGUGUAGUAGUUUCUCACUGCCAUAUACUGGAACUCAGUACAAUAAUCUCAUUCAAUUCUUUCACUUAUUUGUAUUUUAUCUGAAAUUGAUAACUCUUGCAAGUCUGUGCUAUUCAUCCGGUAUCUAGGAUUAAGCUUUAAGCUUUACACACUGCAUCUUGAUCACAUCCUUUAGUAAUUGUAGUUAAGACUUUACAUGGCAUCUCAGUAUGAAUUGGACUGUUUCUUGUCUUCAUGACCUCUACAUGAAAGAAUUUUAUUUUUGAAAUGUAUCGUCUGUAAUCAAUAUGCUUGCUUGUGAUGAUGUUAGGAUGGACGGGGUAUAUGUUCAUCAAUACCAAUUUAUGGACAAAGCGAGGAAGCUGGAGACGAGGCUGGUUACAUUGUAGGAAUGUCAACUUGCUAUCCACGUCCGGGAUCUGUCAAAAUAAACGAUGGGGAGACUCUGGUUGUGGGAUCUAAUUACAGCAGCUCACAGCCACACACAGGAGUCAUGGGCCUCUUUUACAUCUUGGUUGCAGAGAACCUGCCAAAGUCCUCCUUGCUUAGCUUGGACUUUUCACUUUGAGUAUGACAUUGUUAAACACCAAGGCUACUGAAUCAAAGUCUAGAGGAUUAGUUUGACUUUGACAUCAAAUUUCAGACUCUAAUCUUUCUUAACAAAUCUAAAAGUCCGCAUUAAAACUUGUAUAGUAGAUCAUGUCUCACAUCAAAUUCGUUAAGCUUAUGUGAUGCUUUUUGUUCUUGCAGAUCUGGGGUUGUCAGUGAAAGCUGCUAGUUUCUUUAUCAACAGCAUUGAUAAAGAGAUUGGAAUGGCUCAAGAUUGAUGUUGGUCUGAACUUUUACGUACUAGUUUUGUGAUUAGAGCAUCUUGAAUCUAGUUUUUCACUUUGCACUGUGGCAUGUAGAUGUUCUGUAACCAAUGUACCUCCCCUGUAGCAAUAAUUUCAGAGUACGGUGUUUGCGUCGAAUGAGUUUAAACCCCAUUAAAUUCUGUGAAUUUCUUCCCAGAAUGUGAUUGGAGUACAUAUAUUCAGUCUCUUAGUUUGUAAAUUGACUAAAUUCUAAGUAAACCUCAACUUCCACAACUCGAUAAGAUCUCCAGCAUUCAUCCAACAAUGAACCUUUCCACAGCCCUUUCGCGACCUUCAUGUUCUCAGAUACUUGUCUACCAUAUUCGUUGCUUGUGUAAGACAUAAACUAAAUUGUUCUAUGACUUGUGUCUAACAAAAUAGAUGAUGGAAAAUAUGAUAGUAUAUAUCAUGACGCCUGGAUAUUGAGAUCAACUACGAGCAGUAGUUGUGUGACUUGGGUCUGAAACUUCACAGAGCAGCACCCAUAUGAAGGUAUUUGAGGGUCUAGAGGGUGGUGGCAUGAGGCUUGCUGCAUGUCACUUGUUGAGAGACGACAUAUUAUAAUUUUGCAUGAAACUAUCGGAGAUGAUUGUAAACGGUAAGUCCUAGAUAGUAUAUUCAAGAAGGUACUUUAGCCCAGACCACUUUCUCAAUUUACUGAACUCUUAUAAUUACAUGAUUACAUGAAACCAUCUUUGAGAUUUUAACUAUGAAACAAACUCCAACUUAAAAGUAAGCAAAAGCUGAUUCAAGGUGUAGACAUCACAGUUAUCACUAUACACUAUCGAAUCACUUUCGAGUUUCGACCAUAUAAUUUUUGUAUGAGAAGUCAGUAAAUAAGAAAAAUGUUAUCUAAUGAUAUUUAUUAAAUUACACAAUCUCAAUUAAACUAUUGAAAAUUGUAAAAAAAUUUGUUAAACCUUCACGGAUGGAGAUAUAAAUUAACCACAUUUCAACAAACACCCUAAAUCUUGAUUCUGGUGGGUGCAGACUGCAAACUGCUAACAAAAAAGGAAACCCAAAUUAGAAGGAAAAUGAAUAAUUUGGCCAAAUAACCCAUGAACAAGAAGAAGAAGAACAGAAAAGAAAAUAAAAACAAAACCUUCGGAAACACCCAAAAAAAACGUGGAGGCACUAAACGCGUUUGGUUUUCCAAAAGAGAAAAAAAGAAUAUCCACCUCCACAGAGCCACACCGAUCCUUGUUCCCCUCUCCCUCUCUCCCCAUAUCUCCACCCAUCAUCAUCAAAAAUUGAACCUAACCCAUUUCAAUUCACCCCAUCUCUCCUCAAAGCUCCAAUCUUUCUUCUUAUAACUCCCAUUUAAUGUUGGGUCCGAUAUUGAUCCGCAAAACCCAGAACCGUAAUUCCCCAAUUUGAUCCCCAUUUUGCUUCGGAUUGGGGGUUCUUUUAUGUCAGGGGCAAAGCCGGCCGCAGACCAUGUCGGCUUUCCCACGACGGCGGCCAAGCCCGUCGCCGACUCGGUCAAGAAAGCACCCGGGCCCAUCACCAUGGAUCACGUCCUUCUAGCUCUCCGAGAGACCAAGGAGGAGAGGGAGCUUCGGAUUCGGAGCCUCUUCAACUUCUUCGACGCUGCCAAUCUGGGCUACUUGGACUAUGCUCAGAUCGAGGCGGGGCUCUCGGCGCUUCAGAUUCCCGGGGAGUAUAAGUAUGCUAAGGAUUUGCUCAAGGUUUGUGAUGCUGAUAGGGAUGGGAGGGUGAAUUACUCCGAGUUUCGACAGUAUAUGGAUGACAAGGAGCUCGAGCUGUACCGCAUUUUCCAGGCUAUUGAUGUUGAGCACAAUGGCUGCAUUCUACCCGAGGAGCUGUGGGAGGCACUCGUCAAGGCCGGUAUGCCGAGCCUCCAUGAGUGUGUUGCUUUGUUUGUUUCUGUGUUACUUUGUGGCUUGUGCAUUAUUGUGGUCUAAUAGUUUCUAAUUUCGGCAAUGAGGAUGGAGUAGUGUUGGUUUUAGUAGAAUGUUGGUUUGGUUAAAAGCGUGGGGGUUAUGGGGUGCAUAUGAUAUUUGAUUGUAUUGGAUAGACAUGGCUCAUUUUUGGAUUAUUGAAGUCAAAUGCUAGUAGAGUAGUAGCUGAUCAAUUAGGGUGGUGUUAGUAAUAUCUUUCACUUUCUCUUAAACUUCAAUUCUUGUAAGGUACAUUGGUACUGUUCCCAAGUCUUACACCAACCAUCACACUAACUUCUUGUGGGGAGUAUUUUCGGCUUGAUGGUAUAGACUGCACUUGAUCAGAACAUAGGGCUAUCAUUGUAGUAUGGCUUUGAGAAUUGGUUUAGGAGGAAAAGAGAGCUAGAAAGUUGGAGUAUUUCCUUUUUUGUAGUCUUCAAGUAGGCAGAUAUAUUAUUUGUCCAUUUGAUAAGCCCUGGCAGUUUGUAUUUUGUAGGGAUUGAAAUGGAUGAUGAGGAACUUGCUCAUUUUGUGGAGCAUGUUGACAAGGAUAACAAUGGAAUUAUAACUUUUGAGGAAUGGAGAGAUUUUCUGCUGCUAUAUCCGCAUGAAGCAACUAUUGAGAACAUUUAUCAUCACUGGGAAAGGGUCUGCCUCGUGGACAUUGGAGAACAGGCUGUUAUUCCAGAAGGCAUCAGUAAGCAUGUUCAUAGGAGCAGAUACUUUAUUGCAGGGGCUAUAGCAGGAGCUGCUUCUCGUACUGCUACUGCUCCUCUUGAUCGGUUGAAGGUGGUUUUGCAAGUUCAGACAUCACGUGCAUCUGUUGUGCCGGCUAUAAGGAAGAUAUUCAAGGAAGAUGGUUUUUUGGGGUUUUUCAGAGGUAAUGGAAUAAAUGUUGUGAAGGUGGCACCUGAAAGUGCCAUCAAGUUCUAUACUUAUGAAUUGUUAAAAAAUGUCAUUGGAGAAAAUAUGGGAGAGAACAAGGAUGAUAUUGGUACUGCGGGUAGACUUUUGGCUGGUGGUAUGGCAGGUGCAGUGGCACAAACUGCUAUAUAUCCACUGGAUCUUGUGAAGACUCGAUUACAGACUUGUGCUUCAGAAGCUGGAAAGGGUCCUAGAUUGGGGAUACUGACCAAGGAAAUUUUGACUCAUGAGGGACCUCGAGCCUUCUAUAAAGGACUAUUACCAUCUCUUCUUGGGAUUGUCCCCUAUGCUGGCAUUGACCUAGCUGCCUAUGAGACCUUAAAAGAUAUGUCAAAGACAUAUUUUCUUCAUGAUAAAAGUGGUAGGACUCUCUCUGUUUCUUUUUCUUUUCUUUUUUUUGGAAACUGUUUGGUAUAUUUCCUCUUGUUUAGUUGUUUUCCUGUUUGAAUUUCAUGUAGUGUAUUGCCUUCUAAGUUUUCCACUUUUUGCGCAGAUCCUGGCCCUCUCAUCCAAUUGGGCUGUGGGACAGUCUCAGGAGCUCUUGGAGCAACAUGUGUUUAUCCCUUGCAGGUUAUUCGCACCAGGUACAACUUAUGACUGAAGUCUUCUGUUAAUUUCUUAGAUUUUCAAUUAGGAGUUCGCAUUCGAACAAUUCCAUUUUCUUUUAGUUCACUUGGGAUUUACUACAACUUUUAAUUUGUUCUUGUGCUUAAUAUAUUCUUUACUUUCCAGAAUGCAAGCUCAACGUUCUAACACAGCAGAAGCUUAUAGAGGAAUGUCUGAUGUAUUCUGGAGAACUCUUCAGCGGGAGGGAUAUAGAGGUUUCUACAAGGGGUUGUUUCCGAAUCUUCUCAAAGUUGUGCCAGCUGCAAGCAUUACAUAUAUGGUAUAUGAAGCCAUGAAGAAGAAACUAGAUCUAUAGUGGAUGCGGUAGUCGAACCUGAUGGUAACUACACAGAUCUUGUAGUUAGAAAUUGCAUUCCUGUUGAUGAUGAUGAUAAUAAGAAUGGGAUAACUGAUUAUGGGACUACACCGAUCUUGUAGUCAGACUUGCUGGUAAACUACUCAGGUACUGUAGUUAGAAAUUGCAUUCUUGUUGAUGAUGAUGAUAAGGAAAAUGAGUUACUAAUUAAGUAGAUGAUAUGGUUGUCAUAUGACAGAUAUCCCCUUCAGGAUAUGGGGCACAGAUUUUCAAUUUUGUAGUUGGAAAGUUUUUUCCUCGGAUUUUAUAUCACUCCAUGUUGAGAAACAAAAUUACACCACAUUACAUAGUUUGUGGCGAAGGUAUCAACUCGGUACUUUCUCUUGGUGCUUGUUGGUAGACAGUAAAAUGUUCUGGCAGUUUUUUUUUGGGGGGAAAGAUUUGCUUUUCUGUGUUAUUUCUGGAAACAGUUGCUCCUUGCUUUCUGCCAAUAAAUCCAUAUCAGAUGAGACCACAUAAUAAAUCCAUGCAGGGGAGUUAUGACUAUCACUAAGCAAUGGCGAAAGAUCACCAACUGUGUUCAAGUGGGGUGUACAAUUCUAGCAUAUGUUUUGCUCCGACUCUAAUAUCGCAUGCCUUGAACACUGAAGUUAUUGUAGUUGUUAGUGCUUCAUUUAACUUGAAAUAUGAUAGCUACCAAACAAAUCACUAAUAUAUUCCGAAUGUGUCACAAAUUAAUGUGAUUCAGUCGUAUUUAAAUGUAAAUUAUUGUGUUUUAGUCGUGUUCCAAAUGGUAUCUUUAGUAAGAAUGUGAGAUAGUGGAUGAAACUAAGUUUAGUGAUACAGUAAACAAAUCCGGGUUGGACAAUUUAUCAUUUGGCUUGAAGAUAUGUAAGAUGCUUGAUUUGUAAAUUUAAGCAGGAGGGUUUGUUGGUGACAUAAAGCACAAUUUCCUAUUGAAUUGUUUACUCUGCGAUGGUACACAUUUUCUAGUGUGUACUUGAACUAUUCAAAUGGGUAGGAAUUUGGAAUUUAGAUGCUGGAGACCUUCAAAGCACGGCAUUAACUACCUUAACCAAUCAAGUCAUAACAUAAAUUAAGCAAAUGAGUUUAAGUCGCUAAUUGUGAUUGGUUUACAUUUUGGAGAAGUUAGUAUUUACCACUCAGGCAUCAGGUGGAGUAAGAAAUGUUGUCAAUAAUAUGAUACUUACCCUUGCCCUAGAGAAAGCUGGUGUAAGUUUAUCUUGUAUUUGAGGAAUUUGUAAUUGCAGACUUCAGACCGAGAAUUAGAUGACAUACCAAAUGGGAAUAUAUUGCUUUGCUUUAAUUUAGGGCCUAAUCAGAAUGACUGAAGUGCUCGCCGGAGCCAUCUGAUAAAUCUAUCAAGCCUUUUUGGAUUAUUGGUCUCUGAAACACUUGCAUAUAUAGUACAGUACUUGACGUUACAUUGUAUAGGAAAUUUGCUCACUGACUAUCAUUCACUACUUAUGGCCAAUCAAUCAUGAGUUAAAGGUAUCUUUACUACUGAUACGGCCAACAACACCGGUACAGUCCCAAAUUUCAAAUAGCAACAUUCCAUUUGGACAGGUAUAUAUAUCUAGUUAUGAUGUUCAUACAUGAUACACUUCCAUGAUGACAUUCAACUUUUCGUCAUCUAGCUAGGUUUAGUAAUCUACCUCAUAAGGCUAAUUUUAUUCUUGUUACAGCUUCAGAUAUCAUCAGUGGUGCAACACACAACUCAAUCAGUGGAACAGAUCAAGUACAAAGAAGGAAAUGCUACCCAACAAACUGCAGUUUAUCCAAUCGUUCCUUUAAACAAGCCUAAAUUGCUGUCACUGCUUUCACCAUUUUGCCUUGAAGAUAUCUUCAUCAAAGGCUAUGAAGAUAUCUUCAUCAAAGGCUAUAAAGUAAGUAACUUGGAUAGCAAGGUGCUUAUGUUGCAUGAGUGCGUCAUUUAGGAAUGGAAAAAGAAGAUCGAAUGGCAUUCAGGUUCGGAUGCAUGCGUCCAAAAUGAACUGCGCAGUCCACUCUUAUCGCUUAUUGCAUGGCCAGAACACAUUGAUGUCAUUGCUAUUGUUGCUUCAUUUUCAGAUGAAACAAUUAAAAUUUUCAUGAAUAAUAAAUCAUGAAAAGCUUGUGUCACAAAUUAGCAUGAAUGAUGAAUCAUUCUUAUUUAAGAGGUUAGAGGAAGAACGGUAUUGUUUCAAUCUAUUCCCACUAUGUAAGACCAGAUUGUACCUUCGAGUUAAUCUUAAUGUCAAUUACUGAUCAAGCUAGUCAGAUAGUGGAGGAAACUGAAAAAAAAAUUAACUAAAUGUAUACAAAGCCAUCGAUACAAGAAUACUGUGUUAGCUUGCUCGACCAUAUCAACCGAAACCUCAAUUAGAAAGAACUCGAGCCAUGUAGCUAUUAUAACAUCCAAACAUGGAAAUAUAGUUGGACUGCUUACUUGUACAACAGAACGAGUCUGAUAUGUGAAGCAAUCUCAUGGUCUUUAUCUAGAUGACUAGAUUUAUAGUCCGUGUUUAAUGAGAAUUAUCUUGUAUCACUCAGUGUUUGAUACAAGAAUGAUUUUGCAUCACUCAGUGUAUAUUCUGGCCAAUUCAUCAAUGUUUCUUUCAUUCCUCUGGUUCCCUUUCUGUAUUAUUUCGGGAAACAAUAGCUUGUUACUUACUGCCGACACUCGAUGACAGUGCAAAAAUCCAUGCAGAGGAAUCAAAAUCUCGUGAUUGUGUUAUUUAGGAAUGGAAAAGGAAAACGACUGGCAUUCAAGUUCGGGUGCAAUGUACACGUAUAGCUAGGAUAUGUUUUGCUUCAACUAGUCAGCCUAGUCAGCCUAGAACACAUUAAUGCCAUUGCUAUUGUUAUUGCUUCAUUUCAGAUGAAACAAUUAACAUAUUCAUGAGUGAUGAAUCAUGAAGAGCUUAUGUCACAAAUUAACAUGAAUCAGUCAUAUUUAAAAGGCAAAAAGAAGAACGGUAUAGUAUAUAUCUUCGCACAAUGCAUGUAUGACCUUGACGAAACUGAAAGUUAUAUGAUUGGACUAAUAUUGUUGUUACUAAUCUAAGUUAGUGAGAUACUUGAGGAAACUGAAAGCUCUAUUUACAUGUAUGGGAAGCCCUAAAUAAACGGAAAUUUUUUGUUAUGGACUUGUGAUUUGUGCACCUAUAGAAACACAAAACCAGAGCUAGAAUAAGUGGCCUACUAGCUGCAUGCUAAUAUAUUGUAUUGGAUUGAAGAUCUCUGGUGAUGAAAUAAUUGUACAAAGUUUACAUGUUUUGCUAGUUAAAUAGAUAAAUGUCAGCUGGCGGGAGUGAUUGCUUCAUUUUAAUUAGGGUUAUAUCUUAAAGAUUAUUAUUCAAAAUAUAGAGUAAGUUUUAUCACACCUUGCUCAAACUAAAUCCAAACAAACAAAAUGUAAACUUAACGAACUGCAGUUUAAUUAUUCAAAUUGUCAAACAAACAUCUAGAUUGUUGUUGUCCUUCCCAAUUGGCCUUGAAGACAUGAUCUAGUACACACACUGGAACAACAAAGCACACAUCUUGGUUGACCAUAUCAACGCCUUUCUAACCCAAUCGGAAAGAAUUGGAGCCAAAUACCAAUCCAACAAGGAAAAUAAAGUUGCACUGCUUACUUAACAGUUAACACCUAUUACACCAGAAAGAGUUUGAUGAGUGAAGUAACGAACCCGGAAGAAAGGCGUUGCCUUCCCUUUGCCUAUUUGACUUGCCGUUUGCCCCUUCGCAACCCCAUCAAGGGCGGAAGAGGGUGGUGGAACAAUUGCCCUAGCUUGUAGAACUUGCUCUACUCAAAGCCAUCAUCUUCUUCUUCCUCUUCUUCCUCCACAUCUUUGCAACAGAGAUAGAUCGAGAGAGUGAGCUUCUUUGUUGGCAAGAGGAUCACAAUGGCAUUGAGAGUGUUCUUAGUCCUUACCUAUUGCUCCCAACUCCCAAGCUGGUUAUAUAAAUACAUUCACAUCCUGGGUUUUCAAAGACAAAAGCAAACAGAUCAGCAAGAAGAAGGAAUCACAUUUUUCACUGUGGUCCCCUUAAUUAUUCUCUUAUUGGGUGAGUCAUGAGUGCUCCUCUCUUUUGCUAAGAAUAUUAUCAUUCUUAUUUCUUAAUCCCUCUGCUUUACACUAAUCACAACAUUCCAUGUGGGGGAAAAUAGUUAUUUACACUAAUUAGUGGAAUGAAAUGAUAAACUAGAGAGGAUAAAGUAGUCCAAGAGAAGAAUUUAGAAGCAGGUUUGGUCGUCUAGCUUCUUUACCUGGUAGGAUUUGCACCGUCCACUUGUGACCUAAAUACAAAUGCUUGCGAGAUUCUAUGUGGCCGGAGUCACUAAUCAAAUUAGUGGGGGAGGCAACCAGAUGUGGAAAUGACUGUUCAAACCUAACUACACCAAGUUAACAAUAAAACAAAACCAAUCUUUCACAGAUAAGAGAGCUUAGAGGGAUAAGCUAUAAGGAUCCGCUCAAGAUUGUGGAUUACUUUUAGGUCAAGUCACUUUAAUCUCGUGUACAUCUUGUUCUAUAUGCAAUAAUGGAACCUAUUCUUCCUAGCUAUUCUUAAAAGAAUUGGGUGCCAAGAGAUAUUUUAAAAUGCAGAUUGUCAAUUAUUGUGGCUCUCUCUUUAGUAUUUCUAUGUAUCUCCAAAGUAUAUAUCUUCAAAACCAGAAAAUAGAAGAUUUUUAGAGAGAGGCUCCUCUUUCUCUCUAAAAAUUUUCUUCUAGAUCUGCUGGUUUGAGAGUCCAUCACCAUUCUCCCGCCACCCAUUCCACCCACCAUCCCUUCCCCCACCUCUACCUCUAUCUCCACCUUCACCCAACCCCACCCAUUCCACCCACCAUCCCUUCCCCCAUCACCUCUACCUCUAUCUCCACCUUCACCCAACCCCAUUGAUCAACCAGAUAUGCCCCUCUCACCAUCUACCAACUCCAUCUCCUUCAUUUCAUCAGAUCUACAGUGAUGGAGUGAUCUCUGUCUCUCUCCACUCACAACUCAUCCCCAUCCCACGUUUCCUUCUUCUCCACAAACCAAAUUUGCUCCACCAUAUCUUUCUUUGGAUGGUUUUAACUACGGUGAGUUCCAGAUCUACUGUCUUCUCCACCAUUAAGCAAGCUUUCGUCCGUUGGCGAAUUCUUGUCCAAUCUAAAGAGGCUGUUCAGAUUGCUUUGACAAUUACUGUCUCUAUGGUUACUUUGGUUUCUUGUGAGUCUUGCUUGUGUUCCAACCGGCAGAGGAGGUGGUGUGAUGUGGUUCCGCAGUGGCUGCUAUCGUCCAAGAAUUGGCUCGAAUAAAACUCUUAGUUUUUGAAAUUCUAUUCGUCGAAAUUUCAAUAUAAAUGCUCACCAAGUAUAAACAAAUAUCAACAAAUAAGCAAACAAAUAAACGUAAUAGAAAACAUGUUUUAACGAAGUCCAAAAACUAUGGGACUCAAGAGAAAGUUAAAUUGAAUUAGGUUAACAACCAAAUGACAAAUUAUAAACUUUGACCUACUCACCUAACUCCGUCCUCCACUGUCCCAUCAGCAGUGCUCAGUACCUGCACAACAAACUAUUGUAGGGGUGAGCUUUCAUCCUUGCUGCUCAGUAGGAGCUUAUCUCGACUAAGUUUGAAAUCAAUGCUCAUGGGUACCUAGUAUAAAAACAAUUUAAAACCAUACUUAAUGUAAACAACAUGAGUUAAAAAUCAAUGCACAAUAUUUCAAUAAAACUGGCGCCAAGUCCAAACAUCACCUGAUGGCCGGUCCUCAUCAACCCACUAUCCAACUUACCUCAUUUUUCUUGUGAACAACAAGUAAGUGUAGUGAGAGUGUCCACUUACGCCCCAUCGCCUAGAAGCAGUGUCACUCCACAAGGGAUGUAAGACACUUUUCCGUCCAUAAAGGCCCCUCCGAAGGUUUAGGGGAUCGAAACCCAAGGAAGUAGAUAUGCCCCCCUCACUCUCAAGCCAUCAAUAAAUCUCACGGUUUGGUCAAUAACAAUCCUAAUGUAUAACCAAACCAAACAUGCAUCAUUUGUAUAAAACAUGGGAAAAGCUUUAAUCAAGAAAAGUCUUGAAUCUCUUACAUGGAUUCCGACGCUUUUCCUCUCGUGCUCCAUGAGUCACGAACCUUCCAUUCCUUGGUCACUAGAAUUCCUAUUGUCCUACAUAAAUGUCGUUAAUAUCAUAUCGACAUAACAAUUCAAGUAUCGUCGAUUAACAAAUCGUCAAACCAACUUUUCCUGGUCCAACCAUGAUUUGACCAAUAUCAACCACAUCCGAUCAAUCAAGGCUAAAAUACCUUCUCAACUAAUUCAACGAUUAGUUUCGAUCAUCUUGUUUGAUGUAUUUAAGACUUCUGUCCUCAAGGUAUUUUACUACAAUAAUUAUAUUAUUACAGAGCUAAACUAAGCUCUGAUACCAAAAUUGAACGGGGUUGUCCUAGUCAUAUGCAUGCAUGGCCGGAAUGUACCUAACAAAGAUUGAGUCUUGAACGUGGACAGCUUAAAACUGCAAACACAGCCAACCUAUGGGCUGAACAAAAAAAAAGAAAGAGGUUCUUAUACUGAGAGGUUCCCUGACUAAUUUUUAUUAGUUAUCUUGACAUGCAUGUAAAUUAAAACAAUAACACUUUGUAGGACUUGGCUUCUCUGCUUGGAGAAGCAUUUCUUAGAUCUACUUGGGCUAAACUAUGCUGACACGUCAUGUUAAAGAGAUCCAAGGGUUAGAAGUGAAAGUCUCCACAACACAAAUCUUUAGAACACACCAUAGCAUAUCAUAAAUUCUCUCUCUUUCUCUCUCUAUAUCUCCGUGAAGCUCUCAGUAAAAGAGGAGAAGAAGUAUGAAGGCACAAAUUAAAAUCAUGGAUAUUGAAAGUCCCUUAUUUAGCCAAGAAUGAGAGGACUGUACCAGUAUGUAAAAAAUUAGCAAGAUUGGCUACACUCCAGCGGACUUCAUCUAUCCAUCACCAUCCAAAUUAUAACUCUACAUUUUUCGUUCCUCUCGAAGAGAUCAUAUAUAUGGCUGUGUGUGGGCUACCGCGGCGUCGAAGAUCCAUUGCCGGAUCGAAAAAGAAAACCUUCUAUUUCAGUCAUUCAUCAAUGGCUACCAUGGUUACUACGAAUUGAAUCAAUCAAGAUUCCAUCCUUUAAUUCAUAAUCUUGUUCUUACUGCAAAUACGAGUUAUCCGGUCUAAUUUUGUUAAGGUUUUUCAAUUCUUAAUUUUUUCUUUAACUUGAUAGAAGAAUUCAUUUGAUUUCAAUUGCCCUUUUUUCUUGAUAAAGUCUAUCUCAAUUUUGUGUUGGACUGAUGUUCUGAAAAUUCAAUAUGGGUUCUGAAACUUGUUUAAAUAAGAAGACAAGAACGAGAUGGGAUGUGAGGAGAGGGCGAGUUGGUGUUGUACAUGGAAGUGUGCAUUUUUUAAGGUAUGAAUUUUAGCCUUUGGAUCUCUCAUAGAUGACGUGUCAACAUAGCAGUAAAGCCCAAGCAGAUCCAAGCAAUGCUUGGUCCAAGCAGAGAAGCCAAGUCCCACUAUUUUUAAUACAUGAAAAUAAGACAAACAAGCUAAAAGACAACUGCUCCUUUAUUUUUGUCUAGAAGCUGCAGGUGGUCGUUGAUAAGGAAAUGAUUUAUUUUUCUUUCCGUAUUGAUAUGGAAUGGCAAGUGGUUGAGGUAGUCCACUUCACUUUAAGCCUUGCUAAGUAUAUCCAACAGUUUUUCUAUUUUUUUGAAUUUCUCAAUUUUAAAGAAUAUAAAGUUGUUUUUAGGUCCAACAGUUUCCCCAUCUCAUUCCCUAAGAUAGGGAUGGAGAAGAAAGAGAAGCUUUCGUUUCCCAAAUUUGCAGCAAAGCCUUCCUUCCCUAAAAUUAAAUUUUUCACGUGCUCCAACGAAUUCAAGACAACAAUAGAAUAUUUUAUUGGGUAUUUUAUUGUUACAAUAAAAUAUAUAAUGGUCUUUUGUUAUAAUUAAUAAUGAUAUAGUAUAUUUUAUUGUUGUAUUAAAUGCCUAAAUCUCUAAAAUGGAGAAGUUGUUAGAUUUUGAGCAUAAUUUUUUUUUGGAGAUUUUAGCUUUUGCUUCCCCAUUUUAGAGAAAUUUUGGAGAAGCUGUUGGAGAUGCUCUUACUCUGCUAGUUUGCUGCCUUUUUUAAUAUCCUACUCUCUUCUUAAAGAUUUGUGCUACCUCGUUUAAAUUGGUAAAUGACAGCCUCCACCUGUAAAUUCGUUUGAAAUAAAUUCUGAUGGUUCUUUUCACACGCCAAGUAUAGCAGGGUUUGGUGGUGUUUUUUGCAAUCAUGAGAGAGUUUUUGGGGAGCUUUUGCCAGCCGUGUAGAAUUUCCUAAUGCAGUUGAUGCAAAGAUGCUUAUGAGAAUGUUUGGACUCAUAGUUGGACUUACCUUUGGCUUGAGACUGAUUCAACAUUAGAUGAAGCUUUGGCAGGGCAGAAAAUAAACUUCGAUAAAUCUGUGAUUGGUCAUUCUACAAACAUAAAGCACAAUCUAGUGUUGAGUUCACCAAACACUUUGCCACUGCAUUUACAACUGACAACACUUAUAAAAAGCCAGUUUAAUUACCAUACACUCUGCCACUUAUUCUCGAAAAAAAAUACAAACAAGUUUUUCUUUAAAGCAUAGCUACACCAAACACUAUAGUAUUUUCAGUAUACGGCGUGUAUCUACACAUACAUGGAUGAUCAAAAACAUAAUCCAUAUACAUAGACCUGUAAAUGGACCGGAUCUUGAUCCGGAGCGGAUCUGUAAAUGGACCGAAUCUUAAUCCGGACCUACUCCGGAUCCGUGGUGUUUAAACGAGUUUGGAUCGAAAAUUAAACUCGUUGAUUUGUUAAGGACCUGGAUCCAUUUUAAAAUAAUUAAAUAAUAUUUUUAUAAAUAUAAUACUAUUGAAAAAUAUUAAAUAAUAUAAUAAUUAUUUGGAUAACCUAAACAAAAAAAUUGCUUCUAAAGUAUGAUCAUUUGAUGAAGUUGAAUGUUACUGAUGCGUAUGUUCUUUUUAUGCUAUUUGCUAAAUACAUUGGAGGUCUGGUAUUUUGAAUAUAUUAGUUUAUUGUUAAAGAGUAUUUUGGCCAUGUAAUUCAAUUUUUAAUGUAAACAUUUAUUUUGUUAUAAUAUUUCAUUAGUGUUUUAUGAAAAUUUAUGAUAAAAUUAAUAAAUUAUUAUUUAAAAUUUGAAAAUAUUUAUUAUUAUAAACGGAUCGGAUUAACGGGUCGGAUAUCCGUUAACCCGCUGGAUCCAAAUUUGGAUAUAGCUAUGAAAGAUCCGGCGGGUAACUGGUCGGAUCCGAAUCCAAAAUUUCUAUUUCGGAUCCGGAUCUAGGUCGAUCCGCUCCAGAUUCGGUCCAUUUACAUGUCUACAUAUACAUGGUGGUCCUUAUAUGUGAGUUGUAAUGAAUGGCUAGGAUUGCUCAGUGUAUUUACACAUGGUGCAUAGAAAAAUUUUGCACUAAACACACCCCCUUAGAUGGAGGUCUCCCACUUUAGUCCUUGUUGUAUUGGGUUUGGGCUUCUCCCUUUAAUGAAAUCUUCUCAUUCUAAAUAAAUAGCCUAUUAGUUGUUAGGAUCAGAAUCCAUUCAUAAAAGGAAAACUAUGAAAUAAAGGGAAAUAUAAGGAAAUAAACUAAAGAACAUUCAUUCAUCCAUACUGAUUUAGAUAGAUUACAAACUUAUAAAGAUGGAGUUCUAUGUUAUAAUCAAGGAGAAUAAUUUUCUAUGAUAACUACCUACCUAUAUAGACUAAAUGGGCUCUUACGGUUUGGGCUAAGCCCGUUACAUAAUACAACAUACACAUAUCUGCAUAGAUUCGUGUUCCAUCAAUAGUCUUCCAUCGUAGAUUUUUCCCCAAACUCGGAGAACAGCAAUUGGACUUGUAAGUAACUCUCUCACCCUCUUUUACUUGCUUGCCUGAUUUCUUCGUUGAAGAGGAUCUUGUCAGAGAAUUAACCUUUCUUCCGAUUCAUCCAUAAUUUGUCUUGAAUUUGAUUUCUGCUGUUAAACUCGGGUAAACAACAAUGGACAUGGUAGAGGAGGAACAAUACUAUUGUUGCGAUGCGGGGCAAUUCUAUGGGGUUGCCGCACCCGGUAAGAGACGUUGGAUCAGAGCACCAUUUGCGCCCAUCAAUCUUCGGCUCUUCAACCUAAUUCAUACCUGUCGUCGUUGGGUUGAUCCAUCUGGCCUCGACUUUGUUCCCAUCAGAUUAAAACUCUACCACCAAACACUAACCAUCUCCAGCGAUGGAGUCCCCCUUUAUGGUUUACCAAAUUGGAUGGAUGAAAGACGAUUUCAGAUCCCUGUGUCUGAUUUCCAGGUAUUAUCCAAAAGGGAUGAGUAUACACGCAUCCUUGCAGGCUAUCUUGAUAGCCUAAACGUCCCGGAAGAUGAGCAGUACGAUAUUAUUGGAAGAAUAUUUGGGGUGAUCGAGCAGGCUCUCCCUGGGGUGCCCAUUAUUGCCAGGGUAGUGUAUAUGACUCUGCAACUAUCAAGCUAUGCAAUUAUGUCAUAUAUUGAGGGUUUGGUUGAAUUGAGAGUCGAUAGUCUGGAGGAUAGACAUACACUUUGUGCUAUUUGUAGGGAGGACCUUGAUCACUUUGGAGGGAAAUAUAAUGAUGAGCAGAUGAUUAUUCGCUUGCCUUGCUCGCACCUUUAUCACAGAGAUUGCAUUGUCCGUUGGCUGGGGAGGUGUGAGGUGUGCCCCUUGUGUCGACACUUUAUGCCUGUUGCGGAUGUGGAUGCAUCACUAGAAUACUUGGAAGCUGAGCCGCGUUGGCCUAUGCUGCUCAUGAUGUCUGCUGCGGGUAUGGUAACUGCUGCACUUAUUUGCAGAUUAUUGAAGCGAGCUUGACAAUGUUGAUACUUGCGCAUCUCGCAUAGCCGCCUCUCUAUGUUUAUUUAUUUUACCAUUGCCCUUGCAUUUGAAUUUUUCUGUUCAUUUUUAAACAACUCUGUGAUUGAGUAGAUGAGGAUAGUGUAUGUUAUUUAUCACAAACCUUUCUAUCCUUUCUCAAGAUAGUAAUACAGUAGUAGAAACUACAGGUCUAGCUGGUUAAUAUGGUCAUCUGUACAUUAAUUAUUUUAACUAUGUGUUUAAGUGUUGCUUUUGAUUCAGCCAUUAUUCAUGUUCAUGUCUGGAUUUCCUGAUCUUCACUGCAUAUCUACAGAAGAAAUGGAGAGAGGCGGAGUGUGAGUGUGAUAAUAUCAGAUUUAUCAUCAAGUAUACAUAUGGCAUGGAGAACUAGUCUGUGGUGUUGGAUUGUACACUGUCAAGUGCUCCAAGCCUGAUAACUGUAGUUAGUGUUCCUUAUGCUUUGUUUUAAUCUGGUAGGUCAGUAAUUUCUUGAAAAAGAUCUGGUAUGUGACUUGAUGUUGUACCUGUGAACCCAAGGUAGUCAUCUCCUCCAACAUAUCCAGUAUGCGACUGUGAUGCUUGUUUCGGCUGUAGAAUUACAAGGUUGUUUAUGCAAAUAUGCCUUUUUGUGCUUUGUUAUGGUAUUAAUGCAUAGCUAUGGUGUGUAAAUCUUAGACAUGCUUUCAUGAAAUAUCGUGGCUGGUUUUCUCACUUAUAUGCUGUGGUCUAUGUCUAUAGAAGCAGCAGUAGGAAUAGUCUGGCCAAGGUCAGCGUUAUAAUGUGCUUGAAAAUUAGAUUCCCACCAGAUGCUACAGUUUUGAUCCUCCGAGUAUCUGUAGGCGCUUUGAUGCCAUCUGCUGUUUUUGAUAACUGCAGCUUAAAAACCAGCUCUCCGAGCCUUGGCUUGUGCAAUUAAAACUUCUCGGUUGCCAAUAUGCUCGGUAGAAGCAACUGGAUGACCAACCCAACUCAGUUUAGUAUAGAUGUUUGAGAUAGUGUUUGAAUAACAUAGUACUUGGCUGAAUGAUCUUUGUGUGUUGAUGAUUUUUGAAUCCCAAACGAUAUCAGGGAAAAUACAUAAAUAUACGAUGAAAUACAUAAUUAGAGAAUAUACAUGGUCAACAAUGGACAAUCGAGGCAUGUACAAAGGCACAAAAUGUUCAAAGCUCUGAGACUUCUAAAGAAUUUCAUAACAAAACAACCUUGAAUUACAAGGGAACUUAUACAAAAUAUAUAUCCAACUCAUUCUUGGAACUCUACCCUUUUUUCAAUGAAAAUCACUUGUUUUCCUCUCCUCAACCUGUCCCAACUUGAAACCACUUCCUCAAUCCUCAUCAAGUUUCAAACCACCAUCCCCCUGCAAAACUCCAAAUCGGACAACUCCACUCACCAAAGGAAUUGACUCAUGACUGACUCAAAAACAAAAACUCCCCUUAUUUCCAUCAUCAAGCUUAAUCUUAAGUUGAAUAAAGAUUUUAUCUGAACUUUAGUAGUCCAUUCUGCAUCUACAAGAACAACUCCAACUGCUGCUGACAACAUCUGCACUUGUAGCUUAUCAAGAAUCCAGGAUUCAAGGUAUGAACAACUAGUUGAUAUCGGACAUCGUCUAAGAAUUGAAGGUAACCUGCCAACAAAAAGUACUUCAUCAAAUUUAGCCAUAUCUAGCAUCUAAUGAUAGCCAUUUACAACAUUCAACUCCCUGUUCCAAAUUACCCCAAACAGACACCCAAACAGAAAGUAACCCCUUCAUGUUUCAGUUAAUAGAUACCGAAUCACAUAAUUUCAGUACAAUAAAUUUACUUGUAGUUUCUCAGCCUGAUUAUACCAUACCGACUUCAAUCAUCAUAUUUAUACCAAGCUUCAUGAUAUAUGGGUCCCCGUCGUAUAUAGUAAGUUUACAUAAAAUACACAUACACACAAUUAAGAACGUCCUUGAACUAAAACAAGAAAAUUCUUUAAAAACUUAAACAUUACAUCCUCAAAAACAAAGCCUAUUCUAAUAAGGGAGCUACUCAUCCUACAAGCAAAACAAAUUGUAAACCCAAUGGAAUAACUAACCCAACCUACAAAAUAAUAUACAAGCCCCCAAAAACUAGGCAAUAUAGGCAAGUCCCGAAGUUAAAAUAGAGGAUCAUAAAUUCAAAUAGUAAACUCAAUGGCCCAACCUACAAAGCAACUAGGUACAAGACUGUUAACAAAAGGCAACACACUGAACAAAGACAAGAAAUAAAAUGAUCUGCUUGAUUAAAAUUCAGCUAUCAAAUUUGAAUAGAGUCACAUGAUAUAAGAAUGUAAAAAAUGAAAGUGAAAAAUCUUGCAAGGCCGAUAUGCUGAAAAUAUAAUGCAUUCUCAAAUCACUAAUAACACAAACCAUUUUGUUGUGAGAUUACAUGAAAAGAAUGAUAUGCAUAAGACAUGAAGAGUUGGCGCAGAAAGGCAACCUCAUCAUAUGUUUACGAGCAGCCUAAUGCAAAGCAUCUUUAGCAGGGAAAAUUUAAUUUGGACUAGCAUCAUCUGCAUUGUUCUGCACACGAUAUCAUUUAAACAAAGUUCUACCACCUAAACUGGAAGACAAAAAUGAUUUUUUAGAAUAGCUGAGUAGCUCAAAAGUAAACUGGAAAUUAAAAAAAGGAUAGCAGCCAACGGAAACCCAUUGGCUAGAUUGAGCAUUGUAAUCAGUAAUGUUUAUCAUAAUUUCAUCUGUCCAAAACAAGGGGAAAGACUCCCCCUUAGGAAACAAGGCAAUUCUAAAAAAUCCAACAUUUGUUUUUGUUCCUAGGGUCGACGCCUCAAGAGUUUGCAAAGAACCAUAACAGUUACUAUACCGGUUGCAGCCAGCAUGAGCAACAAAGGCCAAUCCAGUUCCUCCAAGGGUUUUAAUGGCUCACCAAGAAAAGGCAGUGGGUGACUACAGAUGGGACACACAAGCUUACGAUUCACCUGCAAAAGCUGAACAAGGCAAUCUACAUGAAGUACAUGCAAGCAAGCAGGCAAGCGUGUAAUCCCUUCUUCUGCAUCAUAAACGUGAUCAAGCCUCUCACGACAACCAAAACACGACUCCUGUGUAACGGUGGAUUCCAAACUAUCAGGUCUCACUCUGUUAAGAAGGAGGCGAUAAGUUGAUUUAGUUGGAGGAGCCACAGACUUGCCCAAUACUUUAACAGCGACUUCUGUUAUUAUCACAGUGAUAGGCAACCCGUAGUCAUCACCCACUUCAAUAACGUCAUACAUAACUUGAUAUAUCUGUCGAAUAACUUGCCCGCAUACAUAAUCUGGGAAGCCGAGGGUGAAAACAUAACCGGCAAUGAUCUCGGAAUACACAUCCCUUCUUGCUAUGGCAUCUGAGAUAGGGACCAUGAAGCGCCUUUCGCUCACGAAGUUGGGUUUUCCAACAAGUUUGAUUGGGGAAUGGAUGGAGAGACGGGUUGCGGAUCGGUCAAAGCGCUGUAAAUGGAUGUGGAUCAUGUUGGCACUGCGUGGGUCAAACAGACGACGAAAGGGACGAGUUAGCCUGAAGAACACAUAUUUGAGCAGAGCAUUGCUUCCUUUGAUGUAUGUACCAAUUGGGUUCCACUGUAACGCGAAGCUGGACUGGUAAUAGAAUCGCCUCUCCAUGCUCUUCAACAACCGCCCGCGUAGUAUAGGUAACUUCAGAUGAACGGAAAUUAAAUCAGAAUCAAAUCACUUUGAGAUCUAUAGAUCAAUCAAUUAGGGGUUACUACACAGCUACGACUACUCUUCACAAUAACAAUAAGGUCAAAGAGCAUGGAGAUUCUCAGCAAAACGUAUUGGGUGGGAGAUUUACUUACAAAUUUCAGCAACCGACUCCCAGCUAUCCCAAUCUUCAGAUUCGGUCACCUGGUACAAUAAUCAUUAGGGUUUUGUAAGGGAACUGAGGAAGAAGAGGGAGACCAAGAUGGAGAAGAAGAAACUGAAAAGUACAGCGGAAGAGAAUGAUGAUUGUAUUAUAGAAUAAAUCUCUGUGUACAUAUAAUCUAAUAUAUAAAAAAAUUAUAUAUAUUCCUAUUACAACAUUGAUAUCAGAUUAUAUACUGAUCCAUAUAUACAAAUUUAUAUUUUUAUUUUUCAUCUUAAUACAUACCCACUUAAUAUAAUAACACGUGUCUUUCAUCAGAAUCAUGCCAAAUUAUACUUAAAUCAAUUUGUUUUCUCUAAUUUCUGAUUCAAUUUUGUUUCAAAAUUGUCUAAACUACCCUUUUCUUUUAUUAAGCAACAAAUUUAUAACUAUUCUGUCAAUUCUUCUCCUUCCUCUACCCCGUUUUUUGUCUCUACAAAUUCUGGGUCUGUGUCUCAUUACUUCAACUUCAACACCAUGUGAGAACGAAGAAGAGAGCUUGUCUCUCUUCAAUGUAACCCCACCUUCUAAAGAGUCCAUCUUUAGCUAGGUUCCCAUUAAUUUCCAGUCACCCACAUUUAAUAGAACUCAUUCUUCAUACCAUAAUCAAGAUUGCAGUUUUUGGAAAAGAAAAAGGUUUAGAUUUGGUUGUUAGUUUGUAAAGGCAACGAGGGUAAGAUGAUGAAAUCAUUGCUCUUUUUUCUUUCUUUUUUUCCCGAAAUGAUGAAAUCAUUGCUAUGGGUAUUAUAAUGGGUCUGGGUAUCAGUGAGACUACCGGGCAAGAGCUUGAGUACCCAGUUUUGAAACUGAGCGUCAUCAAGAUAGGCACAAUGGUAAAUGGGUUUCGUAGAAAUCUUAGAGAAAUAUAAGGUGAUGUUCACACUUUUAAUGCCAAAGGAAUACGUUACACCGGUAAAUUAAAUUAAAAGCAUAACAUGUGUAUUCUCGUCAAAUUCCAACUUUUACAACUACAUGCUCUCUAUUAAAUUAACAACAUGCUUGAAAUUUAAAAUUUUCGAAAUAGGUUGGUAUGUAGUACCUAGAUGCAUGAAUGACCUUAUUUAACUUAUUUUGAAAUUUGAGACAUAACACUAUCUUGAAAUUCAAAAAUUUGUUGUCUUUUUACUUGAUAUCUCACUUAACACAUUAUCAUCUCCAACAUGAUUAAUACAGGCUGGUCUCUAGCAGUAAGUAUCAAACCGUUAAAGUCACACAGAUAUUUAAAAGCAUAUCACACUUCAACCUACUGGUAAACGUAAAUCUACACCAGUUAUAGGAUCUUUUCAAACAACCAGUUAUGUGCAGGUUUGAUCAACUUCUUCAACUUGUUAAAACAGAAACAUUGUUCAACUUCUCCACCUUUGAUGCAUUACUCCACCAAAUCUUCAAUGUUCAUUCAUCUCAAGUGUAUUCUUCGGCAUAACUACACCAAGUCGGCAAUUCUGCAUUCAGAUUUUACCAUUUCAGUUUUCAAAUACAGUUUUAUCAGACAAAUGUUAAAAUGCAACAUAACUAGCAUGAAUCAGUACAAUGGAAAAGUGGAACAAUACAGGCUUUAAACAAUACAAAAAUGAUGCUCAAAACUUUGUUUGAGAAAAGUUCAUAAGAUAUCAGGGAGGACACGUAUAGUAGAUAAGAAAAGAGAAACAAAACAAAUCUCAAAGCCUGAAGCAGCUAUCCUAAUCAGUGGAGUUUUUCCACGUACAGAGCAAUCAACGAAUUACUCAGAAUUUAUUAGUGGAUCUUGGAUGCCCUUUUUUCAAAAAUGACUCAGAGGUAAUGUACAACAGUCACGAAAAGGAAAGUCGUAAAAAUAUAUCUUAGACUCCAAAAUUGAAAGCUCAAAUUGAUCAACAGUAGGACUUUUUUUCUGAACCACAUCCAACAGUAUAAAGAAUCAUCAUGAUAGAUGAUUAAUAACUGCCAUGCCACCAUAACCCCAUGAUUAAUAUACAUUCUGAAAUAGGAACUGAAUUGAUGCAAAAAAAGAACUUACUAACAGUGUGCAAUUAUCAGAUAUCAAACUCACAAAGCAGCUAUCAACACAAGAAUAAUCAUCUUGAAUCAUAGUUAUGUAACACAGCAACUAUAAAAAAAAUAUAUAUAGAAUUACCUUUCUAUUGCUCUGCUGCCCCUGCAUUAGGCUCAUUUAAUCAUUUUCAUCUGACCUUGGCAUCAUAUAGACUAAAUUGCGCUGUACACGGACUGAAGACAGAAAGGUAACUUGCCCAUGAAAGGAGACAUUCCCAUAGAUGUUGUGGCCACUUUGGGCAGGAGGCGGUGGGGGAGGGUAGAAAUAGUGUAUGACGUUUGCUAAAAAGAGUUGCACAAGACUCAAGAGGUACCUUGUAGCCGCCCACCCAAGAAAAAAUAAGUGGUUCACUGUGGCAACACCUAAGUAGUGAACCACACAUAACGCAACAGCUUUCAUUCGAGGGUUCAAGACUAGAAAAUGAGACCAAAGAAAUCGUAACCAGCUCAUAACCAUCCGAUAGAAGCUGUGAGGAUAUGGAGGUAACAGAAAAAAUGAAUCAAUGUGGUUUGAAAGUCGGUUUGCAGCAUAGGAGACUACAUACGAGGGCAAGAUUACACUCAUGCUGUUGGUAACUAGGGAUUGUGAUGAUAGCUGGGAAUCACUGACAAAAGGAGCUUCAAAGUGAGACCACGAUAUGUCAAAGGCAUACAUCACUCCCCCCACGAUGAGAAUAGAACAGAUCACACAUCCACCCGUCCACAAUAUACGUCUCCGACGUGCUCUGGAAACAACCAUGGAAGAUGGAACAAAAAUCAGUUCCAGCAGGAAUGUUUAUUAUUUAACAAUAUGCAGCAGUAGGCACAAACAAGACAAGUUUAAAUCGAGCAAUAGUAAAAUCAUAUCUCUGGUGCAAUAAAUAAAGAGUAAAAUUGAGUCUCACAAUUAGAGUCUAAACAGAAAUAGGGAUAAUUGAACUUCACAUCACUGUUGCAAUAUGUAGAUUUAUCCUCUAAUGCCAAAGAAUUUCUACACAUGUAAGUUUACUCUAUGACGUAGGCUUAAUGGUUUUAGAACCAUCAGCCAUUGGUGAGCCCGUGGAUCCAUUUGCAACUCCUUUAGAAAAUAUUUCCCAUAUUUAAAAUCUUCAAAAGGUGCCAAAGAAGUUAUUAACACCUUUUUGGCAAAUCUUAAUAAUUUCCAAAAAUCCAUUGUCUUAUAGUGUCAAAAACUAUGUUCUACGGAGUGGCCCUUAUUAAGUCAGGAUACGGAUUGCAUGAAAGAAAACUGAUUGAAACUUUGUGCUGGGAAGCACCGCUCGGUCUACCGCUUCUCUUGCUGUGUUUGAAAGCUUUUUGAAAGAUAUUACCCCCACCAAUUCUUUGCCUAAUAAACUUCCCACUUUAGCCUAAACUUUUUAUUUUGCACAGCAACAGGCAUCAAAGAAUUACUGAAAUAGGAAGUAAAUAUGUUAUCCUCAGAACCAUGAUAGAAAAAAUCACUUACUCAUCCUCAGAACCAUGACGUCGUACAGGUCUACGUCUGGGGGAGAGGUGAACGAGAGAGAAAAUAGAGGGAAAUUCAGUCCGCUUCCACUGCUUUAUUAUUCUUGAAAUUAAUGAUGGAGCCUUACUGCUAUCAUUUCCAUUCGCAUCCAUUCCUUUGAAAAGUUGCAAUCCUAACAGACAAUGUGGUGAGUUUAUUUAACAAUGUGGUGAAUAUAUUACAGAGAACGAAGUUUAUCUGAGCUUAGUCUGGAAAGUGACGAAAUGCUUUCAAUUACACAACUCAAGAACAGGUACGGAAGAGUAGAAUAUAUUUUUGAAGUUAUCUCUUUUUCAGAAAAUAUUUGAGAUCAGUAGGAAUAAAUUUUGCAACCCUGAAAAUCUCAAACAGCAAAAACAGUCAAGGAUGUAUACCUCAAUAUCAAAAAGUAGCUCAGCUAGUUCAAAACACAGAAAAACAUAAGACGCAUAGAUCAUCAAAUGACACAGAAACUGAAGCAUAAGCUAUGCAAAGCCAAAGAGCAAAAACAGUAAAGGGUAUAUACUUGAAAAUCAAGAAGUACCUCAGCUAGUUCAACACACAUAACAAAAACAUACGACACAUAAAACAGCAAAUGACACAAGCUGAAGCAUAAGCCAUGUAAAGCCAAAGAGCAAACCUGCCCCAAGAUCGAUUCAGCAAAUCCUAAGAUUAUCAACAUGAAAAUUCUAUUUACUAAAUCCAGCCAUGGGAUCAAGAGGAAGCAGAUUAUAAUGGCAUACGGAGUCUUACGGUCAAACAACUACAACUAUACAGACUGAUUAAGUAAGAGGAUCUGCUUACUUCAAUUUCACUGUCUCUCACACUUUCUCUAAGCCGUAAAAACAAUUCUACAUGACCGGUUAACAACCAUAGCAGUAAACAAAAUCAAAUGUCUAUUCCGGUAUUUGCAGGACCUCAAAAUCAAAAGAUUCAAUUGUCCAAAUCCAGACAAUUGAAAUCAAUACAGCGCUUUGAUGCAGAUGUUUAUAGCUUACACACAAUUAACCAAACCAGUGUAUCAAAUCCAUUCUCACUAAAGCAGUAACUAAUUGAUAACAUAUACUAGACAAUUAAAAACGCUAAAAACAGAAAAGUAGACGAACCUGGGUCGGCGUCAAAUUGGGGAAAGUUUUUUUAAUCUGCACUCUUAGAUUCGUGAAUCUUGAAGGUCUCACUCAUCCUAGAAACUCGAAAUAUCAACUCGCUGCAACUCGCUGAAAUUAGAAAUCGAAUUUCAAACCCUAACAACAAAUUGUGGCAAGAACACGGAAAAAAUGUCCGAGGUUAUGUGACGGAGAGAGUGAUGGAAGAUUUACCGAAAUAAGCUUUGGCCGGACUGGAUUUGGAGCGGCGUUAGGCGGUGGUGGUCGGAGUUGUUUACCGGAGCUGGUUCCUCUGAUCUUGAAGCUCGUCAACAAUGAAGAUCAGCGGAAAGGGGAGAGAGCUCAGAGACGUGAUCCAGGAGAUAUAUAUACUCGACUGUCAUGGGCUCUUUCGACUUUUCGGAACAAAUUCCGCUUGAAAUGUCUACUCUACCCUCACGUCGCAAUUGGACAAGCGGUGGUUAUGCCAGUGAUAGUGAUGCUAGUGAGGGUAUAGAAGACAUUUCACUUAAAAAAUCUACUUGAAGGUCUUGUUUGCCCUCAUAUGUUAGAGGCUUUGGGAUUUUCCCUCCAAACCGUUUUUUGAUUAUUUUGACUCCUUUUUCUAUAUAUGGAGCUUCCCCCUCAUAAUUUCUUCAUCUCUAUUCAGCCAUACCGCUCUAGAAAAAAGUAGGAAAAAAGGCCAAGUUGACGGCUCAUUUGUAUGAGUAAGGUUAGGGUGUGUUAAUACAUGUGAUGCAUCAACUUUGUUCUAAAAUUAUAAAAUGAGUCUUUAAAGUAGUAAUAUUAGUCCUCGAUGUUGUAAUAUAAGUCCUUAAAGUUGUAAAAUUUUAUAAGUACAACAUUAGUCUUCAUAUGUUCUUAAAGUGACAAAAUAUGUGCUUAAAGUGGUAAUUGAGUCCUCAAAGUGAUUAAAAAAAGUUGUUACAUCUUUGAUACUCAUAUUACAACUUUAGGAUGCCCUUCUAGUGAGGACCCUUAAGUUGAGGACUUGGUGAGGACUUUUCGGCUUAUCCCACUUUUCGAUCUUAUAUCUACAUCUUAACCGUUCAGUUUAUAGGUAUUUAUGAGUAGAUCAUUUCUGUAAAUUUUCAGCCAUAUUGAAAAUCGGUAAGACAUUCAUAGGUGUGAUUUACCAAUUAUAUGAACUUGAACUGUUCAUGUUUGACAAAUUUGGUUCGUCCAUUAAUUUGAUCUAGUUUGUUACCUUAACGAUAACCGAUUUAGCUGAAAAUUUGUAGGGCUGAUCUACACAUAUAAACCUAAAAACUGAAAGGAUAAGAUGUCAAAAUAUGAUCGAAAAUUGGGUCUUUUAAACCAUAAACUGAAAAAUCAUUACCAAGUCCUCAACUUAAGGGUCCUCACUAGAAGAGCUCCCUACAACUUUAAGGACUCAUAUUACAACUUUGAGGAAUAAUAUUACUAUUUUAUAUCACAAUCAAAUUUCAAUCGUUUCACCAAUUUAACCAUCAAUGCAAAACAAAUCAAGCAUGAUAAUCAUUAAAAAUCCAUUAGCAAUUACUUAAGGUAUCAAUCAAAACAUGUUUGUUCUCAUCUCAUGACCAUAAUAUUCCUGUAAAAGUUCUUACUUAUAACAAUGGUUAGAAGACUCUUGAGACAACUAAAAAUAAAAAUAAAACUAGACUCUCUCUUUUUUUUUGAAUUUUUGAAUAAAAGUAUUGAAAACAACCCUAAAAUCACAAAAACAAAACAAAAAUACGAAAUCCCUACCCCGAAACUUAAAUUGAGCAUUGUACGCAAUGUGAAAAAAUUUCAGCACAGUACGAGGAUUGCAACACAGCUUGCAAUCCCGAAAUAUAGCAAAACGAAACAGUAAGAAAAAUAUGGGGAUAGAGCUGUAAUACCCCGUUAAAUCGAUAAUCUUUGAAAUGUACUANNNNNNNNNNNNNNNNNNNNNNNNNNNNNNNNNNNNNNNNNNNNNNNNNNNNNNNNNNNNNNNNNNNNNNNNNNNNNNNNNNNNNNNNNNNNNNNNNNNNAGCACCGCAUUAAGGCGUGACGUGAGCGUUGGACGCGAGCGUAGUAGCCCUAUAUAGACCCAUGAAUUUAUAUAGGGAGUAUGGACGAGUGUAAAUACAUACAUAUAUUAUAGAGUCUGAGAGGCUCGAUAUUUUAUGGGAUAAAGGUUUUAUCGCUUGCGGCAUGCAUUCGAUUUUUCCUUAGAAAUUAAUUUGGGGAAACAUAAAUAUUUUAAUUAUUAAUUUAUUUUUGUCCACUCACUCUAACGUUAUUAAAUGUUUUCCCCUGGGCCCUUCGUUUUAAAUUGCCCAGUCUGCAGAGUUCGGGUUGGAUCUAGUAGGAGACGAGGCAUAGUCACCCGCUUUUUGGCCAGUUUUCAUCAGUAGGUUACCUGUUCAACCUACUCGUGUUUUCUUGCUUCCGUUUGUGUUUAGUAGCUCUGAAUACUUUAGAAUUUUGUAUAUUAUGUGAUAUUCAGAAGCGUUAAAUUAAGAGUGUAAUAUGAAAUUUUCCAGUUAGGGUUGUCCAUCUGCAAGGGAGAUUUGCUUAAUCUUUUUAGUAAAUUUUCCUUGGAGGUGGUCCCCGCACGACUUACUCUGGGUUUCAGGGUGAAAUUCGGGGUGGGUCGUGUUACUAAAGGAAUAAGAGGAGCGUGCCCAGCAGCAAAUCCAAGAGGUCUAGCAGCGUGUCCUGCGUGCCGAGUCUAUGUAUAGUGCUGUGCAGUCCCAAGUUGCAGCCAUAUAUAGGCACCUAGGUAUGCCACCUCCUCCUCCUCCUCCACAAUCUUCUCCUCCUCCACAAGUUUCCCCACAAAACAAUGAUGAUGAUAGAGGCGACGACAUCGGAUUGGACGAGAAUGCCAAUUGGCAUUAUUGAUUUUUGUAGUACUUCAUUCAUAAUUUAGGUAGCUAGAUAGUAUGUAUGAACAAUUUUCUAGCUAGUUCAUUAUUUUGUAUAUAUGAACAAUAUUUGUCCAUCUAGUUAUCAUGAUCAAUAUAUGAAUAUGUUUUCCAAAUCCAGUGCUUCCUCCCUGUUGUAUCUGUAUGUGUUUGAUUAUUUUUACUGAUUUAUAAUUCAGUGCUUCCUCCCUGUUGUAUCGAUGGAAACAGUAAAAUUCGUCUCCCAAGAUAAACCACCUAGGCAAUGGAAAAUGAAACAUUCGUCGCCUAAGAUAAACCACCUAUCCGACGAAUACAAAGAAUGAUCAUAAACUAAGAACUGUUAUGAAUUCGUCGGUUUAAAACUCUGCCGACGAAUAUUUAAUCGCUUAAGGACAAUGCAUUAUUCGUCGGUAAACAUACUUACCGACAAAUCUUUCGUCGGCUAAUAACAAUUUCAUUUUCGUCGGCUAAGAGGCUUUCCGACGCAAAUGUUCCGUCGAUAGAGGUUUUUAUCGACGAACAAGUUUGUCGACAAGGCAGGAAAAGAUCCGUCCGGUAGGAUUGCUCUUAGUCAACGACUAACUUUGGUUCCGUCGCCUAAGUGUCUACCUGACGACACUUAGGCGACGAAACUUAGUCGACAAAUUAUUCGUCUGCCAAGAACCUAGGCGAUGAAUACUUAGUCUUAGGCGACGAGUUGUUUCCGUCGCCUAGGAAGAGAUUUCCUGUAGUGUGCCUACUUCGCCUUCUGUUGGUUCUCUCGGGGACACUUCCUCUGCGCAGGGUAGUUCCGGGAGGAGGAGAAUAAGUUAGCUUUGUCUAACAAGUUGACCUCGCUUAUAGAUUAUGGCAUUAAAAUUGCUUAGGGUACCUAGGUUCUUAGGUCUUAAGUUUUCUGGGUUGUUUUGUCGCGGUUCUUUUCUUUGGUACCAUCGUGUCUUUGCACUCUUAUUUUCAUGUUUCAAUGGAAUGACGUUUUUUAUCCAAAAAAAAAAAAACCUUUCAACAAAUUAAGCUAAAUAAAUAGAUUUGCUGUUGGAGAUGCCCUAAUGGAUGAAGAAUGGGAGUUAAUACCUAUGAGGCUAUGAAACCACAAAACACAUGUUUUUAUGUUUAUAUUUAUAAAGAGUACCUAGAUGUCGGUUUUACCAUCAUAUUUAAUUGAAAAGUUACGGGAGAACCAAACUGUCAAAUAAAGCAUAACUUGAGGUAUCAAAGUGUCAUCAUUUAAACAUGAGAAACUUCGAAAAUAAACCUCUUUUUGAUUGUUGAAUUGAUUUUUAACCUUGUUUUCUAAAUUUUUUAAAACUAACUAGUUAUCAGGAUAAAAUGUCCUACAAGUCCUUAUCAAAUAUCUAACUAACCCUUUCCCUCUCCUCCAUUCUUUCAGCGACAGAAACUCGUCACUAGUGUUCGUAGAUUUUCUUGUUGGUUUCAUUAAUGAAAGGGUUUUAUGGGAUUCUAAAGAAGCCAAUAAUGACUUGCUCCGCACUAUACAGAAGGAAAAAUUCAAACUCUUUGAACUUAGCUCAUGUAUACAUAAGGGUUCUUGUUAGUUGUGUGUUUAGAACAUUUUUGUUCAUUUGACACAAAACUUGAACUUGAGAAACCUUUCAAAUGGAAGAUCGCUGAAAAAAAAAAACUGAGAUUGAGAUAAAGUUGGAACUUCUCAUCAACAGAUAGCUACGUCCUUGUUUAAGGAGAAAUUUUUAAGAAUGACCACUUUUAGGUGGAUUCCGAUGGUUUUAAAGAACUAUGUCAGAACUAGUAAAAAAUAUUCUCUAUAUAUAAUGGGAUAUUCUGUUGAGUCUUAAACUUAAACUAUGUUAUGUAAUGAUUCAAUUGAGAAAUAAAAGAUAACAUGCUGCCAAAAUAUAUAGAGAGAAGAGAGAGAUUAAUUAAUGAUGUUUUUGACCAUUACCGAGGGAGAAGAUAGAGAGAGAUACUUGAAAGAGAGAGGUGAUAGAUAAUUGUAGUUUAACCAAAUCAACAAUGGGCGGUUCUAGUUACACCUCCUAAUUUACUUUGUAUAUCUCUAUUAUUUUUUGUAAAAAUUUAUUUCAUGUUUUACCCUUCAAUAAAUAAACAAAGAACAUUAAUCGUUCCAAUCUGAGUACAGCCUCCUUCUCUCCCUUUCUUCCAUUUUCAUAUGUGAAUUCAUUUAGUUGAAUAAUCAACCCUUCCGUACAGUAGUCCAUAACUAGAAUUUUCCCUAAGCAAGAAGGCUAGGGUGAGUUGAUGCAUAGUAUGCAUAAACUAUUUUAAAAUAAUACAUAAAAAUGAAAAACUUGUUGUACAGGUAAACAUGUCAUCCAGUAAUAUUGUGACAUCUGUAAAAAAAUUACAAUUUUAAGGACCUUUUAAUUAGGUUCUACAUGAAUUGUUCAAAAACUUGUAAUAAGAGUCGUAAAUGUUGUAAUUACUUCGUUGUUUACCACUGUAAUUAUCACUAAAUACGUUAAAUGUGGUAUUUGUUGUAAAGAUAUCAUGAACGGUGUAAUUUACUUAUAAAAAGACCAUAAUUACAUAAAAAAAACUAAUUUACAAGAUUAAUUAACGACUUCAGAUAUUUUAGGUCUAAUUAUUAAUAUUUACAAUAUUCGUUGUCACUAGAUGUAAAAUUAUCGUUCUUUUUGUAAAAAUGAUUGUAUUCCAAGUAAUAUCAAGAAUACGACCAUAAUUACCAGUUAUACCUCAGUUGUUGUAAUUUAUAGUAAAACACGUUGUAUUAUGAGUAAUUAUCUCAAUUAUAACAAAAUUUACAUAAAGUAAGGUAUUAGUUACAUGAUAAAGGACUUUAUUACACAAACAACUUAUUUACCAUAGGUGCAUCAGUUUUACUACUCUUACGACAAUUUGUUGUCAGAUUGGUAAAAUGGUUAUCGAACUUGUAAUUGAAAAAAUUACUAUAAAUACAAACUUGAUUACUACUUUUUUAAUAAUUUGUCGACUUAUGAAUCAAAUGGUACUCAUACAAAGAAUUACCACAAAAUCGAUCCUGAUUUACUUUCCACCUAAGUUGUUGAUAAACUAUGUAGAAACGUCGUCACAUAAUUCAAAACUCGGAGGACAAUAAUUACAAUAUAAUGAUCUCAACUACACCCUAUAAAGGACUCAACGAUUACUCAUAUUAUUAACAGUUUACUAGUAUAACAACACAUUCGUUGUUUUAUUGGUGUACAUGUUCUCUAAACUUGUAAUGAUAAAGUUUGAACACUUUUACCAUGAUACAUUAUCUCGAACCGUUUCGACUUUUUUUUUCUUUUAUUUAAGAUAGUCGAAUCGGUAAUCUUCAAUCGUUACAGUGAAGUUUGACACUAUCAUGAACUGAUUGAACGCUUCAAUUACUUUAUGCUUGUAUCUGAGCACAACCCCCUCCUAUAUAUGCCCUUUAUGUAGGUACAAAUUCUUGUAGGCAACAUCAAGGUAGUCCUGGUUUGAUUUUUCAGGUUGAAGAACACUCUUCAUGAUCUCAUAGAAGAAUAAUGGAACAAAUAUUUGGAGACACGACUGGUGAAUCAACACCUUUAGGGGUUGUUUUCAUAUUUUGGACAUAACCCACUUGAGCGAGUUCAGAGCAGAUGCCCAUCCAUCCGCAGCUGCUGAAGCAUGAUGAUUGUAUAUAUGCACUGGUGCUUACCAUGGAUAACAGAUACUUGGAAUGAAUUGUUCAUAGCGCAGUUAAAUAAGGUCACAUUGAUAACAAAGUUAAUCUUGUGUGUGGAGGAUUCUCAUUUCUUUUUGCAUUGCCAGUUGACUCUCCUACCACAAAGCUUCAAAAUAAGUAAUUAACCAUCUGAUCACACAGAACAUAACCAUUCGUUUUGUAAUUCAGUAAUUUAUUGAUGAAGAAGGUAACUCCUACUUCCGGUCAAAAGCCAAAGAAGUUUGGAUUACAAUCGGAAAAGUCGAAGAGCAAACAUUCGGGAUUUGGUACACAUCUUAAUACAAGAAUCUAUACUAGGAGGAGAAACUUAAUUGACCUCCAUGGUCCAUCCCUUCUUGUCCUCGAGACGACCAGUUUGGAUCCCUGAACUCAUACAUCGGUGUGUACAUCAGCAAGGAGCUUCUUGCUUAGACUGGCGGACUUGGCAAACGGGCUUCUCCUCUUUCUCCUUUCCUCUCGUCUUCUCCUCUUCCACCUUCCUCUCGUCCUCUCCUCCUUCACGUUAAUUAGGGUUUCUUUAAGCAAACACAACAAAAUGGUAGUAUCAGAGAAAAAAUUGACGAACUCGACUUCUCUCUUCUCUUCGGACUCAACUUCUCUCUUUUCUUCGACUUCUCUUUUCUCUUCGAACUUGAUUUUUCUCUUCUCUUCGACCUUGACUUCUCUUUUCACUUCGAACUGGAUUUUCUCUUCUCUAUAUAUGGACUCGACUGCCUAUUCUUAAGAUUUUUUUUCAUUUAGGGUUCUGCAUACUUUGGUUCGUUUUGUUGUUGUUGGAAUAUUUGUAAGUUUUUAAUUCAUACAUAUAUAAGAUAUAAUUUAUUUUUCUUUUGGUCAUCCGCCUUUGCUCUUAAACACCCAGUGUAUCUCAUGAUCACUUCUUCUAAUACCUAAUUUUUGUUAUCAAUUCCAUUUCUUUCUUGUUAAGCUCAGCCUCUAUGUAUCUAGCAAUGACUUCCAUAACUAAAAUUGCUGGUUUGAUUUUGAACAGAGGAAUGGAAUGAAAAAGUUGAAAAGUAAUUUGACUGAGAUUUUUAAUUGAAAGCUUGCAAAAUGAUUGAGAAAGAGAAUUUUUGGGUUGACAUAUAUCAUAGAGAUGAGAGAAUGAGAAAUCGCAUCGCUGGGUAGGUUUUGGUUGCACAGAUGAAAAUGGAAGAAAGGGAGAGAAGGAGGCUCUCCUCAGAUUGGGAACAAUCAAUAUUCUUUGUUUUUUAUUGGAUGGUAAAUCAAAAAAUAAUGGAGGUAUACAAAGUAAAUUGAAAAGUGUAACUAGAACCCCCCAUCAACAAUUGAUAUAAAAAAAUUGGGAUUUAUUAUCCAUGAUGAAAAAUUGAAUUUAAAGAAGGAUGAGUGCGAAUAUUGAUACCUCAAAAUUUGCUCAGUAUACCUCUCAUUUUCUCUACACCUCUAAUUUACUUUUAAAUAUCAGCAUUUGUUCACUAGAUCUCCUUUCAAAUUCCUAAAAUAACUUUGUUUAUGUAAUUCACAAAUAUUUAAACAUAUUACUCAUUACACCUCUUAUUCACUCACUUGACCUCCCAUUCUUUUUAUUUCAUACGAAUAUUCAUUCCCAACUUCCAUUCUUUAAUUUUUUUUUUCUUUUUCACACAAACCUCCAGUCCCGACCUCCAUUUCUUGAUUUUUUUUUUACUUUUAUUUUUUACGUAAAAUGUCACCAAACCUUCAUUAUUUUACAUNNNNNNNNNNNNNNNNNNNNNNNNNNNNNNNNNNNNNNNNNNNNNNNNNNNNNNNNNNNNNNNNNNNNNNNNNNNNNNNNNNNNNNNNNNNNNNNNNNNNNNNNNNNNNNNNNNNNNNNNNNNNNNNNNNNNNNNNNNNNNNNNNNNNNNNNNNNNNNNNNNNUAAUUGAUAGAUCAUGAUUUUUGUAAAAAUAUUUUUUGCACCUUGUAUAUGUGCGUGCAGCAUGUAUGAUAACAUAAUUUUUUUCUGUCACGUGAUCGAUAUUGCUCACAGUUUUUGUUCUUAUUAUGUCAUUAUGUAAGAGGAUAUAUAUGUCAUUUAAUAAUUCAUAAUAAAGUGAGAUCAAGUGAAUAAAUUUAGAAGUCUCAAUAACCGCACUCAAGAAGGAUAUAUAUGACCUUUUUUCAUGUCAAAUAGUUAUUUUUUAAAGAAUCUAGAAAACAAGGUCAAAAAUCAAAUUGGCCACCUAAAAGUGGUCAUUCUUGAAGAUUUUUCAGUCUAAUUUGUCAUACCUCAUAUACCAUGGGGGGAAUUUACCCAAAAAAAUAAUAAUAUCAGUAAUAUAUUCUCUAUAUGAUAGAAAUAUUCAAACAAGCUAUUUAAAAUCAUUUAAUAAUAAUAAAAAAAACAAUAUUGAAUCAAAUGUUUGAGCAUAUGCUUAUUAUACAGUAGAACAUUUUUUCCAAACUUGACUGCUCUUUGCCAAAACCUGAUCAGCAUAUGACUUCAGCUUAUUUUCCAAAGAUUUCUUUACAAUUUCAUCAUGGCAGUGCCUUCGUGAUUCAAUCAUAAUUCCACAACAAUACUCGCUCAUUUCUCCAUAUUCAUAAAUACUUAAAAACACUUCUAUCUUGCAAUCAUCAUGAAGACUUUCAAAGCAUUGAUCUUUAAAUUGGUGAACAUAUGAUUUAGGUAUGGAUGAUUGAGAUGCAGUUAUGGGUUGAUUUAUGAUAUCUUCAAGAACUCGUAUUGCAACUGUAAAAGGUGUAAGAAACAUGAAUAUGACAACUAAGAAAAGCACUAAUGUUAAGUGUCUCAUAACCAUUGACAUGGUUGGUUCAAGGAAAUCUUGGAAUUGUAUUGUUUCUACCUCUUCCGUGAACACAGGACGAGAGGCCGAAUCCUUCGCACCGGGUCUUGUAACUGCACGAGCAACAAUGCGUCAGGAGUCGGGACUGGGAUGGCCCAGUCUUCGACUCUCCGAUUCUUAAGGCAUCGUUUGAUUGUUACUUGUAUAGUAGGGGAGUAUAGGAGGAGUAGUAGAACUUACCUCUUGUGGGAAUUCGUGCCUGUUUUAUAGGCUAGUGUUGGGGGUUUUGUCAUUAGUUCUUGAUGUGGGACUGUUUUGUGGUACUGUUCAGUCAUUUCCCUUUCAGGGACGUUUAGCUGCCUCAGAAUGGGUUUGGCAUGUGUAUUGCUGUUAUGUUCCCACUCUUUGGGUACCCACAGAAGGUCUGCCGGUGAUGGCUUGGCUGGAAUGGCCUCCGGCGAGUGGGUAAUGACAUGACAUUCUCGGCAUGGCCAAGUGUUUUGGCUAUGUAUUAACAAGUCCCCAAGUCCCCAGUCCGAGAGAGCUCUUAGGUGGGGAGUUAUUCCCAAGUUAUGCCAAGAAUGUCUUACCCGGGAGCUGGAGGCAUGGCGCCGAGUCCCCAAGUCCCCACGCGAGGGUCGCAAGGUGGCUAGGGUUAUGUUCCGAGAACUCGGUACGAACUUUUGCGUCAUAUCUCAUUUGUGUCAUAAAUGGCCCGUUUAUGAGGAACACGUGGUCAUUUAUGGCGAGUUUUAAGGUCGUAACGGUUUCGUUGUUUUUUUUUUUGUAACAUGCGCGUAACUGACGCUUGUGCACGGGAUCGUGGGGCGCGUCUUAAAUGCGCUGCCUGAUCGUGGUCGACGUGGUUACUCCUUGACCAUUGAGAUGGGGGAGAUCUGGACGGUCAAUGUUAAUUUGAACGCCUAUAAAUAGGGUUGGAGAAAACAGAAAGAGGGAGUUUGCAUUUCGAAAACAGAGGGACUAGGGCUAAGAGAGUGUGUUGUUCUGUUUGUGAAGGGGGGGUCUUCGGCGAACUAUGGAUCGAAACUGGGGAACAUCCAAUUUCAUCCUCGAUCGAUUGAGUGUGAGCGCUCGGCUGUUUGCAACCAGCUUCACUGCCACUACACGAAUCCAAUUUUUCAAGGUAUGAACUGGUCAAUUCUUGUUCUAGGUUCUGUUUUUGCUUUAUUUCGAAUUGAUAGGGAUAGUUUGUGUGGAUUUCACUUCAGUUGCGACUUUUCUAAGAGAGUCUAGAGUAGGGAUUGAAUGGUUUGUUAUCGGGUUAGCUAGGGUUAAGGUAGCGAGAGUCUAACAUGUGAGGAUGUAGGGUAUGACAGAUCCGGUGGGGGUGUCCAGCGAGAAGAUUGUGAUUCUCUCUAGCUCGACUGAUCCUGAUUCGGACACCUUGCACCAGUGGGAAGAGGAAGUGAAUUAUCUUAUGGCGAAGGUUGCCCUUGACUUAGGGGAGGGCAUUCUCGCUACGGAUGCUGGGUCUCACGUGUCCUCGUCUGAUCCUCUAUUGCAGGAGGUAGAAGAGUUUAGCAUGGCGAGAUCUCGGGAGGAUGACGAGUCUUUUUGGGAUCCGCCUGGCGAGAGUAUGACAUCGUCAGAGUUGAAGGCACUCCGGGAGAAUUGGAGUAUCCCCAAGGAGGUCUUGUUGCGGCCUCUCGGGAGGGGUGUUAAUUUCUGGGAUCCCCCGAACAACUUUACACUGGUAUACGAGUACCAGCUACGAUGCGGAUUGAUGUUCCCGCUAUCCCCGUUUAUGCAAUACACUUUAGCGUGUUUGCAUGUCGCCCCGGGGCAAGUUACCCCUAAUAUGAUGCGGCAGAUUCUAGGAACAAGGGUGCUUUUCCAUUUGCUGGGGCAAGAGUUCCCCAAUUGUGAAGAAUUCAAUGCAUGUUGGCACAUGGCCUACUGUGCGAAGAAGGGCAACCGGGGUUGCGUGACUUUGAAGUCCCGGGGGAAAUUCAAGAUCUUAGUGGAAGACUUGCCUACCUCUACAAACGAGCGUUGGCGAUGGAAGUGUUUUCUCAUCGGGGGUUAGUGGCAGGAGUGGCAUGGGCAUCCCUUCCGGGCACCCGAGGCUUUCCAAAAAAUAGGUAUCGUUUUUUGUGUCUCGUGUUUUCUUUCUGUUUAGUCUGUUUUGCCCCUGCUGACUGCUGACUUUGUGUAGUGCCCCAAGAGUAUAAUUUAACCGGGCUGAUGGAGCGUCGGAUACGCCGGGUGCUGUGGGCAUUCAACUGUAGAAGUUCAUACCAGAUAUGCCGCUUUGGCAUAUAUAGUUAUUUCGGUUACUCCCAGGUCCCGGGUCUGUAUUUUGUUUUUUGAGUUGUUUCAUAGGUUUACACUUUUUGCCUGUGUUUUGAUCCUUACUCUGCCUGAUGCAGUGACGAUGCCUCGGGACGGUGGGUCACGGAAGAAGGAAGGACCUUACGACAAGGUUUUGAUCAGGAUGUUUUGGAUGGGUUGCUUGCAGAGGCUGCUCACGCCAAGCGGUUCGACAUUGACGUGCCUCCCUUGGUGGCGGAAGUAACGGGCUUAGGCGACCAAGAGGUGAACGACGAGGAGGUAGAAGUUGAGGAUGGUGAUCAAGGGGACGAUGAUGAACAGGUUCCGCUGGGGGAAGAAAUGUCCCGGAGCCAGUUGGGAUGGAAGAUGUGUCACUGGGAGACGUAGAGGAACCCCAAACUGGUGGCGAGGACCUCGUGACAGAGGGGGUGGAACCCCUUAGGCAGGAAUCCGAGGAGGUCGUCGUGAGGAAGACUCGGAAGAGGAAGGAGAGGGCCAAGUAGUCUCGCAAUGGCCAAGGAAAAAGGUCUCGAAGGGAAAGGCGUUCCACGAGUUCCGGGAGCCUGGCUGAGAUCACGCACGCGCUGGAGGGGACCGGGGAGGUGCAGCCUUGGCGCAAAUGGCGUAUGAUAUGCGUCACCGGUCCCGCGACAUGACCGCCCUGGAGGAGGUCAAGCCCUUAGCCGGCAUUGCUCUUGCCAGGGAGAAGUUGACCCGGGUAGGUGUUUAUGGGGUGCAGUUCUCUUCUUGUUUUGGUUUUUUUUUUUUUUUUUUUUUUUUUAAUUGUUGUUGUUGGCUUGCUUACAGGCCACCCUACUUAUGUACACGGCAAACAAGAGGGUUGUGACCCAUAUGCAGGAAGAUGCUGAGACCAAGUGUCAGCAACUGAAGGAAGCAGAAGAGAAUAACCGUGCCCUCUCGCAACGUCUGGAGCAGCUAGAGCAGGACACUGCUGUUUUCCGAGACCAGGCCACAACCUCUGGAUCUCGCGAACCCUAGCGAAGCAGCAUGAGACUUGACGUGCUACCUCCUCUGUCGCCAAAGGAAGGUUCUAUUGUGGGCACACCUCAACCACUUGCUAUGGUCGCUGCUUCUCCAAGGGCUCCACGCCCCGAGGGAUCCCCUUCAGCGCAAGUGGCAGUUUCUCAGGUUGCGUCUUCUACUGUUAAGCCACCUAAUCCUCAAGUUUCUGGUCUUGUGGCACCCCCACGGGUUGAAGGGUAAAAGGUCUCAGCGUCCAAGUCCCCUGUCCCGGAAGUGCAACAGGUGAGCUCGUUGGUGCGUCCAAAUGUGUCAGUGAGGCCUCCAACUGUGUCACGCGACUGCUCUAAGCAUGCUUAUGGGCAGAAGGUGUCGAUAAACCUCAGCCAGAGCCGCAGAUGGGGUAGCGGAUCAAAGAGUGGCGGAAGUGUGAAUAAGUCAAGCGGGGCCUCUUCCGAGGAGAAAUAGCUUGGAGGGUGUAGUUUGUAGUUAGUUUUUGUUUUUUUUUUUUUAAUUCCUUGUUUGUUCUGGAAACAAUAAUUUGGUGGCGUGUAGCCAUUUGAACAAUUUUGCUGUUUAUGAAUUGCCUGGGAGUCCAGGUUUGGCACGUUGGUGUUUAUUGCUUUUCCCUUCAAAUAGUUCAUGUUGUGAUUCUGUUCUUUGCUGGUUUGUUCCGUGUUCUCGACAUGUUAUGUUAAAAAUGAUUACAAAACGUAGCAUCUUCAUUUUAGGAUAAGCCGUUGAUGGGCAAGGUGUACAUUUGAUUUGGGCCGCUACCGGGCUUAAGUACACAAGUAACGAAGUGCUAGCUGCCAUGUUGGCUUUGGAGUGCUGAUAAUUUAAAUAUGGUAGAGGUGGAGAUGGCGAGCAUUCCAGGGACGAGGUAAGACUCGGCCAUCAGUGUCGCGGAGAUAAAAUGUAGCUGGUCCUGGAGCGUUGACUAUCUCCAUUGGGCCUUCCCACUUUGCUUUGAGUUCAGUAGGGUGAGGGAUGACCUCUUUCAUGACCCAGUCACCCACCUUUAGAGGGAGGGAAACAACUUUCAUGAUGUAGUGUCGGGCAACUUUUUGUUUGUAGUUGACAUUCCUAAGAUGUGCUCUGUCCCAGCGUUCCUCGAGGAGGUCCAUGUUGAGUCGUAGCCCCGCGGUGUUUGCCGCGGGAUCGUAUGCUAUGAUACGUUCACUCGGGACCUCCAUUUCCACAGGGAUCACCGCCUCGGUGCCAUAGGACAAGAGGUAUGAGGAUUCACCUGUAGCUGUUGUUGGGGUGGUACGUAGAGUCCAGAGGACUUUCGGGAGCUUGGCCGCCCAUAACCCUUUAGCUUCUUCCAGGCGUUUCUUCAGGUUUUGCUUGAUGAGCUUGUUUAUGGCUUCCACUUGGCCAUUGGUCUGAGGGUGUGCUGGGGAGGCAUAGAAGAUUGCGGUGCCUUGCUUAGAAAGGAAUUCCCUGAAUGUGUCAUUGUCAAAUUGCGCUCCAUUAUCUGUGAUGAUGGCUUGCGGUACCCCAAACCGGCAGUAUAAAUUGCGCCAUAGGAAGUUUAUCACCUUUUCAGUUGUGAUUGUGGCAAGGGACUCUGCCUCGAUCCACUUCGUGGCAAGGACAAUUGCAAAUUUAAGCUGCCCCAGGGUUGUGGGUAGCCAUCCCACGAAGUCGAGUCCCCACUGGCUGUAAGGGACUGGGGAGAUGAUGACAGAUAAUGGAACUGGGGGAUGGUGGGCAAAAUUUACAAAUUUGUGGCAGUGAAGGCAUGCUUGGACAACUGCCUUUGCAUCUUGCUCUAAUGUUGGCCAAUAGUACCCAGCUCUUAAUGCUUUGAACAUGAGGUUCUGAGCUCCCGCAUGGUUUCCACAUACCCCACUAUGGAGUGAUUUCAACACUUUGUGCCCUUCUGCUGUAGGCAAGCACCUCAAAAAGGGACACGACUGACCACGGUGGUAUAGCUUCCCUCCUCUAAGCAAGUAGAGUGAAGCUUUGUGGCGUAACCGCUGUGCCUCGUGUUUAUCCAGGGGCAAGGUUCCAUUAGAAAGGAAGGCCACAUAUGGGUCCAUCCAUGAGAGUUGGCUAGGCGUUUCUAUGGCAAAGAUUUCUGAAUAAGCCUUCGAGAUACUAGGUUUGUCCCAGAUUUCUAUGUGCACAUCUGGUGGCGUGGACUCGGGAGGGGCUGUGGUGAGUCUCGCGAGAGCAUCUGCCUUGGAGUUCUUGGCCCUUGGGAUUUGUGUGAGCUUGUAAGAUGUGAAGUGUUGUAGGAGGGCGCCAGCUAGACUUUUGUAGGAUCCCAGGUUGUUCUGGUUGGCUUUGAAGUCUCCUGCCACUUGAUUGACCACAAGCUGAGAAUCACUGAAUAUGUGGAUGUGCAGGGCUCCGAGUUCUCGACAGAGCUGAAUGCCGGCUAUGAGGGCCUCGUAUUCAGCUAUGUUGUUGGAUGCUUUAAAUUCAAACCGGGGAGUAUAUUCGUAAGAAUGGCCUUCCGGGUCUGUGAUUAUUAUCCAUGCUCCACUGAGCUUGUUGUUGGAGGAUCCAUCAACGUGGAGUUCCCAAAUUUCGUUCCGGGGGAGAACGUCUUGGUUUGGAUCGUCUGGGUUCAUGGGGAUGAACUCAGCAAUGAAAUCUGCGGCAGCUUGUCCUUUUAUAGUUGUUCUUGGCUUGAAGUGUAGGUCAAAUUCUCCUAAUUCAAUUGCCCAUUUUACCAUGCGCCCUGAAGUUUCAGGUUUUUGAAGUAUUUGCCGCAGAGGGUGAUUGGUGAGGACAUGGAUGGUAUGUGCUUGGAAGUAUUGUUUGAGUUUUCUAGCUGUGGUGAUGAGGGCAAGAGCUAAUUUCUCAAUGUCAGGGUAGCGGAUCUCGGGAUCCGUGAACCCUCUACCACAGUAGUAUACCGGGAGCUCAUUGUCAUGAUCAUGGCGUGUGAGAGCAGCGCUGAUGGCUGUGGCGAAAACAACCAAAUACAGGUAAAGUACUUCUCCCGAGACAGGUUUAGAGAGAAGAGGGACCGCCGCAAGGUAGGCUUGAUAUUAUUGAAGGCAUCAUCAUGUUCCGGGCCCCAUGCCACAUUCUCCUUGUACUGAGUUUUAGCAGUUGAAAGAAUGGGUUGCAUUUGUCUGUGAAGCGGGAGAUGAAACGAGCCAGGGCUACCAAACGUCCCAUGAGGCACUGGACUUCGUUCCAAGUCUUCAGGACUGUCAUGUCAAGUAUGGCUUGUACUUUUUUUGGGUUAGCUUUAAUGCCUCUUUCACUGACCAUGAAACCCAAAAAUUUUCCGCCACUAACAGCCAAAAUGCACUUUUGGGGGUUGAGGCGCAUCCCGUCAGCUAGGAGCUUAGUGAAGACUUUGUCUAAGUUGGCAAUGUGGUCGUCAGCUGCCUUGCUUUUGACCAGCAUGUCAUCCACAUAGACUUCCAUGACUUCCCCAAUUUCUUCUUCAAACAUGGCAUUGACCAACCUCUGAUAAGUUGCUCCUGCAUUCUUAAGGCCAAAGGGCAUGACCUCGUAACAAUAUAGUCCUUUGUCCGUGAUAAAAGUGGUGUGCUCUUAAUCUGUGAGGUGCAUUUUAAUUUGGUUAUAUCCCAAGUAGGCAUCCAGAAAGCUGAGCAUUUUGAAACCGGCUGUGGAAUCAACCAACUGGUCAAUCCGUGGCAAAGGGAAGCUGUCCAUGGGGCAGGCUUUGUUGUGGUUAGUGUAAUUAACACACAUUCGCCACUUGCCAUUAGGUUUGGGGACCAUGACCACAUUGGAAACCCAUGUUGGGUAUGAGACCUCGCGGAUGAACUUGAUUUCUUUUAACCGUUGGACCUCGGCCUAGAUGGCGCGUUACUUCUCCGGGUUAAAGGCACGCCGUUUUUGCUUGACCUGGGGAUGGUCUUUAAGAAUGUUAAGUUUGUGUGUGAUGACAUCAGGGGAGAUGCCUGGCAUGUCAGCAUAGGACUAAGCAAAGACUGUUUGCUUAUCCUGGAGGAAGGCAAUGAGCUUGUGGCGGAGUUCCGGGUUAAGGCUCGUACCGAUGCGGACCUUCCUCUCGGGAGCACUGGGCGACAGGGAAACCCAUUCUGUGUCCUCUGCCGGGUUAGGUCUCGGGGAUUGCUUCUUGUCUUUCCCUUUAAGGUCAUCCCUGGGGUCAUCAAUGAGUUCUGAGGGGCUAAGUGGCAACAUCUCACAGGCACCACGUCCCUGUUGGAUGGUAUUAAGAUGGCAAUGUUCAAUGGCGGCUCUAUCCCCUUGGAUUAUGAGUAGGCCUCCCAGAGUGGGCACUUUCAUGAGUAGCAUGUGACCUGCAAUGAAACAUUGUUGUCCCUAGAGGAUGUCGUGACCUAAGAUGAGGUUGUAGGAUAAGGGGCAAUCAACUAUGAGAAAACGUGAUGUGAUGGAAGCACGGCAGGGGCUGGUCCCUACUGACACUGUCAAGCGGUCUGAGCCUAAGGGCUGCACAAUCUCUCCCGAGAAGCUGGCGAGGGGAUCAUGGUUGUUAUAUAACUUAGCUCGGUCACGCCGGAGUCCUCUAUAACAAUUAGCAAACAUCACACUGACCGCAGCUCCUGUGUCCACGAGGGCCCUAUGACACCUGUAGUGAUCCACUUGGACAUUGAUUAUGAAUGGUUCAUUGUGAUGGCAACUAAUCGUAUCUUCCCUCUUGUAAAAUGACACCUGGUCCCAUGUUGAUGGGGUGGUGGUGACACCUCUUUGCAGUUCAAGAAUCUCCAAGUGGCUCGUGCAUUGCCGUUUUGCCGAAGGCUGACGAGGAGGGAGUCGCGAGGCACCACCAUGUAUGGUUAAGAUCUGACCGUGAACCUCAAUGGCAUUGGCUCCCGUGGCGGGAGUGCAGUACUGAUGGAGUUGGCCAUUACGAAUCAAGUGCUCUAUGGCAUUGUGGAGGCCAUGGCACAUCUCAGUGGCGUGGCCGUUGUCAUCAUGCUAAGCACAAUAUUUGUUCCCUGUUGCGCGCUGAGGCUUUUUGGGAUACUUGCUCUUAGGUGGCGGGGGAAUGAGAUCUUUGUGCCUGGCCCAUAUAUCCUCAUAUGUAGUGGUUAAGGCUGUGUGGACCUCGUAACGAGGUGGUAGGGAGUGACAUUGCUGCUGUUGGGGGCUCUGCUCCUGGGACCGAUAAGGAUGGUCUCGUCCCCGCUGCCCACUGUGGCGACGGUCUGAACUGCGCCCCUGGUUGUUGUCACAGGAGCUGCUAUGCUACUUGUUUUUGUCUUGCCCUCGGUCAUAAUGGUCAUACUUUUGCUGGGAUUGCUGCUUGGGGGGUGAGGCUAGGAGUGUUAAUGUGGUAGUUGGGUUAGAAGUCCAAAGGUGGCAAACUCGACACGUGCCCAACGGACAGCAAGGUCCAUCAAGGCAUCGUAUGACCCUAGAGGGUUCUUGUUAAUCUCCAUUAGGAAGCUGUCGAGAAGCAAAGCUUGGCAAAAAGCUUGUUCAGCAAUCCGGGGCUCCAAGUUGUGACAGCGUGCCGUGGCUGAUUGCCACUGGGACAGUAACUCAUGGAGUCCGUCACCCGCUUUUUGCUUGAUGUGGAACAAAGCAUCCACACUGCGGUAGAUGUUGGCAUGGAGUAUGAAGCGGUUGAGGAAGCGUUCCGAGAGCUGGUCGAAAUUGUCAAUGGAGUUGGGAGGCAAGUUAAGGAACCAACUAAGCGCUUCAUCUGAGAGGGUCUCUUGGAAGGCAUGACAGGCCAUAGCAUCUGUGUACCGAGUGGAACUGCAUAAGGAGAGGAAUGUUUCAAGGUGAAGAUGAGGGUCUCCGGCGCCCUUAUACUUGUCCACUUUGAAAGGCUUGGCCUCGGGUGGCCUCUUUUCCAUUUGCAUCCGUGGCGUAAAGGGGCUUAGGCGGUGGCCAUAUCCCGAGAAUAGAGGUCGCUGGCUCCCGCGACUCUCAACACCUUCAAUUCGCGAGGCCAACUAAGUGACAGAAUUGCUGAGCUGGAGGAGAAGUCGAGUUUGCAUGUCGAGAGGUGGGGUAGCAGUGUUAGCAGAGUUGAGAUUAGGGAGGGGUGGAUCAGAUGGCUCAGGAUGGUUUAGUAGGGGAAUGGAUUCGUUACUGAUUGUGGAUGGUUGUGGGGCUGGGAGUGGAAAUGAUGGGUGGGUUAGUGGAUGAGUAACAUAGAUAAUCUGGUUGGGGCCUCUCGGGAUCACGGAACUACUCUGUCCUUGGCUAGGAAAGAGAGAUGUCAAGGUGGCGUCCAAGGUGGGAGUGACCCUUGAUAGUUGUUGCGGUGAUCUAGAGUGGCGCGGAGUAGGAAUUGUUCCUUUUCCAGCUCGGCGAUACGAACCCGAUACGCUUCAGCUUCUGCUUUUUCCUUAGCUGCUUGCUCUCGGAACGCGUGGAAGUCUUUUUUCAAAAUUUCAAGGGCCAUGGCGGCAUCAGGGUGGUUAAUGGGGGCCGCGGUAGCGGUAGUUUGGUUAUGGGAUGUGUCUCCAUAUUGGAAAAGUUCUUUUUCUAUCUGCGUCCCGGGUUCAUUUGGGUCAUCCACAAUUUCUACCAUCCUAUUAAAAGUUAAAUGGGAGUUCCACAAGAGGCGCCCUCCUUCUAGCGCCAAUUGUUUCUACCUCUUCCGUGAACACGGGACGAGAGGCCGAAUCCUUCGCUCCGGGUCCUGUAACUGCACAAGCGACAAUGCGUCAGAAGUCGGGACUGGGAUGGCCCAGUCUUCGACUCUCUGAUGCUUAAGUCAGCGUUUGAUUGCUACUUGUAUAGUACAGGAGUAUGGGAGGAGUAGUAGAACUUACCUCUUUUGGGAAUUCGUGCCUGUUUUAUAGGCUAGUGUUGGGGGUUUUGUCAUUAGUUCCCGAUGUGGGACUGUUUCGUGGUACUGUUCAGUCCUUUCCCUUUCAGGGACGUUUAGCUGCCUUAGAGUGGGUUUGGCAUGUAUAUUGCUAUUAUGUUCCCACUCUUUGGGUACCCACAGAAGGUCUGCCGGUGAUGGCUUAGCCGGAAUGGCCUCCGGCGAGUGGGUAAUGACACGGCAUUCUCGGCAUGGCCAAGUGUUUUGGCUAUGUAUUAACAUGUAUGGUAAGUGAAUAUAUAAGUUGAGAAUAAUCAAAGAAAGACAUUAAAAGACUUAAACAUUUUUGGUGUUUUACUUUCAAUGUAUCACUUCUAAAUAUUCAAUGCAACAUCAAUUUUUUUGGGUGUUUUGUUUUCAAUUAAUAUGCCGUUUCUAAAUAUUUGAUGCACGUUUGCUUUAUCUAAACUAGUGGUAUCCGUGCCUCUAUUUUGAGGGAAGUGCAUGGCUCGCAUCAAACCAUUGACAAAGGACUGAUAUCGCCUAUAGAAAGUUCUCCAUUUUAUUUAAAAACAUCCAUUUUCUUCUUAAUUUGCUGGGAAUAUGAUUUCUUUUUCUAAAAAUAUAUAUAUAUAUAUAUGGGAAGAAAAAGCAAGAAAUCAAUGAGUAAUAAAAUAGUUUCAACCAUGCCCCUGUUGCUAGUCCGUUGACAAUUCAAAUUGAUGAUGCAUGGGUCCCAAACCCAGAUCUAGAACCUUUAGCACCCAAUCCAAUCGGCAGACCACUGCCAUCUCCAAAAGCUUCUUUGAUUCCGGUGACUGUAGUCCUAGUCGACACUGAACCUAACCCAAGAGCGUCGCUGACAUCGACAAUAAAAUUGCAAAUUAAUGGCUGACAUCAUCAUUGGAAACCAGUACCUUUGCAAGAUGAACCACCACGUACUAGCAUUCCAGCAUCGGAUCUCUCGGGAAAUGUCAUGCAACAUGCAGUACCUUCAAACCGUUGGAAAGCAUGGGGCCGGGAGAUCUAGGACGAAUCGUGUUUGUGUAAUCCGCAGUAGAAAAGUCGUUGUGUGAGGCAUCACCUCUCGCAAUCGAACUUGGAAAAGAGAGUGGAGGCGCUAGGAUAUCUAGGCGGAAAAGAGAAUGCUCUCAUUCUCUAGGGUUUGGUUUUUCAUGUUUCAUAUAUUAAUAUAUUAUUAAUUACUCUUUGUUGUUAAUUAGAAAGAGAAGUCUUUACUACAACCAUCACCGUAUUAUCAAAACGGAAGGCAGAGUAAACCGUGACUAAGAGCUGGGAAGACCAGCAUAUCACAUCAUGAACAUUAUGUUUUAAAAGAGGUAAGAUGUCUAUUAUGAAAUUCUCUUAUCUCCAAACAUAAACAUGUUGAGCUGAUGAAAAAGUUGAUCGAUGAGAGUACUGCGACUUCUUAAUUAUAAACAAGUAAUGAUUCAAUUCAAAUAAUGACUGCAACAAAUGAGAAAAAAUAAAAGUGAUUACGAUACUAUUCUCAAAGCAAGGAAAAAAAAAUCCUAUGCAUGCACAUACGUGACAUAUAUAACUACUACAAUCUUUCAUGCAUGUCGCAAUACCUUUAACCUGGAGAUUUCAUAUCGAUCCUACAAGACUGAAGAAAACCAUCAUGGUCUCAAGGACACUUCUUAUUAUUCGAUCAUGUUCUCUGUGUAAGUUUCCUAGUAUAUCCUUCAACACAGAGAUAAAUCAUAGAACUGCACCAGGUGGUACGUCAUGGCCAACGCCGGGACUAUGACCGGGAGAAGUUGGCCGGAAGGCAUCAGUUGAAGCGGCCUGCAUCAGCUUGUAGCGGCUUAUAGUAAAUCCCGCAGUGGAAGGUGGUUUUGGCUUGCUUGACCAUCCUUUAUGGAUUAGUACUGGUGGCUGUAUACUUAGCGGCCUUGACGCUGCUAUCAAAUCAAAGUUUUUCUCUGAAAGGAGAACAACCAGCAAGAAGCUUACCAUGAAGGUCCUGGAAGCCAUCUUUAGAGGAUCGAACUGAAAGGAAACUAAAGCUUCUGGAAAAAAAAAAAUGAGAAGCUAUGCUAUGCUUAGAUGUUUUAGUUGAUGCUUGUGCUAGUUCUUGAGCAUAUGAGUAGCUAUUUAAGAGGUUUGUAACGCUUGCAUGUUGAGCUUUAUUAACCGUCAACUUGAACAUAAAAUAAGGAGCAAAAUUAAUAAGCACCAAGUUCACAUGGUGAUGUUUGCUAGAUAUUAUUGAAAUAAUCUUCAAGACAAAGUUGCAAGCCCAGGAAUGAUUUUUCAUUCCAAAAAUAGCAUGGGAAUAACUUCCACAUUUGGAAAGUAAAGCAUUCCUUGACUCGAUCAUUUCUGUUCAAGAAACUUUCUAUAGGGCAUAGCUAUAUAAAUUAUGUUAAAGCAGACAGCAGAUAUGGAUUUUGAUUAGACUACACCAAGAACACUACUUGCUUUACCAUUGAUUAGUCUGUUUAUUUCUUAUAAUGACAAAGCUAACUUGCUCUGUGAAGAUCGAUUGCAACGAAAUUUAUAAAGAAAAUGCUUCUUCCACUAAUUUAAUUCAUUAGACAUUGUUGAAAGCACCCUUCACCUUUUUAUUGCCAACUUGAGAUCUGUCUGUUUUGGUUUGUAAUUGCGGGCGCACUUGCUUGGUUUCUAAUACCACCAUCCUUGCUGUUAUGCUGUAAGAGGAAAGAGUACCUCUGUUUAUAGCAUAGUGGUAAUGGAGAAACCCAAAGAUCAUAUAUACCUGGCUAGUUACGAACGUUCUGUUGGGUUUUGUUUAUACAUGUAAAUGAUGUAAUGCACCCACGCGUGCACCACCUUUGAGCUUGAUCCUGCAUAAUUUGAUGGUGGAUUAGAAUUUAGACACGAGAGCUUAGCUAGCUUCAUCUCAUGACGCUCUAACUAUUAGCGUUAAUAGAAGUACGUAGUAGUGUUUCAAGAUUCAACAGUCUCUUGCUGUCCAAGAUUAUUGAUUUCUUGUGAUCUAUACAGAUUCAAAAUAAUCUUUUUGGUACAAAUUUGAUUGAAACUUUCAAUGACUACUUCAUGCAUGGUUCAUAAUAAUGGCUUUGUCGUUCUAAACAUGAAAGAGAGCCUUCUUACCAAAUACACAGACACACACAUAUGUUUCUAGCUAGUACAAAAAUAAAGCACUUGCAUGAAUUCUUGUAAGUGUUUCAUGUAGUGUAAUUGCAUUUGUUUAAGAACCAGAAACAUGCUUGAGGUAGAAAGUUGAAUUAUUCCUAGUAUUGAGCUUGCAUUUGCUAACAAGAAUGGAUCAGAAUACAAAAUAAAAGGGUCUCACGUUGAAAGGGUCGAGCAGUAAGUAAAUCUCAUGCAUAUCUACCUUGGUAUCAGAAGAAAAAAAAAAAAAACGUUUAUCCUUGAGAACAUGUCUCAAUAUUCAUUUCAUUCUCAUUUCCAUCAUUGUUAAGAAAAACAAAUCCAAUACUUGUACAACUUACCUAAUAAAAUGAGCGCUUACACGAAUAAUCGUCAGGAAUGCAGGAAUACUUAGCACUCUGAAAUGCACUGCUGAAAUUAUAUUCAUGUUGUCAAGUGGUCAUAGCAAAGCCUCCCAGGUAGGUCAUAUGUAUGCAUAUACUAUGCUGCACUCGAGUACAUAUAUAUGUAAACAAAAGUCUAGCUCCACCACUGGUUACUUCUUUUCUCCUUAUUCAAUGACCAUGAUAAGAAGCAUAAUUAGAACUUGAUCUGCUGUCGGCCUCAAUUGCAAUGAAACUAAUAGGUAUUUGACACAGAAAGAGAGAGAGAAAGAGAGAGAGAGAGAGAGAGAAAUGCGAGACAGAAAUUCCAUGCGUGCUAUAGGCCUUCUGUCAUUCCCUUACUUCUAUGCGCCAUUUGUAUUUCACUAUUUCAUGAGAUGCGUACGUACCAUUGGCACUUUAGAGUAGCAGUUCAUUUGGGAAAAAGAAUUCUAAAAAUUUGCAACACUAACAUUUCACUUUGGUCACCAUAAUGGGAUUCCCUUUUUCUGAAGGAAACCUUAGUACUUGUAGUACUAACCCUAAAUAUUUAUCUAUAGGGUGUGCUUGAUACGUUAGCUAGCUAGCCCCCACAUGUUUGGAGAUAUUAGCCAAUUCUUACGUCAGAACACACUGAGGAAGUGAGGAUCAUGUUUAUCAGUUGCUCAGCAUUGAUCAGGAAUAUCAUUGCACCAGAUGAACAAGAUGGACAUCGAUCAAGAAUAUUUUCGCAGCUGAAUAGCUGAUAGAGUAAUUCUCAGCAUCAUUUCCACAGUUAAGUUUCUCUUUAAACUACGCAGAACCACCCAAUGCCACUAGCAUUAGUGGGUCACGGUGAUCUAGUAUAACCCACAAGAUCUUUGAAACUUAACCAGUUCCAGUAAUUUAUAGACAGACAUGAGAUUCUCUAGGAGGAAAAAGGAGGUUCUGUAAUCAAUCCUCGUAUAUUGUUUAAUUAGAUUAUUUCAAUCACUAACAAGGAACGAGAAAGCACAACCAGGAGAAACAGUACUCAUUCCUAACUGAUCGAUCUAAAUUGAACUCUGAGGACAUAGAAGACAAAAGAACCAAAUAGCAGGAUUCUAAGUAUCAUGAUCUAAAGAAGCUAAACGAUCAGCCACAAUUAAGUUGGCAUGGUCCUCUAUAAAUAUGUCGAAAACAGAUCGAAAACAAUUGAGUCGUCUGCUUCCUCAAGAACUCUACUCUCUGAGGAACAUCCGAUCCAUUUUCAUCUUGAAUACAGUCGAGAAAGAAUCUCGAAAAUUUCAAAGGCUAACUAGGUUUUUUAUUUUAUUUUAUUUUAUUUUUUUUAUUUUUACUUUUUGAUAAGAAGGCUAACUAGGUUGACAUGUCUUUCUCUUAAUAUGGAAAUUUCAUCUCCAAGUGGGCAAUAGCCAGUAGAAAGCUCUCAUAGCACCCAAUUUGAUCUAUUUUGUUUAUUAUGUAAGACUAGACAGAAACCCUAGGCACGCUCUCGUGCUUCUCUCUAUCCCAUGUUGUCCACUACUUUGAUCCUAACUGUGUAGUCGCAUGAACAUUCCCUGGUUCGUCUCCGACGUCGAGUUUGUACGGUCACUUGCAGACUCUUCCUUCUCGACUAACCAACCAACCCUUCGAAUUCUCAGGUUGUGCUGUUUAGGACUGGUUUGGGACUUCAUUUUGGGUUUCUUCCCGUUGACUAUUUGGGGUUGUUGUGGCCAACCCAAAGUAAUAUCUCGAAGUUCCUGCGCUUUCGCCCUUUGACUGCGUUUUGGAAUAUGUCAUCGGUUCCAUCGGGUGACAAUCUUGGGUGAAAGAUAAGUAUGUCGAAGAAUAUAAUGUGAUUCAUUGACAUAAUUGAGCAGACGUAGAUAUUAAAUUAAGGCCUCGUUUGGUUCAAGGAUUGGAAAGGUUGGGAAAGGAAAAUUGUUCCUUUCAUUUGUUUGGCACACCUAAGAAAAUAAAAGACUUUACUAUAAUAUAGAAAAAUAGAUGGGAAAUUGGAUCCUCCCACAUACCAUGGGAUUCAAUCUCCCUCAUACUUUCCCAACAUUAAUUGUACAUUAAUUGCAUCUUUCAAAUAUUAUAUUAAUGAAUGUUAUUACCAAAUUACCCACAAAAUAUUUGAAUCUUGAAUAUUUUAUAUUUUAAUACUAAGGAUAUAUAAUUGGUAAAUUAAUAUUACUUGUUUUCCUAUCCAUGCAUAAACCAAACAUUGGAAAGGAAAAUAAAAUACAUUUCCUAGUUACUUUCCUGACGUUCCCAAACACUUGGUAUGGAAACUAAUAGGAAAUUUACUUUCCUAUGUACAUAGGAAAGACUAAGGAACCAAUUUCCUUUCUAACAACCAAACGAGGCCUAAAGGUACUAUUUAUCACAAUUGAGAUGAUAAUCUUUGUUGGUUAAUAUAAAAAAUUUACUCUUUUAAUAUGUAAACUUACUAGUCAAACACGACUAUUUAUCACAAUUGAGAUGAUAAUCUUUGUCGGUUAAUAUCAAAGAUUUACUCUUUUAAUAUGUAAACUUAUGUAGUCAAACACGACCUAGUAUGAUAAAGUUGGCCGAGCCGUUAGAACCCACAUUUCGAGUUUCAACUCCCACGUGUUUGUGAUCAGUAGGUUUGAGGAGCGUUUAGGUUCACAUCCAUAUAAGGUGGGAAAAUAAAAACCGGCUUUGUUGGAUACUCUCGUGGACCUCAUUCUAAAUACUGACUGAGUGAAUCGAAUAUGUUUCUAACUUGCUAAAAUAAACCAUGUGGCUUGCUACCUAGCUCACUUUGAAUUUAAAAAAAAAAACUUAUUUAGGUAAGUGAAUGACACUGAUGAUGCGAUAUUGUGACAUGAUUUGAUGUGAUGCAUAUUGAUUAUAUAAUUAGCUAGCAUUGGUGAAAUGACUACAAUAUCAAGACCCUAUCCAAUGGAAUUGCAACAAAAUAAAAGAAAGAAAAAUAAAAAACAAAACCAAAAAAAUUGUAGUGCCAACACGUUUCGAACUUGGGAUGACCAACUUGCAAAACAAGCUGGUACCCACACUGCCUCAAAUUCACUUUCAAUUAGCUAAGGAAAUGAAUAAUAUAGAUAGUAACUUCUAUAUAAUAUCUUAUAAGAAAAACAUAAAACUUGAUUUUUUUUCUUUUCAGGGGUCCAUGGAAUUUCGGGGCUAUAGGUGCAGGUCUACUGGGCCAAUAUCCCGGGCCAGCCCUGAUCCCACAUGCUAUCUUUAGCAUUAAUCAAUUUUUUCAUUCUCUCUCUACUCCUUCUCUUUCUUUGAAUCUCUCUUCCUUUUCUCCACCAAAAAUUAUAAAUUAUGGGUUUUGGGUGGUGUUGUAGCAAAACGUACGAUAAGAGGCGACAAUGUUGCCAAUGUAGAAGGGAGUUACAAUGACGAUGUAAGGACGGAGAAGGAUGAAAUUAAAAAAAAAAUUAAUGGGAAUGGACACGGGAGAUAUGGCUGAGCAUUUUUGAAUAAAUGUGAUCUCAUUAAUAUAAUUUAUGCCAAGAUGACCAUUAUAUAUCUUUCUGGUGUCACCUCAAGGCGCGCCUCAGGCGUAAGGCCAAAGGAGGCAAGGCGACAAGGCGUGACCAUUUCGCUUUAAGGUGUCAUCUAACAAGCGUUUAUUGAUAGAGUUCUUGCAAGUAUACAGGGUGGAUGUAGUAUAGUGAAUGGAAGAAAAUGGGUUGUCGUUCCCACGAGGAUAUUAGUUCAAUUUAAAUUAUGAAAUACCUAAACUAACUAUACUAAAACACGAGAUCACUAUAACAAUUUAAAGAAACAAACAAACAAACAAACAAGGAAAUAAGUAAAUAAACAAUGAUAAAUGAAUUUAGGGCGUCAUUAUCAACCACUAACAAUCCUAUUUAUGCUUUGAUGCAACUAACAUAUUCUUUCGUUUCUCUAGAUGACAAUUCCCGUAUCUAAGUCCAAGUACGGCACUUAGACCAUAGUUUUCCUUAAAUGUAUGAUUCUCUCCAGGUACGGCAGAGAUCGUAUAUCCUAGCAUGCAGUCUAUCCAGUUACGACAUAAAUUUAACAUGUAAGACUCAUUACAUUCUAGAAAACAAGAGAAUCAUGCAAACCAUUAUUUCAGUUACGACAAUAAUGUAAUUCACAACUCUUAAUCACAAGAAGCUAAUUUGAAUUAUAUUGCAGUUACGCCUCAAAUGCAUCUUCUAAUUACUAGAUGCAAAGCCCUAAGGUGAUCAAUCAAAAAACACAAACAUAUAGCAUCAAUUAAAAUAGUGACUAAGAAUUCUUCAUAAAGAAACUAUAAAACUAUUAAAUCAAUCAUCAAAAACAUAAACAAUCAUGCUAGGGCAUCAUUCUAACCCUAGAAAAGGUUUAACAAAACAUGACUAAGUAAAACAUAACAAAAACAUAAAAAUAAUAGAAAAAGGUGAAGGGUGGAUGGAUCUCUGCUCCUUUAAGCGUCUACAACGUGCUCUCAAGACCUCUCUUUCAUGUGAAAUUCGUGCUCCCUUUAAUAGAGAAGUUUAUGCUCAUCUUUGACUUCAAGUUCCUUUGUAAAACUUGGAUUCAGACUCUUUUCUUGAUAUAGAAUGAGAAAAUUUUGAGAUAUCUCUUCUAGAACUAGGAAUACAUGUACUCCUUGAAUCCUCAUCUGUAUCUUUGUCCUUGAAACCUUAGGGUUGACGGUCUUGUGACACGGAACUUGAGUUCUCCACAAAAGCUUGUAAAUCCGAGCAAAUUUUCUGAUCUGAUCUUUCUUCAUUCAAACGAUCAUAACUCGGUCUAGAAAUAUCAAAAUCGAGAUCCGUAAAAUUCUACAUAAAAUAGACAUUUGUAGCUUUCCAAUGAUGUAAGGAGUCUGAUUCAAUCUGAGUAAUUCCCAGUAAUUCGGCAAAGUUGGACGUUCUUCACAAGCAGAUUCUGGGACUUGGGAUUGCAGUCGCCUUUCAAUCCUUAUUUGCGCAUUUUAGCUCAUUUUCUUCUCUCUAUGACACAAACCUACAAGAACACUAAAAUAACACAUAAAUAAGUCAUAAAGAAGAGAACUAAACACAAAUUUCAAGCAUAAGAGGCUUAGAAAUAUAAGAUAGUAUGAGCGCACAUCAUUUAUCUCCUAAGGCGAGACAAUAGCGCUCUAAGGUGCGCUAAGGUGAAAAGGCGCGAGGCGUCGCUUUUUGUGUUUUUUUUUAAACCCUCAAACAGUUACACAACGUCGUUCUGCUUUGGGUUUAAAGAGAACAAAUAGGAUUCGGUUAUGCUUUUAUUCGUUUACACUUUGUCAUUUUCUACCUUAGCUAAGUGAUUUUGGAUCUCUUAGUGAUGGAGAUGGAAGAAAAGGGAAUGAGUGAAUGAUUUUAUGUUGUUGUGUACAUUUUUGUCAUAUUCCAAAUUUUGACAUUAUGUUUGUAAGUCGCAACUUAAUUUCAAUUUUUGAAUGUAUGAAUGUAUUUUUAAUGACUUUAUAUCUAUAAUUUAUUUAUUUUUAUUUAAAAUUUUAGAAUGCAUGAAACGCUUCGCCUUUUCGUCUCCAGGCUUUCAAAGCUUGAGGCUCUGACUUGACACCUCGCCUCACGCCUUCGCCAUUUUACACAUACAUUCAUACAUUUAAAAUUGAAAGGCAUGAGGUGAGGCGUUGAGUCGGAGCCUCAAGCCUUGAAAGUCUAGAGGUGAAAAGGCGAAGCCUUCCAUGCAUUCUAAUAUUUUAAAUAAAAAUAAAUAAAUUAUAGAUAUAAAGUCAUUAAAAAUACAUUCAUACAUUUAAAAUUAAAAUGAAGUAGCGACAGUACAAACAUAAUGUCAAAAUUUGGAAUAUGACAAAAACACAAAAACAUAAAAUCAUUCACUCAUUCCAAUUUCUUCCAUCUUCAUCACUAAGAGAUCCGAAAUUGCUUAGGGUAGAAAAAGACGAAGUGUAGAGGAACAAAAGGAGAACAUAACCCUAUUUUUCCUCUUUAAACCCAAAGCAGAACAACGUAGUGUAACUGUUUAUGGGUUUGAAAAAAAAACACAAAAAGAGACGCCUCACGGCGCCUCAGCGCGCCUUUUUCGCCUUAGCGUCCCUCGGAACGCUAUUGCCUCGUCCUUUGAGACAAACGCCUUUUAGAUGGCGCCUUUAGGCGGGCCACGUCUCCCCUUAUGCCUAAGGCGCACUAUUUUAAACAGAGAUCACCACCAUCUCCCUAAACACCGUCUUCACUCUCGCCAAGUUUCUUUCCUUCUCAAUUGGGAGUCGGGAUCUGUUGGGUUUCAAUGGGAAGAUGAGAGAGAGAGAGAGAGAGAUUAAUCAUAUAUCAAAUGUUCAAUUAUAGUCUCUAUAUGUUUUAUCAAUGAUUUUAAAAUUUUAUUUGUAAUCAUAUAGGCUAUUUUUUAAUUCAGUAUUUGGAGGAGGUUUGAUGUUCAUCAUGUUAUGAAUCUACAAUCAUUUUGUAUCAAAAGUCAUGUUGAUUUGUAUCCCGGUUCAACUAUGAAAAAAUUGUUGUAUCUGGUAUGCUUGUAUCAAAUCAAAUGUUUGGCCGGAAUCUCUUACAAGACUUUGUCACUGGUAUUAAAGAAGACCAAGUCUGUACUUCUUGCUGGUGAGACACUACCAAAAAAGUUGGCAAAUCAAGGAGAUUAGAUUGCCCAUUAUAGUAAACUUGAAAAAUGUGAUGUAGUUACCAAAAAAAGAGUGUGAUGACAUUUGAAUUAGAAAUUAUAUGAAGAAAGGGCUGCUUUGUUAAACAUUAUCAAGAGAACUGCAGAAUGAAGUAACAAGCAAAAUCAUACAUGUUACAUAACUUAGAAUAAUUUGGCACCAUUACACAUAAGGGUAGAUAGAAUGAACUAUACACAUACUGAGAUCACAUAGUACUAAGAAAGCAAUGCUGAGAACCCCAUAAAGAAACACAAGUAUAAGAUUGUAAACGAGGAAAACUCAACAUCAACGCGAAAAUAGAGUUGUAAGAGCACAUUUUGACUGUUCAAUGUUGAUACACCCUUAAAGCCUUGCCAGUUACUCCAAUGCAAAAUCGAGCUAAUCCAUAUCAAUAAUAUUCAAUAAAGACCAGCAAGUCUCCUCUUUUGUUCCCAUCAUUUGUGCCCACGAUCACAUUAGUUCAUCCACUAUCAAAUCUUUUUAUCUUCGCAAACCUUUCUAGUUUUCUCUAGCUACUAAGAAGUCUUGAGGCUAUAAGAUUGGAGGGAACGGCUGAGACGAAGGCCGUUAAAAAAAGGAAGGGCUGAGAUGAAAUGAUAAGGCUGUAAAAAAAAAGGCUGUAAAAAGAAGAAAGAAAGAGGGUUUAAUAGAACAACGACGUUUUCGCUCAACAACCCCAAAAUAAAAGAGAUUCUAGGAGCGACUAUGAGUGUGUGGAAAUUUGUGGAGGAGGAGUGCAAGGUUAGAAAUGCUGGGGAUGUCAUUAACGGUAUCGUCGACUGCCAAUUUACCUACCGGAUUUAUGAUGUCAUGGAUGGUUUAAAGUUGGCUGGGACGCAGAAAGAGUGUAGUGGCAGUGAGAAUGCUCUCGAGUGCUUCGAAGGUCUCCACAGACAGGGGAUGCGUUCAUUCGUCCUGUCGGGUUCAUUAGUUGGAAGGAUUGGUUGAGAAUGCUAACAGCUGAGACACCUUUUCAUGAUGAGGAUGGUACUAAAGUUGUUGAUAUGGUUGAGUCUGUGUGGAUUCAAAUGACCAUGGUGGUCGAAGAUCAAUUCAUCGCAGGCCAUUGCAGCUUCUUGCAAGUGGCGAGCUCUGUUGGAAUCACAAGAGGACACAAAGCGGUUUUCCAUGAGGUGCCCCAAGGUAGAAUUCUUUGUUUCACAAGUUUUUGCAAUCUACCUUUUAAGAUGUGUCCUAAUCGUUUAAGCCAUAAAAAUGAUGAUUUAUGCUAUGAAAAUUUUCUUUUAGUUUCAACAUAUUGAGACAUAUUAUAUUAUACUAUAAUAUGUAAUCUGCAUUUACCCAUUAACUUAACCAGAUGUAGAUGAGUAUUGUUUAGUUUAUCUCAAAGCUGGCUGGGACACAGAAUGAGUGUAGUGGCAGUGGGAAUGCUCGCGAGUGCUUCAAAGGUCUCCGCAAACAGAGAUGCGUUCAUUCGUCCUGUCGGGUUCGUUGGUUGGAAAGAUUGGCUAAGAAUGCUGACAGUUGAUCCUUUCAUGGUGAGGAUGGUGCUAAGGUUGCUGCUAUGGUUGAGUCCGUGUGGAUUCAAGUGACCAAGGUGGUCAAAGAUCAAUUCAUUGCAGCUUCUUGCAAGUGGCGAGCUCUGUUGGAAUCACAAGAGGACACAAAGUGGUUAUCCAUGAGGUACCCUAAGAUAGAAUUCCUUGUUUCACAAGUUCUUGCAAUCUAACUUUUAAGAUAUGUCCUAAUCGUUUAAGCCAUAAAAAUGAUGAUCUAUGCUAUGAAAAUUUUCUUUUAGUUUCAACAUAUUGAGACAUAUUAUAUUAUACUAUAUUAUGUAAUCUGCAUUUACUCAUUAACUUAACCAGAUGCAGAUGAGUUUUGUUUAGUUUAUCUCAAAGCUUAAAUCUUUAACAAGUAAAUGCUCAUAUCAAACCUGAAUCGGGUUCGAUGAUCCUUACUUACUAUUUCCAGAGAUUUUUGUAGGUUAGAAUGUUUGGGUAAAGAUGUUUUUUUUCAUAUUCAACUAUCUUAUCUUCUUUUUCAUAUUCAACCAUCCAACCUUCACUUUUCAUAGUUAAUUAAUCAUAUAUCAAAUGUUCAAUCGUAGUCUUUAUAUGUUUUAUCAAUGAUUUUAAAAUUUUAUUUGUAAUCAUAUAGCUUAUUUUUCAACCUCAUUGAUAUAUGUAGGGUACGUAAGUUAUUUAAUAAAAGUUUUUUUUUUUUAAAUAUAAGUUAUUUUUCAAUUAAGUAUUUGAAGGAGGUUUGAUGUUUAUCAUUUUAUGAAUCAACAAUCAGUUUGUAUCAGAAAGUCAUGUUCAUGGAAUCAGUUCAACCAAAAUCAGACUUAUGUUCAUUUUUUUUUUCAAAAAAAUCAAACUUUAAAAUAAGUAAAAUUGGGGUGUGCAUUAAACAUCUUAGGAUGUGUUGAUAAAAUUACUCCAAAACAUUUUCUUAUAUUCCUUUUGUUGUCUGUAGAAGGCAUAUUCUCGAAGUACCAACAAUAGUGACAUGCACCAAGCAACUCAUUCACUAAUUAAGAGCAAAUGCACCAAGAGAUUGAUUGUGUGACUAAUUGAUGGGACCCACCUGUACCUAAAAAAAAGAUCAAUGAACCGCUACUCACUCGACCAAUUGUUGGACCCACCUCACACAAAUCGCCCAAUCAAUUCAGUUGGCAAUUCUUGCCCAUCAUUUCGCCCGACCUAUUUAAGUGGGCUCCACUAUCAACACCUAACAUCUCUCUUUCAAUUCGUCUAAAUUUGUAAUGGCUAUUUAACUAUAGCUAUUGGAUUUAAAUCAUGUGGCAAUAAUUAAACCGCAACGGUCAGUUUUUUCAUUUUCUAUGUUCAUUAAAAAUAUUAUUUUGUAAGUUAAAAAAAUUAUUUGUAUCUACUCGUACAAAUCGUAUAAAUAUUCAUUAUCUUUCUAUAAUUUCUCACACUAAACUUUUGAAAGUUUUACCUUUUCAUCUUCUUCCUCCAUCUAUUUAUCAUCUCUUUCUUCCUAUCUUAUCCAACCAUAGGAGAAUCUAAUUGCAAUUGGCAAGAAAAUGAGCAGAUUCAAUUGUGAGAUUCAUGGGUGCGUGUAUCCGUGUGUCCGAUCACCAGAAAAUGUAUAACUUCUUCAAAAUUAUGGGAAAAAGUUGUUGUCGAUUAUGUUGAACAUUGGCGAGGUCCAUUAACAAGCAUAAAUGCUCAAGUUUGCCAACUCAAUUUUGAACGUUGAAAAAGUGCUCAAAGAUCGGCAUAAUGAACAAAUUCAAUCCCGAAAUAAUAUAGCGAGCAACAUCAACUUGGUGGAUGAGAUAUUUUUUUCCCCAAUAUUAUCAAUUGUAACAUUAUUGUUAUUUAUGAUUGUAAGCCAAAUUUUUGAGUUAUAUCGGUAGAUUUUAAUUGUUUUAUUCUCCUUGUUUAGAUUAAUAAAGUUCAAUCUUAGUACAUGAAAAAACAUCCCAAGAAAUUUGGAAAAUGGGAUUGUUGGGAGAAAGUUAAGCACCGCCCUUCUUUUUGUUGAUCCACCAUAUAAUCCUCAACCACCGGCAUUAUAUUUGAUACAUAUUGCCUCUGAGAACGAGUCUCCAAUCGACUUAGAAGAUGAUAUAGUUUUAUAGACACCAUCAACCUCCAUGCCGAGACCAAUGGGACAAAAGAGAGCUAAAGAAGUAAAGAGGAAAGGAAACAAAGUGCAAGAUGCAGCGGAAAGUAUGGCUCUUGUUAUCCAAUCCAUGACUGAAUCGACCCAACAUUUUGUUAAGCUAAUGAGAAAAAAAAUGAAGAAAUGGACUGCUCACACAAGGAAUGUCUAAUGUGUCUGAUGAUGGUAGCAGCGAUUUCUACAUACCUCAAUUCGACAUUUUCAUAUAAAGAAAUGAGACAUGGUGUGUGGAUUGUAAUUUAGGGUGCGUAAAUUUCACUCUCCUAAUAAUAUUAACAAGUAUGUCAAACCAAAUUGUAUUAUGCUCUUUUAGAGCUAAACCAAAUUUUAUUCUUAAACAUAGAUAAACGUUGAAUAAGAUUACAAAUAAAACCAUACGUAUUGAUAAAGGACACAAACAUUAAAAUCACAAACUACAAUGUAUUUAAUCUUAUUCAACGAUUUCAGUGGUUCAUACUCAGUUACCAUCCAUGUUUCAAUUAUUAAUAACCAAAUCAUCUUGUAGAAUCGUAGACAAUUUCCAUGGAUGGAUUCAUUAGAUCAUUUUCUUCAGGUUCCACAAAUCUUCCUCGACAAAUUCAUCAUGCACAAUCAUGUUAUAUAGAAUAAUGCAAUAAUGAUGGCUGGAAGAUCUUCUAAUUUAAACAAUCUGUCCCGUGACGCAAUAUUGCCCAUCAAGAUUGGAGGAUGCCAAAACAUCGGUCCACAUUUUUACAGUAAGCCUCUUCUUUUUUGCAAAAGUGUUUCUCCUCUUCUGUUUUGGGGUUCGAUAUUGUUUUCACAAAAAUAGACCACAUAGGGUAAAUUUCAUCAACAAGAAACCAUUGGUGUAACUUUUGUUUUGUUGACCUCAAACUCAACCCGAGGAGAACUUCCAUCUAUGGCACAAACGAACACAUGCAUUAGACGCACCAAGAAUGUUGAGGCCAGUUUGUGGUCUAAGGGUUCCGAAGAAAGUGUGGCAUCUAUGUGUGUUGCAAGAUGUCAAUGCUUUCAAAAUUAUAGUUGGUCAUCCCUUCCGUCUUGAGAAAGCUCCACCCUAACCGGUUGGGCAGUUUGUGCCCUCCCAAUGCAUGUUAACGAUACUCUCAAUCAUGCUUAGAAACCCUCGACGAUGUGCUUUGUUGAGAAGCAUAUACAAGUCAGCAAGAUUAAUCACAGUAGAGAAACUCAAUUUGUCUACAAAUUUUUUUCAAACGUUUCAGCGUUGUAGAAGUUUUCAUGCUAAUGAUUUCAUAACAUUGAAGCAAUAGCACCGUACGUAAGCAUUCUGAAGGCACAUGUUAUCUUUUGUUUAGGAAGCAAUCACAAUUUUCUAGUGGCACCUGUUUAUGCCUCUAUCAUAGUUGCAUAGAUCUUCCAUUAUACAUUGGAAGACAUGUUUCUGCAUUCGGUACCACCUCCAAAAGCUUGCUUCGUCAUACACCGGAUGUUUAACAAAAUCUUGUAGGAGAAAAUGACCUCGAACUUCUCUAUACAUGUCUCUCCGCAUAGCAACCACUUGUUCAGUUCAUCCACUGAAAAGAGUAUAAAUGAGAUGGAUGAUGAUAUUUCAAGAGAGAUGAAGGUAUAUAAUCAGAGGAAAUGUGUGAGUAGAGAAUGAAGUCUGAACCUUAUUUAUUAACACUCUUGAAGAUAAAAAAUUUCGGAUAAGGAUAUGUCACAAAAAUACAGGUUGAAAAUCUUAUUAAAAAUUUGAGAUACAUCUUCAGAAGAUGACGGUAUCUAAGUUGACACGUGUCAAAUAAAUAUUAGAUUAAUAUCUUCUCGGAAAUCAUAAAUAUUUUGUUUUUUUUUUAAUUCUUAUUGAUUAAUAAUUAAAAAUAAUAAUUAAUGUUGUACGAUUAAUCUCAUUAUUAAUUAAUUAAAUUAAGUUUAACAUUUUCAAUCAAGAAAUUAUUCAAAAUUGAAAUGUGAAUAGUAAACUAGCAUGCAAAUUGUCGUCAAUUGGUAAAUUGACAAAAAAGAGGCAAUUACCAAUUCAUCUGAAUUACCAGUCAAUUGGUAAAUCAACGAUUGCUCUUGCUCAACGGGCGCAUUUGCUAUAAUAUAGGGAAAGAGAUCAGCAAUGAAGACGAGCUCUGUUUCACAGUUUCACUACUAAACAGUUUCUUGAAUAGAAGUUUUGGUCAUUACCUAAUUAGGUGUUGAGAGUGCUCCUGUGUUUUGUCGAUUUUUCCCAUAUUUCUCAAGAAAUCUCAGCUCCAAUAUUGGCAGUAGAAGUAUAUUAAUGAAUUCUUGCUCCACGUUUAGUCUUGUCCCAUGGUGUUCAUUUACAUACAGGGCUCUUCAUCAAGAGUUGGUCCACAUAUUCGCAUGAUUUGGCAAAUUUUCCAAGCAUUUUUGCUGUAAUUCUUGUCCCAGAAAUGAUUCUUAACUAGAUGAGAUGAGUCUAGCCGUUCAGUAUUAUUCAAAAUCAAAACCAACACUGGAAAAUCGUGCAUUGAGAUGCAACGUUGUUGUUCUUAGGCCUCUUUGUUGAUAGUAAUCUACAUCAACCAUGUCAAAGUAAGUUACUAGCCUCAAGUUGCAGUAUAUACUGCUUUUACACCAAUUAUCAGUUGGAUAUGGACUAGAUUUUCUAACUGCUACAUACUCAAACUACCAAGUAGAACAGUUAUAUUGAUAUACACAAAUGUAAUAUACAUUGUCGCAAAUGUUCUUCCAGAGACAUACAGUCUCAUUUCAAGAAGAGUGAUAUACCUGUGCCUUUUCAUCUCUAAUCUUUGAGCUUAGAAAGUAAAAGGAGGCAACCAGAGGAAAGGAGGAUUGAGGCUGAAAAGCAAAGCAAGUCAAGAGGAGAUCGUAUGACUGCUAGCAUACUCUUCUCUAACAACCCGAUUAAAAGGAGCAUUACAAUUACAUGGCCAAUCUUCGUUUUCAGUUCAUUGACAGUUGAUAUGUCUAACCACUUUGGUCGUGCCUGUAAACGGAAAAGAAAAUUACAAAACUGAACUGAGCAUGUAGCAAGCACCUCAUCAGAGAGUCUUUGCAUAUGGAUUAUUCAAAUUGAGUUAGUUGGCCACAGGGUCAAAUCCUCAGCAUUGACCAAUAGUACAAGAAUGUGAAUUUACGUUAACUAGAGACAUGAAAGCAGGUCAGUAACAAGAAAAGUCGGUCACACCUUCAGAAUGAACAUGCCAAAAAGACUCGAUGUAUAAGGUGCUUCAUCCUCUGAGAGUGCCUUCACCGUGUCGAGGUUGCUGAUGAAUAGCUCAUAAAGACCCAUUCCAAACACCAACAUCACUGUUCCCAAAAGAUAAACAUCUACAUGCCAUAAGACAGUAGUUAGUGCCUCAUUUCCAAUUUUGUAUAAAGUAUAAACAGAAAACAUAGAUCUGUUGUCCGAACAAUAAAUUCAACAAAGGAGUGCAUCAACUCGAUUAAGUAUUCAACUUUUAAUAGUAACAGUGACAUAUCCAACUCUAACCGCCAAUCCUUAAGAUGUUGUUUACGACGGGAAAAUCAAUUUCAUUAUCUAUAAGUUACUAAUGCACAGCUAUAUGACAUGUGCAUGAAAGAUGGACAAAUGGUACUCUUUUAUAACCAACACUCUGUGACCCCCUUCCUCUAUCAUUCUCUAACAUAGCUCAUAUGUCGGGAAUUGUAAUUGUAGUGGACUUGCAAGUCUUGUUUGGUAUCUUUAAGAUGAACUAUUUUGUUGUCUUUGCAAUUUUUUGAAAGAAAGUCAGACUCUUGAAAAAAGAAAGAGACCAUUCUGUUCACGUUGGGGUUUCCUGGCUGCCAAAUCAUGUUUAUUGUAUGUACUCCUCUUGCUAGCUGUCUAGCUUGAAAAAUUCUCUAUUACAACCAAAUUAUUUUGUAUUCUUAAAUCAUGAUCAAUAGAAGGAACAAGUUAUAUGUUAAGAAGUAACUGAAACACUCACCAAUGGCAUCAAUCAGUAACAUGAUGACCUUGCUACGAUGUGCAAAGUAUUCAAUAAAAGAUUGUACAACAUACGUGCAGCCCUGCAUAUUCAACGUCAAAAAUUAAGGCAUACAUCUAUGUUACAAAGUACCAAUCUAUGUUACAUGGGUGUCAUACUUAUAAACCAUGCUAAUAAAUUUCAGUAUAAAAAAUGAGGGGAUGCAGCCAAAUUACCAUAGCCACAUGCAUCUGUAAGCUAAUUGUAUGUUGGGAGAUGCAUAUCCAGCCAUUUUAACCAACCAGAUUAUCACUACUAAAAAUAAAUAUACACACAUUCAGUACAGAUACAUGUAUAAAUAGAGUAAAAAAUAACUGAAAACAGUCUAAUUCAUUAUUGGAAUAUAUAGGGAGGCAGGAGUGGAUUGGUCAAAUGCUUUUAAGAGGAUUGAUUUGUUAGCAAGAAGCCUUAUACUUUCGGUAAAGUUGAAUGGAAAUUCUUGAAUGCACAACGUGUAUUUACACGACGCAAUCUUAACCGUUCAUAACAAUUUAUAUGUUUGACCACUAUGUUUCUAUAUUAUUUCCUCUAAUCCUGACCAUCCAUAUGUGAAGAUACACGCCGUGUACUGAAGUUGCUCUCAAAGUUGAAAGACAAAAAAUCAUUAGGGAUGUGGGUGUUAGCUGUGAUCUGGGUGAGUGGAUGGAAAGAAAUAAAGCAUGUUUUAAGACUCUCGUGGUGGGGAGGUGGAAAAACUGUGGGAGAGAGCCAAGGUAUGGGCAUCUUGUUGGGCCUCUAUAUCUGGGGAGUUUAAAGAUUACUCUCUAUGUUCUAUUAUUCUAGAUUAGAAACUGUUGUAAUUUAGGACUUCAUGCAUAGUGUUAUAGUGUCUGUUGAGCAUUCUUGUGCGGACUUCUUGUCUGCUUCUUUCUAUUUUUUUUUUUUUUGGUUCAAUUAAAAGCUGUUUCUUUGUUUUCAGGAAAAAAUAAACUCUAAUAAUAGACUCCAUAUCCCAAAGUUCCAUCAUGUACACAAAGGUACACCAACAAUGAAGCCCCACUUAACUCUCUCUGAUGAUUAUUUUACAAAAUAAGCUAUUUAACCACCACAUCAAUGGAUAUGGGGAUGUAUAAUUAAACUACACACUGUCAGCACUGAUGUGAGACUGUGGCCUAGGAUGCACUUCUAGUUCAGGGUUUUUAAUAGAAUCUGUAGAACAACCCGCCUAACUUUGAUGGUGUUUCACCCUUUGGUCUCAGAACUUUAAAAUUCAUUAUCUGACCAAGUGACCAUUGAGUUUUGCAUCGUGUUAUAUGGACAGAUUGCGACUUCACUCUGAUAAUCUAACAGGAUCACUCUGUUUGAGAAUGACCAAGUCAUUUUAUUUCCUUUCUGACCCAAUUACAUAUACAAGAAAUGGAUUAGCUUGCACCCACUUCAGUGAAAGCUAAGAACUGCAUCACCCAAAAAAGAGUUUCUUCUUCCCUGGGCCCUCACUGUUCUCUGAAUUUAUCUUGUGUAAUGUACAUGAUCAUUACUUUGAAAAAGAAAAAAAAUUAUAAAAACAAACUGCAGUAGAUAUAUCCACUUUUAACUAGUUACAAUGCAGAAAAUGUGUGUAAAUGAAGGAUUGAAUUUGCAUAAGAUCAAUUAGAUUGUAGAUGAAGAUGGAGGAAAUUAUAAAAUGAAUUACCAGUUACCAAAGGAUAAUAAGGAUUACUGGAUUCUUAGGAGGGACUGAAUGACUAAUUUCCCUAACAUAGUGACUGUUUGGUAUCCCAUCUAAGUACCACAGCCCUAUUACAAUUUGUCCUUAUUUUCUACACAGCUCAAAGUGUAAGAAUAACCUUAUCACAUUUUGAAGUUAAGGAAAAAUUUUAGAGGCAGGGGAUAGUUCCAGGGACACAUGAAUUGAGCACGUAAGGUUUCCAUGUUUUAGUUUGGGUUUUCUUAUUUGAUUUGUUAUUCUACUGCCUCUGCGACCACUAGAAGACUCGCUAUACCUCUAGUCAAGUGCCCAUCUUGCAAAGCUCCCAUCACCACACCAGUAGUACUAGUACCUUAGAAAGCAGGCCAAGCAAUCUGAUGCCUAAUCAAUGAUCUGUUUAGGGUGAAUUCCUCCUCACAUAUCCAUCUGUCACCAGAUUAUAAACUUCAGCAACUAAACCUACACAUCUGUACUUCAGACAGAGGGAAUUGAAAACCUCAAACAACACUCUAACCACCUAAACUAGCAGGUCUCAACAUUCUAAAGCACAUUACAUGAUCAUUUGACCGUUGCUUUCUUCGUAUUGCCUACCAUCUAGUUACAAAAGGCUUAAUUCAUGCUGUUAUAGUUCCGCACAGUACCCUCCAUAUUAAGGUUUCUUAUACUUUAAAAACCACAUUUCUUCUGACCAAGCAUAACUUUUUUGCACGAGUUCUUUCACCCUCACAGAUAAGUAUAAGCUUGACUGUUACUCUCGACAUUCCAAUCUACAAAAUACUAGGUGAUUGCUCUUCACCUAUCUGAACACCCAAGAAACACUUCACAUAUAUUUCUUAUUUUUCAUUGCAACACCCUAAAACUUGAGCUAACUACCACGGAUAUAUCGUGUGCAGAAUAAAAAACACUACACAAUCGGUUCAGUGUUUAAAGUUCUGAUAAUGCAACCAUCAAAUAAGCCCAAUUCGACUAUACGAAUAAAAGGAUCCAAACAGAUUAAAAAAAAAAAAUUAAAAAAAAAACAAUACCUUGAUGUAACACAGAAGCGAUCCAAUCAAAGACCCCAAAACCGCCAUAAACGUCAUAAACCGACACCCAUAUAUAACCUGAUAAACCACUCAAAACACCACAAAAGACAUAAAAUCAAAACCGCUUGGACUCCGACAACAUUUUAUUUCUUCAAAAAAUGAAUAAACAUCAUAAUCUUCUGUACCUUCUCCAAGCCUGCCUCAAUGAACUCCACUCUACUCGGCGAGGCGGCUGCGGCGGAGUCGGAGGCGACGGUGGGAGAGAUGAUCGGCGACGAGGAGUGUGGCCGGGCGGAAGAAACGCCAGGUCUGGAGCUGGCGGCAGCCAUGGGGACGAUGAGUUUGAGAGAGUGGGGAUUGAAGAAGGCAUUGGGUCUUGAAGAAGUGCUCAGAAGCGGUGGUGGUGGUGUUCUGCUGCUGCUGAUGGGUUUGGAGAGGAGAGGGCGAGGCAGUGUCAUGAACUCAGUUGGGUCGAGUCAACUUGUUUCCAGUUUUGGGGUAUGGGCAAGUUCAACACUUCAACUUGUCUGAGAUUCUUUAUCGCAAAACUAAAACUACUUAUAGUUCCAAGACCGUGGCAAAUAUAAAUACGUAAUUGAAAAUAACAUUCAUUUCAAACUGUCACUGUAUCAGUCACCAACUCACCAUGACACGUCACACUGCAUCAUAUACGAAUCAUUCAUUCAAGUACUUUCACACGAUUAAUUCUGGAAAAGAAAAAUAAAAAAUGGAACUUGACUGCUCGACAUUUUGCGUCGUUUCGUCUAAACUUAAGAAGCAGAAAUAAGAAGUUCCCACCUCCCUGCUUGAUGAACUAGAACGGGAAAAGUCUUCCUAGUUCCUAUUUGCAGCGCCUGCUUUGUGCCACUUCCAACUGAUGGUGUCUCGACACUAACACUAAACAUCCAAAGCAGUGGGAAAUUGGAUGUGUAAGGCCAUCUUCAGUAAUUAGGUUCAAAGGGCCAUCUCCUAAAUUGACAACGUCAAGAAAAAUGAUAGUAUAGUUUAAUUCUAUAUAAAUUGAUGCCUCUCUAGAAUUAAGUCCAACUGUAAUUUGUAAAACAAAAUUAACAUAAAUAAAUAACAAAAGCAUCAUCAUCUUGUUACAAGUUGAUCAAUUACUGCAUCGACACGAUAGUAUAACAACUUUCUCAUAUUGAAUUUUGAUUUGAUUUACCACGAUAGUACGUAACCAUUGCAAAAACAGAUCUACUUCUUGGGUAAAACACUAACCAACUUAAUUGCUUCAUAAUUCAGGCAUAAACACCUAUCUAUUCCAUGGAAGCAAAUUCUAAUCGAAUCAAUGAUUUACCAGAACCUGACUUGAGAUGCUAAUUCUCUAAAUAGAUUUUGGUAAAUCAUAGACCGAGUAGAGGUCAUCACCAAUUCUUUAACUUUUUUUGGUAAAUCGUAGUCCUGAGUCUUGCAUGAUAGUAUAAAAAGUACUUGUUGAAACUAAGUUCUAGUUGGAUUAGUGAUUUACCGAGGAAAUAUCAUUGCAAGAAUCCUCUAAUUCCCUGGUAAAACCAACAAUAGAUUUCUUCUUCAAGGCUAAAUAAUCUUGACAUGAACAUCUAGCUAUCUCUUUCUUGGAAGCAAAUUCUAAUCGAAUCAAUGAUUUACCAGAAAUCUAAUUUGAGAUUAUAAUUUUUCAAAUAGUUUUUUGUAAAUCAUAGACCGACUAGAAGAUAUCUCCAACACUAAAAAUUGAUUGUAAACAAAUAUUUUCAUGCAAGUUGUGUAAAUAUGCAUCAAAUGUCGAGGGUAUAUAUAGGCCUCCUAAAAACUAUUUGUGGAACUCUCAUUAACGGAUUCCCAAACAUGAAAAUCUAAUUGUAAUCCACUAAAGAAGAAAACAUAUUAAUGUCAUAAAAUACAGAGACAACCACAAAAUAUAUCACAUUUAUCUACAAUUCCAUAUCUAUCGAUUUUAAAAAUCCAGAAUUUAUUUUUCAGAAAAAUAAAAUAGAGAGACAACCACAAAAUAUAUCACAUUUAUUCACAAUUCCUUAUUUGUCGAUUUUAAAAAUCCAGAAUUUAUUUCUUCAAGGAAAAAAUCUAAAAUUUAUUUGUAAUCUGCUAAAUAUGGUCGACACAUUAAUGUUAUUGUUUACAUACAUUGAACCACCUUCAUAGGAAUCACAUUAUUCUCAUUCAUACCAUGCUUUCAAUGGUAAGAUAAUCCAACUACAGCUUUGUUUGAAUACACUUAGAGCAUCUCCAACAGCUUCUCCAUAAUUUCUCUAUUAUAGGGAAGCAAAAGUCAAUGCUCCAAGUAAUUUUUCUUCUACAACUCCAACAGAUUCCCUAUUUUGGAGAUUUCAAGAUAAUUCCCCAAAUCUUUCUAUAAAAUUUGGAGAAUGCUGCAGAUUUGGGGAAUUUGGGUUUCUCUUUCAUCACAUUCCCCAUUUUGGAGAAAGUUUUAGGGAAUCUGUUGGAGCAAAACACCCAAAAUCUUCUCCAAAUUGGAGAAUUUAAAGAAUUUGGGGAAGCUGUUGGAGAUGCUCUUAUAGAAGUGAGAGUUAUCUUUACCUAAGCCUCCAAAACCCUAAGCCUCCACUUCUGCCAAAACACUCGUCCGGCGGCGAUCAGAUCUGUGGUGGCCUCUGGCCUAGCUAGUCCUGGGAGUGCGUCGGAUGGGUAUUGUCAAGACUCACCCCGAAUUUCACCCUGAAACCCGAGGUAAAUCCUGCGGGGUUCACCUCCAAGGAAAAUUUACCGAAAAAUUCGGCAUAACCUCUCUUGAAAAUGGACAACCCUUCCUAAAAACACCUGCAAACACUACUAAAAUUCUAAAUCCAACCUUAAACACCUAGAGCCUUCGUGCUCCCCAAAUUCACAACACCACCCAAAUUAUUUACCAAUCCAAACUAAAUCCGAUAACCAAAAAUUCCUAUGUUCAGAGCAACUAAUAGGGAAUAAAGGAAACAAAAUAUACAAAUAAGCGGAAGCCAUAAUAUGGACUAUGCCUCAACUCCAUGUACGCUCGACCUCAAUUAUGCAAUCCUGUAAACUGGGCAUUUAAAACCGAAGGGCCCAGGGGAAAACAUUUGAAAAUAUUAAGAGUGAGUGGACAAAAAUAAAGUUUAAAAGAAACAAGUCUUUAUGCUUUCCCAUUUGAUCAACGAAUAAUUCAACUAUGCAUGCAACACCUGAUGCUCACCAAUAAUACUUCAAAAGAGUAAAAAUGACGAACCAAUCCCAUUGGUUCGAAUAGAUCCAAGAUAUUAGAAAAGGGUUUCACCAUAAAGAUGAGCCUCCCAAGAUAAGGUCGGAGCCUCCCAAACUCUAUUAAUAGCGUCCCACGCUAAAAGCUAGCUAGCAAUAAUAAUAUACAACAACCCUUAUACAAUGAAAUAAGAAGAUCAUAUAGAGCUCACAAGAUAAAUAUCUCGGCCCACUCGAUAGAGCUCACGAGAAAGGUAUCCCGGCCCACUAGAUAGAGCUCACGAGAUAAGUAUCCCGGCCCACUAAACCAAGCAAUGUAACAAUACUCAAUGACGUGUCCUAGACGUCAAAAUAUACUCGAAUCUAUGAUUGAGAAGUACCGAAAAUCCCAUUUUCGGUAACCUUUUACAAAUCUCAAUGUUGACAAAUAAAAACGAUAAUUAUAGAGGAGAUAUUUAAUAAUUUAAUUGUCGCAUGCAAUUUAUUCAAAAUUGAAAGUCCACUCACAGUAUUAGGCCUAAGCCUUCCAAUGCUCGGGAUACUCCUCGUGCGCUGCCUCUAACUAUUCACACUCUAGCCAAUCCCACAUCUAAUAAUAAAUAGUAGAACAAAUUGAUCAGACCGGACUCCGAAAUAAUCAUUGACUCGACUUCUUAGUUUGAUUAGGAUUUCCUAGGUUGACUAGGAUUGACCAAGUUUGACCAAUUGACUUAGGGUUGGCCAACUAACAAAGUUUCGAUCUUUUCCAAUUUAACCUUUGACUUAACGAUUCGAUUCAAAUCCCACUAUACGUCCUACUAACCGAUAGACACUUAUGCGUCGCUUAAACACUCAUUUUGGUGAACCUUGAUUUUGAUUAAUCAACUGAUGAAAUUUCAAGGACUCAAACAUACAGAAAACAUUAAUCUGGAAAACCCAUUAAAUUUACUAAGGGCACCCAAAAGGGUUUCCAUAAAUAGAAAGUUUCCUAGAAUAGAAACUUUCCUCACUUAGAAAAAUUUCCGAUUACAACCCGCCAAACUUUCCUUUUCCUAGAAUGACAUAAAACGAAAUGGAAGCAUCAAUCACUACCUCAACCGCUACUGCCAGAUCUGCCGCUCGCCAGACUUCGGUGAUUGCCGGAAAAUGGCCAUAGGUUCCCCGUACAAUCUGAUUCACCUAGUUCUCGACAAACAACCAAAGAGCUAAAUCAAACAUCAACCAACCACAACAUAACAACAACAACACAGAAGCUUCACAACUUAACACUCACCUUCAAUCUGCCAAGCAUUGAACCCAAGAACUUUCUCCUUGCCGGAUUUUCUAAGGUAAGCAGCAUAACGAUCAAGUCAGUCUUCAUACAUCAACCCAAAUUGUUUUGGCCACGAUCCUCAACAGGGGUAGAGAGGUAACUUGUGCUACCAAAAAGUAAAUUAGGGUUUGCAGGGUGUGCCACCGCGCGGACGCGGAACGAGAACGGUGCGCGUUCUUGACUUCUAAUCAGGCGAAGUAGAGCUCCGGUGUCACCUCGCGGGCGAGGAAUUACGAGCAAGCUAUCUAGUCACCUGUGAAUCGAUACUCACUAUUUGAAGCGAGCAGAGCAACAAUUGGGAAAGAGAGACGAGUCCAGACGGGAUCUGAGAUCUAAGGCGAGGUGCACUUAGAACUUAGGGUUUCAAGGAUGCUUGAAGAUUUGCAAUUGUUUUGUAUGAUUGAUUGUCUGUCUUUAAACCAGAUCCUCGAACUCUCUUAUAUAGCGAUCCGUAAGCAAUUCGCAGAGACCUAAUCACAACUCCAUUCGGACUCAACAAUUAGAAUUCCACCAGGAAACUACUAGCUCGCGAGCCGCGCGAUCCAUGCAACACGUGUCCAAAACAAACUUCGCCUAGGUCCCGCUCACCUCCCCGCAUCAUAUCACUAUAGCGUCCUACGCGAACUCGAACACUAAGCGAUCCUAUCCCGCGGGUACUACAGUCCAUUUCCUACCUCGCCAUGCACUGUAAGAACAAAGGAUCCCGCGAGGACAUCGAAUCCCGCGAGGUAUCAGAAUCUUUGCAAAACUCCAACUCGCGUGUUGCCAGACUUCGCCACCCUUCGUGGGCUUCGCAUUAAAAAAUUGCCACAGGUACUGGCCCAAAUGUUAUCCAAAACCUACCCCGAGUCUUGGACCAAAAAUACCCAUUGGGCUCAAACAUUGCCCCCUAGGCCUUGAGCUUAAUCCAUUUCGCAACGGAUAAGCGAAAAGGCCUAAAUGAGCCAUUUACGGGAAUUCGUAAUUCAAAAGGUGCUGACGUUUCGGCAUCGUCGCCUCCCUUCAUCAUUGCGGCUGUUUGAAAUUUGAAACGUGCUGACGUUUCGGCUGUCAUCGCGUCUCCUCAUUACGGCUACAGAUUGAAAAGACGUUACGGUCCGUCUCCUUUAUAAACCUUGAUGCGGGUCCCCUUUCUUCUCACCAUCGCUUUCCAACCAGUCUUCUCCCUUUCUUCUGCAACCAACCAAACUUCGCCACCGGACUCACUCCGACCAGAAACAAUGGCUCCCAAACCAACUGCUAAUGAUCCAAACCUUAACCUCACGGCGGCGAGCUCUUGGUCAACCGGCCUCGCUCGUCGUUUUGCCAACAACCCUCCUCAAGGAACACCGAUUUAUUUCCUUGAAACAGGGGAAGCCCUGCUCCGUCCGACUCCUUCACAACCUCCAUCCGCCGCUGAUCUGAACCACUAUACCGCCUCUGUGCGCCGACCAAUCCUUGCCCAACGUCGUGAGCCGGGAAACUUUGCCUCCUGGUUCCACCAAGCCCGCUCUCACACAAAUAUCCGGGUCGGGGAAUGGCCCAGCGUCACCGCGGAGGACCGGGCAUGGUAUGCGGCUCGCCUCCAGACCGAUCAAGCGAUUUGGGAAGCAACCGGCAUCAGCGAAGCCAUUGCCUUCAGCUUCUCACUGCCUCCUCAUGCUGAUCGAGCACCCAUCGCUGCCGCGGCCUGCUUAUGGAACAGUGCCACCAACACUUUCGAUUUUCCUUUCGGGGAAAUGGGCAUUUCUCUGCUGGACAUCCUCGCCAUCACUGGGCUGCCGAUCCAUGCGAAGCCAUAUGCGCCAGGCGACUUUGCAUCUACCGAGUUUACGCAUUCCUGCAACCUGAAAGGCUCGUAUGGAGUAUGGAGGAAGUUCUACAUCGGCCAUGCAGAACAACACGAAGGAGGUAUCGCUUUCCUUGAGUAUUGGCUUGAUAAAUUAAUAUUUUGUGGCAGUGCUCACAAACCUACAGGGAAAUGGAUAAAGCUAGCCGAGGCACUCUACAAUGGGAUCGAAGUAGGGCUAGGGCAGCCCGUGCUAGGCGCGCUCUACCGGACCCUGCACAUGCUGUCCCUAAGACCCUUCCAUCUCUCUGCUGGCCCUCUGUGGAUCCUGGAUUUAUGGACGCAGCUGUACUUCCCGCUCUUCCGGCGAGCCCCGCUGGAAUUUCUGCCCGAGGACCAACUGCUCGGCUUCGCGGUGUGCAGGAACGCUGCGAACCGGACUCCCCUGUCCUUCUUCGCCAGCCUCUCCAUCCUGUACAACCAACUCAAACCGCCUCCCACCAUAGACAUGAUGGUUCGCCGGCGCCAUCCUGAAGUCUUAUCAACGGGAUUCUUCCCUCGCUCUGACUCAGACUCUGACGCCAAGACCGUCUUCAUGAGAGCAUCCUCAUGCUGCGACCUUCAGCUCACCGAAGAUGAACAAGGCUUCGAGCUGUAUGCCCCCAACCACUUCGCCAGACAACUUGGCUUCUCUCAAGGGAUCCCCUAUCCACUUUUCCAUUCGGUGAACAAGAACACCUCCUGGAGGAAGAUUGGCGAGUCCGACCGGGUCACCCCGCUGCAGAACAUUUUCCCUCUCACUCCUGACUUGCUGGAGAUUGAGCCUUCGCUGGGUGUUGACCCCGCUUACCUCUCUUGGUGGCGAUCCUUAUCCGACAACCAUUGGGGGUUCCCAGAUGAUGCUGUCUUCGCUGCCAUCUUCAUCCUCUGUACGACACUCUGGGCAAGUCAGACCGCGUCAUUCUUGACGCCCAGCGCGACCGUGAAGAGGGUGGUUCAAAGGCUGCGACAGGGCCUAGGCCUGCGCUCCCACCAGUUCCCGCUACUCGUCGCUCGACGGGGAUCGUCAUUCGAGAACGCGACCCCGCACCCGAGGUAUGCCACUAACUGUGUAAAUUUCGAACCGCCUUUAUCACUUCGACGAAAUACUUCUCCCUAACUCUCCUGUCUAUCUUUACAGUCUGCCCCCCGCCGGAGAACUAUCAGAAGACCUGAGGGAGCUGGAGACAAAGGAAAAGCACCUGCUCAAGAGGAACCCGCGGCGGACCAUGACAGUGAGACUGCUCCCGUCAUUCCUCGGCCAACAAGCGGCGAAAGCUCGCGGAAGCGCCCUGUUGAGGACGAAGAAGAACUGCUAGAGGAUGAGCGAUAUCGGCAAGAGCACGCUUUGGUAAGCGACCUUCCUUCGAACCAAACUACAUCAAAGCCAACAAACGAUAUGCUAACUUUGUAUUUGACAGGUUCGCCGCCGCAUCCGACCUCGCCUCGCUGUCAAUGAAGGAGCAACAGCGAUAGUUGAAGUCCCAGCCCCGGAACCAAUCGUCGGGGAUCAAACCAUGGUUACCGAGGAAGUCGCCGUGCGACCCCCUCCUCCAACCGACGCUCUAGGCGAAACUGGCCUGCCUCCAGAGCCUACCUCGGCUCCUGCUCAAGAUGAAGAUUUCGGCCAGACCACCCGGCUUUCUGACUUCGCUGCCCCUUCAGCGGUUCCUCCAGAGGACUUCCAACCGGUGCUUGAGCCCUCUCCCCUGCAACCAGAUUCAACGGCUCAGACCAACGAAGAACCGAUAGUCCCCACUCGGUCUAAGGUCCCCCCGCCCGUUCAAGAGAUUGAGGCCGUUGCAGAGGUUGAACCAAUCACUCCGGCCCCAACUAGGACAUCUGGCGAGGCGGCUUCUUCUUUGGCUACCCGGACCGCUCGUCUUCGGGCCCGGAUUACCCCGCCUGCUGAUCCAGAGCCCAUUCGCCUAGCCCGGGCUUUCUUUCACGGGCUACUGCGCCAAGGUCCCCACAUGAACGUAUUCGAUUUGGUGAGGCGCGUCCGCGAGGCCCAUGAAGCUCUGACUCGGCACCUCGCUGGCAGCAACCCUGCUCUAGACCAUGUGUUGGAACUUACCGACGCUGUCGAGCUGCAGGCUCGCCGAGUUCAAGAUGUCGGUGCCCAGUCGGCCGCUCACGAGAAAGUCCGCGAAGCCUUAGACCAUCAGAUGGCAGCCCUUUUAGCCUAGCUUGAUGACGCUGAAAUCCCUGAGGCAUUGUCAGAGAACCCAUGCACUGUCUAUGCUCGGCAAGUGGAGGACCUGGAGGCUCAGAUAGCGGAGCUGCAAGCUCAGCUUGCUCAAGCUCGCCAGAACCUGGCCCAAGCUGAAGAGGCAGAAACCCGUGUGCAGGCCGCGGAAGAGACCCAGGAAGCUUUGGACUCGGCUGCUGCUGCUGCUGACGAAGCCCAAGCCCAGGCAGAUGUUGAAGAGUUGGCCUUAGAAGGCCUUCUCAUAGAUUUGUAUAGGGCUUCUAGGCGGGUUUAGGCCUGACCACCGCUUUGCCCCCUUUGUACGAACCUUUUAAAUAUUAUUAUUAAAUUAAAUCUUUCCCGCUCUUGUCAAUUCUUGUGUAAGAACUGCCUUUCCAGGAAAAAAUCUUUUUCCAAGAUUUGGUAGGGGUUUCCAAUGCAACUACUCGCUUGGAACGCGGGUAGUCAUUAUGGAACAACGCGUCCGACCUUAUCUCCAAAGUUCGUAUCUCGGAGCAAAUCGCUGCAUGGAGGACAUCUGUUGAAAGGAAAAUCACCCUACUCGCCUAUAAAAAGAAACGCUUGGCCGGGGCGAAGUACCAGUUAAGUCUCUGCCCCCUUGCCAUGGGCUCUUAUACCCUUCUGUUCAUCCUCUUGUCCCUUCUUAAAGCAAAGCCCCCGCCUCACAUUUUCACUCUUCAUUUUUUUCUGAUUCUGAAAAUCUACUCUCAGGCCGGGAGUGAUUCUGAAAAUCUACUCUCAGGUCAAGCCUUUGUUUGGACGAGCUAAUGGUUGAGUACCUUCUGCCUUGCACCGGCUGUUCUGUCCAAACGUGAGGCUCUCGAGGCUCCGCAUCCGCUUGCGCUUCAGGUUCUGGUCAGUGCAUUUCAAGCACCUUCCAGGCGUGACCGGUAGCAUGAGGGACCCUGGUCCAGUGGACCUCUAGCUUCCCAACAAUUUGUCUUAGGUCCGGGCCGGUGUCAAGGCUCGUGCUGGUCUAAAGAAGCGGGACGUUUGCCAACUUUAAACGAAGGAUGCGGCGGUAGUCUCUUCUUCAACCCUGCAAGAUAUGCGGGUUGAGGCCUCCAAUAUCUGUAGAUCUAUGCAUUCGUUCGUAAACAUAGCUUAAUUUCACCCUUUCUGUCAAUGUAGUCGCUCCGGCCGCAAAGCCGAUGUUCGAAACUUGUAUUGAAACAACGCCAAAAAGGGCAAAAUAAAUAAAUUUAUUGUUUUUUAGGGCCUCUGGAAUAGGCCCCAAUCUUGUACUUGUCUUUGCGUUUAGACUUUGCACGUUUACAGACAAUGAAGAAAAAUAGAGUUAUCCUUGCACGUUUAUAGACAAUGAAGAAAAAUAGAGUUAUCCUUAUUUAGGGCCUCUGGAAUAAGCCCCAAUCUUACACUGGCCUUUUUAGACUGGUAUGUUACAACGUACUCUAUCAGUCGUCUAUCCCGGAUUGCCCCCUAGUGUUAGGCGGCGGAGCGAGAACGCGAUGGCGCGUAGCACUAUUGACUGUGGUGACGGGGUCUAGGGGAGGUGGAGGAUCCUCGCGUUCCCAAAUUCCUGCAAUGUGGCGCUUGAGGAAGCGGCCAUUAAUAGGAUUGCGAUGAAUGGUACCGUCCAAGUCGCGCAAGUGGUAUGCCCCCUUGGGAAGUAUACGAUGAAUAAUAAAGGGGCCUUCCCAUUGAGCGGACCACUUGCCCAGACCGUCGGUUUUGUCCCCAAGUGGGAGUACCACGCGCCACACUUUCUGGCCCUCAGCAUAGCUCCGUCCGCGCGUGACCUUAUCAUACGAACGGGCGAUGAGUUGUUUUUCGAGGACGAGAUUGUUGAAAGCGGUGACGCGGUGCUCGUCAAGAUCUUCAAGCUCCUGCCACAUGGCUUGGACGUAAUCCUCGCCAAGUAGUUGGUGCUGUUCCUGAACGUGGAGUGAAGCGAUAUUAAUCUCAAGGGGAAGGACGGCAUCAUGGCCGUACAUGAGAGCGUACGGAGUGGUAUCCGUUGGGCCGCGCUUUGAAGUGCGGUAAGCCCACAAGGUGUGGUAGAGUUCCGCAUGCCAGACACGCGGGUUCAACUCCAACAUCUUGCGGAGGAUGCCAAGGAUGACUUUAUUACUAGCCUCUGCCUGGCCGUUGGACUGUGCAUAAUAUGGCGUAGAGUGGAGAAGUUUGAUUCCGUAGUCGUUUAAGUACUUAACAACUGAAUCAGCCAGGAAAGCUGCCCCCCUGUCCGUAACGAUGCACUCCGGGAUACCAAAGCGGGAGAUGAUAUUGCGGAAAAUAAAGUUGCGCACCGAGUUGGCGGAGGCAACCUUGAGUGGUUCGGCCUCGACCCAUUUGGUAAAGAAAUCGGUGGCGACGAUAAUGAACUUAUGCUGCUCAAAAGAAUAGGGAUGAAUGAUGCCAACGAAAUCUAUCGCCCAACCGCGACCCGGCCAAGGUUUAAUGAUAGGCUGCAACGGGAUGUUGGGAAUAUGUUGCACUGGUCCGUGAGCCUGGCAGUCUUGGCAACCUUUGGCGAAGGCAAUACAGUCUUUCAGAAUGGUUGGCCAGUAGUACCCGUGGCGACGGAUUAACCAACGCUUUUUUGGCCCGGCCUGGUGCGAACCGCAAACUCCACAAUGGACUUCGUGCAUGAUACGUUUAGCUUCGUUCCCAUACACGCAGCGGAAAUCGUUUCCGUCUUCCCCACGCCGCCGGAGUUCGCCAUUGCGUAAAACAAAGUUUAAGGCGAGGAAACGUAUUUGUCUGGAGUGAGCGGCGUCGUUGGGGUUCUAGAGGUAGGCGAUAAAUGGUAGCCGCCAAUCCUCGUCGAUAGGGUCCAAGGCCGCAACUUCGGGGGUGUCGGCCUGAAAUUGCCCCCUAGCGAUGAAAGAAGGAAGCGUGCGGCGUUCGACUUUGAGCAAACGUUCGCGCACGCCGUCGCGCAGGCUGAGACCGGACGCUACUUGGUCGAGCUCGUUGGCGGCGAAGUUGAACUCACGGGGUAUGUGCUCGAUGUAGACGUCGUCUGAUCGGUCCAACACCUCAAAUGCCUUGCGCAGGUAUGGCUCAAUGGACGAGCUUAAGCACUUAAACUUUUCCACCAGCUGGUUAACGACCAACAAAGAAUCACCAAAGAUUUGAACCUUGCGGACUCCUAAAUCCAACAAAAUCUCUAGGCCGAUGAUCAGCACCUCGUACUCAGCCUGGUUGUUGGUGCAUUUGAAAUCGAGCUGGAACGAGUAGGAGAAGCGAUCUCCAGCGGGAUUGGCUAUGGCUAUCCCGGCUCCGGCCGCGGUAUCAGUUCGUGAACCAUCAAAGUACAGGGUCCAUGGAGCGAGUGUCACGGUAGCGAAUUCCAACUCGCAAAACGCCGUGAGCUCUGAAGGUGGGUGAUGAGCGAGAAAGUCUGCUAUUGCCUGUCCUUUUACUGCCUUUUGCGGAACAUAUUGCAACGAGAAUUCGGACAUGGCUAAGAUCCACUUGCCGAUGCGUCCCCGCAGGAUAGGGCGGGAGAGCAUGUAUUUGACCAGGUCGGAUUGAGCGAUCACAACCGUGGUAAAGGCAAGCAUGUAAUGGCGCAGCUUGCACCCUGCAAAAUAUAAGGCAAGACACAACUUUUCCAUAGGGGAGUAUCGUGUCUCGCACUCAGUUAACACCCUGCUAAGGUAAUAGACAGCGUGUUCUACCCCGUUCACAUCGUCUUGGGCCAGGAGUCCGCCGAUGGACAAGUCGGCAGCGGCGAUAUAAAGUUUAAGCGGGGUACCGUCGCGAGGAGGGAUCAGGACUGGUGGGUUCGUCAGGUAGUCCUUGAUCCGAUCGAAGGCCUGUUGAUGUUGUGGUUCCCAGACGAACUCGGUUGCCCCCUGGAGCUUGAGGAGGGGUGAAAAAGGCUGGACCUUCCCUGCCGCGUUUGAUAUGAAACGGCGGAGAAAGUUGAUUCGCCCGAGCAGCUGUUGGAGCUCCUUUUUGGUGGUGGGGGGCGAAGCGGUGAUCACUGCCUGUGCCUUGUCUUUUGGGAUUUCGAUGCCUCUUUGAUGCACUAGGAAACCAAGGAAAUCACCGGCCUCCGCGAAGAAAACACACUUGGCGGGGUUCAUCUUCAGGUUAUAUCGGCGCAUCCGUGUAAACACCUGCCGCAGGUCCUCAACAUGGGUUGCCCGUGUUUUGGUUUUGACUACCACGUCUUCGAUGUAUACUUCGAUCAACUUCCCCAAGAUGUCAUGAAAGAUGAGGUUCAUGGAGCGCUGGUACGUUGCCCCCGCGUUUUUAAGUUCGAAAGGCAUGACAACAUACUCGAACGCGCCGGCAAACCCAGGGCAUCGGAAAGCGGUCUUGUGUCGAUCUUCCUCAGCGACGGGAAUCUGAUGGUAUCCAGUCGUUCCAUCCAUAAAGGAUAACACCUUGUGCCCCGCGGCGGCAUCAAUGAGUAGGUCAACCACAGGCAUGGGGUAUAUAUCCUUCGGUGUUGCGUUGUUUAGGUCGCGGUAAUCAACACAGACACGCAUCUUGCCAUUUUUCUUGCGAACGGGGACAACAUUGAACAGCCACUCGUUAUACUUUGCCACGCGAAUGAUGCCCGAUCGGUGCAUGCUUUCGAUCUCCUCCUUGACUACGAUCUGAGUCUCAGUUCGCAUGAAUCGGCCGUCCUGCCGUACUGGACGUCAGUCGGGAUAAGUUGAUAACCGAUGGCAGACCAAGUCCGGGGAAAAGCCGGGCUUGUCUUCGUAUUUGUCGGCGAAGCAAUCCCUGUAUUCGCGUAACAGGACCAGAAGGGCUUCCUUUUCGUCUUUUGCCAACUUAGCACUGAUAGAAAUAAGUAAGGGCUUUUCUGCAGUCCCUACGUCAACUUGUGAAAUGGGGUCGCGGACUUGAGGUGGUGUGUCGUCCAAGGCGGCGGGAGCUAAGUGAAUAACUUCCUCCUUGGUAUCGGAAUAAUCCACAACUUAAUCUACAUAUUCCAUAGUCGCGACCUUGUCGUAGGCUUCGCGUUCUGCCCAAUACGAAAGGAGUCUUUCGUACAAGGACUCGCCAGCCUCGCAUGCCUCCUCUGAGAAGGCACUAUUCAUCAGAACGGGGUGUGGGAUUCGCGAUGGUGUGAGGACGUUGCAAAUCGUCCUUUGCCUGGGUAAGUCCCCAUCGCGUUGGAUUGGAAGCCGUUAUUCCAUAUGGGCGGCCUUUGUUAUCGACGCCUUGAACAUCCAACGGACCCAAGUCUGUAGUAUAAUAUCAGGCAUCAUUGAAGUUGGCGGAUAUAGAGAAUGGCCGCGGGUCGGCUUUGAUGAUGACUGCUUCACGGUUCUCGGUGUCCCAAAUCAUGAGUUCUUGGUGCAUGGAGGAAGGCACGCAGAAACUUCUGUGGAUCCAAUCUCGGCCAAGAAUCAUGUUGUAGGAGGAAGUGCAUUUAGCGACGAAAAAGGUGUAAACCCGUGAUGCCGGCCCUACCUUGACCCGUAGAAAUAGCAAGCCUAGGGUUCUGGACACUUGCCCGGUGAAGUUCUUGACUGUCAAGGACGUGGUUUGGAUCAUCGAGCGCGGGAUGUCUAGGAGUCCCAUGGUACGGGUUGUGACAACAUUGACCGCUGCACCGGUAUCGACCAUGACUUUGUUUAUCAUCUUUCCUUCGACUUCGGCCGUGAUAUACAGUGGCCGCAUGUGAGUGACCAUGUCCAAAGUUGGUGUGGAGAAGGUUAGAGUUUGCUUAUGCUUGAUGCUGCUCGUAAUUUCCACCUGUGGGGCGUCGUCGGCCUGUACCGGAACUGGGCCCAUUUCGCUGCUGCAUGGCGGGGGUAUGCUACUGACAUCCUCGCUGCAGACGGGAAUAUCCGCCGCACUGCAAGUUGUGUUCGGUGGAAGGGCGUAUCUUUCCGAAAUGAAGAACACCAUCCCGACUUGAAAGGAGAAUUGUUCAGGGACUAGGACCAAGGGAGUGUCAAUGAUCCCGUGUUCCCCGCAGAGAACUGCGAAAGCAUCUGCUUCGCGGCUAAACCCUUCAUCAGCACCCCAUUCUGAGACCUCUACCAUAUUACAGGUGAAUGAUUCUGCCUGCUCCUCGUCUCGGUCUUCCUCUAGGUUAAGUCGAGGUUCUGAAUGUGCCUCGUCGUCUUCUGAAUUCUCGCGGAAACCCUGGGCCAUUUGUUGGGCGAGGUUAGGACUGGAGGGCGCCUGUGCGGCUAUUGGUGGCUCUUGAGCCUCGGGUUGCCGCGGACGCCAUACUGACUUGGGUGAAGGCUGGUGGUCCUUGGCGGGUUGUUUGUCUGUUGCCAAAGGAGCCUUAUCGCUGUCUUCCUUUUUCAACCGUUGUAGGGCGGAUACUCGGGGAACCAUCUGAGUCUCGGGCUCCAGGGUGGACCGUGUCCGAGGCUGGUGUGGUGGUGGUGGCUCCCUUCUGAUAUUGGCCUCCGGAUUUUGACGUUCCCGUUGCUGUAAGGGCUAAGACGGUUCGCGUUUGGACUCUGGGUCCGGGGUCGUGAACAGUUUACGCCUAGGACCAGUAGGCGGGUCCCUUCUCCGCUAGGGCUCCGGUGACGGCCUGCUCCUGGAAGGCUGUUGAUCCCUCCUUUGUUCAGGCUCUGGUGACGGUUUGGGCCUAGCAAGCUGUGGAUCCUUUCUUCUUUCAGGUUCUGGUGAUGACCUGCGCCUGAAAGGCUGUGGAUCCCUUCUUCUUUCAGGUUCUGGUGAUGGCCUGCGCCUGGAAGGCUGUUGAUCCUGCUUUGGUGGGACCGUGAGUCGGCAAAAGACGUUUGCUUUGGGUGCAGGCUCGUCGCUGAAUUGUUCGCAAAUCCUUGGGGGUGUGACAGGCGGCAUUUGAAGGAAUGCGCACAAACCCUCUGCUUCCCUCGACAUCCGUUCAGGCGUCUGUGCGAGCUGUGAGGGGCGUACAGCACCCUCUUCGACAGCCCGUAAGGCACGUAGGAUAUUACCGUAUCGCUUCUUAGACCUGCUGAUGGUGACUGCCUUGCCCCCCUGCUGUGUGUACCAGACUCCAUCUUUGAUUGCGGAUUUGGACGUCGGGGGAAUAUAGGGGUCGGUUAGGACGCCUUUACGAGGGCUCGAGGCCUCGUUGUUGUGACGCUCACCGCUGGAGUCUGACAUGUNNNNNNNNNNNNNNNNNNNNAAGACACCAAUGCUCCUGAGUGUGACUCCAGGGCCGCCCGGCGAGGGUAGACGGGGUGGCGUCUUUGACGAACUGGCCCCCAAUGUGAAUUGGGGAGUCUUCUGGGCCCCGACCCUUGGAUUUCCUCUAGGGCGUUCAUUAGGUGGAAUAUACCUUGAGCCUUCAGUUGCACUUGAACUAAUAGCAUGAUUCUUUGGCGCCUGCGACCGCAUCCAGUCUUCCACUUGCAGGACCCUUAAGCUCAAGUUAUCAUGUUGCUCCUUGUAGUCCUCAAGCUUUUCCAUGCUAUUCUUACUUCCAAAGAAAGAAGCGUCCUGCUAUUGUUGUAACUUGGUGUCGUUCUUUGACUAGGUCAACCCCCUCUUUACCUUUUAGGCUUAAACCAACAGUCAAGAUUUAAAACCUAGAUCCUAUGACCAGAUUAAAAGUUAUACUCUAAUUUCAGAAAAUUAAUUUAUUUUACCAAAUCUUUAAUAAAUCGAAGAAAAUAACUCGAAGCUCCAACAAAUAAUCCGAAAACGCCGGAGAACUUGUGUCAACACAAACUACGACAUCGUCACCUUAACAAAAGGAUUUGACAUUUCGAGAAAACUUGAGAAUAAACUAGUGUUAACUUACUAAGUUACCGAGCAUAGUUAAAUUUCUCAGUAACUCGUAGAAUUCCCAGUAAAUAGGUAAAAUUGGGUACGGGGCAUUACAGGUAUCCUGUAACAUCCCGGAAUUUUGAAUUUCUAUUUUUAAAAGGAAAAUUAUUUUCAAGUUCUUAUCAUUUCAAUUUAUAUUAUUCUUCAAAUUCUUUGUGGUUUUUAAAAAUUAUCCAAAGUUUGUCUUUUGAUCUCAUAGGAUUAAUCUAGACGUCGUUACGAGUUCGUAGGUUUUUACAGAAUAUCGUUUGGACAUUAGAGCUAUUUUUAAUGAUUUUUGGAAGUUAGUAUUAUCCAAAAAUUAAAUUAAAAAUAGAAAUUUGUGGUGGCUUGAUUUGGGCUGUUGGAUUGUUUUAAACCGUCUAAUCUGUGCCGUUGGAUUAGAGCAUAUACAGGUCGGAGUGGAUCAGUCCAGACGACAGCCCAGACCGACCCCGUCUCGAGCAGCGGUGGAGCUCGGUCGCUCCGUCCGUCAUCCGGCGGUCUCUCGGCUUCCAACCGGUGGCCACGGCUUCGGCUUGUCGUCCCCAACGUGACUGUGAUGUUGUUUCUCCAUGGGAAGCUUCGGUGAGAGAGAAAAGAAGGAGAGAAGGUGGAUGUUUUUCCGAUCGGCUUUCCGAUUCCGGCGACGGCGAGGAGAAAGAAUGCUAGCGGCAGCUUCCUCUCGUCCUCGUCCUCUUGGUCAUGUCCAUGCCCUUGAAUUUCAGAUAAGAAGUCUGGAGUGAGUGAUUCGAAGUGGAGAAGGAGAGGCUGGGUUCGCCGGCGAGUCUCCGAUUCCGGCAGCGUCGACGCCUCUCACCGGUGUGGAUAGCUUUGUUUCCUCAUCCUCGACGUCCCUGUAACUUCAGCUUGUCGAGACGAGGUCAGGUGAGGGAGAAUCGAAGAGAAGAAGUUUUGGGAUUUUCCGGCAAGCGUUCGAUGUUUUCCGGCCACCGGCGAAGGCAAGCGAGGUAUCAAUCUUCAUCUACUCGUCGAGCUUUACAUGUUUCUAUAAUUGAAAUUGAGUUUGGAUUGAGUUUAGAAGAAUUUGGAUUUGGGCAGUGUGACCACCGUGGGUGGCCACUGUGCACGGCGGCGGGAGAGGCGGUUAUUCUUAUUGAUUUCCAGCUUUAUUGUCUUGAAUCUGUUAGAGUGAUUUGAUAUGCUUGGAUUCGAUUUUAGUUGUGAAUUGAAGAAAUUGGUUGAGUGAAGUGGUGUUGGCAGUGGCGGCGGCAGCGGUGAUGAUUUUAGAUUUUCUGUUCAUAUCAGGUUACCGUGUUUGGUGUUGAUAGCAGUUGUGAUGGUAUCGUUGUGAGUUUUGAAGAUGAAGUUAAGAAUUUGUGAGGUUUAGAGAUUAUAAGGUUUCUGUUCAACUCCUUUUGCUGGUCUUGGAGAUGUUUUAGAUGUUGAUCAGUUUUAUUAAUCUUGACAGAAACUAUAGAGCAGAAAUCAGUAUUGGUUGUACUUGAAGUGCGGAAUUAGAGGAGUUUGGUGAUGAUGGAGACGUUGGGGUUGUGUACUCUGUUAGUACUUAGUUCGAAAGUUCAUCCACAUGUUUUGGUAUUUUGAGAGCUGUGCUUUUAAUAUAAUGAAUUUGCUCAAGGGAGUUUUAAGAGCAUGCAUGUUUGAUCGGAGAUAUAGUCUUGACAUUAAGAAUUGAUUAAGUGAUGCCUAAGGAUGGAUUGAGAAUUGGUGUCCUUAAUGUGAGGACUAAUAUAGUUCAAAGCUUUUGGGUGUCCUUAGUAAAUUUCAAGGACUUGAUCGCAUUGAUUUGAAGUGAUUCGUCGACAUUCUUGGAAUGAGGAUUUGAUACGAGGAUCGAGUAACUAUCGACAUUCCAGGAGCAGAAGGAUAAGGAUUUCAGUAAGUGUGUCGCAGUGUUACUAAUUUUAGCUAGCGUUGGAAGUAGCGCUUGGAUUCCAGGUAGGGUCUCUCUCGGGGAACCUUUCUUAAAUUGAUAAUUAGAUUAUAAUUGAAAUGAGUGUUUGUGUGGCAUUGAUUGGUUAAUUAUUGAUUGUUAUCGUAUUUGAUAAAGCAUGUGUGAUCGUUGAUUUAUAUGAAAUUGAUGUUAUUGCUUUUCAUUAAAAGCAUGAGUUAAAUAUUGUAAUGCAAGUAUUGUUAAUUGUUGCAUACAUUAUGCAUUGUGAGGAAAUGUGAGGAUAGUGAGAAUGGUGAUUAUGGAGAAGAAUGAGAUUGAUAGAAUAGAUAUAUUUUGUGUAGUUGAGUUUCCUCAUGGGUUGUCCAAGAUCCAGGGUAGCCCACACGUGCAUAAAUAUGGGGAAAGUAUGCCCCUUCGAUGGCGGACAUCGAUAAAACGAUCUUAUCGGGUUUCGGGUUUGGAGACCAUGAGUAUAACAAGACGACUAACAAAAGAGGUACAGGCGGUGAGAUAUUAUUGAUUGUUAAAUCAUAUAUUCGAGGCAUUUAAGUCACCCCCGGUUGGUAAAAUACACGGUAUGAGACAUGUAGGGUCACCUGUCUUUGAUGUAUGGACUGAUAGCCAGUAAUUGAGGAAGUCAUUCAUUCAUUAGCAUACAUGCAUCGAAUUGUCAUUAUUUAUUUUAUUUAAAGUAUUGUUUGUUUUUUUGUUAACUUGUUUGGGCGACGUAGUUAAGUAUAACCUAAAAAAGUUAGGCCCUACUGAGCUUAAGCUCACCCCUAUAGAUUUUUGUUCAGGUACUACGAGACUCGUCUUUUGAGAAGACUAACUGUGAAGUUUAGCUGACGUGUUCGAGAGUUUAGAAGAGUUACAGAAGAUUAGAAAUGAGAUAGAUCGCAAGGCCUGCCUGUUUUGUCUUUGUAAUUGUUUUUGCUAUUGUAAACGUUUUAUUUUCUUUUAUUUCAAGAAAAGUAUUUGAAAUUGUUUUAUUUUCUUUUACUUUUUUCGCUCACGCCUCGGGUUUGGCGUCAGGUGUUUGGAAACCACCGACACCGGGUCCGGGGUGUGACAUAUCUUAUUUGAUUUCAAUCAUGGAGCAAGUCUGAUCUGAGCAAAGUUGAGGGGUUUCAAGCUGUCAUGGUUUCUGAGUAAGGAGGUGUCGACACAAGCAAGGGUGACUCAGCUAGAUCUCGCAACCGGUAUCAAUGGUGUGAUCCGUUUUUGGCGUAGGGUUUUGGGGUGGUUUCCGUUUGGAGCCCGCCGACUUCACGUUGUCAUCGAAUCGAGGACCUAUGUAGGUGCGUGCUGCUGAGAGAGAGGGAGGAGUCUCAUGGUUAUGGGGUUUGAAGAUGAUGGGUGGCGAUGUGGCGGGGUUGCGACAGAGUUCUGGUUGUAGUUGCAAUUCGACAAUGGCGGCGGCACGACGGUUUUGAUGGUGGUGAAUGGUCUGGUGGCAACUACAAACUUGGGUAGAACCUUUUUGGCCUUGCUUCAUUGGUUUUGCUCUAGUCCUAAUAUGUCAUGGGCCACUACUGGAAAAAGUCAUUUAGGAGACGGAAUAGUUUCAUCUCCUAAGUAACAAAAUUCGUCUCCUAAGUACUUAGGCGACGAAAUAUCCGUCGCCUAAGUGAUGUGAGGCAGGUGUUAGGGCGACGAAAAAUUGAGUUCCGUCGACUAAGAAUUACUUAGGCAACAGAAUUUUUUCCGUCUCCUAAGUACUUAGGCGACAGAAUUUUUCCGUCUCCUAAGCACUUAGGCGACGAAUAUUGUUUAAUGACAAAAAAAUUAUUUUUCUCCUAGGUGACAGAAUUAUUAGAUUCCGUCGCUAAGUCUGAAAAAAAAAAAUUUUUAAAAAAAAAAUUGACAUCCUCUGCCCAAAUACCACAGCCGAUCCGACAAAUCCCAGCACAGAUCCGACAAAUCCCAACAUGAAAAUAUGGUCCGAUCAUGAAUCAGUCCUAGCUAGUCUCUCCCUCAAAUCAACCACCUAUUUCUUUCAAUCCAAACCAACCUCACCUAUUUCUCUCCCUCUACUCUGUAAGCUCCGAACCCGAAUGGACCGCCACGGCCUGCUUCUCUCUCGGUUGUCAGUCCUCGCUCGCCCCCAACCGGGCCAACCCGGGAGCUGCCGCCAACGAUGACAGCGUCAUCAACCCGUGUGUCCCCGUUUGGUCUCGCCGGAAGCCUCGCCGGAAAACAACCUCGACAAACCUAAAAAAUGGCAGAAAAGGGGAUUUUCACAUUAGGGCUCCAAUCCAAAGAUUAAGACAUGAAAUUGAAGAAGAAGAGAAGAGGAAAGAAACCUUACUCACCGAAGUUGCUAUCGCUGCCCAAGCUCGCUUGAAAUCGGCGAACUCCGCCGUGCUACCUCGGCUUCGAUCUCCUUCGGGAGUGGAUAUGUCGACCUGGUGAGUAUGAGGAGAUAGAGGAGGGAAAAGUGGAUGUUUUGGUGGUGAUCUUGUGGCGUGCGGUGGCCGGAACCGACGACGCUACGCCAGAGAUGACGGCGGCAGACGGAGAGAAAGAGAGUGAGGCAUGGAGAAGAGAAGAGGGAUGGUAUGAAGAGAGAGUGAGAGAGUUAAUUUUUGGGUGAGGGUGGAGUUUUUUUAUAUGAAGAGAGAGUGAGAGAGUUAAAUUUUUUUGGGUGAGGGUGGAGUUUUUUUUAAGAGAGUGAGGGUAGAGUUUAAGUUAAAAAGAAAAUAAAAUUUUUAAAAUUUUUGGUUUGAGUUUUCGUGAAAUGUUUUGGCGGAAACGUUGCCGCUAAAAAUUUUGGUACUUAGGCGACGAAAAAUUAUACUUUCGUCGUGUAAGUAAUUAAUUAUUAUUUUUUUAUUUUUAAAAAUAAUAAUUCUAUCGCCUAAGUAAAUUUUUCCGUCGUCUAAGUAAAUUUUUCCGUCGUUUAAGCUAUUCUUAGACCACGGAAUACAUUUCCGUCACCUAAGUAAUUUAUUUUUUAUUUUUAUUUUUUAAAAAAAUAAUUCUGUCGCCUAAGUAUAUAUUUCCGUCGUCUAGGAGAUUCUUAGACCACAGAAUAGAUUUUUGUCGCCUAAGUCUUUCUUAGGCUAUAAAACUGUUUUCCGUCGUCUAAGUCCCACUUAGGCUACGAAAUUAAUAUAAUUCCAUCGCAUAGGUUCUUUUUUCCAGUAGUGGGCCUAGAGUUUUUACUCUGGGCCCAAGAUGGUUAUCCCUUAGUUUUCUAAGCCCCUUUUGGGCCUCUUAAGGUUUUAAACUCGUUUUUGCUAGUUUAUUUCCAAUAAUUUUAUUUAUGUAGGUUACUAAGAAUCCUAGGUAGGUUUUGAUGCCUGGAGAUUAUGAUAUUUCUUUUACAUCUAGAUAAUGGACACUUCUUGUCGAACCGUAAUUGAGUGCCUUGGCGACAAAGUUUUCAUACAAAAUUAUCUCUAUGUAGGGUAAGAUUAUAGCUUGCUAGGCUCAUUGUCAAUGAGUGAAAAUGUACAAUGUGAUGGUAUGUGAAUCACUCCAAUCAUUUGGGGUCUGUAUCGAUGUCAUUCUAGCUGCAAAUAUUAAUGUAAUUGGUUACAGUGGUGUUCAAAUGGUCACCUAGUGACCAAGAAAUUCAUGGUCAAUCGUCGUUGGAUGUAAAUCCAAGGGUGGAAAGUAUUAUUUUAAAGUUAAGUUGUUUUGUUUUCCAUUCUUGGAUUUAUAUCUAACGGUGAUUGACCAUGAUUUCCUUGGUCACUAGGUCUAUGUGACCAUGUGAACAUUAUUGUAAUGGGUUAUAUGCCCGCCUUUGUUUCAAAAAAAAAUUAUUCUCAUUCACAAAAUGCGAACAUAUUAAUUGCGUUGUAUUAAUUAAGAAAACUAGAACAAUUUGAUUGUUUUAGAACAAGAUAAUUUCAUUACUUAUCAACAGUUAGAAGACACAUACAUCUAUUAUCGUCUUGCGCCAACUAAGCUUAAUUAUUGAGUCUACACAAUAUAAACUAGGUUAAUUUGUUGUACGUAGAAUGACAAUAAAUUUGAAUCAUGGUAUAUUCAUAUAUAGAAAGUGAAUAAGUAUGCCAAACGCAAAACCCUAACUCGGGUAGACAAGCACAAAAUCUCAUCCUUGUCCCGCGACGGCCUAAGGUUAGGCGUGUCUGUUGAUCGCGUCAACGCCGGAUGGCUUUGAUGUCGGAUAAACUAUAUGAUAGAAACUUAUUGCUCUAAGAGAUAAUUGACUAGAAGUUCUUAACAGCUUUUGAUCAUUGUGGCUUUUUUCAAUCGUCUCAAAGAUGAGGUAUAAUGAAAAUCGGCUCAAGAGGUACAUCUGAAUCCAUCUUCCUAAACGGUGGUGACGACACUCCGUCCUUGUUCUUUUCAGAGGCGGAGCUUCGGGUUAGAGGUGGUGUUGUUAGUCCCUAUGUUUGUGGCGACGAUGGAACUUUCAUGCGGUGGUGUGCUUGCGGCUGUAGGAUACGACGGUAAGAAGCGACGCUUCACGGUGGUGACUGGUAGUCGGUUUUAUUCCGCGUCUUGCCAGCAACAGUGAAGGAAGGCUGGGGGUAGGUCAACUGUUCUAGGCGUAGGUUUAGUUCUUUUUUGGAGUUUGGGAUGCUAUUUUUCUUUUCCUAGUUAUCUACUUACAAUAAUUUCCUUGCACUAAGAACCUACACGCUCGUGCCUCAUGCGCCUCUUGGCGUUUGAGUAUAUUUUCCAUGAUAGUCUAAGUAUCAAUCACUAGCGUCUAUGUAGCAGUACCGAAGGAGAAUAUUCGCUCUCUCUACGAAUUUAAUUUUACAAUGAGUAGGUCUGUUUCUAUGUAUCAUUAGUGGGUACUACAACUCAACUCCUUGAUUGCUUUAAAUGGUAGUGGGAGGAUAUGUAACGGUCUAUUGUGGCUUGUGAUGAAUAUAUUGGCACCUGAUUUGGGUAUUUGAAUAUAAAAAAAUAUGUAGAAAGUGAAUAAUUCUCUAAUGUGAGAUUUAAAUUUGAAAUUCUAAACUGUAUAAGUUGUGAUCUAGAUAAGUAUGGUUGUCUUAUCAUUCCUUGUGCUAUAAGAAAUGGUAGCUCCAAUGUUUCUAUCACUGAAGCUCAUGCUGGAGAGAUGUGUGAGAGAUCAGUUGGAUACUAUAGAGUUGGAGUUAAGACUUGACGGCAACAUAUCUGUCUAGUGUGUCAACAACAACUAGUGAUAUUGCUGUGAAGAGUGCGAUUAUGGCAUUGGAGGCUCUGGGAUUGAAACAAAGGUUAUGAUAUCAAAACGAGGGGAUAUGUGGUCAAAACCGGGUAGACGUCAGUUGAGUCCUUCAAGUGAGGUUGUUUGUGCAAGCGGUGAAGUUUAGGAGGGAAGAUACUUUGGCAGAAGGCGUCGUUGGAGCAUGAUUUGCCUCGGUUUAAUUCCUGUUGUUUCCAAAGGAGAUGUGUUGGGCUUAUAAUCGGGUAGUGAGGUUGGCUGCAUUAGGCCUAGCUUUUGGGCUCCAUUUCUUUUGAUUUCACUUCAGGAGGUGCUCUUGAGCCUAUUAGGAUUUUGGGAUUUAGAAGAAGAGGGAUGUUAACGAUGUGGAGGAUGAGAAACGUCUGAAACACAGCUUGGCUAUGGUGCUAAUGGAUCAGGUGUUGAAGACUUGUAAUGAGGGGUUGGUAUAGCUUCUGGUUAUCACAAUUGGGAAGGUGCCGAUCAAGAGGCUAGGAGGCGUUUUUGUAGUCAUCGGAAUAAACCAAAACUGGCUGAAUGACAUCCCUCUCGAGGUGGGUUAGGGGGAUUUUUUGUUUUGUUGCCUUUUUGCUUUAAAUCAGUGAUCUUCGCUCACUCCUUACCCUACUCCUGGUUCUUGAAAAAUCCUGUGUGAUCCUAACAACAAGGUUAGGGUUUGAGAGUUUUCUUUUCUACAGUCCAGAAAAAAAGAAAGCUUUAGGAAGAAAGGUGUUUUGAAAAAAGAAAGUGUUUUGGAAGCGCGCGCUUCCAACUAAGGGUCAAAGGAAAUUGGUACUUUUGAUUAAAACCUAAUAUGAUUCACUUACCUCCUCCCAGUCUCCCAUAGUCACACUUUGCCUCUAACUUCGACAUGGACCUCGACUUUCUCUUCUUCGAUGGUCCGACGUCAUCUCUUGCCUGACCUCCACGGCUCGACCUGCCUCGCCUAUGAAUCCGCCUCUCCAUCUCGGCCUCUCCACCAAGUCGACUCCAUUUAUAGGUUUGUGUUUCUCUCUUUAGUUCUUUUUCGAUUUCUGGAAGAAAAAAGUAAUUUAAUCGAACAAAUAGAUAGAUAAACGUUUCAUGUAUUGCAAAUUUGCAAUAGUAAGAAUGGGUGGGCUGUGGGCAUGCUGGAACUCUGGAAGGCUAGCUAAAUAGGCAAAAGAGCAACUAUUAGCAAAGUGAAGGUACGUUGACCUUGCCCAUGCUCUGGUCUCACAUUUUCCUUUUUGGUUUGAUGAUUUUGUGGGGUUAAUCAAAUUAUACAUUGCUAGCUUAAGCAAGAGUUCAUGAGAAUGAGAAUGAGGAUGAGGAUGAUGUCCUUGGUGAUUAGGUAGAUUAGUGUUUAUUUUUAUUUGAGUUAUUUGAUUGUAGAAUAAUAACUUGAAUCUUUGAAUAUGCUAUUUAUUUAUUUUUGUAUAAUUAAAUAUAUAUAUAUAUAUAAAUAUAUAUUAUUUUAUUCCGACGCUUUCAAAACAUUUCCGCUUCUACCAAAUUUUAGAAAAAAAAAUACACUUCCACUCUUCCAAACGUUUUGCUUCCAUGCCUCCGCUUCCGAUUCUAUGCAGCAUAGAUAUAUAUGUAGAAAUGUCCACACAAUUACUUAUUAAUUAUGUCUUUACGAUGUAAUCACUAAUCACUGUUCCUAUAUAAAAGAGACUAAUGAGAAUGAAUGAGACACUUUUACCUCCUUUCACAUUCUGUCUCUCUACUUCUUUUUCUCUAUAAUUUUUUAUCUCACUAACAUAAAUUUUAGUUUCUAACAACACUCAUUUUUUUUUUAGUUUUUUAUCUUCAGCCUUUUGUAAUAAAGCUGUUGUGAUGACUGUGGAGCCCACCUGAAUUGGUCGGGCGAAACGUUAGGCAAAAAUCAGAAAUUAAAUUACCUUGGCAAUCACUAUUCACAUGGGGCCUAUUAAUUAGUCCGGCAAUUCAUGGCUGGUGCAUUGAAAAAAGAGAGAAUCAACAAAUCAGUCAUCAAAUUAACCCAGUGGUGCAUUUGUUCUUAAGGAUAUUUGUUUGGUCAUUAGGGGAAAGAGUCACACUUUGCGUCCCUAUAUGUAAUUUUUCUAAAAAUUGAAGAGAGAAUUACAUAGUAGUACAUGACUAAAUUUAAAAACACAAAAAACCCACUUUUAAUAAUUUUUAAACAAUACAGGACGCAUGUCCAAGCCCAAGCCCAAGCCCAAGCCCAAGGCCAACAGUAUCAGACCUCACUCUAAAAAGUUACAUGAAAUGACUCAAAUGCCCUAUCACAUACUCACAUUCCAUUCUUUCUCCCAUACCUCUUUCUCUCUCAUACCAACAUUUAUCGACUAGAGCAGCCAUCUCGACGAUGAUGGACUACGCUCGACGACGACGACAAAAGACGGAUGACGCUCGACGGCGACGACUAAUGCCUGGCACCUCAAUGUUGACGAUGCUCGACGACGACACAAGAGAGAGAAGUGGAGGAAAUCUCUUUCCUAAUAUCCAUCACCAUCAUCGUCCGGCCAAUCUCCGAAGCCUGAAUUCAUCUAAUCAAGUAAAGCUUCGGCCUUCAAUUUCGAUUCUGCAAUUUCUAGGGAUUUGUUUCUCUUCGAUUUGUGGUUUUCAUCAUUCAAUCGCAAUUUUAGGUUCAGAUUGUUAUUUUGUUGAGAUUUGAGGGUUUCGAGUCGUCGAUCAGAGGGUUUCGAGUUGUCGAUCAGGGCUCGAUUUGCCAUAGUGAAGUGUUUUGGGAGUAGGGGCUCCGUUGAGGCUGACGGUGUCCACCUCAGAGUUGUUCGUGAAUUUGGUUGAUGGAGGUCUUUGUUGAAGUUGUGGUUAUCUUUGUUUUUGGUAGGUUUGUUUCAACAAUAGCAGCUUUGGCAGUAGCAGCAUCAUUGCAUUAGCUUUGGCAGUCACUACCAGAAGAAAGGCUUUAGCCGACGAAAAUAAAAAACCAGGCCGACGAAUUUUUUUUCGUCGGCUAAAGUCCACUUUAGCCGACGUAAUUUUUUUCGUCGGCUAAUUUAAAAUUUUCGUCGGCUAUGGUCAACUUUAGCCGACGAAAGUAAUAUUUCAUCGGCUGAAUAAUUUUUUCGUCGGCUAUNNNNNNNNNNNNNNNNNNNNNNNNNNNNNNNNNNNNNNNNNNNNNNNNNNNNNNNNNNNNNNNNNNNNNNNNNNNNNNNNNNNNNNNNNNNNNNNNNNNNNNNNNNNNNNNNNNNNNNNNNNNNNNNNNNNNNNNNNNNNNNNNNNNNNNNNNNNNNNNNNNNNNNNNNNNNNNNNNNNNNNNNNNNNNNNNNNNNNNNNNNNNNNNNNNNNNNNNNNNNNNNNNNNNNNNNNNNNNNNNNNNNNNNNNNNNNNNNNNNNNNNNNNNNNNNNNNNNNNNNNNNNNNNNNNNNNNNNNNNNNNNNNNNNNNNNNNNNNNNNNNNNNNNNNNNNNNNNNNNNNNNNNNNNNNNNNNNNNNNNNNNNNNNNNNNNNNNNNNNNNNNNNNNNNNNNNNNNNNNNNNNNNNNNNNNNNNNNNNNNNNNNNNNNNNNNNNNNNNNNNNNNNNNNNNNNNNNNNNNNNNNNNNNNNNNNNNNNNNNNNNNNNNNNNNNNNNNNNNNNNNNNNNNNNNNNNNNNNNNNNNNNNNNNNNNNNNNNNNNNNNNNNNNNNNNNNNNNNNNNNNNNNNNNNNNNNNNNNNNNNNNNNNNNNNNNNNNNNNNNNNNNNNNNNNNNNNNNNNNNNNNNNNNNNNNNNNNNNNNNNNNNNNNNNNNNNNNNNNNNNNNNNNNNNNNNNNNNNNNNNNNNNNNNNNNNNNNNNNNNNNNNNNNNNNNNNNNNNNNNNNNNNNNNNNNNNNNNNNNNNNNNNNNNNNNNNNNNNNNNNNNNNNNNNNNNNNNNNNNNNNNNNNNNNNNNNNNNNNNNNNNNNNNNNNNNNNNNNNNNNNNNNNNNNNNNNNNNNNNNNNNNNNNNNNNNNNNNNNNNNNNNNNNNNNNNNNNNNNNNNNNNNNNNNNNNNNNNNNNNNNNNNNNNNNNNNNNNNNNNNNNNNNNNNNNNNNNNNNNNNNNNNNNNNNNNNNNNNNNNNNNNNNNNNNNNNNNNNNNNNNNNNNNNNNNNNNNNNNNNNNNNNNNNNNNNNNNNNNNNNNNNNNNNNNNNNNNNNNNNNNNNNNNNNNNNNNNNNNNNNNNNNNNNNNNNNNNNNNNNNNNNNNNNNNNNNNNNNNNNNNNNNNNNNNNNNNNNNNNNNNNNNNNNNNNNNNNNNNNNNNNNNNNNNNNNNNNNNNNNNNNNNNNNNNNNNNNNNNNNNNNNNNNNNNNNNNNNNNNNNNNNNNNNNNNNNNNNNNNNNNNNNNNNNNNNNNNNNNNNNNNNNNNNNNNNNNNNNNNNNNNNNNNNNNNNNNNNNNNNNNNNNNNNNNNNNNNNNNNNNNNNNNNNNNNNNNNNNNNNNNNNNNNNNNNNNNNNNNNNNNNNNNNNNNNNNNNNNNNNNNNNNNNNNNNNNNNNNNNNNNNNNNNNNNNNNNNNNNNNNNNNNNNNNNNNNNNNNNNNNNNNNNNNNNNNNNNNNNNNNNNNNNNNNNNNNNAAUCGAAGAUUGAAGUUUUUAGGGUUUAAAAUUGGGGAUUUUUAUUAUUUUGAGUCGAUUGACCUGUUUAGGCUUAGAAUUGAGCUUCGAUUUCUUCUAGAAAGUUGUUCGAAAUGUUGAGACGAAGAUUCUGUCAAAUUUUGGUCGUGAUUGGAGGUGGCCGAAAGUUUCUGCAGUUUUUUUUUUCAAAACCCAGCAACUUUAGCCGACGAUAUUUAAACACUAUAUUCGUCGGCUAUAGUAUUUUUUAAUUUUUUUUAUAAGGUUUAGCCGACGAAUUAUGUCAUGUUUCGUCGGCUAUAGUUAUUUUUUUAAUUUUUUUAUAAGGUUUAGCCGACGAAAUAUAGUAUAUUUCGUCGGCUAUAGUUAUUUUUUUAAAUUUUUUUAUAAGGUUUAGCCGACGAAAUAUAGUAAAUUUCGUCGGCUAUAGUUAUUUUUUUAAUUAUUUAUUACACACUUUUAGCCGACGAAUAUAUUAAUUGUUUCGUCGGCUAAAGUCUGGGAAAAAAACCGACGACAUGUUUUUCGUCGGCUAACUGUGGGACUAUAGCCGACGAAAAAAAAAAUUUCGUCGGCUAAAGUCAUCACCGACGACCUUUUCCCGACGACACUAUAGCCGACGAGCCUUCGUCGGCUAAGAUCUUAGCCGACGAAUUAAGAUAACAGGCCGACGAAAAUUUUUCGUCGGCUAAAGUGCUUGUCCUGGUAGUGAGUAGCAACAUCCUUGCAUCAGCUUGGACAGUAGCAGCGUCCUAACAUUAGAGUCAGUAGUAGCAGCGGGCUAGCAUCACAAUCAGUAGCAGAAAAUGUAGCAAAAUACCGACAAUAGCACAAAAUUGCAAUAGCACAGGCAGUAGCACUUGGGUAUCGGUAGUAGCACAUUCUUAUUCAACAAUAACACAUAACACAUAACACAUUUCUAGUCGACAGUAGUAACAUAAUUUGUAGUGAAGGGUAUUCUGGUAAAGUUAUAGUGAAAAUGACAUAUGAACAUUAAUUUAUCCUGAUUUGUUAAUUUUUGUCUUUAAAUGUGUAAGAUAAUGUGUAAAUGAUGUAUUUGUAAACUGAAAUCUGAUCAAUAACUUUAAUGUAAUUUACUAAAUUGAAAAUUGU
rnacentral:lncRNA from 1 species